rnacentral:lncRNA from 1 species
CAACCCACACCAUAUCUCAAUAAGUCAGAAACUUGUAUGACAUUACCUUCACUGUAUAGACUACAAAGACGGAACAGAGAUUUUGCCUCCUCACUUUCCAAGAAGUCAUAACUCAAUUUUAUGGAGGUGUACACAUUUGCUUGCAUGCCAUGAAUUUCUCUAGCAUCCGAUCUUCUUAGCUGAUUCAAUGCAUCUUUCCAAAAGUAACGCUCUUUAGUUUUCAGAGCAUUUGCAACUGUACUCAGUGCAACAGGCAAACCUCCGCAUCUUUCAACGAUCUCAUUUGCUAUACUUUGAAAAGCAGAUAUUUUAGUUGAAUCACCCAAUAUCUUUUCAAAAACUGCAAUGCUUCUUUUGGUGGCAAAGCAUCGAUCGGGAAAUUUUUCUGAGAAUUCAUAUCAAUGCGCAAUAAAUCUCGACUUCUAGACGUCAAUAUUAUUGUGCAUCGUCUCUGAUCAUCCUUUGUAUCUUUCUCAUCAACAUCCCCACAAGGAAUUCCAACUUUUUCGAACUCGAGUUUUUUCCAAAUAUUAUCCAAUAUAACGAGGACCUGCUUCUCGUUCUUCAAUCUUUCACGUAAUCGAUCUGCUCUUUCGAAUUUAUUCUCAUCCGAGCCAAAUUUCAUGCCUAAGUCAAAAGCAAGUUUCUUUUGAAUUUCCUGAUGAUCUGGGGUCUGUGUUACCUCAGCCAUAACGACCUUAUCGAACACCUUAUCUUCCAUAACUUGCCUUGCAACUUGCUUGACUAGCGUGGUUUUACCCACGCCGCCCAUCCCGCAGACCCCAAUUAUCUUGAGCUUAUCAUCCUUCAACGCCUCCACAACAUCUUGAAAUACUUUCAUUCUUGAAUCAAAGGCCUCGAAAUCUUUCACUUGCAUAUGUUCUGCCCGCUUUGGAGCAGGACGGUAGGAAACAUUAGAGAAGUUACCUUUUCCCAUGAGACUAGCAGCAGCUUCUGCGGCCUUUGCUGCUUGUCUACUGAGCUUGUAACGAGAAAUCAAGUUUGGGCACAAUCCUUUGAAACAGAACUUCUUAGCUCUAUCUUCAUCAUCAGUGAUGGAUUUCGCAGCUCCCUGAGUGAAUUCCUUGACGCUAUUAAGCCAGUCUGCAACAUCCUUAUAAAUCUCAUCUCCUUGUUGAGUAGCCUGAUGAACGGGUAUUUCCACCCUUUCUCUUUUAUAUCCCAACUGUUUCACUUGAUCUUUUAGGCCAUCUAUGUAGCUCUGGUACUUGAACACAUAAGAGAUCUGCCGUAUAAUCGGUUUGAACAGUGACUUUGCAUCUUCUGAUACGAUGCUGGAAAAAGCAGCCAGACCCACUUCUACAACCAUUGCCUGUUGCUUAACAAUAUAUGUAUAUAUAUGAAUAAAAUGAAUAAAAAUGUCAAAGAAAGGAAUACAAAUAAAUUAAAAUGAACUAGAGGGAAAGACAGAGAAAGAAAAGACCGCAAACAACAUCGCGAUAUUGAUUUUGAACCAACUGAUACCUAAGUAGAGAAUUUCUUUUUCUAUCUUAAGGAUCAGAGGUUUCGCUAUUAACAGAAAGGUAUCCUUUAAGGAAAGUUGAUGGAAAUUAAGAAAGAAUGGCUAUCAAGAUCAAGUAUUCUGCUACUAAAAAUAAAUGAUAUGACUUAAGAAAAGUAAAUGAUAUGAUUAAGAAAAACCAGAGAAUUUUUUCCUAGGAAAGUUGAUGGAAAUUAAGAAAGAACCGCUAUGAAGAUCAAGUAUCAGAGAUUCUGCUACUAAAAGAAUAUUACAGGUUUUAGAACAAGUGCACCUCUUUACCUGUCUGGGAUCAGAGUCGAUGAGCUGCUGUAUUCACCUUGAAUAUAGAAGAAAUAUUACAGGUUUUGACUAAAGAGGAAUGUGAGGAACGAGUUGAUGAGAGUAAUAACAAUGAAUUUCCAAAAGAAGACGACUUGAGCAUUAAGCAUGCACCCCCUUUAUCAAUCAAAUAUUGGUACGUAUGUACGUAGGGACCAUUAUGCGUAUAUGAAGUCCAUUAGUUGCAAUCAGAAACCCUGGCCCAAUUUAAUUGGCACUCGAUUUUUGAUAAGAAGAAGGCAAGGAUAAGGACAAAGUCAAUCAAUCACCAACAGUAAUUACUUCAAUCUUUGUCAAUCUACUUAAAUUGUCGAUCAACAUGAAAAUUGUUUAAAUUGAUAUUUGUAAAUCAAUCAAUUUUCUAGUUACUAUGAUUAUAACGUUUCACCUUUCAUAUUGGAUUUUAUCUUUUCGAAAGUUUUCAAAUAUGAGUGUCAAUAAUUAUUGAGACUCCAAGCCGUGCUCUCAAGAUCGUGCUGACAAAUCACUAUUGACUUUGUUUAUGCAAAAUUCAAAGAAAAAAAGUUAUGGUUUUGUAUUGCCAGCCCUGCUACUUUUUGUUUUUUUCAUUUGUAUUAUUUACGAAUUAUUUUUUAACAGAAACAUGAGAACUCAUCAUCGUACAAAAUUGCAUGAAAAAAUCUUCAAAUUUAUAAAAGUAAAUUUCGUUGACAGAUUGUGGAUAUGUUAGAAAGAAUAAGGAUAAGAAUGAGUUAAGAAAUAAUAUAUAUAUAUAUAUAGAUAGAGAGAGAGAGAGAGAGUGAAAGUAAACAAUGUUUUGGUACAUUUGGUAUUGUUUUCAAAAUAUUUUGAAAAGAAAAAUUUUCAAUUAUCCACCUAGGAAUUAUCUUAUUAUCCAAAAAGUUAUAAAAAUUUAAAAAUAUUUAAUUUUAUACCCAUUAUUACAAUGUGUAUCAACUGUUUACUAAAAAAAUAAAGUUACUCCUAAAACAUAAUCACCACUACAAUUUUGUGUUCGCUUCUAUUUUGUCACUUUGAACGAAUAACUUUAUAUUUUUAACAGAUGUUUCAUACAAAUUGCAUACAUUGGAUGUAAAAUUAAAUAAAUUUAAAUUUUUAUAAUAAUUUUAAUAAUUGAAUAAACUUUGAGUAAAUGACUGAUAAUUUCUCUUUUAUAAGCUACAAGAAGUUAAAAAGAAAAAAGAAAAAAUAGGAUGAUAAUUUCUCUUUAAUAUGCCUCAGAUGAUUUAUUGUUUCGGGUCUAAGAUUUUAAAUAUUCAACUUAAAAGAUUAAUAUAUUAUAAAUUAAUUAAUUAAAUAAUCAUUAAGCAACUAAAUUGGGUCCCCUGGAUGUCAAUUCCUUUAUUAUUGACGCAACUAUUUUUUUAUGGCAAAUAAUUAUUAAUGCACUUACGGAACUUUUGCAUAUCUACACAGCGAUUUUAAAUAUUACUGGUAACUGCUGAGAAAUGUGCGAGAAAGAAGUUGAUGAGAGUAAUAACAGCGACUUGCAAAAGGAAAAGACAGAAUCAUUCAGACAUUCACCCCUUUUUGUAUCACGUACUUGGUUACUGUUUCCCUGUUGACGCAUGUAUAAAUUUGAGUGAUUUUUCUGCACUUUUUUGGCUGUUGCUUAACAAUGUGUGUGUGUGUGUGUGUGUGUGUAUUUGCUGUUGAAAAAUUUGGAUUCAAAUAAAUUAACUGAAAGAUUAGAGUUUUGACUAUUAACUGAAAGGUUUCAAGGGUAUGAAUGAAAAGCAACAUUCUUUUUUAGAAACUAUUUUAGAGGAGAGAUGCAAAUUAACAAAUGCUAAUAACAAGAACACAGAAGUUAACAAUGAACAGUAACUUAAAUCAAGAAAAUUAAAUGACAAAAUUAAGACAAAUAGGAGAUAUUUUUUCGUGGACGUUAAGAAAUAACUGCUGUCAAGAAUAAGGAGAUUAUGCUAUUAAUAGAAAUUAUCAAAGGAUUUAGGACAAGUUCACCUCUUUAAUUAUCCGGGAUCAGAUAGUUGAUGAGCUUCUCUAUUUGAUCUUGAAUAUUUAAGAAUAAUUUUAAUGAGCAAAAAGAUCACUGGUAACUGCUGAAAAAUAAGUGAGAAAAGAGUUGAUGAGAAUAAUAACAAUGAAUUGAAUAAAAAAAGGACUUAAUCAUGCACCCCCUUUGCAUAUCAUGUAUAGAAUAAUUACAUGUAUUAUUAUAAUUUUGGGUUCGAUAUCCUUGUAUUAGUGUCUAAGAUUUUCAUGAAGAAUUAAACUUGAAAUGACCAAAAGAGGAAGCUGCGGUGUAUUGUUGGACCCAAUUAAGUUGAAGAAAGCACUAGUUCACAACCUUACGUUUGGAUAUAUUCUAAAGAAAUAAUUAAACAGCAAAUGAUCAUCACAUGCACUUUAAUGAUUUGAUCUAUUGUUUUCAAAAGAAAUUGCAAUUAACAGUUUUUGUCAAAAGUUCGCACUGUGUGAAACUAGUGUUAAUAUAAUUUAAAAAAUUACUUUCAAUAGCAUAUGGAAUAAUUAUAAUAUUAUUAAUACCUAAGAUAUAUUUAUAUUUAUUAUAAAAAAUUCAGUUAAAUAUUUGUGUUAACUAGAAUUUAUAAUUAAUAUAAUAUAUCUUAGGUAUUAAUAAUAUUAUAAUUAUUCCAUAUGCUAUUGAAAAUAAUUUAAAUUUUUAGACGUUUAUUUUCAUAUUAAGUUUUUAUUUAUUAUAAAAUUUAGUUUAAUAUAGUAUAAGCUUGUAAAGUAUUAAAAUAUUUUUUUUCAUAUUUUUUAAAAAUAUUAAAAUUAUUUUAAUAUAUAUAUAUUAACAUUGAAGCCAAUUUUUUGAGUUAAUAGAGCUAGUAGGUGUUACACUAAAAAAGAGUAUCUUAGUAUCUCUUAUUGAGUGGGAGAGCCAAAUGAAUCGAAAAAUUCAUGUUUGGUUCGGGAAGGGAUCAUCGAAGUUUUGAGAUGAAUGGAAAGAUAAUCUACUUUCAUUAAGUGAUUUAUUAGAUAAUCGCAAACUGAGGAUUUUGAAUAGUAUUCAAAAUUCAGAAGAAAUGCAGAGAGGGGCCAUUGAACGGCCGGAAAAAGCCCGGCCCGGUUACAAAAAAUCAAAAUAGAAGCAGAUCAAUAUUGAAAAUAUAUAGAUCUAUAUAAUCAUUUUUUCAAAUAUCGAGAUGUAGCUAUAAAAGAAAAAAUAAAUUAAAAAAUUUUAAAUUUUAAAUUUUAAUAUGGCCAUCGUAGGGUUAGAAUCCCCGCUCCAACCCGAUUUGGAGAUGUGCUUGGUCUAUUUAUGUUUUGGAAAAAGAAAAACCAAAGAAAAAAAAUACGCACCCGACCAAAUCAAGUAACUCAUCAAAUAAAAAAUAAAAAAGGAAAGAAAUUUAAUGACUUGCGUGCAAUUUUGGAUCUGAAAUUAAAAUUACAUAAAAAUUCAGGCUUACGUACCUUGAUAUUUACAGCUUAUUUGAUGGCCUCAACAAGUUUAAGCAGCAUCAAAAUGUUGUGGCUCCUUCAAUGACAACAUCGACUUGUUUGACAGCUCCAACAAGGCUACGAUGAUCAGAAAAUGAGCCCUCAAUCAACCAGCGCCUUGCUCUUUGUCAUUUUUCCUCUUGUUAGUUUUCUUCUACAUAUAAUUAUUACACUGGGAAGUAUACACACACCUCUUUUCUUUUUAUAGUACCUUACUAUUAUAUCUUUACAAAACAAUAUCACCCUAAGACAUAUAUGUAUGAAAUAAAUAUAUAAGGAACUGACGAAAUAAAAUUAGAUCUAACACUAGUUUCAUGUGGUGUGUGAACUUUUGACAAUCCUCUCAUACCCCAACAAAAACUUUGUCAUAUUACGAAAGUUAUCACGACCAUAGACUUUUCAAUUGCAUAUUGGAAUUGCAAUGUCAUUUUAUUAUAGUAAUGUCAUUUCCAUUAUUCAUAGUGGCAGACAAUGGACAUCACGGGACACGGCGAGAAGUUAUCACGACCAUAGACUUUUCUAAUUUAUGAAAUAAAUGAAAUUAGAUCUAAUUCUAGUUUUAAGUGGUGUGAACUUUUGACAAUCCUCCCAUAUCCUAACAAAAGCUUUGUCAUAUUGCGAAAAUACCUUUCCAAUGUUUCAAUUGCAAUGUCAUUGCCAUUAUUCAUAGUGGCAGACAAUGGACAUCACGGGACAUGGCUAGAAGUCUAUGUUACGGCUUAUGUAAGUAACAGUAGCCAAUGGGGAACUUCCACAGGGGCUAUAGGAGAGAGAAAGAGGUCCCAAUACAAGUGUUAGAGUGCAAUUUAUACACUAGUUUUGCAUUGUUUACUUCCCUUAAUAUCAAUGUUUUGCAUUUAAUAAUAAUGAUUUACUUGUGUUUUACUUUUGUAGGUGCAAUUCUAUUGAUUUGUUAUAAAAUUGAGGUAUAAGAUGAUGUUUAAAGAUGAUUGUUCUCUUAGAGAAAUUUAGAGCGUCAGAAGAACUUUAUUGAUAAAGCGUGGGCGCGUGCUGUCAACUGCGGACCUGCAGUUUUUAGUUUAAUGUGUUUUGUAUUUUUGGCUAUUUUUGUAAUUACGAAUUUAAUAUUUCAAAUAUUAGUAUUUUAUUUUAAAUAGAACUCUAAAAGAGAAGAGAGAGAGAGUAUUUAAGGGAGGAAUCUAUUGUGAAAAAGGGGGGAUUUUAAUUGGAGAAAAAGAAAGAAACCCUAGAUCUAAUUUUUCUCUUCUCUCUAUGAAGAACUAAACUUAUUUUUUCUGGUGGAAGGUUAAUGAAGCUUUGAUUCAUCAAUACUGUGAGAUCUUUCUUAUGCUUUAAUUGUUUUAUUACUUUUUGGGUAUUUGUUUAUUCUCUGAAUUUGUUUCAUGAUUAUGUUUGUUAAUUAGGUAAUUGGCCACUAUUUAAUUAUCAACUUAAUCUAUUGUCAAUUAAAGAAUUCAUCGUAUGAAGAGUUUAAUGUUUGUGACAAAUAACAUAGCAGUGAGUUGUGUUAUGGGAAUAAACAAUCUAAUUUAAAUGAAUCAUUAUAUGUGUUGAUUAGGAUUUGGGUCUCUAUGGUUUUUCAGGCUGUCAAUUGAUUAAAUCCUAUGAUCGUAUCUAGGGUUGUCUAUUGAUUAGGGAAAUAUCCAACGGUCGUACCUUGGUUAUCGACUAGUUAAGGAGAGAUUGGCUAUUAGAGGGUCUCAAUAGCUAUAACCGGUCUAUUCAUAAGUAAUAAUAAUCUAUUUUUGAAUCAAUGAUUAGUAGUCGAAUCAAGCUGAGUUAAUUCCUUCAACCAGAGCUUUCUCCAAUUUGAAUUACAACUUUAAUUUGCAUUUUUGUUAUUUUAAUUUGAUUUUUUAUUAUUGUCAACAAUUCCCCCAUUUUACGUUUUACGUUUCAAAAGGAUUUAAAUAAUUACCGAUCUCUGUGGACACGACCCUGCUCAAUCACUAUACACAAUUUAUUUAGAGUAGGAAUUUAUUUUUGUUGGCUUCGACAACCAUCAACAAGGUGAUGGAAAUGGGAAAGUUCGAAGCUGUUACUUUCAGCUUCUGCACCGUAGCCAUGUCCCACGGGACAAGGCUAGAAGUUAUCAUGACCAUAGACUUUUCUAAUUUAUUUUUUCCUUUCAAAAAGGGACAAGGAUAAGUUUGGGAGAAUGAUUAUAUUUUUAAUAAAAGAAUUCUUUUUUAUUAUAAUACUUUUUGUCUUUAUUAAUUUAAAAAUAUUAACUCUUAUAUUUUAAUAAAUAUAAAUAUAAUAUUAUAAUAACAUAUAACAAUAUAUACAAAAAUUUAAAAAAAAUUAAGAUUUUAUUAAAAUAAAUUUUAUAAUAAAUACAAAUACAUUAUUAAUAUAAUUUUAAUAAUUUGCAUUUUAAAAAGUAAUACUGAUAUUAAUUUUUUAAAUAUUAAUUUUUUAAAUUAUAUUACUCUACCAAAAAAAAUUAAACUAUUAAAUUAUAUUGAUAUUUAUUACAAAAUUUGCAAUUAAUUCUUAUUAUAUUUUUAAUUGGAAUUUGUUCCUGUGAUAUAACAACAAUUGCUACAGUUUUUUUCCCUAAAUAAAGAUGGAGUUAUAAAUUAUUUGUGUAAGUGUCAUGAAAGUAAUAGUUGAAUAACAAUAAUGGGGCUUUAGGCAAUUUUUUCAUGAGGUCUUCUUGCAAUUUCAACACUUAAACAUACUUGUCCUUGAUCCCAAUUUAUUUACCCCAUUUGGGCCCACGAUGAGAUAAAUAUAUUCCUGUGAGAUGAAAAACAUCAGGAGAAGAAAAUGUUUUAUUAUAAUAAAAAAACAAGUGGUCCAUAAGUCUAUUUAUUACUUUUUUUAUUCAAUACAAAUGGCCAACUUAAAAAAUGAUAAAAAUCACAUAACGCACAAGCAAAAAUUUAGAUUUACAUUUUUUUAGUUCUCUCCGUGUCUCUCUUUCUCUUUUUUUUUUUUAAAAAAAAUAAAUGUCAGUGUAAAAUUAGAAAAAUUUUAGAUAUAAACUUUGGCGAUGACCAAACAAAAAUUGCAAGGGAAAGAAAAUAGAGGACCCUUGAUAUCAUUGAAAUACUGAUCAUAGACACUACAAUAUAAAUAACUUGUUGUGAUCCACUCAACUUGUAACACUUUAAUCCAUAUUCUAAAAUUUGUAUGCUUGUUAGGAAUUUUAUUAUUGACAUUACUGUACCAAUAAAAGUCUAAUUUAUUCAUAUGGAAAGAAAACAUCAAGAAAGGACCUCUGAUUUUUAUUAUAACAGAAAAAAGUGGUCCAUAAGUUUAUUUAUUAUUUUAUUUAUUCAAUACAAAUUGCCAACUUAAAAAAUGGUAAAAAUCACAAAAUGCACAAGUAAAAUUUUAGAAUUACAUUUUUUUAAUUCUCUUUGAGUCUCUCUCUCUCUCUUUAAAAAAUAAACCUCACUGUAAAAUUAGAAAAAUUUUAGACAUAAAAUUUGACAAUCACCAAACAGAAAAUGUAGGGAAAUGAAAAUGGAGGAGCCCUAUUAUCAUUAGAAUAUUGAUCAUAGAUACUAUAAUGUAAAUGAUUUGUUGUGGUUCAUUCAACCUGUCACACUCUAAGCCAUUUUCUAAAAUUUGUAAGGUUUAUAGGAUUUUUAUUAUUGGCAUCAUUGUAUCAAUAAUAUUAUAAAUUAUAUAUUCUAUUGUAAUGAAAAUUUAUGUAAUCUUAGGUAUUUAUUUAUUGUAAUAAUAAAAAAUUUCUAAAUAAAGGUGAUUGCUUCAUUGACAAGUACAUAUUUAUAUUCUCUAUUAGUAUUUGGGUUGUAAACUUUGUUUAUAAAGUGAAUAUAUUGUGGUAAGCGAUGUGGGCAAUAUCGGAUGCAAAAUAUUGAGAGAUCAUUAACGCAUAUAUUUAUUGAAGACGCAUAUAGAGGAAAGAGUGUAGAUCCGGCCGUAACAAUUAUGAAGCUUUCCCCAAGUAUUCUCACGCUUCCUUAACUGUUGCAAAGUAUUUUUCAUAGUGUGCAGAUUUACUUUAUGGUGUCUUAAUUCGUCUAAAAUGAUUACUUUAGUUCUUUUGGGAUGAAAGGUCAUUUAUUGUGUUAGUAUUAAACAAUAGAAAAAAUAAGUAAUGGUAACGAAAGACUAAUUUGUGAUAUUGAAGCAUACAUGCUUAACUCAAUCCAAAACUUAGUAAGUUAGCUCAAGAGUUAAGAGUUGUCCAAAUCUUAUAUGCUGAACCCAAGUUCAAUACUCAAUUGAUGCAGGAUGUUAUUCCUAACACCGCCCCUCAUGCGUAGGAUUGGCAAAAAAACUCGAGUCAGUCCCGCCUAGACCUGCAAGCUUUAUUUAUGGCCAGCAUGAUGAAGUUACAGAUAUUAACCUAAAAAUUUGAAACUUACUAUGAAUGGCCUUGGUUAAAGACUUUUGUAACUUUAAUUUAUAACAAGUAUGUAUACACACACACACACAUGUUUAGAUUGCAUUUGGAUGACUUUUUUAUCAAUGCAAACAAUAUCAAAUUUAUCGGAUUAAUUUGAAUCUGAUCUAUAUCCGAUUUUGCCCGCCAUANNNNNNNNNNNNNNNNNNNNNNNNNNNNNNNNNNNNNNNNNNNNNNNNNNNNNNNNNNNNNNNNNNNNNNNNNNNNNNNNNNNNNNNNNNNNNNNNNNNNNNNNNNNNNNNNNNNNNNNNNNNNNNNNNNNNNNNNNNNNNNNNNNNNNNNNNNNNNNNNNNNNNNNNNNNNNNNNNNNNNNNNNNNNNNNNNNNNNNNNNNNNNNNNNNNNNNNNNNNNNNNNNNNNNNNNNNNNNNNNNNNNNNNNNNNNNNNNNNNNNNNNNNNNNNNNNNNNNNNNNNNNNNNNNNNNNNNNNNNNNNNNNNNNNNNNNNNNNNNNNNNNNNNNNNNNNNNNNNNNNNNNNNNNNNNNNNNNNNNNNNNNNNNNNNNNNNNNNNNNNNNNNNNNNNNNNNNNNNNNNNNNNNNNNNNNNNNNNNNNNNNNNNNNNNNNNNNNNNNNNNNNNNNNNNNNNNNNNNNNNNNNNNNNNNNNNNNNNNNNNNNNNNNNNNNNNNNNNNNNNNNNNNNNNNNNNNNNNNNNNNNNNNNNNNNNNNNNNNNNNNNNNNNNNNNNNNNNNNNNNNNNNNNNNNNNNNNNNNNNNNNNNNNNNNNNNNNNNNNNNNNNNNNNNNNNNNNNNNNNNNNNNNNNNNNNNNNNNNNNNNNNNNNNNNNNNNNNNNNNNNNNNNNNNNNNNNNNNNNNNNNNNNNNNNNNNNNNNNNNNNNNNNNNNNNNNNNNNNNNNNNNNNNNNNNNNNNNNNNNNNNNNNNNNNNNNNNNNNNNNNNNNNNNNNNNNNNNNNNNNNNNNNNNNNNNNNNNNNNNNNNNNNNNNNNNNNNNNNNNNNNNNNNNNNNNNNNNNNNNNNNNNNNNNNNNNNNNNNNNNNNNNNNNNNNNNNNNNNNNNNNNNNNNNNNNNNNNNNNNNNNNNNNNNNNNNNNNNNNNNNNNNNNNNNNNNNNNNNNNNNNNNNNNNNNNNNNNNNNNNNNNNNNNNNNNNNNNNNNNNNNNNNNNNNNNNNNNNNNNNNNNNNNNNNNNNNNNNNNNNNNNNNNNNNNNNNNNNNNNNNNNNNNNNNNNNNNNNNNNNNNNNNNNNNNNNNNNNNNNNNNNNNNNNNNNNNNNNNNNNNNNNNNNNNNNNNNNNNNNNNNNNNNNNNNNNNNNNNNNNNNNNNNNNNNNNNNNNNNNNNNNNNNNNNNNNNNNNNNNNNNNNNNNNNNNNNNNNNNNNNNNNNNNNNNNUACCUCUUUUAACGACAAGAUUCGUAGUAGAUGAUAAAAAGAAAAUUAACUUCAAAUUUUUUCAUUAAAUGUAAAUCUGAUUGAAGUAGUUUAAAUUUUUCUAGUAGACUAAUAUAUAUAACUUAAAUAAUUAAUUUCAUUAUUAAUUUUUAAAAUGUUAACUAAUAUAUUUUUAAUUUAUUAUAAAAAUUUUAAAUAAAUCCUUGGAUUAAAUAGAUUUUACAAUUAAUGUAAUACUUCUGAUUUAUUAAUAAUAUUAAAAUUAUUUUAUAUGAUAUUCAAAAUAAUUUAAACUUAUAUAUAUAUUAAUAUUAUGUCUAUUUAUUAUAAUAUGGUUUAAUAUUAUACGGGAUUGUAAAAUAUUAAAAUAUUUUUCAAUAUCCAAUUAUUUUAAUAUGUAUAUAUCAUUACAUUUAUUUUAGUAUCGUAUUUAUAUUUAUUAUAAAAUAUAAAAUUAAUAAAAUUAAAGAGUAUUGCAGUAAAGUAAAAAAAAAAAGUCUUAUUAUCUCUUAUUCACAAUAUGAGAUUCUACAAAAUUAUUUCCCGAAACGGGUGUCCUUUUCUUAUUUUCAAAAGAAAAAAUAAAGUAAGAAUAAGUCCAUGGGUUUCAAAAACUUCUAGUCUUAUCCCGGGACUACAUUGUCUGCCACUAUAACUAAUGGAAAUGACAAUACAAUUGACAUUGCCUUUCGCAACAUGACAAAUUUUUGGUGGGAUAUGGAAGAAUUGUCAAAAGUUCACGCCAUGUAAGAGUUUUUGGUGGGAUGUGGGAGGAUUGUCAAAAUAUCACACCACGUGAUAUAACCACAAUUGCUAUGGUUUUUAUUUUUUAAAUAAUGAUGGGAGUUAUAAAUUAUUUAUAUAAAUUUGCGUAGAAACUAAUGUAACAUAAAAGAAGUAGCUGAAUAAUAAUAUUUGGUGCUUUAGGUAAUUUUUAUAUGAGCCUUUCUUUUAUUUAGCGGCUCUAGUGCUUAAACAAACUUGUUCUCGAUCUUAAUUUACUGACCCCAUUUAAGCCUAUGAUGACAUAAUUAAACAUAUUCUUUUGUGACGAAAACAUCAAGAGAAGACAUCUCAUGUUUUAUUAUAACAGAAAAGAAGUGAUCCAAACGUCUAUUCGUUAUUUUAUUUAUUCAAUAUAAAUGGUCAACUUUAAAAAAAUGAUAAAAAUCACACAACGCUCAAGUAAAAAUUUAGAAUUACAUUUUUUAAAACUCUCUGAGUCUCUCUCUCCUGCCCCCCCCCCCCCCUCUUUUUUUUAAAAUAAACCUUAGUGUAAAAUUAGAAGAAUUUUAGAUAUAAAAUUUGGCAAUCGCUAAACAGAAAAGUAGCGGAUUGAAAAUAAAAAAGCUCUAUUAUCAUAGGAAUAUUGAUUAUACAUAAUAUAAUAACUUGUUGUGGUUCAUUGUAGCACUCUGAGCCAUACUUUAAAAUUUACUGGUUUGUUAAUGCUUUUAUUAUUGACAUUAUUGUGUCAAUAUUACUAUAAUUUAUUCAUUUUAUUGUAAUGAUAAUUUGUGUAGUCUUAGGUACUUAUUAUAUUAAAUUAUGUAAAUUAAUUGAGAAUACUUUUAGAGACAAAAGAAACACGUGUAUGUAGGAUUAAUAAUCGAAGAAUUGUAAAUGAAGGUGAUUGCUUCAUUGAGAGGCAUAUUGAAUAAUUAUGGAGGUUGCACUAUUUCGGAAGCACAUAUUUAUACUUCCCUAUCAGGAUUUGGGGUAAACGAAGUGCUUUAUCUAUUGCAGUAAGCAAUGUGGGCAAUAUCAGAGGCGAAAUAUUAAAAGAUUAUAACGCAUAUAUUUGAGCCAUUUAUAUUGAAGACACAUAUAGAGGAAAGAGUGCAGAUCAGGCUUUCCUCAAGUAUUCUCAUGCUUCCGCAACUGUUCUGAACUAUUCUUCAUUGUGGGCAGAUUUACUUAAUUACCAACACUAUGAUUCAAUACUUCAAAGGUUGAGGAAAUGUCAAAAUAUGAAAUGAAAAUACUUAAAUACCCUUCUACCUAACAAAACUUGGUACUUCUAACUGCACUCGCAGAGAAUAUAUAAAAUUAAAAAAAUAUAUAUUCAUCCAUGAAAAGCUUCGUAACAGAAAAACCAUCUUUAAAAAAAAUAAAAAUAAAAUUAAAAAAAAAAAACAGAAAAACCGACUCAUUUAUCUGCCAAUGAACCAAUUGGGACUCAUUUAAAAAAGAAUACAAAGCAAAAGUGAAUGACACAAAUUGCAUAGAUAUCUAGGUAUAAUUUGUCCAAGUAAUAAAUUCUCCUAGGUCAAAAGCAAUUAACGAUGAAAACUUUCUUCAUUAAGGUUCUGGCCUACGUAAAAAAACAGAAAAAACCACCCCAAGGUCAAAGCACAACGAUAAGUUUAGAACUGCAGUUUUUAAUUUUUUUUAAUAAAUCAAUGUGUAUCAAAAAUAGAUAAUAAUUUUGGAUAACUUUUUUUGAUAAAUAUAGACAUAAAAUUUUAAAAUCACCAAACAGAAAAACAGGGGAAUUAAAAGAGAGCCCUUGUUUCUCCUCUGUUUUGUUUGUUAUCAAACAGUGAAAUGAAAAGAUCGCAAGCGGAAAUUUUGUUUCUGCGUUGUAUCUUCUCAAUGCUGCAUGCAUUCAAAUUAAACCUUAUAUAUGCUAGCAAACUAGCUACUCUGCAUGUAAGUUCUCGAUAAGUCCAAAUAAUAGAAUAAUUGUAAAAUGUUAAAAUUCAGUAAUUAAUUAUACAUAUUUAUUUAUUCAAAAAUUAUUAUUAUUAAUUAUUGUCAAUAUAUAUUAAUAUUCUGAUUAAUUGUAAAAAAUUUAUCAUUCAUAACAAUAAUAAUGAUGAUGAUGAUAAUAAUAAUAAUAAUUCAAAAUAUAUUAAUUAAUUAUAAUAAUAUAUUAAUUAUUUAAUAAUAGUAAUAAAUGUAAAAUGUAUAAAUUGAUUAGAAUAGUUAUAUUAAUAAAUUAUAAACAUAUAUUAAUUAAUCAUAAUAAUUUUUUAAUUGAGGACAAAAUAGACAUUUUAUAGUUUGUGAGAGGGGGUAAAAUGGUCAAUCUUGGGAACGGGGGAUUGAUUCCCACCACCUUCCUUGGGAAUCAAUCUUCCAUUCCUCAUUCCUAAAUUUGGGUGGCCCCAUAAUUCUGAUUUGGAUCCCUGCCUCCAUCAUUAAUGAUUUCGAUUUCGGAUUCCGAUUCCCCAAUCCAAGAAGUAAAGGCACCAUUAUUGUUAAUUGGUUCAAACACACAAAGAGAAUGUACCAUGUAGCUAGGCGUCAAGGUUGUGUUGCACAAGUAACCUUUUUCUUUUCUUUUUAUUUUUCUUGUUUUCCUUAACGGAUCAGAAGAAAUUGGUGCCUUUGAGAUACCACAAUGUAAAUAAGUACUUGUGGUUCAUUGAAUCGGUAACACUCGGUACCCUAAGGUUGCUUUGGAAAAAAGGCUUUUCUCACUGAUCGCCAAUAUCCAAGUAAGUUUGUUUCAUUUCAGAAGGUGCAAAGUUUCAAACUUGUUGUAUUGGGAUGUAACAAACUUUGGCCUCAUAUGCCUGCUGUGACGUUAGACUGUUCAUUUUGAUUGUUUCCUACCUUCCACUUACGCCAUUGUAGCACUGUAUUAUUCACCAUUUUAACUGUUUAAAUGAAAUUUUAUUUUUGUCAAAAAUAAAAUGACACCAUUAAAAUUUAGAAAAAUAAUAAUGUAGAUCCCAAAUUUUUAAAAAAGAAUACCAAUAUUCCCCUUGACUACAAUACCCUUAGUAGGUGGUAAUAAAAAAAAAUUGGCUUAAAAUUUUUACGAAAUGUAAAUAUGAUUUAAAUAAUUUAAAUUUUCCAGUAGACUAAUAUAUAUAAUUUAAAUAUUAAUUUUUAAAAUUUAAAUUAAUUUAUUUGUAUUUAUAAAAUAGUUGUAAUUAUUUUAAAAUUUAACUAAAUCCUUAGGUUAAAUAGAUUUUACAAUUAAUAUAAUAUUUCUCAUGUAUUAAUAAUAUUAAAAUUAUUUUAUAUGAUAUUGAAAAUAACCUAAAUUUUUAUAUAUUUAUUUGAAUAUUAUGCUCUAUUUAUUAUAAUUUGGUUUAAUAGAAUACGAGAUUGUAAAAUAUUAAAAUUUUAAAUAUUGAAAUUAUUUUAAUAUGUAUAUAUUAUUAUAUUUAUUUUAAUAUCCUAUUUAUAUUUAUCAUAAAUUAUUAGAGUUAAUUUUUUUAGUUAAUAAAUUUAAAAAAUAUUAUAAUUUUAAAAAAAAAGUCUUGUUGUCCGUUAUUCACGAUAUGAGGUUCUACAAAAUUAUUUCUCCAGGCGGGUGUCCUUUUUUUAUUUUCAAAAGGAAAAACAAGUUCAGGGCCUCAGGGGUUUCAAAAAAUUCUGGUCCUAUCUACCACUAUGACUAAUGGGAAAUGACAUUGCAAUUGACAUUGCUUUCCGCAAUAUGACAAAUUAUUGGAGGGAUAUGGGAGAAUUGUCAAACGUUCACACACGCGAGAGCUUUAGGUGGGAUAGGGGAGGAUUGUCAAGAGUUCACACCACGAGAAACUAAUGAUAGGCCUAAUUUCGUUGUCAGUUCUUUAUUUAUUUAUUUUAUUUAUUUCAUACAUUAUUGUUUUUAUAAAGGUAUAAAAGUAAAGUAAAAUACCAGGGGUGCUGUUAAGUUACAACUUAUGUAACUUGCAAUUUUUUCAAAAAUAAUGUAAAAAAUUUAAUAGGUGGUGGGACCCACAUAUUUUUUAAGAGACUUAAGUUACAACAGUUGUAACUUAACAAAAUCUAAAUAUUAGACAAUAAUGCAUAUAAUUUGGGUUUGAUUUUUAAAAGAUUAUUUGAGUACCACCUAUCCUUAUGAUAUUAAUCUGAUUAUAUCUUAAUAUUAAAUAAUCAAAAUUUGUUUAAUUAUUAUUUGUAUUUCAUACAUUACAUAUUAGAUUUGUUUGAAUUUUAAGUUGUUGCUAAUAAAUAUUUAUGUUGUCAAAGUCAAAGUCAAUAGCUACAAAAGCAGAGAUAAUGGUAUUGUAUAUAGUUUUUAAGAAUGCAAGGAUAAGCUGGAUAAUUGACUUAAAUUCUAAUGAUUAAAAGAGCAACUAUCCCUUAAGUUAUAAUGUCAAUUUCUUUAAUUAGAAAUUUUUUUUUUCAUGUGAUAUAACCUCAAUUGCUACAAUUUUUUUUAUAAUAAUAAUGGGAGUUAUAAAUUAUUUAUAUAAAAUUUGGGUUGAAACUAAUGUAACCUAAAAGUGGUUGCUAAAUAACAAUAUUUGAAACUUUAAGUAAUUUUCAUGAGUCCUUUUUAUAUUCAGCAACUUGAAUUGGGGGAAAUCCGACUUGAAUUGGCGGUUGAUUUUGGUGAUGUGGCUUUUGGUUUACGCCGGCUUUACAGUGGCGGAAGACUGGAUUUACGGUUGCCGAAUGCUAGGGAUUAUGGUGGUGGUGUAAAUUGACGGAAAAAGAAGGUGUUUUGGUGGCGGCGCAUCUAGGAAGCACUCGUGGGUUGUCGUUUCGUGUGCUGACAACGGGCGGCGAUCAAGGGCUGAAGUUGGUUGGUUUUUGGUCAACGGAGGCCGGCGAGUUUGUUGGUGGAGGUGGUUGGUGGAGAAAGUGGCUGAAUGGUGGUGGGUUGCUUGGUGGAGCCGUGGGUUUGGGUUGGUGAUUUGCGGCUGUUGAGGCAGCGAUGACUGAGGCUUGGUCAACUGUGGCUAGUGAGGUUUGUGGUGGUGUUGGCUGGCUGAUCGGCGGUGGUGGGCGGCGGUGGAGGUUGAUGUGACGGGUUGGGUUUUCAAAUUUGUAAAUUUUGUUUUUUGAUGGAUUUGGUUUGGAUAGGUAUGGUGUAUCUAGGAAAGAUGUGCGAUUCGCACAUAAUCAUCUUGAUACCAAUUGAUGGAGCGAGGCGUAGCGGAAGCAGAAUUGAUAGGGUAAGAAACAUUAGAUAUUGUUCUAGUACUAGACCAAGCCAACGCGAUUAGUUCACGCUCUAAUCGAAGCAUGAUUAGAUAUCGUUAUAAUCCAAAUGACUCAAUGAGAUUUUUAAUAAUGCGUAAUACGAGAUUAGAUGACACUCUAAUCCAAACGACUCUACAAGAGAGAUUUUGAUAAAUAAUCCUAGAGAAAAUUAUAAAAGAGGGGUUUUAUUUAAUAAUUGAACUUGAAGUUAUGAAAAUAAUGACAAGACAUCUUUAUUUUUUUUAUUACAAAUAUCUUUAUUUAUAAUAGAAGAAACCCGCUUUCCUAAGUUAACCUAAAAAGAAAAUUUAAAUCAUAAUUAUAAUGGAAAUAAAAGAUUAAAAUACAUACCAUAAUUAACUCAAACUAAAAUAGAAAAUCAUAAAAUAAUAAAUAUUCUAGAAUUAUAAAUUAUCUAAAAUAACGUUAAUUAACUUCUUAAAUCACUUCUUUGGUGUUAACCAUUUUGCAUCCAACCUCGCUUUAAAGGUUUGAACCAACGUUACCAACAAUAAUGUAUCAAAUUCCAAUCUAACUUAAGAUCCUGAUACAUCUACCGAUGUCCUUGUUUGAUUAGACAAUAAUGAGUCUAUCUCAUCACUUGUUACCUCUUUCUUGAAGGCUGCAUCUGUUGAAGUGAUAGUCUCGUUUAGAGUUUAAAGAUCUUCUUCCAUGUUAAAUAAAAUGGGCAUUUGAUUAAAAAACUUUAUCUCUAUCUCCUUCUAUCAAAUAACGACAACUAUCCGAAGGGAAAAAAAAUUAGAAAAGUCCAUGGGUCACAAUAAUUUAUGGUCUGUUCCCGGACCCCAUUAUCUGCCACUAUCAAUGAUGAAAAUGAAAAUAAAUGGCAUCUUCCCAAAAUGGCAAAAGAUUUUUGGGGGAUAUGGGGGAAUUGUCAAAAGUUCACACAACGCGAAACAAGUGUUACAUCCAAUUUUAUUUCGUCAUAUAAUGAUAAUAUCAAAUAAUGACAACCAUCCAAAAGUAUGAUGGGUCUUCCACAAUUUUGAAAAUGUCGUCAACAUUUAAUCUUCAAUGCUAAAGAAGAUGAAAUGACCAAAAAUGACACGCAGGACCAACUUACAGACUAAAUGGCUCUGACCACAUGUAACAAACUUUGGCUUUAUGUCCUUGCUGAGGCGUUAGACUGUUGGUCAUUUUGAUUGCUUUUUACCUUCCAUUUACGCCAUUGUAGCAUUGUACUAUUCACCAUUUUAGCUGUUUAAAUGAAAUUGUUAUUUUUUUUUCCAAAAAUAAAAUGACACCCUUAAAAUUUUAGAAAAUAGCCAUGUAGAUCCCAAAUUUUUAAUAAAGAACACUAAUAUCAUUUUUGACUAUAGUACUCUUAGUAGAUGGUAACAAAAAAAAAUGACUGCAAAAGUUUUUACUAAAUGUAAAUAUGAUUUAAAUAGUUUAAAUUUUCUAGUAGACUAGUAUGUCUAAUUUAAAUAAUUAAUUUUUAAAAUGUAAUUUAAUAUAUUUAUUUUAAUAAUAUAUUUAUCAUAAAAAUUUUAAACAAAUCCUUGGGUUAAAUAGAUUUUAUAAUUAAUAUAAUAUUUCUCAUGUUUUAAUAAUAUUAAAAUUAUUUGAUAUGAUAUUGAAAAUAAUUAAAACUUUUAUAUAUUUAUUUGAAUAUUAUUUCUCUAUUUAUUAUAAUUUGGUUUAAUAGAAUACGAGAUUGUAAAAUAUUAAAAUAUUUUUAGGUAUUAAAAUUAUUUUAAUAUGUACAUAUUAUUAUAUUUAUUUUAAUAUCCUGCUUAUAUUUAUUAUAAAAUAUUAAAAUUAAUUUUUUUAGUUAAUAAAUUUAAAAAUAUAUAUUAUAAUUAAAAAAAGAGUCUUAUUGUCUGUUAUUUACGAUAUGAGGUUCUACAAAAUUAUUUUCAAAAGGAAAAAUAAGUCUAAGGGUUUCAACAAAUUCUAGUCCUAUCUGCCACUAUGACUAAUGGAAACGACAUUGCAAUUGACAUUGCUUUUUGUAAUAUGACAAAUUUUUGGAGGCAUAUGGGAGAAUCAUCAAAUGUUCACACUACGCGGGAGUUUUGGAUGGGAUCAGGGAGGAUUGUCAAGAGUUCACACCACGAGAAACCAAUGAUAGCCCUAAUUUCGCUGUCAGUUCUUUGUUUAUUUAUUUUAUUUAUUUCAUACAUUGUUGUCUUGUUGGCAUUGUUUUGUAAAAUAAAAGUAAAGUAAACUAUUAGGGUGCUGCUAGGUUAAGUUGUUGUAACUUACAGUCCCUUAAAAAAUAAUGUAAAAAAUUUAACAUGUGGUGGGAUCCACAUAUGUUUGAAGAGGCCGUAAGUUACAGUAGUUGUGACUUAGCAAAAUCCAAAUAUUAGACAAUAACGCACAUUAACAAUGCAUAUAAUUUGGGUUUUAUUUUUUUUUAAUUAUUUGAGUAUUAUCUAUCCUUAAGAUAUUAAUGUGAAUAUAAUUUAAUAUUAAAUAAUCAAAAUCUAUUUAAUCAUAAUAUAUAUUUCAUACAUUGCAUGUUUAAUCAAAAUCUGAUUGCUUUUUACCUUCUAUUUCGCCCACUGUAGCAUUCUACUAUUUACCAUUUUAGCUAUUUAAAUGAAAUUUAUUUUUUUUCCAAAAAUAAAAUGACACCCUUAAAAUUUUAGAAAAUAGUCAUGCAGACGCCAAAAUUUUAAUAAAGAACACCAAUACCCUUUUUGACUAUAGUACUCUUAUGGUAGCCACAAAAAAAAAAUGACUUCAAAUUUUUUUACUAAAUGUAAAUAUGAUUUAAAUAGUUUAAAUUUUCUAGUAGACUAGUAUGUAUAAUGUAAAUAAUUAAUUUUUAAAAUGUAAUUUAAUAUAUUUAUUAUAAAAAUUUUAAACAAAUCCUUGGGUUAAAUAGUUUUUAUAAUUAAUAUAAUAUUUCUCAUGUUUUAAUAAUAUUAAAAUUAUUUUAUAUGAUAUUGAAAAUUAUUUUAUAUGUAAAUCAUAUUUACAUUUAAUAGAAUACGAGAUUGUAAAAUAUUAAAAUAUUUUUUGGUAUUGAAAUUAUUUUAAUAUGUAUAUAUUAUUAUAUUUAUUUUGAUAUCCUACUUAUAUUUAUUAUAAAAUAUUAAAAUUAAUUUUUUUAGUUAAUAAUUUAAAAAAAAAUAUUAUAGUUAAAAAAAAAGAGUCUCAUUGUCCGUUAUUCACGAUAUGAGGUUCUACAAAAUUAUUUUCAAAAGGAAAAAUAAGUCCAGGGCUUUCAACAAAUUCUAGUCCUUCUGCCACUAUGACUAAUGGAGACGCAUUGAAUUGACAAUGCUUUUUGCAAUAUGACAAAUUUUUGGAGGGAUAUGAGAGAAUCGUCAAGCUUUCACACCAUGCGAGAGCUUUAGGUGGGAUAUGGGAGAAUUGUCAAGAGUUCACACCACGAGAAAUUAAUGACAAGCCUAAUUUCGUUGUCAGUUCUUUAUUUAUUUAUUUUAUUGAUUUCAUACAUUAUUGUCUUGUUGGUACUAUUUUGUAAAGAUAUAAAAGUACAAGUAAAAUAUUAGGGAAAGUAAAGUAAAAUAUUGGAGGUGAUGCUAAGUUACAGCUGCUAUAACUUACAGUUCCUUCAAAAAUAAUGUAAAAAAUUUAACACGUGGUGGGACCCACAUUAUGUUUGAAGAGGCCGUAAGUUAUAGCAGUUGUAAACUAGUAAAAUCCAAAUAUUAGACAAUAAUACACAUUAACAAUGCAUAUAAUUUGGGUUUGAUUUUUAAAAAAAUUAUAUGAGCAUUACCUAUCCUUAAGAUAUUAAUGAGAAUAUAUUUUAAUAUUAAAUAAUCAAAAUAUGUUUAAUCAUAAUAUGUAAUUCAUACAUUGCAUGUUAGAUUUGUUUGGAUUUUAAGUUGUUGCUAAUAAAUAUUUAUGUUGUGAAAGUCGAAUUCAAUAGCUACAAAAGCAGAGAUACUGGUAUUUUAUGUAGUUUUUAAGAAUACAAGAAUAAGACCAUAAUGCAUGAGAUAAUGGUAUUUUAUAUUAAAAGACCAUAACACAUGUAUUUGAGCCAUUUAUAUUGAGGACACAUAUAAAGCGAAGAGUGCAGAUCCGGCCGUAACUAUUGUGAAGCUUUCCUCAAGUAUUCUCAUGCACACAGCCCUUAUCUGGUCAAGUUCUCUGAUUCAAUAUAAUCAAUUUCCGAGUAGUACUGACGACAGCUUCUCUGUAAAGCUCUUCAACCACAAGCAUUUCUACAAGGCAAAAGACUAGGACGUAUUGGAAUGAAUAUCAAUAAGGGAAUGUCUUAUGAAUUUAGUUUAUAUCCUAAUAUAAGACAAUCAGUAAAUAUUGGAUGCAAUCUAAGGGCUAACAUUUGAUUGAUCAUUAUACGAAAAAAAAAAAAGGUGCAAAAAUACAAAACAUAGCUGAUUGAUGGCCUCUCACAGUCAGUUAUAUGACAAAGUAGCCACCACAACAAACUUUUUUUUUUGAACUGAUUAAGCAUCAGGUUACUGUAUUACACAUAGAGAUAUAUAUAACUGCUAUGACAGCAAGUCAUUAUACUGAUAUUUACAAUCAGAUAUAUACAUGAGACUUAUAUUAUUACAUUUUUAUUAUAUGAAGUACAUGCCCAUCCAAAUCUCCCUCACGGAGGAGGGAUGUCUCUACUCCACUCACAUUUCGCAAGGGAGAAAGACGUUAUAAGAAGUUUUCACCACAACAAACUUGAACUUGGGUGGAGGUCUCAUUAGUAGUAUACCUCAGAAAUUAAGACAAAGACUUUAAAAUGCAAACUUAUGGAGCAAUUUAAGCACUGAAACUAAUAACAGUACGGUAUUAGCAAUUGACCUCUGCUUUUGCUUAGACAAAGGUUUUCAUCACAAUGGACUCAUUAGUUGCCCUUGCCUCACACGUUUGGAUGCUAAGGGGAAAAAGGAAGCUUGAAUUAGUCAAUCUCAUUUCUAAUGGCAUUCACAGAGAACUUAUAAAACAAAAAAAAAAAAAAAUUAUAAAAAAAAAUUCAUCCAUAAAAAGCUUAGUAACGGAAAAAUCGACUCUUUUAUCUGCCACUGACGAAAAAAAAACUGAAGUAUUAAAUAGAUAAAGAAUUUAAUUUUUUUCUUGGAAAAACUAAUAAUAAAUUAACAAUUAGAUAAUACUAUUAAUUAGAGAUCUUUAAUAUUAAGGUUGUCAAAGAUAGAAUGUGUAUAAAAAUUCUUAAUUAUAAGAUAAUUACUAACUAAAAAGAGGCCUAAAAAAGAAGAUUUGCUAUUAUAAGUAAUACCAAAAAUAAAAAGGGAGACUUCCUAAUUGUGUAAUUGGUUAAAAAAGAGGAUUUGCUAUUAUAGGCCUAAUUUGCCUAUGCUUAAAACCGUUCCUGGAUGUAAAAAAAUAAAAAUUAUUGUUAAAUUCCUGACUAAUAAGGUCAUUGAAAGUAUUCAAAGGACCUGAACUUAUAGGAAAGCCAGCCAUGAUGAACUAUACCACGUUGCAAGUGAGCUCGUAUCUUCACCCCUUGAUCUGCCAUCGGCAUUUCUCUUCCACUCACUAUACCAUCCUUUUCAAUCGAUUUUUAUAGAUCAUAAGAGACCAUGUGGCCCACCUUAUUUUUAUUUUGGAUCCAUAACCCAAAGCUGGCCCAAGUUCUGAUUCCAGAAUCAUUUGUCUACAAAGUGACCUCAUUCCGGCAAUUGGUUUAUGCUAAUAGCACGUGCAAUUUUCAUUUUCUUCUUUUUAUUAAUUAAUUUCAUCAUUAUUAUUUGCUUAUUAUUUUAAAAUUAAAGCUAGCAUUUUUCAAAUUAAUUAAUUAAAUUGUAUUAAUGAAAUUAAUCUUUCAUUUUCUUUUCUCUUUCAAUGCACAAAGCCAAACAACCAUUCUCGCUUCAAAUACCGAAGAGCUCCUGACUACGGCUGUCAAUGCUUCUAUAUUUACGUGCUGUGCUGCAUCACUCUUAGCGAAAGCUUGAAUGAAUGAUUAAAGACAAAAGCUUAUAUAAAAGCAGAUGCCGGAGGCAGUCAAAAAGCAUUUGAGAGAGAAGCUAAACAGCAAAUCAUCAAACGCACUUCAAUGACUUUAUUUUGAUUUUGAUUUUUGUUUCGAAAGAAGUAGAAAAGUCCAUGGGUCACGAUAACUGCUUGUCCUAUGCCGUGACCUCAUUGUCCACCGCUAGUGUCAAAUAGAUUAAUCUUUCUAGUAGAUUAAUAUAAUUUAUAAUUUUAAUUUCAGUAUUAAUUUUUAAAAUGUUAGUUGUUAUAUUUAUUUUAAUAAUAUAUCUAUUUUUAGUAUAAAAAAUUUAAAUGUAUAUUUAGAUUAAAUAGAAUUUAUAAUUAAUAUAAUAUAUCUCAUGUAUUAAUGAUAUUUAAAUUAUUUUAUAUAAUAUUAAGCCUAACUUAGAAUUAUAUAUAUUUAUUUUAAUAUUAUGUUUCUAUAUAUUAUAUAAUAUUAAGCCUAACUUAGAAUUAUAUAUUAUGUUUCUGAGCCUCUCUCUAUAACACUAUAUAGAACCCUAAGCCUAAGUGUCACGGGAUGAGUGUUUUGCGCAGCUAACCCGUGCGGCACUUAGACAACUUUGCCGAAUGUUGCUAAGUAAGCCUAGAGAUUCUCGAACAAGAGAAGAGAGCAAUUGAGCCAAAGAAACUUGUAUUGCACAAAGAGAGAUUACAAUGCUUGUUGGAUACAAAUGCCUAAUGCCAUCCCAUAUUUAUAGGGGAGGCUUUGUCAAACUUGGCCUAACUUUGCCAAACUUUGCCAAACUCUAGAGUAUUCUACAAUUUCCUAGCUAUUUACAUGUGCUGGAAUUGUAUAAAGAAUUCUAGAAUAUUUACAUGUUCACAUGUGCUAGAGUUUCCUAGAACCUUCCGGAAUUGGGCCAAGCUAGCACUCUUGGCUUUGUGUUGGCUCUCUAGCUCGAAAUUGGGGCAAUUGGGCUAGCGAAUUGGGCGGUCCGCAACAACCUCCCCCACCUAUGCUCGCGGCGUCCUCGUCGCGCUCUCAUGCUUGAACCUCUGGAUGUGCUCAGCGAAUUGCCACAAACCAUCUUCACGUUCCCAAGUGGCUUCACUCUCGGGGAGGUUUUUCCAUUUCACCAAGUACUCGCUAUGUGCUGGCACGCCCCUCCUCGAAACCGUGCGGUCCGCAAUGAUGUAGUCCACAUCUUUGUCGAAUGCGGUGACAACGGCAGUUGGUGCGCGCCUUGAUUCUCCGCGACCUGGUUCUCCCAUGUCUUCGUGAUAUGGCUUGAGAAGGCUCACAUGGAAGACCGGAUGGAUCUUGAGUCUUGGCGGAAGUUGGAGUUGAUACGAGACGUUGCCCACACGUCGAACAACUCGGAAGGGUCCCUCGUAGCGCCUCACUAACCCCUUGUGAACUUUCCGCAAUGUCUUGAAUUGUUGGGGUAGGAGCUUGAUCAUGACUUGAUCUCCUUCCUUGUACUCAACAUGCCGUCUCCUUGUAUCCGCCCAUUUCUUCAUUUUCCUCGCGGCUUUGUCGAGGUAGGCUCGCGUGAUGUCCGCUUCCUCAUGCCAUUCGCGGGCGAGCUUGUGUGCCGCGGGGCUUUUCCCUCCGUAAGUCGAGGCUAUGGCAUUGGGAGUCAUUGGCUGGAAUCCCAUGAUGAUCUCGAACGGACUCUUGCCCGUAGCCUCGCUUCGCUGCAAGUUAUAAGAAAAUUGGGCGAUGUCGAGUAGCUUCGCCCAAUCCCGCUGGUGAGCGCUCACAUAAUGCCUCAGAUACAUCUCGAGGAGGCCGUUAAUGCGCUCGGUCUGCCCAUCCGUUUGUGGGUGGAAGCUUGUCGAGAACUUGAGAUCGGUCCCCAACAUCUUAAAGAGUUCCGUCCAAAACCGCCCAGUGAACCAAGGGUCUCGGUCGCUCACAAUGCUCUUCGGAACUCCCCAAAGCUUCACAAUGUGCUUGACAAAUAGGCGGGCUGCCUCAUCCGCUUUGCAAUCCACUGGUGCGGCAAUGAAUGUGGCGUACUUGCUGUGUCGGUCGACAAUGACCAUGAUGCUUCCGCAACCUUCGGACUUGGGCAGCGAUGUGAUGAAGUCCAUGGAGACACUUUCCCAUGGCCUUGUUGCUAGUGGUAGCGGCUCCAACAAUCCCGCUGGAAGUUGAUGAUCCACCUUGUCUUGUUGGCACACAAGACAAGUUCGCACAUAUGCCUCGAUGUCGUCCCUCAUGUGCGGCCAAAAAUACGAGGCUUGAACUAGUGCGGUGGUGCGCUCGAUUCCUGGGUGACCAGCCCACUUGGAGUCGUGGCACUCCUUGAUAACUUCCUUCCGCAAAUUUCCCCACCUUGGCACAAACAGCCGAUCUCCCUUGGUGAGGAGGAUGCCUUCCUCUUGCCAAAAUCGCCUUGUCUUCCCUUCGAGCACCUUCUCCAGCAAAUCCUUUGUUAGCGGGUCUUGUUGGAGGCCUUCCUUGAUGCGUGAGACAAGGUCGGACUUCGGUUGGCUCAUGCUAAGUGUUGCCAAUUCCGCCUUGCGGCUUAGAGCGUCCGCAACGACAUUGGCUUUCCCCGGUUUGUACUCUAGCCGAUAGUCGAAUUCCGCAAGGAAAUCUUGCCACCGUGUUUGCUUCGGACUCAACUUCUUUUGAGUUUGAAAGUAGCUUGUCGCCACGUUGUCCGUUAUGAUCGUGAAGUGUGAGCCAAGCAAGUAAUGUCGCCACACUCUUAGACAAUGGAUGAUGGCUGUCAUCUCCUUUUCUUGCACCGUGUAGCGGCGUUCCGUAUCAUUUAGCUUUCGACUCUCGAACGCUAUUGGGUGGCCUUCUUGCAUAAGGACUCCACCUAUGGCGAAAUCCGAGGCAUCUGUUUGAACUUCGAAGGGCUUGGUGUGGUCCGGAAGAGCGAGGACUGGUUCCUCCGAAAUUGCCUUCUUCAACUCCUCGAAUGGACGUUGGCACUCUUCGGAUCAAUGCCACGUUCUGUUUUUCUUGAGCAUAUCCGUCAAGGGUGCCGCCUUGGCUGAAUAGCCCUUGAUGAAAUGGCGGUAGUAAUUCACCAACCCAAGGAACGAGCGAAGCUCGGGUACUUUCGAGGGAGGCUCCCAAUCGAGGAUGGCCUCUACUUUGUCAUUCUCCAUCAUGAUCUUCCCGCCCGCAAUCUUAUGGCCAAGGAACUCCACCUCUUGUUGGGCAAACGAGCACUUCUCUAGUUUGAGGAAGAGCUCAUUGUCUUGAAGUACUUGGAGGACUUUUUGCAAGUGUUGGGCAUGAUCCUCGAGUGUGGUGCUAUACACCACGAUGUCGUCCAAGUACACGACCACGAAGCGGUCGAGGAAUGGUUGGAGUACCUUGUUCAUGAGUGUGCAAAAUGUGGCGGGUGCAUUAGUAAGGCCAAAAGGCAUCACAAGGAAUUCGAAAGACCCGUACCUUGUUGUGCACGCUGUCUUUGGUUCGUCUCCCUUGGCGAUGCGCACUUGGUAGUACCCGGAGCGCAAGUCAAGUUUGGUGAAGUACCGCGCUUUGCCAAGCUGGUCGAACAAGUCCGCAAUCAAUGGAAUCGGAUACUUGUUCUUGAUGGUGAUCUUGUUGAGCGCUCUAUAGUCGAUGCACAUCCGCAGCGAUCCAUCCUUUUUCUUUUGGAAGAGGACCGGUGCACCGAAUGGGGCCUUUGAGGGGCGAACGUAGCCUGCGUCCAGCAAGUCUUUGAGCUGUCUCCGCAACUCCUCUAAUUCGGGUGGCGCCAUGCGGUAGGGCGCCAAGGCUGGUGGCUUCGCGCCUUGUUCUAGCUCAAUCGCAUGAUCUACCUCUCGCGGAGGUGGGAGCUUCUUCGGAAGUUCUGGAGGCAUCACGUCCUUGUACUCAUUGAGGACGGCUUGAAUUCGCGGAGGGACUUGGCUUGGCGACGUUCCGCUAUUUCCUUCCUCGUUUAGUUCCCGAAUGGAGACCAAGAAGCUUGGGUCCUUCUUGAAAGCCCUCUUGAAUUGCAUGGCGGAGAGUUUCUUCUCCUCGGACUUGCCUCGUUCGGUGGGUACCAUGCAUGCUUUGCUCCCAUCGAGGAUGCUUAGGGAGUUUGUAGCGGGCAGCGGGAAGGCAUGGACUUGGUCGAAGAAUUCCAUGCCAAGGACCAUCUUGAAGUCAUCCAUGGGCACAAUGGAGAAAUCAAGCUUUCCGCUCCAUGUACCGAGUGUGAUGUGCACGCCUUGUGCAAUUCCCGCAAUUGGUUUGGCGGGUGAGUUUACUGCCUUCAUUGUGCCUCCUUCCUUGGUGGCCUUGAGGCCUAAACGCUUGGCCUCGUCUACGGACACGAAAUUGUGUGUUGCUCCCGUGUCUAGCAGCGCGCGAACAGACUGGCCGUUUACCUUUGCGCUAACAUACAUGAGCCCUUUCUUGGCUAGUGCGGGCUGUUGGCGGUUGAGUGCCCCGAGGCGUUGGAGAGAACCCAUGCUGAGUUGGGGUUCCUCCGUGGACAUUGUGGGGUUGCUCUUGAGUUGGGCAGCAAGAACAUUAAGCGACCGCUUCUCCGGACAGUCGCGUACCCAAUUUGGACCGUUGCAUAUGAAGCAUGGGCUUCGCGGCUUUGGCGCCUCCUUCUUGCCCUCCGAUUUUCCUUGCCAACUCUUGUUGCUAGACGGCUUUUUCUGCCCCCAAUCUUUGCGGUUGUUACCCUUGUCCUUGCGACUCUCUCCCCCACCUUUGCCUUGGUUGGCCUUUUUGUCCUUGGAUUGGGUAGAGUAUUCGGUGAGCGACUCCGCAACGGCGAUGGCGUCGUCAAGUGUUUGAACACCACGCCUAUCAAGCUCGGUCUUGGCCCAAUCCUUGAGGCCAUCUUGGAAGUAGAAGAGUGAAUCUUUGUCGGACAUGUCACUUAUCUCCAACAUGAGGGUAGAGAACUCGUUAAUGUAGUCCCGAAUGCUACCCGAUUGCUUGAGGCGACGUAAGCGCGCUCGCGCUUCCUUCUCUGCAUUGCUUGGGGUGAACUGCUUUCGGAGUUCUUGCUUGAAGUCGGCCCAAGUGUCGAUGGUGCAAAUGCCCUUGCCCAUCUCGCCAUGCUUGCGACGCCACCAUAGUUGUGCAGCGCCUCUAAGAUAGGUGGGUGCAGUGCCCACUUUCGAUGCCUCAUCUCGUACACCCAUGGCAUCGAAGUAUUGAUCCAGCCCGAACAGGAAGUUGUCCACGAUUGUGGCAUUGCGUGUGCCAUCGUAGGUGUCGGGCUUUGGCACAUCAAUGCGGCGCGCAUCACUCGAGUUUGCGGAAGCUGGACUUGCGGAGAGUGUGCGCUUGUGCCAUGCCCAAUCCGAGCGGACUUCAUCCACUUCCGCACGGACAGCACGUAGUUCGUCCUGAACAAAACUACGAAGUUUUAGCAACUCAUCAUGGAAAGAAUGAAACUCACCUCGGAGAAUGUUCGCUUGCUCAUGCAUGAGAGCUUUUGUGGCCACCGUGAACUCGGCGUAUUCUCCCUCGAGAUUGUCCACUCUUCUCUCUAAUCCCUCAAGGCUAUCUUGAGUGGCGGACAAGGCUAUUUCGAGAGUGCCUACACGAGGCUCCAAAGCAUCCACGGAUGGGGCCUUGGACUUGCCGCGAUUCUUGCCUUGGGCGCGUUCUCCCUCUCGGCCGCGGCUUGGUUCUGGUGGAACAUCCACACCAACAAAACCCUCUUGUGCUACGUUUGAAGGGUUGGCCAUUGCUUUGUGAGCUAAUUUGCGUGCGUGCAAACCUUAGCUCUGAUACCACUUGUCACGGGAUGAGUGUUUUGCGCAGCUAACCCGUGCGGCACUUAGACAACUUUGCCGAAUGUUGCUAAGUAAGCCUAGAGAUUCUCGAACAAGAGAAGAGAGCAAUUGAGCCAAAGAAACUUGUAUUGCACAAAGAGAGAUUACAAUGCUUGUUGGAUACAAAUGCCUAAUGCCAUCCCAUAUUUAUAGGGGAGGCUUUGUCAAACUUGGCCUAACUUUGCCAAACUUUGCCAAACUCUAGAGUAUUCUACAAUUUCCUAGCUAUUUACAUGUGCUGGAAUUGUAUAAAGAAUUCUAGAAUAUUUACAUGUUCACAUGUGCUAGAGUUUCCUAGAACCUUCCGGAAUUGGGCCAAGCUAGCACUCUUGGCUUUGUGUUGGCUCUCUAGCCCGAAAUUGAGGCAAUUGGGCUAGCGAAUUGGGCAGUCCGCAACAUAAGUCUCACAUUCGCAACCGCCCCACAUAUCAGAACCACAGCGAACUGCCUCCGACCCUUCGGACCCAAAAAAAUGAUUGUAUUCCUGCUCUUUCACUUUAAUAAUUUUUUGUAUUAUUCCAUAUCUUUCACUUUAAUAACCCAAAAGCUUUCCUCUGUUUCAACCCAAAAGCUCAAAUUCCUUUUUUCAAUCGAAAAUUGUGUUUGCCUAAUUUUUUAACCAUUUUUAUAUGUCCGUUAAACUUGACAGCCAAUGUGGUCUAUUCGCUAAACAGAGUAAACGAUAACAAUCAAUGGAAAUUGAAACAAAACCCACCAAUCAACAAAACAGAAUAGCCGAGGAAUCCAAUUUCAGGAAACAGCAGUUUCAAAACUCACCAGAGACAAAUGAUAAAACGAAGCUACGCCGUUCCUCGAUCGGUGAUAACUGGCUACAAGGUUUCUUCGCAUUCGUUGGCCUAAUUUUUUAACCAUUUUUAUAUGUCCGUUAUGCUUGACAGCCAAUGUGGUCUAUUCGCUAAACAGAGUAAACGAUAACAAUCAAUGGAAAUUGAAACAAAACCCACCAAUCAACAAUGUGGUCUAUUCGCUAAAUGGUUAAAAAAUCUAACCUUUGUUCACAAUAAUUGUAUUUGCCUCACUGUUUUUGUUUUAUGAGAUCUAUAAUUGAUCUUGGGAUAUUACUUUCUAGUUCUCAUGCAAGCAAGUUACUACCUUCCCACUGCAUCUCCUCCUUUAUCUGCUAUUCAAGAGUUGCGUGCCAUAAUCUGGUGUUACCUCUGCAAGAUUGUGAAUGAAUAUAACGCCUCUAAAUUUAUUUUAUACAUAAUGCUGAUGCUGAAUAAUAUAUUGUAGCUCCUGUCAUAUUCUACUUUGACUUUUUAUAUUCUGUUUCAUAUAAAAAUCUUAUUCAACUUUAGUUGUUCAUGAGCAAAUGUCACAUGUAUAAGCCCAAAUGAUGUUUAAAGGUAGCGCGGCUACCUUUAGUUUGAGCUGACAAUGGAUGAAAAAGAUAUUGAAACUGAUAUUUUGCUGUUUUUCUGAUUUUUCAAAGUAUUUUAGAUCCUGACUUUUGUUAAGUUGUUUCCAACACCUCGUGCCAAAUGAAAGCACAAUCUUUCUGAUUCAGAUGUCUUGUUAAUUAUGCUUCAUUUUUUCAUUAAAGAUUGGAUGGUUACAUGGAUUGAUGGAGUUGGAGUUCAACCAAUAAUUCUAAUUUUUUGGACUUAAAAUGCCUUUUUCUUCUGUAUAAAAACUUUAGUAAGUGCUAUUGAGUUGACAGAAGUUGCAUACUUACAGGUUGUUUCACACUUUUUAGUAGUUUUACAUAUAUGAAUUUCUGUUUUUUGAAUUGCAGAAAGGAGGUGGAACUAUUGAUUUGGAGCCUUAUCUUACUCACUCAUCGACAACGGAGCCUACCCUCACUCCCAUGGCAGUGGAACGGACAACGACUACUAGGGCUGCAACAUCAGUUGGUUUGGGUCUGUUUUGGGUUUAUUGUCAUUUAUUUGGGUAUGUUUUGAUAGCGAAUUUUGAUAUGUCAAUAGAAUGUGUAAUUGUUUUGGGUUGAGCUGGUAAUUAUGCUGGAUUAGAUUGGUUUGGUUUUGGUGCUUCUCUGAUGGAACACUGCUUUUUUUAGAAAUUUUGAAUGUAAUAUGAGACUACAUUUAGUUUAAUUGAACACUGCAUCUAGUCUAAUUACUAGAAGUGUGGCAUUUGGUUUGGUUUAUCCGAUAUUCUCCAGAAUUUCACUUGCAUCUGGUUUUGUUGCAUAUGUUUGUUUGCUUGCAUUUGAUGGCAGUAGCAGACUGUUUGUUUUUGUGACAUUUGAUGGCAGUUUGGUCUGUUCUUGGUGUUGAUUUAAGAUUCUUCCUGUUGUGCUGAUGUUAAUUGCAGGUGCUUGAAUCAGCUAGGGUUGCUGGUUUAUUCAGAUGGUUGACUCAGGCGUUGCUACUGGUUAAUUCAGGUGGCUGACUCAAGUUGUUCAUUUAAUGUUAGGAAGCAAAUUAGGAAUUAAUGAAGUAUUCAUUUAACUAUAAUUAUUGUAGUUAUUUUAUUUCAUAACUGAAUUAUAAUCUAUGAUACUUGUGAACAAAUUAGAGAAUUUUUAUAUAUGAAUUAUAUAUAUGUGUGUGUAUGUACAUUUUGCUAUUUAUAUAAUAAUUUAAAGAAUAUAUUUCAAUUCCCACAAAAAAAAGGCUCCAAUUUCAAUAAUUCCCGCCAAAUAAUUAAAUUUUUUUAAUUUACCACCAAAAUAUAUCUUAAGUUAUUCUUGCUAGAUUUAACAAAAAUAAUUUGUAGGAUUAACAUUUAAUUAAAAUAAUUAAAUAAUUUUAUUAUUCCAAUUAAAUAUGUCAUGCUUAUACGACAGACAAUAAUCAUGAAUGGGAAGUAUUAGUAACAUAUUCUUCCUUGGGAUUUCAGGCAAAUGAAAAAAAGAUUGAGAAUGAUUUCAAGAGGACAGGUGGAUGAUAAAUAUUCAUUUUUGUAUAUUUGGCUAAUGUCCUCAUUAGUGGAUUUUUAUGGUAUUGAUCUUUUUCUUUUUUUAAAAAAAUUUUCAAUUAGUUGCAGCCCUAGAGGAAGAGCAGGCUGAUCAAAUUGAUUUGUCUUGUUUUUCGGGCAAUCUACGACACGAUGACCGUGAUAAUGCUCGUGACUGCUGGAAACUUUCUGAUGGAAAUAACUUUAGAGUUCGUAGCAAGCAUUUUUGUUAUGACAAAACAAAGGUUCCCCCAUAUUUUGUUUGUUUGUUAUGGUAUUUAUAUAUCCUGCAUAGGCUAGGUAGACAGGUUAUGAUGUAGUUUGGUUGGCUCUUCUUGUGCUUUGUGCAAUUUGUAACUGCAGAUACCUGUGGUAAAACAUUUAAUGGAUCUUGUUGCUGUUGAUUGGUUCAAAGACACAAAGAGAAUGGACCAUGUAGCUAGGCGUCAAGGCUGUGCUGCACAAGUAACUAUUCUUUUCUUUUUAUUUAAAAAAAUAAAACACAUUGCCAACAAGGAUCUCUUCAUUGAACAUGUGUCUAGUUCUGAUAAGCUAGCUGAUGUGCUUACCAAACCUCUGAGUUUUGAUCAUUUUGCCUAUAUGCAAACUAAGGUCAAUGUCUGCCCAUGACCUUGAGCUUACGGGGGCAUUUUAAGAAUAACAUAUGCUGAGUCAUCAAGCCAUGCUGGAAGUCAGUUUUGCAGUUAGUUAGAGAGCUUAUCAGCUUCCCUCCAAAAGUUUGUUAUGUGUAUUAGAAUCUGGGCUCACGAGUUUUGUGAGAUUGUAACCUUGAGAAGAUUCUCACACUACUAUAAAUUGUAUUGUGACUCAAUUAAUAAAAUAAGUUGAAGCUUUGCAUUUUCUCUCAGUCAAAAUUUUCUCUCUAUUUUUCUAAGUAACCAAACAAGAUCUACAGAGCAUUUUGUAUUUUAACUGGAGCGGCUGAUUGGUGCUGUACGUGUUACAUUUUUACUUUUUUAACUCAAGUCUGCUGUUGUCCCAAAGUUGGAACUAGAGAUAUCAUUUCACCUCAACUGUGUUUUUUUUUUAAUUAAAAAAAUCAUUUGUUUUAGGUAUACAUACAUGUAUUUUAAUUCUAUUUUCCUUGUAAUUUCUCCUUUACUUUGAAUGAAAGUCAUUGGUGUUUUCGAAUGGGAAUUUUGCAUUAAAAAAUUAAGAAUAGUUAAUAGGAAAUUUCCUGAUUCUUUAGUUACUAUUUUUGGUAUGAGUGUAAUUAGUAGUAAAGUUGGUUUCUACUCGCAAACAAGUGAACUGCUCGAUUCCCAAGUGCUAUUAACCAGUUUCCAACUUUUUAAUAUACACUAAUUGUUCCUGUUUAAUAGCUACUACUAUUAAAACUCAACAGCUAACAAAAAUACUAAAAAAAAAUGAUUUUUUCUUAUGAUGCUGUGAAAAAAAUUACGGGUUUACUUAUUUCCACGAGAUCUUGUAUAGUGUUCUUGUAUAGUGGAAUUAAGAUUGUCUUCCCGAUGGUGCAAUUCACCCUCUUCCUUUACAGUCACUUGCACUUUGUGCAGCUUUGGUGUGGAUAAGAUUCCCAGGGAAAAAGUCUUCAUGUUCGGACAAUGUGUCACAAAUACUCGUUCCAAUGAUGGGAAUUCAAGAGUGUAAUUCUCCAAACAAAAGCUGGUAAGCCUUGGUAAAUCAUCAAGUUCCAAAAGUUUUAAUUCUUUGAAAGCAAUACGAUUCUCCUUCGUUUCUUCUCCAGCAUGUCCUACGAUUUGUUCUAAUUUUUUGCAGUUCCAUACAUAAAGAUUCACCAGACUAGUAGGAAUUCCAACCUGAAAAUAAGCAGAGAGUGUGUGUGUGUGUUAAAAAAGUAAAAAUGUAAGAGUGUCAUUCAACUAAGCUCAAAGUAUGUUUGAUAAUACAAUUAUACGUUUUAUGAACAUAACAAACUGUGAAAUGUCUACUAGAUAUUUUUUGUUAAACAAAAAACGUAACAAGAUAAAUAAAUAAAUAAAUAAAAGCCAGAUAAACAAAGAUGAUAAAAAUGUAUUUACACUAUUUAGUAUUAGGGACGUAGAAAGAAUUUAAGGCAAUUUCUAAAUAUUUUAGACUUAUUUUGCAUCUUGAUAUAAGUUUUUAAGCAUAAAUUUGCACAUUUCAACUAUUCCUUUAAAAAGAACUCAACUAAAAUGCCUCUUUUUCCCUUUUCCUUGGUCCCCUUUUUUUUAUAUAUAUAUAAAAAUGGAAAAAAAAAUUUGGAAAAGACUUCUUAGUACUGUCAACAAGGGAUUGCUGUAAAGUGGAUCUUUAUUAAGUACUUCCAGACUCGAGGAAAUUUCUUUACAAUCUCAAAAAAAUAGUAAACAAUCAUGAAUUUGUGGUUAAUUAAUGGCAUAAUCAAUUCUUAACUAAACUGGAGAUAUUAAUUAAAUUUGAAGACUUUUUUUUUCCGAUCGAAAUGUGAAGAACUAUGGAACAGAGAAAUAUAUAGAUGAAUUUGUGAACUUAUAAGAUGAGUGACUAUCCUUUAAUUUUUGAAAAUCGUACUUAUUAAGAUAUGAGCAAAAACAAUUAAAUUGAAUUAUAUUAUGCUGUUGAAUCUGUUUAAAAAAAUUAUAUUGUUGAUUCUAAUGCUGGUGAACCUAAAAACUAGACUUAAAACGUAGAUUUCAGAGUGGUGGUUUGAAGUACAAUAUUUGAAAUAAAUAAUUAGUGGCUGAAUAUCAUUUGUAAACACAGAAAUGAUUAAAAAAUUGUUGAAUGUUAUUUGAAAAAAAAAAUCGAAAUGAAUACAGAAACCUUACCAAUGGAGGAAAAAUAUUCAUUAGGUUAUCACACUCUUCUAUCUCCAAAUUCUUCAAUUUCCUGAAAGACUCUGAAGCAAGCUGGUGGUGCCAUAUUGUUCUUAGGUUAUCCAUCCACGCAAUAUAUAAUACCUCCAACCUAGGAAGUCGUACCUGGCAGUUAAAGAUUAAAUAACUAAUUAAUCAAUUAAUGGCAUAAUCAAUUGAUAACUAAAUUAGAGGCGGAUAUUAACUAAAUUUGAAGACUCAAGGAAAAGACAAAUCAAGUAUUGUGACUAAAAUUAUUUUUUUAAUUAAAAAAAAAACCUUUUCAUCAAAGAGAGGAGGAGGUUGCAUUUCAGAAUGAAUGGUAUCUUCUGGUGAGCUCGUAGAGAUGAAUCUUAACAUAUUACUGCAACAACCAAUCAUGAGGUUUAGCAAAGAAGGGAAUUCAACAACUAAAUCUGUAUGAAUAUGUCCCAUAUUGGCAAAGCUACUUAGUCUUGGAAGCCAUUCUAGCUGCAGGGAGUGUAGCUUAGGAAAAACCUUUAAUUCAAUCAACUUUCCUUCAUCUCUUUCUGACCAUCCCGUGGUGUCGACUACCCCUUCCAUUGACUCACAAUAGCUUAUCUCAAGAUGUUGGAGUUGCAAAAGGCUAUUAACCAUAGAAUAUGAAAACAGAUACUUCAGACGAUAACACCUUUCCACAGUCACUUUUGUUAAAUUUUGACAACAGUACAUUCUUUGAUUAUGAUCGGCCCAUAAUUUUUUCAUGUUUCUUAAGUCCCUGAGAUUCAAUUCCUCUAAGCUCGGAAGAAUAACCUGCAAAGAAAACCCGUACAUUUUUGUUCCUUCAAGUACAACCGUCUAGUAUAAUAUUCUUUUGAUGAUCGAAGAUUAAUCGUGAUAAUAAAUUAAUCAAUUAAUUAUUGAACAGAAAAUUAUCACCUUUGGAGCAGGAUCAUCAUCAGCAAUGAGUUCCUUGAAUCCCAAAGAAGUUGUUGGUUUGUCCAUGUCGGGUCCUAUAAACAAACAAAAACAAUAUACAUAAUUAAUCUUUGUCGUUGUCUUUUUUUUAAAAAAAUAAUUGAGGCGAAGUCCAUAAAUCCACCAACACUUAAUUUCAACACUUACCAACAAUCAUUUCCAGAUCAUCGCAAAAAAACACUUCUACCUUUUGAAGCCGCAGUAGGUUUUUGGCCAUGGAGAAUGAGAAAAGAUGCUUCAAUUCGUGACAGUCUGAUACUUUUAUAAUCCUUAAGUUGCUGAAAGAUUGAUCUUCUGUGAGUUGGAUGUCACAUAUUGUCUCCAAAUUGAUCAAACGACGAAGAGACAAUGACUCCAGCAAGGGGAAGACUUUGCGACGAACCCGUCCAACUGAACAGACAAUAUGCAAAAUCUCAGAACAACUUUUUACAGAAAGAUGCUUCAAUCGUGGAAAACCUUCCCCAUCAUCUAAUUCAUGAACAACAUUCUGAACACCCUUCAGUUCUCCUAGAUAGAGAUAUUCAGUUCUCUUCAACAACAGUUUCAUCCUGUAAUUCUGCAAAAGAAUGCCAAACUUUUCUAGCCCCUGGAGCUUCAUCAAUCUUGAUAAUCCAGUUUUAACGGACCAGCUGCUCCACCACUUAUUUCCUAUACAUAUCUUAUAGCUUUGCAAUUCCACAGAGACCAAAUCCUGCGGUAGAAUUUCGGCAUCCCGAACGUGUAUCUCCAAAGUAGUUAGCUUUGACAACCCCUUCAACUCAACAAGACUGGCGUUACUUCCUCCUUCAACCUUCUCCCACAGUGAAAAGCUGUUACCAAUAUAUAGUUCUUCUAAUCGAGAUAAUUUUGAUAUGACAUUUGGAGCUAUCACCACAAGGCUGCUACAAUUGCUCAAAUCUAGCAACUGUAAUCUCGUCAAUUGUCCAAUUACAAGUGGCAACUCCUUAACAUCAGAAUCUCGGAAGCUGAGAAUCUCUAAUUUCCUUAGCUGUCCAAUUAUAGUUAUAUCGUUCAGUCGGCAACCAUCUAAACAUAAUGUUUGAACGUUAAUGAGGCAACCAAGUGAUGAAGGUAAUGAAGAGAAAAAUAUUCCAGUAAAAUCUAAAACUUUGAGUUCUUCUGUCCCUUCAAAAAAGAGGUCUGAAAUUUGCAAAGAGCUAUCACGCUUUGAAAACAACAAAAGAACUCGAGACGGGGACAUUCCAACCUUUCGGGAAGCUCUUGAAUAUCUCUAUAAGGUAAAGAAAUAGCUAUUGGACCUUCCCGUAUUGUCUCUUCCAUCUUUUUCUCCACGUAGGCAACAUUUGGAAUAUUAAACAUGAGCUCCUCUUCUGCAAUUGAUACAGUAACAGCAUGAAUGAUGUCAUGCAUUUUAACUUCAUCUUCGGCAUCACUGUCCAACAAUAAGCACGAAGAUUUGAGUUUGCCGAUCAACGUAUGCACUCUACUCCUUGCUUCUUCCAGUGUGUAAACGUUUUUAAAAUAGCCCAUACCCAUACCAUAUCUCAAUAAGUCAGAAACAUGUAUACCACGACCUUCAUUAUAUAGACCACAAAGAAGGAACAGAGAUUUUGCUUCCUUACUUCCCAGUAAGUCGUAACUCAAUUUUAUGGAGAUGUACACAUUUCUUUCCAUUCCAUCAAUUUCUUUUGCAUUGGAACUUCUUAGCUGACGCAGCACAUCCUUCCAAGUGUCAAGCCUCUCAUUUUUCAAAGCUUUUGCAAGUGUAAUCAGUGCAACAGGCAAUCCUCCGCAUUUUUCAACGAUCUCAUCUGCUAAAGGUUGAAAAGCAGAUGCUUUUGCAGAAUUACACACUAUCUUUCCAAACAAUUGCAAUGCUUCUUCCUUUGAUAAAACUUCAAUUGAGAAAUCCUUCUGAGAUUUCAUAUCAUUGCGCAAUAAAUCUCGACUUCUAGACGUCAAUAUUAUUGUGCGUCUUCUCCGAUCGUCCUCUCUAUCUUUCUCAUCAACAUCCCCAUAAGGAAUUCCAACUGUAUCGAACUCAAGUUUUGUCCAAAUAUUAUCCAGUAUAAUGAGGAGCCGCUUCUCUUGCUUCAACCUUUGACACAGUCGAGAAGCUCUUUGAAAUUCAUUCUCAUUCAAGUCAAAUUCCAUGCCUAAAUCAAAAGCAAGUUUGUCUUGAAUUUUAUGAUGAUCUGGGGUCUGUGUUAUCUCAGCCAUAACGAACUUAUCGAACAACUUAUCUUCCAUCACUUGGUUUGCAACUUGUUUGACCAGCGUGGUUUUGCCCACGCCGCCCAUCCCAUAGACCCCAAUUAUGUUGACUUUGUCAUCCUUCACCGCCUCCACAACAUCUUGAAAUACUUUCAUUCUUGAAUCAAACGCCUCGAAAUCUUUCACUUGCAUAUGUUCUGCCCGCUUUGGAGCAGGACGGUAGGAAACAUUGGAGAAGUUGCCUUUUCCCACGAGACUAGCGGCAGCUUCUGCCGCCUUUGCUGCUUGUUUACUAAGCUUGUAACGAGAAAUCAAGUUUGGGCAUAAUCCUUUGAAGCAGGACUUCUUAGCUCUAUCUUCAUCAUCAAUGACGGAUUUUGCAACCCCUUCACUGAUGAAUUCAUUAACGCUAUGUAGCCAGUCUGUGACACCCUCAUAAAGCUCAUCCCCUUGUAGCCUAGCAUGAUUAACUGGUUGCUGCACCAUUUCUCUCUUAUAUCCCAGCUGCUUCACUUGAACUUUUAGCUCAUCUAUGUAGCUCUGGUACUUGAACACAUAAGAUAUCUGCCGUGUAAUCGGGUUGAACAGUGACUUUGCACCUUCUGAUACACAGUUGGUUAAAAAAGCGAGACACGCUUCUAUAGCCAUUGCCUGUUGCUUAACAAUAUAUAUCUAGUUUUUUGGCUGUUGAAAAAAAAAAAUGGAUUCAAAUAAAUUAAAUGAACUAGCGGGGAAGAAAAAGAAAGAAACGACAACAAACAACUUUUUAGAAAAAGGUUUCAGGGGCCUGAAUGGAAAACCAACAAUUUUUUGAGGAAAGAAAACUUUUUUGGAAGAUGGAUGCAAAUUAACCAUUAAUAAUACUGCAUAAGAACACAGAAGUUGACAAUAAACAGUAACUUAAAACUCAAGAAAAUUAAAUGACAAGAUUAAGACAAACAAGAGAUAGUUUUUGUCGGACAUUAAGAAACAACUGCUAUCAAGAUCAAAGAUUAGAAAUUAUGCUAUUGAAAGAAAUUAUUAAAGUAUUUAGAACAAACGCACCUCUUCAAUUAUCUAGGAUCACGGAGUUUAUGAGCUUCACUCUUGGCCUUCGAUUUAUAAGAAAAAAUUUAAUGAGCAAAAGAUCACUGUUGACUGCAGAAGAAUGUGAGUAAGCAAUACAAUUGAAUUGUAAAAGAACAAGACUUAAAGCGUGCACCCCGUGUUCAUAUAAACAGAACACAUGUUCAUUUUUAACAAAGUGAUCAAUAACUAUAUUCGUUAUUUAAUUGAUAUUGUAACCAAUUCUAAGAGAAUAUAAUAAUAAUCAUUCAAUCCAUAAAUUUAGAAUUAGAUUUUUUUAACUCUUUAUUUAAAUAUAAACCUUAAUGGAAAAUUAUAAAAGUUUAGAGAUAAAAUUUUUCAAUCACCAAACGAAAAAAACAGGGGAAUGAAAACAGAGGAAUCUUGUUUUAACUAUUUUUUUUUCCUCAACUCUUGUUCUUAUAUUAAUAAUCUUGUUUUGAUGAUAGUGCUCGUGACUGCGGGAAAAUUUGUACUGGAAACAACUCAAUUUCGGAAGAAAACUUAAUUUUGCAAGUGAUGAAUUUGAACUCGUUGGAUUGGUUGAUUUAUGAUUGACUGAAUUUCACUUUUGCCCAAAAGAUCUUUAACCAAAGUUUAAUAGCCAUCAUGUACUCCUUAAAAGCAAUUUUUUUUUUUAGAUUUGACUGAAUUUGAACUUGUUGGAUUGGUUGUUUUUAGAUUAUUAAUAUGAGAUAUUACAACGUAAAUAUUUUCAUGUGGUUGAGCCCUAUUCUAAAAUCUGUAUAGUUAGCUUUAGAAAAAGGGCUUUUCCUGCUGAUCUGUAAUCUUCAAAUAAACUUAGAUACAAAUAAUGAAAUAAAAGACAACAAACACGCNNNNNNNNNNNNNNNNNNNNNNNNNNNNNNNNNNNNNNNNNNNNNNNNNNNNNNNNNNNNNNNNNNNNNNNNNNNNNNNNNNNNNNNNNNNNNNNNNNNNNNNNNNNNNNNNNNNNNNNNNNNNNNNNNNNNNNNNNNNNNNNNNNNNNNNNNNNNNNNNNNNNNNNNNNNNNNNNNNNNNNNNNNNNNNNNNNNNNNNNNNNNNNNNNNNNNNNNNNNNNNNNNNNNNNNNNNNNNNNNNNNNNNNNNNNNNNNNNNNNNNNNNNNNNNNNNNNNNNNNNNNNNNNNNNNNNNNNNNNNNNNNNNNNNNNNNNNNNNNNNNNNNNNNNNNNNNNNNNNNNNNNNNNNNNNNNNNNNNNNNNNNNNNNNNNNNNNNNNNNNNNNNNNNNNNNNNNNNNNNNNNNNNNNNNNNNNNNNNNNNNNNNNNNNNNNNNNNNNNNNNNNNNNNNNNNNNNNNNNNNNNNNNNNNNNNNNNNNNNNNNNNNNNNNNNNNNNNNNNNNNNNNNNNNNNNNNNNNNNNNNNNNNNNNNNNNNNNNNNNNNNNNNNNNNNNNNNNNNNNNNNNNNNNNNNNNNNNNNNNNNNNNNNNNNNNNNNNNNNNNNNNNNNNNNNNNNNNNNNNNNNNNNNNNNNNNNNNNNNNNNNNNNNNNNNNNNNNNNNNNNNNNNNNNNNNNNNNNNNNNNNNNNNNNNNNNNNNNNNNNNNNNNNNNNNNNNNNNNNNNNNNNNNNNNNNNNNNNNNNNNNNNNNNNNNNNNNNNNNNNNNNNNNNNNNNNNNNNNNNNNNNNNNNNNNNNNNNNNNNNNNNNNNNNNNNNNNNNNNNNNNNNNNNNNNNNNNNNNNNNNNNNNNNNNNNNNNNNNNNNNNNNNNNNNNNNNNNNNNNNNNNNNNNNNNNNNNNNNNNNNNNNNNNNNNNNNNNNNNNNNNNNNNNNNNNNNNNNNNNNNNNNNNNNNNNNNNNNNNNNNNNNNNNNNNNNNNNNNNNNNNNNNNNNNNNNNNNNNNNNNNNNNNNNNNNNNNNNNNNNNNNNNNNNNNNNNNNNNNNNNNNNNNNNNNNNNNNNNNNNNNNNNNNNNNNNNNNNNNNNNNNNNNNNNNNNNNNNNNNNNNNNNNNNNNNNNNNNNNNNNNNNNNNNNNNNNNNNNNNNNNNNNNNNNNNNNNNNNNNNNNNNNNNNNNNNNNNNNNNNNNNNNNNNNNNNNNNNNNNNNNNNNNNNNNNNNNNNNNNNNNNNNNNNNNNNNNNNNNNNNNNNNNNNNNNNNNNNNNNNNNNNNNNNNNNNNNNNNNNNNNNNNNNNNNNNNNNNNNNNNNNNNNNNNNNNNNNNNNNNNNNNNNNNNNNNNNNNNNNNNNNNNNNNNNNNNNNNNNNNNNNNNNNNNNNNNNNNNNNNNNNNNNNNNNNNNNNNNNNNNNNNNNNNNNNNNNNNNNNNNNNNNNNNNNNNNNNNNNNNNNNNNNNNNNUAAACUUUUUUUUGGGGGGGGGGGGGGGGAGCAUGCAAAUUUACCAAAAGAAAUAAUAAGAGCACAGGCUUUAACAAUGAAUAGUAACUUAAAACUCAUGCAAAAUAAGUUACAAUAUGAAAACAAACCAGAGAAAAUUUUUUCUUGGAAAGUAGAUGGAACUUAAGAAAGAGCAGAUGUCAAGAUCAAGGAUCAGGGAUUCUACUAUUAAAAAAAAAAAAAAAUUAUUCAAGGAUUUAGAAAACGUGCACCUCUUUAAUUAUCUGGGAUUAGAGAGUUGGUGAGCUUCUCUAUUUGGCCUUCAAUAUUUAAGAACAAGUUGAAAGAGGAAAAAGAUCACUGGUAACUGCUGAGGAAUGUGUGAGAAAAGAGUUGAUGAGAGCAAUAACAAUGACCUGCAAAAGAAAAAGAAUUAGUCACGCACCGCUUUUCUAUAUCAUGUAUUUGGUUAUUGUUGCCCUGUUGACGCAUGUUGAAGAAGAAAGCACUAGUACACAACUCUAUGUUUUCAUAUAUUCUAAAGAAAUAAUUAAGUUUUCAUAGAAUAAUACCUGUUGUGUUUGAAUAAUUUGGUAUCUACAUUGCUUGUGUACUGUGAAAUUGAAAUGAAUAUUGAUUGACAGAGCAAUGUAUAUACCUAAUAAAACAUAAAGCAAAUCCUUGAACGAAUGAUUCGGGACUAAAACUUUUAUAAAAGCAAAUACCGGAAACACACAAAAAGCAUUUAAGAUAGAAACUAAACAGCAAAUAAUCGAAGUAAGAUCAAUAAUAUAUGAUUUGAUUUAUGCAUAUUCAAAAACCAAAAUUUAAAAUAAAAUAAAAAAUAAAGUUUGAUUUAUUCUUUCCACAAAAAACAGGGGAGUGAAAACAGAGGCAGCUUGUUUUACCAAUUUUUUCUUCUUAAUUUCCGGCAAAAAAAAAAAUUCAAUAAACAGGGGAAUGAAAACAAAGGAACGAAAACAGAGGAAACUUGCUUUUCAGGCUAUCUUGUGACAUGAUGAUAUUGCUCGUGAAUGCAUGAAAAUUUCUAAUGCAAACAGCUCAAUUUGGGAUGAUAAGCUUAAGUUUGCAAGUGAUGCAAGUAAAUAAGUUUUUGCGGUUAAUUGAAUCUUUAAUACUCUGGGCCCUAUUCUAAAAUUUGUAGGUUGCUUCAGAAGAAAGGGCGGUUCUCACUCAUCUUUAAUCUCCAAGUAAAAUUAGAUACAAAGCAAAUCUAAUAAAAUGACAAACAAACAAACAAAACAAAGAAAAGACAGGAGGCAAACAACAUUGAUCUUAAGCCAACUGAUAUUUAAACAGAGAAUUCUUUUCUUUUAUUUUUUUAACCACCUUUUGCUCAAGGAUUAGAGUUUUUAUAUUAACAGAAAGGUUUCAGGGGUCUGAAUAAAAGCCCACAAUUUCUCUAAUUGUUUUUUUUUUUUUUUUUUUGGGAAAAAUGGAUGCAAAUUAUCCAAAGCUAAUAAUAAGAACACAGACAUUACAAAUGAACAAUAACUUAAAACUCAAGCAAAAUAAAUGACAAGAUGAAAACAAACAAGAUAAAUUUUUUCUUGGAAAUUAGAUGGAAAUUAAGGACUGCUAGUAAAAGAUAUUAUUAGAUGAUUUAGAACAUGUGUACCUCUUUAAUUGUCUGGGAUCAAAGAAUUGAUGAGCUUCUCCAUUCGCAUUGAAUAUUAAGUAAGAACGGGUAUUCAAAGAAAUUAUUAGGAAAAAUUUUAAUGAGUAAAAGAUCACUGUUAACUGCAGACGAAUGUCCUAGUAAAAUGUUGAUUUGUGUAAUAACAAUGAAUUGCAAAAGAAGAAAACUUAAUCAUGCACCCCUUUUAUACCCGAGUUUUAAGAUUUAAUUUUUGAAGUUCAGAAUCAAGACCAAAAGCCGAAGCUUUAACAAGGCAUGCAGUGAGAUACAAGAAAUGGAUCGGGUAAAAUACUUUAAAAAAUGUUGUUCAACUCAAUUAACUUGAAGAAAGCACUAAUUUCAUAUGUUCUAAUGAAAUAAUCAAGUUAAAAGUUUUCAACGAAUAAAUACCUGUUGCGCUUGAAUAAUUUUGGCAUAUACAUUACUUGUAUCCUGUGAAAUUGAAAAGAAUAUUGAUAUGCAGAGCUUAUUAGUAGAGAGAAAGCUUUGUAAGAUGCCUGAUAAAAGAGAAACCAAAAGCUUGAAUGAGGAAUGACAUCUUAGAAAGAAACUAAACAUCAAAGUAGGAUCAAUAAUGACUUGAUUUAUGCUUUUUUGUUAUUUCAUUUGUUCUGUCAACAAAUGAUGCCUCGUUAUUACGAGUUCCAACCUGGACGUUAUGCACAAAUUGUUUUUAUGUUUAACAGAAAAAAAUGAAAGCAGGUCACCAUACAAAAUUGCAUGAACAAAUCUUCAAUUUAAUGAUUAUAAAAUAAAAUAAAUUUUAUUAAUAGAUUAUGGGUAUGUUAACGUUAGGGAUUUGAUCAGAUGAUCAUAUGAUUUACUAAACGCUUUAACAAGAACAAGAAAAAGAAUUAAUGGGUUAAAAAAAAUUUAAAAAUAAAAUAAGAGAGAAGUAAAGAACUUAUUUGCAAUUACCAAACUGAAAAAAUGCGAAAUGAAAACAAGGGAGCCCUGUUUUUCCUCACAUUUUUUUUCUCUCUUUUUCAAGUGGUGAGAAUGAUAGCAGAAAAUGCGAGCUCACUAUUUUCAUUUGUUGGCCUAAAAGCCUUCCUCCAAGAGAUGCAUAAAUUUUAUUUGUACAUUUGUUCCAUUUUAAGUACACAUUGUUGCAUGCAUUUUGAACUGUAUUAUCAAUCCUUUUUGUUUUCAGUUGGUUAGUUCAUAAUAACAAAUGAAUUAUAUUAUUUUGCAUGGAUCGAAAUUUAACUUUCCCUCUUUAUUUGUCCCACAACUAAAUAGUCUCAUCUUUUGUAGUAAGCUCGCAGUACGUACGGGGAACUACUGUAUGGGUGCUUUAGCCUAAAAUGAAGAUCUAUUAAAAAUUUCCCUAAUAUCAUGAUAUUAAACAUUAAAUAAUAUCAACAUUUUGACUUCCAUUUUGUUUUUUGGAUGGAGGAUGUUCCAUCUUCUAUUUUAGGUGCUUUGUAAGACUUUUAAUUGAACAAUUGAUGCAAUCAGUAACAAAGGCUUUACUUACAUAUGCAAGUAAAAUUUGCAGGUUGCUUCAGAAGAACGGGCAGUUCUCACUCAUCUUUAAUCUCCAAGUAAAAUUAGAUACAAAGCAAAUCUAAUAAAAUGACAAACAAACAAACAAAACAAAGAAAAGACAGGAGGCAAACAACAUUGAUCUUAAGCCAACUGAUAAUUAAACAGAGAAUUCUUUUUUUUUUUAACCUUUUGCUCAAGGAUUAGAGUUUUUACAUUAACAGAAAGGUUUCAGGGGUCUGAAUAAAAGCCCACAAUUUCUCUAUUUUAUUUUUAUUUUUAUUUUUUGAAAGGAGCUUCACUAUUGGCCUUGAACAUAUAAGAAUAAGCAAAAGAUCAAUGUCAACUGCAAAGGAAUGUGAGUAUGUCAAAGUCAUGGGCGGUUUGGCACCAUUAACAUAUUUCAAAAUGGCCACCCUAAUUGAAGGAAAUUAAAGGCCAAGUAGAUGCCGCCCAAGGAAAGAAACAAAAGAGAAUGAAGAAAAAGAAGAAAGAGAGAAGAAAAAGAGAUGUCGGGCCGAAGAAGGAAAAGAAAAGAAAAAUUAAUAAAAUAAUAAUAAUAAUUAAAUAUUAAACAAAUAGUAGCUAAUUUUGGCUAUAAAACCGCUAGCUCCCUUCAUUUGUAAAUCAUCUAGUUCUUCAGUUCUUUUCUUUAUUUAGAGAGCGAUUUUAAGAGUCUAGUGAUUUGAGAGUUUAGGUGUAUUGGGAUUUUGGGUAGUGAGCUAAAAUACCACAAUACUUGUAACUUCUUUUCACUAGUAAAAUACUUUCCUUCUGUUUUCACCUGUGAACGUAGGCUAAAAGCUGAACCACGUAAUUUCUUGUGUCUAUUUUUUGUACUUGUUCUUUAUUUUCUUCCAAUUUCACUUUAGCUGCGUGUUUGCUUCACUCACCAAUUUUGUAAUAGUGAAUCAGAGCUAUUAGUUGUAUUUUUUGGAGUCGGGUACUGUUCACGUAAGGGGUACUAUUCACGUAUAUGGCACUGUUCACGUAUACGGUACUAUUCACGUAAAACGAUGGGAGGAUCCAAGAAUUUUGCGGUGCAAAGCAGGGAAUAGUGGUGUGAGUAAAACAACUGUGUGGUUUUGUACAUGUCUAGGAAAGUUCUAUCACAAAGGCGAUAAGAGCUUAAGGAGUCUGGGUUUUAAGUGGGACCAUUGUGACCCCUCCAAUGUUUCCUGGGAACUUUCUUGGUGUGCAUUCUCACACAUACUCACAACUAUUCAAGGUGGUACACUUGCUUGUGUGCGGUAUUUAUCAAUAAAAUGGCGGCAAAGUAUGAAAUUGAGAAAUUUAACGGAAACAAUUUUUCAUUGUGGAAAAUGAAGAUGAAAGCUGUAUUGAGAAAAAAUAAUUGCUUAGCAGUAAUUGGAGAAAGGCUUUUGGAGAUAACUGAUGACAAGUGGAACGAGAUAGAUGGCAACACCAUUUCUGAUCUACACUUGGCACUUGCAGAUGGAGUAUUAUCUAGUGUGGCAGAGAAAAAUACAGCGAAGGAAAUAUGGGAUACUCUCACAAAAUUGUAUGAGGCUAAGUCACUACACAGCAAAAUCUUCUUAAAGAGGAAACUUUAUACUCUUCGAAUGGUGGAAUCUACAAUGGUGAUCGACCACAUCAACACCUUGAAGACUCUAUUUUCACAACUCACAACGUUGGGUCAUAAUAUAGAGGAGAAUAAACAUGUAGAGCUUGUACUUCAAAGUCUACCAAAUUCGUAUGAUCAACUCAUCAUCAACCUAACGAACAACAAUCCAGCGGAUAGUCUAGUUUUCGACGAUGUUGCAGCUUUCCUAUUAAAUGAGGAGAGCAGGCGAAAAAAUAAGAAAAACAGACAAGCAAUUUCGCAGCAAGCGGCGGUGCUAUCGGUGACGAGAGGGAGAUCAACGGAACGUGGCCCUAGUGGGAGUCAAAAUCAUAGUAAAUCAAAAUCCAGAAGUAAGAAGAAUGUUAAAUGCUACAACUGUGGCAAGAAAGGACACGUCAAGAAAGAGUAUUGGAGUAACUAGAAGAGAAAAGAGGAUAAAGAACCUGAGUCAUCAAAUGCUCAGGGGUGUGUAGCAAGUACCUCAGAUGAUAGCGAAAUUCUUUACACUGGGGCAAUAACUAUUUCAGAAGGCAGAAAACGACUAUCUAAUGUCUGGCUUAUAGACUCAGGAGCUACCUGGCACAUGACGGAGAGAAUGGUUCUAGACAUAUGAACCUAUCUCAGGAGGAUCUGUAUAUAUGUGAGAUGAUCAUGCCUUGGAGAUCGCUGGUAUUGGUACUAUCAAAAUAAAAAUAUUUGAUGGUACAAUUCGCACAAUUGGGGAGGUACGACAUGUCAAUGACCUGAAGAAAAAUCUAUUGUCUUUGGGACAAAUAGGCAGUUAUGGGUGCAAAACUCAUGUGGAGAAUGGAAUUAUGAAGAUUGUUAAAGGAGAGCUUGUAUUGAUGAAGGCAGAAAAGAUCGGUGCUAAUCUAUUCAUGCUUAAAGGAGAGUCACUACAGGAGGCUGAUGCGUGUGUCGCAUCAAAUGGAGAAGAGUUAAUGAUGAUGUGACAUCUCAAACUUGGCCACAUGUCGGAACAUUGUUUGAAGAUUCUCUCUGAGCGAAAAUUACUUCCAGGGCUUAAAUCGGUAAGUUUACCUUUUUGCGAGCAUUGUGUUACCAGUAAGCAGCAUAGAUUAAAAUUUAGUAGAUCUAUUCUAGAAGUAAAUAUAUUCUAGACUUGAUUCAUUCUGAUGUUUGGAAAUCACCGGAUAUAUCCAUGGGAGGUGCAAAGUACAUGGCGACUUUCAUUGAUAAUUAUUCCAGAAGAUGUUGUGUGUAUCUAAUUAAGAAAAAGUUAGAUGUAUUUCCAGUGUUUAAAGAAUACAAAGCGCGGGUGAAACUUGAAUCUGGUAAAAAGAUUAAGUGCUUGAGGACGGAUAAUGGUGGAGAGUAUACAGACGGCGAGUUUCUUGCUUUCUGUAAGCAAGAAGGUAUUUAGAGACAGUUCACCAUAGCAUACACUCCUCAACAAAACGGAGUGGCGGAGCGGAUGAACAGAACUCUUACAGAAAGAAUAAGAGCUAUGUUGAGGACUGCUGGUCUACCUAAUUCAUUCUGGGCAGAAGCAGCCAAAACUGCUUGUUAUAUAGUAAAUCGGUUGCCAUCUACAGCUAUUAGGCUAAAGACAACGAUGGAGAUGUGGACUGGAAAGCCAACUGAUUAUUCCUACCUACAUGCAUUUAAAUGUCCUGUGUACGUGAUGUACAAUGCCCAAGAAAGAACAAAGCUGGAUCCAAAAUCUAGAAUAUGUAUCUUCUUGAGAUAUGCUGAUGGAAUAAAGGGGUAUCGUCUGUGGGACCCCACUGCCCACAAGAUCGUUAUCAGCAGAGAUGUUAUCUUCAUAGAAGAUCAACUGCAAAGGAAAGAUGAAGAUGAUAGUAGUGUAAAAGAAAAGUCAGAGACUAUACCGGUAUAUGUGGAAAAUAAUCCAUAAGAUUCAGAUUCUUCUGAAGCAGAACCAGAGCACGAGCAACAAAAACCAGUCGAGUCUGAGGCUCCAGAAGUUCGUCGGUCAACUCGUGAGAGACGACCGCCAAUGUGGCACUCGGAGUAUGUUACAGAGAUCAACGUUGCAUACUGUCUUCUAAUAGAGGAUAGAGAGCCUUUAACUUUCCAUCAAGCUUUAGAAAGCUCAGAUGUUGCUUUGUGGAUGACAGCAAUGCAGGAAGAAAUAAAGCUCUACAUAAUAACAAGACAUGAGAACUUGUACCACUACCACGUGGAAGAAAAGCCAUUGGAAACAAAUGGGUCUACAAAAUCAAACGUGAAGGCAAUGACCAAGUAGAGCGGUGUCGUGCGAGAUUGGUGGUGAAAGGAUAUGCUCAGAAAGAAGGUAUUGACUUCAACGAGAUAUUUUCGCCGGUGGUUUGCCUCACGACGGUCAGAGUAGUCUUGGCAAUGUGUGCUACAUUUGACCUACAUUUAGAGCAGUUAGAUGUGAAAACUACAUUUCUUCAUGGAGAACUUGAAGAAGAAAUAUAUAUGCUCCAACCAGAAGGUUUUGCAGAAACAGGAAAAGAGAACUUGGUUUGCAGGUUGAACAAAUCUUUAUUCGGUCUCAAACAGGCGCUGAGGUGUUGGUAUAAGAGAUUUGAUUCCUUUAUCAUGAGCCUUGGAUACAACAGACUCAGUUCAUACCAUUGUGCAUAUUAUAAAAGGUUUGCAGAUAAUGAUUUCAUUAUUUUACUAUUGUAUGUGGAUGACAUGUUGGUAGCAGGCCCUAACAAAGAUCGAAUCCAAGAAUUGAAGGCACAGUUGGCUAGGGAGUUUGAAAUGAAGGACUUGGGACCAGCAAACAAGAUUUUAGGAAUGCAAAUUCACCGAGACAUAAAUAACAGGAAGAUUUGGCUUUAGCAGAAGAAUUACUUGAAGAAAAUCUUGUGGCGCUUCAACAUGCAAGAUUGUAAGUCAAUUUCUACCCCACUUCCUGUUAAUUUCAAAUUAUCCUCAAGUAUGUGUCCUAGCAAUGAAGCAGAGAGGAAGGAGAUGUCUCGAGUACCGUAUGCAUCAGUAGUGGGAAGUUUAAUGUUCGCUAUGAUAUGUACUAGACCAGACAUUGCACAAGUAGUGGGAGCAGUCAGUCGAUACAUGGCGAAUCCCGGUGGAGAGCAUUGGAUAGUUGUGAAGAGGAUUCUGAGAUACAUCAAAGGAACCUCAGAUGUUGCAUUAUGUUACGUAGGAUCAGAGUUUACUGUCAAGGGCUAUGUGGAUUCAGAUUUUGCAGGAGAUCUUGAUAAAAGAAAAUCCACUACUAGUUAUGUGUUUACACUUGCGGGAGCAGCUGUAAGCUGGGUUUCGAAACUGCAGACUGUUGUGGCUUUAUCUACAAUAGAAGCAUAAUACAUGGCAGCUACACAAGCUUGCGAGGAAGCUAUUUGGAUACAAAGAUUAUUGGAGGAGCUCGGGCACAAACAAGAGAAAAAUUAUGUGUUUUGUGACAGUCAGAGUGUCUUUCACAUUGCAAGAAAUCCAGCCUUUUAUUCCAAGACAAAGCAUAUAGGAGUUCAGUAUCACUUCGUUCGAGAAGUAGUGGAAGAUGGAAAUAUGGAUUUACAGAAAAUCCAUACGAAGGAGAACCUAGCAGAUGUUUUGACUAAGCCGAUAAAUGCUGACAAGUUUAUCUGGAGUAGAUCUUCUUGUGGCCUAGCAGAAACGUAGGCAACAUGAUUAUGGCGAAGCAGAAAGGAUGUUGUGGACAUUGAUUGAUUCUCAAUCUAAUCUCCAGGUGGGAGAAUGUCAAAGUCAUGGGCGGUUUAGCAUCAUUAACAUAUUUCAAAAUGGCCACCCAAAUUGAAGGAAAUUAAAGGCCAAGUAGAUGCCGCCCAAGGAAAGAAACAAAAGAAAAAGAAGAAAAAGAAGAAAGAGAGAAGAAAAAGAGAUGUCAGGUCGAAGAAGGAAAAGAAAAGAAAAAUUAAUAAAAUAAUAAUAAUAAUUAAAUAUUAAAUGAACGGUAGCUAAUUUUGGCUAUAAAACCGCUGGCUCCCUUCAUUUGUAAAUCAUCGAGUUCUUCAGUUCUUUUCUUUAUUUAAAGAGUGAUUUUAAGAGUCUAGUGAUUUGAGAGUUUGGGUGUAUUGGGAUUUUGGGUAGUAAGCUAAAAUACCACAAUACUUGUAAAUCAUUUUCACUAGUAAAAUAUUUUCCUCAUGUUUUCGCCCGUGGACGUAGGCUAAAAGUCGAACCACGUAAUUUCUUGUGUCCAUUUUUUGUGCUUGUUCUUUAUUUUUUUUCCAAUUUCACUUUAUCUGCAUGUCUGCUUCACCCACCAAGUUCCUAACAGAGUAAAGAUUUCAUCAGAGUAAGUAAUACAAAUGAAUUGUAAAAGAACAAGACUUAAGCGUGCACCCCGUGUUUUGUUUUAUUCGUAUAAACAUAACAUGUUCAUUUUUAACAAAGUGGUCAAUAACUCUAUUCGCUAUGAAAAUGAUAUUGUACCCAAUUUUAAGAGAGCAUAACAAUAACCAUUCAAUGCAUAAAUUUAGAAUUUUUUUUUUGUAAUUCUUUAUUUAAAUAUAAACGUCGAUGGAAAAUUAUAAAAAUUUAGAUAUGAAAUUUUAAGUCACCAGACAAAAAAAAAAAAAAAAAAAAGGGGAACAGAAAUAGAGGAAUCUUGCUUUACCUUUUUUUUUUUUUCCUUUAACUCUUGUUCUUAUAUAAAUAAUCUUGUUUUGAUGAUUGUAACUCGUGACUGCGGGAAAUUUUCUAAUGGAAACAACUAAUUUCGGAAGAUAAGCUUAAUUACGCAAGUGAUGAAUUUGUUCAAUUGACUCUGUACUUGAACUAGUUGGAUUGGUUGAUUGAUGAUUGACUAAAUUUGAAUUAAGUUUAAUAGCUAUGAUGUGCUCCUUAAAAGCAAACGUAAAUCUUUUUUAGAUUUGACUGAAUUUGGGAACCUGUUGGAUUGAUUGUUUUUAGAUCAUUAAUAUCGGUUACUACAACGUAAAUAUUUUAUUGUGGUUGAGUCCUAUUCUCAAAUCAGUAGGUUGCCUUAGAAAAAGGGCUUUUCUCACUGAUCUUUUUUUUUUCUUUAAUUCACACGCACUUGAUUAUUGACUUCUUUCAUGAAGAAAUAAACUUGUAAUGACUUAAAGAUUUAAUUUCAAGUUAGAAUCAAUACCAAAAGACGGAGGUUUAACAAAGCCGUUUAGUGUGAUAAAAGUACUUUAAAAAAUGUUGUUCGACCCAAUUAAGUUGAAGAAAUAACAAAGUUUUCAUGGAAUAAAUACCGGUUGUGCUUUAAUGAUUUUGGCAUAGACAUUGCUUGUGUACUGUGAAAUCGAAAUGAAUUACUGUGAAAUUGAAAUGAAUAUUAAGUGACAGCGCGAUGUAUAUGCCUAAUAAAAGAUCAGCAAAAGCUUGGAUGAAUGAUUGAGGACCAAAACUUUUAUAAAAGCAUUUUUGAGAGAAACUAAACACCAAAUUAUCAAAGUAAGAUCAACAGUAUAUGAUUUGAUUUAUACAUAUUCAAAAACAAAAUAAUGAUUAAUAAUAAAGUUUGAUUUUGUAUUGCCAACGAUGCUUUUUUGUUGUUUCAUUUGUUCGACGUGGCCUUAUUUACAAAUUGGUUUAUGUUAACAGAAACAUAAAAUUCACAUCACACAAAAUUCCACGAACAAAUAUUAAGAGAACGUAAUAAUAAUCACUCAAUGCAUAAGGGUAAAUUUAGAAUUACAUAUUCUUUUUUAUUUAAUAAAAUCCCAACGGGAAGUCAUAAAAAUUUAGAUAUAAAAUUUUCAAUCACCAAACAAAAAAACAGGGGGAAUGAAAACACAGAAAACUUAUUUUAACUUUUUUUUCAUCUAACUCUUGUUCUUAUAUAAUAUUUUCCCUAGUAUUUCAGGCAAAAAAAAAAAAUCAAUAGAGAGCAAGUUGCUCAAAUUGAUUUAUCUUGUUUUUCAGGCAAUCUUGUGAUAUGAUGAUAAAGCUCAUGAAUGCUAGAAAACUUCUAAUGCAAACAACUCUAUUUGGGAUGAUAAGCUUAAUUUUACAAGCGAUAAAUAUAAAUAACUUUUUGUGGUUAAUUGAAUUUGUAAUUACUCUUAGCCCUAUUCUAAAAUUUGUAGGCUGCUUCAGAAAAGAAAAAAAAAAAUUCUUACUCAUCUUUAAUCUUCAAGUAAAAAGCAAAUCUAAUAAAAUGAAAAACAAACAAACAAGUAAAAGACAGCAAACAAACAACAUUUAACCAACUGAUAUUUAAACAAGGAAUUCUUUCUUCUUCCUUUUUCUUCCCCCCCCCCCCCCCCCCCCCGGGGCUCAUGGAUUAGAGUUUUUGCUAUUAACUGAAAGGUUUCAAGGGUCUGAAUAAAAUCCCAGACUUUUUUUUUUAAUUAACCAAAGCCAUAUAAUAAGAUCACAGACUUUAACAAUGAACAAUAAUUUGAAACUCAAGCAAAACCAAUGACAAGAUUAAAACAAACCAGAGAAAUUUUUUCUUGGAAAGUAGAUGAAAACUAAGUAAGAACUGCUAUUAAAGGAUAUUAUUAAAGGAUUUAGAACAUGUAUACCUCUUUAUUUAUAUGGGAUCAGAGAGUCGAUGACCUCCUCUAUUCGCUUCGGAUAUUAAGUAAGAACUGCUAUCAAAAGAAUGAAUUGAUGAGAGAAAUAACAGUGAAUUGCAAAAGAGGAAGACUUAAUCACGUACCCCUAUUAUACCCGAUUUUUAAGAUUUAAUUUUGAAGUCCAGAAUCAAGACAAAAGACGAAGCCUUAAAAAAUAUGCAGUGAGAAUAAUUAAGUUGAAGAAAGCACUAGUUUAUGGCUCAGUGUUUCAUAUGCUGUAAUGAAAUAAUUAAGUUGAAGUUUUUAACGAAUAAAUACAUGUUGUGCUAGAAUAAUUUUAGAAGAAUAUUGGCUUAUAGAGCAUAUUAGUAGGGAUAAGAUAGAAUAAAUGAAAUAAUAAAAAGCAUAACUGAUCAAGUCAUUAUUGAUCUUACUUUGAUUAUUACAUUGCACAUUAGUUUCUUUCUAAAAAUGUCAUUCUUCAUUCAAGCUUUUGCUUUAUCUUUUAUCAGGCAUCCUACUGUUGAUGCCCAAAUCUGAUCUAGUCUAUUAGUGACUUAAUAUCAGACUUCUACACUAGCAUUAGAUUUAUUUGGUAGAGAAUCGAUUGGUCAAUUGUCAAGAUGUCCUGCAACCACUAGCGAUUAACCUGCGAAUACCUGAAAUCAUAGAAGACGGUCAGAGGCGCUGGAAGUUUUUCCGGCGUGAACCCUCUAACGCUCAAGUCAGUUUCUGGGCCUUUGCCAAAAAACUUGUGCCACCACUCAUAUGGCUUAAUAAACAUUAACUUAAAAACCAAAAGCUUUUUGAGUAACUUGCAGAAAAAUGAAAUAGAGUGUAAAAGAAAGGAUUUUCCAUGAGAAGAAGAGAGAAAAAGAUGCCUUACAGACCCCGAAAAAAUAAAUAAAUCCUCCUUUUAAGGUCACGCCCCACUCCCCUCUUUUCCCCUUUGUUCUCCUCCACUUACGGAAGUUAAGGAUGAGUAAAAGUAAUGCCUCUACUCUCCAUUUUUUUCUCCUUUUUCCGUUACCAAACACUAGUCCCCCAGUUUCUAGUGUUGAGAGUUUUAACGAAUCAAGACUGGAAACUAUAUGAAUUUUAAAGUGACCUUGAUGUGGUUGGCAUAAAUCGGCUCGGGAUUGCUAAAAUUAACCUUACUAUUUGCAAAAAAUUUCAAGUUUUAAACUUUUACAUGCCUUUAAAUAUACCAUUUUCCUACUUGCAUAAUCAUGUAAAGCAGGUUUCAUAAGUUCACGUAUUUAUCUCACCUAAAGUAGGUUUUGAGACUUAGUCAUUUAUCUGCUUUAGAAUAUUUUUCACUCAUAUAACUCUUGCUCGCCUAAUCUUGGUCGGGCAAGAGCAGGCAAACUUUGACUUCAUCUCACUGCGAGGAGGUUUAAAGACUGUAAGCCUUUUACUUGAAGUACCCUUUGUUUUUUUUUUUUUUAACUUUCUGCUCGCCUUCACAUGGUUGAGCAGAUUCUGGCAAGCUUGAUUUCUUAUCUCGCCAUCGAGCAGACUUUGAGACUUUAAAGUCUUUUGUGUGCCUUAGAAACUUUCUUGGGAUUUUUGUUCUCUGCUCGCCUUUACAUGGUCGAGCAGAUUCUGGCGAGCUUGGCUUCCUGUCUCGCCAUCAAGGAGGCUUUGCGACUUUGGAGCCUUUGCUUGCCUUAGAAACUUUUUUGGAACUUUUGUGGUCUGCUCGCCUUCGCUUAGUCGAGCAGAUCCUGGCAUGCUUGGCUUCCUGUCUUGCCAUAAAAUAGGCUUUGAGACUUUGGAGCCUUUGCUUGCCUUAGAAACUUUUUUGGAAUUCUCAUUUUUUGCUCGCCUUCACAUGGUCGAGCAGAUUCUGGCGAGCUUGGCUUCCUGUCUCGCCAUUGAGGAGGCUUUGAGACUUUGAAGCCUUUGCUUGCCUUAGAAACUUUUUUGGAACUUUUGUGGUCUGCUCGCCUUCGCUUGGUCGAGCAGAUCCUGGCAUGCUUGGCUUCCUGUCUCGCCAUAAAAUAGGCUUUGAGGCUUUGGAGCCUUUGCUUGCCUUAGAAACUUUUUUGGAACUUUUGUGGUCUGCUCGCCUUCGCUUGGUCGAGCAGAUCCUGGUAUGCUUGGCUUCCUGUCUCACCAUAAAACAGGCUUUGAGACUUUGGAGCCUUUGCGUGCCUUAGAAGAUUUUUGAAACUUUUUUGGUCUGCUCGCUUUCGCUUGGUCGAGCAGAUCCUGGCAUGCUUGGCUUCCUGUCUCACCAUAAAACAGGCUUUGAGACUUUGGAGCCUUUGCGUGCCUUAGAAGAUUUUUGAAACUUUUUUGGUCUGCUCGCCUUCGCUUGGUUGAGCAGAUCCUGGCAUGCUUGGCUUCCUGUCUCGCCAUAAAACAGGCUUUGAGACUUUGGAGCCUUUGCGUGCCUUAGAAGAUUUUUGAAACUUUUUUGGUCUGCUCGCCUUCGCUUGGUCGAGCAGAUCCUGGCAUGCUUGCUUCCUGUCUCGCCAUAAAACAGGCUUUGAGACUUUGGAGCCUUUGCGUGCCUUAGAAGAUUUUUGAAACUUUUUUGGUCUGCUCGCCUUCGCUUGGUCGAGCAGAUCCUGGCAUGCUUGCUUCCUGUCUCGCCAUAAAACAGGCUUUGAGACUUUGGAGCCUUUGCGUGCCUUAGAAGAUUUUUGAAACUUUUUUGGUCUGCUCGCCUUCGCUUGGUCGAGUAAAUGUGGCUUCCUGUCUCGCCAUAAAACAAGCUUUGAGACUUUAGAGCCUUUGCGUGAUGAUGGGUGUCGAAGCCAACAAAAAUAAAUUCCUACUCUAAAUAAAUUGUGUAUAGUGAUUGAGCAGGGUCGUGUCCACAGAGAUCGGUAAUUAUUUAAAUCCUUUUGAAACGUAAAAAUAAAAUGGGGGUUUUGUUGACAAUAAUAAAAAUCAAAUUAAAAUAACGAGAAUGCAAAUUAAAGUUGUAAUUCAAAUUGGAGAAAGCUCUGGUUGAAGGAAUUAACUCAGCUUGAUUCGACUACUGAUCAUUGAUUCAAAUAAAGAUUAUUAUUACUUAUGAAUAGACCGGUUAUAGCUAUUGAGACCCUCUAAUAGCCAAUCUCUCCUUAACUAGUCGAUAACCAAGGUACGACCGUUGGAUAUUUCCCUAAUCAAAUAGACAACCCUAGAUACGAUCAUAAGAUUUAAUCAAUUGACAGCCUGAAAAACCAGAGAGACCCAAAUCCUAAUCAACACAUAUGAUGAUUCAUUUAAAUUAGAUUGUUUAUUCUCACAACACAACUCUCUGCUAUGUUAUUUGUCACAAAUAUUAAAUUCUUCAUACGAUGAAUCCUUUAAUUGACAAUAGAUUAAGUUGAUAAUUAAAUAGUGGCCAAUUACCUAAUUAACAAACAUAAUCAUGAAACUAAUUCAGAGAAUAAACAAAUACCCAAAGAGCAAUAAAACAAUUAAAGCACAAGAAAGAUCUCACAGUAGUGAUGAAUCAAAGCUUCAUUAUCCUUCAACCAGAAAAUAAGUUUAGUUCUCCAUAGAGAGAAGAGAAAAAUUAGCUCUAGGGUUUCUUUCUUUUUCUCCAAUCCCAAAAAAUCCCCCUUUUCACAAUAGAUUCCUCCCUUAAAUACUCUCUCUCUCUUCUCUUUUAGAGUUCUAUUUAAAAUAAAAUACUAAUAUUUGAAAUAUUAAAUUCGUAAUAAAAAAAUAGCCAAAAAUACAAAACACGUUAAACUAAAAACUGCAAGUCCGCAGUUGACAGCACGCGCCCACGCCUUAUCAACAAAGUUCUUCUGCCGCUCAUAAUUUCUCCAAGAAAACAAUCAUCCUUAAACAUCAUCUUAUAGCUCAAUUUUAUCACCAAUCAAUAGAAUUGCACCUACAAAAGUAAAACACAAGUAAAUCACUAUUAUUAAAUGCAAAACAUCGAUAUUAAGGGAAGUAAACAAUGCAAAACUAGUGCAUAAAUUGCACUCUAACACGUGCCUUCAAUGUGCUCUUAUUUGAGGUUUUUGCUUUAAAUCCUUACAUAUGGAUAACCAUCAAAAAUUUAAUUUCGGACUUGUAACUUAUAACUUGUCCAGAAAAUAGCUCUCAUUUACAACUUGCGCUUUAGCUAUUUAUAUAUGUUUGGGCCUUUGAUGGAUAAACAUCCUUGGUGUUUUUAUUACCAUCUAUAAUAUUUGGUUAGCAAUAUUAUUAAAGACCUUUGCUAAAGGUGCAGAGCACCAUUUACCAACACUAAAGAUAUUAAAAUUUAUAUAUAAAAUAAAUCAUAUUAUAUAAAAUAUGUAAUCAACAAAUAAAUGGUACCAUAAAAGUUUAAGCAAAGUCAUAUCACUGUAUCAAGGAAAUACGAUCUCAUGCUAACCCAAGUUCCAUCAAUCCUUCGGUCAAGCAUGUUGUGUGCUAAUAUAUGACUAUGCUAUAUAUUCUAUAAUAUGUAAUCUUAACUAUUUUCUAUUAACGACUUAAUAAGUCAAAACCCCAUCCAUCAGAUUUUUGAAGUCAAGUAGUGGAUUUAAAGGAUAAAUAUAAAACUGAGGUAUUAGAACAAGUGCACCUGAGAUUGUGCUCUGCAUUAUUUCAUUAGUACUUCAUCAAACAAAUCUCGAGCUUGACUCUGCUUUGCUCCCUUCUUAGAAUUAUUCUUGCAAUAUUUUAACAUGGGCACAAAACGGAUAAAAUAUGAAGGAAACAAAAAUCCAACUUCAUCAAUUCUUUGAAGCUUGAAGACAUGCCUAUCAAGCAUAUAUGUAGUGUAUGUAGUGUAAUCAGCAACAAACUCACUUUUGAACUUUCAUAUCCCUUGAGGCGAUUUAACGAAUAGCUCCUGAUUUGAAUUUUAACAAUUCGGCCUCAACUUGUAAUGAACCGAGUUUCAUACCAGAAUUGUCUAAAUACUUUCCCUGCAUAUUCUUCACAUGAAAACUAGCAGCAUGAUUGAUUGAUGGGGUGUAAAACCAGCAGGAAAUAUCUUGAAGAAACCACAGAUCCGUGGAUUUUUUAUGCUUACCACCAAAUGAAUUUAACAAUUUGUGUGAUCUUUAUUUUAAGAAAUUGAACAUUGCUAAUACCGCAAAUCGAUUGCUCUUUUGAACAGACUUUAUAUCUUGAGUUCGAUGAAAAGAGAACAAUCAAUCAAGAAAUAUAAAUACAUCAGCAAAAUAAUGAUGGUAGCAGCAUUACACAUCUAAUUAGCCAUAACGAAGCUGAAUAAUUAGCCAUAAUAAAUCUGAAAUGUUAACAUUAUGUCAAGCAUGUUGUUGGAAAAUACUAAAUUAAUUCAUUUGCAAGUAUAAUAGCAUGUAAUCUUGAAUUAUGAAUGAAGCCCAUUCUAACAAGCUAAUUUUGUGAAGGAACAUUAUCAACGAAUUCCAAGGGAUAAUAUUCAAUUUCAGCAAAUAUAUCAUGCACGGUAUUGAAACAUGCAUGUUAUUAAAGAAUUUCCAAGCAUCUCUCAGUUGAUAAAUCAAUCAUCAUAGCAAUUGGAAAUUGAAUUUUAAUGACAAUAUACUUAAAGCAAUAAAUAAGCCAAAACCUUUACAGGUAAGCAUUCCAUCCAGCCUUGAUUGGCUUCCGUGUUUGAGCCAGCUUAUCAAUUUGUGCAUGAUAAUAUUAUGCCUUUGGCUUGGCCGGAUGCAAAAUUGGUAGAGACAAGAAGUUGGCUUUUUGUAUCGAUUCCCCACAGACGGUGCCAAAUGUUGAUGCCCAAAUCUGAUCUAGUCUAUUAGCGACUUAAUAUCAAACUUCUACACCAGCAUUAGAUUUAUUUGGUAGAGAAUCGAUUGGUCAAUCGUCAAGAUGUCCUGCAACCACUAGCGAUUAACUUGCGAAUAUUUAAAAUCAUAGAAGACGGUCAGAGGCGCCGAAAGUUUUUCCGGCGUGAACCCUCCGACGCUCAAGUCAGUUUCUGGGCCUUUGCCAAAAAACUUGUGCUACCACUCAUAUGGCUUAAUAAACAUUACCUUAAAAACCAAAAGUUUUUUGAGUAAUUUGCAGAAAAAUGAAAUAGAGUGUAAAAGAAAGGAUUUUCCAUGAGAGGAAGAGAGAAAAAGAUGCCCUGCAGACCCCGAAAAAAUAAAUAAAUCCUCCUUUUAAGGUCAUGCCCCACUCCCCUCUUUUCCCCUUUGUUCUCCUCCACUUAUUGAAGUUAAGGAUGAGAUAAAAGUAAUGCCUCCACUGUCCAUUUUUUUUCUCCUUUUUCCGUUACCAAACACCUACAAAUCUUAUCCCUACUAAUAUCCUCUAUAAGCCAAUAUUCUUCUAAAAUUAUUAAAUGCCAUUCUUCAUUCAAGCUUUCAUGGACAUUAUUUACAAAUUGUUCUUGUAUUUGACAGAAAAAUGAAAACGCCUCGUCAUACAAAACUGGAUGAACAAAUCUUCUGUUUAAUUGUGAUAAAAUAAUAAAUUCCAUUAACAGAUUCAGCUGUAUGUUAAUGUGAGGGAUUUGAUCAGAUGAUCAUAUAAUUUACUACACGCUUUAAGAAGAACAAGAAUUGAUGACUUAAAAAUUAAAAAAUAAACAAAUAAAGAGUAGAUACAAAGAAUGUUAUUUGCAAUCACCAAACUGAAGAACAUGGGAAUGAUAACAGAGGACGGUUGAUGCAACAUUAUGAAGUCAAAAUUAAGAAAGGCCUUUUUUCCUUUUUUUUUUUUACAUUAUUCUAUUUAAUCUUACAUAAGGCGCACACUACGAAUAUAAAUUAAAUUCAUAAUUAAGAAUAAACGAUAAACCCUAACAAUCAUCUAGCAAGUACCGUGUAGACUGCAUCAAAAAUUUAGAUUUAAAUUUUUACAAUCACCAAAUGGAAAAACAGGGGACUGAAAACAAAGGAGCCCUGUUUCCAGAAACCGGGGAGUUUCCGGGUUUCUGGAAACAAACUCAGAAACGAAUGAACUGGCUGCCGGCGGUACUUUCUAGAUAAAUCGCUUGGUGUAUAUAAGCUUUCAUGGUCUGGUUUUAGUCUGGUUAGGUUCAGCCACUGUGACUGUUAGGGAUUCUCGUAAACUGAAUUUAAAGUUGCGGCUUAAAGUGUUUACCAACUUAAAACCAGAGCUAUAAAGUGUUUGAUGAAUUAUUUUUUAAUUUAAAAAAAAAAAACUGAUUUAGCGGGAUAAAAUAAUGCUCCAUUCCGUUUAGUAUGUGAAGUCCAGAGUAUUACCUACUACUAACUAAAUCCGCUUGAUUCACAAGACUACCAAGAGAUAACUGAAUCUUCAAUGUAAUAAAAUAAUAAUCAGCCUCACAGGAUACAUAAAAAGCUCAUUUAUCACAAUCAUAUCCUAGUGCAUCAUAAAUUUAGAUUAUUUACUUUUACUAUUAGGAAACCUACUUAUAUAAGGCGCAAACCACAAAUUCUAAAUUAAAUACCUAACUAGGAAUAAAAGAUAAACCCUAACAGUCAUACACCAGGUGCCGUGUAGCCUGCAUCAUAAAUUCUGAUUUAAAUAUUUGCAAUCACCGAACAGAAAAACAGGGGAACGAAAACAGAGGAGCCCUAUUUUUCCAUUUUUUUAACCCUUAACUCUUGCUCUUCUAAUUAUAUUUUUCCUUGGAAUUUCAAGUAUGAGAUGAAUUUGGAGAAAGUAAAUAAAUUUGAAUUACGUGAAAAAUUCUAAUUUUUUUAACCCUUAACAGUUGGUAUAUUUUUUUUAGGUCAUAUAUUAAUAAUUUCUUUUAAAAAAAAUUUAUAAUAUCAAUUAAUAUUAUAACCUACAGAUUAAUACAGAUAAAAAUAUGAUUGAUUUAUCUCCACCACCUAAGUCUUAGCCAAAUUUAAUUAAAGAUUAAUUUAAUAAAUUACCGAAAAUAAUAAAGUAAACGAAAAAUAAAGCACGCAAUUAAGUAAUCAUGCUUCUAAAGGGCUAAUUAACCAUAAUAGGCAUAGGUAUUAAUUUGACUUCUAUGAAAGUCCCUUCUAGUUUCUCAAAAUUCAAAAAUUACAAUAAAAAGCCAAAGAAAAAGUCAAUGCUUCUAAAGUAGAAAAGUUUGAGUACUAGAUAGGCUGCCCAAAAUACAUUUUCAUUACUCACAUAUCUCUAUAGAAAGUAAUUUUUUUAAUAAAAACAACCUAUUUGGCUAAUAUUCAGUCGUCUUUUUUGUUGAUGGAAUUAUCCUCUUAACAAUAUUUUAAAAAGUUUACAUGAAUAUUCCUUUUUUUUUAAAAAAAAGAAUUAAUAACGUGUAUUGUUAGGAUAAAAAUGAUCAUCAAUACGUAUGUAUAUAGGCACAAAUAUAUGAAAAAAAAUCAAGUUUAAGUACAAUGUAUAGGUCAAUGCCUAAGAGUCAAGCCUAAAUUAGGGCAACAUAUAACUACAAAAUACAAUUUCGUACACUACAAAAUUUUGAUAUCAGCAGUAGGGGUAUAAAAAAAUCAUUGUUGCCAAAAAUCCAAAAGCUAACUAGAGGUUUGGUUUUGUUUCAAAAAUUAAAAAAACAAGUCAAUUCGUAAAAUCAAAAACAGAAAAAGAAAAACAAAAUAUAGAGGAAUUUACAGUUUAAAAAGAAAAACCAAGCCAAAACGAAAUUGAAUCGAAAGUCGAACCAACUCAGUUCAGUUUGAUUUGAAUUUUAUUUUAUAAAAAAAAAUGAUCGGAACCAACUAAACUGUAUUAUGUUAUAAAUUAUUAUAUAACAUAAAUUUUUGAAUACCUUUGUGACGAGCACAAUUUAAAAUUUUAUGAUUUUAAAUUUUAACAUUAAUGGAGAGUUAAUACUCCACCAUUUUCCAAUUUUUACAAUACAUAUUACUAGUUUAGAUAUGCUGUAUAUUAUUGUUAUAAUUUUUCGAGCAAGAUAAUAUUUGUCAAUUGGUGUUAUGACAUCAAAAUACUUGGUAUUAGUUAGUGCUAAGUGCUUCUUUUUCUUAAAAAAAGCGGUUCCUUAGUUUUAAAACAAAAAUCAUUAUCCUGAAAUUCUCCAUUUGCUUUGUUAACAGAUAUAACAAAAUAAAGUGAUAAAAGUUUAAUUUAUAAAACUUCGGCAUUUAUAUCUAUCAGAUUCAACACUUUAGUGUCAUAGAUUUAUUUCGGUGGAGCACGAUGUGGGUCGGGCCAGGCUUAGAAUUUUAAGCACGAGAGCCUUAAAAAUAUGAUAUGAUUAGAGAUGGACUGAGCACAGCACGAUGAAAAUGCCCACAAUAAGCACAUUAUAUUUUUUUUUUAUUGAAAAUAAACUUAAAAUUUUAUGUUUUAUAAAUAACUUGAAGUUGAAUUUUUUAAAUUCAUUUAAUUCUUAGUUUAAAAAAAUAUUAUAAUUAAUUUAUAUUCAUAAUUUAUUAAAUAAAUAAUUGAUAUCAUGAUUUUAAUGAAUAAAAUUAUAAAUAUCACGAUUUUAUAAAUAUGCAUUAAUAUUAUUGUGAACUAUGAUCUAUGACUCUAUGUAACUCUAAGUUAACAAUUAAGUUAGCCCUUAAGAAAAUAUUAUUAUUAUUGUUGUUGUUGUUGUUGUUGUUGUUGUUGUUGUUGAGUAUUAAAAAAAUUAUAAUACUAAGAGAUCAAACUUAGUAAUUAAUAUUAAAUUUUCUUACUAUUAUUAGUUUAUUAUUAUUGAAUAUAAACUUGAGUUUUGAUUUUUUGAUUCUAUUAAAUUUGAAUAAAAGUAUAGACCUAAGAAAAAUAUAUAGACUUGAAAAAAAUAUGCCAACAGUUUAGUAUGCCCCUUAAAAAAUUUAAAAAAAAAAAGAAAAAAACUUAGUGAGCUUUUUUUCUUAGGCAUGGCACGGCAUGUAUCGGCAUGUGUGCUAGGCCGAACCUAAACAAAAAAAUAAAUAAAUAAAUCUUGACACGACACAACACAAGCAUAAGCACGCAUGGGCCUUACUUACCGCCCGACCCAUUGAGCAUCUCUAACUGUAUCUAUCUCCGCCAUAAUAAAUUAAACAUCGGGUAACUACUAGACUAGGCAUUAGCACAUAAACUAACUAACUAUAGUACCAAAAAGAAUGAUGCGACAUUGUAAAAGAGAUGGGGCAAAGGGCAGAAUGGGAAACGAAUGAACCAAAUAAUAGUAUAUAAUAAUAUGAAUUUGGUAAAAAUAAAAAAUAAAUAAAGUAAAGUGGUGACACGUACCUCCUUUUAUUUCUCGAUCGAGUAGUGCAGAAAGUGGAGUGUGUGUGUGUGUGUUAAUUGUGAAAUGUCAGCCAAUUUUUUCUCUCUCAUUCUGAAACAGCUCAGCAGGAAUGGUGUACACUAGAGACGUCUGUCUGUCAGUCAGAACUGCCAAAAGAGCAAAACGGGUGCACGUACAAAUUAAAGCAGCCAAUCAGCGAUAUAUUUCAGUUACUUAAAGCUAGCACAGAGGGAACAAGCAAUGUGCAGGGCCAAAAGAGAUGAGACCCCUGAACCCGAACCCUCCUGAAUGAUCUGAUCACAUCUGAUUCGAUGUCUCGAGUCAUUAGAUUUAACAUAUUUUAAAAAUAUUUCUCAGUUAAUAUGUGAUUUAAUUAAAGGUCAAGUUUACAUCUGAAACUGAACUUAUUAAAAAUUAAUUUGAAAUAACAUCUAAGCUAUCUAUUUGUUUAUAAUAAAAUUUAAUUGUCAUAUCAGAAUUAUUUUCCGUUAGACUUUACAAUAAGUUAAUCCCAAAUAAAUUGACAAUUUCAAUUUUAAAGUUAGUUUGUAACUUUAAAAUAAUUUUCUAAUAAAAAUUUAAUCUGAAACAUCUGCAAUAAUAUCAAGUAUUUUGAUGUCAUAACACCAAUGUUUCACAUGCACACACAAGUCAUAUAUAAGUUAAUAAAAACAUCAUUUGUUAUUAACAAAAUCAUGUUAAUUUUUAAUUCUUAAAUUAACUCCCUGUUAAAUUUUGGCUAAAUCAUUAUUGCAAUUUAUAAAUUAAUAUUUAUAAAAAAUUAUGAAUCAUCCAAAAAGCUGCUUGAUAUAGAUUAAUUUCAUGGUCAUCAAUUUUUUUUUUAUUUAUACACCUUUAAAUUAUCACUUGUAUCAUAUGAAAAGACUAUAUUACCCCUCUAACAUCAUCAUAUUUAAACGGCAACUAAGCUAUGGUGAACGACAUUAUAUUUUGUCAACUUAAGAUGAAUGACUGAUAUACGCUAAAAGUAUUGUAGUAAAUUUGAUAAUAAAGUAUACAAUUGAUAAUUUUCCUAUUUAUAAUUUAUCCCCUUAAUUAUGAGUAAUUUUGUUUUUGUCUUCAUUUGUCCCUUUCCUACAAAACCAUUACUAAUGUACAAGUUACAUAUAUAAAACAUUCUUCUUUAAUCAAGUUUGGAAUAUUUUCAUCCUUAUGUAAAAUUAUGCAUAUAUCUUUUGAGUUUCUCAAUUGUACUUGAAAAAAAAAAUUACAUUUAAUCACGGUUGGUUAUCCAUAAAAAAUUUUAGGUGGAAAGUUCACGCGUUUUAAAAUUUAAUUGUGGAAUUAUAUUACAUUUAUUAUUUAGUUUCAAUUUAAUCAUGUAUCAAAUUCAUGUUUUAAAACAUGUGGAAAUUUAUAAUAUAUAAUGAUUCUAUGUAAAUAUAUUAUCUCAUUUCUUCAUUCUUUUGUUAUUAGUUCUCCUCCACUGCAUUAGAUAUAUUUUGAAGUUUUCUAAUGUAAAUGUUACUAACAAAUACGCAUUGAAUAAUUAUCGGGUAGUUUAUAUUAUAAUUUAAUAAUAGCCACAACAUAAAUGUACAAUUUGGUGAUAGUAAAUGACAUUACAUGAAAAUGAAAUCAUCAUGUUGCAAACAAGAUGCAACCAAGGGAUUGCAAACAAUGUUAAGUUACUAUUGGGUCACUUGAACUCCUGGGCUCUCUCCUGUGUAAUUUAUAUUAGACUGUCGCGUACAAAACGCAGACAUAUAUAUACAUACAAGUAGUGCUUUGGCAACAGACACAAUAACCAAGAAGCAGCCCUUGUUUUCAAAUUCAUUCAAAUGCCAGCCUGCAGUUUUGAAUCCUUCAAAUGCCAGCCUGCAGUUUUGAAUCCUUCAAAUUGUGCUCCACCUUUUGAGGGGACGAUGAAGAGUGAAAGAAGAGACAAAUGGCAGAAUAUCAUCCAUUGCAAUGCCUCGUUUCUUAUAUUUCCAUGCCCGAACAGCAAAUUCCACCAAUCUUUUUGCUGCCUUUUCCCUAUCCACUACUGAAGAAACAAUCUCCACCGCCUCUUGGUUCGAAAUCACAUCCCAAACCUGAAGAACAAUCCAUAAUUGAUCUUUCAAACAUUGACAUUAGUUCAGAUCAAAAGAUAAUUCCAAUAUGUGGAUACGUACCCCGUCCGAUGCCAGAAUGACAAAUUGGUCUCGUGUUGUUAUGUUUCUUUGCGUUACAUGGAGCACGGAGAUUAGGCCAUAGUCCUUGACACAGUAAUCACCCAAGGCUCUUGAUAUGGCUAGUCCCGGAGUCUCACCAUUCGGCAUCCAGACUCUGUAUACGCCCGGCUCAUCAUUUAAGCAAAACACAAGCCCUUUGGACUGCGUUAUUCGCUCCGCUUCCUCUGUAUAGGCCAGUGAAGACAAGAACCCGUACGCAGACCUUAAAACACACCCAUAUAUACACCUACACGAGGCAGAAAUAUUUAAGAGAAGAUGAGAUAAUUGAGAUCUGAUUGGUAAAAUAUUGUUAAUUAGUAAAAAAUAAUUAAUAUACUUGCUAUUUAAGUAUUUUACUAAUAUUUUAAACAUCGGUAUUCAAUGAUGUUAAUAUGUGAUUUUAAUAUUAAAUUUAUGUUCUCAUUUAUAACAGUAUGGUCAUCAGUAUUCACAACACAUCAUAUAUUAAUGUAUGGGUUUAUUAAUAUUAACAAACAUUUAUUUCCAAAUAAAUAUGGUAGCCUUAGUAUUUAAGAAUAUUCUUUAUUGUCUAGUCGUCUGUCCAAGGAAGAACGGGCCAUCAUCAAAUUUAUCAAGGGCCUUCUCUAAGUAAUCAAAAGCAGGACCUGUGACAAAUUAAAACUUUUUCCGUGAGUUCAGCACAUAUAUAUACAUAUUCAAAAUGCAUUCUAUUAUAAACAAGUAAGCAAGUUUCAAAUCCUACCAGCUUGUUUUGCUGGGUCUCCUUUGAAUGAAGUAUACACAUCGUUGGUGAAGGUAUCGAUGUGGGAAAACAGUUCAUCAGCAAACUUUCGUUUCUCAGGAUCCUACAAUAUUUUCACAACAUUACUUUACUCAAAGUUGAGAGAGAGAGAGAGAGAGAGAGAAGCUUUUAUUAAAAGCAACAAUGUAAUCAGCAAAAUCUUACAUCAGGUAAAAGUGAAGGCCCUUCAAAAUUGCUGUCAACAUAUUUAAUCAAAUCAAGAGAUUCUCCAAUAACUUUGCCAUUGUGCUCCAGUGCUGGAACCUGUAAAGAAGAACUCUAAUAGGUAAAUAUACUUCAUAACUCCAGCAAUGAUCUCUAAUCUUGCACGAAAAUGUAACAAUCAGUUUAACUCUUUCGUUGUGUUUUCUUGCAAGCAAGCAACUUGCUCAAAUCAGAAUAUGUUAAGAUUUUACUAGGCACACAAAGCACAAAGACACCAUUCCAAUUUUAUUCAGGAACUCCUCCGCACAGAUUACAAGCAUUUCAAUUUCAAAGAUGGGGCAUAAGUGUUGGAGAAUUAACAAAUAAAACACACAAAAAACACACUAUUUUAUUUCUUCAACAACACUCCUCACCAAUUACAACUCUUAUCUUUCACUCUCUACACCUUAGAGAUUUUGCUACUUCACUUGAUGAUUAAACCAAAGGGGAGAGGGGGUAUUUAUACAUGAAACAAACUAAUCACAACCAUUCAUUUAUUCAACUAAUACACAAAUCCUCACCAUCCAUUAAAACCUACCACUCACCUACUUCACCAACCACACCUAACACACCUAACACAAAUAAUUCAAACCUCACCAACCAUACCUACUCAUGGAACCUUCCAUGAGUUGGGCUUGAUUUGGAUCAAGUUUAUGAUCCAACACCUCCCCUUAAACUUGAUCCUGUGACACCAAGCAAACUUCUGAAUCUUAUAAAGUCUUCUUGCUUGAGUGGCUUAGUGAAGAUAUCAGCUGUUUGAUCAUGUGAUUUUACAUACUUGAUUUGCACUUCUUUUGUUGCAAUACACUCUCUUAUAAAAUGAUAGCGAGUGUCUAUGUGUUUACUUCGAUCAUGAAAGACUGGAUUCUUGGAUAGGGCAAUUGCUGAUUUGUUAUCAACACAAAUCUCGGUUGGCUCUUCUUGUGCCAAACUCAACUCCUUCAGCAAAUUUCUGAGCCAAAUUGCAUGACAAACACUUGAUGUGGCAGCUACAUAUUCAGCUUCACAGGUGGAUAGCGUGACAAUUGGUUGCUUCUUUGACAUCCAUGUGAAAGCAGUAUCUCCCAUGAAGAACACAAAUCCUGUGGUGCUCUUUCAAUCAUCUACAUCUCCACCCCAAUCGCUAUCGCUAUAUCCAACAAGCUUAUAGUCAUUAGAAAAUGAGUACAGCAAGCUGAAAUUAGUUGUACCUUUGAUGUAGCGAAGGAUUCUUUUUGCAGCUUUAAAAUGGGUGGUCUUUGGAUUCUCCAUGUAUCGGCUCACAAGUCCAACAGCAUAAAGGAUAUCUGGUCUUGUGCAUGUCAAAUAACGUAGGCUUCCAACCAAACUUUUAAAGAAUGUUGGAUCUAUAUCUUCGCCUUCAUCAAGUUUGGAUAACUUGACUCCGCAUUCCACUGGCGUGCUUAUAGGCUUGCAAUAAUUCAUCUUGAUCCUUUUGAGAAUCUCCUUUGCAUAGCUUUCUUGGGAGAUAAAUAUGUCUUCUUCCUUUUGCUUGACUUCAAUGCCGAGGUAAUAUGCCAUCAGUCCGAUGUCAGUCAUCUCGAACUCUUUGAUCAUCACUCUCUUGAACUCUUCAAACAAGCUUGGAUUACUUCCAGUAAAGAUGAGAUCAUCCACACACAGGCACACAAUCAAAAUAUCUCCAUCUUUUUCUUUGACGUAGAGAGCAUGUUCAUAUGGGCAUUUAGUGAAGCCUUUCUCUUGAAAAUACUUGUCAAUUCUGCUAUUCCAUGCCCUUGGUGCUUGCUUUAACCCGUAGAGAGCUUUCUUCAAUCUCAAAACUUUGUCUUCAUGUCCUUUCACCACAUAGCCUAUUGGUUGUUCGAUGUAAACUUCUUCUUCAAGGAAUCCAUUCAAGAAAGCAGACUUCACAUCCAUUUGAAAAAUCUUCCAUUUGUUCUGAGCAGCCAAAGAAAUAAUAAGUCUAAUAGUUUCAAGUCGAGCUACAGGAGCAAAUACCUCGUCAUAGUCUAUGCCAGCCUUUUGACUAUAGCCUUUUGCAACUAGCCUUGCCUUGUGCUUUUCAAUUUCUCCCUUCGCAUUUCUUUUUGUUUUAUACACCCAUUUGACACCGAUCGCCUUGUGACCUUUUGGAAGAGUAGUAAGCUCCCAAGUAUCAUUCUUCACAAUGGCUUUGAUUUCUUCAUCCAUUGCAGUUCUCCACUUCUCAUCUAGUAUAGCUUCUUAGAAGUUGACUGGCUCACAAUCAGCAAAGAGGCAAAAGAGAGUGAGAUUAUCAUGUCUCUCAGUUACCUCAUAGAGAUCUUGAAGACUCCUUGUACGUUCUUCGAUUCUUUCAUUUAAGAAAGACGGCGGUGAAUCUCUGCAUGUGGUUGGUGCUGGUGAGAUAGGUGGAGUAGCAAGCUAUUGUUGUUCGUCUACUUGUUUUAUCUGUGUAUGAUCAUUUUCUUCAAUGGGAAAGAAGUUGAAGUCAUCCACACCAGAGCCAAAAUCCCAUUCUCCUUCUUCAUCAAAAAUUACAUCUCGACUGAUCACGAUCUUCCCGUUGUUUGGAUUGUAAAGCUUGUAUCCUUUGGAGUUGUUGUCGUAGCUGAUGAAGAUGAACUUCUCACUUUUGUCAUCCAGCUUGGCUCUACUUUCGUCUGGUACAUAUACAUGGGCAAUGCUUCCGAAAACUCUUAGAUGGGUGAUGCCGGGUUUUCUUCCACUCCAAGCUUCUUGUGGCGUCUUGCCCCACACGCUUCUUGUUGGAGAUCGAUUGGAUAAGUAGACUGCACAUGCAACUGCUUCAGCCCAAAAUUCUUUAGGUAGCCUCUUACUCUUAAGCAUGCUUCUUGCCAUGUCGAGGAUGGUUCUGUUCUUCCUUUCUGCAACACCAUUUUGUUGGGGGGAUCUUGGAACUGUCAAAGGGCGUCGAAUUCCAUUUGCUUCACAAAACUCUAAAAAUUCUUUGGAAGUGAACUCACCACCUCGAUCAGAUCUCAUGGCUUUAAUCUGGUAUCCACUUUCUUUUUCCACUGCAGCUUUAAACUUCUUGAAAGCUUCAAAGACUUCUGAUUUUUGCUUCAAAAAAUACACCCAAGUUUUUCUUGAAAAAUCAUCUAUGAAGAGAAGGAAGUAGUUACUUUUACCAAGGGAGUUUGGCUUGAAUGGACCGCACACAUCAGUAUGAAUAAGCUCGAGUGGCUUCUGAGCUCUUGAGUUUGACUCCUUUGGAAAGCUCUUUCUGAACUGCUUGCCAAGUAAACAUCCUUCACAAAGUUGAUCAGGGUGAUUGAUGUAUGGUAAGCCUUUCACCAUGUUCUUCUUAGAUAGUAGCUCCAGUCCUCCAAAGUUGAGAUGCCCAUAUCGAAGAUGCCAAGUCCAGGAUUGAUCUUUGUGACAGGCUUUGAGACAUUUUGCAACAUCAUUUUGAAUAUUUAAUGGAAACAUUCUAUUCUUUGACAUUUUCACCUUUGUAAUUAGAUUUCCUUUAUCAUCUCUUAGGAAAAGACUAUAAUCUUUUAAGUGAAUAUCAUAGCCUUUUUCAAAAAGUUGACCCAAACUAAGAAUGUUGCUUUUCAUAUUGGGCACAUAGUAAACAUUCGAAAUUAUUUGGUGACUACCAUCUUUUGCACGAAAAAGAAUGUUACCUCUACCCUUCACUGGUACUUUUGAAUCAUCUCCAAAAGCAACACUGCCAUUCACAGAUUCACUUAGCUGCACGAACAUGCUUUUGUUCCCACUCAUAUGAUUGCUAGCACCUGUGUCAAGAUACCAUGUAUUUUCUUGACCCCCACUUGUGUCAUUGCGUGCUAGUAAAAGUGUGCCAUCUUCACCAUUUUUCUCUUCAGCAUAGUUCACUCUCUCCUCAAUUCUAGUGCUUGGAGCUCUGCAUUCUGAAGCAUAAUGCCCAAACUUUUGACAAUUAUAGCACUGUACUUGAGAUUUGUCAUACCCUCGAUCUUGGAUUGCCUCUGCCUCGUCCUCUGCUUGAGCUUUCUCCUUUUGGCCAUAAUUGGAGUUGUUAUUGAAAUUCCCAACCCUCGUCCAUGACCCACGACCUCUACCUCGUCCCUCGACCUCUACCUCGGACAUAGUGUCUUCUCUCGUUGUCGGAGCUUUCUUCUCUUUUCUUUGGAUUGACUUCCAUCUUGAGAAGUUGUUCUUCGAUUCCCUGCUUCUUUUUUUGUUUCUCUUCAUAGGCUUGUAACCUUCCUUAAAGUUGCUCGAUCGUCAUAUCUUCCACGAACCUUCUUUACUUGCUCCGCUCCUUUGUAAGAGGUCUCUAGUUUCUCCCAUGCUUCUUUUGAGGAGGUUGUACCAGCAAUCUUUUCAAAAGCAUCUUCAUCUAAUGAUUGAAAGAUGAGAUACUUUGCUUUAUUCUCUUUCUUCUUCAAGUCUUUUAAAUUCUCCUUCUGCGCCGCAGUUAAAGUGGCUUCAUUUUCUGGCACAAUAAAGCCUUUCUCCACGACAUCCCAUACGUCAUGUGCACCCAAUAGAGCUUUCAUUUUAAUACUCCAAUUGUCAAACUUACUUCCCUUUAAUUGUGGAACUUAAAAUGACAUCAUACCAUUGUUUGCCAUAACUCACAAAUUGAGUGAAAAUUUGGAGAUUCUGAAAGCACAGAUGGAUCCGGCACGUCGAAAAACCUUGGGAAGGACUCGAGUCAACUUUCAGUCAACGGUCAACGUCGGUCAACGGUCAACACCGGCUUGGUAGUCUUGGUUUGGUCCGGAUUGGUUCAGCUCCAGUUGGCUCGGUUCGACUCGGCUCGGUUCAGCUCGGCUCGGCUUGGUUCAGUUCGGCUCAGCUUGGUUCAACUCGGUGAGUCGACUCAGCUUCAGGACAGAAAACUUCCGAUGGCAAGUGUGGGUGCGUUCGGUCUCGGAUCGGGAUGAUUUUUGCGGCGUCACGUUCCUCUCGUCAAGAUCUUCGAUUUGAUAUGCUAUAUGACUAUAUAUAGCAUCAAACACUAGCUCUGAUACCACUUUGUUGGAGAAUUAACAAAUAAAACACACAAAAAACACACUAUUUUAUUUCUUCAACAACACUCCUCACCAAUUACAACUCUUAUCUUUCACUCUCUACACCUUAGAGAUUUUGCUACUUCACUUGAUGAUUAAACCAAAGGGGAGAGGGGGUAUUUAUACAUGAAACAAACUAAUCACAACCAUUCAUUUAUUCAACUAAUACACAAAUCCUCACCAUCCAUUAAAACCUACCACUCACCUACUUCACCAACCACACCUAACACACCUAACACAAAUAAUUCAAACCUCACCAACCAUACCUACUCAUGGAACCUUCCAUGAGUUGGGCUUGAUUUGGAUCAAGUUUAUGAUCCAACAAUAAGGACACAGAGUCACAUAAUUAGGCUAUUUGGUAUUGAGGUGCUGUAGUUUUUUUAGCUACAGCUGCCACGGACCCAAAAAAAAAAAACUGUAACUAUAAAAUAAAAGUUAAAAAUGCGUAAUAAAUAUGAAUUUUAAAUUAAGAUUUUGACAAAAAUAGUAGAAAUAUUAUAAUUUUACAAAACACUUUUAACUCUAUACCUUUUAAUCCACGGCCGCCCUACCUCAAUACCNNNNNNNNNNNNNNNNNNNNNNNNNNNNNNNNNNNNNNNNNNNNNNNNNNNNNNNNNNNNNNNNNNNNNNNNNNNNNNNNNNNNNNNNNNNNNNNNNNNNNNNNNNNNNNNNNNNNNNNNNNNNNNNNNNNNNNNNNNNNNNNNNNNNNNNNNNNNNNNNNNNNNNNNNNNNNNNNNNNNNNNNNNNNNNNNNNNNNNNNNNNNNNNNNNNNNNNNNNNNNNNNNNNNNNNNNNNNNNNNNNNNNNNNNNNNNNNNNNNNNNNNNNNNNNNNNNNNNNNNNNNNNNNNNNNNNNNNNNNNNNNNNNNNNNNNNNNNNNNNNNNNNNNNNNNNNNNNNNNNNNNNNNNNNNNNNNNNNNNNNNNNNNNNNNNNNNNNNNNNNNNNNNNNNNNNNNNNNNNNNNNNNNNNNNNNNNNNNNNNNNNNNNNNNNNNNNNNNNNNNNNNNNNNNNNNNNNNNNNNNNNNNNNNNNNNNNNNNNNNNNNNNNNNNNNNNNNNNNNNNNNNNNNNNNNNNNNNNNNNNNNNNNNNNNNNNNNNNNNNNNNNNNNNNNNNNNNNNNNNNNNNNNNNNNNNNNNNNNNNNNNNNNNNNNNNNNNNNNNNNNNNNNNNNNNNNNNNNNNNNNNNNNNNNNNNNNNNNNNNNNNNNNNNNNNNNNNNNNNNNNNNNNNNNNNNNNNNNNNNNNNNNNNNNNNNNNNNNNNNNNNNNNNNNNNNNNNNNNNNNNNNNCUGGAAAGAGCUCAAGCUAAUUAAUUGAUUUUUAUCUUUUGGAUGCACUUAAUUGUAAUUAACCGGAUCAAAUUUUGAAACCAAAAUAAUUCACGGGGCAUUCUAGCUUCUAGCUAAUUCAUCCAAAAAAAUAUAAAAUUAUAUAAAAAUAAUAAAAAUACGUGUGAUGUCAGCUUGAUGCGUACAUUCAAAGUUCCAAUUGAAAACAAAUAGAUAUUCAUUUUUCUUGUCAAAUUAUUGAAAGAGACAUCUCUUAAUUUCUUCCAUCACCAGCAACGGUUGAGUGACCUUGUCUUACAUUGUGCAGCAGCCUCCUCGAAGUUAAAAAAAAAAAAAAAAAAUAGCCCAUUAUCUUGGCUUUUGGCUGGAUCCAAAUUUUUGUUAAAUACAAAUAAAUAUAAUAUCAACUUAAAUAUUCCAAUAAACCUUCUAAUAUCUUCUUUGAACAGUUUUAUUUUUAUUUUAUGAGGAGGGAAGAGUAAACCAUUAAAACUAUAAUUCAUCAUAAAUUUAUUGUACCAAUUUUUUUUUUAAAUCCAUAAUUUUGUGAAAUAUAAAUUUUAAGAAUUGAAAAAUAUCAUUAUAGCUUUCAUAUCCAAAGUUAAUUUUGAUAUUUUUGUACAAUUACAUAAUCUUCAAAUGUGGAUAAUGUAAAAGAUGAAAAUUGUCAAAUUAUUAGAUAAUUGUUUUUACAAAAUUUUAACGAUCAGAAAAAUCUUAAUUUAUAUGUCUUAGUUUAAAGAAUUGGUAUUAUCAAAUGUUACUUAAAUGUAAAUAUAAUAUAAAUAUUUUGUGUAUUUAUAUGUUACGUUUAUGAUUUGAUCACUGUUUAUCUAAAUUUUAAUAAAAUCAGACAUAUUUAUGUAAUUUACUCAUAAAAAAAUAAUCCAUGAUUUAAUUUGCAAUGAUCAAAUUGUUGUAUUUUGUCAUAUCAAAAUACAUAUUUUUGUACAAUUACCCAUAAAGUUUAUGCUACAAUCAAGCUAUUUAUAAUAUAAGUGUGAUUUUUGAAUUUAAUAUUGAUAUUAGUAUUAAAUAUGAUAAUAGAAAAAUAUUUUAUUAGAUAUUAAUUGGGUCAUUUGUGUUAUUGUUUUUAAAAAUUAAUGACCUGCAACAUUAAUUGUCAAUAAUGGGUUUUUUUAAAACAUGCUGGUGCCCGGAUGUAAAUGCCGGUACCUCCCAAGUCAGUAGCCUUAUUAUAACAGUGUAUUCCCGUCAGCAUAUUGGCCUGCCCCUGUACCAUUACUCCAAUUGAUGCUGAAAAUAUAACAACAUCAGUGACCGCGUUGUCGUUUCCCGUGAUGUUUAUUCCGAUGCCGGAGAAAUCCUUUUCGCGAUCAUCCCCGCCGAUGUUGAUGUGUUGGCCGAUGAAGGAAUUUCUUAUAUACGUUUCGUGGCCAUCUUGGAUGGAAAUGCCAGCGGUAGUGAAAUGCGAAAUGUAACAAUUGUCCACUGUGGUUCUUAUUGAAUUUAUAAUGGCAAUGCCGCCACCCCUAAAAUUGGAGUCCAACAUAAGCUCCUUCAAAGUAAUGUAUUCGUAUAAUGACGAUGAUGAUGACGAUCUUAACUCUAUGAGAUGUCCGUUGCCCGAAAAAUCAUCCGAUGCUCGGAGGGACCCACCGUGUACCUAUGUAUACAUAUAUAGAUGUUAAAAGUAAGAAUUAAAGUAAGAAUUAAAUUUUAAAUUAAUAUGUGAUUUGGUAUGAUUCCUAGUUACAAAAUUUUGGCAUUUUGUAUUCGGUUUUGUAGUCCUUCAUAAGACUGGCAAAAAUCAUUAUCAAUUAAACAUUAUGUUGUUAUAUUUUUUUAAUGAUCUUUAUUUUAUUUGCUUUAAACAAUAUCUAUUUUUCAAAAACAAUACUUUUGACAAGCAAACCCUAAAGUGGGAUUGAAGCAGAGAUGAAAGAGAAAGCAUGCAUUUUGCACAUGUUUAUAAAAACAAGAGAGUAUAUUUAAUCUCAAUCUGUAAUUCUGUAUAAUGUAUUAUUCUUAAGUUUGAAUCAAAUUAUUCUUGAUUCCAUCUGCCAAUCCAUCUCGGGCCAUUGAAUUAUGCAUAGCUAUUAUGGUAAUGGUCUCUUUAUUCUCCUCACAAUCAAUUAAUUGUGAUGACCAUACUGUUCUCACGAUUCUCAACCGCAAAAAAUUUAAAUAUUGUAUUGUACAUUUUUAUAAACAAAUUUUAUGUCAUCUCCAUUAUUGUGGAAUUUUAAUAUCCUAAUACAAUAUUAUGAUAGUAAUUGGGUCAAUAUGGGUAUUGGGUCAUAUUAUCGUUAUAAAUAUUAAUUUAUUAUAACUGAGUGUGUAAAGUAUCUUUUUUUAUUGUUGUACCAUAUUUAACUUUUGGCUGCAAAUAUAUAUAUACUUAGCAUUAUUUAUAUCAAUAAGUUAAUAUAUAUAUCCUUUUCUUUAGCAUCAAAUUUAAGUUUUUAAAAAGUUAUGAUAAUUCACUAAUUUGGUAUUUAGGAAAUUAAAUCCAUAUCAAUUUAUUAGAUAUCUUAAACCGUAUGUAAAAAUAGAAUAUUGACCAUUAUUCUAUUAGUAAUAUAUCCAUUAAAGAUUUUGACGUGCUAUGGUCUAAAAAAAUUAACUUGGCGGGAUGUUAUGAUUAUAUUCAAGGUGAUAGGCAAGAAAGUUAUGAGGAGACCCCAUUGAAGCCUAUAUAUUAUAGUAUGCAUAAAGACUCAAAAAGUGCACUUGAAAUAACAGUUGUCACUGACAGGUUAAGAUAAGCUACCAAAUUGGCACUUAAAGGAAGAAAUUCUAGUAUUAGUGUCAUAUUUUAUGCCAUAUUAUGUAAUGCAUAUUAGUAAUGAUUUCUUCAUAAUAUCGCAUAUAUAUAAAAGUUCAUCCUAGCUAGAUGCAUUGUAGAUUUUGUAAGAAUUAUUUUACUCUGUCCAAAUGAGUUCACAUUAUUAUCCAAUUUUCCUUUUUUUAAGUUGAUUUAUGAAAGAAAAAAAAAAAUGACACCAAUGUUUUCCACGUCGCCGCAAGUCUCAUCGAUAAAAGUCCAUCUACAAAUUAGUUCAUAAUUCUUUUUGUAACUUCGCUAAAAGCUAGUCAAGUCAUUGCUAGCAAGCCUCAAAAGCACGAAGUACGCGAAUCACGGCGAUAACUGAUAAUAACUUGGUUGUCCGGUUUCGCAUACUAAUUAGCUUGAUUGAAAAUCGUGAAGUAUGGGGCACGACUAACGCAACGCAUACGUCUCAUGCAUUAGGCAAAUAUUGUACGCGACCCAUGUUGAGAGCACAAAUCCACUAUCUACAAGUACUAUAUAUAGAGCUGCAAUGCGUGCUUCAAGUAUUCACAACUUACCCCCAGCUGGCUAGCUAGCCUCUAUAAUUUGAAGGGAAAAAAAAAAAAAAAAAACCUUGUUCAACUUGCAAAUACCUACCAAUUAUUAUGGAGAAAAGCUUUGAUAUCAUUGCCCUGUCUAUGAUCAUUCUGGUGACUUAUUCAUCUAAAAUGGUGUCGGUCGCCGGCCGGUCGCUGCAUGAACCAUCCAUUGUUGAGAAGCAUGAAAAAUGGAUGGCUGAGCAUGGGCGCACUUACAAGGACGACCUGGAGAAGGAAAAGCGGUUUAAGAUAUUCAAAGAAAACCUUGAAUACAUUGAGAAAGCCAAUGAGGAGGCGAAUCGGACGUACAAGUUAGGCACCAAUGAAUUUUCAGACUUAACUAAUGAGGAGUUUCGUGCUUCAUAUACAGGAUACAGGGUGCCAAGCCAGUCAUCUUCAUCACGGCAAUCCACAACAGCAUCCUUCAAGUAUCAAAACCUGACUGACGUUCCAACUAGCAUGGACUGGAGAGAGAAAGGAGCUGUCACUCCUAUUAAGAACCAAGGUCAAUGUGGUAAGUAAAUCGUAUACUAAAUAUUUAUGAAGUAACUAUAAUAGAUUAUUUAGCCUCCAACCUCUUUCAGAACUCAAACUCAGUUGACCAUCAGCUAAUUAAUAAAAACAGCUUGACAACCGUCUGCCAAACCCCUGCUGGGGCAUGUUUCAUGUAACUUAAUCAAGCCUUUUUUUUUUUUUUUUCCCUUAAUAUGUACGAUGCAGGAGACUGUUGGGCAUUUUCAACUGUGGCGGCGGUGGAAGGGGUGACUGAGAUUAGUAGUGGUAAUCUUAUUCCACUUUCGGAGCAGCAAAUACUAGACUGCUCAAUAGAUGGUAACCGUGGAUGCGGUGGCGGUUGGAUGGACAAUGCCUUUAAAUAUAUUAUAAAAAACCAGGGUAUUGCCUCAGAAGCGGAUUAUCCAUACAAGGAAGUCCAAGGGACUUGUGAAGACGCACAGGUCAAGGCAGCUGCUAAAAUUAGUAACUUUGAAGAUGUAAAACCCAAUGAUGAGCAGGCUUUACUCCAAGCUGUAGCCAUGCAGCCAGUAUCAAUUUGCAUUGAAGGAAGUGGACCAGACUUCCAGAGUUACAAAGGCGGUAUUUUUAACGGAGGAUGUGGAACUCAGUGUUCUCAUGCUGUUGCUAUCGUUGGAUAUGGGGCAACUGAAGAUGGAAUGAAGUAUUGGUUAAUUAAGAAUUCAUGGGGGGAGAGCUGGGGUGAGGCCGGCUACAUGAGGAUUCUCAGAGAUGUUGAAGCACCUGAAGGUCUCUGUGGCAUUGCCACUAAACCUUCCUACCCAGUUGCAUGAGUAGCAGUAUUUUAUAUUAUAAUAUUAUUAGCCGCCUCUUAGUAAUGAUGUCUUCAAGCCUACACAUGCAUUAGCCUCGAAAGGCUUAUACGAACCGUAUGAAUCGUAUGAUUCUGUGGUUUUACCUAUGUUGAGUAUUUCAUAAGUUGUAAUUGAACGCCAAUAUUUGGUAUUAGUUAAUGUUAAAUCUCUCGUUUAAAUAUAAGUUUGAUCUUUGCAGUAAUUAGUCAUUUACAUUUAAUGUCACGGAUACUCAAUUCGACCAAGAAAUACAUAGUUUAUAUCUUAGUUACUCUGAUAUUUUAUGUGGCAUGUUAUAUGUAGUUCAUUGAUCAAGUUGUAAGAAUAGUAUGUAAAUAAUUAAUAAUAAAUUUAUUUAUUAUCAUUUAUGAGACAAUAAAUGAUUAGUGGAACAUUAAUUAAAAUACAAACUAUUAUUAUUUAUUUAAGAAAUAUAUAUUGGUCAAUGAAAUUAAUGCAAGACAAAAAGUAACUGAAUUUUGAUUACACGCUUGAUGUCUGGAAGUACAAUGAUUAUGAAUUUGUGUUUAAUUAGGUCAAAGUUUUAAGUUAAAAUAAUCAAACCUAUAUACUCACACUAACUUUUAAAGUUUGAGUGGAAUUUGCCCGCUUUAAUUGGGGUCUCAUACAGCAAAAAAUUUUUGGCCAUCUUGAAUUUCUUUUUCUAUUUACUUAUAAAAAUUUAAAGGCUUGGUAAUUUCCCUCCCCCAAAUUCUGUCUUUAUUCCUAAGUAAAUUAGUUAGUCAUUAUUUCAAUAAUUAAAAUUAUUCUAAGUUCUAAAUUUUGGGCGUGGAGGGAAAGUUAAGCGCAAGUAGCCGUGACUGAUUAAUAUUAAACAAUAUAAUUUAAUGCAUUUUUUUCUUCAUCUAUUUUUUUAAUAUUAGUUUUUGAACAAAAUAGUAGAACGAUAGUUAGAAUUUAUUAAUCAAAUUUUUUUACUUUCAUAUCCAUAUUAUAUUGUCAAUAAUAGUGUCAUGUAAUUAUAAUUAAAAGUAUUUGCAAAUAAUUUUGAAAGUCGACCGCCUCAUCAAAAACUCAGGAUGGCCGAGUGGUCUAAGGCGCCAGACUCAAGUCUGGUCUUCGAAAGAGGGCGUGGGUUCAAAUCCCACUUCUGACAAUGUAAUUUUUUAUUUUUUAUUCAUUUUUUUACAACGUUACGACUAAACGACGUCAUUUUCAUUAAACGGCAAGUCGUUUCAGUCGUCUUCUUUAACGGAAUAAAAAAUAUCUAAACCGAAGACCAAUGUUUCCAAACCCGCUAUAAACCCUACAGAUAACCCUCAUUGCCACUCGCAUCACUGAGUUCUUAACCUGAGUUAAAAUGGCCGAGUCCGCAUCCGAACUCAGUGAGUUCCGGAUUUUUCCGGCGGACUCACCGCCACCACAACCGAAUUCAACCGGAGUUCCGGUUCAUAAUCUAACACCAGAGGAGCUCGUGGCCAAAGCCAUAGCUCCAGUUAAGAAACAGUUUCUUCGUCAUUAAAUUCCAAAAUAAAUUUUAACAUAAUAAUUAAUUCUUUUAAUAGAUAAAAUUUUCUAUAUGCACGAUUGAAUUCAGCCCCAAAAUGUUAAUUAAAAAACAAUUAUCCAAUAUUCAAGAUAGUUUGAAUCGUCAUUCUCAUAUCGUUAUAAUGUCAUGAAAUAAUUGUACAAAAACAAAUGACCAAUAAAUUCACAAACGUAUAAUAUUGCCUAAUGUAAAUAACUUAUUAAUUAAUAUUGAUAUAUUAUUAAUUACUUAAUGUUUUACCUUUUUAUAAAACAUAAAAUUAUGUUUACUUCCAUUCAAGAUAUCCCAAAAAAAUUAAUCUUUUUGGAUGAUUCAUAAUUUUCAAGAGGAUGUUUUUACACCAUACCAUCGUCAAAUUGAUAAGGGCCAUGUUAUUUUUUAUUUAAUUGAUUUAAAUUUCAACUAGAGAGCUAUUGGAAUCGAUCACUGUAAAAGUUAAGUUGUGAUGUAAUCACACAAUCUUGAGAUCUGCUAUUAGAAAAAUAAUUGAAGAACCAAAUCCCAAUGAAAAUACAUCCAAAAUGAUGUCGUUUUGAAUUUGUUCCCAAAAAAAAAAAAAAAUUAAACUCACUAAAAAACAACAUGUGUGUUUUUGUUAACCUUUUAUCGAAUUGUAAUUUAAAUAUUUAUCAUGUACUUUUAUAUUCUAUUCAGGGCUGGCUCAACCAUAUUUGAGGCCUUAGGCAAAUGGUUUUAAUUAGUUUUUCUUAAAAUUUAGGACAAAAAAUAUGUUUAUUAGUUAUGAGUGAUGAUACAGCCACAAACUCUUGUACAAACUGACGUGGUAUUAAUUCAUUGGUUGAAUGAAAAUAUAAAAUAAUAAAAACAAAUCACGUGAGCCAAGUGAUAUUUAAUUCAACCAAUCUUAUCAUGCCACAUCAGUUUGUACAAGAGUUUGUGGUUAUAUCAUUACUCAUUAGUUAUAUAAUAUUUAUUGAAAAUCAAUUCUUUAAACACUCUCUAAAAUGUAAAAUUAUUAAAUAAAAUUAUAUUACACUAUUGUCAAUCCUUGAAAUUUUAAUUCAAUUAUAAUAUUUUUACUUUUUUUUUUAACUCAAAUUACAUCUUUUAUACUACUUCUUUUCUACAUUAAAUUAAUUUUUUUAUUCUUCUAUUUUCUAAAGUUUUUUGAUAUAGUUAUUUAUUUCACAAUAGAAAAAAAAAAGCACACAAAAAAUAGUAGAUGAAUAAAAGAAUGUAUUAAAAAGAAAUAAGAACACAUAAAUAAUACGAUUAAUUAAGAGAAUAAUAAAAAAUAAAAUCUGAAAUUUGAAAUUUGAGAUGAAAUCAUAAAUUAACUUUAUCUUUAUAUUAAUUAUUUGAAGAUUUGAGUAAUGACUAAUAGCCAUAGAGAAUAGAAAAAAACUAUUAGAUUUUUUCUUUUUUUUCUUGAGUGGAAAGUAGAGGAAGCAAGAUUUUUUUUCCCCUCUCUCUCUUUCUUGCUCUCAAAAACGAAGAACAUAUGCUGUCUUCAUUGUUAGAAGAAAAAUUUAAUGGAUAAGUAAUAAAAUGUGGGGCUUUUAUAGAGGUUUAAAAUGAAUAUAAAACUUUUAUAUAAGUUGUUAAUUCUAACAAUGAAAUAACGAAUUUAUAGGAUUGAAACUAUUAAUUUAUCGGUUUUGUAGGAAUUAAAACUACUAAGUACUACAUUAAAUAAACUUUAUAGGAACUCGGUAGUUUAUUUGAGAAAAGAUAAUUACAAAAUAAUAAUAAAUUAGAUGCAUGAUAAUGACUUUUAAAUUCACUUUCCUCUUUUAUAUACAAAAUAAUCAUCUUAUAGGAUUUUCUUGUAAAGUAGGGCUCUAAGCAACCGCCUAAGUUGUCUAGAGAUCGAACUGCUACUGAUUCUAUUACUAAUUUUGAAAUUUUCAGACAUAUUUAAGCUCCACUAUUUUAUUUUUUUAAUCAAAAUAGUAUGUUUAUUAAUAAUGAUUAUAAAAAAAAGAUAAUGAUUCAAUAAUGUUGUUUAUAUAUAUUGAAUCAACUUUAAAAGUCAACAUUUACUUUACACACUCGUAUAAAUGCUAAAAUAACCCUUUAUUUAUGUAUUUUUUAAGGCUGUAGAAUGUAUUCAUUACAAAGAUACAGUACAUUUAAUUUGUGGUAUUCAAAAUUUGAUGAUUACCAUUUUUGAGUUGAUGGUCUUAUGCUUCAUAUUUGCAUUAAUUUUAUGUUUAAUAGUAUGACAGUGAUUUCAUGUAAAGUUUUAUUUCCUAAUUACAAUUUUAAAUUAAUGUUCCUAAAUUUCAUAUUAUCAUUAGUUUCAUAUAUCUUUUAUGUUCAAUAUUAAUGAUUUCAUGUAAUACUCCAAUGAAUUCUAGCUUAAUUAUUACAAUUGUAAGUAGAUGAUCAUAUUAUUUUAUGCUUAAUUUUAUAAUUAAAUUAACGAAUGAAACUGUUGCUACCUUUUCAUAAUUAUUUAUUUUCCAGGAAUCAUUUUUUAGCACUUCUCAAUGUCAUUAUUUGAAAAUUAAAUGAGGGGUUGGGUUUGUAUUCAUUACAUCGGAUGAUUUAUAUUUAAAUAAAUUAUUUCAAUCUCAUAUCGUUAUAUUAUGGGUGAUUUUAUAUCCACAUUUAAAUUUUUAAAGUUGUUAUCUUAACUUUUUAAAAUCAGAGUUGUGUUUAUUUAUCAAUUUAAAACGUCAAUAAUCUACUAUUGGCGUAACAAUUGAUAUUCUCAUUUUGGAAUCAUCAAGAAUCUUAAAAUUUUCAAAGCCACCAUGCUCAAUUUAUACACGAAAAAGAGGAGGGGGGGGGGGGGGGGUAAGAUGCAUGAUCAGAAAUGAAUUUGGCAAGUAUUUGAUUGAGUUGAGAGGUCACUAAUCUCACUUAAUUUGCGAAUCACAAUAUGAUUGUUUUCAAUCGGCACCAAAACGAAGGGCUGGUUUUGGUUAUUAUAGUGCCUUGUUCUAUGAAGGAUUUUGGUUACCCACAUAUGGGAUUGAUCUUUGCUUCUACUCAGUAUAAAUUCUUGAAUUAUACUAUAUAUAUAAAAAAAUAAAAAUUAUAGAACAUGCUAUAAGCGUAUAAAUUGAGACUUUCGUUAAAUUUUAAUUUAUAAUAUUUUUCCGGAGAAAAGUAAUUAGCAUGAAACACAACAGCGGUGAAUCAUCUCAUUUUUCAAGAAAUAAUAUUUGUCAGAGCUUUUUUUUUUAUAUUAGUUUAUAAUUAACUUUAAUAUGUAAUAAUAUAGCAUAUUCUGGGAAACCUGUUGGGAUAAUUGUUUUUAAUAUUAUUAUGAUAUUACACAUGAUUGGCAGUCGCAACUCAUCAUCAUCAUCUGAAACCAUAUUAACAAACAUUUAUUUAACAAUAUUCUUUAUGUAAACAGGAUUACCCUAAACCCAAUUAAUAUCUGCAGGGAUCAGACGACUGUUAGAACAUAUGUUAAAUUUGUAUAAUAUAUGAUUUAAAAAUUUAAAAAAUAAAUUUUUCUUUUUUGGAGAUAACAGUUGGUAUAUUUAGGAUUAGUAAAACUAAAUGUUUUAUUUUUAUUCUAUGUGCUCCAUCAUGGCAGUAGUUAUUUUUUUGCGAUUAAACAUACUAUUUUGAUUUAAAUGGAUUACAAAAUGGCACAUUUUUUUAACCCUUAACAGUUGGUAUAUUUUUUUUUAACCCUUAACAGUUGGUAUAUAUUUUUUAAUAAGAUUAUUAAUGCAUCAAGUAAUCUUGUUUUGAUGAUUGUAACUCGUGACUGCGGGAAAAUUUCUAAUGGAAACAACUCAAUUUCGGAAGAAAACUUGAUUUUGCAAGUGAUGAAUUUGAACUCGUUGGAUUGGUUGAUUUAUGAUUGACUGAAUUUCACUUUUCCUCAUAAGAUCUUUAACCAAAGUUUAAUAGCUAUCAUGUACUCCUUAAAAGCAAUUUUUUUUUUUAGAUUUGACUGAAUUUGAACUUGUUGGAUUGGUUGCUUUUAGAUUAUUAAUAUGAGAUAUUACAACGUAAAUAUUUUCAUGUGGUUGAGCCCUAUUCUAAAAUCUGUAUAGUUAGCUUUAGAAAAAGGGCUUUUCCUGCUGAUCUGUAAUCUUGAAAUAAACUUAGAUACAAAUAAUGAAAUAAAGGACAACAAACAAGCAAUACUGAUACAAAGCCAACAGAUCAGAGUUUUUGGUACAAAUCCAAUAAAAGACAAUAAACUUAGGACCUUUUUUUCUUGCUUUCUUUUGUUGAAGGAUUAGAGUUUUUGGUAUUAUCAGUAAAGGUUUCAAGGAGUAAAAGCCUAUAAACUUUUUUUUUGGGGGAGCGCCGCCGGGGGGGGCGGGGGAGAGCAUGCAAAUUAACCAAAAGAAAUAAUAAGAGCACAGGCUUUAACAAUGAAUACUGACUUAAAACUCAUGCAAAAUAAGUUACAAUACUAAAACAAACCAGAGAAAUUUUUUUCUUGGAAAGUAGAUGGAACUUAUGAAAGAGCAGAUGUCAAGGAUUUAGAAAACGUGCACCUCUUUAAUUACCUGGGAUUAGAGAGUUGGUGAGCUUCUCUAUUUAAGAACAAGUUGAAAGAGGAAAAAGAUCACUGGUAACUGCUGAGGAAUGUGUGAGAAAAGAGUUGAUGAGAGCAAUAACAAUGACCUGCAAAAGAAACAGAAUUAGUCAUUCACCGCUUUUCUAUAUCAUGUAUUUGGUUAUUGUUGCCCUGUUGACGCAUGUUGAAGAAGAAAGCACUAGUUCACAACUCUACGUUUUCAUAUAUUCUAAAGAAAUAAUUAAGCUUUCAUAGAAUAAUACCUGUUGUGUUUGAGUAAUUUUGGUAUAUACAUUGCUUGUGUACUGUGAAAUUGAAAUGAAUAUUGAUUGACAGAGCAAUGUAUAUGCCUAAUAAAACACAAAGCAAAUACCGGAAUUCCCCUUUUAAGGUGAAGGCCUUACUCAAUUCCUAUUGGAAUUGCAACGAAUGAUUCGGGACUAAAACUUUUAUAAAAGCAAAUACCGGAAACACACAAAAAGCAUUUAAGAGAGAAACUAAACAGCAAAUAAUAGAAGUAAGAUCAAUAAUAUAUGAUUUGAUUUAUGCAUAUUCAAAAACCAAAAUAUAAAAUAAAAUAAAAAAAUAAAGUUUGAUUUAUUCUUUCCACAAAAAACAGGGGAAUGAAAACAGAGGCAACUUGUUUUACCAAUUUUUUCUUCUUAAUUUCCGGCAAAAAAAAAAAAUUCAAUAAACAGGGGAAUGAACACAAAGGAACGAAAACAGAGGAAACUUGCUUUUCAGGCUAUCUUGUGACAUGAUGAUAUUGCUCGUGAAUGCAUGAAAAUUUCUAAUGCAAACAGCUCAAUUUGGGAUGAUAAGCUUAAGUUUGCAAGUGAUGCAAGUAAAUAAGUUUUUGCGGUUAAUUGAAUCUUUAAUACUCUGGGCCCUAUUCUAAAAUUUGUAGGUUGCUUCAGAAGAAAGGGCAGUUCUCACUCAUCUUUAAUCUCCAAGUAAAAUUAGAUACAAAGCAAAUCUAAUAAAAUGACAAACAAACAAACAAACAAAACAAAGAAAAGACAGGAGGCAAACAACAUUGAUCUUAAGCCAACUGAUAUUUUAAACAGAGAAUUCUUUUCUUUUAUUUUUUUUAACCACCUUUUGCUCAAGGAUUAGAGUUUUUAUAUUAACAGAAAGGUUUCAGGGGUCUGAAUAAAAGCCCACAAUUUCUCUAAUUGUUAUUUUUUUUUUUAUUAUUGAAAGGAGCUUCACUAUUGGCCUUGAACAUAUAAGAAUGAGCAAAAGAUCAAUGUCAACUGCCGAGGAAUGUGAGUAAAGAUUUCAUCAGAGUAAGUAAUACAAAUGAAUUGUAAAAGAACAAGACUUAAGCGUGCACCCCGUGUUUUGUUUUAUUGUACGUAUAAACAUAACAUGUUCAUUUUUAACAAAGUGGUCAAUUACUCUUUUUUUUUUUGGUACAAAGACGUGCCUAGCAUAGACUAGGGCAAAACAAAACGGGGGUGUGAAACCCCAAUACAAUUAUGACGAAUCCAAAACCCAGCCCCUAAAGGAAGAGAAUUGAAAAUGUGCAAUCCAACAGGGAGUGAAAGAGCAGAGUUUGCAAGAAAGUCAGCUGCAAAAUUUGAUUCUCUGUAAACAUGCUUGACCUGCACUUGCCAGGUUUUGUUAAGCAAUUCCUUAAUACCCCUGACAAGAGAAGCAUGUGCAUUUGGCCUAAUCUCGUCAUCCGCCACCAAAAGAGUAACACAAAGGCUGUCAAUCUCCACAUGAAGCUGCCGAAUUCCAUUAUCCCAAGCCAGACAUAACCCUUGAUAAAGGCCCCAUAACUCAGCACCAGUGAUGGUACCCACACCAAUAUUCAUUCCAAAACCAAUUAUCCACUCUCCAUAACAGUUUCUAAUCAAGCCAUCUGCACUAGACAGACCAGAACUUUUACGAGCUCCAUCUGUGUCGAGUUUAAACCAAGGCCAAGUAGGUGCCACCCAUCCAAAAUAUUCUCAAUCUUCAUGGCAGCAGGAACCAAACAACUCUAAUUAAUCUUUUGAAUUUCUUCUGUACGGAUCUUAAUAUCCAUUACAACAGUACUCUUGCUGUUGCUGGUAAAAACACCAUUAUGCAGAUUUUGGUUACGCCAAAACCAAAGCCUCCAAACUGUGACCCCAAAAAGACACGGCCAGUCAAACAUACCAUCAUACUUCCACAAGUUCCUCAAAUUAUAUAACAUCCAAUCUCGGAGAUUCAAACUAAAAAAUUAAUGACUAAUCCCAUGGGGUAUCAAUGACGACCAGACAUGCUUAGCACUGGGGCAAUCCCGUAGCACAUGAAGAGUAUUUUCAACAACACAGCCACACUUUGCACAGCUCAUAUCAUCAACAAUAUGUCUCCGGAAAAGUUCUGCUUUAGUUUUAAGUCUAUUUUGACCCACCACCCACAGAAAGGUUUUGAUACGUUGGGGACCUCUCCACUGCCAAAGAAUGCGCCAAAAUGAUUCUUCAUUGUGAACCUCCAUUUUUGACAAAGCCCUAUAUGCUGAAUUAGUAGUGAAAUCUCCUGACUUAGAAUAUGCCCAGUUCAUGUAAUCAUCCUCAUCAUUUACACUGGGAGGCUUGGUGGCUGCAAUUUUGAGAAGUAAAUGAUGGGGCAAUAAAUUCUCAAAAAGCCGCCAAUUCCAAGUACCCUCAACAGUGAUAAACCUCACCACGCACUCCUCAAGCUGCUCUAAAGGUAUCGGCUGCAAAGCGAAAGUAUACAAAGGGUAUUCCUCUGUUACCCAAUUAUCCCACCAAAAUCUAACUCGGUUGCCAUUUCCAAUGUCCCAUUUGAUCCCUUUUAAAACCUCAUGCCAAAUGCCUCCCACAGCCUUCCACAUGUAAGAGCCACAUUUCGUAGGUAAUGUGCUGGGGAGAGCAUUAGGAGCCAGCCCAUACUUAGACAAGAGAACCUUCAACCAUAAACUAUUUGGAGAAGCAAUUAAACCGCCCCCAAUCUUCAUGAGCAGAGCAUCAUUCAUUAAAUUAAGCUGCUUAAGACCAAGGCCUCCGCUAGGUUUCGGUUGACAUAUUGUAUCCUAUUUCACUAAACUGAUUUUCUUCUUGUCUGCUGUCCCGCUCCAAAUAAACCUCCUACAAGCCUGAUCAAUUUUCUCCCGAAUACCAAACGGAAUCCUCGUGGUCUGCAUUGCAUAAAUAGGAAUCGCCUGGAUUACCGAUUGAGUGAGAGUGAUCCUACCCGCCAAGGACAAAUGUAUCGCAUUCCACCGCAACAAAUGUUGGUUCACUUUGUCCAAAAUUCCCUGAUAAGUUAGCUUAUUAACCCGUGAAUGAAUAAUUGGCAUUCCUAAAUAUUUCCCUAGGUUUUUUGUGACAGAAAAACUGAAGGAAUCACCAAUUUCCUUAGCCUCAGCAAACUUUACGUUGUGGGAGAAAAAAACUUAUGUCUUUGUUUUACUAACUUUCUCUCCAGAGCUCAUACAAUAAACAUUCAACACUUCAUUUAUAACCAUUGCUUGCCUAGAGGAAGCCUCUGCAAGCAAGAUAAGAUCGUUAGCAAAAAAUAAGUGAGAUAAAGAGGUACCUGCACGAGACAGUUUAAUAGGUUUCCAGUACCCUCUCUUCACAGUGUCAUUUACUCCAUGGCUUAACCUUUCUAUACAUAACACAAAGAUAUAUGGGGAAAUGGGGUCUCCCUGUCUAAUACCCCUAGAAGGGGUAAAACUCUCCGUAAUUUCUCCAUUCCAUAGAAGUUGCAUAGUCGCCGUUGUAAUACAUUCCAUAAUAAGCUGAACCAAAACAGUAGGCAAUCCAAACUCCCUCAAGGUUUCAUAAAUAAAAUCCCAGCUUAAACGAUCAUACGCCUUUUCCAAAUCCACCUUAAUGGCCAUCUGCCCAAUCCUCCCUUUCUUACGUCUCAUCUAAUGAAUAACUUCCUGAGCAACCACUAUGUUUUCCGUUAUGUGUCUCCCCGGGAUAAAACUAGUCAGGGUAGGAAUGAGGUCAGGCAAGAUAGAUUUCAGCCGGUUAGCUAAUAACUUAGUGAUAGUUUUAUAGAUAACCGGGCAAAGACUAAUCGGACGAAAAAGCUUAAGGCUAAUAGGAUUAUCCGACUUAGGAACCAACACAAUCAGAGUUUUGUUCAGCUCCUUAAGGAUCUCGUUGCCAUUAAAAAUACCUUUUAUAAGACUACAGACAGAUUUUCCCACUACAUGCCACUGGGUCUGGUAAAAGAGAGCAUGCAACCCGCCUAUUCCAGGGGCUUUCAAAGCCUUCAUGCUGAAGAUCACAUUCUUAAUUUCCUCAUCCUCCACUGCUUGUCCCAAAGCUUGCAUUCGACUUUCCUCAAGGACUGGGAAGGCGUUAACAACAUGGUAUGGAUGAUAGAUUGCAUCCUCUUUGGGAUAGAGCUUUGAAAAGAAGGACACAGCAUAAUCUCUAAUCUCAUCAUUAUUCAACAACCAAUAACUCUAUUCGUUAUGAAAUUGAUAUUGUACCCAAUUUUAAGAGAGCAUAAUAAUAACCAUUCAAUGCAUAAAUUUAGAAUUAGGUUUUUUUUUGUAAUUCUUUAUUUAAAUAUAAACUUCAAUGGAAAAUUAUAAAAAUUUAGAUAUAAAAUUUUAAAUCACCGGACCAAAAAAAAAAAAAAGGGGAACGGAAAUAGAGGAAUCUUGCUUUACCUUUUUUUCCUUUAACUCUUGUUCUUAUAUAAAUAAUCUUGUUUUGAUGAUUGUAACUCAUGACUGCGGGAAAAUUUCUAAUGGAUUUGUUAUGCAAGUGAUGGAUUUGUUCAAUUGACUCUGUACUUGAACUAGUUGGAUUGGUUGAUUGAUGAUUGACUAAAUUUGAAUUAAGUUUAAUAGCUUAGCUAUCAUGUACUCCUUAAAAGCAAACGUAAAUCUUUUUUAGAUUUGAAUGAAUUUGGGAACCUGUUGGAUUGAUUGUUUAUAGAUCAUUAAUUUCAGAUACUACAACGUAAAUAUUUUCUUGUGGUUGAAUACCGGUUCUGCUUUAAUGAUUUUGGCAUAGACAUUGCUUGUGAACUGUGAAAUUGAAAUGAAUAUUAAGUGACAGCGCGAUGUAUAUGCCUAAUAAAAGAUCAGCAAAAGCUUGGAUGAAUGAUUGAAGACCAAAACUUUUAUAAAAGCAUUUUUGAGAGAAACUAAACACCAAAUUAUCAAAGUAAGAUCAACAGUAUAUGAUUUGAUCUAUACACAUUCAAAAACAAAAUGAUGAUUAAUAAUAAAGUUUGAUUUUGUAUUGCCAACGAUGCUUUUUUGUUGUUUCAUUUGUUCGACGUGGCCUUAUUUACAAAUUGGUUUAUGUUAACAGAAACAUGAAAUUCACAUCACACAAAAUUGCACGAACAAAUAUUAAGAGAACGUAAUAAUAAUCAGUCAAUGCGUAAGGGUAAAUUUAGAAUUACAUAUUCUUUUUUAUUUAAUAAAAUCCCAACGGGAAGUCAUAAAAAUUUAGAUAUAAAAUUUUCAAUCACCAAACGAAAAAACAGGGGGAAUGAAAACACAGAAAACUUGUUUUACCUUUUUUUUUUUCAUCUAAUUCCUGUUCUUAUAUAAUAUUUUCCCUAGUAUUUCGGGCAAGAAAAAAAAAAUUCAACAAAGAGCAAGUUGCUCAGAUUGAUUUAUCUUGUUUUUCAGGUUAUCUUGUGAAAUGAUGAUAAUGCUCAUGAAUGCUAGAAAACUUCUAAUGCAAACAACUCUAUUUGGGAUGAUAAGCCUAAUUUUACAAGCGAUAAAUAUAAAUAACUUUUUGUGGUCAAUUGAAUUUGUAAUUACUCUUAGCCCUAUUCUAAAAUUUGCAGGCUGCUUGAGAAAAAAGAAUAUUUCUCACUCAUCUUUAAUCUUCAAGGAAAAAACAAAUCUAAUAAAAUGACAAACAAACAAACAAACAUAUAAAAGACAGCAAACAAACAACAUUGAUCUUAUGCCUACUGAUAUUUAAACAGAGAAUUCUUUCUUCUUUUUCUCUUCAUGGAUUAGAGUUUUUGCUAUUAACAGAAAGGUUUCAAGGGUCUGAAUACAAUCCCAGACUUUUUUUUAACUUUGUUUUUUGUGGGAAAAUGGAUUCAAGUUAACCAAAGCCAAUAAUAAGAUCACAGACUUUAACAAUGAACAAUAACUUAAGCAAAACCAAUGACAAGAUUAAAACAAACCAGAGAAAUUUUUCUCGGAAAGUAGAUGAAAAGCAAGUAAGAACUGCUAUUAAAUAUUAUUAAAGGAUUUAGAACAUGUAUACCUCUUUAAUUAUAUGGGAUCAGAGAAAUGACCUUCUCUAUUCGCUUCGGAUAUUAAGUAAGAACUGCUAUUAAAAGAAUGAAUUGAUGAGAGUAAUAACAAUGAAUUGCAAAAUAGGAAGACUCAAUCAUGCACCCCUUUUAUACCCGAUUUUUAAGAUUUAAUUUUGAAGUUCACCAAUCAAGAACAAAGAAAAAACCUUAAUAAAGAAUGCAGUGAGAAUAAUUAAGUUAAAGAAAGUACUAGGUUAUGGCUCUGCGUUUCAUAUGCUGUAAUGAAAUAAUUAAGUUGAAGUUUUUAACGAUUAAAUACCUGUUGUGCUAGAAUAAUUUUAGAAGAAUAUUGGCUUAUAGAGCAUAUUAGUAGGGAUAAGAUUUGUAAGAUGCCAGAUAAAAGAUAAAGCGAAAGCUUGAAUGAAGAAUGGCAUUUAAUAAUUAUAGAAGAAUAUUGGCUUAUAGAGCAUUUUAGUAGUGAUAAGAUUUGUGGACAGAAUAAAUGAAAUAAUAAAAGGCAUAACUGAUCAAGUCAUUAUUGAUCUUACUUUGAUUAUUACAUUGCACAUUAGUUUCUUUCUAAAAAUGCCAUUCUUCAUUCAAGCUUUCGCUUUAUCUUUCAUCAGGCAUCCUACAAAUCUUAUCCCAACUAAUAUGCUCUAUAAGCCAAUAUUCUUCUAAAAUUAUUAAAUUCCAUUCUUCAUUCAAGCUUUCAUGGACACUAUUUACAAAUUGUUCUUGUAUUUGACAGAAAAAUGAAAACUCCUCAUCAUACAAAACUGCAUGAACAAAUCUUCAAUUUAAUUAUGAUAAAAUAAUUAAUUCCAUUAAUAGAUUAUGUUGUUUUUUUUUUUUUUGUCUUGACCACAAGGUAUCCUGGGAAGGGCCCCAACUGUGGGAGGCAUUUUUAAGCCCGUACCACAACCCAUACUAGAAGUCCCCACUCGAACCGGGAGGCACAAGUUCUCCCAACAAAGGCGACUUCCCUGCAAUUCGAACUGGGGAGCAAACCCAGUCAAUCCACUUAAGGGGACUCCAUUGCCAGUGGAGCCAACACUUUGUUGGUUAUGUUGUAUGUUAAUGUGAGGGAUUUGAUCAGGUGAUCAUAUAAUUUACUAAACGCUUUAAGAAGAACAAGAAUUAAUGAGUUAAAAAUUAAAAAAUAAAUAAAUAAAGAGUAGAUGGAAAGAAUGUUAUUUGCAAUCACUAAACCAAAGAACAGGGGAAUGAUAAGAGAGGACGGUUACUGCAACAUUAUGAAGUCAAAAUUAAGAAAGGCAUUCUUUUUUUUUUCACAUUAUUCUAUUUAAUCUUUCAUAAGGCGCACACUACGAAUCUAAAUUAAAUUCAUAAUUAAGAAUAAAAGAUAAACCCAAACAAUCAUCUAGCAGGUGCCGUGUAGACUGCAUCAAAAAUUUAGAUUUAGAUUUUUACAAUCACCAAAUGGAAAAACAGGGGAAUGAAAACAAAGGUGCCGUGUUUGUAGAAACAGGGGAGUUUCCGGGUUUCUGGAAACAAACUCAGAAACGAAUAAAUCUCUUGGUGUAUAUAAGCUUUCAUCAUCUGGUUUUAGUUUGGUUAGGUUUAACUACAUUUCCUGGGUAGCAUUACUUAUGCUAGUAUAUUCAUUUCUACCCAAGCCACAGUGACUGUUAGGAGUUCUCGUAAACUGAAUUUAAAGUUGCGGCUUAAAGUGUUUACCAACUUAAAACCAGAGCUAUAAAGUGUUUGAUGAAUUAUUUUUUCAUUAAAAAAAAAAAAACUGAUUUAGCGGGAUAAAAUAAUGCUCCAUUCCGUUUAGUAAGUGAAGUCCAGAGUAUUACCUACUACUAACUAAAUCCGCUUGAUUCACAAGACUACCAAGAGAUGACUGAAUCUUCAAUGUAAUAAAAUAAUAAUCAGCCUCACAGGAUACAUAAAAAGCUCAUUUUUCACAACCAUAUCCUAGUGCAUCAUAAACUUGAUUAUUUAAUUUUACUAUUAGGAAACCUACUUAUAUAAGGCGCACACUACAAAUUCUAAAUUAAAUUUUCAACUAAGAAUAAAAGGUAAACCCUAGCAGUCUUCCACCAGGUGCCGUGUAGCCUGCAUCAUAAAUUUUGAUUUAAAUCUUUGUAAUCACCGAACAGAAAAACAGGGGAAUGAAAACAGAGGAGCCCUCAUUUUUUUAACCCUUAACUCUUGUUCUUCUAAUUAUAUUUUUACUUGGAAUUUCAGGCAAACAACAAAAAAUAGUGACAACUAUUCAGAGAGAACAGGUGGAUGAUAGCAAAAAUAUUUUUAAUUAAUAUGCAUGAUUAACUCUUGUUCUUCAUUAUUGGUAGUCUCUGUGGGCUCAUUUCGUCUCCAGACCUGAUAUUGUAUAUCUCUUUUUGAAUAUGCAUGCUGCUGAAUAAAGAUGAUUACUUCCAAAUUUUUGUUGCUUUUUUUUUUUUUUUUUGGGCUUUGGUGCAUGAAGAAUGUGGAAAUAGAAAUAGCUUUCGAAGUUUAAUGGCUUGCUUCAUUAGUAAAGAAAGACAAGGAUAUCUGUCCCUUUUUGUUACUGAAUUAUUGAUCAAUUGACGGUUGAAGUUGGUUAUAUUAAUUUGUUGUACAAGAAUUGAAGCUUAUAUCUUAGCCGUUUCGUGAAGUGUCAAAUAUGUUCUUUCCUUGCAAUUGUUCAAAAUAUGUUAUUCUUUUGAAGUCACUAUUACAUAAAGGGUGUUGUAAAAUAGGGAAAGGCGGGUUUAUGAUUAGAUUUUAAUAUGUUUAAUUCAAGGAUUAACCGAAGCUAUUAACCAACGGCUACUAACCGAAAACCGAAUUUAACAAUAAACACUAACUCAGAAUUCAAGAAAAUUAAAUGACAAGAUUGAGACAAAUGAGAGAUAUUUUUCUUGGACAUUAAGAAAGAACUACUACCAAGAUCAAGGAUUAGAGAUUAUAUAUGCUAUUAUUAAUAGAAAUUAUUAAAGGAUUUAGAACAAGUUCACCUCGUUAAUUAUCUGGGAUGAUGAGUUUCUAUAUUCACCUUGAAUAUAUAAUAACAAUUUUAGUGAGCAAAAGAUCACUGGUAACUGCAGAGGAAUGUGUGAGUUUAAGAGCUUAUUAGAGUAAGCAAUACAAAUGAAUUUUCAAAUUAUGUACUUGGUCAUUGUUGUCCUACUGACGCACGUUUUUUUUCAUGAAUAAUUGCCAGAUCAGAAAAGAAUAAAUUCGGUUGAUUGAAAGAUUGCUGAAGUAAGUAAAACAAUCUUCAUAUCGAACAUGAUUCCAAUUAAAUUAAUCUUUUUAUAAGAUGACUAAUAAAAGAUAAAAGUAGAAGCUUUGAUGAAUGAACGAUGACCAAAACUUUUGUAAAAGCGGAUGCCGAUAAAAUAAACAAAAGGCACUUUAAAAAGAAACUAAAGUGCGAUCAUCAAAGUAAGAUCACUAAUGAUGCUUCGCUAUCACAAGGUCCGCAUGGACAUUAUUUACAAAUUGUUCUUAUGUUUCACAGAAAAAAAUGAAACACUGUUCAUCAUACAAAAUUGCAUGACCGAAUCUUCAAUUUUUAUAAUUAUAAAAUAAUGGAUUAUGGGUAUGUUAAUGUUACGGAUAUGAUCAGAUCAUCAUAUAAGUUACUAGAAGCAUUAACAAGAACAAGAUCUAAUGAGCUAAAAGUUUUUUUUUUAAAAAAAGUUAAAUAAAUAAAGAGUAAAAGUAAAAAAAUGUUAUUUGCAAUCACCAAAAUGAAAACAGAGGAGCCCUGUUUUUCCUCUUGUUUCUACUUCUCUCUUUUUCAAGUAGUAGAAAAUGAUAUCAGAGUAUGAGAGCUCACUGCUUUCAUUAGUUGGAAAGUGUCGCCUAAAACACUUCCUCUGCUGGGUGGAAUUGUUGGCUUGAAGAGAUGAGUUCUUGUCACGAGCACAAAUUUUAGCUGUACAUUAUUUCCUUUUAAAUGCACCAUUGUUGCACAGAUUUGAACCAUAUGAUCAUUAGUUUUUUGUUUUGAUUUGGUUAGUUCGUGAUGACAAAUGAAUUAUUUUCAUCACAUUGUCAUUAUGGUAAAAAGUUGCCCUCUUUGUUACUUCCACAGCUAUUUAGUUUAAUAUUUUGUAAUAAGAUCACAAAGUGCGUGGGAACUAUUGUUCGGGUACUUUAGCCUAAAAUGAAGAUCUAUUAAAAAUUUCCCUGAUGUCAUGAUAUAAAACAAUAAAAGGUACCAACUUCAGCUUAAAUUCAUAUAAAAUUAAACCUUACCACAUACUGUAUUGAAACAAAUUACUCAUCUUUAUUGGUAACAUCAUCACCUUCAUAAAAUAUAUGGUAUCGUACAAAGUUCUUGCGCUGGGUUCGGGCAUCUAACAACGAGGACACAGCAACCUAUUCGCUAGGUUAGAGACCAAAUAGCCAACAGCAAAAUGUGCACGACGCAUGUCACUAUCAUGAAAACAACAUUCUUUUUCUUUUUUUUUUUCCCCUCAAUAAUUUCAGAUAUAAUAUUUUAACUAAGUUUGUAACACUGUUGAUUGAAAUUAUCAAGUACGAAUGUGUGUAGAUUUUAACAUGUGCACUCAUAAUUAUUAUUGUGCAGUUUUAGACUUGGUUGGGUAUUGAGGUGCUAAAACUUUUGCCGUAAGAAAAAAAAGUUUUGCAAAAGUUUUAAGUAUAAAAUAAAAGUUAAUAGUAUAUAAUAAAUUUAGUUUUUUUAAUAAUAAUUUUGAUAAAAUUAUAAAAGAUAUAAUAAAUUUUUUAUCAUAUAAGUGUAAAAUCAAAUCAUCUUAACUUUUAAACUACAACAACUAUAACAUUUUAACUGUUCAAUCUCAAUCCUAAAUAGACCCUUAAUUUAUAAUUAGAUUGUCACUAAAAGAUUUUAAGUAUGUAUUUUAGAAUUUAACGAAUACACUUUUAAACUACCUUUGUCAGAUGAAAUGUUGGGAAAUUUUUAUUAAGCUCCAAAAGUGUUUGAAAUAAAUUUAUGUUUUUAUGAUACCAAAAAAAAAAAGAUUUAUGAACAUUUUUGUGAAGCUUAGGCGAAAAUUUUUGUUAGGCUCUAUUGGGCUAGAUGAGCAGCUCGGGCAGUUAAUUAUCGCCCAAAAAGCCCAACCCAGAUUACAACAAGCUGGGAUUUGGUUAGCUCGUUGACGGCCAUUUGGGUAUGCAUGAAUUGGGUGGAUGAUUAAUAAAUACGAUUUAUUAAUUAUUUCGCCGAUUUGAAUAUUCUCCUAAUUUAAUCUUUUCUAAUAUUAUAAUAACGAGAUUUUGACAUGUGUUAUACCUGUGUUAUUUUAAUAAUCCAAUAGAUAAUAUCUACUUUAUUUUUAUCUUUCGUUAUUAAAUACAAAAACACUAAUAGAAAAAAAAAAUGACUUAACUCUUUUUAUAUUUUUAAUUUUUAUUUAUUUCCGUUUAUUGCUUUCCUAGCAAUGUUCAUCUUUUUACUCUACAACAUCCAUAACCUUAACUUUGGAAAUAAAAGAGAAUAUGCGAAAGUAUAAGUAGGAGAAAGACUUCAUUGAAAUCAAACGAAUUGGGCAACGUUAGAUUUUUCUUUAAAAUUCUCAUGCGAUAUUAAUUAGUAGUAUUAUCGUUGUUGCCUGCCUACUUCUAACCUCAACCAAUAUAUGAUCAAUGCUUGAUUUGGUCAAUCUAAAUAAUUAUAAUCGAUGAUAGGAUAUUGUUGAAGGGCGGCCCUAAGGAUGAGAGAGGGAAUGCGUGUGCAAGCCACAUGUGUGAAGAAAAAGAAAAACGCAAGAGUGAAGAUGACGGCGAUUAAGAUCGUGUUUGAUUUCUUUUCCUGUUUAAUUUUAGUUAAUAUGCUGUUGUUAGUUCCAAAAUUUGAGUUAGCAACAAAAUGACAUGUUUUUGUGUUUAAUAAGGAAAAAGUAAAUAAUAGAUUUUCUAUAGGAUUCUUGGAAUGGAUUAGAUUAGACUAUGGAGAGAAAUAUAUUUGAAAAUAUUAGUGUUGAGUCAUUCUAAUGUCUUUAAUAGUAAAUUCAAUUAAGAAUAUUUUAGUAAUAUAAUUUUUUAUUAAAAUUAGAGUGUUCAAAGUUAGUAAUAAAAAAUUCAUAUAACUCUGGAUUUUUUUAUUGAAUUUAUAUAACUCUGGAUUCUUUUUUUUUUUUUUUUUUCCAACACUGAUAUGGUUCUGUUCUGUGUAUUUAUAUACAAUUUAAUGUUUACAUACAAGUUAAAUUAUAUACAAUCCUUCAAGUCGUAACUCAAUUUUAUGGAGGUUUAUACAUCUUUCAACGAUCAAUUUAAUAUUUAUAUACAAACCUCCGCAUCUUUCAACGAUCUCAUCUGCUGAUUUUUUGUAUUCCUGUUCUUUCACUUCAAUAAUUUUUUGUAUUAUUCCAUAUCUUUCACUUUAAUAACCCAAAAGCUUUCCUCUGUUUCAAUCGAAAGAAAACCCUAGCUUAAACUAAGAGAAAAUUUACAUAUUAAAGCUAAUUAGUACUGAAUUUUUUCUGGUGGUGCGACCAGAGGUGGAAACAGGGUAUGAAAAUGCGUUACUGGUGAGGUUGCUGCUUAAGAUGAGAAUGCAUUCUUUUCAAAAAUCCUUGGUAGGUGUUAUCUAAUUAUCUUUGAUGGAAUAUUAAAUGGCUAAAAAUCUGUCAUACGUUCAAACUUUGUUUUUGUUUAGAAGAAUGGUGUUGACUGUAUAUUCGUUUGGAAGAAUGGUGUUGAUUGUAUAUUCAUUUGCUUAGCCUUUUGACAGAUGGAUUUGGAACUGACGACAAAUGUGAUUCAAUUUACAAGGUUUUCGAGGGGCUCACCGUGGAAGGGAUAUUGAAGAACUGGUCUAAGAUAAAGCCUAUGAUUGUGAAAGAUUGGAGUGAGAAUAUAGAUGCUCUUUUUCAUCUUUUUGGCAAGGUCAGAGAUGAAUGGAUAGAUAAGGAUUUAUUUGACUACUUGGACUGGUGCUAAUAGGUAUUUUAGGCAAGCUUUUUGAGAUAACACUGAGCAAGUUAUACUACUAUUUUGCACAUGAUGAUCUCGAAAAGUAAAAUAAAAUAAAUUAUUAACUUUUACUUUCAUCUUUUGCAUAGCAAUCAAUGUGGUGCUUGUUCUGUGACAACUUUGAUAAUCUACUUAAUUAUUGGUUAGCAUUUGGACCAAAAAAGUUCUUAUGAUUUACAUGUUUUGUAGAAAUGCAUGAACCUUAAAUGUGCUGAUCAGGGAGUUUAAUUAUUGCACCUUGAAAUUCAUUUAUUGUUAACUAAUUGGCUUUCCUUUGCAUAAAGCCACUUAUAAGGCUUGAGUGGACGUCUUUAUGGGCAUAUUAUUUGUAUUUCUAUAUGCAUGCCUUUAUCAUUUAAUGUGCUGCUUUUAUUUCUUUAUGCAUGCCUUUAUCAUUUAAUGGCCAGCUCCCUCUCCUCUUUUGUAAUUUGAAUAGUAGUAUGGGCCUCCAUUUUACAAAUCUUUAACAUCUUUUGCUGUAAAUUAAUUUUUCUUUCAAAUAUUCACUACUAGAAAAAUAGUCUUUACUGACUUUACAAUAGUAUCAGAAAUUACUUUCACUGACACUUGUUAAUUGUGUCAGUAAUCUGGGAGUCAGAAAAAUAGUGACACUUAUAAGUGGUGUCAGUGAUUACUAUUACUACAGUAUCACCGAUAUUAUGACACCAUAGUGUUAGUAGUUAUUGAUAUUUUAUUAGUGUCUAUAAUUACUGUUACCAUGGUAUCACUAAUUAAUAUAUUUUUUUAAAAAUAAAAAAUUGAAUUGGAUCAUUGCCUAUUGAUUUAUUUGUAAAAUUAAAAGCACCACAAAAUAACAAAAAGAAAUUGAUUUAUAUCACAAAAUCUUUCAUUUCACAUUUAAAUAUUAUUAGUAUAUAACUAAAUAAUCCAAAUUCAAUACAUAAAAAUUUCUACCAUCCAAUCAAAUGCCUACUACUUGUGGCUAAAUUUAUAAAUCUAGAAGUUAAAUUGAGAAUGAUGACUGUCUUUCACUCUUUGAAUAUGAGUAGUAUAAUUGCGUUAUCACACCAGCAGCUUCUCCAUUUAAUAAACUGUAUGGGUUAUGAUACAAGUGAAGUUGAGGAAUAAACACUUCAAACACAUUGAGCAAAUAUGCAUACAUGGAAAAGGGAGAAAAAAUUAGCUGCCAAUUCCCAACCAUUAGAGAAACAAUGGUUAAUAUAAAUAAAUCUAUUUUGUUCUAAAGAAAAAAUAUUCAUACACUAUUUAUAAGUAAACUCAAUUAUUUCUAAUGGUGGAGCACAUAUGUGUGAACAACAGAGCAUCACAUAGCUCAAAGUACAUUAACUGUUCUGUGUCUUAUUCAUUUUUCACUUUAGCUUUUAUUUUAGCAAUUUUUUGAGAAUAAGCUCCAACUCAGAAGGUGAAAUCCAACUUCCAUAUGUAGACAUUCUUGCAGCUGACAGCAAUUAGUUUGGGACUACGGCUUUUUUGAGCAUCUGGCAUGGAUUACAUUGAGAUAUACAAUUUACAUACAAACAUUAAAGAACUAAAACAUUAUUUAUAUUUAGAGACAAUUCAAAUGUCAGCAAACAUUAUUUAUAUUGGUUUAGCAAGUGGCACGACAAUUUUUUAGAUAGAAAUGUACAGAAACUAUAAAGGAAAAACAUUAUCAAGACACCAUUAAAGAAUCAUAGAGUACCUUUACCGGAUUUGUUUGCUUUGCAGGUGGGCUGUGAUGAUGAUGAGCAUAAAGCAUUUUCAUUUAAGCGGACAAGUGCCUUAGCUUCUUUACUUACUACAGACCACGUGUUCUCCCCAUCUAGCCUUGCACUUCCAAAAUCAUGAAAUCCAUCUUUGUGGAAUGUCUUAAUGCCAGGAGUGCGUGAAAAUUCUGGGAGUGCAUUGGCCUUCUAAAUAAAAAGAAACUCGUAAAUAAUUCUUGUGUCAAGUAACAAGGACAAAAAUUUACUUGGAAGCAGCGCAUCCAUGAAAAGAUAGACGCAGAUAGCUACAGAGACACAGUCAACACAUAAUAGCUAAUCCUAAACCUUAUUGGAUAUAAUACCUCAUUAGCAGAGAUUGCUUCGUCAUCUGAGGUACAUGUUGAUGCCUUCCUUGGCGAGAAGAUAAAACCAACCUCAUCAGGAAAUUCAGGCGUUUCAACCUCGUCUUCCACAAAGACACUUAUUUGCUUCUGUUACAGCGACAUACACAAAUGUCAGUUUCUCCUAAGAAAACUGGUCGGAACCUGAAAAUUCUAUUCAAAUUUAAUCACUUGCCUUUGGUGAUAAACUGCCAGCAAUCCUUCCACAAGUUUCUCCAUGAGUACCUGUAUGUCAGAAACCAAAUCUGUGCUUUGGAACCUAAACAUGAAUAUCGAUGAACAACACCCUCAACAAUCUCAUUAGCGUCAAAAACAUUUUAUUACAAAAUAAUACUACGGUUUCGGAGCGCACCUUUCAGUAUGUCUAGUCGCGAUUGAAGUUGCACUACUUCCUAUCAAUUUACAAAAAUCAUAGCAUGAAUAAAUAAAACAAUUGCCUCUAAAUUUACAAAAUCAACGUCAUCACAUCAAUUACGUGAUGGAUAACAAUUUAAGUAAAUUUUAAUAAAAAAUUAUUCAACAAUUAAAUCGAAUGACAAUUAAAUUAGUAAAUUGAAUACUGACCUCUUUCUCCGAUGGCCCACCCAACGAAACACAAUUAUCUCGUAAAUCGACGUUAAAAUCUUCCUCAUCUGCAAAUCAAAAAAUUUGAAAAACAGAGAAAUGCUUAAAACGCGUACAGUGUUUAGUGUAUACAUAACAUAAGAGUAUUUAAAAAAUAAUGGCAACCCUGUAUGAAAUGUCAAUCAAAUUACCAGAAAUGCUUUGAUCAGAAUCUUCAUCUCCCUGAAAGCGCAUAAGAUCCCGGCAAAAUGAAAAGAAAAAAAUAAAACGAAUUAUCAUCUACAAAAAAAAACAACUUUAGUUGGUUAAAAUCUACAAACUAAGUGCGGCUCGGAUAGCAGAAUAUGACUAGAAAAACAAAAACAUUAUUGAGUAACCAGAACAUCUAACAUCGCAUAUGGGCACCAGAACAAAAUUCAUGCAAAAAUAUGGAAGUUGAAAAAUCAGCAAAUGCCGCUAACCGAGUUAAUGGAAUGCGAAACCUGCCUAGAUAGUGGAGGAGUUCCGGUAAAGGAGGACCAUCAAGCACAGCUAAGGAGGAAGAAUGCAACUUAAAAUAGUUAUAGUUUCAUUACGAAUUAAAAAAGUUUAAUCCUCUAAUUUUCAAUACAAUGGCAUCUCCUAUUCAUGCGCAUGCAUCAGCAGCAUUGUUAUUGAUAGAACUGAAAAAUUGGCACUCGGAUAAUCAUAUGGUUGUAGACACUGCUCCAAAAUAAUCAUUAAACAUGGAAACUAAUAAGGCCACAGGUUCUGGAAUGCCAAAAGCUGCACGCAUAUAUAUGGGUCAGUCACGAAUAAAAAGAAACGAAUUAUCAUAACCUCGACACGAAUGGGCGUAGUCACUAUAGGAUCAGAGCGGCACAGCCCUCAGCCACUAUAGGCAGGGGUUAUAUUAAUGGUUGUGAAUGAAUAAAUUCAAAUAUCAACUUUAGUAAUCAACUUAUUAAUUUACAAGUAUUUUUUUAUAUUAUGAUAUCGUAUACUCUACUAAUUGUAUUUAAAAUAUACACACACACAUACAUACAUAUAUACCAACUUAUAAUUGUGAGGUAAGCUAAGACUCGAAGCUAUUCCUUAACAAUCUAACACUCUAUAUAAUCUCAAGUGUGGAAAACCAGCAGAGAAACCAAGUUGCUUAAACUCUUGUUCAGUCAUGUGUUUACCUUUGGCCCUGUAGAUGGUCAUAACAAAAAUGUCCCCUUCUAAGAGAGCACGAGUCCUCUGACUUUCAUUUGAAUCAUCAGGCAGCACAGGCUCGCAAGCAAUCAGUUUUCCUCCUGCAGGAAUAGCCUUGUAACAAUUCUCCAUUAUCAGCUUGCAUUCAUCAUCAGUCCAUGUAGUUAAAACCCACUUCAUAAAGAUAGCAUCAGCGGCAGGAAUGGACUUAAACAUGUCCCCACCAAUAUGGGUCACUCCAGGGAUACUUGGAGCUUCGGCAACAACCUCAGGCAAAUCAAAAUUGAUCCCUUCACAUAUAAAACGAUGUUUCUAUAAUAUCAUCCUCAGGCAAUCACCUGCACUCCCACCCACAUCAACCAAUCGCUUCACACCUUUGAACCCAUCGUAACCGUCCAAAAUGGACGUCAUGAACGGCACGGACACUCCCGACAUGGCUUUUCGCAUCAAGCCGUUCAUUUCAGGCAUCUUCCCAUAAUAACUAUAUGUCGGCUCGCCAUGGACUUUCACAAAUGGCUCAAUAGUUGGGUCCAGAAUGGCCUCGUGCACCAAAGGCCACGCGCUCAUAAGCGCGUCCUGGUGAUGCUGGAGCACGUAGGGCGCGUACGAUUGACCCUCGGCAUCAGUAACGAGGGAUUUCCCAAUCUCGGUGAGGCUGUACUUCCUUUCGCCUCCAAAUUCGCGAUGCUCCGAGAACACGCCGUAGUUGGUGAGCAAGCGGAGGAUACGUUGCAAGUUCUCGGCGUCCCCACCGCCGGAUGGGAGGAUACGUGUCAAGAUCUGGGAGGCGGAGAGAGGGGUGUUGGCCAGUCUUCCCUUCUUCCCGCCAUCUCUGCACUCGUUAUCUUCCAUUACUGCUUACUGACCUUUGAUUUCGCAGCACCAUGCCGGCCAAACAAAAAGAUAAGACCUGAGCACUUUUUGACAAUUUGAAUGUUAGGGAUUUUUCAGAUGUGGGGAGCUUAGGAGGGAACGAAUACUUUGGUAGAGGGAGUUGAAAAGUUGUAUUUUGGAUAAGAUAAAGAUUUGUUCAUUUGUUUUGUUUUUAUCCACUCAAAAAGUACAAAUUCUAAAAAAAUUAAAAAUAAUUCGUAGUCUAGUGGUCUUUUGAUUCAAUGUAGAAGUUCUAGGUUUAAGCAGUCUUGGGUUCGAAUUCAGACUAAAACAAAAUUAGAAUGAUAAUUUUUAAUUACUGAUACUUAAGCGUCAUUGAUCGCUAUUACUAAAGUUAUUGAUACUUCAGUAUUAGUAAUUAGUGAUACAUAUCUGUUAAACGCGGAAAAUAAUCUAAAUAUAUGUAUAUAUUGAUACUUUUAAAUAAAGUGUCAGAACACAAGUAUCAGUAAAGACCAUUUUUCUAGUAGUGAUUUUGGAGGUCAUUGGAAUUCCUGUAGGUCUAUUUACCAGAUUUUAGUAAGUUUAAGGUUUUAAUUUUGCUUAGACUUUAAUUUUUCUGAAAGAUUGUAGUAUUGAUCCUUAAAGAAAGAUCAUGCUACUUCAAAUUAUUUUGAAGUGUUGCUAGUUAUAGCCUUACAUAUAAAAUUCCAUUUGUCUGGAAAUUUAUUGAUAGCUGUUACAGCAGCAUAUUUUAUGACUCUACUUCUUAGUUAUGUAAGUUCAUUAUGUUUAGGUCAGAGGCAGUCAGCUGUGGGGAAUUGAUAUAUACACAGAUGACUUUGAUCUUGUUGCCGGUAUGUGGUUCUAUGAAUAAUUGUUCACAAUAAUUGUGUUUGCCUCACUGUUUUUGUUUUAUGAGAUCUAUAAUUGAUCUUGGGAUAUUACUUUCUAGUUCUCAUGCAAGCAAGUUACUACCUUCCCACUGUAUCUCCUCCUUUAUCUGCUAUUCAAGAGUUGCGUGCCAUAAUCUGGUGUUACCUCUGCAAGAUUGUGAAUGAAUAUAAUGCCUCUAAAUUUAUUUUAUACAUAAUGCUGAUGCUGAAUAAUAUAUUGUAGCUCCUGUCAUAUUCUACUUUGACUUUUUAUAUUCUGUUUCAUAUAAAAAUCUUAUUCAACUUUAGUUGUUCAUGAGCAAAUGUCACAUGUAUAAGCCCAAAUGAUGUUUAAAGGUAGCGCAGCUACCUUUAGUUUGAGCUUACAAUGGAUGAAAAAGAAAUUGAAACUGAUAUUUUGCUGUUUUUCUGAUUUUUCAAAGUAUUUUAGAUCCUGACUUUUGUUUGGACUUGAUGGUUAUAGAUUGUGUCUAGAUUUGUUAAGUUGUUUCCAACACCUCGUGCCAAAUGAAAGCACAAUCUUUCUGAUUCAGAUGUCUUGUUAAUUGAAGAGAGCUCAUUGUGCUGAGUUAAAACAAGAAAGGAAGCCAGCAGUCAAGAUUCUUCAGCAAUGCCAUGUCAGUGCUGAGUCAGCUGAUUCUGUUAAGGAUUGUUGAAAGCUCACGUGACUAUUAGUUAGUUAAUUAGCUUUUAGUUAGUAAUGCAGGAUUCUGAUUGGUUGAUUAAUUGCAAUGCUUAUUUGAUCAAUUGUAGCUUGGAAAUAAACUGUAUAUAAACAGAGUCUAUAACGAUUGCUUCAAUUAAUGAAAAGAAAAUAUUCCAGAGAGUUCAUCUAUUUUCUCAGUAACCAAACAAGCAUUUAGCUUAAUUUGCUAUUAUUUUACAUGGUAUCAGGGCCACAAUAUGGCAAGCUCAAGCAAUCCAAACGGAAAUUCAAACACAAUCACUGCAAAUCAAUCAAUACAAACCACAUUCUCCUUCAUAUCACCAAUCAAGUUAGAUCGAUCUAACUACAUGCUCUGGCGAAAUCAAGUUCUAGCCUCUAUAAGAGGAAACAGACUUGAAGGUUACAUUAAUGGAGAGAAGGUUGCUCCCAAUCAGUUUAUCACAACUGGAGGAUAUGCUGGAGCAGCAGGUAGUUCUACUCAACAGAAAGAAAAUCCAGAAUAUACAGUCUGGAGAUCACAAGAUCAGACAUUACUAAGCUGGCUGUUGAGCUCAGUCACUGAAGGUAUUCUCCGCCUUGUUCAUUCUUGCAAUACUUCAUAUGAUAUAUGGAAAACAUUGGAGAAAAAGUUUGGUGCAAAAUCUGAAGCAAGAGUACUUCAACUUAGAUAUGAAAUGAGUGUUUUAAGAAAAGAUUCACUGAAUAUAGAAGAUUAUUGUUUGAAGAUGAAACAAAUAGCAGAUAAACUAGCAUGUGCUGGUAAUCCAGUUUCAGAUAAAGAUUUGCUGCAACAAAUUCUAAAUGGUCUUGGACAAGGAUAUCUUGAUUUAGCUACAUUCAUAACAGCAAGUAAACUUGAUUAUGAUGAUGCAUAUGCACUACUACUUACUCAUGAAACAAGACUUGAACAGAGUAUGAAUGAAAAACAGAUGUUCAAUGCAAAUUUUGCCAAUUUUACUCCUAAUAACAGUGGAUAUGGUAUGAUGAAUGCCUUUUAUGCACAAGCAAGAGGCAAUGCUCGAAGAGGUGGAUAUAAUGGAGGUUUUCACAGUGGCAAUCAAGGAGGAAGAAAUAAUUUUCAUACUGGAAGGGGAAUGUUUGUUAACUCUCAUCCAAGAGGUUUUCCCUCUGGAACUGGAAAUUUUGGUAACAGUCAUGGUAGAGGUCAGAUGAUUGGUAAUAAUAAACAGAUGCAAUUUAUGAGAGGUCAAUACAGUAGUAACUCUGGUAUGCCAAACUCUGAUGGUAAUGAUGAGCAAAGUGUUGUAUGUCAAAUUUGUUUUAAAUCUGGGCAUACAACAACAGAAUGUUGGCAUAGAUUUGAAGAGAAUUAUGUACCACAAUACAUGAAGAAAUGAAGAAAUUAGAGAUGAGCUUAUAUGGCAUAUUAUGAUGCACCAACUGAAAAUUCAUGGUCAACUGCUUGUUCAGGAAUGCCUCAAAUGCACAAUCCAUCAUUCACCCCAUACAUGUCUGAUUCAGUGAACUUGUUAGGAGCUGGAGCUGGAGCUGCCUAUGUUGCUAAUUUUGAAGGUCCAGCAGAUGAAGGAUGGUAUCUUGACAGUGGGGCUACACAUCAUUUGACAAACAACAUGGCAAAUAUGCAUGUCAGAGAUGAAUUCAAUGGUAAUGACAAGCUGAUUAUUGGCAAUGGUAAAGGUCUGUCAAUCACACACAUUGGUAGCACUACUUUUUCAGUUCAAGGUUCUAAGUCACAAGCUGCACGUAAAUGCAUUACACUUAAAGAUAUACUGCUUGUUCCUUCUAUCACAAAGAAUUUAAUAAGUGUUUCUAAACUUACUGCUGAUAAUAACCUAUCUAUUGAAUUCUUUGGAUGUAUCUGUUAUGUGAAGGAUUCACUGGAGGGGAAGGUUCUGCUACAGGGUAUUGCUGAGAAAGGUCUAUACAAAUUGCUGAUCAAAUCAUCUUCAAAAUCAUCACUACAACCUACAUACACCUCUUUUCUUUCUCAAAGCUCAAUAAAUCAACCUUUGUCUAUGUUGUCUCUCUGUCAUUUCAGUUCUGCAACUAAUAAUACUUGUUCUGCAAAUUGUUUUCAUUCAAAUAAAAACUCUUGUACUGAUUCAUCAUCAAAUAAAAUGUCUCUAUUUCACAGAAGAUUUGGUCAUCCCAAUGCUCAAAGUUUCAUUCACUUACUUAUACUUGUGCAUCCUAACUUGUUAUCUACAAAUAUGCUUAAUCAAGUAAUAAAGCAUUUAUGUGAAGCAUGUCAGCUGGGCAAAUUUCAUAGACUUCAUUUUCCUAUAACUGAUAUUAAGUCUAAAUCAGCACUAGAACUAAUCCAUACUGAUCUAUGGGGCCCUUCACUAAUAUGUUCUAGAGAAGGUUAUAGAUAUUAUAUUAGUUUUGUGGAUGAUCACACUAGAUACACCUGGAUAUACCCUCUGAAAUUAAAAUCAGAAGCUCUAGAAGUGUUCAAAUUGUUUAAACUUCAAGUUGAAAAUCAGUUUCAAACCACCAUCAAAGCUCUACAAUCUGACUGGGGGGGAGAGUAUAGACCAUUCACUACUUUUCUAAAUGAAUGUGGUAUUCUUUUCAGACACUCUUGUCCCUACACACAUUAUCGAAAUGGCCUUGUUGAAAGAAAACACAGACAGAUUAUAGAAUUAGGCUUAACACUUCUAGCACAAGUUAAACUUCCAUUCCAGUUUUGGUGGGAUGCUUUUCAUACCUCGGUUUAUCAUAUUAACAGACUUCCUACCUCUGCCCUUAAGAUGUCUAUUCCAUAUGAAAAAUUAUACAGACAUAAAGCUGAUUACAACAUGCUGAAAUGCUUUGGUUGUGCUUGUUAUCCAUACUUGAGAGAUUACAAUAAGCAUAAAUUUGAUUAUCAUACAACCAAGUGCAUCUUUCUUUGUUAUAGUCCUUUUCAUAAAGGUUUCAAGUGCUUUCAUCCCUCUGGUCGUGUGUAUAUUGCUAGACAUGUCAAUUUUGAUGAAACUUCAUAUCCAUUCUUUUCAGAUCCUGAUUUUCAUUCUUUGAAUAAAUCUCAGUCCAACUCUUAUGAUUCCAUUACACCUAUACAAGUAUUUCAAUUGUCUACCUUACCUGUCAUAUCAGUUUUUUUGAAUAACAGCAAUGAGUCUCUUUCUCAAGCAUAUACCAGUAGUGAUAACUUUCCUUCAGCAGUAGAUUCAACACAAGUACAUGUCUCAGAUCAACAACUCUCAAACACAAACAAUGUCUCAGAUCAACAACCAAUUUUACCUGCACCUACAACAUUACCUUCUCCAGAUGAAAUUCCACAAACUCAACCUAUUCUAAACUCACCAUCUCUAAACCACCAUCCUAUGAUUACUAGAGGAAAGGCAGGUAUCUUUAAGCCAAAGCUAUGUACUGCAGUUUUGUUGUACAAAGAACCAAAAACUAUUCAGGAGGCUCUCAACAAUGAAAGGUGGUUUCAGGCAAUGAAAGCUGAAUAUAAUGCAUUGAUAUCAAAUGGCACUUGGACAUUGGUACCAAGAACAGAAAAUCAUAAGCUUAUUGGUAACAAAUGGGUUUUCAGAAUAAAAACCAAUACUGAUGGAAGUGUUGAGAAAUAUAAGGCAAGAUUGGUUGCUAAAGGAUUUCAGCAGAUUGAGGGUGUUAACUACUUCGAGACUUUCAGUCCAGUGGUAAAAUCAGCAACAGUUAGAGUGAUCUUAAGUUUGGCAGUGAUGAACCAGUGGCAAAUACGACAAGUUGAUGUGAAUAAUGCAUUCUUAAAUGGAGAUCUAACUGAAGAAGUUUAUAUGAGACAGCCAGAAGGAUUUGUUGAUCCACAAAGACCAGACUCUGUAUGUAAACUGCACAAAGCUCUUUAUGGCCUGAAACAAGCUCCUCGUGGUUGGUUUGACAAACUGAAAAGUAGUCUUAUACAAUGGGGAUUCAAGAAUUCUAAGUCUGACACAUCUCUAUUCUUGAGAAGAACCAAGAGCUCAAUCAUUAUAAUUCUGAUAUAUGUAGAUGAUAUAUUGAUUAUAGGAUCAGAUUGUGUUGAGUUGGAAGAGUUUAUUAAGUUGUUCAGCUCUACAUUUGCAUUAAAGGAUCUGGGGAGACUAUCUUACUUUCUGGGUAUAGAAGUAUUAUAUGGUCAUGAUAGUAUAUACCUGUCACAAAAGAAGUAUAUCCGAGACUUGCUUGCAAAAGUUGACAUGCUUGAAUGCAAGGGAACAAACACACCAAUGAGUAGCAGUAAAGAUUACAGAUUGCAGAAGAGUGUUGAGGGAGAAAUGGGCUAUUAUAUUGAAGAUCCCACUCAUUACAGAAGCAUAGUUGGAGGACUGCAGUAUUUGGUUUUAACUAGACCUGAGAUAGCUUAUUCUAUUUACAAACUAAGUCAGUAUGUGUCUUCACCAACUCUUCAACAACUUAUGGCAUGUAAACGAGUGCUAAGAUAUUUGAAGGAAACACAAGAAUAUGGUCUAAAGUUUGUUAGAGAAGGUGACAUGAAGCUUACAGCAUUUACAGAUGCUGAUUGGGGAAGUGAUCUUGAUGACAGAAGAUCAGUUGGAGCUUAUUGUGUAUACUUGGGAAACAAUUUAAUCUCAUGGUCCUCAAAGAAACAAUCAGUGGUUACCAAGUCAUCAGCUGAAAGUGAAUACAGGGCUCUUGCUGCAGCUGUUUCUGAAAUAACAUGGCUAAAGUCAUUGUUCCUUGAAAUUGGUUUAUGUUGUGAUGAAAGCCAAUCAUAUGGUGUGACAAUGUGAGUGCUGCUGAACUUGCUCGCAAUCCAGUAUUUCACUCAAGAACAAAACACAUAGAAAUUGAUCUACACUUUAUCAGAGACAAGGUUUUGGCUGGAGACUUGAAGAUACUAUAUGUUCCCAAUGCAGAGCAAAUAGCUGACAUAUUAACUAAGCCACUGAACUCUUCUCAAUUCAAACCUAAGGCUCAAACUCAAUGUGGAGCUAUGUCCCUUGAGUUUGAGGGGGGCUGUGAAGAGAGCUCACUGUGCUGAGUUAAAACAAGAAAGGAAGCCAGCAGUCAAGAUUCUUCAGCAAUGCCACGUCAGUGCUGAGUCAGCUGAUUCUGUUAAGGAUUGUUGAAAGCUCACGUGACUAUUAGUUAGUUAAUUAGCUUUUAGUUAGUGAUGUAGGAUUCUGAUUGGUUGAUUAAUUGCAAUGCUUAUUUGAUCAAUUGUAGCUUGGAAAUAAACUGUAUAUAAACAGAGUCUGUAACGAUUGCUUCAAUUAAUGAAAAGAAAAUAUUCCAGAGAGUUCAUCUAUUUUCUCAGUAACCAAACAAGCAUUUAGCUUAAUUUGCUAUUAUUUUACAUUAAUUAUGCUUCAUUUUUUCGUUAAAGAUUGGAUGGUUGCAUGGAUUGAUGGAGUUGGAGUUCAACCAAUAAUUCUAAUUUUUUGGACUUAAAAUGCCUUUUUCUUCGGUAUAAAAACUUUAGUAAGUGCUAUUGAGUUGACAGAAGUUGAAUACUUACAGGUUGUUUCACACUUUUUAAUAGUUUUACAUAUAUGAAUUUCUGUUUUUUGAUUUUCAGAAAGGAGGUGGAACUAUUGAUUUGGAACCUUAUCUUACUCAUUCAUCGACAACGGAGCCUACCCUCGCUCCCAUGGCAGUGGAACGGACAACGACUACUAGGGCUGCAACAUCAGUUGGUUUGGGUCUGUUUUGAGUUUAUUUUCAUUUAUUUGGCUAUGUUUUGAUAGCGAAUUUUGAUAUGUCAAUGUAGGGUGCGUUUGGGAUUGAGGUGCUGUAGCUUUUAAGCUAUAGCCACUGUGAAAAAAAAGUUGUAAUUAUGAAAUAAAAGUUAAUAAUAUAUAAUAAAUAUAAAUUUUAAAUAAUAAUUUUAUUAAAAUUAUUAAAGAUAUAAUAAAUUUUAUAUUAUACAAGUGAAAAAUUAUAUCAACAUAACUUAAAAGCUACAGCAGUUAGUGUUUACCAAACACUUUAGUGCUGUAGCUUUUAAGCUACAGCUGGCCAACCUCAAUCCCAAACGCACCUGUAAUGUGUAAUUGUUUUGGGUUGAGCUGGUAAUUAUGCUGGAUUAGAUUGGUUUGGUUUUGGUGCUUCUCUGAUGGAACACUGUUUUUUUUAGAAAUUUUGAAUGUAAUAUGAGACUACAUUUAGUUUAAUUGAACACUGCAUCUAGUCUAAUUACUAGAAGUGCGGCAUUUGGUUUGGUUUAUCCGAUAUUCUCCAGAAUUUCACUUGCAUCUGGUUUUGUUGCAUAUGUUUGCUUGCAUUUGGUGGCAGUAGCAGACUGUUUGGUUUUGUGACAUUUGAUGGCAGUUUUGUCUGUUCUUGGUGUUGAUUUAAGAUUGUUCCUGUUGUGCUGAUGUUAAUUGCAGGUGCUUGAAUCAGCUAGGGUUGCUGGUUUAUUCAGAUGGUUGACUCAGGCGUUGUUACUGGUUAAUUCAGGUGGCUGACUCAAGUUGUUCAUUUAAUGUUAGGAAGCAAAUUAAGAAUUAAUGAAGUAUUCAUUUAACUAUAAUUAUUGUAGUUAUUUUAUUUCAUAACUGAAUUAUAAUCUAUGAUACUUGUGAACAAAUUAGAGAAUUUUUAUAUAUGAAUUAUAUAUAUGUGUAUGUACAUUUUGCUAAUAAUUUAAAGAAUAUAUUUCAAUUCCCACAAAAAAAUGGCUCCAAUUUCAAUAAUUCCCGCCAAAUAAUUAAAUUUUUUUAAUUUACCAGCAAAAUAUAUCUUAAAGAAAUUUUAGUUAUUCUUGCUAGAUUUAACAAAAAUGAUUUGUAGGAUUAACAUUUAAUUAAAAUAAUUAAAUAAUUUUAUUAUUCCAAUUAAAUAUGUCAUGUUUAUACGACAGACAAUAUUCAUGAAUGGGAAGUAUUAGUUACAUAUUUUUCCUUGGGAUUUCAGGCAAAUGAAAAAAAGAUUGAGAAUGAUUUCAAGAGGACAGGUGGAUGAUAAGUAUUCAUUUUUGUAUAUUUGUCUAAUGUCCUCAUUAGUGGAUUUUUAUUAGGGAUGGCAAUGGGGAGAGGAGGGGAGGGGACCAAUCUCCCCGUACCCAUCCCUGAUAUUUUGCGUAUGUCCCCGUCCCCUCUCCAUCCCCAUCAAAAUUAUUUAAGAGAAUCCCCAUCCCCUCCCCGAAUAAUAACAGGGGAUCCCCGAGGGUCCCCGAUCCCCGAAUAACUAAUACAUUUUUUUUAUUUUCGAUUUUGAGUUAAUCAUAUUAAAAUAAAAAAUUCAAAUAAAAGUAAAGUUCAAAAUAUAUCUUACAUUAAUAUCCAUUACAAAAGUCACAUACAUUAAAUUAGUAAGUAACGCAGCAUGCAAGAGAUACAAACUAUCAUGAACAAAUUAAUAGCCUAAUACAAAAUUGUUACAAAUAAAAUCAAAUUUAGAUUAAAAAUUAACUUUUCAAUGGUGGCGUGGGCACUUUAUAAAUGUGGACUAUUCCCUUUACAUCACAAUAGUUAAGUCGAAGCAAAUCAAGAGUAAAUAUUAGAUUAGAUUAUAUAUUAAAAUUGUGAUUUGCUGUGGGCAAUUAUAACAUCUAAAAAAAAAUAGAUUUAAGAUAAAUAAAAAAUAGAUUUAAGUUUAAAAUAUUUAAUGAAUAUUAAAAUUAAAACAAAAGUUUUGGGCUAAUAGAAUCUGUCCGGUCUUUUUAAUGUCCUAAAUAAAAAUUUAGGACUUUAAUUAGUUAAUUAGGCCUAAAAAUUUAAUAAUAUAAAUAUUUUGAUAUUUUUUAUUUUUACCAAUACUUAUAAUUUUAUAAUUCAAAUUUUAUUAUUUAUUUACUAGUAAUUUUAAAAAAUAAAAAUUAAAUUAAAAAUUAAAAUGGGGAAAUGGGUAGGGGAUGGGGAUUCCACCUCAUCCCUGUCCCCUCCCCGAAUAAGAAAUUGGGUACAAAAAUUUCCCCGUCCCUUCCCCGAAUAAGAAAUUAGGUAUGAAAUUAUCCCCAUACCCUCCCCGAAUGGGGAAAAUCCCCGAGCGUACCCGUCCCCGUGGGAAUUUUUGCCAUCCCUAAUUUUUAUGGUAUUGAUCUUUUUUUUUUUUAAUUUUCAGUUAGUUGCAGCCCUAGAGGAAGAGCAGGCUGAUCAAAUUGAUUUGUCUUGUUUUUCGGGCAAUCUACGACAUGAUGACCGUGAUAAUGCUCGUGACUGCUGGAAACUUUCUGAUGGAAAUAACUUUAGAGUUCGUAGCAAGCAUUUUUGUUAUGACAAAACAAAGGUUCCCCCAUAUUUUGUUUGUUUGUUAUGGUAUUUAUAUAUCCUGCAUUGGCUAGGUAGACAGGUUAUGAUGUACGUGUUUCUCAUAUAGAACUCAAGUCUGCUGUUGUCCCAAAGUUGGAACCAGAGAUAUCAUGACUCUGGUUUCAUUUCACCUCAACUGUGUUUUUUUUUUUUUAAUUAAAAAAAUAUUUGUUUUAGGUAUACAUACAUGUAUUUUGAUUCUAUUUUCAUUGUAAUUUCUCAUUUACUUUGAAUGAAAGUCAUUGGUGUUUUCGAAUGGGAAUUUUGCAUUAAAAAAUGAAGAAUAGUGAAUAGGAAAUUUCUUGAUUCUUUAGUUACUAUUUUUGGUAUGAGUGCCAUUAGUAGUAAGGUUGGUUUCUACUCGCAAACAAGUGAACUGCUCGAUUCCCGAGUGGUAUCAACCAGUUUCCAACUUUUUAAUAUACACUAAUUGUUAGUGUUUAAUAGCUACUGCUAUUAAAAUUCAACAGCUAACAAAAAUACUUAAAAAAAAUGAUUUUUCUUAUGAUGUUGGGAAAAAAAUUAUGGGUUUACUUAUUUCCACGAGAUCUAUAACAUGGUCUUGACUUCACGAAAUUCUUUUAAUUUAAAGCGUGCUGGUGUGAGAAGGUCAGUUUGACGGAUUAAUUCUUUUCAACAGUGGUCAAGAUAAUUUUACUAUACUAAAAAAUAUUCUUAUUCUGAUAAUGCCACAAAUGUUAUGCUGUUUUCUUCGGCUAAUGAUCUUCUAUUAGGAGAGGUUAGAAAUCAAAUGCUUAAAAGACCAAUUGAACGAAUAAUACAGAAAUUUAGGCAGAAUCUAAUCGAAUAUUGCAUGAAACAUGAAACAUCAAUUCAAGUCUUUUCUUAAACGGAGAAUGCAUCAAACAAAAUCCAAAGUGUCUUGCAAGUCUGUAGCAUGAGCAAAAAAUUGUAAAUAUGUUGAACCAAAUUAUUCAAGUACAGAAGAACGAGCAAGCUAAAUCAUGUAUAAGAGAUUGGCCUGGUUCGGGAUAGCUUCUUCACUGUACCUGAAGGGUUGGCUCAAUCUCUUCUUUAGAAUUCUGCAGAUUUUGUAAUUACUCGUGUAAGCAAGCAUACAUUGCCACCAUAAGAAUAAUAAAGCUAGAGUAAUGAUAUGACCACCACCUCUUGUGCACAAACAAUAUUGUAUAAACUAAUGCGACAUAAUAUGAUUGGUUAAACAAAAACAUUACAUGGCCCUCAUAAUUUAUUUAUUUAUUAUUAUUAUUAUAUAUUUUCAGUCAACCAAUCAUAUUAUAUUACAUUAGUUUCUAUAAAAUAAUUUGCUAAAUAGCACCAAAACUUAAUUGAUACUCACCAUUUCAUUGAACAAUUUUUUCAUGGUGUCAUUGAGAUUGCCUUCCCAACAUCCUUUAUCAUCAUCUUUUUCUUCUUCGGUGACGUUCACUUUGUUUAGCAUUGGUGUGUCUAAGACUCCUUGAGAGAAGAUCUUCAUUUUUGGACACUGUCUCACAACUACUUGUUUCAAGGACGGGAAUUCAAGAGCGUAAUUACCUAAACAAAAGCUUGUUAGGCUUGGCAAACAAUCAAGUCCCAAGUACUUCAAUUUGUUGAAAACAAUGCAAUCUUUCGAUUCUUCUCCAACCUGCGACUGUAUGAUUUCUUCCAUCAUUUUGCAAUCAGUUAUCUUCAUUCUUCUGAGAUUAACCAGAUUUUUAGAUGCUGAGAGCGUCAACACAUUUAUCAACCCGUGACACUUCGAUACUUUCAAAACCUCAAGGUUUUCCAAAUGCCACGAAGGUGGUACUAAUUUUUGCAACUUACCACAUUCCGAUAUUUUUAGACUUUCCAAAUUUGCAAAUACUUUGUUGGAUUCGGCAUUUUCCUUCCAGAGAUGCUGCAAUUUGUGUAAUCCAGACAACUCUAACCCCCACAAUUGAGGGAAAGCAACCUGAAAAUCAACAAAAUUAAGUUGUAAAUGAAAAUAUGUAUCCAAUCUCUGCAGUCUUCCUCUGCAUAUUUUAUGGACAAGAUUAAUCACGGCAUUUUAUAUUUUAUUUUCCAAAUUAGUAUGCUUUGCAGUAGGAUCCCAAAUAUAAGUAUCAAAUCGAUUACUCUUUGAAACACAUAAAUGAAAUCUGAUGCUAAAUCCAAUAUGAAUUAGCUAGGAAAACAGAGAUGUUACACACAUAAUUAAUAUAGUUCAUCACCUCGUGUUACCAGGCAUCCAAUUAAUUUCUGACAUUUUUAUAAUUCAUACUAUAAAGUUAGUUAAUAACGGAGGUUAUAUUGUUAAAUCAGAUAUAAAUUAAGACGACAUGCAAAAAGAUGAGUCAUUAAAUUUGAUUUGAUUCUAAUGAAAUUACAUCUGUGCGAAUGAAAGUGAAGGGAAAAAUAAUAAUAAUGAUUACCUUUUCAUCGAAGAGAUGUUGUAUUUGAUUAGCUACCAAGAGGUUCUCUUCUGAUUUUAAUUUUUGAGCUUCCUUAUUAUCUGCUGUCAUGUGCAGUACAGAUGUAGAAUUGGAUAUGAAUGUUUCCAUAUCAGGGCAAUUCUCAAUAGUUAGAUAACUCAGCAGUUCAAUUAUAUUCCCAGUGAAGUUGCAGAAUCUUUUGAGUUUUGGAAGAUCAAUGAGCCUUAGGUUGGAAAGCUUAGGAAACAGGGGGCCUAUAUGUUCUUUGUCAGCAUUAAUUAGCUCUUCCAAAUGGAGCACCUCUUCUAGUGAAUCACAAUUCGUCACUGCCAGGCAUUCCAAAUUGUUCAAGCACCGUAGCAGAUUGGCAGGAAUAGCACUCGACAUAUUCGUGCAGUCAUCCACUUCCAGCUUUCUUAAAUUGUUGAAGAAGCUGACAGGCAGUUCUUGGCCAUGCCAUAUUUCUUUCAAACGUGGAAAACGUGAGAGUUGCAAAUACUCUAUAUCACGAAAUCCAAUCUGCACAAACCAAAACAAUUGCACUGGAUAUAUACAAUUUUUUUUUAAAGGCAUUAGAUAUAUAUAUAUAUAUAUAUAUACACACACACACACACACACACAUUAAACUUACAUGUUUUGUGUUUUAACUUCUAAAACUACAUAUACAAGGUAGGUGUAUAUGUUUAAAUGUGCAAGCGUAGGGGAGAUGCAUGAACAAUUUGGGUGAAUCGAUUAACACAGACCAUCUUUUUGUAACAUAUUUUUAAAUGUGCAAGUGCAAGGGAGAUGCAUGAGCAAUUUGGAUGAAUUGAUGAGCACAUACCAUUUCUUUGUAACACUUCUGUAUAGUGGAAUUAAGAUUGCCUUCCCGAUGGUACAAUUCACUGUCUUCCUUUUUACUAACUUGCACUUUGUACAGCUUUGGUGUGGAUAAGAUUCCCUGGGGAAAAGUCUUCAUGUUCGGACAAUGUGUCACCGAAACUCGUUCCAAUGAUGGGAAUUCAAGAGUAUAAUUCUCCAAACAAAAGCUGGUAAGCCUUGGUAAAUAAUCAAGUAUCAAAACUUUUAAUUCGCUGAAAGCAAUACGAUUCUCCUUCACUUCUUCUCCAACAUGUCCUACGAUUUCUUCUAAUUUUUGGCAAUUCGAUACAUUAAGAUUCACCAGACUACUAGGAAUUCCAACCUGAAAAUAAGCAAAAGUGUGUGUAUAUUAAAAAAGUAAAAAUGUAAGAAUAUCAUUCAACUAGCACCACAACAGAAAUGGCUUUUUGCAACAAAAAGAUUUUGUUGCCUAAAGUGCCAAUUUUGUUGCCAUAGGUUAUUGCUACAAAAACAAGCUUGUCGGCCCGGUCGUCGGCCUAGCACUGUCGCCCUCUAUGUUUAACAACAUAUCAAAACAUUUCUCGCCUCAAACUUCCUUUCGCAACAAAACAGAUUCGUUGUGAAGGAGUCUUCAACUUGUUUAGAGAAUAAUUUGGCAACAAACAUUUUUGUUGCGCUAAACAGUUUUACACAACAAACUAAUUUUGUUUCUAUAUAGUUAUUUACUACAAAACUAAUUUGUUGCUAAGAAAUAAAGUACAUUUUAUAAAAAAAACGUGUACCAACAAAGGUGUUUGUUAGCUAAGAUCAUUUUAGGCAACAAAACUACUUUGUUUCUUUAUGUUGAAAAUUUUACAAAUUUGCAAUAAAUAUUUAUAUAUUUUUAGAAACAAAUCAAUUUUGUCAUUAAAAAAUAGUACAAUUUUUUUUUAAUAAUAUCAUGGUAUAAAAGGAAGCAAACCAAGUUCGUUGGGAAAGAUACCAAUUUUUUCCCCCACCAUGACAAUAAUAAACUAGAAAUAUAUGUUGAGAAAUCUAACAAAAAAAUCAUUAAUGUCAUUGAACUAAUUUAAAAGUUAAAGGCCCAUUCAGUAUCCAAGCUAUAUAUAUAUAUAUACAAAACUGACUUUAAGAAUCACAUAUGAUAGUCAAAUACAAAAGUGGAUUGUCAUCUAUCCCAAAAAUGUAAUGAGCAAAAAUUAUAAACGAUCUCUAAUUACAACUACUCCAAACUCCAAAUACUUAAAGAUAUGACAUGCACCAGCAGUAACCAAAAAGAUCAAGUGAUGACCAAUUCAAAAUACUAACAAGUUCAAGAUACUCUAAGGACAUCAUUGAAAUGAGUAAUCAUUGAGUAGCUGAAUCUGUAAAGCAAAAAGUGGAUCCUUGAGAAGAAAAAAAUUGCUGCAUCAUACCCUCAAAUUGGGACAAUCUGGACUCCAAUUGAUCAAUAGUCUUCUUUUGUUCUUGAAGCUCAACAUCUUGUGAAUCCAAUCUACUUUGUUGUGAAGAUAUAAUACCAUGCAAUCUGUCAGCCUCAGAAGUAUCAACACCAUGGUUUGAAGUUGGGCGUGGUCCGUUGCCAAGUCCUCGAAAAUAGCCUGUUUUCUUUCCAAGUACUUCAAUGCAUAUUUCCUUUUGAGUUAGUGGUUUUGCUUCUUGAGGAUCUAUUUGUUGCUGUUGUUGUAUCUCUACCAUUUGGUCCUAUACAUAAAGCUUUGUUAGUAAAUGAAGGAAGAAAAAAAAGAAUUUUAUUAAUUAAAUAGUUGAAAUUUAAUCCAUUGGUCAUGGAAUUAAUUUGUAUUAAGGCAUAAAUUGAAAAAAAAAAAAAAGAAACUUGCUGUUAUACUUAUAAAUCUAAUUAUUUGAUAUUUCAAAUAAUAAAGUUAAUUAGAGCAUGAAAGAAAAAUUAAGAAAAAAAAACUCAAUGAGUAAACUUUCAUCAACAGUAUGUAGGUGAUAAGAAAUAAUAAAAUUAAAAAUUUUGUUUCCAACAAAGCAUCUUACAUGGUUUAAGUGUGCCAUCUCAUUCACCCAACCUUUUGUCUUGCUGAAAUGAUUGACGCGAAAUAAUUCUAUUUCACCAUCAACCAUGUCAUCCUCAAGAUAAUUAACAAAAGGUCUUGAUCCCCCACAAUGGACAUAUGGGAGCUUAGCACGAUUAGCUUUGUUUUUGGUAGAUUGAGUCUACAUUAAAAAAAUAUAACAGUGGAAAAUAAGAUACAUAUACAAGCAUAUUGACAACUAGUUGGACAAUUUAAAGUUCAUAAUAUGAAUAUCAUUGGACCUGGAAACUUGCGGAAUUGUAAAUGUUAUGACAAAGCCAAGCCCAAUCAUCUGGACAUAUGCCUGGAUAUGAAUGCUUAAGUGCCUCUUCAAAGGAUGGAUAAUCCAAGUAAUGAUCAUACAUCCAAUGUCUCAUAUCAUGAUAUCUCCCACCCAUAAUGUUAUUCACACAUCGACGAACAUGUGGUACGUUCAAAUCAAUCUCAAACUUUGACUGAAUUUAGGAAAAAAAAGAUAUCUCAGUUUAUAAUUAAAAAAAAUGACAUAUGAAGAAUAUUAAUAAUCAUAAGUACUUACUAAUAGUCGAUCAAACAAAACCUACCAAUUAAACUCUUUAAAUACCAAAUUCUAGAGUUGUAACAACACCUUGCACAAACUCUUGGCUGGGCAUAACAGGCUAAGAUUGGGGAAUUGUAGAUGCGACAACAAUUUCUGCUCUUACACGUUUGGUAACUCUAUGUCCAGGACCCAUCUAGUAAUUAUUAAAAAUAUACAUUAGAGUUUAUUAAUAAUCAACAUAAAAAUAAAUCAAGAUAACUAUAAUUUUGUCAAAGAAAUUAUAACAUGAAAGAUCCUAUUACUGGGCAUAGAUCCUAAAUUCAUUUGACUAUUGUCCACAAACUCAGGUUCUUCACCAUGAAAAACCCAUGAAAAAUCCAUUAACUUUAAUUUAACAAAUUAAAAAUUGAAACAAAGACCCACUUAAUAAAUAAUUAAAGCAAAACCCACUAAACAAAAUCAAACUCAACAGGCCAAUAUAUAAAAUAAAACUAAAUUUACUUGAAGAAAUCGUUGUCUUGAGUGGUGCCUUCCAAGUACAACUCUUCAAUGGCUUAAAGCUUGGGCAGAGAGAAUGACUCCAAGGCAGGGCAAAAGAAACAAGCGAAGAGUAAAGUGGAAAUAUUCUAGAAGCAAUAUUUUAAUUAAGAAAAAAUUGGAGAUGGAAACUUUACUUCGGUUAGCACGCGGUUUAUUAAAUAAAGGGCGCGGAAAUAAAAAAUUAAAAAGCCUCCCACAAAGUCAUGUUUGCUUUUAUAUUAUCUUUAUAUUUUCAUUUAUUAAUUUAAUAUUUUUGUUAACCUUUGCGCAACAAAAUUAAUCUCGUUGCAAAAAACUCUGAGAGUACAAAACAAAUUUUCUCGCUAAUCACAACCUUUUGCAAUAUUUCAUUUGUUGCAACUGAUUUAAGUGUUUGUUGUGGAAAAACUUGAGCAACGAAACAUAUUUUGCCUUCAUUAAGCUUGUUAGGCAACAAGAACACUUUUGUUGCCAAACAUAGCGUAGGGCAAGAAAAUAUUUUGUUGCCAUAUAUUCUAAUUUUCUUGCCUAUUCCACAUCAUUAAGAAGAAUAAAAUCUGUUUAGCUAUAGCGAUAAAGACUAAUUUUUGUUGCAAGAUAUGAAUUUUAGCAAUAAAGUAAGUUUUGUUGCAAUAGAAUUUGUAGCCAAUACUCUAUUUUCUUGUGGUGUAGGUUCAAAGUAUGUUUAAUCAUACAAUUAUACGUUUUAUAAACAUAACAAACCAUGAAAUGUCUACUAGAUAAUUUUUUGUUAAACAAAAAAAGCAACAAGAUAAAUAAAUAAAUAAAAGCCAGAUAAACAAAGAUAAUAAAAAUGCAUUUACACUAUUUACUAUUAGGAAUGUAGAAAGAAUUUAAGGCAAUUUCUAAAUAUUUUAGACUUAUUUUGCAUCUUGAUAUCAGUUUUUAAGCAUAAAUUUGCAAAUUUCAACUAUUCCUUUUGGGGAAAAAAAAAUCAACCAAAAUGCCGCUUUUUCCCUUUUCCUUGGUCCCUUUUUUUUAUGUACAUUUAAAAAUGGGAAAAAAAAUUGGAAAAGACUUCCCAAUAUUGUCAACAAGGGACUGCUGCUGUAAAGUGGAUCUUUAUUAAGUACUUCCAGACUCAAGGAAAUUUCUUUACAAUCACGGGUCAGUUGUAAAUAAUCAUCAAUUUGUGGUUAAUUAAUGGCAUAAUCAAUUCGUAACUAAACAAGAGAUAUUAAUUAAAUUUGAAGACUUUUAUUUUCUUUUUUUUCUUUUUCCAAUCGAAAUGUGAAGAAUUAAGGAAAAGAGAAAUAUAUAGAUGAAUUUAUGAACCUAUAAGAUGAGUGACUAUCCUUUAAUUUUUGAAAAUCGUACUUUUUAAGAUAUGAGCAAAAACUAUUUAAUUGAAUUAUAUUAUGCUGUUGAAUCGUGUUUGAAAAAUUUAUAUUGUUAAUUCUAAUGCUGACGAACCUAAAAACCGGACUUAAAACGUAGAUUUCAGGGUGGUGGUUCGAAGUACGAUACUUGAAAUAAAUAAUCAGUGGCUGAAUAUCAUUUGUAAACAAAAAAUGGUUAAAAUAUUGUUGGAUGUAAUUUGAAAAAAAAAAAAAAGAUUCGAAAUGAAUACAGCGAACUUACCAAUGGAGGAAAAAUAUUCUUUAGGUUAUCACACCAAUUUAUCUCCAAAUUCUUCAAUUUGCUGAAAGACUCCGAAGCAAGCUGGUGGUGCCAUAUUCUUCUCAAAUUAUCCAUCCUCCCAAUAUCUAAUACCUCCAACCUAGGAAGUCGUACCUGGCAGUUAAAGAUUAAAUAACUAAUUGAUCAAUUAAUGGCAUAAUCAAUUGAUAACUAAAUUAGAGGCGGAUAUUAACUAAUUUUGAAGACUCAAGGAAAAGAAAAAUUAAGUAUUGUGACUAAAAUUAAUUUUUUUUAUUAAAAAAAAAACUUUUCGUCAAAGAGAGGAGGAGGUUGCAUUUCAGAAUGAUUGGUGUCUUCUGGUGAGCUCGUAGAGAUGAAUCUUAACAUAUUUCUGCAACCACGAAACUUGAGGUUUAGCAAAGAAGGGAAUUCAACAACUGAAUCUGAAUGAAUAUGUCCCGUAUUGGCAAAGCUUGUUAGUUUAUAAAGCCCAUAGAGCUGUAGGGAGUGUAGUUUAGGAAAAACCUUUAAUUCAAUCAACUUUCCUUCAUCUCUUUCUGACCACCCCGUGGUGUCGACUACCCUUUCCAUUGACCAACAAGUGGUUAUCUCAAGAUGUUGGAGUUUCGCAAGACUAUUAACCAUAGAAUAUGAAAACAGAUACUUCAUACGAUGACAACUGACCACGUGCAGCUUUGUUAGAUUUUGAUAACAGUACAUUCCUUGAUUAUGAUCGGCCCAUAAUUUUUUCAUGUUUCUUAAGUCCCUGAGAUUCAAUUCCUCUAAGCUCGGAAGAAUAACCUGCAAAGAAAACCCGUACAUUUUUGUUCCUUCAAGUACAACCGUCUAGUAUAAUAUUUUUUUGAUGAUCGAAGAUUAAUGGUGAUAAUAAAUUAAUCAAUUAAUUAUUGAACAGAAAAUUAUCACCUUUGGAGCAGUAUCAUCAUCAGCAAUGAUUUCGUUGAAUCCCAAAGAAGUUGUUGGUUUCUCCCUGUCGGGUCCUAUAAACAAACAAAAACAAUAUAUACAUAAUUAAUCUUUGUUUUUUUUUGGUCCAAAAUAAUUGAGGAGAAGUCCAUAAUCACACCAACACUUACCAACAAUCAUUUCCAGAUCAUCGCAAGAAGCCACUUCUACCUUUUGAAGCUGCAGUAGGUUUUUGGCUAUGGAGAAUGAGAAAAGAUGCUUCAAUUCGCGACAGGAUUUUACUUCGAUAAUCCUUAAGUUGCUGAAAGAUUGAUCUUCUGUGAGUUGGCUGUCACAUAUUGUCUCCAAAUUAUUCAAAUAGCUAAGAGACAAUGACUCCAGCAAGGGAAAGACUGUCCAAUGAACCCGUCCAACUGAACCAACAAUAUGCGAAAUAUCAUAACAAUAUUCUACACGAAGAUGCUUCAAUCGUGGAAAACCUUCCCCAUCAUCUAAUUCAUGAACAACAUUCUGAACACCCUUCAGUUCGAUUAGAUGGAUCUCUUCAGUUAACUUCAGCAACAUUUUCGUCCCAUAAUUCUCCCAAAGAGUGCUAACAUUUUCUAACCCAUGGAGCUCCACCAAUCUUGAUGUUUCAGAAUUAACGCGCCACCACGCUUCUCCUAUACAUAUCUUAUAUCUUUGCAAUUCCACAGGGACCCAAUCCUGCGGCAGAAUUUGGGCAUCCCGAACGUGUAUCUCCAAGGUACUUAGCUUUGACAACCCCUUCAAUUCAGCAAGACUGGCGUUACUUCCUCCUUCAACCUUAUCCCACUGCGAAAAACUGUCACCCAUAUAUAGUUCUUCCAAUCGAGAAAAAUUUGAUAUGACAUUUGGUGCUAUCACUACAAGGCUCCUACAAUGUUGGGUGCAAGCGGAAGUGCAGAAAAAUUUUUAUUUAAGAACAGAGUAUUUUGCUGGAAAUUUCUGAAACUUUAUUGCUUAAUUCAUUUUUUUCGUUUCUCUCUUCCUUUUCAUACAACCAGAGUUCUAUAUUUAUAUGCAUUAUAGACAACUCUAGAGAUUACAUUAAUCAUGCUUUACAUUUCCAAAGCUACAUUGCAAACAUCAAUUCUACCCUUUACUUCAUGUUGAAAAACAAACCAAAUAACCCUUCAAACUUCUUGCUCAAUUUACUAGAUUAUUAAUUAUAUCUCAACACCCCCUCUUAAUUAGUAAUCUUCAAUUGCUUCUUGAAUUUUUCAAACUUCUCAAUGUUGAUUGCUUUGGUCAGAAAAUCUGCUGGCUGCUCAUUAGUGCUGAUAAACUCCAUAUUAACUUCUCCUUUGUUUACUAAGUCACGGAUGUAGUGAUAACGCAGCUCAAUGUGCUUAGAUUUAGCAUGAAAUACGGGGUUCUUUGUUAGAGCAAUGGCUGACAUGUUGUCACAAUAAAUUGUUGUUGCAGCAUCUUGAUUGAAUUGCAAAUCCUUGAGAAUUCUUCUAAGCCAAACGGCUUCACAAGCUGAUUCAGUUGCUGCAAUGUACUCUGCCUCGGCUGAGGAUAAAGCUACUGACUUCUGCUUCCUUGAGCUCCAUGAAAUCACAUUUGUACCAAGACAAAAUAAAUAACCUGAUGUGCUUUUUCUGUUAUCAAGGGAACCAGCCCAGUCACUGUCAGUAAAACCAACAAGCUUGCAAUUGUCUUCUUUUUCAUACAUGAUCCCCUGCUUUUUUGUUCCUUGAAGAUACCUUAAGAUUCUCUUUGCUGCAAUAUAAUGGGACUUCCUUGGAUCAUUCAUAAAUCUAGAAAGAACACUAACUGAGUGCAAAAUGUCAGGUCUUGAGUUGGUUAGAUAAAUCAAUGAACCAACCAAGCUUCUAUAGAUUCUUGCGUCAGCCUUUUCUUCUUUUUCAUCAUGUUUCAAUUUUUCAUUCAAACCCAUAGGAGUAGGUGCUGGUUUGCAUUUGAACAUGUGGAAUUUCUUCAACAAAUCUUCUACGUAUUUUUCUUGACAAAAGAAGAUUUUACCUCUGGCUUGCUUCACUUGAAUGCCAAGAAAAUACAUCAUUAAGCCCAAGUCAGUCAUCUCAAAUUCAUCUAGCAUGCUUUUUUUAAACUCUUCCACCAUUUUCAGAUUAGUGCCACAAUAAAUUAGAUCAUCAACAUAAAGGCAAACAAUAAGGAAAUCAGUACCUUCCUUUUUGACAUAAAGAGAAGGUUCACUUGAGCUUCUGUCAAAUCCAUUUUUAACAAAAUAUCUAUCAAUUCUACUAUUCCACGCUCGAGGGGCUUGCUUCAAGCCAUACAAGGCUUUUCGGAGUCGAUAAACUUUGUUUUCUUCACCUUUUACUUCAUAUCCUUUAGGCUGCUCAACAUAAACCUCUUCUUCAAUUUCACCAUUUAGAAAUGCCGAUUUUACAUCUAGCUGAAACACAUUUAAUUCCAUUUGGGCUGCCAAGGCAAGAACAGUUCGAAUAGUCUCCAUUCGAGCUACGGGAGCAAACGUUUCUGUAAAAUCAACUCCAGGCAGCUGAGAGUAUCCUUUGGCAACGAGCCGCGCCUUAUAUUUUUGAACUGAACCAUCUUCAUUGUACUUGAUUUUGAAGAUCCAUUUCAGCCCAAUUGUUUCUUUUCCAUUUGGCAAAUUAACCAUCUCCCAAGUUUUAUUUUUCACAAUGGUGGCCAUUUCCUCGUUCAUUGCUUUGAUCCAAUCUUCAUUUCUUGAGGCCUCCUCAAAGUCUUGAGGCUCACAAGAAAAUAAAGCAAGUUCACAUGACUCAUAAAUUUCUCUCAUUGACUUUAUCUUCCUUGGAGGGCUUUCAUCAUCCGAAGAAACUUUCUGCUGCUGAAUUUNNNNNNNNNNNNNNNNNNNNNNNNNNNNNNNNNNNNNNNNNNNNNNNNNNNNNNNNNNNNNNNNNNNNNNNNNNNNNNNNNNNNNNNNNNNNNNNNNNNNNNNNNNNNNNNNNNNNNNNNNNNNNNNNNNNNNNNNNNNNNNNNNNNNNNNNNNNNNNNNNNNNNNNNNNNNNNNNNNNNNNNNNNNNNNNNNNNNNNNNNNNNNNNNNNNNNNNNNNNNNNNNNNNNNNNNNNNNNNNNNNNNNNNNNNNNNNNNNNNNNNNNNNNNNNNNNNNNNNNNNNNNNNNNNNNNNNNNNNNNNNNNNNNNNNNNNNNNNNNNNNNNNNNNNNNNNNNNNNNNNNNNNNNNNNNNNNNNNNNNNNNNNNNNNNNNNNNNNNNNNNNNNNNNNNNNNNNNNNNNNNNNNNNNNNNNNNNNNNNNNNNNNNNNNNNNNNNNNNNNNNNNNNNNNNNNNNNNNNNNNNNNNNNNNNNNNNNNNNNNNNNNNNNNNNNNNNNNNNNNNNNNNNNNNNNNNNNNNNNNNNNNNNNNNNNNNNNNNNNNNNNNNNNNNNNNNNNNNNNNNNNNNNNNNNNNNNNNNNNNNNNNNNNNNNNNNNNNNNNNNNNNNNNNNNNNNNNNNNNNNNNNNNNNNNNNNNNNNNNNNNNNNNNNNNNNNNNNNNNNNNNNNNNNNNNNNNNNNNNNNNNNNNNNNNNNNNNNNNNNNNNNNNNNNNNNNNNNNNNNNNNNNNNNNNNNNNNNNNNNNNNNNNNNNNNNNNNNNNNNNNNNNNNNNNNNNNNNNNNNNNNNNNNNNNNNNNNNNNNNNNNNNNNNNNNNNNNNNNNNNNNNNNNNNNNNNNNNNNNNNNNNNNNNNNNNNNNNNNNNNNNNNNNNNNNNNNNNNNNNNNNNNNNNNNNNNNNNNNNNNNNNNNNNNNNNNNNNNNNNNNNNNNNNNNNNNNNNNNNNNNNNNNNNNNNNNNNNNNNNNNNNNNNNNNNNNNNNNNNNNNNNNNNNNNNNNNNNNNNNNNNNNNNNNNNNNNNNNNNNNNNNNNNNNNNNNNNNNNNNNNNNNNNNNNNNNNNNNNNNNNNNNNNNNNNNNNNNNNNNNNNNNNNNNNNNNNNNNNNNNNNNNNNNNNNNNNNNNNNNNNNNNNNNNNNNNNNNNNNNAACUUGAUGGUGACUGCCUUUUCGGACCUUGAAAUUCUUGUUUUAGGAUUUCCCAAGCAUUUUUGGCCUUUUUGACACCAAAUAUUCUGGGGAAAAUUGACUUACUAACACCUUGCUGGAUAUAUCGAAGUGCCGUGGCAUUUCUCUGUAUGUUUUCUUUGUACUGCUGUUGAUGUGCUGGAGUCCAAUCUGAAGAACUUGCUGAUUCUGGUGGUUCAGCAUAUCCAUCUUCAACAACAAGGUGUUGGGUGCAAGCGGAAGUGCAGAAAAAUUUUUAUUUAAGAACAGAGUAUUUUGCUGGAAAUUUUUAUUUACAAUUGCUCAAAUCUAGCAAUUGUAACCCCGUCAAUUGUCCAAUUUCAAGUGGUAACUGCUUAAUGUCGGAAUAUCGAAAGCUAAGAAUCUCCAAUUUCUUUAGUUGUCCAAUUGCCGCUACAUCUUCUAGUUGGCACCAGUCUAAACACAAUGUUUGAAGGUUAAUGAGGCGACCGAGUGACGAAGGUAAUGAAGAGAAAGGAAUUCUAGUAAGACUUAAAACUUUGAGUUCUUCUGUCCCUUCAAAAAAGAGAUCUGAAAUUUGCAUAGGGCCAUUACCCUUUCUAAACAACAAAAAUAACUGGAGAUUGGGACAUUGCAACCUUUCAGGGAGCUCUUGAAUAUUUCUCUGGGGUAAUGAAAUGGCAAUUGGAUCUUUCCGUAUUGUCUCUUCCAUCUUUUUCUCUAAGUCGGCAACAUUUGGAAUAUUAAACAUGCGCUUCUCUGCGGCAAUUGAUACGGCAACAACAUGAGUGACGUCAUGCAUUUUAACUUCAUCUUUAGCAUCACCGUCCAACAAUAAGCAUGAAGAUUUGAGGUUGUCGAUCAACCGAUGCACUCUACUCCUUGCUUCUUCCGAUGUGUAAACAUUUUCAAAUAAACGCCAACCCACACCAUAUCUCAAUAAGUUAGAAACUUGUAUGACAUAACCUUCACUGUAUAGACCACAAAGACGGAACAGAGAUUUUGCCUCCUCACUUUCCAAGAAGUCAUAACUCAAUUUUAUGGAGGUGUAAACAUUUGCUUGCAUGCCAUGAAUUUCUCUUGCAUCCGAUCUUCUUAGCUGAUUCAAUGCAUCUUUCCAAAAGUCAAGCUCCUUAGUUUUCAGAGCAUUUGCAACUGUACUCAGUGCAACAGGCAAACCUCCGCAUCUUUCAACGAUCUCAUUGGCUGUACUUUGAAAAGCAGAUAUUUUAGUUGAAUCACCCACUAUCUCCUCAAAUAACUGCAAUGCUUCUUUUGGUGGCAAAGCAUCGAUCUGGAAAUUUUUCUGAGAAUUCAUAUCAAUGCGCAAUAAAUCUUGCUUUCUAGACGUCAAUAUUAUUGUGCAUCUUCUCUGAUCAUCCUUUCUAUCUUUCUCAGCAACAUCCCCGGUUGGAAUUCCAAAUUUAUCCAACUCAAGUUUUGUCCAAAUAUUAUCUAAUAUAAUGAGGAGCUGCUUCUCUUUCUUCAAUCUUUCAUGUAAUCGUUCAGCUCUUUGGAAUUCAUUCUCAUUCAGGCCAAAUUCCAUGCCUAAAUCAAAAGCAAGUUUGUUUUGAAUUUUAUGAUGAUCUGGGGUCUGUGUUACCUCAGCCAUAACGACCUUAUCGAACAAGUUUUCUUCCAUCACUUGCUUUGCAACUUGCUUGACUAUCGUGGUUUUACCCACGCCGCCCAUCCCGUGGACCCCAAUUAUGUUGAGCUUAUCAUCCCUCAACGCCUCCAUAACAUCUUGAAAUACUUUCAUUCUUGAAUCAAACGCCUCGAAAUCUUUCACUUGAAUAUGUUCUGCCAGCUUUGGAGUAGGACGGUGGGAAACAUUAGAGAAGUUGCCUUUUCCCACGAGACUAGCGGCAGCUUCUGCGGCCUUUGCUGCUUGUCUACUGAGCUUGUAACGGGAAAUCAAGUUUGGGCACGAUCCUUUGAAACAGAACUUCUUAGCUCUAUCUUCAUCAUCAGUGAUGGAUUUUGCAGCGCCCUGAGUGAAUUCCUUGACACUAUUAAGCCAGUCUGCAACAUCCUUAUAAAUCUCAUCUCCUUGUUGAGUAGCCUGAUGAACGGGUAUUUCCACCCUUUCUCUUUUGUGUUCCAGCUGCUUCACUUGAUCUUUUAGGCCAUCUAUGUAGCUCUGGUACUUGAACACAUAAGAUAUCUGCCGUAUAAUCGGUUUGAAUAGUGACUUUACACCUUCUGAUACGAUGCUGGAAAAAGCAGCCAGACCCACUUCUGCAGCCAUUGCCUGUUGCUUAACAGUAUAUAUAUAUAAAUAUAUAUAUAUAUAUAAAGUGAAUAAAAAUGUCAAAUAAAGGAAUACAAAUAAAUUAAAAUGAACUAGAGGGAAAGACAGAGAAAGAAUAGACCGCAAACAACAUCACGAUAUUGAUCUUGAACCAACUGAUACCUAAGUGGAGAAUUUCUUUUUCUAUCUUAAGGAUCAGAGGUUUCGCUAUUAACAGAAAGGUAUCCUUCAAGGAAAGUUGAUGGAAAUUAAGAAAGAAUGGCUAUCAAGAUCAAGUAUUCUGCUACUAAAAAUAAAUGAUAUGAUUAAGAAAAACCAGAGAAUUUUUUCCUAGGAAAGUUGAUGGAAAUUAAGAAAGCACCGCUAUGAAGAUCAAGUAUCAGAGAUUCUGCUACUAAAAGAAUAUUACAGGUUUUAGAACAAGUGCACCUCUUUACCUGUCUGGGAUCAGAGUUGAUGAGCUGCUGUAUUCACCUUGAAUAUAGAAGAAAUAUUACAGAUUUUGACUAAAGAGGAAUGUGAGGAACGAGUUGAUGAGAGUAAUAACAAUGAAUUUCCAAAAGAAGACGACUUGAGCAUUAAGCAUGCACCCCCUUUUUCAAUCAAAUAUUGGUACGUAUGUACGUAGGGACCAUUAUGCGUAUAUGAAGUCCAUUAGUUGCAAUCAGAAACCCUGGACCAAUUUAAAUGACACUCGAUUUUUGAUAAGAAGAAGGCAAGGAUAAGGACAAAGUCAAUCAAUCACCAACAGUAAUUACUUCAAUCUUUGUCAAUCUACUUAAAUUGUCGAUCAACAUGAAAAUUGUUUAAAUUGAUAUUUGUAAAUCAAUCAAUUUUCUAGUUACUAUGAUUAUAGCGUUUCACCUUUCAUAUUGGAUUUUAUCUUUUCGAAAGUUUUCAAAUAUGAGUGUCAAUAAUUAUUGAGACUCCAAGCCGUGCUCUCAAGAUCGUGCUGACACAUCACUAUUAACUUUAUUUAUGCAUAUUUCAAAGAAAAAAAGUUAUGGUUUUGUAUUGCCAGCCCUGCUACUUUUUGUUUUUUUUCAUUUGUAUUAUUUACGAUUUUUUUUUAACAGAAACAUGAGAACUCAUCAUCGUACAAAAUUGUAUGAAAAAAUCUUCAAAUUUAUAAAAGUAAAUUUCAUUGACAGAUUGUGGAUAUGUUAGCAAGAAUAAGGAUAAGAAUGAGUUAAGAAAUUAAAAAGAAAAAAAAUAUAGUGUAAGUAAACAAUGUUUUGGUACAUUUGGUAUUGUUUUCAAAAUAUUUUGAAAAGAAAAAUUUUCAAUCAUCCACCUAAAAAUUAUUUUAUUAUCCAAAAGUUAUGAAAAUUUAAAUAUACUUAAUUUUAUACCCAUUAUUACAAUGUGUAUCAACUGUUUACUAAAAAAAUAAAGUUACUCCUAAAACGUAAUCACCACUACAAUUUUAUGUUCGCUUCUAUUUUGUCACUUUGAACGAAUAACUUUGAGUAAAUGACUGAUAAUUUCUCUUUUAUAAGCUACAAGAAGUUAAAAAAAGAAAAAAGAAAAAAUAGGAUGAUAAUUUCUCUUUUAUUUGCCUCAGAUGAUUUAUUGUUUCGGGUCUAAGAUUUUAAAUAUUCAACUUAAAAGAUUAAUAUAUUAUAAAUUAAUUAAUUAAAUAAUCAUUAAGCAAAUAAAUUGUGUCCCUGGAUGUCAAUUCCUUUAAUAUUGACGCAACUAUUUUUUUCUGGCAAAUAAUUAUUAAUGCACUUACGGAACUUUGCAUAUCUACACAGCGAUUUUAAAUAUUACUGGUAACUGCUAAGAAAUGUGCGAGAAAGGAGUUGAUGAGAGUAAUAACAGCGACUUGCAAAAGGAAAAGACAGAAUCAUUCACCCCUUUUUGUAUCACGUAUUUGGUUACUGUUUCCCUGUUGACGCAUGUAUAAAUUUGAGUGGUUUUUCUCCACGUUUUUGAGUGGUCUUUCUGCACUUUUUAACAAUAUGAUAAUUGACAGGUUAAUUAUUUUAUAUCUUUUAUAAAAUUACUAUUAAAGGAGAUUUUCUGCACGCAUGUAUAAUAUUUUAUAUCUUUAUUUAUAUUACUAUUAAUUUUAAAUUAAAAUUAUUUAUAUUUAUUCAUAUUCAAAUAUUUAUUAUUAGUUAUAUUAACUAUAAUAUAAUUAAAUAAUACAUUAUUUAGUUAUAUUUUCAAUAUAAUAAAAAUUAAUAAUAUAAUAAUAAAAUUUAUUUAAACAUUUAUUAACAUGUAAUAAAUUUUGUUUUUGUGUACAAUACAAUAAAUUGAUAACUAAAAUAAAUAUUAUUAACAUUAUUUUAUUAUUUUAUUACCUCAAUAUUAUUAGUAAUUAUAAGAAUUCCUUGAAAGUUAAUGAUUUUACUUUUUUGAUUAAUAAGGAUAAUUUUAUAUUUUUAUAGUAUGUAUGACGGCUUGCCUCCUGCAUGCGUCUAAGUGCAACCUUCCUAUAUAAUCGGUUGCUUUGCUUGUGAAACUACAUCAAACCCUAAUCCUGAUCCUGAUCCUGCUGAGAUGAGUGUUAUAUAUGCUGAAGCAAAUUAAACACGCACAUCAUCAAUUUGAUUCGAUAUGCGCACCGUCUUACGUAUAAAUACCAAAAGAAAUCAUAAUAUACAUCUUAGUACUGAUAGUCGUGAUCACAAAUUAGGAACACAAUAUAUACACAUGCAUAAUAUAAAGAAAACACGAGGUAAAUUAAAAGCGUGUAAAUAUUCAUUUUUUUCAAAUAUUGAGAUGUAGCUAUAAAAGAAAAAAUAAAUUAAAAAAUUUUAAAUUUUAAUAUGGCCAUCGUAGAGUUAGAAUCCCCGCUCCAACCCAAUUUGGAGAUGUGCUUGGUCUAUUUAUGUUUUGGAAAAAGAAAAACCAAAGGAAAAAAAAAUACACACACGACCAAAUCAAGCAAUUCAUCAAAUAAAAAAUAAAAAAAGGAAAGAAAUUUAAUGACUUGCAUGCAAUUUUGGAUCUGAAAUUAAAAUUACAUAAAAAUUAAGGAUUACCUACCUUAAUAUUUACAGCUUAUUUGAUGGACUCAACAGGUUUAAGCAACAUCAAAAUGUUUGUGGCUCCUUAAAUGAGCCCCCGACAUGGUGCAAAUGACAACAUCGACUUGUUUGACAGCUCCAACAAGGCUACGAUGAUCAGAAAAUGAGCCCUCAAUCAACAAGCUAAGAUUGGCUUCUCUAUCCUCUUCUCCCCACAACCAGCGCCUUGCUCUUUGUCAUUUUUCCUCUUGUUAGUUUUCUUCUACAUAUAAUUAUUACACUGGGAAGUACACACCCCUCUUUUCUUUUUAUAGUACCUUACUAUUAUAUCUUUACAAAACAAUAUCACCCUAAGACAGAUAUGUAUGAAAUAAAUGAAAUAAAUAUAUAAGGAACUGACGAAAUAAAAUUAUCAUGACCAUAGACUUUUCUAAUUUAUUUUUUCCUUUAAAAAACGACAAGGAUAAGUUUGGGAAAAUGAUUAUAUUUUUAAUAAAAGAAUUCUUUUUUAUUAUAAGGAUCCACCUACGUUACAAUAGUGAUACCAUACUACAGUUUUUGUCUUUAUUUAGUUGAGUCGUUGGAUGUUUUACUGGUCAAUCUAAUGGCUGAAAUUAAUUAUUAGAUAAUUGAUGCGGCAACCUGCAACCGUUGGAGCCGGUUGCGUUUUAAUGUAAUGUAAUAUCAUUUGCGAGCUUGUGCUGAGAAAGUUUGUUGUACUGCAUCAAUGGAACUGAUUUGGUCAGGAUUUAUGGAUAUAGAGAAAGAGGAGUGUUAGAAAAGAAAACGGUGCAGAAGAUUGUCCCUUCAUCCAUUUGGCCUUUGGUAGGGGCUUCCUUUGAUUUUCACCUGGACUUCAUAAAUUCCUCAAAUUUCCUUCUUGAUAACAGUAAUCCUGCAUUCGGAGAGAGGUAAGUCACCAUGUUUCGUCACAAACGUGGCCAUCUCUUCUCCAUUCGAUUGGUUGCUUUUUAAAUCCAAUGGUUAUAUUAGAUGAGGACAAAAAUUGUGGUAUGGUACCACUGUUGUAACAUAAGUGGAUCCUUAUUAUAAUACUUUUUGUCUUAAUUAAUUUAAAAAUAUUGACUCUUAUAUUUUAAUAAAUAUAAAUAUAAUAUUAUAAUAAAAUAUAACAAUAUAUACAAAUAUUUAAAAAAUUUAAGAUUUUAUUAAAAUAAAUUUUAUAAUAAAUACAAAUAUAUUAUUAAUAUAAUUAUAAUAAUUUGCAUUUUAAAAAGUAAUACUGCUAUAAAUUUUUUAAAUUAUAUUACUCUACCAAAAAAAUAAACUAUUAAAUUAUAUUGAUAUUUAUUAAAAAAUUUGCAAUUAAUUCUUAUUAUAUUUUUAAUUGGAAUUUUUUUCUUGUGAUAUAACAACAAUUGCUACAGUUUUUUCCCUAAAUAAAGAUGGAGUUAUAAAUUAUUUGUAUAAGUGUCAUGAAAGUAAUAGUUGAAUAACAAUAAUGGGGCUUUAGGCAAUUUUUUUAUGAGGUCUUCUUACAAUUUCAACACUUAAACAGACUUGUCCUUGAUCCCAAUUUAUUUACUGCAUUUGGGCCCACGAUGAGAUAAAUAUAUUCCUGUGAGAUGAAAAACAUCAGGAGAAGAAAAUGUUUUAUUAUAAUAAAAAAAAAAGUGGUCCAUAUGUUACCUGUUACCUGCAGAGGAAUGUGAUUAUAGAGAGCUUAUGAGAGUAACGACAAUGAUUUGCAAAAGAAGAAGACUUAAUCAUGCAGCCCUUAGUAUUUAUCAAAUGAUUAGUGAUCAUUUCUUUUAUAAAUAAAAUGCCAACAGCAAAAAGAAAAAAAAAAGGUUAAAUUUAUUAAGUCUUAUUUUAAUUUUAAUUUCUUUUAUUUUCAUUCGCCGAAGAGGGAAUCUCUUUUCCUAAUGUGACAUAAUUAAAGCAAUCUAUAAAUAAUACAAUAAUCAGAUAAUAUAAUAAUUAAAAAGACGCACAUGUUUAUAAUAAUAAUGAUGGGAUCCAUAUGUUUAUACUGAUUAAAUUGGUGGACCAGAAUUUAUUUGACCUUACUUGUUUUCUAUUUAAUUAAAAAUUGAAACGACAGAGAAAAAAUGUCGUACUGAUGGUUUCGAUUGUGGAGUUCCGCUGUGGAUAGCACAUCCAAUAGUGAAAAAUGAAGCUUUCGUCAACUAUCUCACAUCCACGCGUACCAUCAUGCAUAAUUGGAUAUUGCAUUAUUUCUUUAGAAAAGCAAGAUUAAUUCUUUUAACAAGCAAACGCAUAUACAUAGAAUAAUUAUAUGUAUUUGUUGGUUCAAGAAACUUAACUGACAAGAUUGAGACAAACAGGAGAUUUUAAUUUUUUUUGGACAUUAAGAAAUAACAGCUGUCAAGAUCAAGGAGAUUAUGCUAUUAACAGAAAUUAUUAAAGGAUUUAGAACAAGUUAACCUCUUCAGUUAUCCGGGAUCAUACGGUUGAUGAGCUUCUCUGUUUGGCCUUGAAUAUUUAAGAAUAAUUUUGAUGAGCAAAAAGAUCACUGGUAACUGCUGAGAAAUGUGUGAGAAAAGAGCUGAUUAGCGUAAUAACAAUGAAUUGCAAAAGAAAAAGACUUAAGGGUAAUUUUUGGAAACCUCCCCUGAGGUUUGCCCUUGCUACACUUAGAGAGAAUGUAUGCAUAUAUUGACAUAUAGCACCCCUGACCGUGUAUGAGCGUUAGAGUGCCGUUUGGUUGUUAAGGGCAAUAACGUAAUUGCAAAAAUAAAGAGGCUGACUGCAGAAAGAACGCAAUAGCUUUUGCUUCCUCUCCAUGUCUUCGUUCUUGUUCUUUCUCUCGCUCUCAAAAGAAUUUGGAGGCAGAAAAGGAAAAAAAAAAAAUUCUUCUUUUCUUUCUCUUUUCCCCCCUUCCUCUCCACCCAUUUCGUUCUUUUAUCAGUAAAGCUGAAAAACAAAGGCCACUAUUCCUGCAUCACCACCAGUUUGUCGUAUUGCUUUGCUAGUCAACAAAAAUUCUAACCCCAUGUUAAAAAAUAACAUCAAUAUUAAUGCUUCUUCUUCUUAUGAUUCUUUCACCUCUUUAGAAAAUGGUGCACUAGUUAUUCAUAACAAAAGAGAAAGAAAACCAGCAGGCACCCCAUGUAGCUUUCUUUUUCAAUUUUCUUUUGUAUAUGGGUUAAAUUCUUUUAAGGCGAAUUGCAAGUUUUAAUUUUUGUUUUUCCGUUUUUUGUUUGAUACGCACACACGCAUAAAUCCAGAUGAGAGGUGGUUUUUAUAUGCUGUUCAAUCUAAUUAUAAAGCACAUCUAAAAAAUUGUGGUACUAGAGGCCAUUCUUCUGACUGUGGCCGAGUGUUUUCCAGGUUCUUCUCUUUCUCCUAAAUUUACUCCCUUUUUUAUUCUUUCAACAAAAAUGAGAUUCUUUGCUCCUUCAAGUGGAACCUCGGGGGCAAAUUACCUCCACAAAUUGACCCACGGGCCACGGCUACUAGAUUUGGAGGGGAGAGAGAGUGACCUACGGCUGCUGGAAUUGGAGGGGGGAGAGAGUGACCCACGGCGGCUGGAAUUGAAGGGGGGAGAGAGAGUGAACCGUGCGUUUUGUGCUAGAUUUGGAGAUCCGAGGGGAGAAAGAGAGUGUGACCCGUGACCCACAACUGUUGGAUUUGGAGGGGAAAGAGAGUGAGAGCUGUCGACGGAGCGUGGUGAGGAAGAAUGGGAAAUUGGUGGCUUGGUAAGAUUAGUGGCAUGAGCUGUGAGGGAGAGCGAGAGAGGGUGUGCUGCGAACGUUGCGUGUGUGUUGCAAAUGGUGUUGCACAGUUCUUUCAAUCAAACCCUAAGAUCCUCACAAAAUCAUGCCAAAAUAUUGAUUCACCAGGCCUUUUAAUUAAGUUAAAAGCUUCUGUUUUGUUAUCUUCUGCAAUGAAAGAAGCAUCGUCAAGUCUGCAACUCCACGUUGCUGCAAGUAUUGUCAGUUAUUGAACUGUGCAGUGAAGGGCAUUAUUGUACUUUCGGUAACAGAGCAAACGGCAGUCUAACACUGAUACACGGUCAGGGGUGCUAUAUGUCAAUAUAUGCAUACAUUCUCUCCAAGUGUAACAAGGGCAAACCUCAGGGGAGGUUUCCAAAAAUUACCCAAAGACUUAAUCAUGCACCCCUUUUCAUAUCACGUAUUUGGUUACUGUUGCCUUGUUGACAUAUGUGUAUAAUAAGGGUCCGCCUAAGUUACAGCUAAUGUAAGUUGAAGAAAGCACUAGUUCACGACUUUACCUUUGGAUAUAUUCUAAAGAGAUAAUUAAGUUUGAUAAAAGAUAAAGCAAAAGCUUGAAUGCAUGAUUGAGGGCGAAGACUUUUAUUAAAGCAGAUGCCGAAAGCACACGAAAAGCUUGAAUGUUGUGGCUCCUUAAGUGAGGCCCAGACAUGGUGCAAAAGACAAAAUCGACUUGUUUGACAGCUUCAACAAGGCUACGAUGAUCAGAAGAUGAGCCCUCAAUCAAGAGAGCUCCCUGCCUCUUAAAUGAUAAAUUAAAAGCAAUUGUAGCUUGUCGACAUCAGGCCAAUUUCAGGCCUUUGAAGAGCACAAAUGACAUGGCCUUGACCAAAGAUUGCCUUCUCUAUCCUCUGCCGACACAUCCACUUCUCUCCACAACCAACGCCUUGCUCUCUGUCAUUUUUCCUCUUGUUAAUUUUCUUCUACAUAUAAUUAUUACGCUGGGAAGCAUACACACACCUCUUUUCUUUUUUUUCUUUUUUUCAAACUACUAAAUAUUAUGGGAAAAUGAUCGAAACCCUUUUUUUUUUUCUUUCUAGUUAACAUUAUCAGGUGUAUUUUUGGCUUUUCACACUUGCAUAAAAAAUUGAUAAAAAUUUGAAACAUAAAAUUCACUUUAUUACCUUUUACUUUUGUAAAUAAACUAAAAGAUAUUUUAGUCUUUUCAUAUAUUUGCCAAACGUUUUUAUAAAUUAAAUGGUGAAAUUGUUUAUAUAGAUUACAAAUAAACAGUAUAAUUAAUUAUAUUUUGUAUGUAUAAAGCAUUAAAUAAUCAGAUAUUUGUGGCUUUUAAAACUCAAGAAAACUCAAGAAAAUUAAAUGACAAGAUUAAGACAAACAAGAGAUAGUUUUUGUUGGACAUUAAGAAACAACUACUAUCAAGAUCAAAGAUUAGAAAUUAUGCUAUUGAAAGAAAUUAUUAAAGUAUUUAGAACAAACGCACCUCUUCAAUUAUCUAGGAUCACAGAGUUUAUGAGCUUCACUCUUGGCCUUCGAUUUAUAAGAAAAAUUUUAAUGAGCAAAAGAUCGCUGUUAACUGCAGAAGAAUGUGAGUAAAGAGUUUAUGGGAGUAAGCAAUACAAUUGAAUUGUAAAAGAACAAGACUUAAAGCGUGCACCCCGUGUUCAUAUAAACAGAACACAUGUUCAUUUUUAACAAAGUGAUCAAUAACUCUAUUCGUUAUUUAAUUGAUAUUGUAACCAAUUCUAAGAGAAUAUAACAAUUAUCAUUCAAUCCAUAAAUUUUGAAUUAGAUUUUUUUAACUCUUUAUUUAAAUAUAAACCUUAAUGGAAAAUUAUAAAAGUUUAGAGAUAAAAUUUUUCAAUCACCAAACGAAAAAAACAGGGGAAUGAAAACAGAGGAAUCUUGUUUUAACUAAUUUUUUUUCCUCAUUUCUUGGUCUUAUAUUAAUAAUCUUGUUUUGAUGAUAGUGCUCGUGACUGCGGGAAAAUUUCUACUGGAAACAACUCAAUUUCGGAAGAAAACUUAAUUUUGCAAGUGAUGAAUUUGAACUCGUUGGAUUGGUUGAUUUAUGAUUGACUGAAUUUCACUUUUGCCCAAAAGAUCUUUAACCAAAGUUUAAUAGCUAUCAUGUACUCCUUAAAAGCAAUUUUUUUUUUAUAGAUUUGACUGAAUUUGAACUUGUUGGAUUGGUUGUUUUUAGAUUAUUAAUAUGAGAUAUUACAACGUAAAUAUUUUCAUGGGGUUGAGCCCUAUUCUAAAAUCUGUAUAGUUAGCUUUAGAAAAAGGGCUUUUCCUGCUGAUCUGUAAUCUUCAAAUAAACUUAGAUACAAAUAAUGAAAUAAAAGACAACAAACAAGCAAUACUGAUACAAAGCCAACAGAUCAGAGUUUUUGGUACAAAGCCAAUAAAAGACAAUAAACUUAGGACCUUUUUUUCUUGCUUUCUUUUGUUGAAGGAUUAGAGUUUUUGGUAUUAUCAGUAAAGAUUUCAAGGGUCUGAGUAAAAGCCUAUAAUCUUUUUCUAAACUUUUUUUUUGGGGGUGGGGGGGGAGCAUGCAAAUUAACCAAAAGAAAUAAUAAGACCACAGGCUUUAACAAUGAAUGCUAACUUAAAACUCAUGCAAAAUAAGUUACAAUAUUAAAACAAACCAGAGAAAAUUUUUUCUUGGAAAGUAGAUGGAACUUAUGAAAGAGCAGAUGUCAAGGAUUUAGAAAACGUGCACCUCUUUAAUUAUCUGGGAUUAGAGAGUUGGUGAGCUUCUCUAUUUAAGAACAAGUUGAAAGAGGAAAAAGAUCACAGGUAACUGCUGAGGAAUGUGUGAGAAAAGAGUUGAUGAGAGCAAUAACAAUGACCUGCAAAAGAAACAGAAUUAGUCAUUCACCGCUUUUCUAUAUCAUGUAUUUGGUUAUUGUUGCCCUGUUGACGCAUGUUGAAGAAGAAAGCACUAGUUCACAACUCUACGUUUUCAUAUAUUCUAAAGAAAUAAUUAAGUUUUCAUAGAAUAAAAUGGUAAGACUUUUAAUUGAACAAUUGAGUGCAAUCAGUAACAAAGGCUUUACAAAUGCAAGUAAAAUUUGUACGUUGCUUCAGAAAAAAAGGGCAUUUCUCACUCAUCUUUAAUCUGCAAGUAAAAUUAGAUACAAAGCAAAUCUAAUAAAAUGACAAACAAACAAACAAAACAAAGAAAAGACAGGAGGCAAACAACAUUGAUCUUAAGCCAACUGAUAAUUAAACAGAGAAUUCUUUUUUUUUUUUUUAACCUGUUGCUAAAGGAUUAGAGUUUUUAUAUUAACAGAAAGGUUUCAGGGGUCUGAAUAAAAGCCCACAAUUUCUCUAUUUUAUUUUUAUUUUUAUUUUUUGAAAGGAGCUUCACCAUUGGCCUUGAACAUAUAAGAAUGAGCAAAAGAUCAAUGUCAACUGCCGAGGAAUGUGAGUAAAGAUUUCAUCAGAGUAAGAAAUACAAAUGAAUUGUAAAAGAACAAGACUUAAGCGUGCACCCCGUGUUUUGUUUUAUUGUACGUAUAAACAUAACAUGUUCAUUUUUAACAAAGUGGUCAAUAACUCUUUUUUUUUCGGUACAAAGACGUGCCUAGUAUAGACUAGGGCAAAACAAAACGGGGGUGUGAAACCCCAAUACAAUCAUGACGAAUCCAAAACCCAGCCCCUAAAGGAAGAGAAUUGAAAAUGUGCAAUCCAACAGGUAGUGAAAGAGUAGAGUUUGCAAGAAAGUCAGCUGCAAAAUUUGAUUCUCUGUAAACAUGCUUGACCCGCACUUGCCAGGUUCUGUUAAGCAAUUCCUUAAUACCCCUGACAAGAGAAGCAUGUGCAUUUGGCCUAAUCUCGUCAUCCGCCACCAAACGAGUAACACAAAGGCUGUCAACCUCCACCCGAAGCUGCCGAAUUCCAUUAUCCCAAGCCAGACAUAACCCUUGAUAAAGGCCCCGUAACUCAGCACCAGUGAUGGUACCCACACCAAUAUUCAUUCCAAAACCAAUUAUCCACUCUCCAUAACAGUUUCUAAUCAAACCACCCGCACUAGACAUACCAGAACUUUUACGAGCUCCAUCUGUGUUGAGUUUAAACCAAGGCCAAGUAGGUGCCACCCAUCCAAAAUAUUUCUCAAUCUUCAUGGCAGCAGGAACCAAACAACUCUGAUUAAACUUUUGAAUUUCUUCUGUACGGAUCUUAAUAUCCAUUACAACAGUACUCUUGCUGGUAAAAACACCAUUAUGUAGAUUUUGGUUACGCCAAAACCAAAGCCUCCAAACUGUGACCCCAAAAAGACAUGGCCAGUCAAACAUACCAUCAUACUUCCACAAGUUCCUCAAAUUAUAUAACAUCCAAUCUCGGAGAUUCAAACUAAAAAAUUGAUGACUAAUCCCAUGGGGUAUCAAUGACGACCAGAUUGCUUAGCACUGGGGCAAUCCCGCAGCACAUGAAGAGUAUUUUCAACAACACAGCCACACCUUGCACAGCUCAUAUCAUCAAAAAUAUGUCUCCAGAAAAGUUCUGCUUUAGUUUUAAGUCUAUUUUGACCCACCACCCACAGAAAGGUUUUGAUACGUUGGGGACCUCUCCACUGCCAAAGAAUGCGCCAAAAGGAUUCUUCAUUGUGAACCUCCAUUUUUGACAAAGCCCUAUAUGCUGAAUUAGUAGUGAAAUCUCCUGACUUAGAAUAUGCCCAGUACAUGUAAUCAUCCUCAUCAUUUACACUGGGAGGCUUGGUGGCUGCAAUUUUGAGAAGUAAAUGAUGGGGCAAUAAAUUCUCAAAAAGCCGCCAAUUCCAAGUACCCUCAACAGUGAUAAACCUCGCCACACACUCCUCAAGCUGCUCUAAAGGUAUCGGCUGCAAAGCGAAAGUAUACAAAGGGUAUUCCUCUAUUACCCAAUUAUCCCACCAAAAUCUAACUCGGUUGUCAUUUCCAAUGUCCCAUUUGAUCCCUUUUAAAACCUCAUGCCAAAUGCCUCCCACAGCCUUCCACAUGUAAGAGCCAUAUUUCGUAGGUAAUGUGCUGGGGAGAGCAUUAGGAGCCAGCCCAUACUUAGACAAGAGAACCUUCACCCAUAAACUAUUUGGAGAAGCAAUUAAACCCCACCCAAUCUUCAUGAGCAGAGAGCAUCAUUCAUUAAAUUAAGCUGCUUAAGACCAAGGCCUCCGCUAGGUUUCGGUUGACAUAUUGUAUCCCAUUUCACCAAACUGAUUUUCUUCUUGUCUGCUGCCCCGCUCCAAAUAAACCUCCUACAAGCCUGAUUAAUUUUCUCCCGAAUACCAAACGGAAUCCUCGUGGUCUGCAUUGCAUAAAUAGGAAUCGCCUGGAUUACCGAUUGAGUGAGAGUGAUCCUAUCCACCAAGGACAAAUGUAUCGCAUUCCACCCCGACAAACGUUGGUUCACUUUGUCCAAAAUUCCCUGAUAAGUCAGCUUAUUAACCCGUGAAUGAAUAAUUGGCACUCCUAAAUAUUUCCCUAGGUUUUUUGUGACAGAAAAACCCAAGGAAUCACCAAUUUCCUUAGCCUCAGCAGACUUUACGUUGUGGGAGAAAAAAACUUGUGUCUUUGUUUUACUAACUUUCUCUCUAGAGGUCAUAGAAAAAACAUUCAACACUUCAUUUAUAACCAUUGCUUGCCUACAGGAAGCCUCUGCAAGCAAGAUAAGAUCGUUAGCAAAAAAUUAGUGAGAUAAAGAGGUACCUCCACGAGAUAGUUUAAUAGGUUUCCAGUGCCCUCUCUUCACAGUGUCAUUUAUUCCAUGGCUUAACCUUUCUAUACAUAACACAAAGAUAUAUGGGGAAAUGGGGUCUCCCUGUCCAAUACCCCUAGAAGGGGUAAAACUCUCCGUAAUUUCUCCAUUCCAUAGAAGUUGCAUAGUCGCCGUUGGAAUACAUUCCAUAAUAAGCCGAACCAAAACAGUAGGCAAUCCAAACUCCCUCAAGGUUUCAUAAAUAAAAUCCCAGCUUAAACGAUCAUACGCCUUUUCCAAAUCCACCUUAAUGGCCAUCUGCCCAAUCCUCCCUUUCUUACGUCUCAUCGAAUGAAAAACUUCCUGAGCAACCACUAUGUUUUCCGUUAUGUGUCUCCCCGGGAUAAAACUAGUCUGGGUAGGUCCAAUGAGGUCAGGCAAGAUAGAUUUCAGCCGGUUAGCUAAUAACUUAGUGAUAGUUUUAUAGAUAACCGGGCAAAGACUAAUCGGACGAAAAAGCUUAAGGCUAAUAGGAUUAUCCGACUUAAGAACCAACACAAUCAGAGUUUUGUUCAGCUCCUUAGGGAUCUCGUUGCCAUUAAAAAUACCUUUUAUAAGACUACAGACAGAUUUUCCCACUACAUGCCAUUGGGUCUGGUAAAAGAGAGCAUGCAACCCGUCUAUUCCAAGGGCUUUCAAAGCCUUCAUGCUGAAGAUCACAUUCUUAAUUUCCUCAUCAUCCUCCACUGCUUGUCCCAAAGCUUGCAUUCGACUUUCCUCAAGGAUUGGGAAGGCGUUAACAACAUGGUAUGGAUGAUAGAUUGCAUCCUCUUUGGAAUAGAGCUUUGAAAAGAAGGACACAGCAUAAUCUCUAAUCUCAUCAUUAUUCAACAUUCAAUAACUCUAUUCGUUAUGAAAUUGAUAUUGUACCCAAUUUUAAGAGAGCAUAAUAAUAACCAUUCAAUGCAUAAAUUUAGAAUUAGGUUUUUUUGUAAUUCUUUAUUUAAAUAUAAACUUCAAUGGAAAAUUAUAAAAAUUUAGAUAUAAAAUUUUAAAUCACCAGACCAAAAAAAAAAUAGGGGAACGGAAAUAGAGGAAUCUUGCUUUACCUUUUUUUCCUUUAACUCUUGUUCUUAUAUAAAUAAUCUUGUUUUGAUGAUUGUAACUCGUGACUGCGGGAAAAUUUCUAAUGGAAACAACUCAAUUUCGGAAGAUAAGCUUAAUUCUGCAAGUGAUGAAUUUGUUCAAUUGACUCUGUACUUGAACUAGUUGGAUUGGUUGAUUGAUGAUUGACUAAAUUUGAAUUAAGUUUAAUAGCUUAGCUAUCAUGUACUCCUUAAAAGCAAACGUAAAUCUUUUUUAGAUUUGACUGAAUUUGGGAACCUGUUGGAUUGAUUAUUUUUAGAUCAUUAAUAUCAGAUACUACAACGUAAAUAUUUUCUUGUGGUUGAGUCCUAUUCUCAAAUCAGUAGGUUGCCAUAGAAAAAGGGCUUUUCUCACUGAUCUUUUUUUUUUUCUUUAAUUCACACGCACUUGAUUAUUGACUUCUUUCAUGAAGAAAUAAACUUGUAAUGACUUAAAGAUUUAAUUUCAAGUUAGAAUCAAUACCAAAAGACGGAGGUUUAACCAAGCAUGCAGUGUGAUAAAAGUACUUUAAAAAAUGUUGUUCGACCCAAUUAAGUUGAAGAAAUAACAAAGUUUUCAUGGAAUAAAUACCGGUUGUGCUUUAAUGAUUUUGGCAUAGACAUUGCUUGUGUACUGUGAAAUUGAAAUGAAUAUUAAGUGACAGCGCGAUGUAUAUGCCUAAUAAAAGAUCAGCAAAAGCUUGGAUGAAUGAUUGAAGACCAAAACUUUUAUAAAAGCAUUUUUGAGAGAAACUAAACACCAAAUUAUCAAAGUAAGAUCAACAGUAUAUGAUUUGAUUUAUACAUAUUCAAAAACAAAAUAAUGAUUAAUAAUAAAGUUUGAUUUUGUAUUGCCAACGAUGCUUUUUUGUUGUUUCAUUUGUUCGACGUGGCCUUAUUUACAAAUUGGUUGAUGUUAACAGAAACAUGAAAUUCACAUCACACAAAAUUGCACGAACAAAUAUUAAGAGAACGUAAUAAUAAUCAGUCAAUGCGUAAGGGUAAAUUUAGAAUUACAUAUUCUUUUUUAUUUAAUAAAAUCCCAACGGGAAGUCAUAAAAAUUUAGAUAUAAAAUUUUCAAUCACCAAACAAAAAAACAGGGGGAAUGAAAACACAGAAAACUUGUUUUACCUUUUUUUUUUCAUCUAAUUCCUGUUCUUAUAUAAUAUUUUCCCUAGUAUUUCAGGCAAGAAAAAAAAAUUCAAUAAAGAGCAAGAAAACUUCACAAGCUCAGAUUGAUUUAUCUUGUUUUUCAGGUUAGCUUGUGAAAUGAUGAUAAUGCUCAUGAAUGCUAGAAAACUUCUAAUAUAAACAACUCUAUUUGGGAUGAUAAGCCUAAUUUUAUAAGCGAUAAAUAUAAAUAACUUUUUGUGGUUAAUUGAAUUUGUAAUUACUCUUAGCCCUAUUCUAAAAUUUGUAGGCUGCUUCAGAAAAAAAGAAUAUUUCUCACUCAUCUUUAAUCUUCAAGUAGAAAGCAAAUCUAAUAAAAUGACGAACAAACAAACAAAUAAAAGACAGCAAACAAAGAGAAGGGUUUCUUUCUUCUUUUCUUCCUCUCCCACACCCCCCCCCCCAACCCCCGCCUCAUGGAUCAGAGUUUUUGCUAUUAACAGAAAGGUUUCAAGGGUCUGAAUAAAAUCGCAGACUUUUUUUAAAAAUUUUUUUUUUUGGGAAAAUGGAUUCAAAAUAACCAAAGCCAAUAAUAAGAUCACCGACUUUGACAAUGAACAAUAACUUUUUCUCGGAAAGUAGAUGGAAACUAAGUAAGAACUGCUAUUAGAGGAUAUUAUUAAAGGAUUUAGAACAUGUAUAACUCUGUAAUUAUAUGGGAUCAGAGAGUCGAUGACCCCCUCUAUUCGCUUCGGAUAUUAAGUAAGAACUGCAAUUAAAAGAAUGAAUUGAUGAGAGUAAUAACAAUGAAUUGCAAAAGAGGAAGACUUAAUCACGCACCCCUUUUAUACCCGAUUUUGAAGAUUUAAUUUCGAAGUUCACCAAUCAAGAACAAAGAAAAAACCUUAAUAAAGUAUGCAGUGAGAAUAAUUAAGUUAGAGAAAGUACUAGGUUAUGGCUCUGCGUUUCAGAUGCUGUAAUGAAAUAAUUAAGUUGAAGUUUUUAACGAUUAAAUACCUGUUGUGAUAGAAUGAUUUUAGAAGAAUAUUGGCUUAUAGAGCAUAUUAGUAGGGAUAAGAUUUGUAAGAUGCCAGAUAAAAGAUAAAGCGAAAGCUUGAAUGAAGAAUGGCGUUUAAUAAUUAUAGAAGAAUAUUGGCUUAUAGAGCAUUUUAGUAGGGAUAAGAUUUGUGGACAGAAUAAAUGAAAUAAUAAAAGGCAUAACUGAUCAAGUCAUUAUUGAUCUUACUUUGAUUAUUACAUUGCACAUUAGUUUCUUUCUAAAAAUGCCAUUCUUCAUUCAAGCCUUCGCUUUAUCUUUUAUCACGCAUCCUACAAAUCUUAUAUACAAACCUCCGCAUCUUUCAACGAUCUCAUCUGCUGAUUUUUUGUAUUCCUGUUCUUUCACUUCAAUAAUUUUUUGUAUUAUUCCAUAUCUUUCACUUUAAUAACCCAAAAGCUUUCCUCUGUUUCAACUAAGCGAAAAUUUACAUAUUAAAGCCUGGCUCAAAUUCCUUUUUUCAAUCGAAAUAAAACGUAGCCACAAAACCCUAAUUCACCACACCAAUUUAUCUCUGCCCGGUAUUCAUUUAAACCCUACCUCGCGGUUCAAUGUCAUUCUAUACGAUUGCAGAUGCCGUUUCAACUUGUCAUUUAGUUAGCGCCAUCCAGUUCUCUAUGGUAAGCCUUAACCCUAACAACUAAUCGACUGUGGUAGCACGUUGCUUGUUAGGAGUGGGGAUACAUUAUUUGAAUAUACGAAUUGGGUGAUGUUAGUGAUUCAUUCCCCUAUUUGUCGUGAAUUGAGAUUUGUGUAUAAUGCUCGUAAGAUUGCUAAAAAUUUCAUAUUUUGUAUUGUUCCAGUUGAAUUUCUUGCUUGUGGAAGAUAGAACAAAAGUUCAAUUUCAUGUUGAUUUAAUUCUUCUUUUUCAUCUUUUUUUUUUCUUCUUUAUAGUCACGCUCUGGCUGGUGCUAUGCUUAGUGCAGUCUAUGGUUUCAAGAUUAAGUCACGUUUAUUUGAUGGCGUCGACUCCAUCAUUAAGAAGCUCUUCUUAUUUUAUCUCAGUUUCAAUUUUCUUUUAUUAUCUGCCUCUACCUGAAAAUGGACGUGUUUUACUAGUAAGCAGACUUUUUUUAUUUAAUUGAUAUUUUAAUUUUAUGUAUAAGAAUGGAGGUUUAUUUUAAAAAAAAAAGAAAUAAAAAAAUAGACUCUGUUGAAGCUAAUUAGUACUGUUUUUUUUUGGUGGUGCGACCAGAGGUGGAAACCGGGUAUGACAAUGUGUUACUGGUGAGGUUGCUGCUUAAGAUGAGAAUGCAUUCUUUUCAAAAAUCCUUUGUAGGUGUUAUCUAAUUAUCUUUGAUGGAAUAUUAAAUGGCCAAAAAUCUGUCAUACGUUCAAACUUUGUUUGUGUUUAGAAGAAUGGUGUUGAUUGUAUAUUCAUUUGCUUAGCCUUUUGACAGAUGGAUUUGGAACUGACGAUAAAUGUGAUUCAAUUCACAAGGUUUUCAAGGGGCUCACCGUGGAAGGGAUAUUGAAGAGCUGGUCUAGGAUAAAGCCUAUGAUUGUGAAAGAUUGGAGUGAGAAUAUAGAUGCUCGUUUUCAUCUUUUUGGCAAGGUCAGAGAUGAAUGGAUAGAUAAGGAUUUAUUUGACUACCUGGAUUGGUGCUAAUAGGUAUUUUAAGCAAGCUUUUUGAGAUAACACUGAGCAAGUUGUACUACUAUUUUGCACAUGAUGAUCAAAACUCUCGAAAAGUAAAAUAAAAUAAAGUAUUAACUUUUACUUUCAUCUUUUGCAUAGCAAUCAAUGUGGUGCUUGUUCUGUAACAACUUUGAUAAUCUACUUUAUUGGUUAGCGUUUGGACCAAAAAGGUUCUUAUGAUUUACAUGUUUUGUAGAAAUGCAUGAACCUUAAAUGUGCUGAUCAGGGAGUUUAAUUAUUGCACCUUGAAAUUCAUUUAUUGUUAACUAAUUGGCUUUCCUUUGCAUAAAGCCGCUUAUAAGGCUUGAGUGGACGUCUUUAUGGGCAUAUUAUUCGUAUUUCUUUAUGCAUGCCUUUAUCAUUUAAUGUGCUGCUUGUAUUUCUUUAUGCAUGCCUUUAUCAUUUAAUGGCCAGCUCCCUUUCCUCAUUUGUAAUUUGAAUAGUAGUAUGGGCCUCCAUUUUACAAAUCUUUAACAUUUUUUGCUGUAAAUUAAUUUUUCUUUCAAAUAUUUUGGAGGUCAUUGGAAUUCCUGUAGGUCUAUUUACCAGAUUUUAGUAUGUUUAAGGUUUUAAUUUUUCUUAGACUUUAAUUUUUCUGAAAGAUUGUAGUAUUGAUCCUUAAAGUAAGAUCAUGCUACUUCAAAUUAUUUUGAAGCGUUGCUAGUUAUAGCCUUACAUAUCAAAUUCCAUUUGUCUGGAAAUUUAUUGAUAGCUGUUACAGCAGCAUAUUUUAUGACUCUACUUCUUAGUUAUGUAAGUUCAUUAUGUUUAGGUCAGAGGCAGUCAGCUAUGGGGAAUCGAUAUAUGCACAGAUGACUCUGAUCUUGUUGCUGGUAUGUGGUUCUAUGAAUAAUUGUUCACAAUAAUUGUGUUUGCCUCACUGUUUUUGUUUUAUGAGAUCUAUAAUUGAUCUUGGGAUAUUGCUUUCUAGUUCUCAUGCAAGCAAGUUACUACCUUCCCACUGCAUCUCCUCCUUUAUCUGCUAUUCAAGAGUUGCGUGCCAUAAUCUGGUAUUACCUCUGCAAGAUUGUGAAUCAAUAUAUUGCGUCUAAAUUUAUUUUAUACAUAAUGCUAAUGCUGAAUAAUAUAUUGUAGCUCCUGUCAUAUUCUACUUUGACUUUUUAUAUUCUGUUUCAUAUAAAAAUCUUAUUCAACUUUAGUUGUUCAUGAGCAAAUGUCACAUGUAUAAGCCCAAAUGAUGUUUAAAGGUAGCCCGGCUACCUUCAGUUUGAGCUUACAAUGGGUGAAAAAGAAUUUGAGACUGAUAUUUUGCUGUUUUUGUGAUUUUUCAAAGUAUUUUAGAUCUUGACUUUUGUUUGGACUUGAUGGUUAUAGAUUGUGUCUAGAUUUGUUAAGUUGUUUCCAACACCUCGUGCCAAAUCAAAGCACAAUCUUUCUGAUUCAGAUGUCUGGUUAAUUAUGCUUCAUUUUUUCGUUAAAGAUUGGAUGGUUGCAUGGAUUGAUGGAGUUGGAGUUCAACCAGUAAUUCUAAUUUUUUGGACUUAAAAUGCUCUGUAUAAAAACUUUAGUAAGUGUUAUUGAGUUGACAGAAGUUGAAUACUUACAGGUUGUUUCACACUUUCUAAAAGUUUUACAUAAAUGAAUUUCUGUUUUUUGAAUUGCAGAAAGGAGGUGGAACUAUUGAUUUGGAGCCUUAUCUUACUCACUCAUCGACAACGGAGCCUACCCUCGCUCCCAUGGCAGUGGAACGGACAAUGACUACUAGGGCUGCAGCAUCGGUUGGUUUGGGUCUGUUUUGAGUUUUAUUGUCAUUUAUUUGGCUAUGUUUUGAUAGCGAAUUUUGAUAUGUCAAUAUAAUGUGUAAUUGUUUUGGGUUGAGCUGGUAAUUAUGCUGGAUUAGAUUGGUUUGUUUUGGUGGUUCUCUGAUGGAACACUGCUUUCUUUUAGAAAUUUUGAAUAUAAUAUGAGACUACAUAUAGUUUAAUUGAACACUGCAUCUAGUCUAAUUACUAGAAGUGUGGCAUUUGGUUUGGUUUAUCCGAUAUUCUCUAGAAUUUCACUUGCAUCUGGUUUUGUUGCAUAUGUUUGCUUGCAUUUGAUGGUAGUAGCAGACUGUUUGGUUUUGUGGCAUUUGAUGGCAGUUUGAUCUGUUCUUGGUGCUGAUUUAAGAUUGUUCCUGUUGUGCUGAUGUUAAUUGCAGGUGCUUGAAUCAGCUAGGGUUGCUGGUUUAUUCAGACGACUGACUCAGGCGUUGUUAUUGGUUGAUUCAGGUGGUUCAUUUAAUGUUAGGAAGCAAAUUAAGAAAUAAUGAAGUAUUCAUUUAACUAUAAUUAUUGUAGUUAUUUUAUUUCAUAACUGAAUUAUAAUCUAUGAUACUUGUGAACAAAUUAGAGAAUUUUUAUAUAUGAAUUAUAUAUAUGUGUGUAUGUACAUUUUGCUAUUUAUAUAAUAAUUUAAAGAAUAUAUUUCAAUUCCCACAAAAAAUGGCUCCAAUUCCAAUAAUUCCUGCCAAAUAAUUAAAUUUUUUAAAUUUACCACCAAAAUAUAUCUUAAAGAAAUGUUAGUUAUUCUUGCUAGAUUUAACAAAAAUAAUUUGUAGGAUUAAUAUUUAAUUAAAAUGAUUAAAUAAUUUUAUUAUUCCAAUUAAAUAUGUCAUGUUUAUAUGACAGGCAAUAGUCAUGAAUGGGAAGUAUUAGUUACAUAUUUUUCCUUGGGAUUUCAGGCAAAUGAAAAAAAGAUUGAGAAUGAUUUCAAGAGGACAGGUGGAUGAUAAGUAUUCAUUUUUGCAUAUUUGGCUAAUGUCCUCAGCAGUGGAUUUUUAUGGUAUUGAUUUUAUAAUUUUCAAUUAGUUGCAGCCCUAGAGGAAGAGUAGGCUGAUCAAAUUGAUUUGUCUUGUUUUUGGGGCAAUUUGCGACACGAUGACCGUGAUAAUGCUCGUGACUGCUGGAAACUUUCUGAUGGAAAUAACUUUAGAGUUCGUAGCAAGCAUUUCUGUUAUGACAAAACAAAGGUUCCCCCAUAUUUUGGUUGUUUGUUAUGGUAUUUAUAUAUCCUGCAUAUGCUAGGUCGACAGGUUAUGAUGUAGUUUGGUUGGCUCUUCUUGUGCUUUGUGCAAUUUGUAACUGCAGAUACCUGCGAGAAAACAUUUAAUGGAUCUUGUUGCUGUUGAUUGGUUCAAAGACACAGAGAAUGGACCAUGUAGCUAGGCGUCAAGGCUGUGCUGCACAAGUAACUAUUCUUUUCUUUUUAUUUUUCCUUUUCCAUUGAUGCGUUAGGAGAAAAUACUGCCUGUGAGAUACUACAAUGUAAAUAACUUCUUAUGGUUCAUUGAAUCUAUAACACACUGAGCCCUAUUCUAAAAUAUGUAGGUUGCUUCUGAAAAAGGACUUUUCUCACUGAUCUUUAAUCGUCAAGUAAGUUUGUUUCAUUUCAGAAGGUAUAAGUUUCAAACUUAUUGUAUUGGGAGGUUGUAUAGUUGUAACCUAAGCAUCUGCAGCUUCCUGGUUCAACACAUUAUAGUAUGGUAUUUUAUUUUGUCACAAGGUAAUUGGUUACGGGAUCACUUUUGCGACGGUUUGUUGAUGGCGAUGAUGAAUUUCGCAAUAGUAGGUUGAAACUUAUUCCAUCUGUUCCUAAGGUAUCCAUCUUGGCCUUCAUGUAUUAGGACUAUAUUAAUGUAUACUUACCCUUUACUACACGGUACACUUCAAUUUGUACAAAGAAGGCAUGCAUUUAGGUGUAAAUGUACUGAUGGGUUGUAUCUUCAAUCUUCAUGUCCUUUUUACCCUCUUGAAUUUGUUUUGCACUUGUUCUUGAUUUGAAGCACUGAAUCAUGCAGGGGUCAUGGAUCGUGCGCCAUAGUGUUGGAAGCACCACUUGUUUAUUAGGGAAAGCGGUUGAUUGUAACUAUCUUCAUGGUCCCAAGUACUUAGAAGUAAAUGCUCUUGGAAUUUCUUUAGUACACGAGAUGUUCCCCUUUCAAAUAGUGUCCGAUAUCAUUAACAUGGUUUAACAUUGUUCAUCUUUCUGUAGAUUGAUGUUGACAUCGGUUCUUCUACUGUUGCUAAUGGAGUUUUGGGCCUUGUAAAUGGUGUAAUUACGACAUUGGUGGUUGACAUGGCUUUCCUUGUACAGGUAUGUAUGAUUGUUAUUUUAUUUUAUUUUAUUUUUUUACCCCCACUUCUAAAUGGACACAAGGGAAAAGACAUGAUUUUGAGAUAUUGCCCUACAAUUUGCAUUUUUGCAUACUUGAAUGUUCUCAGAAUGGUAUAAAUAAUGCUUCGAGUGUCUCUUCUUUAUCUUGCUUUUUUGUAUGCAGGCAAACACUACAGAUGAAUUACCAGAGCGACUGAUUGGAGUUGUACGUGUUUCUAGUCUGCUAUUGUCCCAAAGUUGGAACCAGAGACAUCAUCAUGACUGUGGUUUCAUUUCACCUCAACUGUUUUUUUUUUUAAUUGAAAAAAAAAAUCAUUUGUUUUAGGUAUACGUACAUGUAUUUUGAUCCCGUUUUCAUUGUAAUUUCUCAUUUACUUUGAAAGAAAGUCAUUGGUGUUUUCGAAUGGGAAUUUUGCAUUAAAAAAUGAAGAAUACUUAAUAGGAAAUUUCAUGAUUCUUUAGUUACUAUUUUUGGAAUGAGUGUAAUAGUAUUAAAGUUGGUUUCUACUCGCAAACAAGUGAACUACUCGAUCCCAACUGCGACCACGCUAAUUGUCAUUGUUUAAUAGCUACUACUUUUAAAACUCAACAACUAACAAAAAUACUAAAAAAAAAAUGAUUUUCUUAUGAUGCUGUGAAAACAUUUAUGGGUUCACUUAUUUCCACAAGAUCUAUAACAUGGUCUUGACUUCACGAAAUUCUUUUAAUUUAAAGGGUGCUGGUCUGAGAAAGUCAGUUUGACGGAUUAAUUCUUUUUAAUAAUGGUCGAGUUAAUUUUACUAGACUCAUAAAAUUAUUCUUAUUCUGAUAAUGCCACAAAUGUUAUGUUGUUUUCUUCAGCUAAUGAUCUUCUAUCAGGACUAGUUGGAAAUCAAAUGCUUAAAACACCAAUUGAAUGAAUAAUGCAGAAGUUUAAACAGUAUCUAAUUGAAAAUUGCAUGAAACUUGAAACAUCAAUUCAAGUCCUUCCUUAAACAGAGAAUGCAUCAAACAAAUCCAAAGUGUCUUUCAAGUCUGUAGCAUGACUAAAAAAUUGUAAAUGCCUUCAGAACCAAAUUAUUCAAGUACAGGAGAACGAGCAAGUUGAAUCAUGUACAAGAGGUUGGCUUGGUUCCAGAUAGCUUCUUCACUGUACCUGAAGGGUUGGCUCAAUCUUUUCUUUAGAAUUCUGCACAUUUUGUAAUUACUCAUGUAAGCAAGCAUACAUUACAACCAUAAUAAUAAUAAAGCAAGAGUAAUGAUACGACCACAACCUCUUGUGCACAAAUAAUAUUGUACAAACUAAUAUGACAUAAUAUGAUUGAGUAAUGAUACGACCACAAUCUUUUGUGCACAAAUAAUAUUGUACAAACUAAUAUGACGUAAUAUGAUUGAUUAAACAAAAACAUAACAUAACCCUCAUAAUUUAUUUAUUAUUAUUUUAUAUUUUCAAUCAAGCAAUCAUAUUAUGCCACGUUAAUAGCUAUAGAAAUAAUUUGCUAGAUAGUGCAACACUUCAUUGAUACUCACCAUUUCAUUGAACAAUUUUUUUAUGGUGUCAUUGAGGUUUCCUUCCCAACAUCCUUCGUCAUCACCAUCUUCUUCUUCGGUGGGUUUCACUUUGUUUAGCUUCGGUGCGUCUACGACUCCUUGAGAGAAAAUCUUCAUUGUUGGGCACUGUCUCACAACUACGUGUUCCAAGGACGGGAACUCAAGAGCGUAAUUACCCAAACAAAAGCUUGUUAGGCUUGGCAAACAAUCAAGUCCCAAGUACUCCAAUUUCCUGAAAACAAUGCAAUCUUCCGCUUCUUCUCCAACCUGCGAUUGUAUGAUUUCUUCUAUCAUUUUGCAAUCAGCUAUCUUCAUUCUUUCGAGAUUCACUAGAGUUUUAGAUGUUGAGAGCGUCAACACAUUUAUCAACCCGUGACACUUCGAUACUUCUAGUUCCCACAGAUUUUCCAAAUGCCACGAAGGUGGUACUAAUUUUUGCAACUUACUACAUUCCGAUAUUUCUAGACUUCCCAAGUUUGCAAACGCUUUGCUGGAUUCGUCAUUUUCCUUCCAGAGAUGCUGCACUUUGUGUAAUCCAGAUACUUUAACUCUAUCAAUUGAGGGAAUGCAACCUAAAAAUCAACAAAAUUAAGUUGUAAAUGAAAAUAUGUAUCCAAUCUCUGCAGUCUUCCCCUGCAUAUUUUAUGGACAAGAUUAAUCACAGCAUUUUAUAUUUUUUUUUCCAAAUUAGUAUGCUUUGCAGUAGGAUCCCAAAUAUAAGUAUCAAAUCGAUUACCCUUUGAAACACAUAAAUGAAAUCUGAUGCUAAAUCUAAUAUGAAUUAGCUAGGAAAACAGAGAUGUUACACACAUAAUUAAUAUAGUUCAUCACCUCGUGUUACCAGGCAUCCAAUUAAUUUCAGACACUUUUAUAAUUCAUACUAUAAAGUUAGUUAAUAAUUGCGGUUAUAUUGUUAAAUCAGAUAUAAAUUAAGACGACAUGUAAAAAGAUGAGUCAUUAAAUUUGAUUUGAUUCUAAUGAAAUUACAACUGUGCGAAAGAAAGUGAAGGGAAAAAUAAUAAUAAUGAUUACCUUUUCAUUGAAGAGAUGUUGUAUUUGAUCAGCUACCAAGAGGUUCUUUUCUGAUUUUAAUUUUUGAGCUUCCUUAUUAUCUGCUGUCAUGUGCAGUACAGAUGUAGAAUUGGAUAUGAAUGUUUCCAUAUCAGGGCAAUUCUCAAUAGUUAGAUAUCUCAACUUAGGCAGUUCAAUUAUAUUCCUAGUGAAGUUGAAAAAUCUUUUGAGUUUUGGAAGGUCAGUGAGCCCUAGCUUGAAAAGCUUAGGAAACAGGGGGCCUAUAUGUUCUUUGUCAGCAUUAAUUAGCUCUUCCAAAUGAAGCACCUCUUCAAGUGAAUCACAAUUCCUCACUUCCAGGUAUACCAAAUUGUUCAAGCACCGUAGCAGAUUAGCAGGAAUAGCACUCGACAUAUUCGUGCAGUCAUCCACCACCAGGUCGAAUAAAUUGUUGAAGAAGCUGACAGGCAGUGCUUGGCCAUGCCAUAUUUCUUUCAAACGUGGAAAAUGCGAGAGUUGCAAAUGUAUUAUGUCACGAAAUCCAAUCUGCACAAACCAAAACAAUUGCACUGGAUAUAUACAAUUUUUUCUUUUUGAAAGGCAUAGAUAUAUAUAUACAUUAAACUUAUAUGUUCAAAUGUGCAAGUGCAAGGGAGAUGCAUAAGUAAUUUCGACGAAUCGAUUUAACACAUACCAUUUCUUCGUAACACUUUUGUAUAGUGGAAUUAAGGUUGCCUUCCCAACGGCGCAAUUCACCCUCUUCCUGUUAAGAAUAGAAUUAGUUAGUUAAUGAGUAUGCUGACAUGGCAGCUGAGUCAGCUAAAGGUUGUUAUAGAGGUUGUUAGUAGUAACCUGUGCGUGUGUGCAAUGUGUGUAGAAUCUUCUAUGCACAUAUAAAAAGGCUUGUAAUUUCCAGAUUCAUUAGAUCAAUAAUAACAGAAUUCUCAGCUUACAGAAGUUUUCUUUCUUCCUAUUUUCUUAGUAACCUAACAACAUCACAGUUUCAUAUAAAACUUAAUACUUCCUUUUACUCACUUGCACUUUGCAUAGCUUUGGUGUGGAUAAGAUUCCCUGAGAAAAAGUCUUCAUGUUCAGACAAUGUGUCAUAGAAACUUGUUCCAAUGAUGGGAAUUCAAGAGUGUAAUUCUCCGAACAAAAGCUGGUAAGCCUUGGUAAAUAAUCAAGUUCCAAAAGUUUUAAUUCGCUGAAAGCAAUACGAUUCUCCUUCGCUUCUUCUCCAACAUGUCCUAUGAUUUCUUCUAUUUUUUCACAGAGUGAUACAUUAAGAUUCACUAGACUAUUGGGAAUUCCAACCUGAAAAUAAAGAGUAGCAUUCAACUAGAUUCAAAGUAUGUCAAAAUCAUACAAUUGUUUUAUGAAAAAUAACAAACCAUGAAUGUCUACUAGAUAUUUUUUGUUAAAGAAAAAAAGGAAAAAAUUAAAACAAAAAUAAAUAAAUAGAAGUCCAGAAAAACAAAGAUAAUGAAAAUGCAUUUACACUAUUUAGUAUUAGGAACGGAGAAAGAAUUUCAGCUAAUUUUUAAAUAUUAUAAAUUCAUUUUUCAUCUUGAUGCUAGUUUUUAAAAAAUUUUAAUUUUCAAACAUGCCUAUUUUUAAAAUAACUAAACUAAAACGCUGUAUUUCCCAUUUUUUUUUCCCGAUAUUCAUGCUUUUAAAAAUGGAAAACAUUUCUGGAAAACACUUCCCAACGCCAUCAACAUGGGACUGUUAUAGAGUGAAUAUUUGAGGAAUUUUUUUAAUCAACGGUCGAUUCAAAAUGACCAUCAUGAAUUUGUGCUUAAUCAAUGGCGUAAUCAAUUCAUAACUAAACUAGAGAUAUUAACUACAUUUGAACACUUUUUUUUUUUAAAUAGAAAUCUAAAGACCCAAGGAAAAGAGAAAUAUAUAUGAAUUUGUGAACUUAAAAGCUGAGUAAUUAAGUAUCUUUUAAUUUCUGAAAAUCUUAUUUAUUAGGAUUUAAGAAAAAAAAACAAUUAAAUUGAAUUAUAUUAUGCUGUUAAAUCGUGUUUAAAACAAUUAUAUUGUUGACUUUAAUGCAGGUGAACCUAUAAAUUAGAUUGAAAAUGCAGAGUUCAGAAUGGUGAUUUGAAGUUCAAUACUUUUGUUCCCUCCAGAAGUUUGAAGUACAAUACUUGCAAUAAAUAAUUUGUGAAUGAAAAUUAUUUGUAAACACAAAAAUGAUUAAAAUAAUUGUUGAAUGUUAUUUGAAAUAAAAAUUCAAAAUGAAUAUAGCAAUCUUACCAAUGGAGGAAAAAUAUUCAGUAGAUUAUCACACUCAGAUAUCUCCAAUUUUUUCAAUUUGCUAAAAGACUUCGAAGCAAGCUGGUGGUGCCAUAUUUUUCUCAACUUAUCCGCCUCACUAAUAUGUAAUACCUCCAGACUUGGGAGUCGUACCUGAAGUUAAAAAUUCAAUGCAAUUAGAGAUGUAUAUUAAUUAAAUUUGAAGACUCAACGAAAAGAGAAAUUAACUAUUGAGAAUAAAAUUAAUUUAAAAAAAAAAAACCUUUUCAUCAAAGAGGGGUUGAGGUUGCAUUUCAGUGUGAAUGACGUCUUCUGGUGAGGCAAAGCUACAUAGUUUUGGAAGACCAUCGAGCCGCAGGUAGUGUAGUUUGGGAAAAACCUUUAAUUCAUCUCUUCCUCCUAACCCCCCCGUGGUGUCGACUACCCCUUCCAUUGACUCACAAUCCCAUAUCUCAAGAUGUUGGAGUUGCCCAAGACUAUUAACCAUAGAACAUGAAAACAGAUACUUCACACAAUGACACCUUUCCACAGUCACUUUUGUUAAAUUUUGACAACAAUACAUUCCCUGAAAUUGAUCGAGCCAUAAUUUUUCGAUGUUUCGUAAAUCGAAAAGUUUCAGUUUCUCCAAACGUGGAAAAGAAACCUGCAAAGCAAAACCGUACAUUUUUGUUCCUUCAACUACAACUUCUAAUAUAAUAUUCUUUCGAUGAUUGAAGAUCAAUCGUAAUAAUAUAUUAAUUAAUUAAUUAUUAAACAGAAAAUUAUUACCUGUUGAACAGGAUCAUCCUCUGCAUUGAUUUCUGUGAAUCCCUGAGUAGUUGUUGGUUUCUCCAUGUCGGGCCCUAUAAAUGAACAAAAACAAUAUGUAAUAAACAUCCGUGUUUUUUUUCACCAAAAAAAGAAAAAGAAAAAGAAAAAAAGAAUGAGUCAAUGUCAAUAAUCCUACCAAUAAUUAAUUUCAAUACUUACCAAUAAUCAUUUUCAAAUCAUCGCAGUUUUCCACUUCUACUUUUUGAAGCCGCAAUAGGUUUUUGGCCAUAGAGAAUGAGAAGAGAUACUUCAAUUUUGGACAGCAAUCUACGUUUAUAAUCCUUAAGUUGCUGAAAGAUUGAUCUUCUCUGAGUUGGCUGUAGCAUAUCGUCUCCAAAUUAGUUAAAAACAUAAGAGACAAUGACUCCAGCAAGGGAAAGACUUUGCAACGAACCCGUCUAACUGAACCGACAAUAUGUAAAAUCUCAGAACAACUUUUUACAUGAAGAUGCUUCAAUCGUGGAAAACCUUCCCCAUCGUCUAAUUCAUGAACAACACUUUGAACACCCUCCAAUGUUUCUAGCCAGAGACCUUCAGUUCUCUGCAGCAACAUUUUUGUCCCAUCAUUCUCCUGAAGAAUGCUAACUUUUUCUAGCCCCUUGAGCAUCAUCAAUCUUGGUGCUUCAGAUUUGACGAGCAAUGGGUCAAACUCAUCUUCGGACUCAUCUCCUAUGCGUAUCCUAUAUCUUUGCAAUUCCACAGAGACAAAAUUCGGCGGCAGAAUUUCGGCAUCCGCAACUUCUAUCUCCAAAGUAGCUAGCUUUGUCAACCUCUCCAACUCGACAAGACUGGCAUUACUUCCUCCUUCAACCUUCUCCCACCCUGAAAAGCUGUUACCCAUAUACAAUUCUUCUAAUUGAGAUAAUUUUGAUAUGACAUUCGGUGCUAUCACCUCAAGCAACCAACAAUUGCUCAAAUCUAGCAACUGUAACCGCGUCAAUUGUCCAAUUUCAAGUGGUAACUGCUUGAUAGUGGAACGUGCAAGGAUGAGAAUCUCUAAUUUCUUUAGCUGUCCAACUAUUGCUAUAUCUUUUAGUCGGCAAUAGUCUAAACACAAUGUUUGGAGGUUAAUGAGGCAACCAAGUGAUGAAGGUAAUGAAGAGAAGUGAAUUCGAGUAAAAUUCAAAACUUUGAGUCCUUCCGUCCCUUUAAAGAAGUGAUCUGAAACUUGCAUAGAGCCAUCACCCUCCGUAUGCAAUAGCUCAAGACAGGGACAUUGCAACCUUUCAGGAAGCACUUGAAUACCUCCAUAAGUUAAAGAAAUAGCAAUUGGAUCUUUUCGUAUUGUCUCUUCCAUCUUUUUCUCCAAGUCGGCAACAUUUGGAAUAUUAAACAUGCGCUUCUCAAAUAACUGCAAUGCUUCUUUUCGUGGCAAAGCAUCGAUCGGAAAAUUUUUCUGACAACUCAUAUCAAUGCGCAAUAAAUCUUGCUUUCUAGACGUCAAUAUUAUUGUGCAUCUUCUCUGAUCAUCCUUUCUAUCUUUCUCAGCAACAUCCCCAGAAGGAAUUCCAACAACAUCCAACUCAAGUUCUGUCCAAAUAUUAUCCAAUAUAAUGAGGACCCGCUUCUCUUUCUUCAAUCUUUCACGUAAUCGAUCAGCUCUUUCGAAUUUAUUCUCAUCCGAGCCAAAUUUCAUGCCUAAGUCAAAAGCAAGUUUCUUUUGAAUUUCCUGAUGAUCUGGGGUCUGUGUUACCUCAGCCAUAACGACCUUAUCGAACAACUUAUCUUCCAUAACUUGCUUUGCAACUUGCUUGACUAGCGUGGUUUUACCCACGCCGCCCAUGCCGUAGACCCCAAUAAUGUUGAGCUUAUCAUCCUUCAACGCCUCCACAACAUCUUGAAAUACUUUCAUUCUUGAAUCAAAGGCCUCGUAAUCUUUCACUUGCAUAUGUUCUGCCCGCUUUGGAGCAGGACGGUAGGAAACAUUAGAGAAGUUUCCUUUUCCCAGGAGACUAGCGGCAGCUUCUGCGGCCUUUGCUGCUUGUUUACUAAGCUUGUAACGAGAAAUCAAGUUUGGGCACAAUCCUUUGAAGCAGGACUUCUUAGCUCUAUCUUCAUCAUCACUGAUGGAUUUUGCAACCCCUUCACUGAAUUCAUCAACUUGAUUUAGCCAGUCUGUGACACCCUCAUAAAUCUCAUCCCCUUGUAGUCUAGCAUGAUUAACAGGUUGUUGCACCGUUUCUCUUCUAUAUCCCAGCUGCUUCACUUGAUCUUUUAGGCCAUCUAUGUAGCUCUGGUACUUGAACACAUAAGAUAUCUGCCGUACAAUCGGUUUGAACAGUGACUUUGCACCUUCUGCUACGAUGCUGGAAAAAGCAGCCAGACCCACUUCUGCCAUCGCCUGCUGCUUAACAAAUCUAAUAAUAUGUCAAAGAAAGGAAUACAAAUAAACUAAAAUGAACUAGAGGGAAAGACAAAAAAUGGAAAAGACAGCAAACAGUAUCGCAACAUUGAUCUUGAAUCAACUGAAACAUGAACAAAGCAUUUUUUCUUCUUUCUUAAGGAUCAGAGUUUUUGCUAUUAACAGAAACGUACUUCAAGUGUCUAAAAAAAAUUAACUAUAAAUGAACAAUAACUACAAAACUCAAGCAAAACAAGCCAUAAAAUUUUUAUCUUGGAAAGUGGAUGGAAAUUAAGAAAGAAAUGGUAUAGAGAUCAAGCAUCAGAGAUUAUGCUAUUAAAAGAAAUUAAUUGAAGGUUUUAGAACAAGUGCACCUGUUUAAUUAUGUGGGAUCAGAAAGUUGAUGAGCUUAUGUAAUCGCCUUGAAUAUUUAAGAACAAUUUCAAUGAGCAAAAAAUUUCUGUUACCUGCAGAGGAAUGUGAUUAUAGAGAGCUUAUGAGAGUAAUGACAAUGAUUUGGAAAAGAAGAAGACUUAAUCAUGCAGCCCUUAAUAUUUAUUGAAUGACUUGUGAUCAUUUCUUUUAUGAAUAAAAUGCCAACAGCAAAAAGAGAAGAAAGGGCGAAAUUUACUAAGUCUUAUUUUAUUUUUAAUUUCUUUUAUUUUCAUUCGGCGAAGAGGGAAUCUCUCCCUCUUUUUGUUUUUUUACGGGGAAUCUCCUUACCUAAUGUGACAUAAUGAAAGCAAUCUGUAAAUAGUAAUAUAAUGUAAUAAUUAAAAAUACCCACAUAUUUAUAAUAUUAAUGAUGGGAUCCAUAUGUUUAUACUGAUUAAAUUGGUGGACCAGAAUUUAUUUGACCGUACUUGUUUUCUAUUUAAUUAAGAUUGAAACGAUAGAGAAAAAUUUGUCGUAUUGAUUUGUUUCGAUUGUGGAGUUCCAACACUGAAAGUGAAGAUUUCAUCAACUUUCUCACAUGGACACGUACCGUCAUGCAUAUUGCAUUAUUUUCCUAGAAAAGCAAGAUUAAUUCUUUUAAUAAGCAAACGCGUAGGUGGGAAUCCAUUCAUGAAACAAGUGGAACGACAAUAUCAAACCAAUGAUAAUUCAAAAUCUGAAUCCGCCUGAUGGACGGCAACUAAUCUGAACCAUUCUCCUUUAGUAACAGGGGAAUGAAAUUAUAUCGAUGAUAGAUAAUUUCAAAACAGGGGAAUGAAAACAGAGGAACCUGUUUUUCCUUCCUUUUCUUCUUUCCCCCAACUCUUCUUCUAUUUAUAUUUUCCUUGGAAUUUUCGGCAAACGAAAAAAAAUUGGGAAUGAUUUCAGGAAAACAGGUGGAUAAUAACUAAAAUAUUUAUUUUUAUAUUUUUGAUAAACACACUCACUAUUAAUAGAAUUCAUUAGAUAUCAUAACUUAAAUAACUUCUUGUGAUUAAUUGAGGGUACAUUUGGGAUUUCUUUUAUUUCCCAAUAAUUAGCUUCUAUGUUGAUUCUCAGAAAAUUAAUUUUACGAAUAAUUUAGUAGGGUGUUUGGUAAAUGAUGAUUAUUUGACAACCAGUUUUCAAAUAAUCUACUAUACAAAUUUGAUAAGUAAAAAUUAGAAGUGUAAUAUUCAAGUGCAAAUGUGCAAUGAUAAAAAUGUAAUUGUUUGUUUAUUUGUAGUUUAUUUAGAAUAUUAUUACUAACAUCAUUUUUUUAUUUACUGGAUUUUUAAAGAGUAUAUUCUAUUUUCUUUAUUACAUAUCUAUAUCAAUUUUUUAUUAACUAUUUUAAUUUGUAAUAAAACUAACUUUAAUUUUUUUUAACUAAAAAAUUUGUUAUGCAGUUUGUUAUAUUAAAAAAAAAAUUCGGACGGUGUCUAAACAUGGUCACCAGUGAUUGUUAUAUUAAAAAAAAAUCUAUUCAAUUUUUUCUCUGAUUUUGUGUCGAUAUCUUUCUUACGUAUGUUGAUAUCAUAUUAAAGUGAAUUCAAGACCCUAUAUUAUUUUGCAUAACAUCAAAAUUUAGCCGAAUGGUAAUUAAGAAUUUCCUUUUUUGUUUGUCCCACAAUUAUAUAGUCUCAUUUUUUACAAUAAGCUCACAAUAUGCACGGAAAUGAAGAUCUAUUAAAAACUUCCCUAUAAUAUUAAACACUAAACAAUAUCACCAUGUUAUGCAUAUGGUGCCUCGUCAACAAUUUGAUGUUUAUUUUGUUUCUCGGGUGAAUAUGACUACUUGCGUUGCGAGUCCAUGCUUUUGUCGUUUGGAUGGAGGACGUGCCAUCUUUUUAUUUUAGAUGGUUUGUAAGACUUCUGAUUUAAUGAUUGAAUGCAGUCAAUUAACAAAAGCUUACAUAUUAUGUAGGUGCUGAUAUGUCUGUUCUUGAUAAAGUAGAUUUAUUUACAUCCAAGCCAACGGAGCCAAAGACAUUUCGUUAAUAAAAUACACGAUAAUUAUUUUUGUUAAACUGAUUUCUGGUUAAUAAGACCUAUAACAGCAUUCAAGGAAGCCACCGAACUCAAAGGAAAGGCAUGGUUAAAUAUACUGCGAAGCAUGUGAGUUCGUUUUUUAAUCUCUUGAUCACUCAUAAGCUUUUCUAUACCACUCACUGUAUCAUCCUUUUGAAUCGAUUUUGAUUGAUCAUCAGAGAUCAUGUACCCCACCUUAAGAUGAUUGAUCACAAAUUUGGCAUUGUAAUGUUGGUCACCUCUAAUUGGCCAUGCUAAAAUUGGGACUCGACAACCAAUUGCUUUUACUGUUGAAUUCCAUCCACAAUGAGAUAAAAAUCCACCCGUGAUUGAUGACUCAAUAUCAAUAAUUGUGGCGCCCAUCCAUCUAUUAUCAAAUCCUUUUUACCGACUUUAUUAUCCAAACCACUACGAAAAUAACUGCCUUCAGCUGGUUUGUCCAAAUGACGUAGAGGAUCCAAUCUACCUGCACCACCUUGAAUUACCCAAAUAAACGAUCGAUUUGAUGCUUCUAAAGGAUUAGCUAGUACUAAGUACUCAUCUAAGGUCAGAUCCACUUCAGUACCAAAUGACACAUAUAACACAGAUCCGCGUGAUUUCAAAUUCAACCUUUGAACGAUCUCAUCUUCCGUCAUAUUAGAACUCCGCCGGUUGGUUCUCAUCUCAUGAUCAUCAAGCACUGAACCGGCCGAUUUGUAAAAUUGUUCAGGUAAUAGUGGGCCCACUCCCCACAUCGGCUUUCCCAAUUCAUUGGCUAAAUAAUUAAUAAAUGGUCCCUCAAGACCAUCACACGUGUUGAACAUCAACGCCAUUGAUCCCUCCACUUCCUUCAUCCAGUGUGGUUGAUCACCGGCUUCUGGUGGACCUAUUUUCUCGGAACCGGGUGCACCUCUCAGAGGUGGUGGACCACCAGGAGGGGGCCCAUGAGGCCUGUGUUUUAGGUCCGAUUCAAAUAAAGCCAUAUCCUCGGGUAACCGAGGAAGUAAACGGGCCUCUCCCGGUUUGACAUCUUGGAUGCGAGCCUGCCACAUGGCACACUCCGCAGCUGCCGAGCAAGCACCAGAAGUGAAGAACCCAACAAUGGGAACUUCAAAAAUCUUGAAAACAUCAGCCGUCCAGCCCAUCAUAACGUCGAUGACUGCACAAACGGGUCGGCUUUUGGGUUCCCGGGUUGAAAGGAGGUUUCGAACUUCGAAGGCCUUGAAGCAUUUGGCUGUGCAUGGCAACAUGAGGGUGAGGAGGCGAAGGAGGGUAUUUCAGUAACUUCAAAGAGAGGGUAUUGGUGAAACGAGGAAGGGAUGAUGCUGGGGGCGGAAAUGUGAGAGGGAAUGAUGAGGGUAGAUUUGUAAUUACGAGUAGCGAUUUGCUUGCAUAAUUCAAUGCAUGGAAACAGAUGUCCCUGACCGAAGAAUGGGACAAUCCAAACCUCGGCCUCAGCAGCAGUAGCAACAGAGCUUGACAUCUUUUUGAAUUAUUUGAUACUUAAUUGUUACUGUUUGCUUUUACAUCUUUCAUAAAACACUCUUUGUUAUAUAUAAAGAGAUGACUUAAUGGAGAAGUAAGUGUUUUAGUUUUACAGUUUUACUAGUAGGUGAGCUCUGAGUUUGAUAAUUUGAUUGUUAGUUUUAGUUGGUUAGUUAUGAGAAAGCAUCUUUUAGAAAAUUCAUUCCAGUUUCAACUAAAAUUAAUAAUAUUGUUCAAAUUAAUUACUCGAUAAAUAAAUAAUUAGAGAUAAAUCUAUCCCUAAUCUCACAUUUAUAAAAUAAGGAUUGAAAUAAGUUCUUGUGGAUUCGAACUCAAGCCCUCAAGCCGAGUGGCUGGAUCUUGACUACUUUGACUUAAUUAUUAUUAUUAUUAUUAUUAUUAUUAUUAUUAUUAUUAUUAUUAUUAUUAUUAUUAUUAUUAUAUAUAUAUAUAUAUUUCAUUCUUUCAUUGAACAUCUUUUGUUAUAUAAUAAAGAAGAUAAGUUGACGGAGAAGAGUUUUACUUUUACUAGUAGAUGAGCUUUGAGUUGAGAACGUUAGUUUUAGUUGAUUAAAUAUCUACCAUCCAAAUCAACAUUCCUUAAACUAUUAUUCAAGUGAGAUGUCUGAGUAACAUACGCUUGAGUUAGUUGGUGCCUAACAAUUCGUGUGAUACAUGAAACCAACCAAUAUGAAAACCAAAUCAAGUUGGUAGGAUUACAUUAAUUUAAAUUAACUUUCAAGUUCCAACAUUAUAAGAUAAAUAAAUAGCAUAAACUAAUUUUUUUUUUCAAGUAAAUAUGUUUAUCGUUUAAAAAUUAUUUUUUCUUGCGGUAAAUGCAACACUAAAUAAGGAGUGAAGAGGGUAUUUUGUAGGGUAUACCCCCACCUUUUAUUUCAUUUCAUUAUUAAAAAAUAAAGGCUUGAUUCAACAUUCAAGUAAAAUUAACAAUUCCAUGAUAAAAUUGCUUGAGAAUAAGAAUUAAAAUAAAAAAAGAAAACAGCAACUCAAAAACGACAUACAAAUACCGCAUAGAGGUUUUUCGUCACGAGAUAUUUUUGGGUUGAGACAACAGUUGUAUAACAGAGCAUACAGACUGAAUGACGGUGAGAAUAAGAAGGAAAACGGCGCCACACACCGAAAUGCCAGCCCAUGGAGUAUUGAAGUAAUUUUGUUUCAAGUUUGCCCUCCAUUUGUAGCACGUUCUUUUGCAGUGAUCAUUCAAUCCUUUGCAUAGCCCAGAAAAAUAGAAGCUAUUAGACAGCAGAGUAGUACCUCUAGAAAGGAACACAUAAUCAUUUAUGUAACACAUAAUCAUUUAUGUAAUUCUCUGAGUAAUGCCGUUGUUCAAAGGCAAUGAGAUUACGAAAUAAGGAUUCUGUUUCUAGCUGUAGCUUCAGUUUCGGAAUAUGCGAUGUCCUGUUUUUGAAUUCUAUGGCGAACAAAUCAUUGCUCUUGCUCAAACUGAAGUGGACUCCAGCUUGGUGGAGAUUAGUCACACUUGGUGCGGUUUUACCUUUGUGGUAUUGCUGACCUUCUUGUUUUUCCUGAUUCCUCGAUGAUGGGAGAUGGCAAAUCCUUAGAAAAUCAAGGAAAUGCUCUACCCUAGCCUUAGUGUAAGGAGGGAAUUUUUGCUGAUUACCUUGUACUACCUCUAAACCCUUGAAAUACUCGUAUGUGACUGUGAUGAUGGUUGGAUUUUCAUGUUGGUCGGGGAUUUCAAUUGCCGCUAGAGCAAAAAGAUCCUCAAGAAUGAAGAAAGGAAGCUGAUUCUCAAGCAACCACAUAUCAUACCGUAUAUCCUCUAUUAAAUAGGGUUUAUGAAAUAUAUGAUCAUCUUUUUUUUGAAGUUGACGGAAAUGAUACCUCAAUAAGAGUUCAAUGAUGAAGGCAGCAUCCAGCAGAAUCAUUUCAACAAAUUUAUCACUACUUAGUUCGACUUUUUCUGCAUAAGAACCUCGUAAUUCUGCUUCUCUGAACUUUAUAAUUUGAACAAACUCGUCAAAGCUUAUUUGGGUCCGUUGAAGAAAGUAAUGCAGGUACCGCUGUUUAUGUUCUUCCAUGAACUGUAAGUUUGCUUUGCCAUGCUGAAGAGGGCCAAUUGAGACUACCUGAGGUGUAUGUACCUUUUCAUUUAUCUGACGUAAUCGCUCUGGAACUCUGUAGAUGCAGCAGUUUGAGGGCAAUGGUGAUAAUUUUUUCAACUUAACUUGCAAGCAUUCUUCCAUGUUAUAAACUGAAAACAUGGCGCGAAAUUUAAUCAAUUCAACACUUAAUAAGGCAUAGUAAUUAAAAAAGAAUUAAAAAAAAAAACCAAAUACAAGAGCAUUCUUACACGUACAGAAGCACCUCAAUCCCUACUAUUUGCAGAGCUGUAGCCAGGAGUCAAUGAUAGACCAGACUGAACUAAAAGGAACAACUUUCUUAGGAAUAUGUUAUCGGUAUUUUCUCUGGCCUCAGGCCAUCAACAAAGCAGUUUCAGUGCUUCUUAUAUAAUUCCAUGGAUUAUUCCUUGCCUUUACAGAUGAUAUAAGUCACAAUUCAUAUAUUAAUUUCUCCAGAUUCCGUACAAGUGGACCAUAACUAUGGAAAAAUUCAAAGAAUGCAACAGCCAUUUGAUUGGUCCAUGUCAGAAGUUAAUCUGGGGAAAGAAGCUUGAUCUAGCAGUAAAAUUCUCUCCUUCAAUCAGUCAGUUUGGGGCAGCAACAAGAUCAAAGCCACCACGCAAACAUUUACUAAAGUUUAUAUAAUAUUCACUAGUUUAUAUAAUAUUCUUGAAACUCAUCUUAAGUAAAGCAACAAAAGCCUUCACUGUUUCUUAACAACUUUAUUGCUCUAACACGUAGCAUAACACUUUUAAAUUUGCAUAAAGCACAAUAGUACUUUAGUUUGUAACAACAGCACAGAUAAUAAAUCGCAUUUUAUAGCUUUAACAAAAGCAUACAAAAUUCUUAAACCUUGUUUCAAGCAAUUCAUUAAUGCCACAAGGAUGUCUUUUUGCUUCCUACAGUUUUUAUUGAAAUUCAUAUAUUCUUCUUUAUCAAAUUAAGUAAUUUUCCUUUUUCAAAAAAUCAAGAAGGUUUCGACUGCAUGGAAAUACAGCACACAAUUACUACUAUUCCCGGAGUAAGAAAUUCAUAAAUGCAAUAUAAACAUACAUUUUCAUAAGACAUCAGAAUCAAAGAAUCAUCAAUGCAUCAAAUCUGUACACCCAAAAAAGUUGAAAGCAUCAAGAGAAAAUUAUACCGCAUGGACCCUUUACAACCCUUAUAACGAGUUCAGACAGCCUAAUCCAAUUUAAUAGAUUUGAGGACAGCUACAAUGUGCAAUACAAAAUUUCCCAAUACUAUUUAGAACAAAGUCUAGAAAAUAAAACCUAUAUAUUGUACAAAAUCACGAAAACCAGAAAUGACGAAAAACCUGCGAAUGUAAUUUUUGGGUUUCUUCAACAUAUCUUCCAUCCAAAUCAAACAAGAAUCGAUAAAUCAACAACAUUCAUCUUUAAACGACAUAUUACCACAAUAAAAUUGUCAACCAAGCCUCAUAUAAACCUUUUUUGUGUUUUUUGGUAAAUAUAUUUGUUAUUCUCUAAGAAUACUAGGGAAAAAAGAAACCCACUUUCUUAAUCAAGAAUCAAAUAGUAUAUAUGAAUCUAAGCUGAAGUAAGUCUUGGGUUUGAUGAAAAAGCUUGCAUUGUGAUUUAGAUUGGAAAGGAAGUUGAUUUUUGCUGGUUGAGAGAGAGAGAUUUGAGACUUAAGGAGUGUUGCUAAUCUUCGAUCGUGUAAACAAGGGUAACUGGGUCAUAGUUCAAAAUAAGGGUCCAAAAUUUACUAAAGCUAUUAAGGAGCCCAAAACUCAUAAUGGCUUCCCCAAAAUAAAUAAAAUUUUCUAGCAUUAAGUUUUUGUUUCUUCUUGAGAUUUCCUUGUCGUACUUACCCAUAUUUCGAUAUUGCCUCCAAGUAAACUUAUAUAUAUUGAUUAACAAUAUAAACAAGCACUAUGAAGUUUUAGGCCUGAAAAAACAUUGAGGUUGAAAUGAAAACCAUCUAUUUAAGUAACAAAAUCUUCUGAUAAUUUGAUGCUUAAUAAAUAGAGCAGAGAUGACAUAUUAAUCACGCUAUGAUGUGGAAGUUAUGAUUAUAUUCAUCUUAAGAAUAAGAUCUUUCAAACACUGGCAGAUUAGUAUCAAAAUACUCAGCAUAAGACCUACAAACUAGAAAUCAUGAACCAAUUAUUGAACUCAGUACAUAAGUUGAUCUUUUAUAAGCUAUAAAACAAAUCUGCUAUAACAUAAGAAAGUGGGAUUUAUCACCAGACAAAUAUUUUGGUGAAACUCAAGAUGACGGAAGGAUAUCCAAAACAACCUCCUUAAGGGAAGGCAUCACUUCCUGCUGAUGCAAACAUAUAUAUUUAUUACUCACUUUCUUGAGGACCUUCCAGGAACCUGGGUAGCAUCUAACAGAAAGUGGAAAAGAAUAAAAUGUAAAAUAUAAGUUAAACAGCAGGAAAACAGUGAGUGAUACUAGGCAAGCAUUAAUAGGUUGCCGCAGGAAAAGUGUCAGUAACUAGCUAGCAAACCUGAAAAGGGUUCCUCCAUUGCGACCCUUAAAAUUGUGAAUGUAAUAUAUGGUCUCCAUCACAGGAAAAAGUGUAUUGGAUAGUGCAGCCAGCUUAGUGUUGCGGACCGCCCAAAUUCGUAGCCCAAUUUAUUCACCAAGAGCCCAACACAAGGCCAAGAGUGCUACCUUGGCCCGAUUCCGGAAAAUUCUAGGCAACUCUAGCACAUUGAGCUUGUAAAUACUCUAGAAUUCUCCAUAGAAUUCCAGCACAUGUAAAUAGCUAGGAAAUGGUAGAAUUCUCUAGAAUCUCUAGAGCUUGGCAAGCCUCCCCUAUAAAUAUGGGAUGGCAUUAGGCAUUUGUAUCCAACAAACACUACAACAAGCAUUGUAAGCAACUCAAGCAAUGUAAUUCUCUCUUUGUGCAAUACAAUUUCUCUUAUUCGGCUCUAUUGCUCUCUUCUCUAGUUCGAGAAGCUCUAAGCUUACUUAGCAACAUUCGGCAAAGUUGUCUAAGUGCCGCACGAGUUAGCUGCGCAAAAUACUCAUCCCGUGACAAGUGGUAUCAGAGCUAAAGUUUGCACGCACGCAAAUUAGCUCACGAGCAAUGGCCAACCUUUCAAACGUAGCACAAUAGGGUGUUGUUGGUGUGGAUGUUCCACUGGAACCAAGCCGCGACCAAGAGGGAGAACGCUCCCAAGGCAAGACUCGUGGCAAGUCCAAGGCCCCAUCCGUGGAUGCGUUGGAGCCUCGUGUGACUACUCUCGAAAUCACAUUGUCCGCCGCUCAAGAAAGUCUCGAGGGAUUGGAGGAACGAGUGGACGGUCUCGAGGGGGAAUACGCCGAGUUCACGGUGGCAACAAAAGCUCUCAUCCAAGAGCAAGCGAACACUCUCCGAGGUGAGUUUCGUUCUUUCCAUGAUGAGUUGCUCAAACUUCGUAGCUUUGUUCAGGAUGAACUACGAGCUGUCCGUGCAGAAGUGGAUGAAGUCCGCUCGGAUUGGGCAUGGCACAAGUGCACAGUCUCUGCUAGUCCAGCUUCCGCAAACUCGAGUGAUGCGCGCCGCAUUGACGUGCCAAAGCCCGACACCUACGAUGGCACACACAAUGCCACCAUCGUGGAUAAUUUCCUCUUUGGGCUCGAUCAAUACUUCGAUGCCAUGGGUGUCCGAGACGAGGCAUCGAAAGUGGGCACUGCACCCACCUAUCUUAGAGGCGCUGCACAACUAUGGUGGCGUCGCAAGUAUGGCGAGAUGGGCAAGGGCAUUUGCACCAUCGACACUUGGGCCAACUUCAAGCAAGAACGCCGAAAGCAGUUCGCCCCAAGCAAUGCGGAGAAGGAAGCACGAGCGUGCUUACGUCGCCUCAAGCAAACGGGUAGCAUAUGGGACUACAUCAACGAGUUCACUACCCUUAUGUUGGAGAUAAGCGACAUGUCCGACAAAGAUUCGCUCUUCUACUUCCAAGAUGGCCUCAAGGAUUGGGCCAAGACUGAGCUUGAUAGGCGUGGUGUUCAAACACUUGACGAUGCCAUGGCCGUUGCGGAGUCGCUCACCGAAUACUCUAUCCAAUCCAAGGACAAAAAGGCCAACCAAGGCAAAGGUGGGGGAGAGAGUCGCAAGGACAAGGGCAACAACCGCAAAGAUUGGGGGUAGAAAAAACUGCCUAGCAACAAGAGCGAGCAAGGAAAAUCGGAGGGUAAGAAGGAGGCGCCAAAGCCGCGAAGCCCAUGCUUCAUAUGCAAUGGUCCUGAUUGGGUACGCGACUAUCCGGAGAAGAGGUCGCUAAACGCUCUUGCUGCCCAACUCAAGAGCAACCCUACAAUGUCCACAGAGGAACCCCAACUCAGCAUGGGUUCUCUCCAACGCCUCGGCGCACUUAAUCACUAACAGCCUGCACUCGUCAAGAAAGGGCUCAUGUAUGUAAGCGCAAAGGUAAACGGUCAGUUCGUUCGCGCGCUGCUAGACACGGGAGCGACGCACAACUUUGUGUCCGUAGACGAGGCCAAGCGCUUAGGCCUCAAGGCCACCAAGGAAGGAGGCACGAUGAAAGCGGUGAACUCACCCGCCAAGCCAAUUGCGGGGAUCGCACAAGGCGUGCACAUUAUGCUUGGAACAUGGAGCGGAAAGCUUGAUUUCUCCAUCGUUCCCAUGGAUGACUUCAAGAUGGUCCUCGGCAUGGAAUUCUUCAACCAAGUCCAUGCCUUCUCGCUGCCCGCUCCGAACUUCCUAAGCAUCCUCGACGGGAGUAAGGCAUGCAUGGUUCCCACGGAACGAGGCAAGUCCGAGGAGAAGACACUCUCUACCAUGCAAUUUAAAAGGGCUUUCAAGAAGGACCCAAGUUUCUUGGUCUCCAUUCGGGAACUAAACGAGGUAGGAAAUAGCGGAAUCUCGCCAAACCAAGUCCCUCCGCGAAUUCAAGCCGUCCUUAAUGAGUACAAGGACGUGAUGCCUCCAGAACUUCCGAAGAAACUCCUACCUCGACGAGAGGUUGACCAUGCAAUUGAGCUGGAACAAGGCACGAAGCCACCAGCCUUGGCGCCCUACCGCAUGGCGCCACCCGAAUUAGAGGAGUUGCGGAGACAACUCAAAGACUUACUGGACGCAUGCUACAUUCGCCCCUCAAAGGCCCCAUUCGGUGCACCUGUGCUCUUCCAAAAGAAAAAUGAUGGAUUGCUGCGGAUGUGCAUCGAUUAUAGAGCGCUCAACAAGAUCACCAUCAAGAACAAGUAUCCGAUUCCCUUGAUCGCGGACUUGUUCGACCAGCUUGGCAAAGCGCGGUACUUCACCAAACUCGACUUGCGCUCCGGGUACUACCAAGUGCGCAUCGCCAAGGGAGACGAACCAAAGACAGCGUGCACAACAAGGUACGGGUCUUUCGAAUUCCUUGUGAUGCCUUUUGGCCUUACUAAUGCACCCGCCACAUUUUGUACGCUCAUGAACAAGGUGCUCCAACCAUUUCUCGACCGCUUCGUGGUCGUGUACUUGGAUGACAUAGUGGUGUAUAGCACCACGCUCGAGGAUCAUGCCCAACACUUGCGACAAGCCCUCCAAGUACUUCGAGACAAUGAGCUAUUCCUCAAAUUGGAGAAGUGCUCGUUUGCCCAACGAGAAGUGGAGUUCCUUGGCCACAAGAUUGCGGGCGGGAAGCUCAUGAUGGAAAAUGCCAAAGUGAAGGCCAUUCUCAAAUGGGAACCUCCCUCGAAAGUGCCCGAGCUUCGCUCAUUCCUUGGGCUGGUGAACUACUACUGCCACUUCAUCAAAGGCUAUUCGGCCAAGGCAGCACCCUUGACGGAUAUCAGAACGUGGCAUUAGUUCGAAGAGUGCCAACGCGCAUUCGAGGAGUUGAAGAAGGCAAUUUCAGAAGAACCUGUCCUCGCUCUACCGGACCACACAAAGCCCUUCGAAGUCCAAACAGAUGCCUCAGAUUUUGCCAUAGGUGGAGUCCUUAUGCAAGAAGGCCACCCCAUAGCGUUCGAGAGUCGAAAGCUAAAUGAUACGGAGCGUCGCUACACGGUGUAAGAGAAGGAGAUGACAGCCAUCAUACAUUGCUUGCGUGUGUGGCGACAUUACUUGCUAGGCUCACACUUCACGAUUAUGACGGACAACGUGGUGACAAGCUACUUUCAAACUCUAAAGAAGUUGAGUCCGAAGCAAGCACGGUGGCAAGACUUCCUUGCGGAAUUCGACUAUUGGCUCGAGUACAAACCGGGGAAAGCCAAUGUCGUUGCGGACGCUCUAAGCCGCAAGGUGGAAUUGGCAACACUUAGCAUGAGCCAACCGAAGUUCGACCUUAUCUCACGCAUCAAGGAAGGCCUCCAACAAGAUCCGCUAGCAAAGGAUUUGCUGGAGAAGGUGCUCGAGGGAAAGACAAGGCGUUUUUGGCAAGAGGAAGGCAUCCUCCUCACCAAGGGAGAUAGGCUGUUCGUGCCAAGGUGAGGAAACUUGUGGAAGGAAGUUAUCAAGGAGUGCCACGACUUCAAGUGGGCUAGUCACCUAGGAAUCGAGCGCACCACCGCACUAGUUCAAGCCUCGUAUUUUUUGCCACACAUGAGGGACGACAUCGAGGCAUAUGUGCGAACUUGUCUUGUGUGCCAACAAGACAAGGUGGAUCAUCAACUUCCAGCGGGAUUAUUAGAGCCGCUAUCGCUAGCAACAAGACCAUGGGAAAGUGUCUCCAUGGACUUCAUCACAUCGCUGCCUAAGUCCGAAGGAUGCGGAAGUAUCAUGGUCGUUGUCGACCGAUACAACAAGUAUGCCACAUUUAUUGCCGUACCAAUCGAUUGCAAAGCGGAUGAGGCAUCUCGCCUAUUCGUCAAGCACAUUAUGAAGCUUUGGGGAGUUCCAAAGAACAUUGUGAGCGACCGAGACCCUUGGUUCACUGGGCGUUUCUGGACGGAGCUCUUCAAGAUGUUAGGGACCGAUCUCAAGUUCUCGACAAGCUUUCACUCACAAACGGAUGGGCAGACCGAGCGCAUUAAUGGCCUCCUCGAGAUGUACUUGAGGCAUUAUGUGAGCGCUCAUCAGCGAGAUUGGGCGAAGCUAAUCGACAUCGCCCAAUUUUCUUAUAACUUACAGCGAAGCAAGGCUACGGGCAAGAGUCCGUUCGAGAUCAUCAUGGGAUUUCAGCCCAUGACCCCCAACGCCAUAGCCUCGACUUACGGAAGGAAAAGCCCCGCGGCACACAAGCUCACCCGCGAAUGGCAUGAGGAAGCGAACACCACGCAAGCCUAUCUCGACAAAGCCGUGAGGAAAAUGAAGAAAUGGGCGGAUACAAGGAGACGACAUGUUGAGUAUAAGGAAGGUGAUCAAGUUAUGAUCAAGCUCCUACCCCAACAAUUCAAGAUGUUGCGGAAAGUCCACAAGGGGUUAGUGAGGCGCUACGAGGGACCCUUCCGAGUUGUUCGACGUGUGGGCAACGUCUCGUAUCAACUCCAACUUCCGCCAAGACUCAAGAUCCAUCCGGUCUUCCAUGUGAGUCUUCUCAAGCCAUAUCACGAAGACAUGGGAGACCCAAGUCGCGGAGAAUCGAGGCGCGCACCAACUGCCGUUGUCACCGCGUUCGACAAAGAUGUGGACUACAUCAUUGCGAACCGCGUGGUUUCGAGGAGGGGCGUGCCAGCACAUAGCGAGUACUUGGUGAAGUGGAAAAACCUCCCCGAGAGCGAAGCCACUUGGGAACGUGAAGACAAUUUGUGGCAAUUCGUUGAGCACAUCCAGAGGUUCAAGCACGAGAGCGCGAUGAGGACGCCGCGAGGUUAGGUGGGGGAGGAUGUUGCGGACAGCCCAAAUUCGUAGCCCAAUUUGCUCGCCAAGAGCCCAACACAAGGCCAAGAGUGCUAGCUUGGCCCGAUUCCGGAAAAUUCUAGGCAACUCUAGCACAUUGAGCUUUUAAAUACUCUAGAAUUCUCCAUAGAAUUCCAGCACAUGUAAAUAUCUAGGAAAUGGUAGAAUUCUCUAGAAUCUCUAGAGCUUGGCAAGCCUCCCCUAUAAAUAUGGGAUGGCAUUAGGCAUUUGUAUCCAACAAACACUACAACAAGCAUUGUAAGCAACUCAAGCAUUGUAAUUCUCUCUUUGUGCAAUACAAUUUCUCUUAUUCGGCUCCAUUGCUCUCUUCUCUAGUUCGAGAAGCUCUAGGCUUACUUAGCAACAUUCGGCAAAGUUGUCUAAGUGUCGCACGGGUUAGCUGCGCAAAAUACUCAUCUCGUGACAUUAGGGUAGAAGAAUGACGGAUAAUCUUUAGCUCAUUUAAGGAAAUCCUCUCUGAUCCUUUCAUUGCACAUUCCAAAACAACUCUACUACAACCAAGUUACCAAUUCUUUUUGUUAAGUCAUUGUUAUUUGUUAAAAAAAAAAAAAGUCUUCCUUGCAACAUUUUAUUGAAAGAUAUAACAUGAUCAUCCCUAUUAAUUCCCUUUUAGAUUUCUGUGAGUGAAUUUCAAAUUAUUGUAUUCAAAAAUAGAAGCAAAAGACCCACUUUACUUUCAAUUUCUGCAACAAGAUACCAAUUGAAGGACCAAAAAGUUGUAAACAAGCAAUUCAAUGGGUGGGCAUCUAGAAACUGCUAAAUAGCAUCAAAAUCAUACUAAAUUUACAGAAAGUACAAUAAUAAUGAAAGAAUGGUGAAGGAUACACCCAGACCUUAUCCGGUCAAGUUCUCUAUUGAAUAUAAUCAGUUUCUGGGCAGUAUUGAAGACAGCUUCUUUGUAAAGCUCUUCAACGACAAGCAUUUCUACAAGACGAAAGAAAAGCAAAAUUAAUUACCUUAAGGAAUGAAUAUCAAUAAGAAGACAAGGUGUAAGACUACCAUUGACAUUAAAAUAUGGAUAGGCGACUAGAAACAAUUCAUCUUCUGGCUUCACACGGUCUGCCAUUUUAACCUUCUCAGUGAAUCCAAAAUCCUCAAAGAAUGAAGGUUUUGUUAGAUAGUCCAACUUAAAUAAUGAUCCUUCAAAGACCGAUUUUCUUGCAUAUUUGACUUCAUUUGCCUCUGGGAAAAACUAAAAACCAAAUGACAGACCAAGAUCACGAAACGAAUCAUGAACAUAGAUAUCAGAUAAUCAGAAAUGGGCAUUAAACAGACUACUAACAAGUAGGAAAUGCAUACAGAAAACAUUAUUCAUACACCUUAUGCACAUGAAAUAUAUAUGCAGAGGGAUCCUCUUGUGAAUUUAGUUUAUAUCCUAAUAUGAGACAAUGAACAAUUGGAUGGCAUCUAAGGGCUAACAUUUGUUUGAUUAUUAUAUGAAAAAAAAAAACAAAACAGAGUUGAUUGAUGGCCUUUGAUGGAUUGCCUACACUCUUAAAGUGCAGAGAGCCUGAUUAAUUGCUUUACCUGCCCCCCCCCCCCACACACACUUGGUUUUAUUAUCUCUCUUUUCAAAUAUAUAAUCAUUGGCUGUCUUUCAUCCUGAUCCGGCUCUCCUUCCAGGCCCCAGCUGUGUUUUCUUCAAUUCAGUGAAACAUUCACAUUCAGGUAAGAAUAAACUUGUCCUUCCUCAAAAAUCAGCUUCUCACCAUGAAGCUUUCUUUUUUAAACCAAUUACUAGUCUAGCAUAACGCAUCUAAUUGAAGACAACUCAGAAUUGAAAAAGCCAUACUUUAAUGUCUGUUGUUGGGACCUCAAGACCAGGAACAAAAAGCUUCUUUCUAACAGUUGGAUUAACAAGUAGAAAUAGCUUUUUUUCUGAAGGACCCAACAUUGCAUUGAAAAAUUCAACAAAAGGAAUGGCAUCAUAUUUAGUCCUGCUAGAAUUUUGUGCACUUAACACAAUGGUUAAUAAUUGGCCCAGCGGACACUUUGUCGAACUAUUGGCAACCUUGACUGUGGAAAUGCAUAUUUCAAAUGUUGGCAGGCUCUAGCUUCUUGAUGUACUGUUGAUAGAAAUGCCUAUUUCAAAAGUUGGCAGGCUCAAACUGCCGAGACUUUGGUUUCUUGCAUUUCAAACCCACAAAUAAAACUUUGGCAGAACCCCAGAAAGAGCUACACCUCCCAAAUUUGAUGACAAAUGAAGAGACCAUGCCUAGUGCUUAGUUCGGCAAAUGAGUAAGUUUGAAAGAAAUUAAGGGAAACCUUUCCCACAGAGAGUCAUAUUGAAGGUUACAAUUUGAAGACUUUGUCCCCUGUCGCCCACAACCUUCUUUGAUCUCUUUGCUUAGUCAUAAAUAAUCAAACAUAUGUUAGUCGUUGGAUGCAAUCCACUCACUGACAUCUCAUGUCCACAAUCAAUCAACCAUAUUUUAAUAGAAAUGAAAACAUUUUAAUUAAAAAAGAAUGAGAUAGGAACAAAAUGAAACUUGGCAGACAUGGGUCUAUGAGAUUUUAAAGAUGCUUGGUGAAAGUCGUAUUCAAGAGUUCAACAGUCAGUUCUAUCACCUAUGGCAAAGUAACCACCAUAACUAAAGCAAUUACAAAACAUCAAGAAGCUUGAACUUGGCAAGAGGUCUCAUUAACAGUAUACCUCAGAAAUUAAGACAGACUUAAAGUACAAGCUUUUGGAUUUAUUUAAACACUGAAAAUAAUAUGGGUAGAAGCUCCUAUGGUCACAGCAAACAAUUACAAAGCACAAAACCCAAAAAAUAGAUAUGCAAAAAGCUGCAAAAGAACAUUAUUAGCAAUUGACAUCUGCUUUGCUCAGACAAAGGUUCUCAUAACAAAGGACUUAGUGAUUAUCUUUCAUAUGUUUAUGUUAAGGGGAAAAAGGAAGUUUGUUUUAGUCAAUCUCAUGUCUAAUGGCAUUCAUAAGGAGCCCAAAAAUAAAAGAAAAAAUAAAGAGUUAGUAGGUGUUUCUCGCAGUAUAAAGAAAAUUUAUCAUCCAUGAAAAACUUAGUAUGGAAAAAGCUAACUCAUUUAUCUGCCAAUGGAGAAAAACUUGUUGUCCACCCACUAAGGACCCACCAUUGGGAGAUGGAUCCCAUGGAUGGGAACCACAAAUAUUUUAUUCUAAAUGAAAUGGGUAUUGUACCAUAUCAUUUAAUUUGUAGAUUCCACUGAUGGAACUCAUCAAACUUUUCAAAUGGUAGGUCCUUCAUGGGUAGGCGCAUCACUUCAGCAUCCUUCUCCACCGAUGACUAAAUCUGGACUCAUUUAAAAAGAAUACAAAGCAAAACUAAUUGACACAAAUUGCAUAGAGGUCUAGGAGCCAAAUCAAUGUUGUUAACUCAUCCAAUUAAUACAUUCUCUUAGAGGUCAUACCUUGGUAACUCAUUUCAAAAGAAAUUAAAAGAAAAACGACUGCACAAAUUGUACUGAGCUCAAGAAGACCUGUUCAAGGUGUUCACUUGUCCAACUAAUAAAAGUCAUCAAGGAUUGUAUCGGGGACUUGGGACCAAUCCUGCCUUAACUAGAGAAAGGGAAUUUAGGAUGAAGAAGAUAACCUCUUCUCCUAGAGCCCUUUUGGACAAAAAUGAAUUCCUACUAAUUCUGAGAAUAAAACCAUAGACAUCUAACUUCUGAUAUCUAGUCAAUCUGGUAAAAUCUUGUCAGUUGCACUUGGGGCAGAAAUUAGUUCCACCUUGGUUUACAGGACAGAAAUUCGUCAUAUGCAUGUAUUUAUUUAUGUUUUAUACACAAACGCAUACAUGUACACACAAACACUACCUUCACUUUGAAGAAAAGAUUAAAAUAACACUGCUCACAUACACAAUACUUACUAUUCUAGUUCGUGUAACUUUCUCUGGAGUCACAAACAGGUCACAGAAUUCACGUAUUAACCGCAUACUUCCAGUCAUUUCUAUUCCUCCUUCACCAUCACCUGUCCCACAAUUACAAAAAGUGAGAGGUAAUAACCAACAUAUUUGGGUUGCUCUUCGGUAAGGGGUGGGAGGUAAGGGUUAGUUGUGGAGGGCACCUGGUACAGAAUCAAGGCCAGCUGUUGGGAAUUCGAUCUCUUGUAACAUAUACUUGUUCAUCAUAAACUAUAUACUUAUUCUGCAGUCGAUGUGUGCAUAUAGCUCUUCAAUUAUCCAGUAAUAACUCACCAUCAACUUCCUACCAUCCUUCAUGGCUAAUUCAGCAGCCAUUUUUGCCUGUUUAAAGGUCAAAAGCCCAAACUAAGCAGAUGCUCCUACUCCGAUACUUAUUAUCUAACUACUACAGAACAGAUGAUACACAUCAAGUUGUAUCAAGAGAGACACCAAGUUGUGUUUUCCAAGAGGUUCCAAAGAGGAUCUGUUUCUUUGUGUAAUUUUUAGACUGCUUUGACAACUCAUCUUAAAGGUGCCACUCAUCCAAUAUGAUGUGGUGACAGUAGUUUAGAGUUUUAAACUAAAUGCAGAGCUAAUAGUAUUUUGGAAAUAUAAUCAUCCUAAGAUACUAUAACACAAGGAUUCUUACACAAAAACAACAACUUCGAUGUAGAGAGAAGAUGAUUUCACAAAAGCAGAUGUUUUGAUUUAAGUCUCCAAAACCCCCACCAAGAAAAUGUUCAACGGAUAUAGAAAUAUGAUCCACAUAUCUGUAACUUAAACUGUAAAAGUUGUUGAUGUUGUUCUAAAAUUGCCACAAUCUAUCUACCCCAUGAAUGUUUUUGGAUAAAACAAGAAGCAGGACCCAAUGCCUGUUUUCUAAUAGCUUCAAAAAGGCCAAAUUGGUUUUGAAAUGUCUCCAGCUUUUCAUUUAACAAGUUUAAGGAUCCCUUCGGCAUUGCAAUUGGGGAGCUCAGAUAUAUAAAAGUGCCUGGUAAACUCUUACAGCCGCAGCUUUUGAGCAAAAAUAAUUUUAUCUCAUAAUUGUUUGACUAAAAACAUAUAUCACCUUUUAUCAGUUUUGUAAAAAAUAUUAUUUAUAAGUCAUAUUUACCAAACACAGUCAACUUUUACAUCACAACUAUAGCUUUUUUUUUUUUUUCACCACACAUAUAUAGUUAAAAACUACAAGAACUCGAUAUCAAACAGAUCCUAAAGCGUAAUCUAAUAAAAAGGUAAAUAAACAAAUGCAGAAGCCAGCGUACUUGAUCAAGAAGCUCUGAAUAGUCACUGGGAAAGGGAAUAUCGACGUUAAUGGGGUUAUUGCCAUCGCUUGAAACCGAAUUGGUGAGACAAUUGCGUUUUCUUCUGUACGGCGAAAAUGUGACGAUUGAGUAACAACUUAUAUCGAACUUUAGGUUAAAAUAAUUACUAUGGAAUAUUGGAAUACGAGAUUAUUAGCAUUUGAGUGCUUGAGUGGGAAUCAAGAAAACUUAAAAUAGUUCAGUUAACCCAAAAAGAAAAAGGGGGGAAAAAACCCAUGGAAAGUGCGAUGAAUGUAAAUCCACUUUAAAACUUUAAUCAUAAAUGGUUAACUAAUUUUAAGUAAUUUGGAUUAACUUGACAAAUUGAAAAACCAUGCACUAGAGGAAAAUGUUCAUAUUUGGAGGUCCGAAUUUAUCUACCAUUCAACCCUAUUUUCAGCUCCUGCAUGGAGGAUAAGUUAGUUUGGUGAAUCUACCACUAGCUAAUUAGCUAAUUUUUUUUUUUGAAGAUAGCUAAUUAGCUAAUUAAGAGAGCAUUAACGUUGAUAAUUUGUCCUAUCUAAAAUGAAAAGUAAGAAAUUUACACUAGUAAAUUUUACACAAUCACAGUUGGAAUUUCAAAGAAACAAAAACGGAUCAAUAGUGCAAUUGUAAUUCAAAUUUGCACUUUAGGCCACACGUUCGGCCCAGUUCUUGUAUUAACACUUCAAUACUUGACAUGUGGCCAUUUUUUUAUUCGUCCACGUUCUUUGCAUUCUCAUGGUAGUACUCGAACAAGACAAAAUUUCACGAAUAUUCAGUUGAAUUGUUGUUGAAACAUGUAUAAGAAAUCAAAUCUCGUUAGUUUUGAAUAUUACCAGCAACUCAAAUUAUUUUAACCUAAAGUUCAAUAUAAGUUGUUGUUGGGGGUUAACGGCAUUUUGAACCACAAAGUAAAGAGAGAGAGAGAAGAAACGCUCCCCUUUCAAAUACCGUGCUCUUUUGUACCUGGGAAUUUAAUAAUUCAUGCGAAUAAAAAAAUUAUAAAUUUAGUAAAUUAUUUAUUAAAAAAUAUUGAGAGGUUGUGCAUUAUUUUAUUAGUAAUGACAUAGUAAUCAUCAAAUUAGUUGAAUUAAAAUAGUUGUUGACUCACGUAAUUUAUUUUUAUUAUUUUUAAAAAAAAUGGUCUGCGUUAAUAAGGUUAAGGGUGACAACUGGGAUCAAUAUACAGUUUAUUCGGGUGCUUAAAACCUAAUAAAUAUCCACUAACUCAUAUAUAGUUAAAAUAUAAUUAUUUUUAAAUAAAAAAUUUAAUAUAAACUAAACAAAUUGAUCGGAUUUUGUUUCUCAAGGUACAUCAUUAGAACGUUACUUUUAAUUGAACAAAAGCACACAUAACUAGCACAUUCGCCACAAAAGCCUCGGCUUAGUGGUCGGCUUAUUAAUUAUCCUAAUAAAAUCAUGGUCAUAAAUUUGAGUCCCCGUAGGUUAGGUAGCUUUUUUAGACUACACUAUAAAUACAUGUAUUUUACUUCUCGCGGGUAUUGCUUCUAGUAGUUAUCCAUCCGAGUAUAGAGCUUUGUAGCUUUCUUCAUGACCUUCCCCAAUUUCAAUGCUUGUUAAACAAUCUCCACAGAAAAUGUGAUAGAAAUGUCCCGCUGCCACUUGUUGUGCAUAGUCCAAAUCUGCAAUUUAAGGUCAUCAUUUCAUUUAAUUUUCCGUUAUAUAUAUUCAUCUUUCUUAGAGGCCAAGAAGUCUUCGACAGAAAUGUGAUCUUUUUCUAGUAGCCUCCCGGUGAUGAGCUUCUCCCAAGUUUCAAUUAAUUCGCUUUGAGUGAGGAUAUUUUCUGGUGGCCUCAAAUACAAUGUUUUGUUCAGCACUCGAGGAGCAUCUAUUCUCUUAAUAGUAUAUAUGGCAACAUCAUCGAUAUGCACCAUAGAAAAAAAGAUAAUCAUUUUGUUUAAUAUGAACAUAAAUUCUUACAGUCUAACUCAUAUUAUAGUGAACGAUGUUGUUGUGUGGUGCGUGCAUGCACUAUCUAUAGUUUUAAUAUUAUUAAUAAAGAGUUAAAAGUCUUGAUUUAAUUUUAAAUUGUCAUUCCUCUAACUUCACCGUCUUCAUAGAUCCAGACUUUAUCUUUUGAAGGGCGAGGGUAGCUAUAUUUGAGAGAGGUGUCCGGGGAACCAACCAGCAAAAAACAGCUAGCAGAAACAUAAAUGACAGGGAUUUGAGCAGCCUUGAUUGCCCUUCUCACACAUGUGCUCUGCGUUCUCCCUCUCGCUCUCACUCACUCACGCCCAAAUCUCACCUCACUCACGCCCAAAUCUCACCUCACUCACGCAUCUCUCCUUCUGACCGGUGGUUUUCUCUCUCUCGCCGUGGGUCUCUAGGCUGGCAGGGAUUUCUCGACUUGACUACUAAAACAUAAUCCAAAAACUACUAAGAGAUGUAUAUAUUACUCUGAUAUACACAAUAUGAAGAAACUGCAGUUAUAUUUCAAAUAUUAUAUGAAGGAAGAGGCUGUAUGGAUUAUCCAAAGGUGCUGAAAUUAAGAGACCCACACCAACCGACAGACCCCCGGUGAUAGAGAGAAAGUCGACCGUGAGAUGCAUUCAAGACGGGGGAAGAGUGAGAGAGAAAACUGCCCGGUCAGAAAGAGAGAUGCAUGAUUGAGGUGAGAGAUUUGGGCGUGAAUGAGUGAGGAGUGAGGGAGAGGGUGCCGCGUGUGUGGGAUGCGUACAGUGACAAUUUAUACUUACAUCAAAACGCCGAGUUCGGUGCCAUGUGUAGGGCUAACUGUGGUUUGAAUCUCACUUUGGUAACGGAAAUGACUUUGCAAUUGACAGUUUUUGUCAAAAGUUCGCACUGCAUGAAACUAGUGUUAAUAUAAUUUAAAAAAUUAAUUUCAGUAUUAAUUUUUAAAAUGUUAAUUAUUAUAUUUAUUUUAAUAAUAUAUUUAUAUUUAUAAUAAAAAUUUUAGUUAAAUAUUUGUGUUAAAUAGAAUUUAUAAUUAAUAUAAUAUAUCUUAGGUAUUAAUUAUUAUAAUUAUUCUAUAUGCUAUUGAAAAUCAUUUAAAUUUUUAGAUGUUUAUUUUCAUACUAAGUUUCUAUUUAUUUUAAAAUUUAGUUUAAUAUAAUAUAAGCAAGUAAAGUAUUAAAAUAUUUUUUAGUAUUUUUAAAAUAUUAAAAUUAUUUUAAAAUAUAAGUCAAUUUUUUAAGUUAAUAGAACUAAUAUUUACAGUUUAUUUGAUGGCCUCAACAAGCUAAAGCAGCAUCAAAAUUAUGUGGCUCCUUAUUUUAUUUUUUCCCUUUCAAAAAGGGAAAAGGAUAAGUUUGGGAGAAUGUUUAUAUUUUUAAUAAAUUCUUUUUUAUUAUAAUACUUUUUGUCUUUAUUAAUUUAAAAAUAUUGACUCUUAUAUUUUAAAAAAUAUAAAUAUAAUAUUAUAAUAAAAUAUAACAAUAUAUAUCAAAUAUUUAAAAAAAAUUUAUAAUUUUAUAUUAUAUUAAAAUAAAUUUUUAAUAAAUAAAAAUAAUCUAUUAAAAUAAAGUACAAAAAUUUAAAUUAUUUUCAUUAUCAUCUAAAAUAAAUUUACUAUUAUUAAUGCAUGAAAUAUAUUAUAGUAAUUGUAAAUUUCAUUUAACUCAAAGAUUUAUUUAGAAUGUUUAUAAUAAGUCCAAAUAUAUUAUUAAAAUAAUUAUAAUAAUUUACAUUUUAAAAAUUAAUACUGAUAUUAAUUUUUAAAUUAUAUUACUCUACCAGAAAAAUUAAACUAUUAAAUUAUAUCAAUAUUUAUUAAAAAAAUUGAAAUUAAUUCUUGUUAUAUUUUUAAUUGGAAUUUUUUCAUGUGAUAUAACCACAAUUGCUACAUUUUUUCCCCUGAAUAAAGAUGGAGUUAUAAAUUAUUUGUAUAAGUGUCUGUGUGGAAACUAAUGUGACAUGAAAGUAAUAGUUGAAUAACAAUAAUGGGGCUUUAGGCAAUUUUUUCAUGAGAUUUUCUUGCGAUUUCAACACUUAAACAGACUUGUCCUUCAUCCCAAUUUAUUUACCCCAUUUGGGCCCGUUAUGACAUAGACAUAUUCUUGUGGAAUGAAAAACUUCAUGAGAAGAAAUUGUUUUAUUAUAAUAGAAAAAAGUGGUCCAUAAGUCUAUUCAUUACUUUUUUUAUUCAAUAUAAAUGGCUAACUUUAAAAAUGGUAAAAAUCACAUAACGCGCAAGCGAAAUCUAAGAUUUAUAUUUUUUAAUACUCUCCAAGUCUCUCUUUCUCUUUUUCUUUUUUUAAAUAAAUGUCAAUAUAAAAUUAGAAAAAUUUUAGAUAUAAAAUUUGGCGAUGACCAAACAAAAAUUGUAGAGGAAACCUUGAUAUCAUUGAAAUACUGAUCAUAGACACUACAGUAUAAAUAACUUAUUGUGAUCCACUCAACUUGUAACACUUUAAUCCAUAUUCUAAAAUUUUCAUGUUUGUUAGGAUUUUUAUUAUUGAUACUACUGUAUCAAUAAAAUUAUAAUUUAUUCAUAUGGAAUGAAAACAUCAAGAAAGGACCUCUGAUUUUUAUUAUAACAGAAAAAAAUGGUCCAUAAGUCUAUUAAUUAUUUUAUUUAUUCAAUACAAAUGUCCAACUUUAAAAAUGGUAAAAAUCACACAAUGCACAAGUAAAAUAUUACAAUUACAUUUUUUAACUCUCUUUGAGUCUCUCUCUCUCUCUUUAAAAAAUAAACCUCACUAUAAAAUUAGAAAAAUUUUAGACAUAAAAUUUGACAAUCACCAAACAGAAAACAUAGGGAAAUGAAAAUGGAGGAGCCCUAUUUUCAUUAGAAUAUUGAUCAUAGAUACUAUAAUGUAAAUGAUUUGUUGUGGUUCAUUCAACUUGUCACACUCUAAGCCAUUUUCUAAAAUUUGUAAGGUUUAUAGUAUUUUUAUUAUUGCCAUCAUUGUAUCAAUAAUAUUAUAAAUUAUAUAUUCUAUUGUAAUGAAAAUUUGUGUAAUCUUAGGUAUUUAUUAUAUUAAAUUGUGUGGAUUAAUUAAGAAUAUUUUUGGAGACAAAAGAAGUGUGUGUACGUAGGAUUAAUGAUAAAAAAUUUCUAAAUAAAGAUGAUUGCUUCAUUGACAAGCACAUAUUUAUAUUCCUCUAUUAAUAUUUGGGUUGUAAACUCUAUAAUAAAGUUGGUUGGUGUGAGUGGUUCGGCACUCUCACUCCUUAAGAAAGAUCAGGGGUUCAAGCCUCGCUCUCGUAUGGAGUCACCACUUUGGCCAGCACUUUACCUCUUACGGGCCGACCCGAUGCGAGCAUGAAUUAGUAUGAGUUGUGGUACGGGCUUAAAGGUGCCUCCCAUAGUUUGGGCCCACUUAGGAUCACCUCGUGGUUCAAACAAAAAAAAAGUGAAUAUAUUGUGGUAAGCGAUGUGGGCAAUAUCGGUUGCGAAAUAUUGAGAGAUCAUUAAUGCAUAUAAUUAUUGAAGAUGCAUAUAGAGGGAAGAGUGUAGAUCUGGCUGUAACAAUUAUGAAGCUUUCCCCAAGUAUACUCAUGCUUCCUUAAUUGUUCCGAAGUAUUUUUCAUAGUGUGCAGAUUUACUUUAUGGUGUCUUAAUUCGUCUUAAAUGAUUACUUUAGUUGUUUUGGGAUUUAAUGUCAUUUAUUGUGUUAAUUUUAAACAAUAGAAAAAAUAAGUAAUGGUAACGAAAGACUAAUUUGUGAUAUUGAAGCAUACGGGCUUAACUCAAUCCAAAAAUUAGUAAGUUAGCUCAAGAGUUAAGAGUUGUCCAAAUCUUAUAUGCUGAAUCCAAGUUUAAUACACAAUUGAUGCGGGAUGUUAUUCCUAACACCUUCCAUCAUGCGUAGGAUUGGCAAAAAAAUUCGGGUCAGUCCCACCUAAACCUGCAGGCUUUAUGCAUGGCUCGCAUGAUGAAGUUACGGAUAUUAACCUAAAAAUUUGAAACUUACUAUGAAUGGCCUUGCUUAAAGACUUUUGCAACUUUAAUUUAUAACAAGUAUGUAUAUAUACACACACAUAAGCUUAGAUUGCAUUUGGAUGGCUUUUUUAAUCAAUUCAAACAAUUUGAAAUUUAUCGGAUUAAUCUGAAUCUUAUCUGUAUCCGAUUUUGUCCGCCCCUACUAUUUAUAAGCCCAGGUGACUCUCUUUUACUAAUUAAUAAGAGAAUUUUUGACCUUAUAUCCUUGCUGUGGUGUUAGACUGUUGGUCAUUUUGAUUGUUUCCUACCUUCCAUUUACGCCAGCUAUAACAUUGUAUUAUCACCAUUUUAGCCAUUUAAAUGAAAUUUUAUUUUUGUCAAAAAUAAAAUGACACCCUUAAAAUUAAAAAAGAAAUAGUUAUGUAGACCUCAAAUUUUUAAUAAAGAAUGCCAAUACCCCUUUUAACUACAAGAUUCUUAGUAGAUGAUAACUAAAAAAAUUAACUUCAAAAAUUUUCACUAAAUGUAAAUCUGAUUGAAAUAGUUUAAAUUUUUCUAGUAGACUAAUAUAUAUAACUUAAAUAAUUAAUUUCAUUAUUAAUUUUUAAAAUGUUAACUAAUAUAUUUUUAAUUUAUUAUAAAAAUUUUAAAUAAAUUCUUGGAUUAGAUAGAUUUUACAAUUAAUGUAAUACUGUUGAUUUAUUAAUAAUAUUAAAAUUAUUUUAUAUGAUAUUCAAAAUAAUUUAAACUUUGAUAUAUUUAUUUUAAUAGUAUGUCUAUUUAUUAUAAUUUGGUUUAAUAUAAUACGGGAUUGCAAAAUAUUAAAAUAUUUUUCAAUAUCAAAUUAUUUUAAUAUGUAUAUAUCAUUACAUUUAUUUCAAUAUCGCAUUUAUAUUUAUUAUAAGAUAUAAAAUUAAAGAGUAUUGCAAUAAAGUAAAAAAAGAAAAAAAAAAGUCUUAUUAUCCCUUAUUCACGAUAUGAGGUUCUAUAAAAUUAUUUCCCCAAACGGGUGUCCUUUUCUUAUUUUCAAAAGAAAAACUAAAGUAAGAAUAAGUCCAUGGGUUUCAAAAGACUUAUAGUCCUAUCCCGGAACCUACAUUAUCUGCCACUAUGACUAAUGACAAAUUUUUGGUGGGAUAUAGGAAAAUUGUCAAAAGUUCAUGCUGCGUGAGAGUCUUUGGUGGGAUGUGGAAGGAUUGUCAAAAGAUCACACCACGUGACAUAACCACAAUUGCUACAGUUUUUUUUUUUUAAAAUAUUGAUGGGAGUUAUAAAUUAUUUAUAUAAAUUUGCGUAGACUGAUGUAACAUAAAAGAAGUAGCUGAAUAACAAUAUUUGGUGCUUUAGGUAAUUUUCAGAUGGGCCUUUCUUUUAUUUAGCGACUUUAGUGCUUAAACAAACUUGUGCUCGAUCUUAAUUUAAGCCUAUGAUGACAUAAACAUAUUCUUUUGUGACGAAAACAUCAAGAGAAGACAUCUCAUGUUUUAUUAUAACAGAAAAGAAGUGGUCCAAACGUCUAUUCAUUAUUUUAUUUAUUCAAUAUAAAUGGCCAACUUUAAAAAUCACACAACGCUCAAGUGAAAAUUUAGAAUUACAUUUUUUAAUACUCUCGGAGUCUUUCUCUCGUGCCCCCUUUUUUUCUAAAAAAAUAAACCUUAGUGUAAAAUUAGAAGAAUUUUAGAUAUAAAAUUUAACAAUCGCUAAACAGAAAAGCAGCGGAUUGAAAAUAGAGGAGCUCUGUUAUCAUUGGAAUAUUGAUUAUAGAUAAUAGGGUAUUUUUUAAUUGAGUCCUCAUUAUUUCUAGAAAAAAAUUCAGAGACCAGAAAUUUACUAAAUGAAUUAAUUAAAUCCUUUCAAGUACAAAUUAAUAUCAUUCAAGUCCAUAACUUAACUCUUCAGUUAGAAAUAUUAACAACGUUGAGGACAUUUUAGUAAAAGAACAAUUGAACCCUUCCUCAUUCUUUUAUUUUUGACAGGUGGCAAUAGUUUGCUUACAGGUGGCAAUAGUUUAAAGCAAAGUCAAUUCACCUAACCAAGUUAAAGUUCUUUCAAGCGGAAAAAAAAAAAACCUCUAGAAGAAACUGCCGUAUUCUUCGUGUGAGAGGAGGGAUUGAGAGAACGUGGGAUGGCGUCAAAAAUGUUAUAUAAAUAUACUGUAAUUUUGACCAAAGCUUUGUUAGCAUUGGUUGAGUUCAAGUAUUGGAGAGAAGCCGAGCUUAAAGGUUAGUAACUCUAAUUUUUAAGUGAUUUUUGCAAGUAUUUUCUGAUAAAAUUGUUUCCAUAUUUAGUGAUCUUUGUGAAAAAUUAUGUUUUUCAAGUCUAUUUUUCUAAAUGACAAACUAUGUUUAAUUAUUGGUGGAUUUUUUUAUUGAAUGUUGUAUUUUGUUAAUAUACUUUUUUUAAUUUGCUCUUUAUAUAAUAAUUAGACCAAAUACACCAUAUUUAUAUAUGUAUUUAUUGAACUUAUUUUGCCUAUUUUAUAGGCUUUCUUGAGUUGUUGUAUAUGUACAAUAUUUCAUUUCAACCAAUUGGUAUCGUUAUAUUAAUAAGAUUGAAUUCAUUGUAUUUGCUUUUUUGUUCAUGUAAAAUUGAAUUCUAUGUGUUAUUAUGAGUGGUAAUUUUUAUAUAUAUUAGACUAAAUUCUCUAUAGUUGUUGGGUUAUUUUUUCUUUUCAGUUUUUAUUUUUAUAUGUAUUAGAUUGAAUUUUCUUUUAUACUUUUUUUAAUCGAAUUACAUGUAUAUUUCAUUUAGGUUGAGUUUUUUAUUCUUUGCUAAAUAAAAUUGUAUUAGUUUAGCCAUUUUUUGAUGCAAUACUUUUUUGUUUUAAAAUUGAUGCAGGUAGUCAUGUUACCUUUUUUUUUGUUGGUUAAAAUUAAUGGGGCGGUGUAUGAGAUAGGAUAUAGGGACCCAGAGGAAUAUAAGAUUAUUAGGUUGUUUCAUGAAAUUCUAGAAGUCAUGGUUAAGUAUGGACACAAUGAAAUGGAUUUGAUUGAAAUUUUUGUUGUGUUGCCAUGGACUACAAGUAGGCAGAGGAAGCUAAUUUCAAAUGAUAGUGAAUUGUAUUCGGUUUUUGAGGAGUUUUUUUACUAAUAGUUGUCAUGUUAUUGAGUUUGAGGUGCACACUGGGUUAGGUGGUCAAUCAUGUCAUGAAAGUGUUGUAAUAGGAUCUGAAAAUCCUGUCAAUAUAGGUGUUAGUAUGGGUAGUGAUAAGUUUGAAAAACUUAGUGAGGAUGGCUUUAUCGGAGGGCACUUAUCUGAUGAAGAGAAUGGUCUCUUACAUAUGUAUGAAUCCAUUGUUGAUAAUGAGUGGAAACCAAAUCUAAAUGGUUCAGUUAGUCUAAAAGUAGGAAAUACCUUUGAAUCUGUUGCAUUAUUAAAAGAGGUUAUGGUGAAAUAUGCAAUCCAAGAGGGUUUUGAGUUAAAUAGGAUUAAAAAUGAUGGUGUUAGGUAUACUUGUUGUUGUGUUAAUCCAAAAUGCACUUGGAAACUUCAUGCUUCAUCGAUGGUUGAUGGGAUAACUUUUAAAAUUAGGUAUAUUAAAGGGAAACAUGAUUGCCAGAUUAAAUCAAUUAACAAAGAUGCAACAGCACCUUGGAUAGCUAAAGUUUGUGCUGGACUUAUUCAAACUAACCCAGGAGUUGGUGUAAAUGUCAUAAGAAGUGAGUUAAAAGAUAAACAUGGGAUUGAAUGUGACAAACAAAAACUAUACAGGGCAAAAAAAAUUGCAUUAGAAAACCUAGGUGCUGACCACAUUGCUUGCUAUGGAAAGCUUUUGAAAUAUGCUCACAUUCUAAUGAAAAUGAAUAGAGGUGCUUGUGUUAAGGUAAAGGUUAAAAGGCCAUUGUCAAAUAGCCCAGUUUUUCAAAGGUUUUUUUUGUCAUUUCCUGCACUUAAAGUGGGGUACCUAACUGGGUGUAGACCUUUCAUAGGAUUGGAUGGGUGUCACUUGAAGGGGCCAUACAGGGGAGUAUUGUUAUCUGCUGUUGCAUUAGAUGAUGAUAGUGGAAUUUUUCCAUUGGCUUUUUGCAUAUGUGAGGUAGAGAACUAUGAUAGUUGGAGUUAUUUUUUAUCUUUGCUGUAUGAAUUCAUUGGGGCUGAUGAUCAUAGGUCUGUAACUAUUAUUAGUGAUAGACAAAAAGGUCUUUUAUGGGGAUUGGAAAAAUAUUGGCCUAAUGCUAGUACUAGAUAUUGUGCUAGGCAUAUCUUUGCCAAUUUGAAGUGUAAGUUUCCUGGUUUGAAUGUCAUGGGGUUAUUUUGGAAAGCUUGUAGGGCUGCAAAUCAGUAUGACUUUGAGAGGGCAAUGAGUCAAAUUAGGGCUAAAGACCAAAAUUGUUAUGAAUGGUUGAGAAAAAUACCACCUGCACAGUGGUCUAGAAGCGGGUUUGAUCAUCAUGUGAAAUCUGACCAUGUUACAAACAACAUGACUGAAUCUUUUAAUAAGUGGGUGGAUGAGGUUAGGGAUAAGCCUGUCCUAACCAUUCUUGAGCAUAUUCGUAGACAACUAAUGGUGAGAAUGUUGAAAAAAUAUCAGCUAGGUGAAACUUGGCAAGACCAUUUGACCCCAUAUGCUAGAGAAAGACUAAAUCAAUCCUCAAAUGAGGCAAGGAGAAUUAAGGUCUUUGGAGGUAGAGGGGAGCUGUUUGAAUGUUGUCAAGCUGGCUAUAGAAACAUCCUGGUACAUAUUACAGAUGGUACAUGUGAAUGUGGGAUGUGGCAAGUUAGUGGAGUGCCUUGCAAACAUGCAGUAGCUGCUAUUCUUCAUAAAGGAGGGCAACCUGAAAAUUAUGUGCAUCAUUAUCUGACCAAGGAAUCUUUUAUGAUGACAUACAUGGGGACUAUAAAUCCUAUUCCUGAUGAGUGUGCUUGGCCUGAAGUGGAAGCUGAACCUUCCCCUGAUGUUGUGGUGCCUGUGAAGGUUGGACCACCUGACAUAAAGGCUCCAGUUGGUAGACCGAAAAAGAAAAGAACAAAAGAACCUGGUGAGACCAAACUAACUAGUAAAAGGUUUACUAUCAAAUGUAGUGCUUGCAGAUGUCUUGGGCACAACAAAAGGGGUUGCCCUAAUUUUCCAAAAACCACAAGAACUAUAGAGGUAUAACAUAAGAGUCAUUUUUGUUUUUUAAAUUUCAUUUGGUGAAGCUAACAAAUAUUGAUCUUGAUGUUGUGCAGGGAAGCAAUAGGACUUCAUCAAGUGCACAGGUUUAAUUUAAUUAUACAAUUUUAAUUCAAAAGGAUUUUUUUUUCUUUUGCACUAGAUAUUGCUUAAAACUUGGUGAUAUUGGUUGUGUGCAACGAAGAAAUAAGGCUUAAUCAAGUGGACAUGUUUAAUCUAGUUCUGAAAAUUUAAUUCUAAAGGAUUUUUUUCGUUCUUUUUCAUUAAAUUGCUUAAAACUUGGUGAUUUUUUUUGUGCGCAGGCAAGCGAUAUCACUUCAUCAACUGCACAGGUCUGAUUUUGUAAUUGAAUCUCCUUAUAUAUGUUUUGUUAUGUUAUCAAAUGGAUUAAUAACUUGGUACUAUAUAUGUUUGAUUUGAUCAUGGAAUUAUAUUGAAUAGAUUGAUUCUUUUUUUUUUAUUAAAUGAAAUUGAUGUCUUUUUUUUUUUCUUUUUGGACAGCAUGGAACUAACCCACAAUCUCAAGAAGUAGAUGUCAAUGAUCAAUCAAUUGGCAAUAGUUCUGAACAAGCUAGUUAGGCUUCAAUCAAUGUCACUCAACCAGUGGGGCUGUAUACACAACUAUUGUGGACUGUACUUCAACCUCAAAAUGAAGAAAUUAUCACUGUUAACAAGGAGUAGGAUAAUACAAUUUCACCUUGGGUUGACAUUUAAUUCUCCAUUAUAGAAUUUAGAAGACAAUUAACUAUUUUUUGUGUUUAAAUUUCAGUUUACCUUAGUAUUGUUAAGGUAUUUGUUAGUUUGAAUUUAAUUGACUUUCAUACUUUUAAUUUCAUUUUUAGACCGAAUGUUAUUGUGAUUUUUUUAAUAUUAUAUUCAAUACAUAUGUUAUUUAGUUUAACAAUUAUUAUAUUUUUAUAGAUGUGAUGAAAUUAUAUGGAUAGCAAAUUACAUUUUCAUGUAUAAUUCACUCAAAUUGAUAAAUAGGCUGUUAGAUUGAAAAAAAAAAGUCCAAGGUUAAAAUUGUACUUUAAAUCACUAAUAUGAUUAUAGGGGUAUACCUGUCUUUUAUGUUUAACUUAACAUUUUCACUAAUUUUUUUAACGGAAGAAUUGGGUUAAGGGCUUGAAUGACAUAAAUUUACAGUUGAAAGGAUUUAAUUGAUUCAUUUAGUAAACUUCUGGUCUCUGAAUUUUUUUCUAGAAAUAAUGAGGACUCAAUUAAAAAUUACCCUAGAUAAUAUAAUAACUUGUUGUGGUUCAUUGUAGCACUCUGAGCCAUAUUUUAAAAUUUACUGGUUUGUUAAUGCUUUUAUUAUUGACAUUAUUGUGUCAAUAUUAUUAUAAUUAAUUUAUUCAUUUUAUUGUAAUGAUAAUUUGUCUAGUCUUAGGUACUUAUUAUAUUAAAUUAUGUAAAUUAAUUGAGAAUACUUUUAGAGACAAAAGAAACACGUGUAUGUAGGAUUAAUAAGCGAAGAGUUGUAAAUGAUGGUGAUUGCUUCAUUCAGAGGCAUAUUAAAUAAUUAUGGAGAGUUGCUCUAUUUCGGAAGCAUAUAUUUAUACUUCCCUACCAGGAUUUGGGGUAAGCGAAGUGCUUUAUGUAUUGCAGUAAGGAAAUGUGGGCAAUAUCAGAGCCGAAAUAUUAAAAGAUCAUAACGCAUAUAAACAAUUAGUAUAUUCAAGACACAUAUAGAGGAAAGAGUGCAGAUCCGGCCGUAACUAUUAUGAGGAUUUCCUCAAGUAUUCUCAUGCUUCCUCAACUGUUCUGAACUAUAUAUUCUUCAUUGUGGGCUGUUUUGCUUAAAUACCAACACAAUGAUUCAAUACUUCAAAGGUCAAGGAAAUGUCAAAAUAUGAAAUGAAAAUACUUAAAUAGCCUUCUACCUAACAAAACUUAGUACUUCUAACUGCCUUCGCAGAGAAUCUAUAAAAUAAAAAAAAAAUCAUCCAGGAAAAGUUUCGUAACAGAAAAACCGUCUUUCAAAAAAUAAAAAUAGAAAAACCGACUCAUUUAUCUGCCAAUGAACCAGUCGGGACUCAUUUAAAAAAGAUUAAAAAGCAAAAGUAAAUGACACAAAUUGCAUAGAUAUCUCGGAGCCGCAUCAAAGGACAAAGGUGUUAAUUUGUCCAAGUAAUAAAUUCUCCUAGGUCAAAAGCAAUUAACGAUGAAAACUUUCUUCAUUAAGGGUCUGGCCUACGUAAAAAAAAAACAGAAAAACCACCCCAAGGUCAAAGCACAACCAUAAGUUUUGAGUUGCAGUUUUUAAAUUUUUUUUAUAAUAAAUCAACGUGUAUAAAAAAUAGAUAAUGAUUUUGAAUAAUCUUUUUGAUAAAUAUAGACAUAAAAUUUUAAAAUCACCAAACAGAAAAACAGGGAAUUAAAAGAGAGCCCUUGUUUCUCCUCUAUUUUGUUUGUUUGUCCUCUAUUUUAGCAGGGCAGCUAAAAGGGUUUGGAAGUUGACUGAAUUUUAUGAGGAUGUAAAGCAAUUAGCUCGGCAAGACAUGUUGAGUGUGCUGCAGGAUUUAACUGUGAAGAGAAAAAAGAAUGAGCUGGAGCUUGUUGUUGCGGUGUGCUGGGCCAUCUGGUACUCUAGGAAUCGUUUGGUGUUUGAAGGAAAGGAUGAAGAUCCAAAAAAUUCAGUGGCCAGAGCAAUUGCUAUGGUGGAAUCAUACAGGCGAAUAAAAGUUCCAAAUGAACAAAAUUCUCCAGGCCAUAGCAGAAUCAGUCAACUAGAAUGGGCAAAUCCUCCAAAGGGGUGUUAUAAAGUCAACGUUGAUGCUCCAAUCAAUGUUUCAAACCAAAAGGCAGGGUUGGGGGUAGUCAUUAGAAACUCUGUGGGUAAGGUUGUUGCUGCAGCAGUCCAAGGAACUCCAUAUAGGGGAGAUGUGGCGUGUAUGGAGGCUGAAGCUGUUCUGUUUGGUCUUCAGAGUGCCCAACAAGCAGCUGUUUCCCCAAUAAUUAUUGAGUCAGAUUCAAAGGAAGUGGUGGACCUAUCCUUAAAGAAAAAGAUCAGCAAGACUGAAAUUGAGUGGAAAAUUGCAGAAAUCCAAGCAAAUCUGGAAAAUCAGAAUGUGUCCUCGCUGUCAUAUGUCCCUAGAAACUGUAACUCUAUUGCUCAUUCUAUUGCAAAGAUAGCUCUAGGUUUUGAAAGUCAAGUCUUUUGGCUGGAAAACUUUCCAGAACAUAUCAGGUGUACUCUUGCUAAGUUCAUCAAUUGAAAAGCUUUACUUUUCUCAUCAAAAAAAAAAAAAUAGGGAAAUGAAAAGAUCGUAGGUGGAAAUUUUUUUUCUGCGUUGUAUCUUCUCAAUGCUGCAUGCAUUCAAAUUGUCAUAUUGCGAAAAUCCCUUUUCAAUGUUUCAAUUGCAAUGUCAUUGCCAUUAUUCAUAGUGGCAGACAAUGGACAUCACGGGACAUGGCUAGAAGUCUAUGUUACGGCUUCUGUAAGUAACAGCAGCCAAUGGGGAACUUCCACGGGUGCUAGAGGAGAGAGAAAGAGGUCCCAAUGCAAGGUGAUGGAAAUAGGGAUGGCAAUUGUACCCGCAAACCCGCAAACCCGCCCAAACCCACCCGCCAAAACCCGCCCGUUGCGGGUAAUUUUACCCGUUGCGGGCGGGUUUAGUAUUAUAAAUUAAAACCCGCACAUGGAUGCGGGUGGGUUUGGUAUUAACCUUAUAUCCGGUGGAUACCCGCAUGGAUAUCCACCAAACCCGCAAUAUUUUUUUUCAAAUAUUUUUAAUUUAAUUUAAAUAUAAAAAUGUAUAAAGAAAAUAAUGUCAUUAAUCAAAUUACCAAAUAGACAAAUGCUCAAAGUUGUGUAUGUGUGUAUGUGACCCAUCUCUUAUUCUAAAGUCAUAAGCUAAAGAAAACUAAAGGCAUUACCCUUCGAAUUAGUAUUUGAAAAUAUUAAUCUUAAUUAUUAUUAUAGGCAUUGUGUUGGAUGGGUGCUUAUGGUGGUGAAUGAAAUGAAUAUAUUCUCUUGGAUCUUGUUUUAAAUGAUAAUAUGAAAUGUAAUUAUUAUUUUUAGAUACUAGUUUGUGUUUUUUAAAUAGAUUUGUGUAAUUUAUACUUAAAUUUGAGAAUUUGUAUUGAAUUGAUGUGGAAAUUUUAAUUUUUCAUUGACAUUGUUUAAAUAUAAAAUUGAGUAUGCUAUAUGGAAUUUGAGGUUAUUAUUAUAAAUUUAUAUAUUAAAUAUUUGUGAUUUUAAAUACGGAAACCCGCAAAAAAUCCGCCGGAUACCAUUGCGGGUUUGGUAAUUGUUAAAACCCGCUGCGGGUGGGUUUUUUUAAAAAAAUUAAAACCCGCUGCGGAUUGCGGGUGGAUUUGGUGAUUUAAAUUUUGUGCGGGUUUGGGUUUGAUAAUGGCAAACCCGCUGCGGGCGGUGCCCAUUGCCAUCCCUAGAUGGAAAUGGGAAAGUUCAAAGCUGUUACUUUCAGCUUCUGCACCGUAGCCAUGUCCCACGGGACAAGGCUAGAAGUUAUCAUGACCAUAGACUUUUCUAAUUUAUUUUUUCCUUUCAAAAAGGGACAAGGAUAAGUUUGGGAGAAUGAUUAUAUUUUUAAUAAAAGAAUUCUUUUUUAUUAUAAUACUUUUUGUCUUUAUUAAUUUAAAAAUAUUAACUCUUAUAUUUUAAUAAAUAUAAUUAUAAUAUUAUAAUAACAUAUAACAAUAUAUACAAAUAUUUAAAAAAAAUUAAGAUUUUAUUAAAAUAAUUUUAUAAUAAAUACAAAUAUAUUAUUAAUAUAAUUAUAAUAAUUUUCAUUUUAAAAAGUAAUACUGAUAUUAAUUUUUUAAAUUAUAUUACUCUACUCAAAAAAUUAAACUAUUAAAUUAUAUUGAUAUUUCUUAAAAAAGUUGCAAUUAAUUCUUAUUAUAUUUUUAAUUGGAUUUUUUUCCCGAGAUAUAACAACAAUUGCUACAGUUUUUUCCCAAAUAAAGAUGGAGUUAUAAAUUAUUUGUAUAAGUGUCUGUGUGGAAACUAAUGUGACAUGAAAGUAAUGGUUGAAUAACAAUAAUGGGGCUUUAGGCAAUUUUUUUAUGAGGUCCUCUUGCAAUUUCAACACUUAAACAGACUUGUCCUUGAUCCCAAUUUAUUUACCCAUUUAGGCCCACGAUGAGAUAAAUAUAUUCCUGUGAGAUGAAAAACAUCAGGAGAAGAAAAUGUUUUAUUAUAAUAAAAAAAACAAGUGGUCCAUAAGUCUAUUUAUUACUUUUUUUAUUCAAUACAAAUGGCCAACUUAAAAAAUGAUAAAAAUCACAUAACGCACAAGCGAAAAUUUAGAUUUACAUUUUUUAGUUCUCUCCGUGUCUCUCUUUCUCUUUUUUUUUUAAAAAAAUAAAUAAAUGUCAGUGUAAAAUUAGAAAAAUUUUAGAUAUAAACUUUGGCGAUGACCAAACAAAAAUUGAAAUACUGAUCAUAGACACUACAAUAUAAAUAACUUGUUGUGAUCCACUCAACUUGUAACACUUUAAUCCAUACUCUAAAAUUUGUAUGUUUGUUAGGAAUUUUAUUAUUGACAUUAUUGUACCAAUAAAAUUAUACUUUAUUCAUAUGGAAAGAAAACAUCAAGAAAGGACCUCUGAUUUUUAUUAUAACAGAAAAAAGUGGUCCAUAAGCCUAUUUAUUAUUUUAUUUAUUCAAUACAAAUUGCCAACUUAAAAAAUGGUAAAAAUCACAAAAUGCACAAGUAAAAUUUUAGAAUUACAUUUUUUUAAUUCUCUUUGAGUCUCUGUUUCUCUCUUUAAAAAAUAAACCUCACUGUAAAAUUAGAAUAAUUUUAGACAUAAAAUUUGGCAAUCACCAAACAAAAAAUGUAGGGAAAUGAAAAUGGAGGAGCCCUAUUAUCAUUAGAAUAUUGAUCAUAGAUACUAUAAUGUAAAUGAUUUUUUGUGGUUCAUUCAACCUGUCACACUCUAAGCCAUUUUCUAAAAUUUGUAAGGUUUAUAGGAUUUUUAUUAUUGGCAUCAUUGUAUCAAUAAUAUUAUAAAUUAUAUAUUCUAUUGUAAUGAAAAUUUGUGUAAUCUUAGGUAUUUAUUGUAUUAAAUUGUGUGGAUUAAUUAAGAAUAUUUUUGGAGACAAAAGAAGUGUGUGUACGUAGGAUUAAUGAUAAAAAAUUUCUAAAUAAAGGUGAUUGCUUCAUUGACAAGUACAUAUUUAUAUUCUCUAUUAGUAUUUGGGUUGUAAACUUUGUUUAUAAAGUGAAUAUAUUGUGGUAAGCGAUGUGGGCAAUAUCGGAUGCAAAAUAUUGAGAGAUCAUUAACGCAUAUAUUUAUUGAAGACGCAUAUAGAGGAAAGAGUGUAGAUCCGGCUGUAACAAUUAUGAAGCUUUCCCCAAGUAUUCUCACGCUUCCUUAACUGUUCCAAAGUAUUUUUCAUAGUGUGCAGAUUUACUUUAUGGUGUCUUAAUCCGUCUAAAAUGAUUACUUUAGUUCUUUUGGGAUGAAAGGUCAUUUAUUGUGUUAGUAUUAAACAAUAGAAAAAAUAAGUAAUGGUAACGAAAGACUAAUUUGUGAUAUUGAAGUAUACAUGCUUAACUCAAUCCAAACUUAGUAAGUUAGCUCAAGAGUUAAGAGUUGUCCAAAUCUUAUAUACUGAACCCAAGUUCAAUACUCAAUUGAUGUAGGAUGUUAUUCAUAACACCGCCCGUCAUGCGUAGGAUUGGCAAAAAAACUCGAGUCAAUCCCACCUAGACCUGCAAGCUUUAUUUAUGGCCAGCAUAAUGAAGUUACAGAUAUUAACCUAAAAAUUUGAAACUUACUAUGAGUGGCCUUGGUUAAAGACUUUUGCAACUUUAAUUUAUAACAAGUAUGUACACACACACACACACACACACACACACAUGUUUAGAUUGCAUUUGGAUGACUUUUUUUUAUCAAUGCAAACAAUAUCAAAUUUAUCGGAUUAAUUUGAAUCUGAUCUAUAUCCGAUUUUGCCUACCCCUACUAUUUAUAAGCCCAAGUGACUCUCUUUUACUAAUUAAUAAGGGAAUUUUUUGACCUCAUGUCCUUGCUGUGGCAUUAGACUGUUGGUCAUUUUGAUUGUUUCCUACCUUCCAUUUACGCCAGCUGUAACAUUGUAUUAUUCACCAUUUUAGCCAUUUAAAUGAAAUUUUAUUUUUGUCAAAAAUAAAAUGACACCCUUAAAAUUAAAAAAAAAAUAGUUAUGUAGACCUCAAAUUUUUAAUAAAGAAUGUCAAUACCUCUUUUAACUACAAGAUUCGUAGUAGAUGAUAAAAAGAAAAUUAACCUCAAAUUUUUUCAUUAAAUGUAAAUCUGAUUGAAGUAGUUUAAAUUUUUCUAGUAGACUAAUAUAUAUAACUUAAAUAAUUAAUUUCAUUAUUAAUUUUUAAAAUGUUAACUAAUAUAUUUUUAAUUUAUUAUAAAAUUUUUAAAUAUUAUCCUUGGAUUAAAUAGAUUUUACAAUUAAUGUAAUACUUCUUAUUUUUUAAUAAUAUUAAAAUUAUUUUAUAUGAUAUUCAAAAUAAUUUAAACUUAUAUAUAUUAAUAUUAUGUCUAUUUAUUAUAAUAUGGUUUAAUAUUAUACGGGAUUGUAAAAUAUUAAAAUAUUCUUCAAUAUCAAAUUAUUUUAAUAUGUACAUAUCAUUACUUUUAUUUUAGUAUCGCAUUUAUAUUUAUUAUAAAUAUAAAAUUAAUAAAAUUAAAGAGUAUUGCAGUAAAGUAAAAAAAAAAAGUCUUAUUAUCCCUUAUUCAUGAUAUGAGAUUCUACAAAAUUAUUUCCCGAAACGGGUGUCCUUUUCUCAUUUUCAAAAGAAAAAAUAAAGUAAGAAUAAGUCCAUGGGUUUCAAAAACUUCUAGUCCUAUCCCGGGACUACAUUGCUGCCACUAUAACUAAUGGAAAUGACAUUUCAAUUGACAUUGCCUUUCGCAACAUGAAAAAUUUUUGGUGGGAUAUGGAAGAAUUGUCAAAAGUUCACGCCGUGUGAGAGUUUUUGGUAGGAUGUAGGAGGAUUGUCAAAAGAUCACACCAUGUGAUAAAACCACAAUUGCUAUGGUUUUUAUUUUUUAAAUAAUGAUGGGAGUUAUAAAUUAUUUAUAUAAAUUUGCGUAGAAACUAAUGUAACAUAAAAGAAAUAGCUGAAUAACAAUAUUUGGUGCUUUAAGUAAUUUUUAUAUGAGCCUUUCUUUUAUUUAGCGGCUUUAGUGUUUAAACAAACUUGUUCUCGAUCUUAAUUUACUGACCCCAUUUAAGCCCAUAAUUAAACAUAUUCUUUUGUGACGAAAACAUCAAGAGAAGACAUCUCAUGUUUUAUUAUAACAGAAAAAGAAGUAGUCCAAACAUCUAUUCGUUAUUUUAUUUAUUCAAUAUAAAUGGCCAACUUUAAAAAAAUGAUAAAAAUCACACAACGCUCAAGUAAAAAUUUAGAAUUACAUUUUGUAAUACUCUCUGAGUCUCUCUCUCCUGCCCCCCCCCCCCCUUCCUUUUAAAAAAAAUAAACCUUAGUGUAAAAUUAGAAGAAUUUUAGAUAUAAAAUUUGGCAAUAGCUAAACAGAAAAGCGGCGGAUUGAAAAUAAAAAAGCUCUAUUACCAUUGGAAUAUUGAUUAUAGAUAAUAUAAUAACUUGUUGUGGUUCAUUGUAGCACUGUGAGCCAUAUUCUAAAAUUUAUAGGUUUGUUAAGGCAUUUAUUAUUGACAUUAUUGUGUCAAUACUAUUAUAAUUUAUUCAUUUUAUUGUAAUGAUAAUUUGUCUAGUCUUAGGUACUUAUUAUAUUAAAUUAUGUAAAUUAAUUGAGGAUACUUUUAGAGACAAAAGAAACACGUGUAUGUAGGAUUAAUAAUCGAAGAAUUGUAAAUGAAGGUGAUUGCUUCAUUGAGAGGCAUAUUAAAUAAUUAUGGAGAGUUGCACUAUUUCGGAAGCACAUAUUUAUACUUCCCUAUCAGGAUUUGGGAUAAACGAAGUGCUUUAUCUAUUGCAGUAAGCAAUGUGGGCAAUAUCAGAGGCGAAAUAUUAAAAGAUCAUCCAUGAAAAGCUUCGUAACAGAAAAACCGUCUUUCAAAAAAAAAUAAAAUAAAAUAAAAAUAAAAACAGAAAAACCGACUCAUUUAUCUGCCAAUGAACCAAUCAGGACUCAUUUAAAAAAGAAUACAAAGCAAAAGUAAAUGACACAAAUUGCAUAGAUAUCUAGUAGCCGCAUCAAAGGACAAAGGUGUUAAUUUGUCCAAGAAUAAAUUCUCCUAGGUCAAAAGCAAUUAACGAUGAAAACUUUCUUCAUUAAGGUUCUGGCCUACGUAAAAAAACAGAAAAAAUCACCCCAAGGUCAAAGCACAACGAUAAGUUUAGAAUUGGAAUUUUUAAUUUUUUUUAAUAAAUCAACGUGUAUCAAAAAUAGAUAAUAAUUUUGGAUAACUUUUUUUGAUAAAUAUAGACAUAAAAUUUUAAAAUCGCCAAACAGAAAAACAGGGGAAUUAAAACAAAGUCCCUGUUUAUCCUCUAUUUUGCUUGUUAUUAAAAAGGGAAAUGAAAAGAUUGCAAGCCGAAAUUUUGUUUCUGCGUUGUCUCUUCUCAAUGCUGCAUGCAUUCAAAUUAAACCUUACAUAUGCUAGCAAACUAGCUACUCUGCAUGUAAGUUCUCGAUAAGUCCAAAUAAUAGAAUAAUUGUAAAAUGUUCAAAUUCAGUAAUUAAUUAUACAUAUUUAUUUAUUCAAAAAUUAUUAUUAUUACUAAUUAUUGUCAAUAAUAUAUUAAUAUACUAAUUAAUUGUAAAAAAAUUUAUCAUUCAUAACAAUAAUGAUGAUGAUGAUAAUAAUAAAAAUUCAAAAUAUAUUAAUUAAUUAUAAUAAUAUAUUAAUUAUUUAAUAAUAAUAUAUUUAAAAUAUAUAAAUUGAUUAGAAUAGUUAUAUUAAUAAAUUAUAAACAUAUAUUAAUUAAUCAUAAUAAUUUUUUAAUUGAUGACAAAAUAGAUAUUUUAUAGUUUGUGAGAGGGGGCAAAAUGAUCAAUCUUGGGAAUGGGGGAUUGAUUCCCACCACCUUCCUUAGGAAUCAAUCUUCCAUUCCUCAUUCCUAAUUUGGGUGGUCCCCAUAGUUCUUAUUCGGAUCCCAGCCUCUAUUUUGUGAAGUAAACAUCAUUAAUGAUUUCGAUUUCGGAUUCCGAUUCUCCAAUCCAAGAAGUAAAGGCACCAUUAUUGUUAAUUGGUUCAAACACACAAAGAGAAUGUACCAUGUAGCUAGGCGUCAAGGUUGUGUGGCACAAGGUUGUGUGGCACAAGUAGGGAUGGCAAUUCAACCCGCACCCGGCCCGGACCCGGAUGAAACCCGGAUUUUCCAGUCCGGGUUUAACCCGUACCGGAUUAAAUAAAAUCCGGAUCCGGAUGUCAUUUUAAAAACCCGCAUGUACCCGGGUCCGGUUCCGGGUUUAAGUAAACCCGUACAUCCGGAACCCGGACCCGGAUAUAUAUUAAUUUUAAAAAAUUAUUUUUAAUAUAAAUAGAAAGCAAAAAAAACCCAAAUGGUGCCCUAGAAGCUCAUUACACUUUCCCAGCCGCACAAACAUUUCCUCUCUUAUUCCCUCUUCAGCUCAUCUUCAUCUUCAUCAAAUCAUCGUCGCAUCACUUGCCCAUCUUCGCGGCUGUUCAACUUCAACAUCAUCAUCAUCAUCAUCAUCAGCCGUCGUUUCCUUUCUUUUUCUGCGGCGACCGGUAACUAGCUGUGAUACGGGUUGAACGCCGCCUUUGCCAAUCGCAACCGCGGCUGUGUUCAUCAUCAUCAACCGCCGUCACUUUCAAGAACGAUACUCGAAAAUAUUUUGAUGGGAAUCUUGUUUUUGGUCAUUUUAGUAACAGUGUGUGCAAGUGCGAGUGAGAGAGAGAGAGAACGUGGCUUACUCGAUGCCACUUAUCAUGCUUUCAUCUUUUUUCAUCCAGUGCGGGGUCUGUCUUUGUUGGCUUUUUGGAAAACUUGUUGCUUUUAAUGGUGUAUUACUUCUUUUGAAUAUCCAAUCAAUGUAAACUUAUUUACAUUACCCCUCCAGUUUUCCCAUCACCAUUAAAAGUGCUUUGGUUGCUCCUUGACUGUGCUUUGGUUGCUCCUUGACUCCUGACUUCCUGCUCGCAACAAAAGCUAGUUCUUUAGCUCUCUUUACUAAUUGAACGAGUCACCACAUUGGGUUGCUGAUUCUGGGCAGCCAAACAAAAUUGUUGUUUUUGUUAAUUAGUUUCCAGAUGAAAUAAUUUUUCUUUGAUUUGCUGAAAUCCUGGAUAUGUAUUUCUAUUUGAUUUUUUUAGUCGAAUUUAGUUUUUUUUUUUAAAUUGGAUUCAUCAAUCCGGGUUGGAAACCCGCAGUCCGGAAACCCGGAUUUUUCCGGGUUGAACCCGUACCGGACCCGGAGUGGAAAAAUGCGGGUUUAUUUCCGGGUCCGGUACAGAAAAUAUUCGUCCGGGUCCGGAUCCAGAAUGACUAAACCCGGACCCGGACCCGGAUUUUGCCAUCCCUAGGCACAAGUAACCUUUUUCUUUUCUUUUUAUUUUUUUUUGUUUUCCUUAACGGAUCAGAAGAAAUCGGUGCCUUUGAGAUACUACAAUGUAAAUAAGUACUUGUGGUUCAUUAAAUCUGUAACACUCGGUACCCUAAGGUUUCUUUUGAAAAAGGGCUUUUCUCACUGAUCACCAAUAUCCAAGUAAGUUUGUUUCAUUUCAGAAGGUGCAAAGUUUCAAACUUUUUGUAUUGGGAUGUAACAAACUUUGGCCUUAUAUGCCUGCUGUGACGUUAGACUGUUCAUUUUGAUUGUUUCAUACCUUUCACUUGCGCGCACUGUAGCACUGUAUUAUUCAUCAUUUUAGCUGUUUAAAUGAAAUUUUAUUUUUGUCAAAAAUAAAAUGACACCAUAAAAAUUUAGAAAAAUAAUCAUGUAGAUCCCAAAUUUUUAAUAAAGAAUACCAAUAUUCCCCUUGACUACAAUACCCUUAGUAGGUGGUAAUCAAACAAAUUGACUUAAACUUUUUUACGAAAUGUAAAUAUGAUUUAAAUAAUUUAAAUUUUCCAGUAGACUAAUAUAUAAUUUAAAUAAUUAAUUUCAAUAUUAAUUUUUAAAAUGUAAAUUAAUUUAUUUGUAUUUAUAAAAUAUUUGUAAUUAUUUUAAAAUUUUAACUAAAUCCUUAGGUUAAAUAGAUUUUACAAUUAAUAUAAUAUUUCUCAUGUAUUAAUAAUAUUAAAACUAUUUUAUAUGAUAUUGAAAAUAACCUAAAUUUUUAUAUAUUUAUUUGAAUAUUAUGUCUCUAUUUAUUAUAAUUUGGUUUAAUAGAAUACGAGAUUGUAAAUUAUUAAAAUUUUUAGAUAUUGAAAUUAUUUUAAUAUGUACAUAUUAUUAUAUUUAUUUUAAUAUCCUACUUAUAUUUAUUAUAAAAUAUUAAAAUUAAUUUUUUUAGUUAAUAAAUUUAAAAAAUAUUAUAAUUAAAAAAAAGAGUCUUAUUGCCUGUUAUUCACGAUAUGAGGUUCUACAAAAUUAUUUUCAAAAGGAAAAAUAAGUCCAGGGGUUUCAAUAAAUUCUAGUCCUAUCUGCCACUAUAACUAAUGGAAACGACAUUGCAAUUGACAUUGCUUUUCGCAAUAUGACAAUUUUUUGGAGGGAUAUGGGAGAAUCGUCAAAUGUUCACACUAUGCGGGAGUUUUGAAUGGGAUCGGGGAGAAUUGUCAAGAGUUCACACCACGAGAAACCAAUGAUAGCCAUAAUUACGCUGUCAGUUCUUUGUUUAUUUAUUUUGUUUAUUUCAUACAUUGUUGUCUUGUUGGCAUUGUUUUGUAAAUAUAUAAAAGUAAAGUAAACUAUUAGGGUGCUGCUAAGUUAAACUGUUGUAACUUACAAUCCCUUAAAAAAUAAUGUAAAAAAUUUAACACGUGGUGGGAUCGACAUAUGUUUGAAGAGGCUUUAAGUUACAGUAGUUGUGACUUAGAAAAAUCCAAAUAUUAGACAAUAACACACAUUAACAAUGCAUAUAAUUUGGGUUUGAUUUUUUUAAAAAUUAUUUGAGUAUUAACUAUCCUUAAGAUAUUAAUGUGAAUAUAAUUUAAUAUUAAAUAAUCAAAAUCUGUAUAAUUAUAAUAUAUAUUUCAUACAUUGCAUGUUUAAUCAAAAUCGGAUUGCUUUUUACCUUCCAUUUACGCCCACUGUAGCAUUGUACUAUUCACCAUUUUAGCUGUUUAAAUGAAAUUUUUAUUUUUUUUCAAAAAUAAAAUGACACCCUUAAAAUUUUAGAAAAUAGUCAUGUAAACCCCAAAAUUUUAAUAAAAAACACCAAUACCCUUUUUUACUAUAGUACUCUUAUGGUAGCCACAAAAAAAAAUGACUUCAAAAUUUUUUACUAAAUGUAAAUAUGAUUUAAAUAGUUUAAAUUUUCUAGUAGACUAGUAUGUAUAAUUUAAAUAAUUAAUUUUUAAAAUGUAAUUUAAUAUAUUUAUUUUAAUAAUAUAUUUAUUAUAAAAUUUUAAACAAAUCCUUGGGUUAAAUAGUUUUUAUAAUUAAUAUAAUAUUUCUCACGUUUUAAUAAUAUUAAAGUUAUUUUCUAUGAUAUUGAAAAUAAUUUAAAAUUUUAUAUAUUUAUUUUAAUAUUAUGUCUCUAUUUAUUAUAAUUUGGUUUAAUAGAAUACGAGAUUGUAAACUAUUAAAAUAUUUUUAGGUAUUGAAAUUAUUUUAAUAUGUAUAUAUUAUUAUAUUUAUUUUAAUAUCCUACUUAUAUUUAUUAUAAAAUAUUAAAAUUAAUUUUUUUAGUUAAUAAUUUAAAAAAAUAUUAUGGUUAAAAAAAAGAGUCUCAUUGUCCGUUAUUCACGAUAUGAGAUUCUACAAAAUUAUUUUCAAAAGGAAAAAUAAGUUCAGGGGUUUCAACAAAUUCUAGUCCUAUAUGCCAUUAUGACUAAUGGAAACGAUAUUGAAUUGACAUUGUUUUUUGCAAUAUGACAAAUUUUUGGAGGGAUAUGGGAGAAUCGUCAAGCGUUCACACCAUGCAAGAGCUUUAUGUCACGGGAUGAGUGUUUUGCGCAGCUAACCCGUGCGGCACUUAGACAACUUUGCCGAAUGUUGCUAAGUAAGCCUAGAGCUUCUCGAACAAGAGAAGAGAGCAAUUGAGCCAAAGAAGAAACUUGUAUUGCACAAAGAGAGAUUACAAUGCUUGUUGCUUACAAAGCUUGUUAGAUACAAAUGCCUAAUGCCAUUCCAUAUUUAUAGGGGAGGCUUGCCAAGCUCUAGAGAUUCUAGAGAAUUCUACCAACUAUCUAGAAUUUACAUGUGCUGGAAAGUCAUAGAGAAUUCUAGAGUAUUUACAAGCUCACAUGUGCUAGAGUUUCCUAGAACUUUCCGGAAUAAGGUCAAGCUAGCACUCUUGACCUUGUGUUGGCUCUCUACCCCGAAAUUGUGGGCAAUUGGGCUAGUGAAUUGGGAGGUCCGUAACAUCCUCCCCCACCUAAGCUCGCGGCGUCCUCGUCGUGCUCUCAUGCUUGAAGCGUUGGAUGUGCUCAGCGAAUUGCCACAAAUCAUCUUCACAUUCCCAAGUGGCUUCACUCUCGGGGAGGUUUUUCCACUUCACUAAGUACUCGCUAUGUGCUGGCACGCCUCUCCUCGAAACCGUGCGGUCCGCAAUGAUGUAGUCCACAUCUUUGUCGAACGCGUUGACAACGGCAGUUGGUGCACGCCUUGAUUCUCCAAGACUUGGUUCUCCCACGUCUUCGUGAUAUGGCUUGAGAAGGCUCACAUGGAAGACCAGAUGGAUCUUGAGUCUUGGUGGAAGUUGGAGUUGAUACGAGACGUUGCCCACAUGUCGAACAACUCGGAAGGGUCCCUCGUAGCGCCUCACUAACCCCUUGUGAACUUUCCGCAAAGUCUUGAAUUGUUGGGGUAGGAGCUUGAUCAUGACUUGAUCACCUUCCUUGUACUCAACAUGCCGUCUCCUUGUAUCCUCCCAUUUCUUCAUUUUCCUCGCGGCUUUGUCGAGAUAGGCUCGCGUGAUAUCCGCUUCCUCAUGCCAUUCGUGGGCGAGCUUGUGUGCCGCGGGAUUUUCCCUCCGUAAGUCGAGGCUAUGGCAUUGGGGGUCAUGGGCUGGAAUCCCAUGAUGAUCUCGAAUGGACUCUUGCCCGUAGCCUCACUUCGCUGCAAGUUAUAAGAAAAUUAGGCGAUGUCAAGUAGUUUCGCCCAAUCCCUCUGAUGAGCGCUCACAUAAUGCCUCAAGUACAUCUCGAGGAGGCCAUUGAUGCGCUCGGUCUGCCCAUCCGUUUGUGGGUGGAAGCUUGUCGAGAACUCGAGAUUGGUCCCCAACAUCUUGAAGAGCUCCGUCCAAAAAUACCCAGUGAACCGAGGGUCUCGGUCGCUCACAAUGCUUUUUGGAACUCCCCAAAGCUUCACAAUGUGCUUGACGAAUAGGCGGGCUGCCUCGUCCGCUUUACAGUCGACGGGUGCGGCAAUGAAUGUGACAUACUUGUUGUAUCGGUCGACAACAACGAUGAUGCUUCCGCAACCUUCAGACUUGGGGCAGCGAUGUGAUGAAGUCCAUGGAGACACUUUCUCAUGGCCUUGUUGCUAGCAGUAGCAGCUCCAACAAUCCCGCUGGAAGUUAAUGAUCCACCUUGUCUUGUUGGCACACAAGACAAGUUCGCACAUAUGCCUCGAUGCUGUCCCUCAUGUGCGGCCAAAAAUAUGAGGCUUGAACUAGUGCGGUGGUGCGCUCAAUUCCUGGGUGACCAGCCCACUUGGAGUCGUGGCACUCCUUGAUAACUUCCUUCCGCAAGUUUCCCCACCUUGGCACGAACAGCCGAUCUCCCUUGGUGAGGAGGAUGCCUUCCUCUUGCCAAAAUCACCUUGUCUUUCCCUCGAGCACCUUCUCUAGCAAAUCCUUGGCUAGCGGAUCUUGUUGGAAGCCUUCCUUGAUGCGUGAGACAAGGUCGGACUUCGGUUGGCUCAUGCUAAGUGUCGCCAAUUCGGCCUUGCGGCUUAGAGCGUCCGCAACGACAUUGGUCUUGCCUGGUUUGUACUCAAGCCGAUAGUCAAAUUCCGCUAGGAAAUCUUGCCACCGCGCUUGCUUCGGACUCAACUUCUUCUGAGUUUGGAAGUAGCUUGUCGCUACGUUGUCCGUCAUAAUCGUGAAGUGAGAGCCUAGCAAGUAAUGUCGCCACACGCGCAAGCAAUGUAUGAUGGCUGUCAUCUCCUUUUCUUGCACUGUGUAGCGGCGUUCCGUAUCAUUAAGCUUUCAACUCUCGAACGCUAUAGGGUGGCCUUCUUGCAUGAGGACUUCUCCUAUGGCAAAAUCCAAGGCAUCCGUUUGGACUUCAAAGGGCUUUGUGUGGUCCGGGAGAGUAAGGACAGGUUCCUCCGAAAUUGCCUUCUUCAAAUCCUCGAAUGCGCGUUGGCACUCUUUAGACCAAUGCCACGUUCUGUUUUUCUUGAGCAUAUCCGUCAAGGGUGCUGCCUUGGCCGAAUAGCCCUUGAUGAAGCGGCGGUAGUAGUUCACCAAACCAAGGAAUAAGCGAAGCUCGGGCACUUUCGAGGGAAGUUCCCAUUCAAGGAUGGCCUUCACUUUAGCAUUCUCCAUCAUAAUCUUCCCGUCCGCAAUCUUGUGGCCAAAGAACUCCACCUCUUGUUGGGCAAACGAGCACUUCUCUAGUUUGAGGAAGAGCUCAUUGUCUCGAAGUACUUGGAGGACUUGUCGCAAGUGUUGGGCAUGAUCCUAGAGCGUGGUGCUAUACACCACUAUGUCAUCCAAGUACACGACCACGAAGCGGUUGAGGAAUGGUUGGAGCACCUUGUUCAUGAGCGUACAAAAUGUGGCGGGUGCAUUAGUAAGGCCAAAAGGCAUUACAAGGAAUUUGAAAAACCCGUACCUUGUUGUGCACGCUGUCUUUGGUUCGUCUCCCUUGGCGAUGCGUUCUUGGUAGUACCCUGAGCGCAAGUCGAGUUUGGUGAAGUACCGCACUUUGCCAAGCUGGUCGAACUAGUCUGCGAUCAAGGAAAUCGGAUACUUGUUCUUGAUAGUGAUCUUGUUGAGUGCUCUAUAGUCGAUGCACAUCCGCAGCGAUCCAUCCUUUUUCUUUUGGAAGAGGACCGGUGCACCGAAUGGGGCCUUUGAGGGGCGAAUAUAGCCUGCGUUCAGCAAGUCUUUGAGUUGUCUCCACAACUCUUAUAAUUUUGGUGGCGCCAUGCGGUAGGGCGCCAGGGCUGGUGGCUUCGCGCCUUGUUCCAGCUCGAUGGCAUGAUCUACCUCUUGUCGAGGUGGGAGCUUCUUCGGAAGUUCUGGAGGCAUCACGUCCUUGUACUCAUUGAGGACGACUUGAAUUCGCGGAGGGACUUGGCUUGGCGAAGUUCCGCUAUGUCCUUCCUCAUUUAGUUCUCGAAUAGAGACCAAGAAGCUUGGGUCCUUCUUGAAAGCCCUUUUGAAUUGCAUGGCGGAGAGUGUCUUCUCCUCGGACUUGCCUCGCUCCGUGGGUACCAUGCAUGCUUUGCUCCCGUCGAGAAUGCUUAGGGAGUUUGUAGCGGGCAGCGGGAAGGCAUGGACUUGGUCAAAGAAUUUCAUGCUGAGGACCAUCUUGAAGUCGUCCAUGGGCACAAUGGAGAAGUCAAGCUUUCCGCUCCACGUACCGAGUGUGAUGUGCACGCCUUGUACGAUUCCCGCAAUUGGCUUGGCGGGUGAGUUUACUACCUUCAUUGUGCCUCCUUCCUUCGUGGCCUUGAGGCCUAAGCGCUUGGCCUCAUCUACGGACACGAAGUUGUGCGUUGCUCCCGUGUCUAGCAGCGUGCGAACGGACUGGCCGUUUACCUUUGCGCUAACAUACAUGAGCCAUUUCUUGACGAGUGCGGGCUGUUGGCGAUUGAGUGCGCCGAGGCGUUGGAGAGAACCCAUGCUGAGUUGGGGUUCCUCCGUGGACAUUGUAGGGUUGCUCUUGAGUUGGGCAGCAAGAGCGUUAAGCGACCUCUUCUCCGGACAGUCGCGCACCCAAUGGGGACCAUUGCAUAUGAAGCAUGGGUUUCGCAGUUUUGGCGCCUCCUUCUUGCCCUCCGAUUUUCCUUGCCCGCUCUUGUUAUUAGGCGGCUUUUUAUGCCCCCAAUCUUUACGGUUGUUGCCCUUGUCCUUGUGACUCUCUCCCCUACCUUUGCCUUGACUAGACUUCUUGUCUUUGGAUUGGGUAGAGUAUUCGGUGAGCGAUUCCGCAACGGCGAUGGCGUCGUCAAGUGUUUGAACACCACACCUAUCAAGCUCGGUCUUGGCCCAAUCCUUGAGGCCAUCUUGGAAGUAGAAGAGUGAAUCUUUGUCAGACAUGUCGCUUAUCUCCAACAUAAGGGUAGUGAACUCAUUGAUGUAGUCCCGAAUGCUACCCGAUUGCUUGAGGCGACGUAAGCGCGCUCGCGCUUCCUUCUCCGCAUUGCUUGGGGCGAACUGUUUUCAGAGUUCUUGCUUGAAGUCGGCCCAAGUGUCGAUGGUGCAAAUGCCCUUGCCCAUCUCGCCAUGCUUGCGACACCACCAUAGUUGUGCAGCACUUCGAAGAUAAGUGGGUGCAGUGCCCACUUUCGAUGCCUCAUCUCGUACACCCAUGGCAUCGAAGUAUUGAUCCAGCCCGAAUAAGAAGUUGUCCACGAUUGUGGCAUUGCGUGUUGUUGUGCAAAUUUUAAUGUACUCGCAAGCGCACGAAUCUAUUAUAGUAUAGAUCAAUGGUGACGAGUGUCGAUCCCACGAGAAGGUGGAUUUUAAUUGUGUAUAGAAUUAAUUUUGCAAAUGGUUGAUUGGAUUUGUGGUGGAAAUGAUUUGGAAUAUGCUAAAACUUAAAUUAAAAUGGCGAGAAUAAAUUCUGAAAUUGGAAUUGAAAUGACGAGAAUAAAUUGAAGAGAAUUCUAUUGAAAUGACGUACUUGGGUAUCUGGAUCCGUAUCAACAUGCAUCAUGGGCUAAAUAAUCCGUAUUAAUGCCAAUUAAAUCAUGAGGGGGGAAUCCACACCUCAUGAACCACGCUCUAAUCAAUAUGGUGCUAAGGGCUUAUCGUGCCAAAUAAUAAUAACCUUGUACUAGAGAGCCGGUGUAACCAAGGCGGUAUCUAGACAAGAUCAGUAUUAUUUGUCGACGAUAAGUCAAAUCAUCCACAAAAACUAGAGGGGAAAAGAAAAUAAAUUUACCAAAUAAAGCCCAUGACACAUGUUGAGACUUCACCUUCAACCCAAGCUUGAAAGAAAAUUAGCCACUCAUAAUUGAACUAAGGGCAAAAUGGGAAUUUAUUAAAAUACAAAGAAAAUACAAGAUGGAGAAGGAAUUACAGAAAAUGGAUCCCAAAAAUGGAUUCAGAGAUAUCAAAUUAGGGGGGGGAGGCCCCCUUUUUAUAGAUACAUGGAGUAAAUCAUGGCCAUCGGAUUAAAAACAGUUUGGACGCUCAGGAUUGCGCCACGUCAUCAGUCAACAGUCCACGGUUUGACCACGCGGAUGAACAGUAACACGGUUUGACCUGGAUGAACAGUAACGCGGUUUGGUUGACAAUAAUCCUGUGUGAUGCAUGCACCGUACGCGAGAUUUUUCGUCCACUGAUAUGCUGCCACGUCACCAUCAACAGUACAUAAGAUUUUAGUCCAACAGGAUCGUGACACCUCAUCAGUCAAUGCCACAUCAUCGGUCAAUGCCACAUCAUCGGUCAAUGCCACGUCAUCGAUCAAUGCCACGUCAUCGAUCCGUCUAUGUGAACAGUGUCGUGAACAGUAACGUAGACAGUACCGUAUACGUGAAUAGUACCGUACAUGUGAAUAGUGCCAUUUUUCCUUUUAUGCUCCUCCUAAGGUUUUCGACCGUCCUGAGUUCAAAAGUGAUGUCCGUUUUGCCAUCUGAUCUCUCCUUUAUUGUGAAAUGACUAUAAUGCCCCUAAAAUACAUAAAAUACUUAAUUAAAAUAACACACACGUAAUUACAUCACAAGAAGGUUAAAUACAUAAAAGUAAGGGUUGUUAGUAAGACUUGAAAUGUAAAAUGACGGUUUUCUCCUUUAUAAAUAUGCAUUUUCUAACACUCAACACACCCCCCAACCAGCUUAUUGCUAGUCCCUAGCAAAUAAAGCGAAAACAAAAUUCAAAUUCAAAUUUUUUUUUUUUUUUUUAGAAACACUCGUGUUUAUUCAAUCAGAUUAAUGAUAGCAAUCAAAUAAAAGUAUAAGCAUUAUCUCCAGUCUAAAGCAAUAUCACACCCACAUCAACCAUCCACAUGAAUCGGCCCAGUAGAUUUUGUUAUAGGUACUUUCAAGAAUGACAUGUCAAACCCCAAAAUCUCACUGGAAGUAAUGACACUCUCACAAAUAAAUUAAACCCAAUAAAAAUAGUCACUCCAAUGAAUGGUAAUUGAGAGAGAAAAUAAUAAAGAAGUGAUAUCACAUGCUCUCACCAAGAUGAAAUAAAUAUGCCCUUAGCUUAGAAAUAAUACGAUCUCAAGUCAAAUAAAAUGUUAGUCAACCCACUUUAUAUAUCUUUUUUUUUUUUUAUUAUGCAUCACUACAUCUUUUUAGCCCAUAUAACUAGCUUCUACUUCAAACUAUAGUUCCCUAAAAUCAAGAAGGACUUUUAUUAGGACGUAACGUAGGCUAGGGAUAUGGCUAAUAAAGAAAGGAAAUAAGGAAAACAAAGUGUAUGUUUGAGAAAAAUGCAGAAAUAAUUUUUUUUUUUUUUUGAAGUUGCAAGGUAGAUUUCACCUAUUAUUGUUAUUUUAUUCUUUUGAAACAACAACUUUUGUUUUUAUUUUAAUUUUUUUUUUUACUUUUAUUUGGCAUAACUUCACUGAACAACAUAAUUAUUUACAUUUUCUCAAACAUAAAUAGGUGAUGGAACUUAAAAGACAUUGGGUAAUACUCCAAAUCGGAGUGGGUCAAGAUGAUAAGUUGACAAAGAAAAUGUUUUUUUUUUUUUUUUUUUAAAGGCUCAAAAGGGGUAACUAUGGAUAUUUAAUAACAGGGAUGGCUAGAAAGGCUCAAACGGAUCAAAGAUGGUCUUUCCAUCGUUUUUUAGGGCUCUAAAUAAUUAUCCAUAUCUACUAGUUAAAUGGGCAUCCCAAUAUAGCAACACACAUUUUUUUCUUUUUUCUUUUUUUUUUUACCAUUUUUUUUUAAAGGGUUAACUCAAAAGAAAUCUAGAGAUCGUGUAUAAAAUAAUAAACUGCUAAGUUGUAUAGAGAAUGGGCAAAAGGGUUACUCUCCAAGAAAAUGAUAGGCUCAACUACUCACUUGGCACUUAUUUAUGACAUGUUCAUUCCUUCAAGCAACUCAUAUUUGUCUCCGACAUCAACAUGUAAAGUAGCAAACAUAGCGUAACAUCACUUAAGACCAAAGAUAAUACAAAUACUAAAAUUUGAAAUUAAUCAUGUCAUCCAAUGUUAAAACAAAUAACACAAUUUUUUUUUUUUAAACAACAUUCUACCCCCCAACCUAUUCUAAACAUGAAAGGAAAAUAUGCAUGCAGAAAUGUGAAAAUGAUGUAGAAAAAUUAAUUAGAAAAAGAAAUUUUUUUUUUUUAAACUAAGAAGAUGCGUUUCUAGAGGCACUACACUCCAUAUUCAGCCAUCUUCGACUCAAAAAUUUGAAACUACAUAUUUAUAAAGGAGAAAGAGGAAGAAAACAGGUUUUUUUUUUUUUUUUUUUUUUUUUAAACGAUGAAGAUGCGUUUCUAGAGGCACUACACUCCAUAUUCAGCCAUCUUCAACAUAAAAUGUUAGCAACAGUUAGUUUCUACAACAAAAAAUCAGUAAAAACUUAACCAAGAUUCCACAAUUGUCGACUAUUCCCUCCCCCCAACCAGAACGAAACAUUGUCCUCAAUGUUUUAAAGGAAAGAAGUAGAGUUUAGAAGACAUCACCUGGGUGGUGCAACACAGAAGAAAAUAUUUACAGGCGGAGAGUUAAAUCUAAUUUGUACUUCUUACUGCGGCUACUGUUACCAUCAUUAUUUGGUCGCUCCAACACAAAGGUCCAGGGGUCUGGCUCCGGUUUAUAAGCUUGUAACAUAUCAAGUAGCUCAUUAGCAGUGUGAGCACAAAUAAAGAGUUUUUUCACAUUAGAAGGAAUGAAAUAGUUUUUUAUUGCAUGGUUAAGAAAUGCGAUAAAGCCAUCAUAAAAGUUAUUGACAUUUAACAAACCGAUGGGUUUCUGGUGGAUGUGCAGAUGGGCCCAAGAUGCUAGUGUCAUAAGUGCCUCUAGUGUUGCAAGAUCUCCUGGAAGGAAAAUAAAAGCAUCAGCAUGAUUAAGCAUUUCAGUUAUUCUUUCUUGCAUACCUGAGACGACUAACUCUUCUCCAGUUGAUGAGUCAGACGAACUGCCCAAUGGUUUUAGGAUUCUUGGGAUGAUGCCUAACACUUGACUUCCUCUGAUAAAAGCUGCUUCUGAGACCAUUUUUGAUAACCCUCGGUUACCUCCUCCAUACACCAAAUGUAAUUUUCUCGCUGCUAUGCUUCGACCAAGAUCUAUGGCUGCCUCCACGAACUCUUUAUGUUUGCCAUAGGUAAAUCCAGAAAGCACACAAAUGUUCUUGAAUUGUCUAUUAGGAGUAGCUGCCAUUGUGAUACUUCUCAAAAAUAAUUUGUGAGUGCUUGACAAAAGAUAAAUCACAUUUAAGAAUCUUGGUGACAGUGGAUCACAGCUGUGAAUAAGGUAACAUGUCAGUGUCAAAUAACGCGUAAAGCACGUGGCUCGCGAGUCAAAAAGGAAACAGUAAAAAGGAAAAAGCAAACAGUAACAAAAUUAUUAAAGACAAUAAUGCAAACAAUAAAACAACAGUGAAAUGAAAUAAAAUAACAGUAAAGUAAAAGGAUAUUUACACGUAGUUGCGACUGUGGCUCACAUCUUCCUCUGGUUUUACGUCCAGAAACGGCUUGAACGCCCUCUAUGGGUCGAGGAUAGGCUUCCUAUCCAGUUUUCUUAUAAACUGGCAAACAGGGUCGUUUAUAGUCAGAUUCCCAAGACUAUAUUGUGUAUGCUCUUUCUGGAAUAAUGGCCAUAACUGGAGAAUCGCUCCUUGCACAUAUCCACUGGGAUGCGUUUCAAGAGACAAAAGGAUAUCAUCCAAUGACUCCUUAUUCAAGCCAUCCCUAAUGAAUUGAAUCUUAUCUUCUCUGUUAUCAGACACCAUUCCUAAAGAACAUGGGUUUCUAUCGCAACUCAUUCUGGCACACUUGUGACAAGCAACAGAAAUUCUUCGAGCUCGUCGUUUUCUUGCGUAAUUUCCUUUACCACAACCAGGCAUGUAUGCAAUAAAUUUAGGAGGUAACUCACCUGCCAAUCGUACUUUAGCCUCGAUUAACCAACGGAUGUCUGCAGGUAUGUUAUUCCUCAUGAGCAAUCGCAUGCGUUCAGACCGGGCUUUAUAGAUUGUAAGGAGGGCAUUCUGAGGAAGUGAAGGGAAUCGCUUGUGAAGCUUUGCUAGAAUCUCGUUUCUAUCCAUACCUUCGCCUCAGAAUAUCAGUUAUUAUGGGAAACUGAAGUAACCGACUUGAUUGUCACGGAGUACCGUUAUCCGCCACUUCACCGGGGUAACAAACUAAAGCACACAAAUAGAAAAACAAAUCAAAACACACAAAGAAAAUUAAAAUCGUCCUCUUAUUGAAUUUACCUCAAGCUCCAACUGGAUGUCGUAAACACUUCUCUCAAUGUCUCUGAGUUGGCGUUCUAAACCCUCAACAUAGGCUACUAACUCUGGUGGUUGUAGAGCCCAAAUGCGUUGUGUUUUACAAAAUNNNNNNNNNNNNNNNNNNNNNNNNNNNNNNNNNNNNNNNNNNNNNNNNNNNNNNNNNNNNNNNNNNNNNNNNNNNNNNNNNNNNNNNNNNNNNNNNNNNNNNNNNNNNNNNNNNNNNNNNNNNNNNNNNNNNNNNNNNNNNNNNNNNNNNNNNNNNNNNNNNNNNNNNNNNNNNNNNNNNNNNNNNNNNNNNNNNNNNNNNNNNNNNNNNNNNNNNNNNNNNNNNNNNNNNNNNNNNNNNNNNNNNNNNNNNNNNNNNNNNNNNNNNNNNNNNNNNNNNNNNNNNNNNNNNNNNNNNNNNNNNNNNNNNNNNNNNNNNNNNNNNNNNNNNNNNNNNNNNNNNNNNNNNNNNNNNNNNNNNNNNNNNNNNNNNNNNNNNNNNNNNNNNNNNNNNNNNNNNNNNNNNNNNNNNNNNNNNNNNNNNNNNNNNNNNNNNNNNNNNNNNNNNNNNNNNNNNNNNNNNNNNNNNNNNNNNNNNNNNNNNNNNNNNNNNNNNNNNNNNNNNNNNNNNNNNNNNNNNNNNNNNNNNNNNNNNNNNNNNNNNNNNNNNNNNNNNNNNNNNNNNNNNNNNNNNNNNNNNNNNNNNNNNNNNNNNNNNNNNNNNNNNNNNNNNNNNNNNNNNNNNNNNNNNNNNNNNNNNNNNNNNNNNNNNNNNNNNNNNNNNNNNNNNNNNNNNNNNNNNNNNNNNNNNNNNNNNNNNNNNNNNNNNNNNNNNNNNNNNNNNNNNNNNNNNNNNNNNNNNNNNNNNNNNNNNNNNNNNNNNNNNNNNNNNNNNNNNNNNNNNNNNNNNNNNNNNNNNNNNNNNNNNNNNNNNNNNNNNNNNNNNNNNNNNNNNNNNNNNNNNNNNNNNNNNNNNNNNNNNNNNNNNNNNNNNNNNNNNNNNNNNNNNNNNNNNNNNNNNNNNNNNNNNNNNNNNNNNNNNNNNNNNNNNNNNNNNNNNNNNNNNNNNNNNNNNNNNNNNNNNNNNNNNNNNNNNNNNNNNNNNNNNNNNNNNNNNNNNNNNNNNNNNNNNNNNNNNNNNNNNNNNNNNNNNNNNNNNNNNNNNNNNNNNNNNNNNNNNNNNNNNNNNNNNNNNNNNNNNNNNNNNNNNNNNNNNNNNNNNNNNNNNNNNNNNNNNNNNNNNNNNNNNNNNNNNNNNNNNNNNNNNNNNNNNNNNNNNNNNNNNNNNNNNNNNNNNNNNNNNNNNNNNNNNNNNNNNNNNNNNNNNNNNNNNNNNNNNNNNNNNNNNNNNNNNNNNNNNNNNNNNNNNNNNNNNNNNNNNNNNNNNNNNNNNNNNNNNNNNNNNNNNNNNNNNNNNNNNNNNNNNNNNNNNNNNNNNNNNNNNNNNNNNNNNNNNNNNNNNNNNNNNNNNNNNNNNNNNNNNNNNNNNNNNNNNNNNNNNNNNNNNNNNNNNNNNNNNNNNNNNNNNNNNNNNNNNNNNNNNNNNNNNNNNNNNNNNNNNNNNNNNNNNNNNNNNNNNNNNNNNNNNNNNNNNNNNNNNNNNNNNNNNNNNNNNNNNNNNNNNNNNNNNNNNNNNNNNNNNNNNNNNNNNNNNNNNNNNNNNNNNNNNNNNNNNNNNNNNNNNNNNNNNNNNNNNNNNNNNNNNNNNNNNNNNNNNNNNNNNNNNNNNNNNNNNNNNNNNNNNNNNNNNNNNNNNNNNNNNNNNNNNNNNNNNNNNNNNNNNNNNNNNNNNNNNNNNNNNNNNNNNNNNNNNNNNNNNNNNNNNNNNNNNNNNNNNNNNNNNNNNNNNNNNNNNNNNNNNNNNNNNNNNNNNNNNNNNNNNNNNNNNNNNNNNNNNNNNNNNNNNNNNNNNNNNNNNNNNNNNNNNNNNNNNNNNNNNNNNNNNNNNNNNNNNNNNNNNNNNNNNNNNNNNNNNNNNNNNNNNNNNNNNNNNNNNNNNNNNNNNNNNNNNNNNNNNNNNNNNNNNNNNNNNNNNNNNNNNNNNNNNNNNNNNNNNNNNNNNNNNNNNNNNNNNNNNNNNNNNNNNNNNNNNNNNNNNNNNNNNNNNNNNNNNNNNNNNNNNNNNNNNNNNNNNNNNNNNNNNNNNNNNNNNNNNNNNNNNNNNNNNNNNNNNNNNNNNNNNNNNNNNNNNNNNNNNNNNNNNNNNNNNNNNNNNNNNNNNNNNNNNNNNNNNNNNNNNNNNNNNNNNNNNNNNNNNNNNNNNNNNNNNNNNNNNNNNNNNNNNNNNNNNNNNNNNNNNNNNNNNNNNNNNNNNNNNNNNNNNNNNNNNNNNNNNNNNNNNNNNNNNNNNNNNNNNNNNNNNNNNNNNNNNNNNNNNNNNNNNNNNNNNNNNNNNNNNNNNNNNNNNNNNNNNNNNNNNNNNNNNNNNNNNNNNNNNNNNNNNNNNNNNNNNNNNNNNNNNNNNNNNNNNNNNNNNNNNNNNNNNNNNNNNNNNNNNNNNNNNNNNNNNNNNNNNNNNNNNNNNNNNNNNNNNNNNNNNNNNNNNNNNNNNNNNNNNNNNNNNNNNNNNNNNNNNNNNNNNNNNNNNNNNNNNNNNNNNNNNNNNNNNNNNNNNNNNNNNNNNNNNNNNNNNNNNNNNNNNNNNNNNNNNNNNNNNNNNNNNNNNNNNNNNNNNNNNNNNNNNNNNNNNNNNNNNNNNNNNNNNNNNNNNNNNNNNNNNNNNNNNNNNNNNNNNNNNNNNNNNNNNNNNNNNNNNNNNNNNNNNNNNNNNNNNNNNNNNNNNNNNNNNNNNNNNNNNNNNNNNNNNNNNNNNNNNNNNNNNNNNNNNNNNNNNNNNNNNNNNNNNNNNNNNNNNNNNNNNNNNNNNNNNNNNNNNNNNNNNNNNNNNNNNNNNNNNNNNNNNNNNNNNNNNNNNNNNNNNNNNNNNNNNNNNNNNNNNNNNNNNNNNNNNNNNNNNNNNNNNNNNNNNNNNNNNNNNNNNNNNNNNNNNNNNNNNNNNNNNNNNNNNNNNNNNNNNNNNNNNNNNNNNNNNNNNNNNNNNNNNNNNNNNNNNNNNNNNNNNNNNNNNNNNNNNNNNNNNNNNNNNNNNNNNNNNNNNNNNNNNNNNNNNNNNNNNNNNNNNNNNNNNNNNNNNNNNNNNNNNNNNNNNNNNNNNNNNNNNNNNNNNNNNNNNNNNNNNNNNNNNNNNNNNNNNNNNNNNNNNNNNNNNNNNNNNNNNNNNNNNNNNNNNNNNNNNNNNNNNNNNNNNNNNNNNNNNNNNNNNNNNNNNNNNNNNNNNNNNNNNNNNNNNNNNNNNNNNNNNNNNNNNNNNNNNNNNNNNNNNNNNNNNNNNNNNNNNNNNNNNNNNNNNNNNNNNNNNNNNNNNNNNNNNNNNNNNNNNNNNNNNNNNNNNNNNNNNNNNNNNNNNNNNNNNNNNNNNNNNNNNNNNNNNNNNNNNNNNNNNNNNNNNNNNNNNNNNNNNNNNNNNNNNNNNNNNNNNNNNNNNNNNNNNNNNNNNNNNNNNNNNNNNNNNNNNNNNNNNNNNNNNNNNNNNNNNNNNNNNNNNNNNNNNNNNNNNNNNNNNNNNNNNNNNNNNNNNNNNNNNNNNNNNNNNNNNNNNNNNNNNNNNNNNNNNNNNNNNNNNNNNNNNNNNNNNNNNNNNNNNNNNNNNNNNNNNNNNNNNNNNNNNNNNNNNNNNNNNNNNNNNNNNNNNNNNNNNNNNNNNNNNNNNNNNNNNNNNNNNNNNNNNNNNNNNNNNNNNNNNNNNNNNNNNNNNNNNNNNNNNNNNNNNNNNNNNNNNNNNNNNNNNNNNNNNNNNNNNNNNNNNNNNNNNNNNNNNNNNNNNNNNNNNNNNNNNNNNNNNNNNNNNNNNNNNNNNNNNNNNNNNNNNNNNNNNNNNNNNNNNNNNNNNNNNNNNNNNNNNNNNNNNNNNNNNNNNNNNNNNNNNNNNNNNNNNNNNNNNNNNNNNNNNNNNNNNNNNNNNNNNNNNNNNNNNNNNNNNNNNNNNNNNNNNNNNNNNNNNNNNNNNNNNNNNNNNNNNNNNNNNNNNNNNNNNNNNNNNNNNNNNNNNNNNNNNNNNNNNNNNNNNNNNNNNNNNNNNNNNNNNNNNNNNNNNNNNNNNNNNNNNNNNNNNNNNNNNNNNNNNNNNNNNNNNNNNNNNNNNNNNNNNNNNNNNNNNNNNNNNNNNNNNNNNNNNNNNNNNNNNNNNNNNNNNNNNNNNNNNNNNNNNNNNNNNNNNNNNNNNNNNNNNNNNNNNNNNNNNNNNNNNNNNNNNNNNNNNNNNNNNNNNNNNNNNNNNNNNNNNNNNNNNNNNNNNNNNNNNNNNNNNNNNNNNNNNNNNNNNNNNNNNNNNNNNNNNNNNNNNNNNNNNNNNNNNNNNNNNNNNNNNNNNNNNNNNNNNNNNNNNNNNNNNNNNNNNNNNNNNNNNNNNNNNNNNNNNNNNNNNNNNNNNNNNNNNNNNNNNNNNNNNNNNNNNNNNNNNNNNNNNNNNNNNNNNNNNNNNNNNNNNNNNNNNNNNNNNNNNNNNNNNNNNNNNNNNNNNNNNNNNNNNNNNNNNNNNNNNNNNNNNNNNNNNNNNNNNNNNNNNNNNNNNNNNNNNNNNNNNNNNNNNNNNNNNNNNNNNNNNNNNNNNNNNNNNNNNNNNNNNNNNNNNNNNNNNNNNNNNNNNNNNNNNNNNNNNNNNNNNNNNNNNNNNNNNNNNNNNNNNNNNNNNNNNNNNNNNNNNNNNNNNNNNNNNNNNNNNNNNNNNNNNNNNNNNNNNNNNNNNNNNNNNNNNNNNNNNNNNNNNNNNNNNNNNNNNNNNNNNNNNNNNNNNNNNNNNNNNNNNNNNNNNNNNNNNNNNNNNNNNNNNNNNNNNNNNNNNNNNNNNNNNNNNNNNNNNNNNNNNNNNNNNNNNNNNNNNNNNNNNNNNNNNNNNNNNNNNNNNNNNNNNNNNNNNNNNNNNNNNNNNNNNNNNNNNNNNNNNNNNNNNNNNNNNNNNNNNNNNNNNNNNNNNNNNNNNNNNNNNNNNNNNNNNNNNNNNNNNNNNNNNNNNNNNNNNNNNNNNNNNNNNNNNNNNNNNNNNNNNNNNNNNNNNNNNNNNNNNNNNNNNNNNNNNNNNNNNNNNNNNNNNNNNNNNNNNNNNNNNNNNNNNNNNNNNNNNNNNNNNNNNNNNNNNNNNNNNNNNNNNNNNNNNNNNNNNNNNNNNNNNNNNNNNNNNNNNNNNNNNNNNNNNNNNNNNNNNNNNNNNNNNNNNNNNNNNNNNNNNNNNNNNNNNNNNNNNNNNNNNNNNNNNNNNNNNNNNNNNNNNNNNNNNNNNNNNNNNNNNNNNNNNNNNNNNNNNNNNNNNNNNNNNNNNNNNNNNNNNNNNNNNNNNNNNNNNNNNNNNNNNNNNNNNNNNNNNNNNNNNNNNNNNNNNNNNNNNNNNNNNNNNNNNNNNNNNNNNNNNNNNNNNNNNNNNNNNNNNNNNNNNNNNNNNNNNNNNNNNNNNAUGAACUAUCAGAAAUUGGGUAAAUGAUACCUGCGUCUAAUAGCUUAAGGACUUCUGUUCUAACAACUUCUUUCAUAUUAGGAUUUAACCGACGUUGCAUUUCCCUAGUAGAUUUAGCAUUUUCAUCAAGGUGAAUGUAAUGCAUGCAGUCUACUGGAUUUAUACCUUUGAUGUCUGCUAUGGUCCAUCCUAAUGCCCCUUUGUGCUCUUUUAAAACAUCCAACAACUUACCUUUUUGUUCGUCAUUUAGGGAUGAUGAGAUGAUUACCGGCAGAGUACUUUCUUCUCCCAAAAAUGCAUAUUCCAGAGUGUUGGGUAAUGGUUUGAGCUCGAGUUUCGGUGGUGAUUCUGAUGAUGGAAUGAGUUUCUUCUCUGAUGGUGCUAGUUGUUCAACUCUUGACUUCCAUUUAUUAGUGUCCAUGGAUGGUGCUGAGUCAAGUAGGGCGUUGACCUCUUCGACCGAUCUGUCAAUAUCAAAAUCCAAACCAAAGUGAGUUAAACAUGUUUGUAAAGGAUCAUCACUAAGGUUUGAAAGAAAAGUAUUAUCAACUAUUGUUUCUAUUAAAUCCACAUCAACAAUUCCAUCAUCUGCACUGUGAGGUUGUUUGGCAAUGUUGAAGAUGUUUAGCUCCAUAGUCAUGUUGCCGAAGGACAAUUGCAUAUUUCCGGUCCUACAUUGAAUAUGAGCAUCUGCAGUUGCCAAGAAAGGUCGGCCUAGAAUAAUGGGGAUGUGCUUCCUUGAGUCCUGUAUUGGUUGAGUGUCAAUUACAAUGAAAUCAACAGGAAAAUAAAACUUGUCUACCUGGAUAAGCACGUCCUCCACAAAACCACGAGGUAUUUUUGUGGACCGAUCUGCAAGUUGUAACACCACUGGAGUUGGGUGUAAUUCUCCCAGUCCAAGUUUCACGAAUACAGAGUAAGGCAACAAAUUUACACUAGCUCCUAAAUCCAACAAAGCAUUCUCAAUUGUGUGGUUCCCUAUACUACAUGAGAUAGUGGGGGAGCCUGGGUCUUUGCAUUUUAAAGGAAUUUUAUGUUGGAGUAUAGAACUAACGUUUUCUGUUAAAAAUGCCUUCUUUUGAACAUGCAUAUUUCUCUUUUUAGUACAAAGGUCUUUAAGAAACUUGGCAUAAGAUGGAACUUGCUUUAUAGCAUCAAGUAAAGGGAUGUUAACACUUACCUGUUUGAAGAUUUCGAGAAUCUCACCUGUGGAUUUUCCUUUCUUGCCUUUCGCUAACCUCUGAGGAAAUGGAGCUUUCGGAACGUAUUCUCGUGGGUUGGUUUCUUCUUUCUCCUCCGGUGGUGAGUCUUCAACAUUCACAGGUACAAUUUGAUUUUCUUUUGUCACCGGCAUCUCCACUUUGUUGUCGACUUCCUUUCCUUUUCGCAAGGUCAUGACUGCUUUGACCUCUCCAUGCUGUUGUGGUGAACUGGUACUUGCUUCAUGUACUCCUUUAGGAUUAGGCACUGGUUGACUUGGAAAUUUUCCUUUCUCAACAGUCAUUGCCAAGGUCUGAACUGAAGAAGCAAGUUGUCCCACCAUCUUCUCGAGGCUUGAAACUGAUUGAGCUUGUGAGUUGAAGCCUGCUCUCAACUCAUUUCGUAGUCCAUCAAUGGUGCGGUUCUGUUGCUCAAUCGUAGAGUGAGUAGCAUUCUUGAAAUUCUGGAAUGAAUCCUCCCAUGGUCUGGGUUGAGAGUAGUUUUGGUUCUGAUUGAAUGGUCUAAAUGGGGGCUGAGAGGCUUGAGGAUUUUGAGGAAUUUGUUGCAUUGGUGGAGCUGCUGGUCCAUUCUGUUGGAAUCCUUGAGACCAUGAAAAAUUGGGGUGGUCUCUCCAUCCAGGAUUAUAUGUGUUGGAGUAUGGGUUGUAAUUCGAUGGUUUUCUCAUUACACCUAUGGCAUUGGCUUGAUCUGAGUAUGAGUCAUGGUCAUGUGAUUCUGUUGAUUUAGCAGUCGAUAACGAUGCUAUUUGUCGAGCAAGACCUUCAACCAUCUCCUUGACUUCUUUGAUUUCCGAAGUUGACUCGCCAAUUUGAACCUCAUUUACUCCCUUAAUUCUUCUAGUAUUCCUGAGUGAUCGACUCCGUUGUUGGGAAUUAUCCGCUUGUCGCUGGAAGAAUUCCCAAAUCUCUGAUGCACUUUUUGACAUUAGCUCUCCUCCACUUGUUGCCAUUAGCCAUUCUUGCACAUUUGGUAGUAAUCCCUCCAAAAAGUAUUGACAUUGGUGCCAUUUUUCGUACCCAUGAUGUGGACACUUCAAGAGUAGCCCAUUGAAUCGCUCCCAUGUUUCGAAAAACUGCUCGUCCUCUCUCUGUGUAAACUCUGAAAUUUCCCUGCGAAUAGCAUUGGUUUUAUGCACUGGGAAAUAUUUAUUCAAAAAUUUUGUAACCAUUUGUUCCCAUGAUGCAAUGCUAUUAGCAGGCAAUGUAUUAAGCCAUGAACGAGCUCUAUCCUUUAAAGAAAAUGGGAAUAAUCUGAGUUUAACAUCAUCGUCUGAAAAAUUCUCAUAUUUGAAUGUUUGACAAAUGGCAUGAAAAUCAUUCAAAUGAUUAUAUGGGUCCUCAUUUUCUAAGCCAUAGAAUGUGGGGAGACAAUUUAGCACACUAGGUUUUAAUUCAAAACUCCUAGCAGCUACAUUUGGGUAUCUUAUGCAUGACGUGCUCAAAUUAGCUAAGGGACUAAAAUAGUCCUUAAAUGGCCUCUCCUGUGGUGCUUGUAAAUCUAUUUUAUUUUUAACGUGUUUGUGUGUGCGAAGUGUUUUUUCUAAUUCAAGGUCUAUAGGUUCAAGAUUUGGUAAUAAUGACCUACGACCAUGCAUGCAAAAUAAAUAAAAUAAAAAUAAAGAUGGGAACAAAAACAAAUAAAAAUAAAGAAGAGGGAGAAAUUACGAUACUAACCUUAUUGCGCUAUUACAACCUUUCUAUAAAAAUACACAAAAACAAAUACGUGAAAUAAAUUAACUAAAAAUUAAAUUAAUAAAAUAAACAAAAAUUACAAAGAAAAAAAAUUAAAAAUUAAAUUACAGAAUUUUAAAGAAGAGAAAAAGAAAAGAAAUAAUAACCUUUAAAUGUAGAUUUACUUUUUUUUUUAAUAAAAAAUACAAGAAAACAAAUAAAAGAAAUUAUUCACAAAAAUUAAUUCUAUGAAUUAAAAUUACUUACCUCCCCAGCAACGGCGCCAAAAACUUGUUGUGCAAAUUUUAAUGUACUCGCAAGCGCACGAAUCUAUUAUAGUAUAGAUCAAUGGUGACGAGUGUCGAUCCCACGAGGAGGUGGAUUUUAAUUGUGUAUAGAAUUAAUUUUGCAAAUGGUUGAUUGGAUCUGUGGUGGAAAUGAUUUGGAAUAUGCUAAAACUUAAAUUAAAAUGGCGAGAAUAAAUUCUGAAAUUGGAAUUGAAAUGACGAGAAUAAAUUGAAGAGAAUUCUAUUGAAAUGACGUACUUGGGUAUCUGGAUCCGUAUCAACAUGCAUCAUGGGCUAAAUAAUCCGUAUUAAUGCCAAUUAAAUCAUGAGGGGGGAAUCCACACCUCAUGAACCACGCUCUAAUCAAUAUGGUGCUAAGGGCUUAUCGUGCCAAAUAAUAAUAACCUUGUACUAGAGAGCCGGUGUAACCAAGGCGGUAUCUAGACAAGAUCAGUAUUAUUUGUCGACGAUAAGUCAAAUCAUCCACAAAAACUAGAGGGGAAAAGAAAAUAAAUUUACCAAAUAAAGCUCAUGACACAUGUUGAGACUUCACCUUCAACCCAAGCUUGAAAGAAAAUUAGCCACUCAUAAUUGAACUAAGGGCAAAAUGGGAAUUUAUUAAAAUACAAAGAAAAUACAAGAUGGAGAAGGAAUUACAGAAAAUGGAUCCCAAAAAUGGAUUCAAAGAUAUCAAAUUAGGGGGGGAGGCCCCCUUUUUAUAGAUACAUGGAGUAAAUCAUGGCCAUCGGAUUAAAAACAGUUUGGACGCUCAGGAUUGCGCCACGUCAUCAGUCAACAGUCCACGGUUUGACCACGCGGAUGAACAGUAACACGGUUUGACCCGGAUGAACAGUAACACGGUUUGGUUGACAAUAAUCCUGUGUGAUGCAUGCACCGUACGCGAGAUUUUUCGUCCACUGAUAUGCUGCCACGUCACCAUCAACAGUACAUAAGAUUUUAGUCCAACAGGAUCGUGACACCUCAUCAGUCAAUGCCACAUCAUCGGUCAAUGCCACAUCAUCGGUCAAUGCCACGUCAUCGAUCAAUGCCACGUCAUCGAUCCGUCUAUGUGAACAGUGUCGUGAACAGUAACGUAGACAGUACCGUAUACGUGAAUAGUACCGUACAUGUGAAUAGUGCCAUUUUUCCUUUUAUGCUCCUCCUAAGGUUUUCGACCGUCCUGAGUUCAAAAGUGAUGUCCGUUUUGCCAUCUGAUCUCUCCUUUAUUGUGAAAUGACUAUAAUGCCCCUAAAAUACAUAAAAUACUUAAUUAAAAUAACACACACGUAAUUACAUCACAAGAAGGUUAAAUACAUAAAAGUAAGGGUUGUUAGUAAGACUUGAAAUGUAAAAUGACGGUUUUCUCCUUUAUAAAUAUGCAUUUUCUAACACUCAACNNNNNNNNNNNNNNNNNNNNNNNNNNNNNNNNNNNNNNNNNNNNNNNNNNNNNNNNNNNNNNNNNNNNNNNNNNNNNNNNNNNNNNNNNNNNNNNNNNNNCACUGGAGUUUGCGGAAGCUGGACUUGCGGAGAGUGUGCGAUUGUUCCAUGCCCAAUCCGAGCGGACUUCAUCCACUUCCGCACGGACAACGUGUAGUUCGUCCUGAACAAAACUACGAAGUUUUAGCAACUCAUCAUGGAAAGAUCAAAACUCACCUCAGAGAGUGUUCGCUUACUCAUGGAUGAGAGCUUUUGUGGCCACCGUGAACUCGGCGUAUUCUCCCUUGAGACCGUCCACUCUUCCUUCCAAUCCCUCGAGGCUUUCUUGAGCGGCGGACAAUGCGAUUUCGAGAGUGCCUACACGAGGCUCCAACGCAUCCACGGAUGGGGCCUUGGACUUGCCGCGAAUCUUGCCUUGGGCGCGUUCUCCCUCUCGGCCGCGGCUUGGUUCCGGUGGAACAUCCACACCAACAACACCCUCUUAUGCUACGUUCGAAGGGUUGGCCAUUGCUUCGUGAGCUAACUUGUGUGCGUGCAAACCUUAGCUCUGAUACCACUUGUCACGGGAUGAGUGUUUUGCGCAGCUAACCCGUGCGGCACUUAGACAACUUUGCCGAUUGUUGCUAAGUAAGCCUAGAGCUUCUCGAACAAGAGAAGAGAGCAAUUGAGCCAAAGAAGAAACUUGUAUUGCACAAAGAGAGAUUACAAUGCUUGUUGCUUACAAAGCUUGUUAGAUACAAAUGCCUAAUGCCAUCCCAUAUUUAUAAGGGAGACUUGCCAAGCUCUAGAGAUUCUAGAGAAUUCUACCCACUAUCUAGAAUUUACAUGUGCUGGAAAGUCAUAGAGAAUUCUAGAGUAUUUACAAGCUCACAUGUGCUAGAGUUUCCUAGAACUUUCCGGAAUUGGGUCAAGCUAGCACUCUUGGCCUUGUGUUGGCUCUCUAGCCCGAAAUUGUGGGCAAUUGGGCUAGUGAAUUGGGCGGUCCGCAACAUUUAGGUGGGAUAUGGGAGAAUUGUCAAGAGUUCACACCAAGAGAAAUUAAUGAUAGGCCUAAUUUCGUUGUCAAUUCUUUAUUUAUUUAUUUUAUUUUUUUAUACAUUAUUGUCUUGUUGGCAUUGUUUUGUAAAGAUAUAAAAGUACAAGUAAAAUAUUAGGGGAAGUAAAGUAAAAUAUUGGAGGUGUUGCUAAGUUACAGCUGCCGUAACUUACAGUUCCUUAAAAAAUAAUGUAAAAAAUUUAACACGUGGUGGGACCCACAUUAUGUUUGAAGAGGCCGUAAGUUAUAGCAGUUGUAAAUUAGUAAAAUCCAAAUAUUAGACAAUAAUACACAUUAACAAUGCAUAUAAUUUGAGUUUGAUUUUUAAAAAAAUUAUGUGAGUAUUACCUAUCCUUAAGACAUUAAUGAGAAUAUAUUUUAAUUUUAAAUAAUCAAAAUCUGUUUAAUCAUAAUAUGUAAUUCAUACAUUGCAUGUUAGAUUUGUUUGGAUUUUAAGUUGUUGCUAAUAAAUAUUUAUGUUGUGAAAGUCGAAUUCAAUAGCUACAAAAGCAGAGAUAAUGGUAUUUUAUGUAGUUUUUAAGAAUACAAGGAUAAGACCAUAACGCAUGAGAUAGUGUUAUUUUAUAUUAAAAGACCAUAACACAUGUAUUUGAGCCAUUUAUAUUGAGGACACAUAUAGAGCGAAAAGUGCAGAUCCGGCCGUAACUAUUGUGAAGCUUUCCUCAAGUAUUCUCAUGCACGCAGACCUUAGCUGGUCAAGUUUUCUGAUUUAAUAUAAUCAAUUUCCGCGCAGUACUAACGACAGCUUCUUUGUAAAGCUCUUCAACCACAAGCAUUUCUACAAGGCAAAAGACUAGGACGUGUCGGAAUGAAUAUCAAUAAGGGAAUGUCUUAUGAAUUUAGUUUAUAUCCUAAUAUAAGACAAUCAAUAAAUAUUAGAUGCAAUCUAAGGGCUAACAUUUGAUUGAUCAUUAUACGAAAAAAAGGUACAAAAAUACAAAACAGAGCUGAUUGAUGGCCUCUCACAGUCAGUUAUAUGACAAAGUAGCCACCACAACAAACUUGAACUUGGCUGGAGGUCUCAUUAGCAGUAUACCUCCGAACUUAAGACAAAGACUUUAAAAUGCAAACUUAUGGAGCAAUUUAAGCACUGAAACUAAUAACAGUACGGUAUUAGCAAUUGACCUCUGCUUUUGCUUAGACAAAGGUUCUCAUCACAAUGGAUUCAUUAGUUGCCCUUGCCUCACACGUUUGGAUGCUAAGGGGAAAAAGGAAGUUUGAAUUAGUCAAUCUCAUUUCUAAUGGCAUUCACAGAGAACCUAUAAAGCAAAAAAAUAAAUAAAAAUUUUCAUGUUGCAAGUGAGCUCGUUUUCAAUCGAUUUUUAUUGAUCAUAAGAGAUCAUGUGGCCCACCUUAUUUUUAUUUUGGAUCCAUAACCCAAAGCUGGCCCAAGUUCUGAUUCCAGAAUCAUUUGUCUACAAAGUGACCUCAUUCCGGCAAUUGGUUUAUGCUAAUAGCACGUGCAAUUUUCAUUUUCUUCUUUUUAUUAAUUAAUUUCAUCAUUAUUAUUUGCUUAUUAGUUUAAAUUAAUUAAUUAUAUUGUAUUAAUGAAAUUAGUCUUUCAUUUUCUUUUCUCUUUCAAUGCACAAAGCCAAACAACCAUUCUUUCUUCAAAUACCGAAGAGCUCCUGACUACGGCUGUCAAUGCUUCUAUAUUUAUGUGCUGUGCUGCAGCACUCUUAGCGAAAGCUUGAAUGAAUGAUUAAAGACAAAAGCUUAUAUAAAAGCAGAUGCCGGAGGCACUCAAAAAGCAUUUGAGAGAGAAGCUAAACAGCAAAUCAUCAAACGCACUUCAAUGACUUUGAUUUUGAUUUUUGUUUCAAAAGAAGUAGAAAAGUCCAUGGGUCACGAUAACUGCUUGUCCUCUGCCGUGACCUCAUUGUCCGCUGCUAGUGUCAAAUAGAUUAAUCUUUCUAGUAGAUUAAUAUAAUUUAUAAUUUUAAUUUCAGUAUUAAUUUUUAAAAUGUUAGUUGUUAUAUUUAUUUUAAUGAUAUAUCUAUUUUUAGUAUAAAAAUUUAAAUAAAUAUUUAGAUUAAAUAGAAUUUAUAAUUGAUAUAAUAUAUCUCAUGUAUUAAUGAUAUUUAAAUUAUUUUAAAUAAUAUUAAUCCUAACUUAAAAUUUUAUAUAUUUAUUUUAAUGUUAUGUUUCUAUAUAUUAUAAAAUUUAGUUUAAUAUAAUAUAAGAUUGUAAAGUAUUCAAAUAUUUUUUAAAUAUUAAAAUUAUUAUAAAAUGUAUAUACUGUUACAUUUUUAACAUUGAAGUCAAUCUUUUUUAAGUUAAUAGAGUGAAAAGAUAUAAUAAUAAAAGGCUAUGUAAUCUUUCACUUGCACAUAUUCUGUACUCUCUGGAGCACGACGGUAGGAAACAUGAUUACAGAUGUUAAAUUCGCCUUUUUUCACAAGUUUAUCAGCUUCGUUUGCGGCCUCUGCUGCUUGUUUACCAAGCUUGUAACGAGAAAUCAAAUUUGGGCACAACCCUUUGAAGCAGAAUAUCUUAGCUCUAUCUUUAUCAUCAAUGAUGGAUUUUGCAACCCCUUCACUGAAUUCAGCAACUCUAUUUAGCCAGUCUCUGACACCCUUAUAAAUCUCAUCUCCUUGUAGAGUAGCCUCUCUAACCAGUGUUUGCACCCUUUCUCUUAUAUAUUCCAGCUCCUUCACUCAAUCUUUUAGCCCAUUUAUGUAGCUCUGGUACUCGAACACAUAAGAUAUGUGCCGCAUAAUCAGUUCGAAUAAUGCUUUUGAACAUUGUGAUACAAUGCUGGAAAAAGCAGGGAGACACCCUUCUGCAGCCAUUGCUUGUUGCUUAACAAUAUAUAUAUAUAUAUAUAUAUACAAGUGUCAAAGAAAGGAAUACAAAUAAAUUAAUAUGAACUAGAGAGAAAGAUAGAGAAUGAAAAGACCGCCAACAAUAUCGCUAUAUUGAUCUUGAACCAACUAAUAAUUAAAUAGAGAAUUUCUUUUUCUUUCUUAAGGAUCAGAGGUUUUGCUAUUAGCAAAAAGGUACUUCAAGGGUCUGAAUAAAAAACCAACCAUAAAUUAUCAAAAGCUAGUAAGAACACAGACGUAAACAAUGAACAAUUACUUAAGCCAAACAGACCAUGAUACAAAGCAAAUCUAAUAAAAUGACAAAGAAAGAAAGAAAGAAAAUACAACAAACAGUAUUGAAGUGUUGAUCAUGAGCCAACUGAUAUUUAAACAGAUUUUUUUUUUAAUUUUUAGUCUUUUCUAAAAGGAUUAGAGUUCUUGCUAUUAAUAGAAAGGUUUCAAAGAUCUGACACUAUUAGAAAAGUAUUAAAUAAUGACAAAAAUUUUAUGACAUAUAUGGUUGUAUCUCGAAUGUGUCAUAAAAUUAUGAUAGAUUCAUAAUAUGUAUUCAUAUGCCCAGAAUAUAUGAUAUAUUCAUGACUUAUAACUUAACCGUAGUAAAUAAAUGAUACAUAUAAGUCAUGAUUAAGUUUUGUGACCUUAUAAGAUUGUAAAACAGUGUCGUUUAAAUUAACGACACCGUUCUGUAUAACUUAAAACACAUCAACACUUCAGCCAAAUUUUGGCGGGUAAAAACCCAUUUAGUCCCUAUAUUUUAAGAUUAGUAUACAUUUAGUCCCUAUAUUUUUAAAAAUGCCUCGAAACGUUCCUGCCGUUAAAGUAUUGAUACCCCUACUGUUACUUUUUAUUUCUUUUGGCUUACUUUUACAAUAUUAUAAAAGUGUAAUAUUGUAAAAGUAAGCCAAAAGAAAUAAAAAGUAACAGUAGGGGUAUCAAUACUUUAACGACAGGGACGUUUCGAGGUAUUUUUAAAAAUAUAGGGACUAAACAGACACUAAUAUUAAAAUAGAGGGACUAAAUGAAUUUUUACCCAAUUUUGACUAAGCGUUGAAUAAAUCCCUCUCUCUCCACUGGCGACUACAACCUAAAAUGAAUCAACUCUGAGCCUCUCUCUAUAACACUAUAUAGAACCCUAAACCUAAGAGCAUCUCCAAAAGGCUUUAUAAAUUUUACUCUUUAAAUAUUUAUUUGCUUACCUAUGUGGCUAAUAGAAGAGUGAAAAAAUAUAUUAUCUCUAAAAGACUUUUCAAAUAUAAAUGAGUUAAUAUUAUUUUAAUUAAAUAAUUAUUUUUUAAAAUGAAAAGUCAAUAAUAAUUAAAUCAUCUCUCUCUUUUUCCAACAAAAAUAAUAAAAUAUAAAUUAAAAAGAAAGAAAUCAACUCUCUAAAUUUAAAGAGAUAGAAUAAUUUUUUAUUUAAAAAAUUUUAAUUAAAAUAUUUUAUAAAACUUUAAAUGUUGACUUAACUUUUCAGACAGCUAAUAAAAUAAGAAAUAAAAUCUUAUUUGAAAAGUGUUUUCCUUAUAUUUUAAGUCUCACAUUCGCAACCGACGAAGCUGAAAAAGUUCCCCACAUAUCAAAACCACAGCGAACUGCCUCCGACCCUACGGACCCAAAAAAAUUUAUUGUAUUCCUGCUCUUUCACAUCAAUAAUUUUUUGUAUUAUUCCAUAACCCAAAAGCUUUCCUCUGUUUCAACUAAGCGAAAAUUUACAUAUUAAAGCCUAGCUCAAAUUCCUUUUUUCAAUCGAAAUAAAACGUAGCCCCAAAACCCUAAUUCACCACACCAAUUUAUCUCUGCCCGGUAUUCAUUUAAACCCUACCUCGCGGUUCAAUGUCAUUCAAUACGAUUGCAGAUGCCGUUUCAACUUGUCAUUUAGUUAUUGCCAUCCAGUUCUCUAUGGUAAGCCUUAACCCUAACAACUAAUCGACUGUGGUAGCACGUUGCUUGUUAGGAGUGGGGAUACAUUAUUUAACUAUAUGAAUUGGGUGAUGUUAGUGAUUCAUUCCCCUAUUUGUCAUGAAUUAAGAUUUGUGUAUAAUGCUAGUCAGAUUGCUAAAAAUUUCAUAUUUUGUAUUGUUCCAGUUGAAUUUCUUGCUUGUGGAAGAUAAAACAAAAGUUCAAUUUCAUGUUGAUUUAAUUCUUCUUUUUCUUCUUUUUUUUUUUCUUCUUUAUAGUCACGCUCUGGCUUUGGUGCUAUGCUUAGUGCAGUUUAUGGUUUCAAGAUUAAGUCACGUUUAUUUGAUGGCAUCGAUUCCAUCGUUGAGGAUUGGAUUGUUGAUCAAAUGCACAUAGUAAGCUCUUCUUAUUUUAUCUCAGUUUUAAUUUUCUUUUAUUAUCUGCCUCUACCUGAAAAUGGACGUGUUUUACUAGUAAGCAUAGACUUUGUUUAUUUAAUUGAUAUUUUAAUUUUAUGUAUAAGAAUAGAGGUUUAUUUUGGAAAAAAAAGCAAUAAAAAAACAGACUCUGUUGAAGCUAAUUAGUACUGAAUGUUUUUGGUGGUGCGACCAGAGGUGGAAACAGGGUAUGAAAAUGUGUUACUAGUGAGGUUGCUGCUUAAGAUGAGAAUGCAUUCUUUUCAAAAAUCCUUGGUAGGUGUGAUCUAAUUAUAUUUGAUGGAAUAUUAAAUGGCUAAAAAUCUGUCAUACGUUCAAACUUUGUUUGUGUUUGGAAGAAUGGUGUUGACUGUAUAUUCGUUUGGAAGAAUGGUGUUGAUUGUAUAUUCAUUUGCUUAGCCUUUUGACAGAUGGAUUUGAAACUGACGACAAAUGUGAUUCAAUUUACAAGGUUUUCGAGGGGCUCACAGUGGAAGGGAUAUUGAAGAACUGGUCUAAGAUAAAGCCUAUGAUUGUGAAAGAUUGGAGUGAGAAUAUAAAUGCUCGUUUAAAUCUCUUUGGCAAGGUCAGAGAUGAAUGGAUAGAUAAGGAUUUAUUUGACUACUUGGACUGGUGCUAAUAGGUAUUUUAGGCAAGCUUUUUGAGAUAACACUGAGCAAGUUAUACUACUAGUUUGCACAUGAUGAUCAAAACUCUCAAAAAGUAAAAUAAAAUAAAUUAUUAACUUUUACUUAUCUUUUGCAUAGCAAUCAAUGUGGUGCUUGUUCUGUGACAACUUUGAUAAUCUACUUAAUUAUUGGUUAGCAUUUGGACCAAAAAAGUUCUUAUGAUUUACAUGUUUUGUAGAAAUGCAUGAACCUUAAAUGUGCUGAUCAGGGAGUUUAAUUAUUGCACCUUGAAAUUCAUUUAUUGUUAACUAAUUGGCUUUCCUUUGCAUAAAGCCGCUUAUAAGGCUUGAGUGGACGUCUUUAUGGGCAUAUUAUUUGUAUUUCUAUAUGCAUGCCUUUAUCACUUAAUGUGCUGCUUUUAUUUCUUUAUGCAUGCCUUUAUCAUUUAAUGGCCAGCUCCCUCUCCUCUUUUGUAAUUUGAAUAGUAGUAUGGGCCUCCAUUUUACAAAUCUUUAACAUUUUUUGCUGUAAAUUAAUUUUUCUUUCAAAUAUUUUGGAGGUCAUUGGAAUUCCUGUAGGUCUAUUUACCAGAUUUUAGUAUGUUUAAGGUUUUAAUUUUGCUUAAACUUUAAUUUUUCUGAAAGAUUGUAGUAUUGAUCCUUAAAGAAAGAUCAUGCUACUUCAAAUUAUUUUGAAGUGUUGCCAGUUAUAGCCUUACAUAACAAAUUCCAUUUGUCUGGAAAUUUAUUGAUAGCUGUUACAGCAGCAUAUUUUAUGACUCUACUUCUUAGUUAUGUAAGUUCAUUAUGUUUAGGUCAGAGGCAGUCAGCUGUGGGGAAUCGAUAUAUACACAGAUGACUUUGAUCUUGUUGCUGGUAUGUGGUUCUAUGAAUAAUUGUGUUUGCCUCACUGUUUUUGUUUUAUGAGAUCUAUAAUUGAUCUUGGGAUAUUACUUUCUAGUCCUCAUGCAAGCAAGUUACUACCUUCCCACUGCAUCUCCUCCUUUAUCUGCUAUUCAAGAGUUGCGUGCCAUAAUCUGGUGUUACCUCUGCAAGAUUGUGAAUGAAUAUAAUGCCUCUAAAUUUAUUUUAUACAUAAUGCUGAUGCUGAAUAAUAUAUUGUAGCUCCUGUCAUAUUCUACUUUGACUUUUUAUAUUCUGUUUCAUAUAAAAAUCUUAUUCAACUUUAGUUGUUCAUGAGCAAAUGUCACAUGUAUAAGCCCAAAUGAUGUUUAAAGGUAGCGCGGCUACCUUUAGUUUGAGCUUACAAUGGAUGAAAAAGAAAUUGAAACUGAUAUUUUGCUGUUUUUCUGAUUUUUCAAAGUAUUUUAGAUCCUGAGUUUUGUUUGGACUUGAUGGUUAUAGAUUGUGUCUAGAUUUGUUAAGUUGUUUCCAACACCUCGUGCCAAAUGAAAGCACAAUCUUUCUGAUUCAGAUGUCUUGUUAAUUAUGCUUCAUUUUUUCGUUAAAGAUUGGAUGGUUGCAUGGAUUGAUGGAGUUGGAGUUCAACCAAUAAUUCUAAUUUUUUGGACUUAAAAUGCCUUUUUCUUCUGUAUAAAAACUUUAGUAAGUGCUAUUGAGUUGACGGAGGUUGAAUACUUACAGGUUGUUUCACACUUUUUAAUAGUUUUACAUAUAUGAAUUUCUGUUUUUUGAAUUGCAGAAAGGAGGUGGAACUAUUGAUUUGGAGCCUUAUCUUACUCACUCAUCGACAAUGGAGCCUAUCCUCGCUCCCAUGGCAGUGGAACGGACAACAACUACUAGGGCUGCAACAUCAGUUGGUUUGGGUCUGUUUUGAGUUUAUUUUCAUUUAUUUGGCUAUGUUUUGAUAGCGAAUUUUGAUAUGUCAAUAUAAUGUGUAAUUGUUUUGGGUUGAGCUGGUAAUUAUGCUGGAUUAGAUUGGUUUGGUUUUGGUGCUUCUCUGAUGGAACUCUGCUUUUUUUAGAAAUUUUGAAUGUAAUAUGAGACUACAUUUAGUUUAAUUUAACACUGCAUCUAGUCUAAUUACUAGAAGUGUGGCAUUUGGUUUGGUUUAUCCGAUAUUCUCCAGAAUUUCACUUGCAUCUGGUUUUGUUGCAUAUGUUUGCUUGCAUUUGAUGGCAGUAGCAGACUGUUUGGUUUUGUGACAUUUGAUGGCAGUUUGGUCUGUUCUUGGUGUUGAUUUAAGAUUGUUCCUGUUGUGCUGAUGUUAAUUGCAGGUGCUUGAAUCAGCUAGGGUUGCUGGUUUAUUCAGAUGGUUGACUCAGGCGUUGUUACUGGUUAAUUCAGGUGGCUGACUCAAGUUGUUCAUUUAAUGUUAGGAAGCAAACUAAGAAUUAAUGAAGUAUUCAUUUAACUAUAAUUAUUGUAGUUAUUUUAUUUCAUAACUGAAUUAUAAUCUAUGAUACUUGUGAACAAAUUAGAGAAUUUUUAUAUAUGAAUUAUAUAUGUGUGUGUAUGUACAUUUUGCUAUUUAUAUAAUAAUUUAAAGAAUAUAUUUCAAUUCCCACAAAAAAAAAUGGCUCCAAUUUCAAUAAUUCCCGCCAAAUAAUUAAAUUUUUUUAAUUUACUGCCAAAAUAUAUCUUAAAGAAAUGUUAGUUAUUCUUGCUAGAUUUAACAAAAAUAAUUUGUAGGAUUAACAUUUAAUUAAAAUAAUUAAAUAAUUUUAUUAUUCCAAUUAAAUAUGUCAUGUUUAUACGUCAUACAAUAGUCAUGAAUGGGAAGUAUUAGUUACAUAUUUUUCCUUGGGAUUUCAGGCAAAUGAAAAAAAGAUUGAGAAUGGUUUCAAGAGGACAGGUGGAUGAUAAGUAUUCAUUUUUGUAUAUUUGGUUAGGGGAUUUUUAUGGUAUUGAUCUUUUUUUUUUUUUAAAUUUUCAAUUAGUUGCAGCCUUAGAGGAAGAGCAGGCUGAUCAAAUUGAUUUGUCUUGUUUUUCGGGCAAUCUACGACACGAUGAUCGUGAUAAUGCUCGUGACUGCUGGAAACUUUGUGAUGGAAAUAACUUUAGAGUUCGUAGCAAGCAUUUUUGUUAUGACAAAACAAAGGUUCCCCCAUAUUUUGUUUGUUUGUUAUGGUAUUUAUAUAUCCUGCAUAGGCUAGGUAGACAGGUUAUGAUGUAGUUUGGUUGGCUCUUCUUGUGCUUUGUGCAAUUUGUAACUGCAGAUACCUGCGGGAAAACAUUUAAUGGACCUUGUUGCUGUUGAUUGGUUCAAAGACACAAAGAGAAUUGACCAUGUAGCUAGGCGUCAAGGCUGUGCUGCACAAGUAACUAUUCUUUUCUUUUUAUUUUUCCUUUUCCAUUGAUGCAUUAGGAGAAAAUAUUGCCUGUGAGAUACUUCAAUGUAAAUAACUUCUCAUGGUUCAUUGAAUCUAUAACACACUGACCCUCUUCUAAAAAACGUAGGUUGCUUCUGAAAAAGGGCUUUUCUCACUGAUCUUUAAUCUUCAAGUAAGUUUGUUUCAUUUCAGAAGGUAUUAAGUUUCAAACUUAUUGUAUUGGGAGGUUGUAUAGUUGUAACCUAAGCAUCUGCAGGUUCCUGGUUCGACACAUUAAAGUAUGGUAUUUUAUUUUGUCACAAGGCAAUUGGUUAUGGGAUCACUUUUGCAACGGUUUGUUGAUGGCGAUGAUGAGUUUCGCAAUAGUAGGUUGAAACUUAUUCCAUCUGUUCCUAAGGUAUCCAUCUUGGCCUUCAUGUAUUAGGACUAUAUUAACGUAUACUUACCCUUUUCUGCAUGGUACACUUCAAUUUGUCCAAAGAAGGCAUGCAUUUAGGUGUAAAUGUAUUGAUGGGUAGUACCUUCAAACUUCAUGUCCUUUUUACCCUCUUGAAUUUGUUUUGCACUUGUUCUUGAUUUUAAGCACUGAAUCAUGCAGGGGUCAUGGAUCGUGCGCCAGAGUGUUGGAAGCACCCCUUGUUCAUUAGGGAAAGCGGUUAAUUGUAACUAUAUUCGCGGUUCCAAGUACUUAGAAGUAAAUGCUCUUGGAAUUUCUAUAGUACAUGAGAUGUUCAUCUUUCAAAUAGCGUCCGAUACCAUUAACAUGGUUUAACAUUGUUCAUCUUUUUGUAGAUUGAUGUUGACAUUGGUUCUUCUACUGUUGCUAAUGGAGUUUUGGGCCUUGUAAUUGGUGUAAUUACGACAUUGGUGGUUGACAUGGCUUUCCUUGUACAGGUAUGUAUGAUUGUUUUUUUCCCCCACUUCUAAAUGGACACAAGGGAAAAGACAUGAUUUUGAGAUAUUGCACUGCAAUUUGCAUUUUUGCAUACUUGAAUGUUCUCAGAAUAGUAUAAUGCUUCGUGUGUGUCUUCUUUAUCUUGCUCUUCUGUAUGCAGGCAAAUACUACAGAUGAAUUACCGGAGCGGCUGAUUGGUGCUGUACAUGUUUCUCAUAUAGAACUCAAGUCUGCUGUUGUCCCAAAGUUGGAACCAGAGAUAUCAUGACUCUGGUUUCAUUUCACCUCAACUGUGUUUUUUUUUUUUUUAAAUUAAAAAAACAUUUGUUUUAGGUAUACAUACAUGUAUUUUGAUCCCAUUUUCAUGGGAAUUUUGCAUUAAAAAAUGAAGAAUAGUGAAUAGGAAAUUUCUUGAUUCUUUAGUUACUAUUUUUGGUAUGAGUGUAAAUAGUAGUAAAGUUGGUUUCUACUCGCAAACAAGUGAACUGCUCGAUUCCUGAGUGGUAUCAACCAGUUUCCAACUUUUUAAUAUACACUAAUUGUUAUUGUUUAAUAGCUACUACUAUUAAAACUCAACAGCUGACAAAAAUACUUAAAAAAAAUGAUUUUACUUCUUUCCACGAGAUCUAUAACAUGGUCUUGACUUCACGAAAUUCUUUUAAUUUAAAACGUGCUGGUGUGAGAAGGUCAGUUUGACGGAUUAAUUCUUUUUUAACAGUGGUCGAGAUAAUUUUACUAUACUCAAAAAUAUUCUUAUUCUGAUAGUGCCAUAAAUGUUAUGCUGUUUUCUUCGGCUAAUGGUCUUCUAUCAAGAGAGGGUAGAAAUCAAAUGCUUAAAAGACCAAUUGAAGGAAUAAUACAGAAAUUUAGGCAGAAUCUAAUCGAAUAUUGCAUGAAACAGGAAACAUCAAUUCAAGUCCUUUCUUAAACGGAGAAUGCAUCAAACAAAAUCCAAAGUGUCUUGCAAGUCUGUAGCAUGAGCAAAAAAUUAUUCAAGUACAGAAGAAUGAGCAAGCUAAAUCAUGUAUAAGAGAUUGGUCUGGUUCGGGAUAGCUUCUUCACUGUACCUAAAGGGUUGGCUCAAUCUCUUCUUUAGAAUUCUGCAGAUUUUGUAAUUACUCGUGUAAGCAAGCAUACAUUGCCACCAUAAGAAUAAUAAAGCUAGAGUAAUGAUAUGACCACCACCUCUCGUGCACAAACAAUAUUGUAUAAACUAAUGAGACAUAAUAUGAUUGGUUAAACAAAAACAUUACAUGGCCCUCAUAAUAAUAAUAAUAAUAAUAAUAAUAAUAAUAAUAAUAAUUAUUAUUAUUAUUAUUAUUAUUAUAUAUUUUCAGUCAACCAAUCAUAUUAUAUCACAUUAGUUUCUAUAAAAUAAUUAGCUAAAUAGCACCAAAACUUAAUUGAUACUCACCAUUUCAUUGAACAAUUUUUUUAUGGUGUCAUUGAGGUUGCCUUCCCAACAUCCUUCAUCAUCAUCAUCUUCUUCUUCGGUGACGUUCACUUUGUUUAGCAUUGGUGUGUCUAAGAGUCCUUGAGAGAAGAUCUUCAUUUUUGGACACUGUCUCACAACUACUUGUUUCAAGGACGGGAAUUCAAGAGCGUAAUUACCUAAACAAAAGCUUGUUAGGCUUGGCAAACAAUCAAGUCCCAAGUACUCCAAUUCCUUGAAAACAUUGCAAUCUUUCGCUUCUUCUCCAACCUGCAAUUGUAUGAUUUGUUCUAUCAUUUUGCAAUCAGCUAUCAUCAUUCUUCCGAGAUUCACUAGAUUUUUAGAUGCUGAGAGCGUCAACACAUUUAUCAACUCGUGACACUUCGAUACUUUCAAAGCCUCAAGAUUUUCCAAAUGCCACGAAGGUGGUACUAAUUUUUGCAACUUACUACAUUCCGAUAUUUCCAGCCUUUCCAAGUUUGCAAACGCUUUGUUGGAUUCGUCAUUUUCCUUCCAGAGAUGCUGCACUUUGUGUAAUCCAGACAGUCUUAAAUUCCCCAAUUGAGGGAAAGCAACCUGAAAAUCAACAAAAUUAAGUUGUAAAUGAAAAUAUGUAUCCAAUCUCUGCAGUCUUCCCCUGCAUAUUUUAUGGACAAGAUUAAUCACGGCAUUUUAUAUUUUAUUUCCAAAUUAGUAUGCUUUGCACUAGGAUCCCAAAUAUAAGUAUCAAAUCGAUUACCCUUUGAAACACAUAAAUGAAAACUGAUACUAAAUCCAAUAUGAAUUGAUAAUCAAUACUAUAAAGUUACCAGUUCAUCACCUCAUGUUACCAGUCAUCAAAAUAAUUUAGGACUUUUUUAAUUUAUACUAUAAAGUUAGUUAAUAACUGCGGUUAUAUUGUUAAAUCAUAUAUAAAUUAAGACGACGUGCAAAAAGAUGUCAUUAAAUUUGAUUUGAUUAUAAUGAAAUUACAUAUGUGCGAACGAAAGUGAAGGGAAAAUAAUAAUAAUGAUUACCUUUUCAUCGAAGAGAUGUUGUAUUUGAUUAGCUACCAAGAGGUUCUCUUCUGAUUUUAAUUUUUGAGGUUCCUUAUUAUCUGCUGUCAUGUGCAGUACAAAUGUAGAAUUGGAUGUGAAUGUUUCCAUAUCAGGGCAAUUCUCAAUAAUUAGAUAUUCCAACUUAGGCAGUUCAAUUAUAUUCCCAGUGAAGUUGCAGAAUCUUUUGAGUUUUGGAAGAUCAAUGAGCUUUAGGCUUAAAAGCCUAGGAAACAGGGGGCCUAUAUGUUCUUCCUUAGCACUUAGCUCUUCCAAAUGAAGCACCUCUUCUAGUGAAUCACAAUUCCUCACUGCCAGCCAUUCCAAAUUGUUCAAGCACCGUAGCAGAUUGGCAGGAAUAGCACUCGACAUAUUCGUGCUGUCAUCCACCACCAGCUCCGCUAAAUUGUUGAAGAAUCUGACAGGCAGUGCUUGGCCAUGCCAUAUUUCUUGCAAGCGUGGAAAAUGCGAGAGUUGCAAACGGUUUAUAUCAAGGAAUCCAAUCUGCACAAACCAAAACAAUUGCACCAGAAAUAUACAAUUUUUUUUUUUGAAAGGCAUUAUAUAUAUACACAUUAAACUUACAUUUUUUGUGUUUUAACUUCUAAAAAUAUAUAUACAAGGGAGGUGUAUAUGCUUAAAUGUGCAAGUGAAGGGAGAUGCAUGAUGAACAAUUUGGGUGAAUUGAUUAACACAUACCUUUUCGUCAUAACACUUUUGUAUAGUGGAAUUAAGGUUAUUGCCUUCCCAAUGGUGUAGUUCACCCUCUUCCUUUUCAGUCACUUGCACUUUGCAUGGCUUUGGAAUGGAUAAUAUUCCCUGAGAAAAAGUCUUCAUGUUCGGACAACGUAUCAUAGAAACUCGUUCCAAUGAUGGGAAUUCAAGAGUGUAAUUCUCCAAACAAAAGCCGGUAAGUGUUGGUAAAUAAUCAAGUAUCAAAACUUUUAAUUUGCUAAAAGCAAUACGAUUCUCCUUCACUUCUUCUCCAACAUGUCUUAUGAUUUCUUCUAUCUUAUCACACCACGAUACAUUAAGAUUCACCAGACUACUAGGAAUUCCAACCUGAAAAUAAGCAGAGAGUGUGUGUGUGUGUACGUUAAAAAAGUAAAAAUGUAAGAAUAUCAUUCAACAAGGUUCAAAGUAUGUUUAAAUCAUACAAUUAUACAUUUUAUAAACAUAACAAACCAUGAAAUGUCUACUAGAUAAUUUUUUGUUAAACAAAAAAGGCAACAAGAUAAAUAAAUAAAUAAAAGCCAAAUAAACAAAAGAUAAUAAAAAUGAAUUUACACUAUUUAGUAUUAGGAACAUAGAAAGAAUUUAAUGCAAUUUCUAAAUAUUUUAGACUUAUUUUGCAUCUUGACGCCAGUUUUUAAACAAAAUUUGCAAAUUUCAACUAUUCCUUUUGGGAAAAAAAAAAUCAACCAAAAUGCCGCUUUUUCCCUUUUUCCUUGGUCCCUUUUUUUUUAUGUAUAUUUAAUUUUGGAAACAAAAUUAAAGUGGAUCUUUAUUAAGUACUUCUAGACUCGAGGAAAUUUCUUUACAAUCAAGGAUCAGUUGUAAAUAAUCAUGAAUUUGUGGUUAAUUAAUGGCAUAAUCAGUUCGUAACUAAACAAGAGAUAUUAAUUAAAUUUGAAGACUUUUCUUUUCUUUUUUUCUUUUUCCAAUCGAAAUGUGAAGAAUUAAGGACAAGAGAAAUAUAUAGAUGAAUUUGUGAACCUAUAAGAUGAGUGACUAUCCUUUAAUUUUUGAAAAUUGUACUUAUUAAGAUAUGAGCAUAAACAAUUAAAUUGAAUUAUAUUAUGCUGUUGAAUCGUGAUUAAAAAAAUUACAUUGUUGAUUCUAAUGCUGGCGAACCUAAGAACUGGACUUAAAAUGUAGAUUUGAGAGUGGUGGUUCGAAGUACAAUACUUGAAAUAAAUAAUCAGUGGCUGAAUAUCAUUUGUAAACCCAAAAAUGGUUAAAAUAUUGUUGGAUGUAAUUUGAAAAAAAAAAAAAAAGAUUCGAAAUGAAUACAGCAACCUUACCAAUGGAGGAAAAAUAUUCAUUAGGUUAUCACACCCAAUUAUCUCCAAAUUCUUCAAUUUGCUGAAAGACUCCGAAGCAAGUUGGUGGUGCCAUAUUCUUCUCAAAUUAUCGAUCGACCUAAUAUGUAAUACCUCCAACCUAGGAAGUCGUACCUGGCAGUUAAAGAUUAAAUAACUAAUUAAUCAAUUAAUGGCAUAAUCAAUUGAUAACUAAAUUAGAGGCGGAUAUUAACUAAAUUUGAAGACUUAAGGAAGAGACAAAUAAAAUAUUGUGACUAAAAUAAAUUUAAAAAAAAAAAAAACCUUUUCGUCAAAGAGAGGAGGUUGCAUUUCAAAAUGAAUGGUGUCUUCUGGUGAGCUCGUGGAGAUGAAUCUUAACAUAUUACUGCAACUCUGAAUCUCGAGCUUUAGCAAAGAAGGGAAUUCAACAACUAAAUCUGAAUGAAUAUGUCCCGUAUUGGCAAAGCUUGUUAGCUCUGGAAGCCAAUAGAGCCGCAGGAAGUGUAGUUUAGGAAAAACCUUUAAUUCAAUCAACUUUCCUUCAUCUCUUCCUAACCACCCCGUCGUGUCGACUACCCCUUCCAUUGACUUACAAUCCCAUAUUUGAAGACGUUGGAGUUGCAAAAGACUAUUAACCAUAGAAUACGAAAACAGAUACUUCAUACGAUCACAACCGAACACGUGCAGCUUUGUUAAAUUUUGACAACAGUACAUUCCUUGAUUAUGAUCGGCCCAUAAUUUUUUUAUGUUUCUUAAUCUCGUGAGAUUCAAUUUUUCUAAGCUCGGAAGAAUAACCUGCAAAGAAAACCCGUACAUUUUUGUUCCUUCAAGUACAACCGUCUAGUAUAAUAUUCUUUUCAUGAUCGAAGAUUAAUCGUGAUAAUAAAUUAAUCAAUUAAUUAUUGAACGGAAAAUUAUCACCUUUGGAGCAGGAUCAUCAUCAGCAAUGAUUUCGUUGAAUCCCAAAGAAGUUGUUGGUUUCUCCCUGUCGGGUCCUAUAAACAAACAAAAACAAUACACAUAAUUAAUCUUUGUCGGUUUUUUUUUUUCAAAAUAAUUGAGGCGAAGUCCAUAAAUCCACCAACACUUAAUUUCAACACUUACCAAAAAUCAUUUCCAGAUCAUCGCAAAGACUUAUUAAUACUUUUUGAAGCCGCAGUAGGUUUUUUGCCAUGGAGAAUGAGAAAAGAUGCUUCAAUUUGUGACAGGAUUGUACUCCUAUAAUCCUUAAGUUGCUGAAAGAUUGAUCUUCUGUGAGUUGGCUGUCACAUAUUGUCUCCAAAUUGUUCAAAUAGCUAAGAAACAAUGACUCCAGCAAGGGAAAGACUGUACAAUGAACCCGUCCAACUGAACCGACAAUAUGCAAAAUCUCAGAACAACUUUCUACACGAAGAUGCUUCAAUCGUGGAAAACCUUCCCCAUCAUCUAAUUCAUGAACAACAUUCUGAACACCCUUAAGUUCGUAUAGAUUGAUAUCUUCAGUUUCCUUCAGUAACAUUUUCAUCCCAUAAUUCUCCAAAAGACUGCUAACAUUUUCUAGCCCAUGGAGCUUCAUCAAUCUUGAUGUUUCAGAAUUAACGGGCCAGAUGUCCCACACUUCUCCUAUGCAUAUCCUGUAUCUUGACAAUUCCACAAAGACCAAAUCCUGCAGCAGAAUUUGGGCAUCCCGAACUUGUAUCUCCAAAGUAGUUAGCUUUGACAACCCCUUCAACUCAGCAAGACUGGCGUUACUUCCUCCUUCAACCUUAUCCCACUGCGAAAAGCUGUCACCCAUAUAUAGUUCUUCCAAUCGAGAAAAUUUUGAUAUGACAUUUGGUGCUAUCACCAUAAGGCUGCUACAAUUGCUCAAAUCUAGCAACAAUAACCUCGUCAAUUGUCCAAUUUCAAGGGGUAACUGCUUAAUGUCGGAAUCUCGAAGGCUGAGAAUCUCUAAUUUCUUUAGCUGUCCAACUAUUGCUAUAUCUUCUAGUCCGCAACUAUCUAAACACAAUGUUUGAAGGUUAAUGAGGCGACCAAGUGAUGAAGGUAAUGAAGAGAAAGGAAUUCUAGUAAGACUUAAAACUUUGAGUUCUUCUGUCCCUUCAAAAAAGAGGUCAGAAAUUUGCAUAGAGACGGGCGCCAUGCCCCUUGCUAUUAACAAAAAUAACUUGAGUUGGGGACAUUCCAACCUUUCGGGAAGCUCUUGAAUAUCUUCGUAAGGUAAAGAANNNNNNNNNNNNNNNNNNNNNNNNNNNNNNNNNNNNNNNNNNNNNNNNNNNNNNNNNNNNNNNNNNNNNNNNNNNNNNNNNNNNNNNNNNNNNNNNNNNNGCAUUGAUACAGCAACAUCAUGAAUGAUGUCAUGCAUUUUAACUUCAUCUUCAGUAUCGCCAUCUAACAAUAAGCAUGAAGCUUUGAGAUUGUCGAUCAAUGCAUCCACUCUAUUCCUUGCAUCUUCCAAUGUGUGAACAUUUUUAAACAAACCCAAACCCAUACCAUAUCUCAACAGGGAAACAACUUCUACAGGAUUACCUUCACCAAACAGAGUACAAAGAAGGAACAAAGAUUUUGCUUCAUCACUUUCCAAGAAAUCGUAACUCAAUUUUAUGGAAGAAUACACAUAUGCAUCCAUACCACGAAUUUCUCUUAGAUUGGAACUUCUUAGCUGAUUCAAUGCAUCCUUCCAAAUGUUAAGACUCUUAUUUUUCAGAGCACUUGCAACUGUUCUCAGUGCAACAGGCAAUCCCCCGCAUUUUUCAACGAUCUCAUCUGCAGUGGGUUGAAAAUCAUAUGUUUUUUUUGAAUCACCCACAAUCUUCUCAAAUAACUGCAAUGCUUCAUCUUUGGAUAAAGCAUCGAUCCAGAAAUUUUUCUGAGAAUUCAUAUCAUUGCACAAUAAAUCUCGACUUCGAGACGUCAAUAUUAUUGUGCGUCUACUCCGAUCGUCCUCUCUAUCAUAAGGAAUUCCAACUUUAUCGAACUCAAGUUUUGUCCAAAUAUUAUCCAGUAUAAUGAGGAGCAGCUUCUCUUGCUUCAACCUUUGACACAGUCGAGAAGCUCUUUGAAAUUCAUUCUCAUUCAAGUCAAAUUCCAUGCCUAAAUCAAAAGCAAGUUUGUCUUGAAUUUUAUGAUGAUCUGGUGUCUGUGUUACCUCAGCCAUAACGACCUUAUCGAACAACUUAUCUUCCAUCACUUGCUUUCUAACUUGCUUGACUAGCGUGGUUUUACCCACGCCGCCCAUCCCGUAGACCCCAAUUAUUUUGAAACUAUCAUCCUUCAACGCAUCCAAAACAUCUUGAAAUACUUUCGUUCUUGAAUCGAACUCCUCGUAAUCUUUCACUGGCAUAUAUUCUGUACUCUUUGGAGCAGGACGGUAGGAAACACUAGAGAAGUUGCCUUUUCCCACGAGACUAGCGGCAGCUUCUGCGGCCUUUGCUGCUUGUUUACUAAGCUGGUAACGAGAAAUCAAGUUGGGGAACAACCCUUUGAAGCAGGACUUCUUAGCUCUAUCUUCAUCAUCAAUGAUGGAUUUUGCAACCCCUUCACUGAUGAAUUCAUCAACUUUAUUUAGCCAGUCUAUGACACCCUCAUAAAUCUCAUCCCCUUGUAGUCUAGCAUGAUUAACAGGUUGUUGCACCGUUUCUCUUCUAUAUCCCAGCUGCUUCACUUGAUCUUUCAGGCCAUCUAUGUAGUUCUGGUGCUUGAACACAUAAGAUAUCUGCCGUAUAAUCGGUUUGAACAGUGACUUUGAACCUUCUGAUACAAUGCUGGAAAAAGCAGCCAGACCCACUUCUGCCAUUGCCUGCUGCUUAACAAAUCUAAUAAUAUGUCAAAGAAAGGGGAAAGGAAUAGAAAUAAAUUAAAAUAAACUAGAGAGUGACAAAAAAGGAAAAGACAGCAAACAGAAUCGCAAAAUUGAUCUUGAAUCAACUGAAACAUGAACAGAGCAUUUUUUCUUCUUUCUUAAGGAUCAGAGUUUUUGCUAUUAACAGAAACGUGCUUCAAGUGUCCCAAAAAAAAAAUGAUAAAUGAACAAGCCAUAGAAAUUUUAUCUUGGAAAGUGGAUGGAAAUUAAGAAAGAAAUGGUAUAGAGAUCAAGCAUCAGAGAUUAUAUUAUUAAAAGAAAUUAAUUGAAGGUUGUGGAAAACCUGUUUAAUUAUGGAAAGUUGAUGAGCUUCUGUAAUCGCCUUGAGUAUUUAAGUGCAAUUUUGAUGAGCAAAAAGUUACUGUUACCUGCAGAGGAAUGUAAUUAUAGAGAGCUUAUGAGAGUAAUGACAAUGAUUUGCAAAAGAAGAAGACUCAAUCAUGGAGCCCUUAAUAUUUCUUUUAUGAAUAAACUGCCAGCAGGAAAAAUAAAAAAAAGUGGUAAAUUUACCAAGUCUUAUUUUAUUUUUAAUUUCUUUUAUUUUCAUUCGCCGAAGAGGGAAUCUCUUUUUUUUUCGUAAGGGAAAUAUCCUUUCCUAAUAUGUCAUGAUUAAAGCAAUCUAUAAAUAAUACAAUAAUCAUAUAAUGUAAUAAUUAAAAAGACCCACAUAUUUAUAAUAUUAAUGAUGGGAUCCAUACGUUCCUACUGAUUAAAUUGGUGGACCAGAAUUUAUUUGACCUUACUUGUUUUAUAUUUAAUUAAAAAUUGAAACGACAGAGAAAAAUUGUCGUAAUGAUGGUUUCGAUUGUGGAGUUCAGCUGUGGAUAGCACUUGCAAUACUGAAAAAGAAGCUUUCGUCAACUUUCUCACAUGGACGCGCACCAUCACGCAUAAUUGCAUAUUGCAUUAUUUCUCUAGAAAAGCAAAAGCAAGAUUUAUUCUUUUAAUAAGCAAACGCGUAGGUGGGAAUCCAUUCAUUAAACAAGUGGAACAGCAAUAUAUUAAACCAAUGAUAAGCAUUCUUAAGUGGGAAACCAAUUAUGACGGAUAGUUCAAAAUCUGAAUCCGCCUGAUGGACGGGUUUGACCGCAGAGCUCAAGAUAAUCUGAACCAUUCUCCUUUCGUAACUUAUAGAUAAUUUGAAAACAGGGGAAUGAAAACAGAGGAGCCCUGUUUUUCCUUCCUUUUUUUUUUUUUUUUUUCUUACCCAACUCUUCUUCUUUUGUAUAUUUUCCUUGGAAUUUUAGGUAAACCAAAAAACUUUGAGAAUGAUUUCAAGAGAAUAGGUGGGUAAUAACUAAAAUAUUUAUCUAUAUAUUUAUAUAAAGUUGGGACUACAAGAGAUGAUGUGGCAUCACCAUUUCUAAUUUUUGUAUAUUCUCUAUUAUCUAACAAAUAGAGAAAUUUUCUUUCAGAUUUUAUUUUUCAUCUUUUCAUAAUUAAUUUGACUGUUAUUAUACAAUCAAUAUGUAACAGUUCAUCAAAAGACCCACUAUCUUCUUUAAUUGAAACCUUCUUGAUCAGGACUACAAGAAGUAAUGUGGCACUACCAUUUCUCAUCUUUGUAUAUUCUCUAUUAUCUAACAAAUAGAGAAAAUUUCUUUUAGAUUUGGCUUUUUAUCUUCUCACAAUUAAUUUGACUGUUAUCAUACAAUUAAUAUGUAACAGUUCAUAAAAAAACUCACUAUCUUCUCUAAUUGAAGCCUUCUUGAUCAUAAAUUAAGCAAUAAUUUAUAAAUAUUUUUAAUCACUCUUCUCCUCUGACUCACCUAAAUUUAUAAAUAACAACAAAAAAUAUGAUAUCUCAUGUAAAUAUAAAAGAAUAGAAAAUAGCAAUAGCUCUAAAACAUUUUUUUUUUCAUUUUGGCCCUCACUUGCCUGAUCAUGGCAAAUAUUACAAAUGCAACCAGUAGGAAUGAUUGCCUCAACAACAAUAUGAAACCAGGCUACAAUCUUGCAACAAGACUUGAAGUUAGUGGAGGCCAAAUGGAGUGUUGGAACGUGUUAAUGGAGCUGAAAUCAUGCUCAAAUGAGAUUGUUAUAUUCUUCAUUAAUAGUCAGGCUGAUAUUGGCCCUGACUGUUGUCGCACUGGCCUGCAAUGCUCACCUCUCUCGGAUUCACGGCUGAAGAAGGGAACAUACUGAGAGACUACUGUGAUGCAUCUUCUGCUCCUUCUCCAGGUGGCCUCGCGGUGAUAUAUCAGCUUCAGGUUUCCAAGGUUUUUUGGCUUAGACAGGGUGCAUCUAUGGUACUUCAUAAUUAAAAAAAGUCUUUUUGGUUUUAUCUUUUCUUUAUUUUUUUAUUUUUUUUUUGGAAGUCUUGCCUCUUAAUCGAAUAGAAUAAAUUGUUAAAAUUAGAAUAAGAAAAAAAGGAUAAUAUUAUUUUUUUUCAAAGCCGCGCAAAGGGCGGUUCUAUUUCCUAGUUUUUAUAUAUUUGAUAAGCACGCUCACUAUUAAUAAAACCCAUUAAAUGCUAUAACUUAAAUAACUUCUUGUAGUUGAUUGAGAGUAUGUUUGGAAUUUCUUUUACUUCCCAAUAAUUAAUUUUUACCUUGAUUAUCAGAAAAUUAAUUUUAUGAAUAAUUUAGCCGGGUGUUUGGUAAAUGAUGAUUAUUUGACAAUCAGUUUUUAAAUAAUCUAUUAUAUAAAUAUAGUAAGUGAAAAUUAGAAGUAUAAUGUUCAUGUAGAAAUGACAAAAAUGUACUCAUUUACUUAUUUGUAAUUUAUUUAGAAUAUUAUUAUUUAAAUAAUUUUUCUUAUUCAUUGGAUUUUUUAAGAGCAUAUUCUAUUUUCUUGAUUACACAUUUAAAUAACUUUUUAUUAACUAUUUUAAUCUGCAAUAAAAAUUAACUAUAUUAUAUUUAACUAAAAAAUUUGUUAUGUAGUCCGUAAUAUACACAAAUACUUGAAUUUAUUAAUAAACUUAACUGCAAAAAAGAAAAUGCAUUACAUAUAUCUAAUUUCUUAUUUUCAACGAUUGAAAGAUGUUAUUUAGGAAACUUGUACGAGAUAAUUUAAUUUUGGACUAUUGACAUUAUAUUUACUUAGAAGUGGAAAUAGUGGGUGGAUAAAUUUAAUUUUUCAUUAAUUGCUCAAGAAGCAAGAGGAUUAGUGAUGGAUGGAGAGUUAGUGUAGAAUUGUGAGGCCAUUUGAUUACUGCAAGCAUUAUAAAUUUCUUGUUGCUGAGAUUAAUCUAAUUGAAUUAAUGACUCCAUGAUAGACUUAACAAAGGAUUCUUGUGGCAAGAUUUCUAUUUAUGAGGCCAUUUGAUUACUGUAAGCAUUAUAAAUUUCUUGUGGCAAGAUUUCUAUUUAUGACUCCAUGAUAGACUUAAGUUUUAGUGAGACAAUUGCUGCCUGUUGCAGACAUGAUACCUCUAGUACUUCAGAAGAUAGCAUAUCACGAAACACAUCCAGACUAUACUGAGGUUACAUCGAAAAUUCCUUGGCCCAUCGUGCGAGUGUGUGACAUCCCGCAACAAAAAUUAGGGUAUGUACUAUAUAUAUAAUGUGUUUUGAACAUAAUAAUAAGAAUGCUGAUUUUUAACAAUUAAUUUAUUUUACUUUUUUUAGUGGUGAUUGUGGAGAAUUUUUGUUGCGGUACUUGGAGGUCCUAACCCAUGGACUUGAUGUCAAUUCAUAUUGCAAACAAGAUCAUGUUAUACAAUUUCGAAAAGCCUUGGUUGUCAAAUUAUUUGGGCAUAGGUCAUGGAAAAAAACUUUGUAGUGUACUACCCUUAAAAACUUUGUUGGUGUGUCAUUUUUGGACCAUGAGAUGUGAUAGUUAUAAUGAGGAUGUUGUUGAUAUUUGAUGUCAUUAAAGAUAACUUGACAUCAUUAAUAUGUUUUAUUUCUUUGUUAACUAUAUUAAUGAUAGUGAAGAUAGUUUGUACAAUCUAUGUAAUGUAACAGGAUUGCCAUAUAUGCUCAGGGAAUACUCUGUAAGAAAAUACACGACUGCUGUUAGCUAUUUGCACGGAUACAUGACUGCAGUCGAGUAUUUACAAAUAUACAUGACUAGCUCUCUGUAAGAAAAUACUCGACUGCAAUUGGGUAUUUACACAGAUACACGACUGCAGUCAAGUAUUUAUAAUUGUACAUAACCAGCUCUCUAUAAGAAAAUACUCGACUGCAUUCGGGUAUUUACACAGAUACACGACUGCAAUCGAGUAUUUAUAAUUAUAUUUGACCAGCUCUCUGUAAGAAAAUACUCGACUGUAGUCGGGUAUUUGCACAGAUACACGACUACAGCCGAGUAUUUACAAUUAAAUAUGACUAGCUCUCUAUAAGAAAAUACACGACUGCAGUCGGGUAUUUGCACAGAUACACGACUGCAGUCGAGUAUUUGUAAAUAAACAUGACCAGUUCUGUAACAGCCAAAAUACACGAUUGUACUCGGGUAUGUGGACACGGAAUAAAAAAUCAACUAAAACAUUCAUUAUAUUGAUGACACAAUCAAUAUAAACUUUAACAUAUUAAAUUUCAAAUAAAUGAAACUAACUGUAGUCUGGUUGCCUAUCAAACAACAUAAAUCCAAUACUUAUUCGAAUCGUAAAUAAGUCAUAAUACAAUAAAAGUUGUUUAACAAUCAUCAUAAUUUUUUUGCAUUUUCAACCCAAACACUCGGUCCAUAUUUUAUAAGCCUCUAGUAAUUUGGUUGCCUAUUAAAUAACCCGAGAUACUAUUUCUAUCAAUUGUGCAUACGUUGUAGAAUAGGGCACUAUGAUCCCUCUUGCCUUUGUACCAUUAAAUCUAUAAUGGCCGUUUUGCUCAAUCCAUUCACCACAAAACAUAAUUGGCACACGUACUGAAGUCAUUUCCUGUAAUAAUACAACGGUUGAUUAUACAACAAAUACAAAAAUAAAAAUCAAGCAAUGUAUAUAACGAAGUGUGGAUCUGUCUGCCUAUUUACAUGACUCACGUCGUGUAAUUGGUAGUUUACACGACAAUAGUUAUGUAACUUGCUAAAAUACACAACUAUAGUUCUAUAAACAGUCAGAUGAUAUAUUUAGUAAAAAAAGCUGUAAUCUUUGUACUAAUCGAAUGGUAGGUGUCAUAACAGCUACUAUAUCUUCCAAACUUGCACGAUUGUUGUCGUGUAAAUUCAUACAUACAUGACAAAAGUCGUGUAAGUUGCAAAAAUAUAUGACUCAAUAAAUAAUCAGAGGACAUAUUUCUUCUUAAAAAAAUAUUGGGAUCUGAUAACAAUUGGAACAUUUUACAUAUAUACACAAUUAUAGUAUGUAAGUUCAUACGUACACGAUAGUAGUCGUGUAACUUAUUAACACACACGACUAUAGUCCAGUAAUAGUAAAAGGAUAUAUAUAGUGAAAAAAAAAAUAUUUUUUGCACCAAUAGAAUGAUAAAGUGUCAUGAUAAUUGGAAUCUUUUGCACAUUUGCACGACUACAGUUAUGUAAAUCCAUACAUACAAGACUGAUGUCGUGUAUGUCGGGUGCAGAAAAAAAUUUUGGCAACAACUUCAGGUUUUAACGAAUGUAGUUAUAAAAUCCAUCAAAUAACAGUCAUAUGAUGCAAAUGUAAUGAAAUAUGAGUUGCUUUAGUGUUUAUCACAAACCAAACAAAACCCUAAAAAUAAUAUAAUGUCAAUUAAAUGAAUAAAUAACACAAAAUAAAAAAAAAUUUCAAAUACCUUAUUCAUGGGAUGAAUAAUGCACCCAGCUGCAAAUUAAAAUCUCAAUGCAUUAGCUGUUUGUGAGUGAUUUUGAGUAUGGAGUGAGUUUUCGUUGUGUGGAGUUAAAAAAAGUGAGAAGUAAAGAGUGUUAGAGACGAGUUGUGUGUGUUUUAUAUAUUUUUUUAAGGAUAUUUUAAACAAUGUAUCACAUAAAAAGGUAUAUCUAGAUAAUUUUCAAGCAUGUGAUAUAUUUAACUAAAUACCCUACUUUUAAGGUAUCUUUAAUUAAAAACCCUCUUAUAGUUGAUUGAGGGUAUGUUUGGAAUUUCUUUUACUUCCCAAUUAUUAAUUUUUACCUUGAUUAUCAGAAAAUUAAUUUUAUGAAUAAUUUAGCCGGGUGUUUGGUAAAUGAUGAUUAUUUGACAAUCAGUUUUUAAAUAAUCUACUAUAUAAAUCUGGUAAGUGAAAAUUAAAAGUAUAAUGUUCAUGUGCAAAUGACAAAAAUGUACUCAUUUACUUAUUUGUAAUUUAUUUAGAAUAUUAUUAUUAAAUAAUUUUUCUUAUUCAUUGGAUUUUUGAAGAGCAUAUUCUAUUUUCUUGAUUACAUAUUUAAAUAAUUUUUUAUUAACUAUUUUAAUUUGCAAUAAAAAUUAACUAUAAUAUAUUUAACUAAAAAAUUUGUUAUGUAGUCCGUAAUAUACACAAAUACUUGAAUUGAUUAAUAAGCUUAACUGCAAAAAAGAAAAUGCAAAAAUUUAAUCUCUAUAUAAACUUUUAUGUACACAAAACUAUUGUAAUAAAGUAAUUCAUAGAAAUAUAAUAUUAUAUACAUGUGUAAAGAAAUAUAUAACUAUAAUAUUAUCCACUUGUAGCACUAUUAUUUUUCAAUCUCUCCAUCUCUUGAUCUUCAAGAACGUUAGUACCAUGAUCUGCUUCUUGAGUUCGACCUCCAUUUCCACAGCAUCAACAAGGCAAUCAAUUUGCCGUGAAAGCCUUACAGCUCCUCCCACUUUCCUCCUUUUUGUAGCCACUCUUUUUCCCUUUCUUUAUUUAGUAGCUUCUAUGGAAAUGUUGUGAAAAUUUUAAUAUACUCGCAAGCGCACGAAUCUAGAAAUAGAAUAGUAGUAACGAGGUCGAUCCCACAGGGAUUGUUAUAAAUUAAAAAGUCUAAUUUAAAUCUAAAAUUAAUAUUAAUUCUAACCUAGUUGAGCAAAUUGAGUUUUUAAGAAAAUUAAACCAAUAAAACUAAGGAAGCAAUUAAAAUAAAGGAGAAUUCAAUAAGAUAAGAAUUACCAAGGUUUUAGAAUCCACCACUAUUCAACUAGUAAUUAUCUAAUUAUUAAUUAAUCCCCAAUUUUGGAGUGACAACUCGAAAUCAAUCUAUGUCAUCUCAUGGAUAUAACAAUUAAGCCCAAGUAAUUAAAUCUAAUGUAAGUUCUUUUUCUGCUUAAUAAUAUGACAUCUAAGAAUCUCAUGUAAACAUAUUGAAUAACAAAGAGUCAAAGUUUUCCUAAGCACUCUAUGUAAACAAUUUAAUGAAAGACAUAGAAUCAAAGAUAAUCAUGUAUAAACUUUAUAAAUUCAAGCAUAGAUUUAAUUGAAUAUUAAUCCUAACAAUCAAUAAUGCAUGACAGAAUUGAUGAAAAGAUUUUAUUAAUAUCUAAUUAAUCAUGUGAAAUAAAAACCAUAAUCAUCAAAGAACAUAUAUAGGGAAUUAAUUAAAUAAAAAGAUAAUUAUUUCAUUGAAUAGGGUUUCAUCCUUAACCUCAGUAUAAGAAAAUUAGUUAGACAUACUUGAAUUGAGAGCAACAAAAUAAAUAAAUUCAGCCAUGGGGAAGCCGAAUUGCUGCAGAUUUUCUUCUCUGUCUUGAAUCCUUGCGUCUCCAGUUCUCCCUUCUGACGGCUCUCUUGCCUUUAUAUAAUGUUACUAACUUGCUUAAUCCUUAUUGGAUUCUAAUUGCAUUAAUUCUUCUCCACCGACUUAUAAAGCCCACUCACCAAGGCCUUUUAAAAUUAUUUCCUUACUAAACUUUGAAAGCAAAGCACACGUUUGACCACAAAAGCAAAAGGCCAAUUAAUGAUUUCUUCUUUUAAUGCCCAGCACAUGCAUUCCAAAUUGCCAAAUCUUUGCUUUCCAAAUGCAUGCCCACCGUUCAUCCUUUGAAGAGAUUGACUUCCAAUUUUGGUCUUCUUGACUUCCAUUAAUUCUUGGUUGCAUUUUUGUCUUCCAAUUUAAUCUUUAUUCCUUCUCAAUUUGAAGUGUUUUCAUGCCCUUUUUAUCAACAAUCUCCAAUUAAUUCCCUAUUCAAUAAAACAAUUCAAUUAAUUAAAAAUAACAAAUAAAUAUAACUAGCAAUUAUAUUAUUAAGGGUAAAAUAUGUAUAUAAAUUAUGCUCAUCAGGAAACAAACUCAUCGAACUACCAGUACAUUUUUCAAUUAGAUAGGACUGAUAGUAGAUAUUCAGUACUCUCAGAUGGUGUGCAAACAUGAUCAUCAGUGAUUGUUGUCUUAAAAAGCAUUCUAUUUAAUUGUUCCUCUGACUCUGGCAUGCAAAAUUUCUUGAUUCACGAAUUUCCUACGUAUGUUGAUAUCAUAUUAAAAUGAAUUCAAUAUCACAUNNNNNNNNNNNNNNNNNNNNNNNNNNNNNNNNNNNNNNNNNNNNNNNNNNNNNNNNNNNNNNNNNNNNNNNNNNNNNNNNNNNNNNNNNNNNNNNNNNNNGCAUGUUGUGAGCUUAUUACCAAAAAUGAGACUAUAUAUUUAAGCCGAAUGGUAAAAAACUUCGGAUGGAGGAUGUGCCAUCUUUUUAUUUUAGAUGCUUUCGGAUGGAGGAUGUGCCAUUUUUUUAUUUUACAUGCUUUGUAAGACUUUUAAUGAUCGAGUGCAGUCAAUUAACAAAAGCUUACAUAUUAUUUGUUGAAAAUUGAUUUUAAAAAAAGAAGUCAAAAUGAUGGGUGGUUGAGCCUGUUGGGGAAAAAUCAGGUUUUUAAAUUUUUAUAAAACCUUUUGAAGAUCGCUCUCAUAUAAUAUAUAAGAAUUCGUAUUCUAGAAAUCGUACCUUGUAAAUCUGAGUUUGCUUUUUCCGCUGAAGUGAUUUAGGCUCCUAGAUCACGAUCCGCCACCACCACUCCUGUUAGAUCACGAUCCGUCACCACCACGCUUGUUAGAUCACGAACUGUCUCCAAUGAUCUUCCAGGUUAUGACUCAGGUUCGAUCUGCACUUGACGUGUGGGCGCCUUUAUCACUACCAAAGCAACUAGCACGAGAAAAUUUUUCUCUCAAAAAUGGAGAGAAAAAUCUUAUUCUCUGAUUUGUAUAAAGUGGCUUCUCCACUUUUUCUUUAGAGAAAAAUAAGCCUUUUAUAUCACUCUUUAGUGAAAACCCUAGGCUCCAAAUAAAAUAAAAUCAAAACCCACGUUAUUUACUUUUUCAAUAGGGGACCCACCUUGUAAAAUAACAUAAGGCCCGUUAUACAAAAGCUAAUUAAAUGGAGCCUCCCACUAAAUGAUAUAUUUAGGCUUUUGACCCAAAUUGCUAGUUAUCUUACUUAUUAGUCCAGUAGUGGUGCAAUCAAUUAAAUGAGCUAACCCGGGGAUCAUUUGGGAACAUACAAUAGUGGCUACAAUAAUUAGGCAUGUAAUUAAACUAGCCCAAUUAUUUAAUUCCAAAUCUACUCCACUAAAAGAUUGGAACUGACUUCCAUAAUUGUAUGCUCGAAUAAUAAUUCGUCCCAAGCCACAUUGAUUUCUUUACUGCACAAUCCUUUGUACCACAUCGUUAAUUAAAUUGAUAUCUCAACUGUCCAAUCAAUUUAAUAACAUCUUAUUCCUUGAUCCUUACUGGUUUUCUCUAAUGAUCAUUUUCAACAUACUAAAUAUGUUGACACACUCUGGCCAGAGAAUUCUAUGAUCAAGUACCGAAAACCUAUCAAGAGAUGUGUUGUACAAAUUCUAUAUUGUUAAUCCAUAACUCCAAUACUCAUAAUUGCUCCCACCAAGAUACCGGGUAAUCUUGACCACAAGGAUGUGUCGUGCCCAUUGGUAACUCAAAUGGAAUAACAAUCACAAUCAUGAAAUCAUAAUUAACUCAAGAUUAAGAUUACAGUAAAAUCAAUGCCUAUGAGAUUUAAUAAGUCUGACAGUUAUUACAAAGUUAAUUAAAUCUCAUAUGUGAUCCUGUUCAAUGUAGUCGUACUACAUCAAUAAAUUCAUACAUGAUUAAGACAAAUCAUUCAAUGAAUUUAUUACAGUCUAUACCUAAAUAAAGUGCCCAACUUUAUUUAUCAACUGCGAACUAAAUUUAUUUAAUCAUAAGAUAACUUGUAUUUAUGUCUUCUGUGAAUCCACAUGGUGAUCACAUAAAUACAUAUAAUAUGAUUAAAUGGACUUUAAUACAAAUAUUAAUGCAAUUAAGAUAUUUGAAUAAAAUACCUCAUUAAUUUUAUUAAUCAGAAAAAAUGUUUAUUACAAUUAAAUAAACACAUAUGCUUUUAAAGAGCAUAUUUUCCCAACAGAGCCAUCAUCUUUGAAUUCAAAGAUGGUGGGUGGCCAAGUUAGCCACCAUCAUUGAACAAGAAAAAAUGGGUGGGUGCCGCCCAUGCAAUGAAGAAAAGGGAGAAAAUGAAGCCAAAGUUUGGCUAUAAAUAGAGGGGUUCUCCCUCUCAUUUUUGUAUCCCAGAGAAGAAAUCCCAAAAUUUGAGAAGCAAGAAUAUGUAAGAGAAGCAUUGAGAGCUUCCAACAUGGGAGAGAAAUAUUCUUAAGCAUGUAUUUAUAUUGAAAGAGCAUUUGGCUCCUCAAUAUGGGUAUUACGGGUUUGAUUUGUUAAGGAAUAUUUCUCGCAAUUAUGUAUUUGGGGCUUGGGUGAGAGAAAAUUAUUUAUGAGAGUGUGGUUGUAAUAAUUUUCCACAUAGUGAAAUUUUUUUUUUCUGGUUGUCUCUUGACAACGGCUAUGGUUUUUCUCCGGAUUUGGAGUUUUCCACGUAAAUCUUGUGUUGUGUGAUUGUUGUAUUCUCCAUUUAAAUUUUUUGUUAAUUUGUUGCUUGACAAAUUGCUUGGAGUGAUCUUGGAAGGAAACUCAAUUUCCUAACAGUGGUAUCAGAGCCAUUGAUUGAAGUUUUGAUGUCGAGGUACUGUUCACGUAGACAUUACUAUUUCACGUAUACGAUAUUGUUCAUGUAUACGGUAUUGUUCAUGUGAAGCAGUGGGAGCCAAUCUAAAUUGUCCGUGGUGAAGAGUAUAGGGUCAUUAUAAAGCAAAUAUGUCAGUAGCUGGUAUUUUUCAAACUUGGUGGAGUUUGAUGUUGUUCAAAAAUUAAUGGGAGAAUGAUUUUUUGUUGGCUUGUGGAGAAUUCAAGUCAAAGGUGUAUCCAAUCUGGUAUGCACAAAGAUUUGAAGGUGUGGACAAUUUUGGCACCUCAAGAAAAUUGUCAAGAAGGUGGAGCGGGCUCGACAAAUUACUCCAGAAUCAGUAAAAGAAAUACUGAUAUUUCUCGCAGAUGGUGAAUUUGUUUUUGAUAAGAGAUUGGAUUAGUUCUUUUGGCAUGUAGAUCUCCAAGUUACCAUAAAAGAGAACAUGUUAUUAUCAGUGGGGUCCACAAGUUUGCACGAGGGCAUUGGCUUGGUAUAAAUGCAAGGUGUGUGGUGGAAAAGUUAUGUCAUGGCUGAAGAAUUCUCAGUGAAACCAAGCAUGAGAAUUGCACUAUAAAUUUCAGCAGGAUAUUUUGAUAUGUGCCGAGAAAAAUCUUAGAAUAGUUGAUUCUAAGUGGUAUACUCAUUAUGGUGUAGUGUGAUAAUUCUUUAUAUUGAGAAUUAUAACUAUUGGUGAAGACAAUGUUUUGUAGUAGUGACUAUGAAAUUCUUUUUUUUAAUCAUGGUAGAGAUUGUUGAAAAUUGAUUUUAAAAAAAGAAGUCAAAAGGAUGGGUGGUUGAGCCAUCAUCUUUGAAUUCAAAGAUGGUGGGUGGCCAAGUUAGCCACCAUCAUUGAACAAGAAAAAAUGGGUGGGUGCCGCCCAUGCAAAGAAGAAAAGGGAGAAAAUGAAGCCAAAGUUUGGCUAUAAAUAGAGGGGUUCUCCCUCUCAUUUUUGUAUCCCAUAGAAGAAAUCCCAAAAUUUGAGAAGCAAGAAUAUGUAAGAGAAGCAUUGAGAGCUUCCAACAUGGGAGAGAAAUAUUCUUAAGCAUGUAUUUAUAUUGAAGGAGCAUUUGGCUCCUCAAUAUGGGUAUUACGGGUUUGCUUUGUUAAGGAAUAUUUCUCGCAAUUAUGUAUUUGGGGCUUGGGUGAGAGAAAAUUAUUUAUGAGAGUGUGGUUGUAAUAAUUUUCCAAAUAGUGAAUAUUUUUUCUUUGGUUGUCUCUUGACAACGACUGUGGUUUUUCUCCGGAUUUAGAGUUUUCCAUGUAAAUCUUGUGUUGUGUGAUUGUUGUAUUCUCCAUUUAAAUUUUUUGUUAAUUUGUUGCUUGACAAAUUGCUUGAAGUGAUCUUGGGGUGAAACUUAAUUUCCUAACAUUAUUUAGGUGCUGAGAUGUCUGUUCUUGAUAAAGUAGAUUUAUUUACACCCAAGCCAACGUAACAAAAGCCUAAUAUACACAAUAAUUAUUUUUGUUAGACUGAUUUCUAGCUAAUGAGAUCUUUGAAAGCAUUCAAAGAAGCCACAGAACUCAUAGGAAAGCCCUGAUAAAAUAUACGGCGAAGCAUGUGAGCUCGUUUUUUAAUCUCUUGAUCACUCAUAAGCUUUUCUAUACCAAUGACUAUAUCAUUCUUUUGAAUCGAUUUUGAUUGAUCAUUAGAAAUCAUGUACCCCACCUUUAGAUGAUUGAUCACCAAUUUGGCAUUGUAAUGUUGAUCAUCUCUAAUUGGCCAUGCUAAAAUUGGAACCCCACACCAAUGGCUUCUACCAUUGAAUUCCAUCCACAAUGAGAUAAAAAUUCACCCAUUGAUUGAUGAUUCAAUAUCAAUAAUUGUGGCGCCCAUCCAUCUAUUAUCAAUCCCUUUUUACUGGCUUUACUACCCAAACCACUAUGAAAAUAAUUGCCUUCUGCUGGUCUGUCUAAACCAGUUAAAUGACACGGAGGAUCCAAUCUACCAGCACCAGUUUGAAUUACCCAAAUAAAUGGUUCAUUUGAUACUUCUAAAGCAUUGGCUAGUACUAAAUACUCAUCUAACUUGGACCCACUUCGAUACCAAAUGACACAUAUAACACAGAUCCUCAUGAUUUCAAAUCCAACCAUUGAAUGAUCUCAUCUUCGUUCAUGUUAGAACUCCACCGAUUGGUUCUCAUCUCACGAUCACGAAGCACUGAACCCGCCCCAUUUGUAAAAUUGUUCAAGUAAUAAUGGGCCUACUCCCCACAUUGGCUUUCCCAUUCGAUUGACUAAAUAAUGGGAGAUUGCCAAUUUUCCCCUACUAUAAUCAAUAUAUAUCAUUUAUUCAUUUACUAUUUUUAUAAUGGUCAAAAAUCCCCUUGACAGUAUAAGUUUAUAAUAUUACUUUUAUUUUUAAUUGCUCUUUUAUUUAUAUUUAUUAUAAAUAAAAUAAAUCACAUGAAUAAAAAAUAAAUAAAUAAUUAAGUAUUAAAAACAAGAAAUAUAUGUUUUAAUAUGAGCAAAAAAUUUAAUAAUAAAUUUUUCUUGUAAUUAUUUAUUUUGUGAAUAUUUUCUUAUAAUAAACAUUUAUAAUAUUUUAAAAUUAAAUGUAAAAAGAAUAGGCAAAAUAUUUUAUUAUUUAUCUUAUAAUAAAUUUUUAUUUGUCAUUCAAGUUUUCUUAUAAUAGUUUUUUAUCAUUUUAUAAUAAUUUUCUUAUAUAUUUAUUAUAAGAAAAUUUUCAAAAAAUAAAUAAGUACAAGAAAAAAUUACAUUAUUGAUUUUUUUGCUCAUAUCAAAACAUAUAUUUGUUAUUUUUAAUGCUUAAUUUUUUAUUUAAUUUAUAUUCAUGUGAUUUAUUUAAUUUAUAAUAAAUAUAAAUAAAAGAGUAGUUGAAAAUAAGGAUAAUAUUAUAAACUUAUGUUAUCAGGAAGAGUUUUUGGUCAUUAUAAAAACAGGAAGGAGGUAAAUGGUAUAUAUUGAUUACAAUAGGGGGAAAAUUGGUAAUCUCCCCUAAAUGAUUAAUAAAUGGUCCCUCAAGAUCAUCACAGGUGUUGAACAUCAAAGCCAUCCAUUCCUCCACUUCCUUCAUCCAGUGUGGUUGAUCACGGGGUUCGAUGGACUCAUUUUCUCUGAACCGGGCGCACCUCGCAAAGGUAGUGGACCACGAGGAAGGGGCCCGUGAGGCCCGUAUUUAAGCUACGAUUCGAAUAAAGCCAUAUCCUUGGGUAACCCAGGAAGUAAAUGGGCCUCUCCCGGUUUGACAUCUUGGAUGCGAGCCUGCUACAUGGCACACUCCACGCUGCUGAGCAAGCACCAGAAGUGAAGAACCCAACAAUGGGACCUUCAAAAUUCUUGAAAACAUCAGCCGUCCAGCCCAUCAUAACGUCGAUGACUGCACAAAUGGGUCGGGUUUCGGGUUCCCGGGUUGAAAGGGGUUUUGAAGGCCUUGAAGCAUUUGACUGUGCAUGACAACAUGGUGGUGGUGGUGGCAGUGGUGGAGAUGAGGAGAGUAUUUCAGUAAUUUCGAAUAGAGGGUAUUGGUGAAGAGGGGAAGGGAUGAUGCCGGUGCCGGAAAUGUGAGAGGGAACGAAUAUUUUAACAGGGACGGAGCCAGCGUGGGACGAGGUGGGGCACAGGCCCCAGCUGGCUUUUAAUUUUUUUUUAUAAUUAUACUAAAAUAUGUAUUUUAUUUGUUAUUUAUGAAAAAUGUCUCAGCUGAAUUGUAAAAUUUAAAAUUGACUCCAGUAAUUUUAAAAUAUUUCAUACUGUCCCUAAUUUAUAUUUUUAAUUAUAAAUUAUUUAAUUAGUUAUUAACAUUUCAUGAAACUUUAUUAAAGACACGAGAACAAAUAUUAAAAUAAAAAAUAAUCAUAACAAAAUGUUAGUAUAAUGGUUAAUGGACUAGUUUUUAAUCUUUUUAUUUUUUAUUCAAGUAAAAUUAAUUAUUUAGUCUUUCAACACUGACCAUAAGUUGUAAGUCUUCCUAAUUCUAAUUUAUAAUUUUCUAAUUAAUCUUUUAUCUAGUUUUAAAAUUUAUAAUUUUAUCAUGCAUUUCAUAUUUGUUCUGUGUGUUGCAAUAUUUGAAUAUUUUUGUUAUUAUUAAAAGAUUUUAAGAGCAAAUUAAGUAAUAACCUAGUCUUGUAUAUUGAAAAAUAUAUUUUUGCUUAUAUUGAUAAUUCAUUAUUUUCAACUCAUAAAAUCCCAUUGAGGAGAUUUCGCGGAGAACCAUUGUAAUAAGUAAAUUUAUUAUCAAUGAAUAUUAUAGUUGUAAUGCUAUUUAUUGAUAUCUAAAUUUUUAAAAAUGUAUUAUACUUUAAAUAUGCUUUCAAUUAGAUGCAUACAGACGCACUCUAUAAGAAGUACAAUUGUACAUGUAGCAAGCUCCCAUUUAGAGUUUAUAGGGCCCACAAUACAGUUUCUCAAAUGACGACUUAUCACACGAGCAAUCGUACAUUCGAGUCAUCUUUAAUUUUAAAUGUGCCCCAGCUCUAUCAAAAUCCUGGCUACGUCCCUGGGAACGAUGAGGGUAGAUUUGUAAUUACGUGAAGCGAUUUACUUGCAUAAUUCAAUGCAUGGAAAUAGAUGUCCCUGACCGAAGAAUGAGACAAUCCAAAUCUCAGCCUCAGCAGCAUUAACGACAGAGCUUGACAUAUUUUAUUAAUCAUUUGAUACUUAAUUAUUACUGACUGCUUUUGCCACCUUUCGUAAAACAUUCUUGGUUAUAUAUAAAAGAGAUGAUUUGAUGGCGAAGUGUGUGUUUUACUUUUACAGUUUUACUAGUCGGUGAGCUAUGAUUUUGAUAAUUUGAUUGUUAGUUUCAGUUGGUUAGUUAUGAGAAAGCAUCUUUCAAAAAAUUCAUUACAGUUUCAACUAAAAUUAACAAUACUAUUCAAAUUAAUUACUCGAUAAAUAAAUAGUCACAGAUAAAUCUAUCCCUAAUCACACAUUUAUAAAAUAAGGAUUGAAAUGAGUUUCUGUGGCUUCGAACCCACGCCCUCAAGCCCAGCGGCUGGAUCUUGACUACUUUGACAUAAUUAUUAUUAGUUUUUGUCCAUCUUUCACCAGGCAUCUUUUGUUAUAUAAUGAAGAAGAUAAGUUGACGGAGAAGAGUUCUACUUUUACUAGUAGAUGAGCAUUGAAGGUUAGUUUUAGUUAGUUAAAUAUCUACCAUCCAAACCAAAGUUCCUUAGACUAUUAUUCAAGUGAGAUGUUUGAGUAACAUAUGCUUGAGUUAGUCGGUGCCUAACAAUUCAUGUGAUACAUGAAACCAACCAAAUGAAGUUGGUAGGAUUAGAUUAAUUUAAAUGAAAAUAAAAAUUAGUUUAUGCUAUUUAUUUAUCUUAUAAUGUUGAAACUUGAAAGUUAACUCUUCAACCUGUCAAUUGGUUCAUGACAUGAUCAAAUAUUCAAGUAAAUAAAUUUAUCGGUUAAAAUUAAUUUUUCAUGUGGUAAAAGCAAUACUAAAUAUGGAGUGGAGAGAAUCAUUUGUAGGUUAUACCCCCACCUUUUAUUUCAUUUCAUUUAAAAAAAAAAACAACAACAACAACAAAGGCUUGGUCAACAUCCAAGUAAAAUUAACAAUUCCAUGAUAAAAUUGCCUGAGAAUAAAAAUUAAAAAAAAAAAAAAACAGCAACUCGAAAACGAGAUACAAAUACCGCACAGAAGUUUUUCGUCACGAGAUAUUUUUGGGUUGAGACAACGCUUGUAUAACAGAGCAUACAGCUUGGAUGACGGUGAGAAUAAGAAGGAAAACGGCACCGCAGACCGAAAUUCCAGCCCAUGGAGUAUUGAAGUAAUUUUGUUUCAAGUUUGCCCUCCAUUUGUAGCACGUUCUUUUGCAGUGAUCAUUCAAUCCUUUGCAUAGCCCAGAAAAAUAGAAGCUAUCAGACAGCAGAGUAGUACCUCUAGAAAGGUUAUUUAUAAGCGUUGACGCUGCCUCUUUAUCCGGCAACCAGUUCUCAAUGAUUCCGUUCUGAACAAGCAACUCGACGUCCUUCGCUGUGUUCACGAGAUUAUGAAUAAGGAACACGUAAUCAUUUAUGUAAUUCUCUGAGUAAUGCCGUUGUUCAAAGGCAAUGAGAUUACGAAAUAAGGAUUCCGUUUCCAGCUGUAGCUUCAGUUUCGGAAUAUGCAAUGUCCUGUUUUUGAAUUCUAUGGCGAACAAAUCAUUGCUCUUGCUCAAACUGAAGUGGACUCCAGCUUGGUGGAGAUCAGUCACACUUGGUGCGGUUUUACCUUUGUGGUAUUGCUGACCUUCUUGUUUUUCCUGAUUCCUUGAUGAUGGUAGAUGACAAAUCCUUAGAAAAUCAAGGAAAUGCUCUACCCUAGCCUCAGUGUAAGGAGGGAAUUUUUGCCGAUUACCUUGUACUGCCUCUAAACCCUUGAAAUACUCGUAUGUGACUGUGAUGAUGGUUGGAUUUUCAUGUUGGUCGGGGAUUUCAAUUGCCGCUAGAGCAAAAAGAUCCUCAAGAGUGAAGAAAGGAAGCUGAUUCUCAAGCAACCACAUAUCAUACCAUAUAUCCUCUAUUAAAUAGGGUUUUAUGAAAUAUAUGAUCAUCCUUUUUUUGAAGUUGACGGAAAUGAUACCUCAAUAAGAGUUCAAUGAUGAAGGCAGCAUCCAGCAGAAUCAUUUCAACAAAUUUAUCACUACUUAGUUCGACUUUUCUGCAUAAGAACCUCGUAAUUCUGCUUCUCUGAACUUUAUAAUUUGAACAAACUCGUCAAAGCUUAUUUUGGUCCGUUGAAGAAAGUAAUGCAGGUACCGCUGUUUAUGUUCUUCCAUUAACUGUAAGUUUGCUUUGCCAUGGUGAAGAGGGCCAAUUGAGACUACCUGAGGUGUGUAUACCUUUUCAUUUAUCUGACGUAAUCGCUCUGGAACUCUGUAGAUGCAGCAGUUUGAGGGCAAUGGUGAUAAUUUUUUCAACUUAACUUGCAAGCAUUCUUCCAUGUUAUAAACUGAAAACAUGGCGCGAAAUUUAAUCAAUUCAACGCUUAAUAAGGCAUAGUAAUUAAAAAAGAAUUAAAAAAAAAAAAUACAAGAGCAUUCUUACAAGUACAGAAGCACCUCAAUCCCUACUAUUUGCAGAGCUGUAGCCAGGAUUCAAUGAUAGACCGGACUGAACUAAAAGGAACAACUUUCUUAGGAAUAUGUUAUCGGCAUUUUCUCUGGCCUCAGGCCAUCAACAAAGCAGUUUCAGUGCUUCUUAUAUAAUUCCAUGGAUUAUUCCUUGCCUUUACAGAUGAUAUAAGUCACAAUUCAUAUAUUAAUUUCUCCAGAUUCCGUACAAGUGGACCAUAACUAUGGAAAAAUUCAAAGAAUGCAACAGCCAUUUGAUUGGUCCAUGUCAGAAGUUAAUCUGGGGAAAGAAGCUUGAUCUAGCUGUAAAAUUCUCUCCUUCAAUCAGUCAGUUUGGGGCAGCAACAAGAUCAAAGCCACCACGCAAACAUUUACUAAAGUUUAUAUAAUAUUCUUGAACCUCAUCUUAAGUAAAGCAACAAAAGCCUUCACUGUUUCUUAACAACUUUAUUGCUCUAACACAUAGCAUAACAUUUUUAAAUUUGCAUAAAGCACAAUAGUACUUCAGUUUGUAACAACAGCACGGAUAAUAAAUAGCAUUUUAUAGCUUUAACAAAAGCAUACAAAAUUCUUAAACCUUGUUUCAAGCAAUCCAUUAAUGCCACAAGGAUAUCUUUUUGCUUCCUACAGUUUUUAUUGAAAUUCAUAUAUUCUUCUUUAUCAAAUUAAGUAAUUUUCCUUUUUCAAAAAAUCAAGAAGGUUUCGACUGCAUGGAAAUACAGCACACAAUUACUACUAUUCCCGGAGUAAGAAAUUCAUAAAUGCAAUAUAAACAUACAUUUUCAUAAGACAUCAGAAUCAAAGAAUCAUCAAUGCAUCAAAUCUGUACACCCAAAAAAGUUGAAAGCAUCAAGAGAAAAUUAUACCGCAUGGACCCUUUACAACCCUUAUAACGAGUUCAGACAGCCUAAUCCAAUUUGAUAGAUUUGAGGACAGCUACAAUGUGCAAUACAAAAUUUCCCAAUACUAUUUAGAACAAAGUCUAGAAAACAAAACUUAUAUAUUGUACAAAAUCAUGAAAACCAGAAAUGACGAAAAACCUGCAAAUGUAAUUUUUGGGUUUCUUCAACAUAUCUUCCAUCCAAAUCAAACAAGAAUCGAUAAAUCAACAACAUUCAUCUUUAAACGACAUAUUACCACAAUAAAAUUGUCAACCAAGCCUCAUAUAAACCUUUUUUGUGUUUUUUGGUAAAUAUGUUUGUUUUUCUCUAAGAAUACUAGGGAAAAAAGAAACCCACUUUCUUAAUCAAGAAUCAAAUAAUAUAUAUGAAUCUAAGCUGAAGUAAGUCUUGGGUUUGAUGAAAUAGCUUGCAUUGCGAUUUAGAUUGGAAAGGAAGUUGAUUUUUACUGGUUGAGAGAGAGAGAUUUGAGACUUAAGAGAGUGUUGCUAAUCUUCAAUCGUGUAAACAAGGGUAACUGGGUCAUAGUUCAAAAUAAGGGUCCAAAAUUUACUAAAGCUAUUAAGGAGCCCAAAACUCAUAAUGGCUUCCCCAAAAUAAAUAAAAUUUUCUAGCAUUAAGUUUUUGUUUCUUCUUGAGAUUUCCUUGUCGUACUUACCCAUAUUUCGAUAUUGCCUCCAAGUAAACUUAUAUAUAUUGAUUAACAAUAUAAACAAGCACUAUGAAGUUUUAGGCCUGAAAGAACAUUAGGAUUGAAAUGAAAACCAUCUAUUUAAGUAACAAAUUCUUCUGAUAAUCUGAUGCUUAAUUUAGAGAAGAGAUGACAUAUCAAUCACGUUAUGAUGUGGAAGUUAUGAUUAUAUUCAUCUUAGAAUAAGAUCUUUCAGGCACUGGCAGAUUAGUAUAAAAAAUACUCAGCAUAAGACCUACAAACUAGAAAUCACGCACCAAUUAUUGAACUCAGCACAUAAGUUGAUCUUUUAUAAGCUAUAAAACAAAUCUGCUAUAACAUAAGAAAGUGGGAUUUAUCACCAGACAAGUAUUUUGGUGAAACUCAAGCUGACGGAAGGAUAUCCAAAGCAACCUCCUUAAGGGAAGGCAUCACUUCCUGCUGAUGCAAACAUAUAUAUUUAUUACUCACUUUCUUGAGGACCUUCUAGGAACCUGGGUAGCACCUAACAGAAAGUGGAAAAGAAUAAAAUGUAAAAUAUAAGUUAAACAGCAGGAAAACAGUGAGUGAUACUAGGCAAGCAUUAAUAUGUUGCCGCAAGAAAAGUGUCAGUAACUAGCUAGCAAACCUGAAAAGGGUUCCUCCAUUACGACCCUUAAAAUUGUGAAUGUAAUAUAUGGUCUCCAUCACAGGAAAAAGUGUUUUGGAUAGUGCAGCCAGCUUAGGGUAGAAGAAUGACGGAUAAUCUUAGCUCAUUUAAGGAAAUCCUCUCUGAUCCUUUCAUUGCACAUUCCAAAACAACUCUACUACAACCAAGUUACCAAUUCUUUUUGUUAAGUCAUUGUUAUUUGUUAAAAAAAAAAAAAAGUCUUCCUUGUAACAUUUUAUUGAAAGAUAUAACAUGAUCAUCCCUAUUAAUUCCCUUUUAGAUUUCUGUGAGUGAAUUUCAAAUUAUUGUAUUAAAAAAUAGAAGCAAAAGACCCACUUUACUUUCAAUUUCUGCAACAAGAUACCAAUUGAAGGACCAAAAAGUUGUAAACAAGCAAUUCAAUGAGUGGACAUCUAGAAACUGCUAUAUAGCAUCAAAAUCAUACUAAAUUUACAGAAAGCACGAUAAGAAUGAAAGAAUGGUGAAGGAUACACCCAGACCUUAUCCGGUCAAGUUCUCCAUUGAAUAUAAUCAGUUUCCGGGCAGUAUUGAAGACAGCUUCUUUGUAAAGCUCUUCAACGACAAGCAUUUCUACAAGACAAAAGAAAAGCAAAAUUAAUUACCUUAAGGAAUGAAUAUCAAUGAGAAGACAAGGUGUAAGACUACCAUUGACAUUAAAAUAUGGAUAGGCGACUAGAAACAAUUCAUCUUCCGGCUUCACACGGUCUGCCAUUUUAACCUUCUCAGUGAAUCCAAAAUCCUCAAAGAAUGAAGGUUUUGUUAGAUAGUCCAACUUAAAUGAUGAUCCUUCAAAGACCGAUUUUCUUGCAAAUUUGACUUCAUUUGCCUCUGGGAAAAACUAAAAACCAAAUGACAGACCAAGAUCACGAAACGAAUCAUGAACGUAGAUAUCAGAUAAUCAGAAAUGGGCAUUAAACAGACUACUAACAAGUAGGAAAUGCAUACAGAAAACAUUAUUCAUACACCUUAUGCACAUGAAAUAUAUAUGCAGAGGGAUCCUCUUGUGAAUUUAGUUUAUAUCCUAAUAUGAGACGAUGAACAAUUGGAUGCCAUCUAAGGGCUAACAUUUGUUUGAUUAUUAUAUGAAAAAAAAAAAAAACAGAGUUGAUUGAUGGCCUUUGAUGGAUUGCCUACACUCCUAAAGUGCAGAGAGCCUGAUUGAUUGCUUUACCUGCCCCCCACACACACUUGAUUUUAUUAUCUCUCUUUUCAAAUAUAUAAUCAUUGCCUGUCUUUCAUCCUGAUCCAGCUCUCCUUCCAGGCACCAGCUGUGUUUUCUUCAAUUCAGUGAAACAUUCACUUUCAGGUAAGAAUAAACUUGUCCUUCCUCAAAAACCAACUUCUCACCAUGAAGCUUUCUUUUUUAAAACAAUUACUAGUCUAGCAUAAUUGAAGACAACUCAGAAUUGAAAAAGCCAUACUUUAAUGUCUGCUGUUGGGACCUCAAGACCAGGAACAAAAAGCUUCUUUCUAACCGUUGGAUUAACAAGUAGAAAUAGCUUUUUUCUGAAGGACCCAACAUUGCAUUGAAAAAUUCAACAAAAUGACUGGCGUCAUAUUUAGUCCUGCUAGAAUUUUGUGCACUUAACACAAUGGCUAAUAAUUGGCCCAGCGGACACUUUGUCGAACUACUGGCAACCUUGACUGUGGAAAUGCAUAUUUCAAAUGUUGGCAGGCUCUAGCUUCUUGAUGUACUGUUGAUAGAAAUGCCUAUUUCAAAAGUUGGCAGGCUCAAACUGCCGAGACUUUGGUUUCUUACAUUUCAAACCCACAAAUAAAACUUUGGCAGAACCCCAGAAAGAGCUACACCUCCCAAAUUUGAUGACAUAUGAGGAGACCAUGCCUAGUGCUUGGUUCGGCAAAUGAGUAAGUUUGAAAGAAAUUGAGGGAAACCUUUCCCACAGAGAGUCAUAUUGAAGGUUACAAUUUGAAGACUUUGUCCCCUGUCGCCCGUAACCUUCUUUGAUCUCUUUUCUUAGUCAUAAAUAAUCAAACAUGUGUUAGUCGUUGGAUGCAAUCCACUCACUGACAUCUCAUGUCCACAAUCAAUCAACCAUAUUUUAAUAGAAAUGAAAACAUUUUAAUUAAAAAAAAUGAGAUAGGAACAAAAUCAAACUUGGCAGACAUGGUCUAUGAGAUUUUAAAGAUGCUUGGUGAAAGUUGUAUUCAAGAGUUCAACAGUCAGUUCUAUCACCUAUGGCAAAGUAACCACCGCAACUAAAGCAAUUACAAAACAUCAAGAAGCUUGAACUUGGCAAGAGGUCUCAUUAACAGUAUACCUCAGAAAUUAAGACAGACUUAAAGUGCAAGCUUUUGGAUUUAUUUAAACACUGAAAAUAAUAUGGGUAGAAGCUCCUAUGGUCACAGCAAACAAUUACAAAGCACAAAACCCAAAAAACAGAUAUGCAAAAAGCUGCAAAAGAACAUUAUUAGCAAUUGACAUCUGCUUUUGCUCAGACAAAGGUUCUCAUAACAAAGGACUUAGUGAUUAUCUGUCAUAUGUUUAUGUUAAGGGGAAAAAGGAAGUUUGUUUUAGUCAAUCUCACGUCUAAUGGCAUUUAUAAGGAGCCCAAAAAUAAAAGAAAAAAUAAAGAGUUAGUAGGUGUUUCUUGCAGCACAAAGAAAAUUUAUCAUUCAUGAAAAACUUAGUAUGGAAAAAGCUAACUCAUUUAUCUGCCAAUGGAGAAAAACUUGUUGUCCACCCACUAAGGACCCACCAUUGGCAGGUCUGAUGGAUCCCAUGGAUGGGAACCGCAAAUAUUUUAUUCUAAAUGACAUGUGUAUUGUACCCAUAUCAUUUAAUUUGUAGAUUCCACUGAUGGAACUCAUCAAACUUGCCAAAUGGCAGGUCCUCCGUGGGUAGGCGCAUCACUUCAGCAUCCUUCUCCACCGAUGACCAAAUUUGGACUCAUUUAAAAAGAAUACAAAGCAAAACUAACUGACAUAAAUUGCAUAGAGAUCUAGGAGCCAAAUCAAUGUUGUUAACUCAUCCAAUUAAUACAUUCUCUUAGAGGCAGGGACGGAGCCAGCGUGGGACGAGGUGGGGCACAGGCCCCAGCUGGCUUUUAAUUUUUUUUUAUAAUUAUACUAAAAUAUGUAUUUUAUUUGUUAUUUAUGAAAAAUGUCUCAGCUGAAUUGUAAAAUUUAAAAUUGACUCCAGUAAUUUUAAAAUAUUUCAUACUGUCCCUAAUUUAUAUUUUUAAUUAUAAAUUAUUUAAUUAGUUAUUAACAUUUCAUGAAACUUUAUUAAAGACACAAGAACAAAUAUUAAAAUAAAAAAUAAUCAUAACAAAAUGUUAGUAUAAUGGUUAAUGGACUAGUUUUUAAUCUUUUUAUUUUUUAUUCAAGUAAAAUUAAUUAUUUAGUCUUUCAACACUGACCAUAAGUUGUAAGUCUUCCUAAUUCUAAUUUAUAAUUUUCUAAUUAAUCUUUUAUCUAGUUUUAAAAUUUAUAAUUUUAUCAUGCAUUUCAUAUUUGUUCUGUGUGUUGCAAUAUAUGAAUAUUUUUGUUAUUAUUAAAAGAUUUUAAGAGCAAAUUAAGUAAUAACCUAGUCUUGUAUAUUGAAAAAUAUAUUUUUGCUUAUAUUGAUAAUUCAUUAUUUUCAACUCAUAAAAUCCCAUUGAGGAGAUUUCGCGGAGAACCAUUGUAAUAAGUAAAUUUAUUAUCAAUGAAUAUUAUAGUUGUAAUGCUAUUUAUUGAUAUCUAAAUUUUUAAAAAUGUAUUAUACUUUAAGUAUGCUUUCAAUUAGAUGCAUACAGACGCACUCUAUAAGAAGUACAAUUGUACAUGUAGCAAGCUCCCAUUUAGAGUUUAUAGGGCCCACAAUACAGUUUCUCAAAUGACGACUUAUCACACGAGCAAUCGUACAUUCGAGUCAUCUUUAAUUUUAAAUGUGCCCCGGCUCUAUCAAAAUCCUGGCUACGUCCCUGCUUAGAGGUCAUACCUUGGUAACUCAUUUGAAAAGAAAUUAAAAGAAAAACGACUGCACAAAUUGUACUGAGCUCAAGAAAACCUGUUCAAGGUGUUCACUUGUCCAACUAAUAAAAGUCAUCAAGGAUUGUAUCGGGGACUUGGGACCAAUCCUGCCUUAACGAGAGAAAGGGAAUUUAGGAGGAAGAAGAUAACCUCUUUUCCUAGAACCCUUGAGAAAAUUAUUGAAGAAAUAUGUAUCUCCUUUUCUUAUUUUUACAAUAGGGUUACACAAUACAUAUAUAUAUAUUCUAAACUACAUAAUGUGCUAGAGUAGGAAAGUAAACAACUAACUGCAGACCAAGAAACUAGGAAACAAACUCUAUCUAAAAAACUGAAAUUCUAUCCCUAUCUUUUUUCUUUUCUAUCCCUAUCUUUUUUCCUUAAAAACAGGAUAGAAAACAAGUGACUUUUCCACACUCCCCCUCAAGCUAGUUCGAAGAUAUCAAUCAUUCCCAGCUUGCUAGUUAGUGACUCAAAGCUUGAUUUAUGAAGUCCUUUAGUAAGAAUAUCAGCUAGCUGCUUUGUUGUUGGAACAAAGGUCAUGCAUAUCAAACCACUUUCUAUUUUCUCCUUGAUAAAAUGACGAUCCACUUUGUUGAGUGUUAGAAAAUGCAUAUUUAUAAAGGAGAAAACCAUCAUUUUACAUUUCAAGUCGUACUAACAACUCUUACUUUUAUGUAUUUAACCUUCUUGUGAUAUAAUUACGUGUGUUUUAUUUUAAUUAAGUAUUUUAUGUAUUUUAGGGGCAUUAUAGUCAUUUCACAAUAAAGGAGAGAUUAGACGGCAAAACGGACAUCACUUUUGAACUCAGGACGGUCGAAAACCUUAGGAGGAGCAUAAAAGGAAAAAUGGCACUAUUCAUAUGUACGGUACUAUUCGCGUGUACGGUAUUAACUACGUUACUGUUCACAACACUGUUCACAACACUGUUCACAUAGACGGAUCGAUGACGUGGCAUUGACCGAUGAUGUGGCAUUGACUGAUGAGGUGUCACGAUCCUGUUGGGCUAAAAUUCUUAUGUACUGUUGAUGGUGACGUGGCAGCAUAUCAGUGGAUGAAAAAUCUCGCGUACGGUACAUGCAUCACACAUGAUUAUUCUCAACCAAACCGUGUUACUGUUUAUCCGAGUCAAACCGUGUUACUGUUCAUCCACGUGGUCAAACCGUGGACUGUUGACUUAUGACGUGGCGCAAUCCUGAGCGUCCAAACUGUUUUUAAUCUGAUGGCCAUGAUUUACUCCAUGUAUCUAUAAAAAGGGGGCCUUCCCCCCCUAAUUUGAUAGCUCUGAAUCCAUUUUUGGGAUCCAUUUUCUGUAAUUCCUUCUCCAUCUUGUAUUUUCUUUGUAUUUUAAUAAAUUCCCAUUUUGCCCCUAGUUCAAUUAUGAGUGGCUAAUUUUCUUUCAAGCUUGGGUUGAAGGUGAAGUCUCAACAUGUGUCAUGGGCUUAAUUUGGUAAAUUUAUUUUCUCUUCCCCUCUAGUUUUUGUGGAUGUUUUGACUUCUCGUCGACAAAUAAUAAUAAUCUUGUCUAGAUACCGCCUUGGUUACACCGGCUCUCUAGUAUAAGGUUAUUAUUAUUUGGCACGAUAAGCCCUUAGCACCAUAUUGAUUAUAGCGUGGUUCAUGAGGUGUGGAUUCCCCCCUCAUGAUUUAAUUGGCAUUAAUAAAGAUUAUUUAGCCCAUGAUGCAUGUUGAUACGGAUCCAGAUACCCAAGUACGUCAUUUUAAUAGAAUUCUCUUCAAUUUAUUCUCGCCAUUUCAAUUCCAAUUUUAGAAUUUAUUCUCGCCAUUUUAAUUUAAGUUUUAGCAUAUCCCAAAUCAUUUCCACCACAAAUCCAAUCACCCAUUUACAAAAUUAAUUCUACACAAUUAAAAUCCACCUCCUCGUGGGAUCGACACUCGUCACCAUUAGUCUAUACUACAAUAGAUUCGUGCGCUUGCGAGUACAUUAAAAUUUGCACAACAAGUUUUUGGCGCCGUUGCCGGGGAGGUAAGUAAUUUUAAUUCAUAGAAUUAAUUUUUGUGAAUAAUUUCUUUUAUUUAUUUUCUUGUAUUUUUUUUUAUUAUUAAAAAAAAAAGUAAAUCUACAUUUAAAGGUUAGUAUUUCUUUUCUUUUUCUCUUCUUUAAAAUUCUGUAAUUUAAUUUUCAAUUUAUUUUUCUUUGUAAUUUUUUUUUGUUUAUUUUAUUAAUUUAUUUUUAGUUAAUUUAUUUCACGUAUUUAUUUUUGUGUAUUUUUAUAGUAAGGUUGUAAUAGCGCAAUAAGGUUAGUAUUGUAAUUUCUCUCUCUUCUUUAUUUUUAUUUGUUUUGUUCCAUCUUUAUUUUUAUUUUAUUUAUUUUGUAUGCAUGGUCGUAGGUCUUUAUUACCUAAUCUUGAACCUAUAGACCUUGAACUUGAGAAAACACUUCGCACACACAAGAACGUUAAAAAUAAAUUUGAAAUGGAUUUACAAGCACCACAGGAGAGGCCAUUUAAGGACUAUUUUAGUCCCUUAGCUAAUUUGAGCACAUCAUGCAUAAGAUACCCAAAUGUAGCUGCUAGGAGUUUUGAAUUAAAACCUAGUGUGCUAAAUUGUCUCCCCACAUUCUAUGGCCUAGAAAAUGAGGACCCAUAUAAUCAUCUGAAUGAUUUUCAUGCCAUUUGUCAAACUUUUAAAUAUGAAAAUUUUUCAGACGAUGAUGUUAAACUUAGAUUAUUCCCAUUUUCUUUAAAGGAUAGAGCUCGUUCAUGGUUAAAUACUUUGCCUGCUAAUAGCAUUGCAUCAUGGGAACAAAUGGUUACAAAAUUUCUAAAUAAAUAUUUCCCAGUGCAUAAAACCAAUUCUAUUCGCAGGGAAAUUUCAGAGUUUACACAAAGAGAGGACGAGCAGUUUUUCGAAACUUUGGGAGUGAUUCAAUGGGCUACUCUUGAAGUGUCCACAUCAUGGGUAUGAGAAAUGGCACCAAUGCCAAUACUUUUUGGAGGGAUUAUUGCCAAAUGUGCAAGAAUGGCUAAUGGCAACAAGUGGAGGAGAGCUAAUGUCAAAAAGCGCAACAGAGAUUUGGGAAUUCUUCCAGCGACAAGCGGAUAAUUCCCAACAACGGAGUCGAUCACUCAGGAAUACUAGAAGAAUUAAGGGAGUAAAUGAGGUUCAAAUUGGCGAGUCAACUUCGGGAAUCAAAGAAGUCAAGGAGAUAGUUGAAGGUCUUGCUCGACAAAUAGCAUCGUUGUCGACUGCUAAAUCAACAGAACCACAUGACCAUGACUCAUACUCCGAUCAAGCCAAUGCCAUAGGUGUAAUGAGAAAACCAUCGAAUUACAACCCAUACUCCAACACAUAUAACCCUGGAUAGAGAGACCACCCCAAUUUUUCAUGGUCUCAAGGAUUCCAACAGAAUGGACCAGCAGCUCCAGCUCCACAAAUUCCUCAAGUUCCUCAAGCCUCUCAGCCCCCAUUUAGACCAUUUAAUCAGAACCAGAACUACUCUCAACCCAGACCAUGGGAGGAUUCAUUCCAGAAUCUCAAGAAUCUUACUCACUCCACGAUUGAGCAGCAGAACCGCACCGUUGAUGGACUACGAAAUGAGUUGAGAGCAGGCUUCAACUCACAAGAUCAAUCAGUUUCAAACCUCGAGAAAAUGGUGGGACAACUUGCUUCUUCAGUUCAGACCUUGGCAAUGACUGUUGAGAAAGGAAAAUUUCCAAGUCAACCAGUGCCUAAUCCUAAAGGAGUGCAUGAAGCAAGUACCAGUUCACCACAGCAGCAUGGGGAGGUCAAAGCAGUCAUGACCUUGCGAAAAGGAAAGGAAGUCGACAACAAAGUGGAGAUGCCGGUGACAAAAGAAAAUCAAAUUGUACCUGUGAAUGUUGAGGACUCACCACCGGAGGAAAAAGAAGAAACCAACCCACGAGAAUAUGUUCCUAAAGCUCCAUUUCCUCAGAGGUUAGCGAAAGGAAAGAAGGGAAAUUCCACAGGUGAGAUUCUCGAAAUCUUCAAACAGGUAAGUGUUAACAUCCCUUUACUUGAUGCUAUAAAGCAAGUUCCAUCUUAUGCUAAGUUUCUUAAAGACCUUUGUACUAAAAAGAGAAAUAUGCAUGUUCAAAAGAAGGCAUUUUUAACAGAAAACGUUAGUUCUAUACUCCAACAUAAAAUUCCUUUAAAAUGCAAAGACCCAGGCUCCCCCACUAUCUCAUGUAGUAUAGGGAACCACACAAUUGAGAAUGCUUUGUUGGAUUUAGGAGCUAGUGUAAAUCUUUUGCCUUACUCUGUAUUCGUGAAACUUGGACUGGGAGAAUUACACCCAACUCCAGUGGUGUUACAGCUUGCAGAUCGGUCCACGAAAAUACCUCGUGGUAUUGUGGAGGACGUGCUUAUCCAGGUAGACAAGUUUUAUUUUCCUGUUGAUUUCAUUGUAAUUGACACUCAACCAAUACAGGAUUCAAGGAAGCACAUCCCCAUUAUUCUAGGCCAACCUUUCUUGGCAACUGCGGAUGCUCACAUUCAAUGCAGGACUGGAAAUAUGCAAUUGUCCCUCGGCAACAUGACUAUGGAGCUGAACAUCUUCAAUAUUGCCAAACAACCUCAUAAUGCAGAUGAUAGAAUUGUAGACGUGGAUUUAAUUGAAGCAUUAGUUGAUGAUACUUUUGUUUCAAACCUUAGUGAUGAUCCUUUACAAACAUGUUUAACUCACUUUGGUUUGGAUUUUGAUAUUGACAGAUCGGUCGAAGAGGUCAACGCCCUGCUUGACUCAGCACCAUACAUGGACACUAAUAAAUGGAAGUUAAGAGUUGAACAACUAGCACCAUCAGAGAAGAAACUCAUCCCAUCAUCAGAAUCACCACCGAAACUCGAGGUCAAACCAUUGCCCAACACAUUGGAAUAUGCAUUUUUGGGAGAAGAAAUUACUUUGCCGGUAAUCAUCUCAUCAUCCCUAAAUGACGAACAAAAAGGUAAGUUGUUGGAUGUUUUAAAAGAGCACAAAGGAGCAUUAUGAUGGACCAUAGCAGACAUAAAAGGUAUAAACCCAGUAGACUGCAUGCAUUACAUUCACCUUGAUGAAAAUGCUAAAUCUACUAGGAAAAUGCAACGUCGGUUAAAUCCUAAUAUGAAAGAAGUUGUUAGAACAGAAGUCCUUAAGCUAUUAGACGCAGGUAUCAUUUACCCAAUUUCUGAUAGUUCAUGGGUCAGUCCUGUACAAGUUGUCCCCAAAAAGUCAGGAGUCACAGUAGUUACGAAUGCUGAUAAUGAAUUGAUACCCACUAGAGUAACUACAGGAUGGCGUGUAUGCAUUGAUUAUAGAAAGUUGAAUUCUGUCACACGUAAAGACCAUUUUCCUUUACCAUUUAUUGAUCAAAUGCUUGAUAGAUUAGUAGGCCAUGAAUUUUAUUGCUUUCUAGAUGGCUACUCAGGAUAUAAUCAGAUUCCCAUAGCACCAAAAGAUCAGGAGAAAACUACUUUCACUUGCCCUUUUGGCACAUUUGCAUAUAGGAGAAUGCCAUUUGGAUUAUGUAAUGCACCUGCUACAUUUCAACGAUGCAUGUUGAGCAUUUUUUCUGAUAUGGUUGAACAAUUCCUUGAAGUCUUUAUGGAUGACUUUUCUGUUUUUGGUAACUCGUUUGAUCAAUGUUUACAUCAUCUAACGCUAGUUCUGCAGAGAUGUAUCGAGAAGAAUUUAGUCUUAAAUUGGGAGAAAUGCCAUUUUAUGGUAAAACAAGGUAUUGUUCUCGGUCACAUCAUUUCGAGCAAAGGUAUUGAGGUUGACAAAGCCAAGGUGGAUCUCAUUUCUAAUCUUCCUCCACCUAAAACAGUCAGAGAAGUACGAUCUUUCCUUGGACAUGCUGGUUUCUAUAGACGUUUCAUUAAAGAUUUUAGCAAAGUUUCUAGACCCUUAUGCAAUUUACUUGCUAAGGAUGUACCUUUUAUCUUUAAUGAUUCAUGUCUCAUGGCGUUUGAAAAAUUAAAGCAAUUGUUGACAUCAUCACCCAUCAUUCAGGCCCCAAACUGGAGCUUACCAUUCGAGCUCAUGUGUGAUGCAUCUGAUUAUGCAGUAGGAGCAGUAUUAGGACAAAGAGUUGAUCGAAUUCCCCAUGUUAUUUACUAUGCUAGUAUGACAUUCAAUGAUGCACAGUUGAAUUAUUCAACUACUGAAAAAGAAAUGCUAGCAGUAGUGUUUGCAUUAGAAAAAUUUCGAUCUUAUCUCAUUGGUUGUAAAAUAAUUAUAUUCACAGAUCAUGCUGCUCUUAAAUAUCUUCUCACAAAGAAAGAUGCAAAAGCUAGACUAAUUCGUUGGGUAUUACUUUUGCAGGAAUUUGACUUGGAAUUCAAAGAUAAGAAAGGCACAGAAAAUGUCGUGGCGGACCAUCUCUCUCGUCUCCAUUUUGACACAAUUACAGAGCCAUUAAUAUUAAAUGAGUCAUUUCCAGAUGAACAAUUAAUGAGUGUGGAAGUAUUACCUUGGUAUGCUGAUAUAGUUAAUUAUCUUGUUACAGGUAAACUUCCAGAGCAUUGGACCAAGCAAGACAAGGCUAAAUUCUUUGCGGAAAUAAAGAAUUUCUUUUGGGAUGACCCAUAUUUGUUCAAGUAUUGUGCAGACCAAAUUGUUAGACGAUGUGUCCCUGAAAAUGAAAUUCAGAAUAUUCUUUCAUUCUGCCAUGAACAAGCUUGUGGAGGCCAUUUCAGUGCUAAGAAAACAACGACUAAAGUUUUACAAUGUGGUUUCUAUUGGCCAACUAUAUUUCGAGACGCUUACACUUUCUGUUCUUCAUGUGAUAGGUGUCAACGAAUGGGGAGCAUUACACGAAGGAACAUGAUGCCACUAAAUCCAAUUUUAGUGGUUGAGAUUUUUGAUGUAUGGGGUAUCGACUUCAUGGGACCCUUUCCCUCUUCUUUUGGCCAUCAAUACAUAUUGGUUGGUGUUGACUACGUCUCAAAAUGGGUAGAAGCAAUUCCAUGUAGAACCAAUGAUCACAAAGUGGUGAUAGGAUUUUUGAAAAGCAACAUUGUCUCACGCUUUGGAUUCCCUCGAGCAAUAAUCAGUGAUGGUGGUGCCCACUUUUGUAACAAAGCAUUCAAAGCUCUUUUGACAAAGUAUUCAAUCACACACAAAGUGGCAACCCCUUAUCAUCCGCAAACCAGUGGCCAAGUUGAGAUCUCCAAUCGAGAAAUAAAGCAUAUAUUAGAAAAGACGGUGAGGCCAGACAGAAAAGAUUGGUCAUUAAGACUUGAUGAUGCAUUAUGGGCAUAUAGAACGGCUUUCAAGACCCCGAUUGGGAUGUCACCCUACAGGCUAGUGUAUGGAAAAGCUUGCCACCUACCUGUGGAACUCGAGCAUCGUGCAUAUUGGGCCAUCAAGAAAUUCAACUUUGACAUGCAGCAAGCCAGCUCAGAAAGAAGAUUACAACUGGCAGAACUUGAAGAAAUUCGCAAUGAUGCAUACGAAAAUGCCAAAAUUUACAAGCAACGAAUGAAAGUCUUUCAUGACAAGCACAUUAUGAGAAAAUCGUUCACUCCAGGUCAGAAAGUGCUUUUAUUCAAUUCUCGCUUGCACCUAUUCCCAGGUAAGUUACGCUCUCGAUGGUCUGGUCCAUUUAUUGUUCAUACUAUUUUUCCACAUGGGGCAAUUGAAAUUAAGGACCCAAAGAACGGUGUCACGUUUAAAGUUAAUGGUCAAAGAUUAAAGCCAUAUCUUGAGUACCAACCACAUGGAGAAGACACCGAAAUAAAUUUGAGUGACCCACCAGAUUUGAAUUGAUUUUUUUUCUUUUUGUUGAUUUGAUUUUUCUUUCUUUUUAUUAUUCUUUUGCUAAUUGAAAUUAUUUUUGCAUAAGUGUGUUUGUUUUACCAUUAAGUUUUCUUUUCUCUUAUCAUUGUUAAUCAUGAGUACCAUACUUAGACCGUUCCUCCUGAACAUUCUUAAACCACUUCAACGUGUCAAAACUCAUCUCAAAAAGCAGAUUCAAUUUUGUAAAACACAACGCAUUUGGGCUCUACAACCACCAGAGUUAGUAGCCUAUGUUGAGGGUUUAGAAUGCCAACUCAGAGACAUUGAGAGAAGUGUUUACGACAUCCAGUUAGAGCUUGAGGUAAAUUCAAUAAGAGGACGAUUUUAAUUUUCUUUGUGUGUUUUAAUUUGUUUUUCUGUUUGUGUGUUUUAGUUUGUUACCCCGGUGAAAUGGCGGAUAACGGUACUCCGUGACAAUCAAGUCGGUUACUUCAGUUUCCCAUAAUAACUGACAUUCUGAGGCGAAAGUAUGGACAGAAAAGAGAUUCUAGCAAAGCUUCACAAGCGAUUCCCUUCACUUCCUCAGAAUGCCCUCCUUACGAUCUAUAAAGCUCGGUCCGAACGCAUGCGAUUACUCAUGAAGAAUAACAUACCUGCUGACAUCCGUUGGUUAAUCGAGGCUAAAGUACGAUCGGCAGGUGAGUUUCCUCCAAAAUUUAUUGCAUACAUGCCUGGUUGUGGUAAAGGAAAUUAUGCAAGAAAACGACGAGCUCGAAGAAUUUCUGUUGCUUGUCAUAAGUGUGCUAGAAUGAGUUGCGAUAGAAACCCAUGUUCUUUAGGAAUGGUGUCUGAUAACAGGGAAGAUAAGAUUUAAUUCAUUAGGGAUGGCUUGAAUAAGGAGUCAUUGGAUGAUAUCCUUUUGUCUCUUGAAACGCAUCCUAGUGGAUAUGUGCAAGGAGCGAUUCUCCAGUUAUGGCCAUUAUUCCAGAAAGAGCAUGCACGAUAUAGUCUCGGGAAUCUGACUAUAAACGACCCUGUUUGCCAGUUUAUAAGAAAACUGGAUAGGAAGCCUAUCCUCGACCCAUAGAGGGCGUUCAAGCCGUUUCUGGACGUAAAACCAGAGGAAGAUGUGAGCCACAGUCGCAACUACGUGUAAAUAUCCUUUUACUUUACUGUUAUUUUAUUUCAUUUCACUGUUGUUUUAUUGUUUGCAUUAUUGUCUUUAAUAAUUUUGUUACUGUUUGCUUUUUCCUUUUUACUGUUUCCUUUUUGACUCACGAGCCACGUGCUUAACGCGUUAUUUGACACUGACAUGCCACCCCAUACACAGUUGUGACCCACUGUCACCAAGAUUCUUAAAUAUGACUUUUUGUUAAGCACUCACAAAUUGUUUCUGAGAAAUAUUCCAAUGGCAGCUACUCCUAAUAGACAAUUCAAGAACAUUUGUGUGCUUUCUGGAUUUACCUAUGGCAAACAUAAAGAGUUCGUGGAGGCAGCCAUAGAUCUUGGUCGAAGCAUAGCAGCGAGAAAAUUACACUUGGUGUAUGGAGGAGGUAACCGAGGGUUAUCAAAAAUGGUCUCAGAAGCAGCUUUUAUCAGAGGAAGUCAAGUGUUAGGCAUCAUCCCAAGAGUCCUAAAACCAUUGGGCAGUUCGUCUGACUCAUCAACUGGAGAAGAGUUAGUCGUCUCAGGUAUGCAAGAAAGAAUAACUGAAAUGCUUAAUCAUGCUGAUGCUUUUAUUUUCCUUCCAGGAGAUCUUGCAACACUAGAGGCACUUAUGACACUAGCAUCUUGAGCCCAUCUACACAUUCACCAGAAACCCAUCGGUUUGUUAAAUGUCAAUAACUUUUAUGAUGGCUUUAUCGCAUUUCUUAACCAUGCAAUAAAAAACUAUUUCAUUCCUUCUAAUGUGAAAAAACUCUUUAUUUGUGCUCACACUGCUAAUGAGCUACUUGAUAUGUUACAAGCUUAUAAACCGGAGCCAGACCCCUGGACCUUUGUGUUGGAGCGACCAAAUAAUGAUGGUAACAGUAGCCGCAGUAAGAAGUACAAAUUAGAUUUAACUCUCCGCCUGUAAAUAUUUUCUUCUGUGUUGCACCACCCAGGUGAUGUCUUCUAAACUCUACUUCUUUCAUUUCAAACAUUGAGGACAAUGUUUCGUUCUGGUUGGGGGGAGGGAAUAGUCGACAGUUGUGGAAUCUUGGUUAAAUUUUUACUGAUUUUUUGUUGUAGAAACUAACUGUUGCUAACUUUUUAUGUUGAAGAUGGCUGAAUAUGGAGUGUAGUGACUCUAGAAACGCAUUUUCAUCGUUUAAAAAAAAUUAAAAAAAAACUAAAAAAAAAUUUCAGACAGUUUCUUUUUUUUUUCUUUCUUUAUUCUGUUUUUAUGUUUAUUUUUCUUCUUUUUAAUUUCUCCUCUAUAAAUAUACAUUUUCCAACUUGUGAGUCGAAGAUGGCUGAAUAUGGAGUGUAGUGCCUCUAGAAACGCAUCUUCUUAAAAAAAAAAAAAAAAAAAACCCAUUUUCUUUUUCUAUCAUUUUACGUGUAACUUUUCUAAUUAGUUUUUAUGCAUCAUUUUCACAUUUCUGCAUGCAUAUUUUCCUUUCAUGUUUAGAAUAGGUUGGGGGGUAGAAUGUUGUUUAAAAAAAAAAAAAUUGUGUUAUUUGUUUUAACAUUGGAUGACAUGAUUAAUUUCAAAUUUUAGUAUUUGUAUUAUCUUUGGUCUUAAGUGAUGUUACGCUAUGUUUGCUACUUUACAUGUUGAUGUCGGAGACAAAUAUGAGUUGCUUGAAGGAAUGAACAUGUCAUAAAUAAGUGCCAAGUGAGUUGUUGAGCCUAUCAUUUUCUUGGAGAGUAACACUUUUGCCCAUUCUCUAUACAGCUUAGCAGUUUAUUAGUUUAUACACGAUCUCUAGAUUUCUUUUGAGUUAACCCUUUAAAAAAAAAUGUGUGUUGCUACAUUGGGAGACCCAUCUAACUAGUAGAUAUGGAUAAUUAUUUAGAGCCCUAAAAGACGAUGGAAAGGCCAUAUUUGAUCCGUUUGAGCCUUUCUAGCCAUCCCUUUUAUUAAAUAUCCAUAGUUACCCCUUUUGAGCCUUUUUUUAAAAAAAAAAGAGAACAAAAACAUUUUCUUUGUCAACUUAUCAUCUUGACCCACUCCGAUUUGGAGUAUUACCCAAUGUCUUUUAAGUUCCAUCACCUAUUUAUGUUUGAGAAAAUGUAAAUAAUGAUGUUGUUCAGUGAAGUUAUGCCAAAUAAAAGCAAAAAAAAAAAAAAAAAAACAAAAGUUGUUGUUUCAAAAGAAUAAAAAUAACAAUAAUAGGUGAAAUCCACCUUGCAACUUCAAAAAAAAAUAUAUAUAUUUCUGCAUUUUUCUCAAACAUACACUUUGUUUUCCUUAUUUCCUUUCUUUGUUAGCCAUAUCCCUAGCCUACGUUAUGUCCUAAUAAAAGUCCUUCUUGAUUUUAGGGAACUAUAGUUUGAAGUAGAAGCUAGUUAUAUGGGCUAAAAAGAUGUAGUGAUGCAUAAUAAAAAAAAAAAAGAUAAAUAAAGUGGGUUGACUAACAUUUUAUUUGACUUGAGAUCGUAUUAUUUCUAAGCUAAGGGCAUAUUUAUUUCAUCUUGGUGAGAGCAUGUGAUAUCACUUCUUCAUUAUUUUCUCUCAAUUACCAUUCAUUGGAGUGACUAUUUUUUUAGGUUUAAUUUCUUUGUGAGAGUGUCACUACUUCCAGUGAGAUUUUGGGUUUUGACAUGUCAUUCUUGAAAGUAGUUAUAACAAAGUCUACUGGCCGAUUCAUGUGGAUGGUUGAUGUGGGUGUGAUGUUGUUUUAGACUGGAGAUAAUACUUAUACUUUUAUUUGAUUGCUAUCAUUAAUCUGAUUGAAUAAACACGAGUGUUUCUAAAAAAAAAAAAAAAAAUUAUUUUGAAUUUGAAUUUUGUUUUCGCUUUAUUUGCUAGGGACUAACAUUAAGCUGGUUGGGGGGUGUGUUGAGUGUUAGAAAAUGCAUAUUUAUAAAGGAGAAAACCAUCAUUUUACAUUUCAAGUCUUACUAACAACUCUUACUUUUAUGUAUUUAACCUUCUUGUAAUAUAAUUACGUGUGUUUUAUUUUAAUUAAGUAUUUUAUGUAUUUUAGGGGCAUUAUAGUCAUUUCACAAUAAAGGAGAGAUCAGGCGGCAAAACGGACAUCACUUUUGAACUCAGGACGGUCGAAAACCUUAGGAGGAGCAUAAAAGGAAAAAUGGCACUAUUCAUAUGUACGGUACUAUUCACGUGUACGGUAUUAACUACGUUACUGUUCACAACACUGUUCACAUAGACGGAUCGAUGACGUGGCAUUGACCGAUGAUGUGGCAUUGACUGAUGAGGUGUCACGAUCCUGUUGAGCUAAAAUUCUUAUGUACUGUUGAUGGUGACGUGGCAGUAUAUCAGUGGAUGAAAAAUCUCGCGUACGGUACAUGCAUCACACAGGAUUAUUUUCAACCAAACCGCGUUACUGUUCAUCCGAGUCAAACCGUGUUACUGUUUAUCCGAGUCAAACCGUGUUACUGUUCAUCCGCGUGGUCAAACCGUGGACUGUUGACUUAUGACGUGGCGCAAUCCUGAGCGUCCAAACUGUUUUUAAUCCGAUGGCCAUGAUUUACUCCAUGUAUCUAUAAAAAGGGGGCCUUCCCCCCCUAAUUUGAUAGCUCUGAAUCCAUUUUUGGGAUCCAUUUUCUGUAAUUCCUUCUCCAUCUUGUAUUUUCUUUGUAUUUUAAUAAAUUCCCAUUUUGCCCCUAGUUCAAUUAUGAGUGGCUAAUUUUCUUUCAAGCUUGGGUUGAAGGUGAAGUCUCAACAUGUGUCAUGGGCUUAAUUUGGUAAAUUUAUUUUCUCUUCCCCUCUAGUUUUUGUGGAUGUUUUGACUUCUCGUCGACAAAUAAUAAUAAUCUUGUCUAGAUACCGCCUUGGUUACACCGGCUCUCUAGUAUAAGGUUAUUAUUAUUUGGCACGAUAAGCCCUUAGCACCAUAUUGAUUAGAGCGUGGUUCAUGAGGUGUGGAUUCCCCCCUCAUGAUUUAAUUGGCAUUAAUAAAGAUUAUUUAGCCCAUGAUGCAUGUUGAUACGGAUCCAGAUACCCAAGUACGUCAUUUUAAUAGAAUUCUCUUCAAUUUAUUCUCGCCAUUUCAAUUCCAAUUUUAGAAUUUAUUCUCGCCAUUUUAAUUUAAGUUUUAGCAUAUCCCAAAUCAUUUCCACCACAAAUCCAAUCACCCAUUUACAAAAUUAAUUCUACACAAUUAAAAUCCACCUCCUCGUGGGAUCGACACUCGUCACCAUUAGUCUAUACUACAAUAGAUUCGUGCGCUUGCGAGUACAUUAAAAUUUGCACAACACACUUCAACAUGUUUAGUUCUGUCAUGAUGAAUAGGGUUAUGAGCAAUGUUUAUUGCUGCCUUGUUGUCACAAUACAACUUCAUAGGAACAUCAAUGAUAAUCUUCAAUUCUUCAAGUAGCUUCUUUAACCACAAAAGUUCACAAAUACCAUAUGCUACUGCUCUAAAUUCAGCUUCAGCACUGCUUCUUGCAACCACUGAUUGCUUCUUACUCCUCCAAGUUACCAAGUUUCCUCCCACAAAUGUGCAAUACCCUGAAGUUGACCUUCUAUCAAUAAUAGAUCCAGCCCAAUCUGCAUCAGUAUAUACUUCAACUUGCAUAUUGUUAUUUUUCUUGAAUAGCAGGCCUUUUCCUGGAGUUUUUUUCAGGUACUUGAGAACCUUGUAAACAGCUUCUAAGUGCUCUUUACAUGGAGAGUGCAUAAAUUGACUAAUAACACUUACUGCAAAGGCUAUGUCUGGCCUAGUAUGAGACAAGUAUAUCAACUUACCAACCAACCUUUGGUAACUUUCUCUAUCCACUGAUUUUCCUUCAAUUGCAUAUCCCAAUUUGUGAUAAGGAUCAAUAGGAGUGUCUCCAGGUUUGCAUCCCAACAUGCCAGUUUCCUUGAGUAAGUCUAAAGUAUAUUUCCUUUGAGAAACAAAAAUGCCUUUACUGGAUCUUGCAAUUUCCAUGCCCAAAAAAUAUCUUAAGGGGCCAAGGUCCUUCAUCUCAAAUUCUCUAGCAAGAACCUUCUUGAGAUUUUCCAUUUCUAUUACAUUGCUUCCAGUCAAGAUGAUAUCGUCUACAUAUACAAUGAGGAUCACAACACUACCAUCAGUGAAGUGUUUAAAAAACAUUGUAUGAUCUGCUUGACUCUGUAAAUAUCCAAAGCUAUGAACAGAUUUGGUAAAUCUGUCAAACCAAGCUCGAGGAGAUUGUUUUAAGCCGUAAAGUGAUCUCUUCAGCUUGCACACUUUUUCAAUACCAUAUUCAUUCUCAAAACCUGGUGGCAGAUCCAUAUAUACCUCUUCUUCAAGCUCUCCAUUAAGAAACGCAUUCUUAACAUCUAAUUGUUGUAGUUGCCAUCCUAAGCUUGCUGCAAGAGACAACAAAACCCGAAUGGAAUUCAUUUUUGCCACGGGAGCAAAUGUUUCUUGGUAGUCAAUGCUAUAUGUUUGUGUAAAACCUUUCGCGACAAGCCUAGCUUUGUACCUCUCAAGUGACCCAUCUGCUCUGUAUUUAACUGUAAAAAUCCACUUGCAACCCACUGGUUUUUUUCCUUCUGGUAAUUUAACUAGUUCCCAAGUUUUGCUUUUUUCUAGAGCUCUCAUCUCUGCAUACCCAGCAUCUCUCCAUUCUGGAAUAGAAAGAGCAUCUUGUACAGAUUUUGGAAUUGCUAUGACAGACAGGUUAGCUGCAAAAGCUCUAAAAGAUGGAGAUAAUCUAUGAUAUGACACAUACUUAGAAAUUGGAUGAAGAGUACAAGACCUAGUUCCUUUUCGUAGUGCAAUUGGAACAUCUAGAUCAUUUGUAGUUUCUAAAACAGAUUCUGAAAUAGGAUUAGAAUGAAUGUUACCUGCAAGUUCCAAGUUGCCUGUGUUUGGAUCCGAGUCUUGGCAGUGAGGAGAGGAAUGAUGAUUUGACCUUUUCGAAUUCCGUCGUGUGUAGACUUGAAGCUAUGGUUCUGGAACUCUCUCUAAUGAUUUUUCAUUAUUCAUAAUUGAUGGCAUUGUAGAAGGAACAUGAGGUACACAAGACAUAAUAGGCAUUGGAAGAGAUAAUUCCCAAAAAUGAUCUUCCGGAGUAUGAUUCUCCCCCUGAAGAGAAGUUUUGGGAAAGAAAGAUCUAUUUUCAAAAAAUGUGACAUCCAUUGUGAUGAAGAAUUUUUUAGACAAUGGAUCAUAACAUUUGUAGCCUUUUUGAGUAGGAGAAUAGCUAAGAAAUACACAUUUUAAAGCUCUAGGAUCAAGUUUGCUCAUGUUCUAUGUAUGAAUGUGAACAAAAGCAAUGCACCCAAAAAUCUUGGGUGGUAAAGAUGUGAAAAACUUAGCGGUAGGAUAGAAUUUUGUGAAAACAUUUAAUGGAGACUGAAAAUUAAAGAUUCGGGUAGGCAUGCGAUUUAUCAAGUAUGAUGCUGUGAGAAUGGCUUCACCCCAAAACUGUUUUGGCACCCUAUUUGUGAACAUAAGAGAGCGUGCAACUUCUAACAAGUGUUGAUUUUUCCGUUCAGCAAUACCAUUUUGCUGAGGAGUAUCUACACAAGAGGAUUGGUGCACAAUGCCAUUUUCCAUGAAAUAAUGACCAAGGGCAGUAGAAAAAUAUGCUCUCCCAUUGUCAGUUCUAAAGACUUGGAUUUUUGCUUGAAAUUGUGUUUGAAUCAUGGUAUGAAAGGUUUUAAAAACUGUUGCAGUUUCUGAUUUUUCUUUAAGCAAGUACACCCAACAAACACGAGUGUGGUCAUCAAUAAAAGUUAUGAACCAUUUAGCCCCCGAAAUGUUUGUAACAUGAGAGGGUCCCCAAAUAUCACUGUGUAUGAGAGAAAAAUGUUCAGAUUUUUUAUACGGCUGUGAAGGAAAAGAUACACGAUGAUGUUUGGACAAUACACAAAUUUCACACUGAAACAAAGAAGGAUUUUUAUUCUUGAACAACAAAGAAAACAAGUGUUGUAAAUAAGAAAAACUAGGAUGACCUAAUCGGAGAUGCCACAACAUUAUUUUAUCUUUAAUAGAGAAAGUUAGUUCAUUAUUUGUUGCCUGAGCUUCUCCACACAAACUAACAUCCUCCUCGAAGUAGUACAAACCAUCUACCUCUCUAGCACUGCCAAUUUUCUUCCCUGAACACAGGUCCUGAAAUUCACAAUAGGAAGGAGAGAAUUUAGCAAUGCAAUGAAGAUCCUUGGUAAUUUUGCUAACAGAUAAAAGAUUACAAGACAAAUUAGGAACAUGAAGAACAGAUGUUAACACCAAAUUUGUAGAGAUAGGAAUAGAUCCUUUUCCUGCUGCAGAAGAUAGUGAACCAUCAGCAAUUUUAAUUUUUUGACUACCAGGACAUGGAAUAUAUGAAUAAAAUAAUUUAGAAUGGCUAGUCAUAUGAUCGGUUGCUCCUGAAUCGAUGAUCCAUGGAUCUUUUUUCUCAUAAACAACUCCUAAAGCACUGAAAUCAUUACCUUUCUGGGCUAAAGAACUAGAAGAUGAAGGAUUUGGGAGAGAUUGUGACUGAUUAAGAAACUUGUACAGUUGCUCUAACUGUUCUUUAGUGAAGAGUUGAGAUUCGGAUUCUCCAGUGUUGAUUGUCGGCUGAUUCUCCCCAAAAACUUGAAAACCUCGACUAUGUUUACCAGAGAAUUUAUUGUUUUUCAAAUUUGGAGGUUUUCCAUGAAGCUUCCAACAUGCAUCUCUGGUAUGUCUUGGCUUGUGACAAUAAUCACACCAAACUCUGUCCUUCUCAUCACUCUUCUUCAGGUUUUUUGUUCCCCCAAUCAGUGGAGCUUCUGGUGUAACAGAGAUCAAGGCUGAGUUCUCUGCUGAAGAACCUCCCAUCAUCACAUUCUUUCUACUUUCCUCUCUUUUUACAUAAGAAAACACUUCCCUGGUAGAAGGAAGAGGUUCCUUGCCAAGUACUCGCCCACGGACUUCAUCAAGGUCUGAACUCAAACCUGCUAAGAAUUCAAAUACACGCUCUUUUUCUAACAUCUUCUUGUAUUUAGCACUAUCAGCAGCACAUUCCCACUCGCCAUCAUAGUACUGAUCUAACUCUUGCCAUAAGCCCUUCAAAAUAUUGUAGUAUUUAGUCACUCCUUGACUACCUUGUUUGGUUUCUCGAAUUCUGGUUUUCAGAUCAUAAAUCUGAGCAGAAUUUCCCAAAUCAGAAUAGGUCUCGGUGACAGCAUCCCACAAAUCCUUUGCUGUUGGCAGAAACAAGUAAGUUUGACCUAUCUCCGAUUCCAUUGAAUUCACUAACCAUGACAUGAUCAUUGAGUUGUCAGCAGCCCAAGUAUGAAACUUUGGGUCUUCUUCAGUUGGUUCUUUAAUUGAACCAGUAAGGUAACCAAUCUUCCCUUUACCUCUGAUAAACAUCUUCACAGAUUGGGACCACUGAAGAAAAUUUUGACCAUUCAAUUUAUGGAUUGUGAUCUAAAGUGAUGGACUAUCAUUAGAAACAUAACUUGAUAGUUGUAGAUGUCGUUGCAAUUGCUCUGAAGAUAACUCAGAAGUUUCUUGCUCGCUAUACUUUGAUAUUGGUAUUCAAAUAGAAUUGAAAACUAAAUCCAAGAAUCAAAGAGCGACUCUGAUACCAUGAGAAAAUUAUUGAAGAAAUAUGUAUCUCCUUUUCUUAUUUUUACAAUAGGGUUACACAAUACAUAUAUAUAUAUUCUAAACUACAUAAUGUGCUAGAGUAGGAAAGUAAACAACUAACUGCAGACCAAGAAACUAGGAAACAAACUCUAUCUAAAAAACUGAAAUUCUAUCCCUAUUUUUUUUCCUUUCUAUCCCUAUCUUUUUUCCUUAAAAAUAGGAUAGAAAACAAGUGACUUUUCCACAGCCCUUUUGGACAAAAAUGAUUUCCUGCUAAUUUUGAGAAUAAAACCAUAGACAUCUAACUUCUGAUAUCUAGUCAAUCUGGUAAAAUCUUGGCAGUUGCACUUGGGGCAUAAAUUAGUUCCACCUUGGUUUAAGGACAGAAAUUCGUCAUAUGCAUGUAUUUAUUUAUGUUUUAUACACACACACAUGCAUGUACACACAAACACUACCUUCACUUUGAAGAAAAGAUUAAAAUAACACUGCUCACAUACACAAUACUUACUAUUCUAGUUCGUGUAACUUUCUCCGGAGUCACAAACAGGUCACAGAAUUCACGUAUUAACCGCAUACUUCUAGUCAUUUCUAUUCCUCCUUCACCAUCACUUGUCCCACAAUUACAAAAAGUGAGAGGUAAUAACCAACAUAUUUGGGUUGCUCUUCGGUAAGGGGUGGGAGGUAAGGGUUAGUUGUGGAGGGCACCUAGUACAGAAUCAAGGCCAGCUGUUGGGAAUUUGAUCUCCUGUAACAUAUACUUGUUCAUCAUAAACUAUAUACUUAUUCUGCAGUCGAUGUGUGCAUAUAGCUCUUCAAUUAUCCAGUAAUAACUCACCAUCAACUUCCUGCCAUCUUUCACGGCUAAUUCAGCAGCCAUUUUUGCCUGCUUAAAGGUCAAAAGCCCAAACUAAGCAGAUGCUCCUACUCCGAUACUUAUUAUCUAACUACUACAGAACAGAUGAUACGCAUCAAGUUGUAUCAAGAGAGACACCAAGUUGUGUUUUCCAAGAGGUUCCAAAGAGGUUUUGUUUCUUUGUGUAAUUUUUAGACUGCUUUGACAACUCAUCUUAAAGGUGCCACUCAUCCAAUAUGAUGUGGUGACAGUAGUUUAGAGUUUUAAACUAAAUGCAGAGCUAAUAGUAUUUUGGAAUAUAAUCAUCCUAAGAUACUAUAACACAGGGAUUCUUACACAAAAACAACAACUUCGAUGUAGAGAGAAGAUGAUUUCACAAAAGCAGAUGUUUUGAUUUAAGUCUCCAAAACCCCCACCAAAGAAAUGUUCAACAGAUAUAGAAAUAUGAUCCACAUAUCUGUAACUUAAACUGUGAAAGUUGUUGAUGUUGUUCUAAAAUUGCCACAAUCUAUCUACCCCAUGAAUGUUUUUGGAUAAAACAACAAGCAGGACCCAAUGCCUGUUUUCUAAUAGCUUCAAAAAGGCCAAAUUGGUUUUGAAAUGUCUCCAGCUUUUCAUUUAAUAAGAGAGAGAGAGAGAGAGAAGAAUCGCUCCCCUUUCAAAUACCGUGCUCUUUUGUACCUGGGAAUUUAACUAAUUCUUGCGAAUAAAAAAAUUUAUAAAUUUGGUAAAUUAUUUAUUAAAAAAUAUUGAGAGGCUGUGCAUUAUUUUAUUAGUAAAGAUAUAGUUAUCAUCAAAUUAGUUAUAUUAAAAUAGUUUUUGACUCACGUAAUUUAUUUUUAUUAUUUUUAUAUAUAUAUUUAAUUAAUAAAUUUAUGUUAUAUUCAUUUGUAUAAAAAUGUACAGUUCUAUCCUCACUCUUAUUUUAUUUUUAUUAUUUUUUCAGAAAAUGGUAUGCGUUAUUAAGGUUAAGGGUGACAACUGGGAUCAAUAUACGGUUUAUUCGAGUGCUUAAAACCUAAUAAAUAUCCACUAACUCAUAUUUAAUUAAAAUAUAAUUAUUUUUAAAUAAAAAAAUUUAAUAUAAACUAAACAAAUUGAUUGGAUUUUGUUUCUAAAGGUACAUCAUUAGAACGUUACCUUUAAUUGAACAAAAGCACACAUAACUAGCACAUUCGCCACAAAAGCCUCAGCUUAGUGGUCGGCUUAUUAAUUAUCUUAAUAAAAUCAUGGUCAUAAAUUUGAGUCCCCGUAGGAAUUAUUAGGUUAGGUAGCUUUUUUAGACUACAAAAGCUUUUUUAGACUACUCAUUCAUUUAAUUUUCCGUUAUAUAUAUUCAUCUUUUUUAGAGGCCAAGAAGUCUUCGACAGAAAUGUGAUCUUUUUCUAGUUGCCUCCCGGUGAUGAGCUUCUCCCAAGUUUCAAUUAAUUCGCUUUGAGUGAGGAUAUUUUCUGGUGGCCUCAAAUACAAUGUCUUGUUCAGCACUCAAGGGUCAUCUAUUGUCUUAAUAGUAUAUGUGGCAACAUCAUCAAGAUGCACUAUAGAAAAAAAGAUAAUCAUUUUGUUUAAUAUGAACAUAAAUUCUUACAGUCUAACUCAUAUUAUAGUGAACGAUGCUGUUAUGUGGUGCGUGCAUGCACUAUCUAUAGUUUUAAUAUUAUUAAUAAAGAGUUAAAAGUCUUGAUUUAAUUUUAAAUUGUCAUUCCUCUAACUUCACCGUCUUCAUAGAUGCAGACUUUAUCUUUUGAAGGGUGAGGGUAGCUAUAUUUGAGAGAGGUGUCUAGGGAACCAACCAGCAAAAAACAGCUAGCAGAAACAUAAAUGACAGGGAUUUGAGCAGCCUUGAUUGCCCUUCUCACACAUGCGCUCUGCGUUCUCCCUCCCGCUCUCACUCACUCACGCCCAAAUCUCACCUCACUCACGCAUCUCUCCUUCUGACCGGUGGUUUUCUCUCUCUCGCCGUGGGUCUCAAGGCUGGCAGGGAUUUCUCGACUUGACUACUAAAACAUAAUCCAAAAACUACUAAGAGAUGUAUAUAUUACUCUGAUAUACACAAUAUGAAGAAACUGCAGUUAUAUUUCAAAUAUUAUAUGAAGGAAGAGGCUGUAUGGAUUAUCUAAAGGUGCUGAAAUUAAGAGACCUAUUGAAAAGUCAUGCAUGUGGUAAUUUUUCAAAGAGCUACCAAACAUUUGAAGAAAAAAUGGAAAGUUGGCAAAUUUGUCAAAUUUGCCAAAUGGACACCAUUGACUAUUGGCUUAGGUUAGGUGGAAUGGUAAAGGGGUUGGUGCAAUAGUGCCAUUAUUUUUCCUAUAAAUAGAUGGCACUUUUUCCAUUCUUUUGCAUCCCAAAAUUGUUAAGCUUAUAAGUUUCUAAGCUUUUGAGAGAAGUGAGAGAAGUGUGUCUGGGGAAUUUAUCUUUCCUGCAGAGUGUGAGAGUACUGGGUAUAUUUUGGGUUUCUGGGAAGUGAGAUUCGUUACUCAAAUAUUGUACUCUAUUAAUUGUUAAAUAAACAAUUAUUCUUUCUUGCCUCCGUGGAUGUAGGUUUAAUUACCGAACCACAUAAUUCUUGUGUCCUUUAUUUUUUCUAUAAUUAUUUGGUGCGCUUGAUUCCGCAUUCCAAGCACAACAAGUGGUAUCAGAGCCGAAGGUUCGUACUUGGGGGGAUACGGUACUGUUCACGUAUACGGUACUAUUCCCAUAUACGGUACUGUUCACGAAUACGGUGGAGACGGCCAUUUGUACUUGGGAGACAGUCUAUUGUAAGUAGUGUGUAUUUUUGCAUGUUUAGGAAAGUUCUGUCAACAAAGGCGAUAAGAGUCUAAGGAUUCUGGUUUUUAAUUGGGACCGAGUUCCCGUCCAGUUUCUUGGGAACUUUCCUGGUGCAUUUAUUCAUGCGAAAUUAACAUCAUAGAGACUGUUUUUCAAGUGGAAAUAGUUCGUUGAGAAAAUGGUAGAAGGUGAAACUUCCAGAAUUGGGGAGAGAUCUACCGAGACUAUUUCAGGAGACACUUCAGGUGGGAGACGAGAUUUGUCAAAUCGCUAUUCAGCACCUGUUAUAGGAGGUCAGAAGAUCGAUGUUGAAAAGUUUGAUGGGAAAAUCAACUUCGGCAUGUGGUGGCGCGAAGUUAUGGAUGCCCUUAUUCAAAUCGAUCUCGAUGUUGUUCUGAAAAAUAAAAGACACUUGUAUGAUGAAGAAAUUUGGGAUCGUAUGAAUGAAAAAGCUUGUGGUUAGAUCAGAUCUUGUUUGACCAAGGAGGUGAAAUACUUGGUGAAAGAUGAGGAGUGUGCGGUAACUUUGUGGCGUACAUUAGAGGAAAAGUACUUGGUGAAAAGUCCUGAAAAUCGCCUUCAUGCAAUGAGCCAAGUAUAUGGUUUUCGAAUGAAGCCUGGGGUGUCAAUGCACGAUCAUGUUUCAAGAUUUGAAAAGUUACUUGCUGAUUUGAAGAAUCUUGAUGAAGAUAUUAAGGAUGAAGUCAAGGCUAUGAUUCUGUUACACUCACUACCAGAGGAAUAUAGCCAUUUUGUGACUACUUUGAUAUAUGGGAAGAGUGUGAUCGUCUUCAAAGAUGUUUGCACAACAUUGACUAGCUUAGAGAUUCGGAAUAAUGAUAAAAAUUCUGAACGAGCAUCGUCUGAAGCUUUAGUGAGCAGAGAUUGGGCGAUGGAGAAACAGAAGAAGCGUGGUGGAAAGAACUCUCGAUCCAAAUCGAGAAGCAGAAAUAUAGCUCGAGAUGAGUGUGCCUUUUGUCAUGAAAAGGGCCAUUAGAAGAAAGAUUAUCCAAAUGCUCAAAAGAGAGAUGGGAAGAAACCAGCAGCAGCAAACAUGGCACGGAAAGAUGAGGGAUCUGAUUAUUCACUAAGUAUUACUCCUGCAGCAUACGUGGCUAGUUCGAGCGAGUGGAUACUUGAUACUGGAGCAACCUAUCAUUUGUGUCCCAUUAAGGAAUGGUUUACGGAUUUCAACGUAUUGGAAUCUGGUGCAGUUGUGAUGGGGAAUGAUCAACCUUGUCGCACAAUGGGGAUAGUAACAAUUCGGCUCAAAAUGUUUGAUGGAAUGGUCAGAGAACUCAAAAAGGUUAGAUUUGUUUCAGCUUUAAAGAAAAAUCUAAUUUCUGUGGGUGCUUUAGAAGCUAAAGGCUACAAGGUUACCAUUGAAGAUGGUAUAAUGAAGUUUACACAUGGGGCUAUGGUGAUUCUGCAAGGGGUUCGGCGUCACAAUCUGUACUAUUUGAAGAGAGGUACAACUGAUGAAGCAAAUGUUGUUGAGGCACACAGUGACACCACCAAGCUAUGGCAUGUACGACUAGGACAUGCUAGAGAGAAGUCUUUGCAAACUCUGAUAAGGCAUGGACUCUUAAAAGGUACCAAAACCUGUAAAUUAAAUUUUUGUGAGCAUUGUGUAGUAGGCAAGAAAACAAGGGUUAAGUUUGGUACAGCUAAUCACGAUACUCGUGAGAUCCUUGAAUAUGUUCAUAGUGAUGUAUGGGGACCAACCAAGACUGCAUCAAUUGGUGGAAGCCAUUAUUUUGUUACAUUUGUUGAUGAUUUCUCUAGAAGUGUGUGGGUGUACACCAUGCGAGCAAAUGAUGAGGUUCUAGAGAUUUUCGUGAAAUGGAAGAAAUUGGUGGAGACUCAAACUGGAAGAAAGAUCAAAGUAUUACGAUAUGAUAAUGGGGGUGAAUAUACUUCUGAUCCAUUCUUGCAAGUAUGCCAGAACGAGGGUAUUAAAAGACAUUUCACAGUGAGACAUACUCCGCAACAGAACGGUGUGGCUGAGCGUAUGAAUCGUACUUUACUGGAGAAGGUAUGGUGUAUGUUAUCUAAUGCUGGUUUAGAUAAAAAGUUUUGGGCUGAAGUUGUGAGCUACGCAAGUCACUUGGUAAACCGGUUGCCUUCUGCUGCAAUUGGAGGUAAAACUCCUAUGGAAAUGUGGUCUGGAAAGCAUGCACAAGACUAUGAUUCCCUUCGUAUAUUCGGGUGUCCAGCUUAUUAUCAUGUCAAAGAUGGUAAACUAGAUCCUCGUGCUAGAAAAGCUAUCUUUGUGGGAUUCAAAGGUGGAGUAAAGGACUUCAAGCUUUGGGAUCUCGAAGAUAAAAAGUUUGUGUGUAGCAGAAAUGUCACAUUUGAUGAAGCUUCAAUGAUGAAAGCUUCAAGUUCUCAGCAGGUGGAGAACAAGACCAAAGAGGUAUUGCUGCGGGUGGAGUUUGAUGCAACUCCAUAUGUACCAGUUAGUUCUACAUCAAAGAAGAGUUCAACUAUAGAGGUGACACCUAGAGUUGAAGAAGAGGUUGUUUCUUCUGAUGUCCCACAAAAUGAAGAAACAAUUGAUAAUGUAGAUAAUGAUGAUUUUAUAGCAACAAGGAGGCUAAGAAGAGAGAUAAAGAAACCCGGAUGGCUUACUAAAGAUAUGGUGGUAGCCUAUGCACUUCCAGUUAUUGAUGAUGACAUCCCCAACACUUUCGGUGAAGCAUUACGCAGCAGUGAAAGUGAUCAGUGGAAGUUAGCCAUGGAGGAAGAGAUGAAAUCUCUCCAUCAAAACCAGACUUGGGAACUUGUAAAGUUACCAAAAGGGAAAAAGGCUAUUGGCAAUAAAUGGGUCUACACCAAAAAGCAAGGAUCUCCGAAUAAAAUAACUCCUCGAUACAAGGCAAGGCUCGUGGCAAAAGGUUUUGCUCAAAAGGAAGGUAUUGACUACAAUUAAGUUUUCUCUCCAGUUGUAAAACAUACUUCCAUUCGUAUCCUACUUGCCUUAGUUGCAGAAUAUGAGUUAGAGUUGGCUCAAUUGGAUGUUAAGACCGCGUUCAUACAUGGAGAUUUGGAGGAGGAAAUCUAUAUGAUUCAGCCUUGUGGUUUCAAAGUUGCUGGAAAAGAGAAUCAUGUGUGUAGGUUGAUUAAAUUUUUGUACGGACUGAAGCAAUCGCCAAGGCAGUGGUAUAAAAGAUUUGAUCAAUUUAUACAAGGGCAGAAAUUCACCAGAAGUGAACACGAUCAUUGUGUUUACUUUAGAAGACUACCAGAUAGAGCUUUCAUCUAUUUGUUACUCUAUGUCGAUGAUAUGCUUAUAGCUUCGAAGAAUAGAGAUGAGAUCGAAAGAUUAAAAAAGCAACUGGCUUCUGAGUUUAAGAUGAAAGACUUGGGUGAUGCACAGAGAAUACUUGGGAUGGAGAUUCGUAGAGACAAGAAGAAUGGGAGCGUAUGGUUGACUCAAAAGUCUUAUUUGAAGAAAGUGCUAGAAAGAUUCGGUAUGGAUGACAAAACUAAACCAGUAUGUACACCUCUAGCUUCUCAUUUCAAAUUAAGCUUUUCUUCAUGUCCUAGAUCUCAAGAGGAGCGUGAUUAUAUGGCUCGUGUUCCAUAUGCUAGUGCUGUGGGUAGUCUUAUGUAUGCUAUGGUAUGCACAAGGCCCGAUAUAUCUCAAGCAGUGAGCAUGGUUAGUAGAUACAUGCAAAAUCCGGGUAAAAAUUAAUGGCUUGCGGUAAAGUGGAUUCUCCGAUAUCUGUAUGGGACAGUUGAUGUUGGGUUAUUGUUCAAGAAGGAUUGUGGUCAACAAUGUGUUGGGUAUUGUGAUUCUGAUUUCGCUGGAGACCUUGACAAGCGAAGAUCAACAACGUGCUACGUAUUCACAUUGGGUGGAGGUCCGGUUAGCUGGAGGUCGAUUCUACAAUCGACAAUUGCUCUGUCCACUGCGGAAGCAGAGUAUAUGGCAGCAACUGAAGCUAUAAAAGAAGCUAUCUGGUUGAAAGGUUUAUUAGGUGAUUUGGGAGUAAUCCAGGAGAACAUUGCGGUCUUAUGUGAUAAUCAAAGUGUGAUAUUCCUUGCGAAGAAUCAAACAUAUCACGCUCGGACGAAGCACAUAGAUGUGAAAUAUCAUUAUGUGAGAGAGAUUAUCGAGAGCGGUGUUGUGUUGUUGAGAAAGAUCGAUACCAAAGAUAAUCCAUUAGAUAUGUUGACGAAGGUAGUUUCUGGAGUUAAGUUUCAACAUUGCUUGAAAUUAAUUCAAAUCCUUCGAUUGUGUUAAGAUAUGUCCUUCGGGAAUUUUGAACUACGGUUGGCUUGAUCCCAAAUUUUGGGUACGUAGGCAGUCAUAGAGAUGCAGCCACUUUGGGGAUGAUGAUUGGUUGGUAGUCGGCUCAGAUUUGGACAAAUUUUCACCGAGGUGGAGAAUUGUUGAAAAGUCAUGCAUGUGGCAAUUUUUCAAAGAGCUACCAAACAUUUGAAGAAAAAAUGGAAAGUUGGCAAAUUUUUCAAAUUUGCCAAAUGGACCCCAUUGACUAUUGGUUUUAUGUUAGGUGGAAUAGUAAAGGGGUUGGUGCAAUAGUGCUAUUAUUUUUCCUAUAAAUAGAUGGCACUUCUUCCAUUCUUUUGCAUCCCAAAAUUGUUAAGCUUAUAAGUUUCUAAGCUUUUGAGAGAAGUGAGAGAAGUGUCUGGGGAAUUUAUCUUUCCUGCAGAGUGUGAAGUACUGGGUAUAUUUUGGGUUUAUGGGAAGUGAGAUUUGUUACUCAAAUAUUGUACUCUAUUAAUUGUUAAAUAAACAAUUAUUCUUUCUUGCCUCCGUGGAUGUAGGUUUAAUUACCGAACCACGUAAUUCUUGUGUCCUUUAUUUUUUCUAUAAUUAUUUGGUGCGCUUGAUUCCGCAUUCCGCGCACAACAAGACCCACACCAACCGACAGACCCCCGGUGAUAGAGAGAAAGUCGACUGUGAGAUGCAUUCAAGACGGGGGAAGAGUGAGAGAGAAAACUGCCCGGUCAGAAGGAGAGAUGCAUGAUUGAGGUGAGAGAUUUGGGCGUGAGUGAGUGAGGAGUGAGGGAGAGGGUGCCGCGUGUGUGGGAUGCGUACAAUGACAAUUUAUACUUACAUCAAAACGCCGCGUUCGGUGCCAUGUGUAGGGCUAACUGUGGUUUGAAUCUCACUUUGGUAAUGGAAAUGACUUUGCAAUUGACAGUUUUUGUCAAAAGUUCGCACUGCAUGAAACUAGUGUUAAUAUAAUUUAAAAAAUUAAUUUCAGUAUUAAUUUUUAAAGUUUUAAUUAUUAUAUUUAUUUUAAUAAUAGAUUUAUAUUUAUUAUAAAAAUUUUAGUUAAAUAUUUGUGUUAAAUGGAAUUUAUAAUUAAUAUAAUAGAUCUUAGGUAUUAAUAUAUUAUAAUUAUUCUAUAUGCUAUUGAAAAUCAUUUAUAUUUUUAGACGUUUAUUUUCAUAUUAAGUUUCUAUUUAUUUUAAAAUUUAGUUUAAUAUAAUAUAAGCAAGUAAAGUAUUAAAAUAUUUUUUAGUAUUAUUUAAAAUAUUAAAAUAAUUUUAAAAUAUAAGUCAAAUUUUUAAGUGAAUAUAACUAAUAUUUACAGCUAUUUGAUGGCCUCAACAAGCUAAAGCAGCAUCAAAAUUUGUGGCUCGUUAAUUUAUUUUUUCCCUUUCAAAAAGGGAAGAGGAUAAGUUUGGAAGAAUGAUUAUAUUUUUAAUAAAUUCUUUUUUAUUAUAAUACUUUUUGUCUUUAUUAAUUUAAAAAUAUUGACUCUUAUAUUUUAAAAAAUAUAAAUAUAAUAUUAUAAUAAAAUAUAACAAUAUAUAUCAAAUAUUUAAAAAAUUUAAUAUUUUAAUAUUUUAUAUUAUAUUAAAAUAAAUUUUUAAUAAAUAAAAAUAAUCUAUUAAAAUAAAGUACAAAAAUUUAAAUUAUUUUCAAUAUCAUCUAAAAUAAUUUUACUAUUAUUAAUGCAUGAAAUAUAUUAUAGUAAUUGUAAAUUUCAUUUAACUCAAAGAUUUAUUUAGAAUGUUCAUAAUAAGUCCAAAUAUAUUAUUAAAAUAAUUAUAAUAAUUUACAUUUUAAAAAUUAAUACUGAUAUUAAUUUUUAAAUUAUAUUACUCUACCAGAAAAAUUAAACUAUUAAAUUAUAUCAAUAUUUAUUAAAAAAUUUUGAAAUUAAUUCUUGUUAUAUUUUUAAUUGGAAUUUUUUCAUGUGAUAUAACCAGAAUUGCUACAAUUUUUUUCCCUAAUUAAAGAUGGAGUUAUAAAUUAUUUGUAUAAGUGUCUGUGUGGAAACUAAUGUGACAUGAAAGUAAUAGCUGAAUAACAAUAAUGGGCCGAUUUCAAUUCUUAAACAGACUUGUCCUUCAUCCCAAUUUAUUUACCCCAUUUGGGCCGGUUAUGACAUAAACAUAUUCUUGUGGAAUGAAAAACAUCAUGAGAAGAAAAUGUUUUAUUAUAAUAGAAAAAAGUGGUCCAUAAGUCUAUUCAUUACUUUUUUUAUUCAAUAUAAAUGGCUAACUUUAAAAAUGGUAAAAAUCACAUAACGCGCAAACAUAUUUUAGAUUUAUAUUUUUUAAUACUCUCCGAGUCUCUCUUUCUCUUUUUCUUUUUUUAAAUAAAUGUCAGUAUAAAAUUUAAAAAAAAUUUAGAUAUAAAAUUUGGCAAUGACCAAACAAAAAUUGCAGAGGAAACCUUGAUAUCAUUGAAAUACUGAUAAUAGACACUACAGUAUAAAUAACUUGUUGUGAUCCACUCAACUUGUAACACUUUAAUCCAUAUUCUAAAAUUUUCAUGUUUGUUAGGAUUUUUAUUAUUGAUACUACUGUAUCAAUAAAAUUAUAAUUUAUUCAUAUGGAAUGAAAACAUCAAGAAAGGACCUCUGAUGUUUAUUGUCAUAGAAAAAAGUGGUCCAUAAGUCUAUUAAUUAUUUUAUUUAUUCAAUACAAAUGGCCAACUUAAAAAAUGGUAAAAAUCACACAAUGCACAAGUAAAAUUUUACAAUUACAUUUUUUAAUUCUCUUUGAGUCUCUCUCUCUCUUUAAAAAAUAAACCUCACUGUAAAAUUAGAAAAAUUUUAGACGUAAAAUUUGACAAUCACCAAAUAGAAAACAUAGGGAAAUGAAAAUGGAGGAGCCCUAUUUUCAUUAGAAUAUUGAUCAUAGAUACUAUAAUGUAAAUGAUUUGUUGCGAUUCCUUCAACUUGUCACACUCUAAGCUAUUUUCUAAAAUUUGUAAGGUUUAUAGGAUUUUUAUUACUGCCAUCAUUGUAUCAAUAAUAUUAUAAAUUAUAUAUUCUAUUGUAAUGAAAAUUUGUGUAAUCUUAGGUAUUUAUUGUAUUAAAUUGUGUGGAUUAAUUAAGAAUAUUUUUGGAGACAAAAGAAGUGUGUGUACGUAGGAUUAAUGAUAAAAAAUUUCUAAAUAAAGGUGAUUGCUUCAUUGACAAGUACAUAUUUAUAUUCCUCUAUUAAUAUUUGGGUUGUAAACUCUAUAAUAAAGUUGGUUGGUGUGAGUGGUUCGGCACUCUCACUCUUUAAGAGAGGUCGGGAGUUCAAGCCUCGCUCUCGUAUGGAGUCACCACUUUGGCCAGCACUUUACCUCUUAUGGGCCGACCCGGUGCGAGUGGGAAUUAGUAUGGGUUGUGGUAUGGGCUUAAAGGUGUCUCCCACAGUUGGGGCCCACUCAGGACCACCUCGUGAUUCAAACAAAAAAAAAAAGUGAAUAUAUUGUGGCAAGUGAUGUGGGCAAUAUCGGAUGCGAAAUAUUGAGAGAUCAUUAACGCAUAUAUUUAUUGAAGAUGCGUAUAGAGGAAAGAGUGUAGAUCCGGCCGUAACAAUUACGAAGCUUUCCCCAAGUAUACUCAUGCUUCCUUAACUGUUUCGAAGUAUUUUUCAUAGUGUGCAGAUUUACUUUAUGGUGUCUUUAAUUCAUCUUAAAUGAUUACUUUAUUGUUUUAGGAUGCAAUGUCAUUUAUUGUGUUAAUUUAAACAAUAGAAAAAAUAAGUAACAGUAACGAAAGACUAAUUUGUGAUAUUGAAGCGUACGGGCUUAACUCAAUCCAAAAAUUAGUAAAUUAGCUCAAGAGUUAAGAGUUGUCCAAAUCUUAUAUGAUGAACCCAAGUUUAAUACACAAUUGAUGCGGGAUGUUAUUCCUAACACCUCCCGUCAUGUGUAGGAUUGGCAAAAAAACUCGGGUCAGUCCCGCCUAAACCUACGAGCUUUAUGCAUGGCUCGCAUGAUGAAGUUACGGAUAUUAACCUAAAAAUUUGAAACUUACUAUGAAUGGCCUUGCUUAAAGACUUUUGCAACUUUAAUUUAUAACAAGUAUGUAUAUCUACACACACAUAAGCUUAGAUUGCAUUUGGAUGGCUUUUUUAAUCAAUUCAAACAAUCUGAAAUUUAUCAGAUUAAUCCAAAUCUUAUAUGUAUCCAAUUUUGCCCGCCCCUACUAUAUAUAAGCCCAAGUGACUCUCUUUUACUAAUUAAUAAGAGAAUUUUUGACCUUAUAUCCUUGUUGUGGCGUUAGACUGUUGGUUAUUUUGAUUGUUUCCUACCUUCCAUUUACGCCAGCUAUAACAUUGUAUUAUCACCAUUUUAGCCAUUUAAAUGAAAUUUUAUUUUUCAUUUUAUUGUGUCAAUACUAUCAUAAUUUAUUCAUUUUAUUGUAAUGAUAAUUUGUCUAGUCUUAGGUACUUACUAUAUUAAAUUAUGUAAAUUAAUUGAGAAUACUUUUAGAGACAAAAGAAACACGUGUAUGUAGGAUUAAUAAGCGAAGAGUUGUAAAUGAAGGUGAUUGCUUCAUUGAGAGGCAUAUUAAAUAAUUAUGGAGAGUUGCUCUAUUUCGGAAGCAUAUAUUUAUACUUCCCUAUCAGGAUUUGGGGUAAGCGAGGUGCUUUAUGUAUUGCAGUAACCAAAUGUGGGCAAUAUCAGAGCCGAAAUAUUGAAAGAUCAUAACGCAUAUAAACGAUUAGUAUAUUGAAGACACAUAUAGAGGAAAGAGUGCAGAUCCGGCCGUAACUAUUAUGAGGAUUUCCUCAAGUAUUCUCAUGCUUCCUCAACUGUUCUGAACUAUAUAUUCCUCAUUGUGGGCAGAUUUACUUAAAUACCAACACAAUGAUUCAAUACUUCAAAGGUCAAGGAAAUGUCAAAAUAUGAAAUGAAAAUACUUAAAUACCCUUCUACCUAACAAAACUUAGUACUUCUAACUGCCUUAGCAGAGAAUCUAUAAAAUUAAAAAAAAAAAUUCAUCCAUGAAAAGCUUCGUAACAGAAAAACCGUCUUUCAAAAAAUAAAAAAUAAAAAAUAAAAACAGAAAAACCGACUCAUUUAUCUGCCAAUGAACCAGUCAGGACUCAUUUAAAAAAGAUUACAAAGCAAAAGUAAAUGACACAAAUUGCAUAGAUAUCUCGGAGCCGCAUCAAAGGACAAUGGUGUUAAUUUGUCCGAGUAAUAAAUUCUCCUUGGUCAAAAGCAAUUAACGAUGAAAACUUUCUUCAUUAAGGUUCUGGCCUACGUAAAAAAAAAAAAAAAAAACCACCCCAAGGUCAAAGCACAACGAUAAGUUUAGAAUUGCAGUUUUUAAUUUUUUUUAAUAAAUCAACGUGUAUAAAAAAUAGAUAAUAAUUUUAAAUAAAUUUUAUUUGAUAAAUAUAGGCAUAAAAUUUUAAAAUCACCAAACAGAAAAACAGGGGAAUUAAAACAGAGUCCCUGUUUAUCCUCUAUUUUGCUUGUUAUUAAACAGGGAAAUGAAAAGAUCACAAGCGGAAAUUUUGUUUCUGCGUUGUCUCUUCUCAAUGCUACAUGCAUUCAAAUUAAACCUUACAUAUGCUAGCAAACUAGCUACCUGCGUUUAAGUGUUAGAGUGCAAUUUAUGCACUAAUUUUGCAUUGUUUACUUCUUUUAAUAUCGAUAUUUUGCACUUAAUAAUAGUGAUUUACUUGUAUUUUAUUUUUGUAAGUGCAAUUCUAUUUAUUGGUGCUAAAAUUGGGCUACAAGAUGAUGUUUGAAGAUGAUUGUUUUCUUGGAAAAAUUAUGAGUUUCAGAAGAACUUUGUUGAUAAGGCGUGGGCGCUGGCUGUCAACUACGGACCUGUAGUUUUUAGUUUAACGUGUUUUGUCUUUUUGGUUAUUUUUGUAAUCACGAAUUUAAUAUUUAGAUAAUAUUUUAGAUAUUAGUAUUUUAUUUUAAAAAGAACUCUAGAAGAGAAUUUAAGAGGGGAAUCUAUGGUCAAAGGAAAAAAAAGAAAGGAAACCCUAGAUCUAAAUUUUUCUCUUCUCUCUAUGAAGAACUAAACCUAUUAUUCUGGUUAAAGGUUAAUGGAGCUUUGAUUCAUCAUUACUGUGAGAUCUUUCUUAUGCUUUAAUUGUUUUAUUGAUUUUUGGGUAUUUGUUUAUUCUCUAAAUUAUUGUCAUGAUUAUGUUUGUUAAUUAGAUAAUUAGCCAUUAUUUAAUUAUCAACUUAAUCUAUUGUCAAUUAAAGGAUUCAUCGUAUGAAGAUUUUAAUGUUUGUGACAAAUAGCAUAGCAGUUCGUUAUGUUAUGAGAAUAAACAAUCUAAUUUAAAUGAACCAUCGUAUGCGUUUGUUGAUUAGGAUUUGGGUCUCUCUGGUUUUUCAGGUUGUCAAUUGAUUAAAUCCUAUGAUCGUAUCUAGGGUUGUCUAUUGAUUAGGGAAAUAACCAAUGGUCGUACCUUGGUUAUCGACUAGUUAAGGAGAGAUUGGCUAUUAGAGGGUCUCAGUAGCUAUAACCGGUCUAUUCAUAAGUAGUAAUGAUUUAUAUUUGAAUCAAUGAUCAAUAGUCGAAUCAAGCUGAGUUAAUUCCUUCAACCAGAGCUUUCCCCAAUUUUAAUUUGCAUUCUUGUUAUUUUAAUUUGAUUUUUAUUAUUGUCAACAAUUCCCCCAUUUUGCAUUUUGCAUUUUAAAAGGAUUUAAAUAAUUACUAAUCUCUGUGGACACAACCCUACUCAAUCACUAUACACAAUUUAUUUAGAGUAUGUAUUUAUUUUUGCUGGCUUCGACAACCAUCAAUAAGUUCUCGAUAAGUCCAAAUAAUAGAAUAAUUGUAAAAUGUUCAAAUUCAGUAAUUAAUUAUACAUAUUUAUUUAUUCAAAAUUAUUAUUAUUAUUAAUUAUUGUCAAUAAUAUAUUAAUAUACUAAUUAAUUGUAAACUUUUUUAUCAUUCAUAACAAUGAUGAUGAUGAUGAUGAUGAUGAUGAUGAUAAAAAAUUCAAAACAUAUUAAUUAAUUAUAAUAAUAUAUUAAAUAUUUAAUUAUUUAAUAAUAAUAAUAAUAAAUGCACAAUGUAUAAAUUGAUUAGAAUAAUUAUAUUAAUUAAUCAUAAUAAUUUUUUAAUUGAGGACAAAAUAGAUAUUUUAUAGUUUGUGAGAGGGGGCAAAAUGGUCAAUCUUGGGAAUGGGGGAUUGAUUCCCACCACCUUCCUUAGGAAUCAAUCUUCCAUUCCUCAUUCCUAAUUUGGGUGGUCCCCAUAGUUCUGAUUCGGAUCCCAGCCUCCAUUUUAUGAAGUAAACAUCAUUAAGAUUUCGAUUCCGGAUUCCGAUUCCCCAAUCCAAGAAGUACAGGCACCAUUAUUGUUGAUUGGUUCAAAUGCACAAAGAGAAUGUACCAUGUAGCUAGGCGUCAAGGUUGUGCUGCACAAGUAACCUUUUUCUUUUCUUUUCUUUUUAUUUUUCUUAUUUUCCUUAAUGUAUCGGAAGAAACUGGUGCCUUUGAGAUACUACCAUGUAAAUAAGUACUUAUGGUUCAUUGAAUCUGUAACACUCGGUACCCUACAAUUGCUUUUGAAAAAGGGCUUUACUCACUUAUCGCUAAUAUUCAAGUAAGUUUGUUUCAUUUCAGAAGGUGCAAAGUUUCAAACUUGUUGUAUUGAGAUGUAACAAACUUUGGCCUUAUAUGCUUGUUGUGACGUUUGACUGUUCAUUUUGACUGUUUCCUACCUUCCACUUACGCCUGUAGCACUGUAUUAUUCACCAUUUUAGUUGUUUAAAUGAAAUUUUAUUUUGUCAAAAAUGAAAUGACACCAUUAAAAUUUAAAAAAAUAGUCAUGGAGAUCCCAAAUUUUUACUAAAGAACACCAAUAUUCCCCUUGACUAUAAUACCCUUAGCAGGUGGUAAUAAAAAAUUGACUUAAAAUUUUUUGCGAAAUGUAAAUAUGAUUUAAAUAAUUUAAAUUUUCCAAUAGACUAAUAUAUAUAAUUUAAAUAAUUAAUUUCAAUAUUAAUUUUUUAAAUGUAAAUUAAUAUAUUUGUAUUUAUAAAAUAUUUGCAAUUAUUAUAAAAAUUUUAAAUAAAUCCUUAGGUUAAUAGAUUUUACAAUAAAUAUAAUAUUUCUCAUGUAUUAAUAAUAUUAAAAUUAUUUUAUAUGAUAUUGAAAAUAACUUAAUUUAUAUAUUUAUUUGAAUAUUAUGUCUCUAUUUAUUAUAAUUUGGUUUAAUAGAAUACGAGAUUGUAAAAUAUUAAAAUAUUUUAGAUAUUGAAAUUUUAAUAUGUAUAUAUUAUUAUAUUUAUUUUAAUAUAUUUAUAUUUAUUAUAAAUUAUUAGAGUCAAUUUUUAGUUAAUAAAUUUAAAAAUAUUAUAAUUAAAAAAAAGAAUUCUUAUUGUCUGUUAUUCACAAUAUGAGGUUCUACAAAAUUAUUUCUCCAGACGGGUGUCCUUUUCUUAUUUGUAAAAGGAAAAAUAAGUUCAGGGAUCUUAAAAAAUUCUAGUCCUAUCGACCACUAUGACUAAUGGGAAACGACAUUGCAAUUGACAUUACUUUUCGCAAUAUGACAAAUUUUUGGAGGGAUACGGGAGAAUCGUCAAACGUUCACACCACACGAGAGCUUUAGGUGGGAUCGGGGAGGAUUGUCAAGAGUUCACACCACGAGAAAUUAAUGAUAGGCCUAAUUUCGCUGUCAGUUCUUUAUUUAUUUAUUUUAUUUAUUUCAUACAUUAUUAUCUUGUUGGUAUUGUUUUGUAAAGGUAUAAAAGUAAAGUAAAAUACUAGGGGUACCAUUAAGUUACAGCUGAUGUAACUUACAGUGUUUUAAAAAAUAAUAUAAAAAAUUUAAUAGCUGGUGGGAUCCACAUAUUUUUGAAGAGACUUAAGUUACAACAGUUGUAACUUAACAAAAUCCAAAUAUUUGACAAUAAUGCAUAUAAUUUGGAUUUGAUUUUUAAAAGAUUAUUUGAGCACCACCUAUCCUUAUGAUAUUAAUGUGAAUAUAUCUUAAUAUUAAAUAAUCAAAAUUUGUUUAAUUAUUAUUUGUAUUUCAUACAUUACCUAUUAGAUUUGUUUGAAUUUUACGUUCUUGCUAAUAAAUAUUUAUGUUGUCAAAGUCAAAUUCUAAUGAUUAAAAGAGCAACUAUCCCUUAAAUUUUAAUGGUGAAUUGUAUAUAGUUUUUAAGAAAGUAAGGAUAAGUUGGAUAAUUGACUUAAAUUCUAAUGAUUAAAAGAGCAACUAUCCUUUAAAUUAAAAUGUCAAUUUCUUUAAUUAUAAUUUUUUUUUCAUGUGAUAUAACCACAAUUGCUAUAGUUUUUUUAAAUAAUAAUGGGAGUUAUAAAUUAUUUAUAUAAAAUUUGUGUAGAAUCUAAUGUAACCUAAAAGUAGUUGCUGAAUAAUAAUAUUUGAAACUCUAGGUAAUUUUCAUAUGAGCCCUUUUUAUAUUCAGCAUCUUGAAUCGGGGGAAAUCCGACUUGAAUUGGCGGCUGAUUUUGGUGAUGUAGCUUUCGGUUUAUGGUUGCCUUACAGUGGCGGACGACUGAUUUACGGUCGCCGACUGCUAGGGAUUAUGGUGGUGGUGUAAAUUGACGGAAAAAGUAGAAGGUUUGGUGGCGGCGCGUGUAGGAACCACUCGUGGGUUGUCGUUUCGUGUGGUGACUGCGGGUGGCGAUCAAGGGCUGACGUUGGUCGGUUUUUGGUCAACGGAGGGCGGCCAGUUUGUUGGUGGAGGUGGCUGGCGGUGAAAGUGGCUGAAUGGUGGUGGAUAUCUUGGUGGAGCUACGGGUUUGGGUUGGUGAUUUGCGGCUGUUCAGGCGGCGGUUGAGGCAGCGAUAGCUGCGGCUUGGUCGGCGGUGGCUAGCGAGGUUUGUUGUGGUGUUGGCUGGCUGAUCGGUGGUGGUGGGCGGCGGCGGUGGAGGUUGAUGCGGCGGGUAGGGUUUUCAAAUCGGUUUUUGAUAUUUUUUUUUUUUUUUAUGAAUUUGGUGUGGAUGGGUAUAGGGUAAGAAACACUAGAUAUCAUUCUAGUACUGGACCAAGCCAACGCAAUUAAUUUACCAUCUAGUCGAAGGGUGAUUAGAUAUCGUUCUAACCCAAACGAUAAAAUGAGAUUUUUAACAACGCGUAAUACAAGAUUAGAUGAUGCUCUAAUCCAAACGACUCUACAACGACUCUAUAAGAGAGAUUUUGAUAGAUAAAUCUAGGGAAAAUUAUAAAAGAUGGGUUUUAUUUAAUAAUUAAACCUAAAGUUUUGAAAACAAUGACAAGAUAUUUUUAUUUAUAAUACAGGAAAUCUGCUUCCCUAAGAUAACCUAAAAAAGAAAAGUAAAUCAUAAUUAUAAUAGAAAUGAAAGAUUAAGAUACACACCAUAAUUGACUCAAACUAAAAUAGAAAAUCUUAAAGUAAUAAAUAUUCUAAAAUUGUAAAUUAUCUAAAAUAACAAUAAUUAACUUCCUAAAUCAUUUCUUUGGUGUAAAUCAUUUUACAUCCAACCUCGCUUUAAAGGUUUGAACCAGCGUUACCAACAACAAUGUAUCAAGUUCCAAUCUAGCUUAAGAUCAUGCUGAUACAUCUACUGAUAUCUUUAUUUGAUUAGACAAUAAUGAGUCUAUCUCAUCACUUGUUACCUCUUUCUUGAAGGCUGCAUCUGUUGAGCGAUAACCUCGUUGAAAGUUUAAAGAUCUUCCUCCAUGUUAAAUUAAAUGGGCAUUUGAUUAAGAACUUUAUCUCUAUCUCCUUCUAUCAAAUAACAACCAUCCAAAGGGAAAAAAAAAUUAAAAAAAUCCAUGGGUCACAAUAAUUUCUGGUCAGCCCACAAACCCCCCAUUAUCUGCCACUAUCAAUCAUGAAAAUGAAAAUAAAUGGCAUAUUCCCAAAAUGACGAAAGAUUUUGGGGGAUAUGGGGGAAUUGUCAAAAGUUCACACAACGCGAAACAAGUGUUACAUCCAAUUUUAUUUCGUCAUAUAAUGAUAAUAUCAAAUAAUGACAACCAUCCAAAAGUAUGAUGGGUCUUCCAAAAUUUUAAAAAUGUCGUCAACAUUUAAUUUUCAAUGCUAAAGAAAAUGAAAUGCCCAAAAAUGACACGCAAGACCCACUCACAAACUAAAUGGCCCUUGACCAUAUGUAACAAACUUUGACCUUAUGUCCCUGCUAUGGCGUUAGACUGUUGGUCAUUUUGAUUGCUUUUUACCUUCCAUUUACACCCACUGAAGCAUUGUACGAUUAACCAUUUUAGCUGUUUAAAUGAAAUUUUUAUUUUUUUCAAAAGUAAAAUGACACGCUUAAAAUUUUAGAAAAUAGCCAUGUAGACCCUAAAAUUUUAAUAAAGAACACCAAUACCCUUUUUGACUAUAGUACUUUUAGUCGAUGGUAACAAAAAAAAAAAAUGACUUCAAAAUUUUUUACUAAAUGUAAAUAUGAUUUAAAUAGUUUAAAUUUUCUAGUAGACUAGUAGGUAUAAUUUAAAUAAUUAAUUUAAAUAUUAAUUUUUAAAAUGUAAUUUAAUAUAUUUAUUUUAAUAAUAUAUUUUUAUUUAUUAUAAAAUUUUAAAUAAAUCCUUAGGUUAAAUAGAUUAUAUAAUUAAUAUAAUAUUUCUCAUGUUUUAAUAAUAUUAAAAUUAUUUUACAUGCUAUUGAAAAUAAUUUAAAGUUUUAUAUAUUUAUUUGAAUAUUAUGUCUCUAUUUAUUAUAACUUGGUUUAAUAGAAUAUGAGAUUGUAAAAUAUUAAAAUAUUUUUAGGUACUGAAAUUAUUUUAAUAGGUAUAUAUUAUUAUAUUUACUUUAAUAUCCUACUUAUAUUUAUUAUAAAAUAUUAAAAUUAAUUUUUUUAGUUAAUGAAUUUAAAAAAUAAUAUAAUUAAAAAAAGAGUCUUAUUGUCCGUUAUUCACGAUAUGAGGUUUUACAAAAUUAUUUUCAAAAGGAAAAAUAAGUUCAGGGGUUUCAAAAAAUUCUAGUCCAAUCGACCACUAUGACUAAUGGGAAACGACAUUGCAAUUGACAUUGUUUUUCGCAAUAUGACAAAAUUUUGGAGGGAUAUGGGAGAAUCGUCAAAAGUUAACACCACACAAGAGUUUUAUUUAUUUAUUUAAUUUAUUUCACACAUAUAUUGUCUUGUUGGUAUUGUUUUGUAAAGAUAUAAAAGCACAAGUAAAAUAUUAGGGGAAGUAAAGUAAAAUAUUGGGGGUGCUGCUAAGUUACAACUGCUAUAACUUACAGUUCCUUCAAAAAUAAUGUAAAACAUUUAACACGUGGUGGGACCCACAUUAUGUUUGAAUAGUCCGUAAGUUAUAGCAGUUAUAAAUUAGUAAAAUCCAAAUAUUAGACAAUAAUACACAUUAACAAUGCAUAUAAUUUGGGUUUAAUUUUUUUUAAAUUAUUUGAGUAUUACCUAUCCUUAAGAUAUUAAUGAGAAUAUAUUUUAAUAUUGUGAAGCUUUCCUCAAUUAUUCUCAUGCACCCAGACCUUAUCUGGUCAAGUUUUCUGAUUCAAUACUGACGACAGCUUCUUUGUAAAGCUCUUCAACCACAAGCAUUUCUACAAGGCAAAGGACAAGGACGUGUUGGAAUGAAUAUCAACAUGGGAAUGUCUUAUGAAUUUAGUUUAUAUUCUAAUAUAAGACAAUCAAUAAAUAUUGGAUGCAAUCUAAGGGCUAACAUUUGAUUGAUUAAUAUAAGAAAAAAAAAGGGUACAAAAAUGCAAAACAGAGCUGAUUGAUGGCCUUUAACAGUCAGUUCUAUGACAAAGUAACCACCAUAACCAAUGGAAUUAUAAGACAUCAAGAAACUUGAACUUGGCAGGAGGUCUCAUUAGCAGUAUACCUCAGAAAUUAAGACAGAGACUUUAAAAUGCAAGCUUAUGGAGCAAUUUAAGCACUGAAACUAAUAACAGUGAUGCCAAAAAAGGUGCAGGAGUACGGUAUUAGCAAUUGACCUCUGCUUUUGCUUGGACAAAGGUUCUCAUCACAAGGGACUCAUUAGUUGCCCUUGCCUCACACGAUUGGAUGCUAAGGGGGAAAAGGAAGUUUGAAUUAGUCAAUCUCAUUUCUAAUGGCAUUCACAGAGAACCUAUAAAACAAAAAAGUAAAUAAAAAUUUUCAUCCAUGAAAAGCUUAGUAACGGAAAAACCGACUCUUUUAUCUGCCACUGACCUAAUCCGGACUCAUUUAAUUAAAAAAGAAUUCAAAGCAAAACUAAAAGACACAAAUUGCAUACAAGUCUAGGAGCCAUAUCAAAGGCGUUAUAUAACUUGUCCAAUUAAUAAAUUCUCUUAGGGACCAUGCCGUGCUCACUCAUUUCCAAAGCAAUUAAUGAUAAGAACUUUCAUCAUUAAUUGAUAUGGCCAGUGUAGAAAAAAAUGAAAAACCCCUCCAAGAUUAAAGCACAAGGAUAAGUUUAGAAUUACACUUCUUAAAUUUUGGUUAAUAAAUAAACGUCUAUAUGAAAAUAGAAAAUCUUUUUGGAAUAAAUAAACGUCAAAUUUUUGUUUCUAUCUUACUACCUUCUAAAUCCGCAAUCCCAAGUACUUAGAAGUAAAUGCUACAUAGUACAUGAGAUGUUUCCCGUUCAAAUAGCUCGUCCGAUACCAUUAACAUGUUCAUCUCUCUGUAAUUGGUGUAAUUACGAGAUUGGUGGUUGACAUGGCUUUCCUUGUACAGGUAUGUAUGAUUGUUUUUUUUUUUUUUGGCACUUCUAAAUGGAUACUGUUGAAAAGCUUAAAAUUGAACUGAUAAUUUUGUUUGGAAGCUCAGAAAAUUCAUGAGAAAGUGAAAUAGAAUAUGCUGGAUUUCUUUUCUUUCCAUAACAUACAAAUGACAAACGUAGCAGUAUUUAUACUCGUUGCUUACAUCAUAAAAACAGAAUUAAAGCAAGGUACACAACUAUAACAGCAUCAAAAGCGUGCUUAACUAAUUGGCUGAGCUGGCAUAUACUUCUUUAACUAACAAUGCUGCUGACUGGACUUUAGCUCACACAUGCUUAUCGUGCAGCUACUCUUAGUUCACACGUGCUCAGUGUGCUUCCUUAACAGACACAAGGGAAAAGACAUGAUUUUGAGAUAUAACGCUUGAAUGUUCUCGGAAUGGCAUAACGCUUCGUGUGUCUCGGAGCGGCUGAUUGGUGCUGUACGUGUUUCUCAUAUAGAACUCAAGUCUGCUGUUGUCCCAAAGUUGGAACCAGAGAUAUCAUGACUCUGGUUUCAUUUCACCUCAACUGUGUUUUUUUUUUUAAUUAAAAAAAUAAUUUUUUUAGGUAUACAUACAUGUAUUUUGAUCCCAUUUUCAUGGGAAUUUUGCAUUAAAAAAUGAAGAAUAGCUAAUAGGGAAUUUCCUGAUUCUUUAGUUACUAUUUUUGGAAUGAGGGUAAUUAGUAGUAAAGUUGGUUUCUACUCGCAAACAAGUGAGCUGCUCGAUUCCCAAGUGGUAUCAACCAGUUUUCAACUUUUUAAUAUACACAAAUUGUUAUUGUUUAAUAGCUACUACUAUUAAAACUCAACAUCUUACAAAAAUACUUAAAAAAAAUGAUUUUUUCUUAUGAUGCUGUAAAAAAAAUUACGGGUUUACUUAUUUCCACGAGAUCUUGUAUAGUGUUCUUGUAUAGUGGAAUUAAGAUUGUCUUCCCGAUGGUGCAAUUCACCCUCUUCCUUUACAGUCACUUGCACUUUGUGCAGCUUUGGUGUGGAUACGAUUCCCAGGGAAAAAGUCUUCAUGUUCGGACAAUGUGUCACAAAUACUCGUUCCAAUGAUGGGAAUUCAAGAGUGUAAUUCUCCAAACAAAAGCUGGUAAGCCUUGGUAAAUCAUCAAGUUCCAAAAGUUUUAAUUCACUGAAAGCAAUACGAUUCUCCUUCACUUCUUCUCCAGCAUGUCCUACGAUUUCUUCUAAUUUUUUGCAGUUCCAUACAUAAAGAUUCACCAGACUAGUAGGAAUUCCAACCUGAAAAUAAGCAGAGAGAGUGUGUGUGUAUAAAUAUUAAAAAAGUAAAAAUGUAAGAGUAUCAUUCAACUAGGCUCAAAGUAUGUUUGAUCAUACAAUUAUACGUUUUAUGAACAUAACAAACUGUGAAAUGUCUACUAGAUAUUUUUUGUUAAACAAAAAAGGUAACAAGAUAAAUAAAUAAAUAAAUAAAAGCCAGAUAAACAAAGAUGAUAAAAAUGUAUUUACACAAUUAGUAUUAGGGACGUAGAAAGAAUUUAAGGCAAUUUCUAAAUAUUUUAGACUUAUUUUGCAUCUUGAUAUAAGUUUUUAAGCAUAAAUUUGCACAUUUCAACUAUUCCUUUAAAAAAAAACUCAACUAAAAUGCCUCUUUUUCCCUUUUCCUUGGUCCCCUUUUUUUUAUGUAUAUAUAAAAAUGGAAAAAAAAAUUUGGAAAAGACUUCCUAGUACUGUCAACAAGGGAUUGCUGUAAAGUGGAUCUUUAUUAAGUACUUCCAGACUCGAGGAAAUUUCUUUACAAUCAAGGGUCAGUUGUAAACAAUCAUGAAUUUAUGGUUAAGUAAUGGCAUAAUCAAUUCUUAACUAAACUGGAGAUAUUAAUUAAAUUUGAAGACUUUUUUUUUUUCCCAAUCGAAAUGUGAAGAACUAAGGAAAAGAGAAAUAUAUAGAUGAAUUUGUGAACUUAUAAGAUGAGUGACUAUCCUUUAAUUUUUGAAAAUCGUACUUAUUAAGAUAUGAGCAAAAACAAUUAAAUUGAAUUAUAUUAUGCUGUUGAAUCUGUUUAAAAAAAUUAUAUUGUUGAUUCUAAUGCUGGUGAACCUAAAAACUAGACUUAAAACGUAGAUUUCAGAGUGGUGGUUUGAAGUACAAUAUUUGAAAUAAAUAAUUAGUGGCUGAAUAUCAUUUGUAAACACAGAAAUGAUUAAAAAAUUGUUGAAUGUUAUUUGAAAAAAAAAAUCGAAAUGAAUACAGAAACCUUACCAAUGGAGGAAAAAUAUUCAUUAGCUUAUCACACUCUUCUAUCUCCAAAUUCUUCAAUUUCCUGAAAGACUCCGAAGCAAGCUGGUGGUGCCAUAUUGUUCUUAGGUUAUCCAUCCACACAAUAUAUAAUACCUCCAACCUAGGAAGUCGUACCUGGCAAUUAAAGAUUAAAUAACUAAUUAAUCAAUUAAUGGCAUAAUCAAUUGAUAACUAAAUUAGAGGCGGAUAUUAACUAAAUUUGAAGACUCAAGGAAAAGACAAAUCAAGUAUUGUGACUAAAAUUAUUUUUUUAAUUAAAAAAAAAAAACUUUUCAUCAAAGAGAGGAGGAGGUUGCAUUUCAGAAUGAAUAGUGUCUUCUGGUGAGCUCGUAGAGAUGAAUCUUAACAUAUUACUGCAACAACCAAUCAUGAGGUUUAGCAAAGAAGGGAAUUCAACAACUAAAUCUGAAUGAAUAUGUCCCAUAUUGGCAAAACCUUUAAUUCAAUCAACUUUCCUUCAUCUCUUUCUGACCAUCCCGUGGUGUCGACUACCCCUUCCAUUGACUCACAAUAGCUUAUCUCAAGAUGUUGGAGUUGCAAAAGGCUAUUAACCAUAGAAUAUGAAAACAGAUACUUUAGACGAUAACACCUUUCCACAGUCACUUUUGUUAAAUUUUGACGAAAGUACAUUCCUUGAUUAUGAUCGGCCCAUAAUUUUUUCAUGUUUCUUAAGUCCCUGAGAUUCAAUUCCUCUAAGCUCGGAAGAAUAACCUGCAAAGAAAACCCGUACAUUUUUGUUCCUUCAAGUACAACCGUCUAGUAUAAUAUUCUUUUGAUGAUCAAAGAUUAAUUGUGAUAAUAAAUUAAUCAAUUAAUUAUUGAACAGAAAAUUAUCACCUUUGGAGCAGGAUCAUCAUCAGCAAUGAUUUCGUUGAAUCCCAAAGAAGUUGUUGGUUUGCUAAUUGUUGCACCAAAGAAGUAAGAUUUGAAACUUGUUUUUCUAGAGAAGUAGUACUUACCUCAUUGACUCGCUUAGGUGGCGGCAGUAGAUCGUUCCUAGUGUUGAACUGUUGGGAAUUAGCAGCCAUGUUAGCAAUGAGAUUUCGGGCUGCUUCUGGUGUCUUAUCCACGAGUGCUCCUCCACUAGCGGCAUCAAUCAUACUCCUAUCCAUAGGUAGUAGAACCUCAUAAAAGUAUUGAAUAAGAAGUUGAUCACUUAUCUGAUGGUGAGGGCAACUAGCACAUAGCUUUUUGAAUCGUUCCCAAUAGUCGUAGAGCGACUCUCCAUUAUACUGUCGGAUUCCACAAAUUUCUUUUCGAAUGCUGCCAGCUUUUGAUGCUGGGAAAUAUUUCUCCAAAAAUAGCUGACGCAUCUCAUUCCAUGUAGUGACAGUACCGGAGGGAAGAUAGUACAACCAUUCCUUGGCUGAAUCCGCCAAAGAGAAUGGGAAGGCCAUUAGCUUAACUUGCUCUUCAGAAACUCCGGCUGGUUUCAUUGUGGAGCAGACCACAUGGAACUCCUUCAAGUGGUUAUUUGGAUCCUCUCCUGCAAGACCAUGAAAAGUAGGAAGAAGAUGAAUCAUCCCAGAUUUGAGUUCAAAGUUUACUUGAGGGUUUGGAUUCUCAAUGCAUAAGGGUUGUUGGUCCAAGUUAGGAGCUGCCAACUCUUUAAGUGUUCGGUUGUUAUUCUGAGCCAUUGGUUGGGGUUCUGGGCUGCUUGGNNNNNNNNNNNNNNNNNNNNNNNNNNNNNNNNNNNNNNNNNNNNNNNNNNNNNNNNNNNNNNNNNNNNNNNNNNNNNNNNNNNNNNNNNNNNNNNNNNNNNNNNNNNNNNNNNNNNNNNNNNNNNNNNNNNNNNNNNNNNNNNNNNNNNNNNNNNNNNNNNNNNNNNNNNNNNNNNNNNNNNNNNNNNNNNNNNNNNNNNNNNNNNNNNNNNNNNNNNNNNNNNNNNNNNNNNNNNNNNNNNNNNNNNNNNNNNNNNNNNNNNNNNNNNNNNNNNNNNNNNNNNNNNNNNNNNNNNNNNNNNNNNNNNNNNNNNNNNNNNNNNNNNNNNNNNNNNNNNNNNNNNNNNNNNNNNNNNNNNNNNNNNNNNNNNNNNNNNNNNNNNNNNNNNNNNNNNNNNNNNNNNNNNNNNNNNNNNNNNNGCUAGUCCCCGGCAACGGCGCCAAAAAUUUGGUAGUGUCGUUAAGGUGCACCAAAUUUAAAACCUUACCACUAAUAUAAAUAAUUAGUACAGAGCGAGUAAGGAUCGAUCCCAUAGAGACUAUGCUAGUUAUAUUUAUUAUUAACUCCAAAGCAAGAUUUAAAAUAAAAUAAUAGUAAUAGUAAUAAUAAUAUAAAUUAAUCUAACUAAAGAAAAUGCCAAUUAAAAAUAAAAGGGGGGUUUAUGAAUUUUUAACUAAAUAGUAAGAAAUAAAGAAAUUAAAAUUACGAACAAGAAUUUAAUAAAAACUCUAAUUAAAGGAGAAAGAAAUAAUAAUGAUGAAAACUUUGGUUAAAGGAUCAUUCGCCACCACCAAACAUGCACAUAAUAAAUCAAUUCUAUUAUCAAUUUAUAUUGAAACUAUCAACCAUAGACAACAAUAAGCUCUGUUAGUCUCAAUCUUUCCUUAGUGUGUCGUUAGGUAAAAUAAGCUCUUCACCUAAUCUAUAACCAUUAAAUAAUUUAAAACAAGCUCUUUAAAUUUAAGAUAAUGGAAGCAUUAAACAAAGAAAGAAAUUAGGUUGAUCUAGGCAAUAAACACACAAGCUCAGAUUAUUUAACCUAGGUUAUGUUCUCCAAUUGAAAUCAUUAAUUCCAACCUGCUACUAAUGAUUAAAAUAUCAAGACAAUUACGGAUCAAGAAUUUUAAUCUAGCAAUAAAAUUUAUUCAAGUCCUAUCUAAUUGGCCACUCAAACAAAACAAGAAUAAACCAUGAACAUUAAUUAUAGAAGAACAUAAACAAUCUCAAUUAAAUAAAUUGAAUGAUAGAAUUUAAAUUUAAUUGCAUAGCAUGUUUAGGGUUUUGAAUUCACCCUCAACCAAAUAAAAAUCUAGCCUAACAUAAUUGAAUUGGGAAUAAGAGAAUUGACAAAACCAAUCAUAGAGAUUAAUUCAAGCGGCUGCCUUUUUCUUCAAUUGAAUUCCGGCUGCUGAUUUUUUCUUCUUCUUGCGGCUAUUGAUUUUCCUCUUGCUGCCGAAUUGGAUUUGCCCUCCCAAAGUCUCUUGCUGCCCGAAUUCUUUUCCCUCUAUUGCUUCCGCUUGAUCCUAUUUAUAAUGCUUCAAUUGUGGCUUUUUUUAAAUCCUUGCCUGGAAAGAAUUAAAUUCAAAGCUCAAAACCGCCACCUCAUGCUUCAAUUAAUAAGCCAAUAAUGAUUUCCUAAAGCCAAAAGGCUUUAUUCUCUUUCCUUUCACGUGGCAACUUUUGGUUUGCAUCUUUGUUUUCCAAUUUUGCUUUCAUGUGAUGGCUUGGCUUGUUAAUUGGCUUGGCUUCCUUUUUGACUUCCAUUUUCUAAUUUUAGCUCCAUGUGCAACAUUAAUUUUGCUCGGCCCAUACAAGCUUUAAUUAAAUUUAUUUUCUAAUUCCUUCCAAUUCUUGAUCUCUUGUGCACUUUUGUCUCUCAAUCUUCAAUCAAAUUUUUUUUCUUGAAUGCUCCGAUUUAAUUUCUCUUUAAUUCCAGAAUAUACCUAAAAUAACAAAAUAAAUAAAACUAAGAUAAAAAUUAACAAAAUAAAAUAUAAUUUACUAAAUUAAAAAUUAACUAAAAUAACUAGAAUAUUUAAGACCAAAACAAGAAAAAGAUAGAGAAAUUAAUAGCAAAAUAUAUGAAAAAUAUGCACUUAUCACAAGCCUCUCAUUUUUCAAAGCUUUUGCAAGGGUAAUAAGUGCAACAGGCAAUCCUCCGCAUUUUUCAACGAUCUCAUCUGCUAAAGGUUGAAAAGCAGAUGCUUUUGCAGAAUUACACACUAUCUUUCCAAACAAUUGCAAUGCUUCUUCCUUUGAUAAAACUUCAAUUGAGAAAUCCUUCUGAGAUUUCAUAUCAUUGCGCAAUAAAUCUCGACUUCUAGACGUCAAUAUUAUUGUGCGUCUUCUCCGAUCGUCCUCUCUAUCUUUCUCAUCAACAUCCCCAUAAGGAAUUCCAACUGUAUCGAACUCAAGUUUUGUCCAAAUAUUAUCCAGUAUAAUGAGGAGCCGCUUCUCUUGCUUCAACCUUUGACACAGUCGAGAAGCUCUUUGAAAUUCAUUCUCAUUCAAGUCAAAUUCCAUGCCUAAAUCAAAAGCAAGUUUGUCUUGAAUUUUAUGAUGAUCUGGGGUCUGUGUUAUCUCAGCCAUAACGAACUUAUCGAACAACUUAUCUUCCAUCACUUGGUUUGCAACUUGUUUGACCAGCGUGGUUUUGCCCACGCCGCCCAUCCCAUAGACCCCAAUUAUGUUGACCUUGUCAUCCUUCACCGCCUCCAUAACAUCUUGAAAUACUUUCAUUCUUGAAUCAAACGCCUCGAAAUCUUUCACUUGCAUAUGUUCUGCCCGCUUUGGAGCAGGACUGUAGGAAACAUUGGAGAAGUUGCCUUUUCCCACGAGACUAGCGGCAGCUUCUGCCGCCUUUGCUGCUUGUUUACUAAGCUUGUAACGAGAAAUCAAGUUUGGGCAUAAUCCUUUGAAGCAGGACUUCUUAGCUCUAUCUUCAUCAUCAAUGAUGGAUUUUGCAACCCCUUCACUGAUGAAUUCAUCAACGCUAUGUAGCCAGUCUGUGACACCCUCAUAAAGCUCAUCCCCUUGUAGCCUAGCAUGAUUAACUGGUUGCUGCACCAUUUCUCUCUUAUAUCCCAGCUGCUUCACUUGAUCUUUUAGCUCAUCUAUGUAGCUCUGGUACUUGAACACAUAAGAUAUCUGCCGUGUAAUCGGGUUGAACAGUGACUUUGCACCUUCUGAUACACAGUUGGUUAAAAAAGCCAGACACGCUUCUAUAGCCAUUGCCGGUUGCUUAACAAUAUAUAUCUAGUUUUUGGCUGUUGAAAAAAAAAAUGGAUUCAAAUAAAUUAAAUGAACUAGCGGGGAAGAAAAAGAAAGAAACGACAACAAACAACUUUUUAGAAAAAGGUUUCAGGGGCCUGAAUGGAAAACCAACAAUUUUUUGAAGAAAGAAAACUUUUUUGGAAGAUGGAUGCAAAUUAACCAUUAAUAAUACUGCAUAAGAACACAGAAGUUAACAAUAAACAGUAACUUAAAACUCAAGAAAAUUAAAUGACAAGAUUAAGACAAACAAGAGAUAGUUUUUGUUGGACAUUAAGAAACAUCUGCUAUCAAGAUCAAAGAUUAGAAAUUAUGCUAUUGAAAGAAAUUAUUAAAGUAUUUAGAACAAACGCACCUCUUCAAUUAUCGAGGAUCACAGAGUUUAUGAGCUUCACUCUUGGCCUUCGAUUUAUAAGAAAAAUUUUAAUGAGCAAAAGAUCACUGUUAACUGCAGAAGAAUGUGAGUAAAGAGUUUAUGGGAGUAAGCAAUACAAUUGAAUUGUAAAAGAACAAGACUUAAAGCGUGCACCCCGUGUUCAUAUAAACAGAACACAUGUUCAUUUUUAACAAAGUGAUCAAUAACUCUAUUCGUUAUUUAAUUGAUAUUGUAACCAAUUCUAAGAGAAUAUAAUAAUAAUCAUUCAAUCCAUAAAUUUAGAAUUAGAUUUUUUUAACUCUUUAUUUAAAUAUAAACCUUAAUGGAAAAUUAUAAAAGUUUAGAGAUAAAAUUUUUCAAUCACCAAACGAAAAAAACAGGGGAAUGAAAACAGAGGAAUCUUGUUUUAACUAUUUUUUUCCUCAACUCUCGUUCUUAUAUUAAUAAUCUUGUUUUGAUGAUAGUGCUCGUGACUGCGGGAAAAUUUCUACUGGAAACAACUCAAUUUCGGAAGAAAACUUAAUUUUGCAAGUGAUGAAUUUGAACUCGUUGGAUUGGUUGAUUUAUGAUUGACUGAAUUUCACUUUUGCCCAAAAGAUCUUUAACCAAAGUUUAAUAGCCAUCAUGUACUCCUUAAAAGCAAUUUUUUUUUUUAGAUUUGACUGAAUUUGAACUUGUUGGAUUGGUUGUUUUUAGAUUAUUAAUAUGAGAUAUUACAACGUAAAUAUUUUCAUGUGGUUGAGCCCUAUUCUAAAAUCUGUAUAGUUAGCUUUAGAAAAAGGGCUUUUCCUGCUGAUCUGUAAUCUUCAAAUAAACUUAGAUACAAAUAAUGAAAUAAAAGACAACAAACAAGCAAUACUGAUACAAAGCCAACAGAUCAGAGUUUUUUCUUGCCUUCUUUUGUUGAAGGAUUAGAGUUUUUGGUAUUAUCAGUAAAGGUUUCAAGGAGUAAAGCCUAUAAACUUUUUUUUUGGGGGGGGCGCCGCCGCGGGGAGGGGGGGGGGGGGGAGAGCAUGCAAAUUAACCAAAAGAAAUAAUAAGAGCACAGGCUUUAACAAUGAAUACUGACUUAAAACUCAUGCAAAAUAAGUUACAAUAUUAAAACAAACCAGAGAAAAUUUUUUCUUGGAAAGUAGAUGGAACUUAUGAAAGAGCAGAUGUCAAGGAUUUAGAAAACGCGCACCUCUUUAAUUAUCUGGGAUUAGAGAGUUGGUGAGCUUCUCUAUUUAAGAACAAGUUGAAAGAGGAAAAAGAUCACUGGUAACUGCUGAGGAAUGUGUGAGAAAAGAGUUGAUGAGAGCAAUAACAAAGACCUGCAAAAGAAAAAGAAUUAGUCAUGCACCGCUUUUCUAUAUCAUGUAUUUGGUUAUUGUUGCCCUGUUGACGCAUGUUGAAGAAGAAAGCACUAGUUCACAACUCUACGUUUUCAUAUAUUCUAAAGAAAUAAUUAAGUUUUCAUAGAAUGAUACCUGUUGUGUUUGAGUAAUUUUGGUAUAUACAUUGCUUGUGUACUGUGAAAUUGAAAUGAAUAUUGAUGGAAUGACUGAAUUUCACUUUUGCCCAAAAGAUCUUUAACCAAAGUUUAAUAGCUAUCAUGUACUCCUUAAAAGCAAUUUUUUUUUUUAGAUUUGACUGAAUUUGAACUUGUUGGAUUGGUUGUUUUUAGAUUAUUAAUAUGAGAUAUUACAACGUAAAUAUUUUCAUGUGGUUGAGCCCUAUUCUAAAAUCUGUAUAGUUAGCUUUAGAAAAAGGGCUUUUCCUGCUGAUCUGUAAUCUUCAAAUAAACUUAGAUACAAAUAAUGAAAUAAAAGACAACAAACAAGCAAUACUGAUGCAAAGCCAACAGAUCAGAGUUUUUGGUACAAAGCCAAUAAAAGACAAUAAACUUAGGACCUUUUUUUCUUGCUUUCUUUUGUUGCAGGAUUAGAGUUUUUGGUAUUAUCAGUAAAGGUUUCAAGGGUCUGAGUAAAAGCCUAUAAUCUUUUUAUAAACUUUUUUUUUUGGGGGGGGGGGGGGGGGGGGAGCAUGCAAAUUAACCAAAAGAAAUAAUAAGAGCACAGGCUUUAACAAUGAAUAGUAACUUAAAACUCAUGCAAAAUAAGUUACAAUAUUAAAACAAACCAGAGAAAAUUUUUUCUUGGAAAGUAGAUGGAACUUAAGAAAGAGCAGAUGUCAAGAUCAAGGAUCAGGGAUUCUACUAUCAAAAAAAAAAAAAUUAUUCAAGGAUUUAGAAAUCGUGCACCUCUUUAAUUAUCUGGGAUUAGAGAGUUGGUGAGCUUCUCUAUUUGGCCUUCAAUAUUUAAGAACAAGUUGAAAGAGGAAAAAGAUCACAGGUAACUGCUGAGGAAUGUGUGAGAAAAGAGUUGAUGAGAGCAAUAACAAAGACCUGCAAAAGAAAAAGAAUUAGUCAUGCACCGCUUUUCUAUAUCAUGUAUUUGGUUAUUGUUGCCCUGUUGACGCAUGUUGAAGAAGAAAGCACUAGUUCACAACUCUACGUUUUCAUAUAUUCUAAAGAAAUAAUUAAGUUUUCAUAGAAUAAUUUUGGUAUAUACAUUGCUUGUGUACUGUGAAAUUGAAAUGAAUAUUGAUGGACAGAGCAAUGCAUAUGCCUAAAAAAACAUAAAGCAAAUCCUUGAACGAAUGAUUCAGGACUAAAACUUUUAUAAAAGCAAAUACCGGAAACACACAAAAAGCAUUUAAGAGAGAAACUAAACCGCAAAUAAUCGAAGUAAGAUCAAUAAUAUAUGAUUUGAUUUAUGCAUAUUCAAAAACCAAAAUAUAAAAUAAAAUACAAAAUUAAAGUUUGGUUUAUUCUUUCCACAAAAAACAGGGGAAUGAAAACAGAGGCAACUUGUUUUACCAAUUUUUUCUUCUUAAUUUCCGGCAAAAAAAAUCAAUAAACAGGGGAAUGAAAACAAAGGAACGAAAACAGAGGAAACUUGCUUUUCAGGCUAUCUUGUGACAUGAUGAUAUUGCUCGUGAAUGCAUGAAAAUUUCUAAUGCAAACAGCUCAAUUUGGGAUGAUAAGCUUAAGUUUGCAAGUGAUGCAUGAUAAUCAGAUAUUUGUGGCUUUUAAAACUCAAGAAAACUCAAGAAAAUUAAAUGACAAGAUUAAGACAAACAAGAGAUAGUUUUUGUUGGACAUUAAGAAACAACUACUAUCAAGAUCAAAGAUUAGAAAUUAUGCUAUUGAAAGAAAUUAUUAAAGUAUUUAGAACAAACGCACCUCUUCAAUUAUCGAGGAUCACAGAGUUUAUGAGCUUCACUCUUGGCCUUCGAUUUAUAAGAAAAAUUUUAAUGAGCAAAAGAUCGCUGUUAACUGCAGAAGAAUGUGAGUAAAGAGUUUAUGGGAGUAAGCAAUACAAUUGAAUUGUAAAAGAACAAGACUUAAAGCGUGCACCCCGUGUUCAUAUAAACAGAACACAUGUUCAUUUUUAACAAAGUGAUCAAUAACUCUAUUCGUUAUUUAAUUGAUAUUGUAACCAAGAUCAAGGAUCAGGGAUUCUUAUGCCUACUGAUAUUUAAACAGAGAAUUCUUUCUUCUUUUUCUCUUCAUGGAUUAGAGUUUUUGCUAGUAACAGAAAGGUUUCAAGGGUCUGAAUAAAAUCCCAGAUUUUUUUUUAACUUUGUUUUUUGUGGGAAAAUGGAUUCAAAUUAACCAAAGCCAAUAAUAAGAUCACAGACUUUAACAAUGAACAAUAACUUAAGCAAAACCAAUGACAAGAUUAAAACAAACCACAGAAAUUUUUUCUCGGAAAGUAGAUGAAAAGCAAGUAAGAACUGCUAUUAAAGGAUAUUAUUAAAGGAUUUAGAACAUGUAUACCUCUUUAUUUAUAUGGGAUCAGAGAAUCGAUGACCUCCUCUAUUCGCUUCAGAUAUUAAGUAAGAACUGCUAUUAAAAGAAUGAAUUGAUGAGAGUAAUAACAAUGAUUGCAAAAUAGGAAGACUCAAUCAUGCACCCCUUUUAUACCUGAUCAUAUUAAGAAGUCGUUAAAGAAUAACGACUAAAUUAGGAAUUAAUUCUGAAGUUCAGAAUCAAGAACAAAGACGAAGCUUUAAUAACGCAUGCAGUGAGAUACAAGAAAUGGAUCUGGUAAAAUACAUUAAAAAAAUUUGUUCAACUUCAACCUAGUUAAGCUGAUGAAAGCACUAGUUGUUGGCUCUACGUUUCAUAUGUUCUAAUGAAAUAAUUAAGUUGAAGUUUUCAACGAAUAAAUACCUGUUUCGCUUGAAUAGCUUUGGCAUAUACAUUACUUGUGUCCUGUGAAAUUGAAAAGGUUAUUGAUUUACAAAGCUUAUUAGUAGAGAAAAGCUACGUAAGAUGCCUGAUAAAAGAUAAAGCAAGAGCUUGAAUGAAGAAUGACAUUUUAGAAAGAAACUAAAGUGUAAUCAUCAAAGUAGGAUCAAUAAUGUACCACUUUCCUUGCAAAUCUGGUGGGUUUUCUGAAUAGAUUUUUACAUUAUUCUAUUUAACCAUUUUGGGUUUACCCUAAGCAUUCUUGGUUGGCAUUGUCCUGUAAUCUGCGUGCCCUGGAUACGUGUGAGGGAAAGAUGAGGGUAGAUAUGCAAUUUCAAGAAGCGAUUUGCUUGCAUAAUUCAAUGCAUGGAAAGAGAUGUACCUGACCAGAAAAAAAAGGGCACCAUCCAUAUCUGAGCUUGACUUUUUAGAUGGAUAAAUAUUCUUAUUACUGUUGAUAAUGGAGAAGGGUUCUACUUUUACUUUGCCAUCUUUGAUAUAAAACAGCAUGAUUCCUUUUUAUCAAACACUUGCCUAAGUCUAUUUUUUAUUUUUCUUAUUUUCAGAAAGAGAUUAGCUUAAUUUAAAUUAUAUUCAAGUACAAAGUGUUAUACACUCAUAAAACGAGAAAUAGGCAUGUAUUGAUCACGCGCAAUCUAGUUUUUUUUUUUUUUCUUUUUUUUUAAUCCAGUCUUCUUAUUAAAAAAAAAAGAAUUUAUUUGCUUUAUUUUAAAUUAUUUUUUCAUGCGGUAAAUGCAAUACUGAGUAAUGGGUGAGCAAAAUAUUUACAGGCACACCCCCUUUUAAUGAUUUCGUACUAAAAUUAAAAAUUGACGAUUCCAUGAUAAAGUUCAAAGAGUAAAUGAAGACCCAUAAAUGUUUUUUGGUCAUGAGCAAUUUUUGAGUUGGGACAGCACUCGUAUGAAAAAAAAUAGUUUUUUUUUUUCUUUAAGCAUGAGGAUAUUAAUUCUUUUUUUAUAAAUCAGCGUGAAUAUAAAAUUAAAAAAAUAGUUUUGAAUAACUUCUUUUCUUUUUUCAUAAAUAUAGAUAAAAAAUUUUAAAGUCACCAAACACAAAACCAGGAAAAUGGAAAGGAAGCCCCUGUUUCUCCGCUGCUGCAAGCACAAAUUCGGUUUCUACAGGAGUACCUUCUAAAUGCACCAUUUGUAUUGCUUUGUUUCCACGUAAGCUAACGGAAUUUGAUGAAGACAAAAUAGAUAUGAGUCGUGCUAUUCACACCCCUCGAUAAUUCUCUCAAAAUCCCCUUUCUAAUUAUACCGCCUUGAAUAAUUUCAAAACUGACUUUUCCUCUUAUAAUACCACCUUCAAUUCCCUUAAUACCCUUGUUCGCUAUGAAAAUAAGGAAAAUGCCUACAUAAAAAGCUGGCUCUGAUAAUCUACCUGAAUUUACAUUAGAAAAGAGUGGACUUUGAGAAAUAAGAAGACAAUAUAGGGAAUUUUACCAAAAUAAUCCAUUUUUAUAUACAGGGAAUGGUAUUUUCUAAUAUAAGGAGGAGUGGAGAAAUUAAAUUUAGCAAAAUAAAGAACCUCCAUCGAGAAGCAAAAAUGAUGAUAUCUUUGUCGUGAAGAGAUUUCAAUUCAAUUGCAUACAUUGACGAAACAUUAAAUACGGAAAAAACAAAAAAGAAAUAAUAGAACAUGGGGAUUUCGAGAACUUCUAAAGAGAGAAAUGUAUUUAUAAGCAUUGAAAAUUAGCUCAUUAAAUUUGACAGAAUAAUAUACAAUCUCACUGUUGGCCAGAAAAUAAUAGUAAGAACUUGUGAACAUAUAUAAUCAAUUGCUUAUUACUUAAGCUUUUUCUCCGUUAUUUUGAAUGGGUGCAAAGAGGAGAAGUUUUGUACCCAAAUUCCAACUCGAAUUGUGUAGGCUGCUUGCAAGAGCUUCAUUAGAUUUUUAUUUGUCUUUUAAUAGUGCUACUCGAUAAAUACAGCUAGCUAUCUGUCCUUUUUGUUACUGGACUAUAGAUCAAUUGACAGUUGAAGUUAUAUUAAUUUGUUGUACUGGAAUUGAAGCUUGUAUCUUAGCCAUUUCGUGAAGUGUCAAAUAUAUUUUUAAUUUCCUUAAAAUUGUUCAAAAUAUGUUUACACUUUUAAAGUCACUAUUAUACAUGAGUGCCCUAAAAUCAUUUCCUUAAAAUUGUUCAAGUGGGAUCCUAGUUCUCUAUGGCAGUUGAAGAGGUAAAUGCGCAUAGAGCUAUGCUCUAUCAUAGGCCUCGGCCACUAUAAGAAAUUUGAUUUUUUAAGACGAUAUUUUUUACAACAACUUUAAAUUUGGUCACAAAAUGGUAUUUAUUGUGACAAAUUUUUUAAAUCGUAGCUAAUAAUCUUGUCCUAACUUAUAUUUUUUUUUGUAACCAAUUAUUUUUAUUUUGAGACUUGUUCAUUGGUCAUUAAUUAAAUUUUUUUAUACCAAAAAUUAUUUUAGUCACCAAAAGAUAUAUUUUUUUGGCGCAAAAUCUUCCCUCCAAAAGUGAUUAUUUUGAGACAAUAUUUCACUAUUUAUGACAAAAUAAAUAGUCAUGAAAUAUAAUUAUAGGCGACCAAAUUAUUUGGUAACUAAAAGAGGGGUGUAAAAUUAACUAAACAAUCUAUGACACAAAAUAUUAGUAGCCAAAAUUAUUGUUCUUUUGGCAUAUUUUAAGACCAUUUUUUUGGUCAUAUAUAAUUACCUACAGUGACAAAAUUAAAAAAUAGUCGUUGAAUGUUUUAUCUUGAAUAAUUUUAUAUUUGAUAACCAAUUUUUUUUUCUUUUUGAGACAUAUUACUUGGUCCCUAUUUCAACUUCUUUUUGACUAACUUUAUAAUAGUCACAAAAGACAUUUUUUUUUUUUUUGGCAUAAAAAGUCUGUCCAAAGUUAGCUCUUUUGGGACAAUAUAUAAUCUUUUAUGACAAAAUAUAUAGUGGCGAAAUAUAAUUAUUUUUUACAAAGUUAUUUCGUAGCUGAAAAAGAGGUGUAAAUUUAGUUAACCUAUUUGUGACAUAAAAUAUUAGUCUCCAAAACUAUUAUGCUUUUAGCCAAUUUUAAGACCCGAUUUUGUUGUCAUGGAUAAUUACCUAUUUUCAAAAAACUAAGAGAUAGUAAUCAAAAGUUUGUCUUGAUUGACAUUGUAUUUUAUGAGCAAAAUAUUUUGUUUCAGUGACACUUUACUUGGUCUCUGAUUAGACUUGUUUGUGAUGAUCAAUAGAAAUAUAUAAUAACCACUAAAUUUUUUUGGAUUAAAUUUUAUAGAUACUAUUAAUUAAGUUGUUGACGAAAAUGAUCGAACCAAUACUAAUAUGGGAUACCAUCAACAGCCGUAAUACUUAUGAACCGAGAAAUUAUAAUAUGUAGUGAAAAAGUUUUAACAGUAGUCCCUAGUAUUUAGAAUUAUUUUGACUACUUUAUUUAUUUCCAAAACAUAAAAUUCUCAACCCAAAAUUCCCCGCAUUGUGUUUUAUUUUGUCUCCUCACUCAGUUACUCUUAUUAACUCACGGCUUGACAAAAAAAAGAAAAAAAUUCUCACAGCUUGAUGUUCUCCUCUCUUUAAAAAUAAAAAUCCCCAGUUACUCUGCUCAAACUCGUUAAUAUUUGUUUCCACCACCAAAGCAGCCACUCGUAUCUUUUAUUAAGCAUAACGUUUUUCUUAAAACCUAAUUGAUCAUUCUUUAACGUCUCCAGGAUUAUAUUUGGCACGCUAUUUUUCUCCUUCAAUUGAAUAGAAGUCUAGAACCUUUUUUUUUUCGCAAUUCACUUUUGCUGUGUUUCGUGGUUUGGACUAAGAUCAUGACAAUUAUUGAACGAUGGGGAUAAAUAUCAAAGAAGGAGCUUACAUGCCCUAUAUAUCUCUCUUUGGAUGAAUAACGAAUGUGAGCUUUCAAAGUACAGAGAUUUACAUGUUUUAAUUGUCAUUUACAUUGCUGCAUGCCAAUUGCUUGAUAAAAUACUGCAACAAAUACGCAUUCUCGAUUUUCUUAUAAAUUUAUUUUCUUAAUCUGAAAAAAAUUGAAUGUUCAGAGAAUUUUGAAGGUUUUGGUGUAUGCAUUAAUAUUUCGAUUCUAUUUAUGUUGUUUAACUAAUGAAGAUGAUACAUCUAGCCUCUUUUUGCCCCUUGUUGUUUUUAUUCUUGUGCUUUAUAUACGGUUCAAGUGUGAUACACUUUAGUUUUUCUCAAGUGUUUGUUAGUAUUUCCCGAAGCAAAAUUUGUCACAGACUUUGAGUUCAAAAGUUGAAAUCAUAACUAACAUACUUCGAUUUUUUAUUUUCCUUUUUUCUUCGGUAUCCUUCUAUAUGGCAUUGGUUGAGAAAUUGGUGUACUUAGAUCGUAAUAUUCUGUAGAAAUAAGCCAAUAUUUCAUUACGUACAUUGUUUAAUAUGAUGAGUAUUGUAUAGAAGUUUUACAUAUAAGCUCCUUAUAUAUUAUGCAUUAUGUUUUUAUCAUAUUGUUGCUUGGAACUUUGAAGGAUUGGCCACAGGGCUUUAGUCCUACAUGGACAUUUUAUAUUUAAUAGCUGGUUAGGCAUUUUAUUUGAUGUUAUUUGGACUUGUAGGUGUUAAAAGUUUUGUUCAGUAAUUUUAUAAUUCAGAUUCCCAUUGUGAUAAGAUAGCAAUUUUUUGUGUGUCAGAUUCUGUCAACUGAUAUUUAGCUAAAAUAUCUCACUAACCCCUAUUGGUUAGGUAUUAUUUUAAAUCACAUACUUGAUUUUUAUUUUCUUUUUAUCUGUGGAAUCCCAUGUAUCAUUCAUAAGAAACAAGCUAUUAUAUAAUCUAUUCUUUAGAUCCAUUUAUAUGUAGUGAGCACUCUGAUUUCUAUUAUUUGAAUUUUUUGCUACUGUUACUACUCUUUCGGCCCUUCAAAUAGGGGUUAACAGAAAUGGUGAGUAUAUUAAUACAAAUUCAAACUUUCUUUUUCUAAUUUUAUCCAAAAUAACCUACUAUUUUAUUUUAAUUUCAAACUUUUGUCAUAGUCUAAUGGGCAGUUGUCUUGUCAUUAUUUGGUUUCAAGUAAGAAGAGAGAAAGUUAGUGAGAGGAUGAAAAUUUUGCAAAAACUUGUUCAUAGCUAUGGUAAUUAAGUAGUUUGAGUUCUUUUUUUUGUUGUUUUCUAUGUUGGUUUUGGAUCAUUGUAGUUGCUGAUUGUGAUUUAUUGUCGCCUAUGGUUGCUGACUUUUGUUUACUGUGGCUACUUUAUUAAAGCAAUUUUGGAUAUUGAAGUUUAUGGCCAACUUUUAUUAGACACUUCUGACCUUUAUCGAUAUAUUUUCUGAACCUUUACACUUAAGAUGUGUGUGUGUGUUUUUAAAAAAUACAUGUGAAUGAAAUAGUACUUGAAAUAAUAUAUUUUCUCAACUUUUAUUAGAUAUAGUGAAAUAGUACUUGAAAUAAUAUAUUUUCUCAACUUUUAUUAGAUAAUUCAAAGUAUAUCCCACUUAUUAUCGAUAUAUUUGCUCAAGUCUCAUGUGCAACAUGUGAAUGAAAUAGUACUUGAAAUAAUAGAGACUUUGUUUUAUGACUCAUAUUUUUACAUUUCUUUGCAAGGAACCAUACUUAAUUGUACCUAAUAGAAGAGAUAUCUUUUCACUAUAUAGUCUUAGUAUAAAAAGAUACAUCUUCUAUAUAAGGCACAAUUGAUGGGACAUAUCUUUAUACUAAGACAUCAUUCAUAUUUAUCACACAAUAAUAGAAACUGCAAUGGUAGGUGGAAUAUUAUGAAGUCAAAAUUGAGAACGACAUUAAAUCAUGAAUUCUUUAUGUGUUUACUCGAAUGCCUGACAGUAUUUAGUUCAAUUAACACAGAUUGGAAAUCCAAAUGAUUGAAGAGUUGUAUGAGUUCAAGUUCAGUAUUUAAUUACUAUAUAAUUAUACAUAAAUGUGGAUUUUGCAAGCUUGAACCCAUGUGUGUUAGCCCAUUUCGGCCCAAUAAACAUAUUGUUCUGGAUAAAAAAUAUCAGGGGAUCUCUGAUGUUUCUUUGGUUUAACAUAAAUUUAUUCCUAACUCUAUAACCAUGCAUUAUUUAGACAAAAAUUUUUGCAAUCACCAAACAGUAAAACAGAGAAAUAAAAACGGAGGAGCUCUUUUCUAAAACAGAAGUAGGUGUUUUGUCUGAACGUACCACUUUCUGUUUAAUUAUUAUGUUUACGGAAUAGAUUUUUUUUUAUUAUUCUGUUUUAUGUUUCCGUCUUUACCCUAAGCAUUCUUGGUUGGCAUCGCUGCAUUGUCCUGUAAUCUGUGUGCCUUGGUGAGGAGGGGAAUGGAUAACUGUGGUGCUGGAUACGUGAGAGACAAUGAUGAGGGUAGAUUUGUAAUUGCCAGAAGCGAUUUGCUUGCAAUAAUUCAAUGCAUGGAAAGAGAUGCCUCUAACAAAAAAUGGGACUAUCCAUAUCUGAGCAUUAGAGCUCUACGUCUUAGAUAAAUAAAUAUACUUAUUAGUAUUGUUUUUGCAUAUAUCUUUCACAAAAUUAUUGUAUUCGCUUAUAUAGAGAGGACGAUUUAGAUAAGUUUCAACUAAAAAUUGACAAUUCCAUGAUAAAGUUAAAAAUCACCGAAUAAAAAACUGGAAAAUCCCCUGUUUCUCCUCUGCUUUCUUUUGAUUAUUAUUAAAAAGGGGAAUUAAAAAAUGAGUUGCAAGCACAAAUUUUAUUUCUACAGUAGUACCUUCUAAAUGCACCAUUGUUUGAUACAUUAAAAUUAAACAUUACUUAUGCUAGUAUAUCGGUACUUCACAUGUCCGUUCUUCAUUAAUGUAUAUUCAUUUACACCCAAGCUACCUGUCAGUUUUGCGAAAACUGAAUUUAAAGGUGUGGCUUAAAUUAAAAUAAUAAUCAGCCUCAUAGAAUACAGAGAAAAAAGAUAAUUUAUCACAAUCAUAUCCUAAUGCAUCAUAAAUUUAGAUUAUUUAAUUACUGUUAGGAAAUCUGCUUAGAUAAGGCGCACACUACAAAUUCUAAAUUAAAUUCCUAAUUAACAAUAAAAGAUAGACCCUAUUAAUCGUCCACCAGGUACCUUGUAGCCUGCAUCAUAAGUUUAGAUUUAAAUUUUUGCAAUUACCAAACGGAGAAACAGGGGAAUGAAAACAAAGGAGCCCUAUUUUUUCCAUUUUUGUCCCCCUUAACUCUUGUCCUUAUACAAAUAUUUUUCCUUGGAAUUUCAGGCAUACGAAAAAAUAUUGAAAAUUAUUUAAAGCAAACAGGUGGAUGAUAACAAAAAUAUAUUUAAUUAACCAAAUCAAGACACUAUAUUGGUCGUCAAUGUUUCGGCAUCACUGUCUUCUUCAGAUGUUACUUGUUUUUCACAUUUAUUUUGCGCUGUUGUGGAUUAAUAUGGUUCUGCUGGGUGCACAUUUUUACGUGCUACUGUAUUUUCUCUCAGUCCUUUUUAAAAGAACAUACACCCACAUACUAUGUAGAGUGACCUUUUUUAAUGAGGAAUCUGUCAUUUUAAUAAAAUGAAGAAUAAACUAAAAGGUAGAAGUACACGAACUCUAAUGCAAUAUACCUUUUCUUUUCUUUUACCUUUACUAUAAGAUAGGGAAUGAUAUAAUUGAUAAUGGAACUUGGGGUCAGAGCAGCGGUGUAAUUUUGAGAGGAUUUACAAGAUGGUAAGUGCAAUAAUUAACAGGCUCAUUUAAUAUAUCAAACUGCUAGAUAAUUGUACUAGUUAAACAUAAUUUUCAGAGAAUCUUUUUAAGGGUUUAUUUAUUAAUAUUUUGUUUCUUUCCAGCAUGAACACUUUGUUUUGACACGUGCUUAACAACCUUCAACGAACUGGAACAACCUUCAUCACAUGCUUCCUCACGUGAUUACUUAAAUUGAUAUGUAAAACGUGCUCCAUCCAUGUCGUUUCCACUAAAUCGUUUUUUGUUAAGAAUCAGCUGAGCAGCACGUGAGCUAAUGAAGCUUUUACGGCUUCAAAACGCAGCCGUUUCUGGGAACCAAACUUGAUUCAUCAUCUCACAACUACAGAUGAAUUAUCGAAGUGGCUGAUUGGUGCUGUACGUGUUUUUCGUAUUGAACUCAACUCUGCUAUAAUACAUGCGUGCAUCUGAUACAUGCACAAAAACCACCACUCCCACUCCCACUCCCACUCCCACGCCCUCGCGUCACGCGCCUUACCACUCCCUCGCCUCACCUCACCUCUCUUCUUGUUCCACGGCCAUCAACGGCGGCACGAGUCGGCAACGAUCAACUGCGGCUGUAAAUUGACCACAAUCAUCUCUCUCUCUCGGCUUUGCUCAAAUUUGGCCGAUCUAUGCGCUUGCUUAAGCUUGGCCGAUCUAUGCUUGCUCAAUUACUCUUCCUAUAUUCAGUCGGAGUCAACUGUUUGACAAGAGUCGAAGUCCAAGGUUCUUUUUUACAGGAUUUGAGCUACUUCUUUUAUUCUUCUUCCAUGUUCACUGAUACGAAGCUUUGAUGUGGUGUUCUGAGAGCGGGUGGAAUUUGAGAUUCUCCUUUCUUCUCUAUAUGAAGGUGCUUGUCAUGUGUCAAGAAAAAUAAAAUUAUUUACAAAAGAUUAUUUUAAGGAGAUUUAUUAUUAUUCGUGGAUCGGGAAGCUCAAAAAAUUUUCUUAUGUAGACUCAAAUCAUUUCUAUAGGGCGAAGCAUAUGAAUGAUACAUAUUAUCUUUUUUUGGCCUUAUGUAUUGUUAUUUGCAGUGUGAUUUGGUCUAGCUUAAGAGCUUAAGCUUGCAGGCUGGAUUUGUCUGACAUGGAACAAUUUAAUUUGUUCAUCGUGAUGUUUAUAUCCAUUUUGUACUACUAUCAAUUUCAAUCAUGGCUAAUUUUUAUAUGUAUUUCUCGUGGACUCUCAGGUUCAGUGCACAAGAGGAUGAAGACGAUGGACACCCAAAUUUGAUGUGGAGAACAACUAUUGCAAAUGGUCCUUGAUUUACUUCUCCAAUUGACUUGAAUUGGUUUGACGCAAUUUAUAGUGUAUUUUUGUCAUCUUUGUAUGACUGGCAGGUCGUCCUGAUUUGGUACAUGACUGGACACAGGAAUUGGACUCAUAUUUUUCAAACCAGAAUGCCAACAAUCAAGCAUUUUCUUUUGAAAGCACUGGCGUCUUCUUCAGUGCCAAAAAGGUUAGAGAUUUUCUGUAUCCUGUUUUGUAUUUGAUCAGUUUAGCAUGUGGGUGGCAAUCAAGAAAAGUUAUUAUAACAUUUUUGUGUUCCCGAAAAACUGCUGCUGAUGUGUAGUGCAGGAAAUGAAUUGUUUGUGACUUCUUUUUAUUUGUAUUCUUUCUUUUUUCUUUUCUCCCCAACAGAAUUACGUAUUUCUGAAGAGCUUCUUGAAGUUGAUUACCAUGUAUGCCACUUUCUUUACUCUAUGCUCAGGAUGUGAUUUUGUUUAGGUCAGAACCAUCAUCUAAAGUUUACUUAAUGCUGCCGAGAAGCUGUAGUAGAGCAAUGAAGGCUGUUGGUGUUAUGAAGGCCAGCUGUGAAGAAAUAUUUGAACUUGUAAUGAGCAUGGAUGGGACACGAUACGAGUAUGCUUCUUUUCUAUUUUUUAUUUUUAGUUACUUUAACAUAAUCAAGACUAUAUUGGCUGUCUGUGUAAGCUGAGUAUUAUAUUUCCUCUUGUAUGCUGUGAAAUUCACAUUGUCUCCAGUCCCGAUUCUGUAUGUGCCUUUUUGAAUAUAUUUAAUUAAUCUGCAUGGUGCUUUCUAAAGAUUAUUACAAACUUUUGUUGCUUAAGUAUAUGAAGAAUGUGGAAAUGAAAAUAGCUUUUGAAGUUUGAUGGAUUGCUUCAUUAAUAAAGAAAGACUAGGACUCAUUUUUAUAACUUUUCUCCACUUAGCUAAUGGUAUUUGAUGAAGACAAAAUAGAUGUAGCUAUCUAUAUUUUUUGUUGCUGAACUAUAGAUCAAUUGAUGGUUGAAGUUAGUUAUAUUAAUUUGUUGUACUAGAUUAAAGCUUGUAUCUUAGCCAUUUCAUGAAGUGUCAAAUACGUUCUUUCCUCUUUUUUUUUUUUUUCGAAACAUGUUACACUUUUGAAGUCACUAUUACAUAAAAGAGUGUUCUAAAACAGGAGAAGGCGUGCUGCCUGAAAUUACCUGUUUCCUAGCAAAUCUAGCUGGUUUGCGAAUUAGAUUUUAACAAGUCUCUUGGCAAGGUUUGCUAGUAAUGUGUUCAAAUUAUUCUAUUUAAUUUUACUGUCUGUACCCUAAUAAUUCUUGGUUUGCACCAUUGCAUUGUUCCAUAAUCUCUGUGCGUUGGCUUAUAAAGGCCAGCAAGGCUGAUCAUUUGUCGAAUAGUUAUUUCCAUGAAAUUCCUAUCAAUUUGACUCAGUAUUUAGAGGUCUUGAAGAGGGCAGUGUACUAGACAUGGAUUUCUACCUCUUUUGGUUGUACAAUUGUUGUAUUUCUUGGCCAUCAGAUCUUUUUUAUGUACCUUUCUCAAAGUUCUUGCCGCACGUACACCGUUUUUCAUGUUUUGUGCAGGUGGGAUUGUAGUCUUCUGUAUCGCAGCUUAGUUGAAGAGGUAGAUGGUCAUACGGCUAUUCUCUAUCAUAGGCUUCAGCUGGACUGGCUUCCAAUGUAAUAGUCUCUUGAUUCAAUCAUCUCAUUUAUGCUUUGGUCAGAAUAGAACAUUUAUUGUUCUUCUUUCCCCUUUCCUCUCUUCUGAUGUAAUAUGUGAGGAAAUUACCUAAAAUUUCUGUAUCCCAAUGUAAUUGUUGGCAUUCAGAAAUAAAAUAAAUACACCGUCUUGUUUUUCCCUCGGUUCAGUCCUAAGUUCUCUUUGGGCCUUCUGCAAGUUUUUAAACAUACUGUGACAGUAAAAAAUCUAGUGAUUGAGAUCAUUUUGAUGAAUUUAAUUUUAAUUCUUAGCUGAUACUUUUUCUGGAAUUUUUUUCUUAUGUUUCCUCAAUAUGACUUAAAUAUAGGGCUUAGUCAUGGAUCAUGCACCAGAGUGAUGGAAGCACCCCUUGUUUAUUAGGAAAAGCAGUUGAUUGUAACUAUAUCCGCGGUCCUAAGUAGUUAGAAGUAAAUGCUCUUCGAAUUCCUAUAGUACAUGGGAUGUGUUCCCUUUCAAAUAGCUUGUUCAAUACCAUUAACAUGGUUUAACAUUGUUCAUCUUUCUGUAGAUUGAUGUUGACGUGUUCUUCUAGAGUUGCUAAUGGAGUUUUGGGCCUUGUAAUUGGUGUAAUUACGGCAUUGGUGGUUGACAUGGCUUUCCUUGUGCAGGUAUGUAUGAUUGUUUUUUUCCCCCACUUCUAAAUGACACGAGGGAAGAGACAUGAUUUUGAGAUAUUGUACUGCAAUUUGCAUAUUUGCAUACUUGAAUAGUAACUCAAGAAUCAUUUUCAGAAUGGUAUAAUGCUUCGUGUAUGCAGGCAAAUACUACAGAUGAAUUACCGGAGCGGCUGAUUGGAGCUGUACGUGUUUCUUAUAUAGAACUCAAGUCUGCUAUUGUCCCAAAGUUGGAACCAGAGACAUCAUGACUCUGGUUUCAUUUCACCUCAACUGUUUUUUUUUUAAUUGAAAAAAAAAAUCAUUUGUUUUAGGUAUGCAUACAUGUAUUUUGAUCCCGUUUUCAUUGUAAUUUCUCAUUUACUUUGAAAGAAAGUCACUGGUGUUUUCGAAUAGGAAUUUUGCAUUAAAAAAUAAAGAAUACUUAAUAGGAAACUUAAUAAUUCUUUAGUUACUAUUUUUGGAAUGAGUGUAAUAGUAUUGAAGUUGGUUUCUACUCGCAAUCAAGUGAACUACUCGAUCCCCAACUGCGACCGCACUAAUUGUCAUUGUUUAAUAGCCUACUACUUUUAAAACUCAACAACUAAAAAAAUGAUUUUCUUAUGAUGCUGUGAAAACAUUUAUGGGUUCACUUAUUUCCACAAGAUCUAUAACAUGGUCUUGACUUCACGAAAUUCUUUUAACUUAAAGGGUUCUGGUCUGAGAAAGUUAAUUUGACGGAUUAAUUCCUUUUAAUAAUGGUCGAGUUAAUUUUACUAUACUCGUAAAACUAUUAUUAUUCUGAUAAUGCCACAAAUGUUAUGAUGUUUUCUUCAGCCAAUAAUCUUCUAUUAGGACUAGUUAGAAAUCAAAUGCUUAAAACACCAAUUGAAUGAAUAAUGCAGAAGUUUAAACAGUAUCUAAUUGAAAAUUACAUGAAGCAUGAAACAUCAAUUCAAGUCCUUCCUUAAACAGAGAAUGCAUCAAACAAAUCCAAAGUGUCUUGCAUGUCUGUAAAUAAUUGUAAAUGCGUUUAGAUUAUUCAAGUACAGGAGAACAAGCAAGUUGAAUCAUGUACAAGAGGUUGGCCUGGUUCGAGAUAGCUUCUUCACAGUACCUGAAGGGUUGGCUCAAUCUUUUCUUUAGAAUUCUGCACAUUUUGUAAUUACUCGUGUAAGCAAGCAUACAUUACAACCAUAAUAAUAAUAAGGCAAGAGUAAUGAUACGACCACAGCCUCUUGUGCACAAAUAAUAUUGUACAAACUAAUAUGACAUAAUAUGAUUGAUUAAACAAAAACAUAACAUGACCCUCAUAAUUUAUUUAUUAUUAUUUUAUAUUUUCAGUCAAGCAAUCAUAUUAUGCCACAUUAAAUAGAAAUAAUUUACUAGAUAGUGCCAACACUUCAUUGAUACUCACCAUUUCAUUGAACAAUUUUUUUAUAGUGUCAUUGAGGUUGCCUUCCCAACAUCCUUCAUCAUCACCAUCUUCAUCUUCGGUGGGUUUCACUUUGUUUAGCUUUGGUGCGUCUACGACUCCUGGAGAGAAAAUCUUCAUCGUUGGGCAUUGUCUCACAACUACGUGUGCCAAGGACGGGAACUCAAGAGCGUAAUUACCCAAACUAAAGCUUGUUAGGCUUGGCAAACAAUCAAUUCCCAAGUACUCCAAUUUCCUGAAAACAAUGCAAUCUUCCGCUUCUUCUCCAACCUGCGACUGUAUAAUUUCUUCCAUCAUUUUGCAAUCAGUUAUCUUCAUUCUUUCAAGAUUCACUAGACUUUCAGAUGUUGAGAGUGUCAAUAAAUUUAUCAACCCAUGACACUUCGAUACUUCCAGAGUCGCAAGAUUUUCCAAAUGCCACAAAGCUGGUACUAAUUUCUGCAACUUACUACAUUCAAAUAUUUCUAGACUUUUCAAGUUUGCAAACACUUUGUUGGAUUCGGCAUUUUCCUUCCAGAGAUGCUGCACUUUGUGUAAUCCAGAUAGCUUUAACUUCAUCAAUUGAGGGAAUGCAACCUGAAAAUCAACAAAAUUAAGUUGUAAAUGAAAAUAUGUAUCCAAUCUCUACAGUCUUCCCCUACAUAUUUUAUGGACAAGAUUAAUCACGGCAUUUUAUAUUUUAUUUCCAAAUUAGUAUGCUUUGCAGUAGGAUCCCAAAUAUAAGUAUCAAAUCGAUUACCCUUUGAAACACAUAAAUGAAAUCUGAUCAUAAAUCCAAUAUGAAUUAGCUAGGAAAACAAAGAUCUAACACGCAUAAUUUAUGCGAUAUAGUUCAUCACCUCCUGUCACUAGGCAUCUAAUUAAUUUGAGACAUUUUUUUAAUUCAUACUAUAAAGUUAGUUAAUAACUACAAUUAUAUUGUUAAAUCAGAUAUAAAUUAAGACGACGUGCAAAAAGAUAAGUCAUUAAAUUUGAUUUGAUUCUAAUGAAAUUACAUCUAUGCGAAUGAAAGUGAAGGGAAAAAUAAUAAUAAUGAUUACCUUUUUAUCGAAGAGAUGUUGUAUUUGAUUAGCUACCAAGAGGUUCUCUUCUGAUUUUAAUUUUUGAGCUUCCUUAUUAUCUGCUGUCAUGUGCAAUACAGAUGUAGAAUUGGAUAUGAAUGUUUCCAUGUCAGGGCAAUUCUCAAUAGUUAGAUAUCUCAACUCAGGCAGUUCAAUUAUAUUCCCAGUGAAGUUGCAGAAUCUUUUGAGUUUUGGAAGAUCAAUGAGCCUUAGAUUGGAAAGCUUAGGAAACAUGGGGCCUAUAUGUUCUUUGUCAGCAUUUAGCUCUUCCAAACGAAGCACCUCUUCUAGUGAAUCACAAUUCCUCACUUCCAGCCGUCGCAAAUUGUUCAAGCAUCGUAGCAGAUUGGCAGGAAUAGCACUCGACAUAUUCGUGCAGUCAUCCACCACCAGCCGUGCUAAAUUGUUGAAGAAGCUGACAGGCAGUGCUUGGCCAUGCCAUAUUUCUUUCAAACGUGGAAAAUGUGAGAGUUGCAAAUACCAUAUGUCACGGAAUCCAAUCUGCACAAACCAAAACAAUUGCACCGGAUAUAUACAAUUUUUUUUUUGAAAGGCAUUAUAUAUAUACACAUUAAACUUACAUGUUUUGUGUUUUAACUUCUAAAAAUAUAUAUACAAGACCGGGGUAUAUGCUUAAAUGUGCAAUUGCAGGGGAGAUGCAUAAACAAUUUGGGUGAAUCGAUUAACACAUACCAUUUCUUUGUAAUACUUUUGCAUAAUGGAAUUAAGGUUAUUGCCUUCCCAAUGGUGCAGUUCACCCUCUUCCUUUUCAGUCACUUGCACUUUGCAUGGCUUUGGAAUGGAUAAGAUUCCCUGAGAAAAAGUCUUCAUAUUUGGACAACGUAUCAUAGAAACUCGUUCCAGUGAUGGGAAUUCAAGAGUGUAAUUCUCCAAACAAAAGCUGGUAAGCCUUGAUAAAUAAUUAAGUAUCAAAACUUUUAAUUCGCUGAAAGCAAUACGAUUCUCCUUCACUUCUUCUCCAACAUGUCCUACGAUUUCUUCUAUUUUUUGGCACUUCGAUACUUUAAGAUUCACCAAACUACUAGGAAUUCCAACCUGAAAAUAAGCAAAAGUGUGUGUAUAUUAAAAAAGUAAAAAUGUAAGAAUAUCAUUCAACUAGGUUCAAAGUAUGUUUAAUCAUACAAUUAUACGUUUUAUAAAGAUAACAAACCAUGAAAUGUCUACAAGAUAAUUUUUUGUUAAACAAAAAAAGCAACAAGAUAAAUAAAUAAAUAAAAGCCAGAUAAACAAAGAUAUUAAAUGCAUUUACACUAUUUAGUAUUAGGAACGUACGAAGAAUUUAAGGCAAUUUCUAAAUAUUUUAGACUUAUUUUGCAUCUUGAUGCCAGUUUUUAAACAAAAUUUGCAAAUUUCAACUAUUCCUUUUGGGAAAAAAAAAUCAACCAAAAUGCCGCUUUUUCCCUUUUCCCUUGGUCCCUUUUUUUUAUGUAUAUUUAAUUUUGGAAACAAAAUUAAAGUGGAUCUUUAUUAAGUACUUCCAGACUCGAGGAAAUUUCUUUACAAUCAAGGAUCAGUUGUAAAUAAUCGUGAAUUUGUGGUUAAUUAAUGGCAUAAUCAGUUCGUAACUAAACAAGAGAUAUUAAUUAAAUUUGAAGACUUUUCUUUUCUUUUUUUCUUUUUCCAAUCGAAAUGUGAAGAAUUAAGGAAAAGAGAAAUAUAUAGAUGAAUUUGUGAACCUAUAAGAUGAGUGACUAUCCUUUAAUUUUUGAAAAUUGUACUUAUUAAGAUAUGAGCAGAAACAAUUAAAUUGAAUUAUAUUAUGAUGUUGAAUCGUGAUUAAAAAAAUUAUAUUGUUGAUUCUAAUGCUGGCGAACCUAAAAAAUGGACUUAAAAUGUAGAUUUGAGAGUGGUGGUUCGAAAUACAAUACUUGAAAUAAAUAAUCAGUGGCUGAAUAUCAUUUGUAAACCCAAAAAUGGUUAAAAUAUUGUUGGAUGUAAUUUAAAAAAAAAAAGAUUCGAAAUGAAUACAACGACCUUACCAAUGGAGGAAAAAUAUUCAUUAGGUUAUGACACUUAUAUAUCUCCAAAUUCUUCAAUUUGCUGAAAGACUCCGAAGGAAGCUGGUGGUGCCAUAUUUUUCUCAAAUUAUUCAUCCAGCUAAUAUCUAAUACCUCCAACCUAGGAAGUCGUACCUGGAAGUUAAAGAUUAAAUAACUAAUUAAUCAAUUAAUGGCAUAAUCAAUUGAUAACUAAAUUAGAGGCGGAUAUUAACUAAAUUUGAAGACUCAAGGAAAAGACAAAUUAAGUAUUGUGACUAAAAUUAAUUUUAUUUAUUAAAAAAAAAACCUUUUCGUCAAAGAGAGGAGGAGGUUGCAUUUCAGAAUGAUUGGUGUCUUCUGGUGAGCUCGUAGAGAUGAAUCUUAACAUAUUACUGCAAUUACCAAUCUCGAGGUUUAGCAAAGAAGGGAAUUCAACAACUAAAUCUGAAUGAAUAUGUCCUGUAUUGGCGAAGCUUGUCAGUUCUGUAAGCCAAUAGAGCUGCAGGGAGUGUAGUUUAGGAAAAACCUUUAAUUCAAUCAACUUUCCUUCAUCUCUUUCUGACCACCCCGUGGUGUCGACUACCCCUUCCAUUGACUCACAAGACCAUAUUUCAAGAUGUUGGAGUUGCAAAAGACUAUUAACCAUAGAAUACGAAAACAGAUACUUCAUACGAUCACAACUUCUCACGUACAGCUUUGUUAAAUUUUGACAACAGUACAUUCCUUGAUUAUGAUCGGCCCAUAAUUUUUUGAUGUUUCUUAAUUCCGUGAGAUUCAAUUCCUCUAAGCUCGGAAGAAGAACCUGCAAAGAAAAGCCGUACAUUUUUGUUCCUUCAAGUACAACCGUCUAGUAUAAUAUUCUGUUGAUGAUCGAAGAUUAAUCGUGAUAAUAAAUUAAUCAAUUAAUUAUUGAACAGAAAAUUAUCACCUUUGGAGCAGUAUCAUCAUCAGCAAUGAUUUCGUUGAAUCCCAAAGAAGUUGUUGGUUUCUCCCUGUCGGGUCCUGUAAACAAACAAAAACAAUAUACAUAAUUAAUCUUUGUCGUUGUCUUUUUUUUUUCAAAAUAAUUGAGGCGAAGUCCAUAAAUCCACCAACACUUAAUUUCAACACUUACCAACAGUCAUUUCCAGUUUAUUGCAGGAAGCCACUUUGACCUUUUGAAGCCGCAGUAGGUUUCUGGCUAUGGAAAAUGAGAAAAGAUGCUUCAAUUUAUCACAGGAUUCUACUUCUAUAAUCUUUAAGUUGCUGAAAAAUUGAUCUUCUCUGAGUUGGCUGUGGCAUAUGGCCUCCAAAUUGAUCAAUUUAUAGAGAGACAAUGACUCCAGCAAGGGGAAGACUUUGCGAUGAACCCGUCCAACUGAACCGACAAUGUGUAAAAUCUCAGAACACCUUUCUACCCAAAGAUGCUUCAAUCGUGGAAAACCUUCCCCAUCAUCUAAUUCAUGAACAACAUUCUGAACACCCGUCAGUUCCUCUAGACGGAUAUCUUCAGUUAACUUCAGCAACAUUUUCAUCCCAUAAUUCUCCAAAAGAGUGCUAACAUUUUCUAACCCAUGGAGCUGCACCAAUCUUGAUGUUUCAGAAUUAGCGCGCCAGAUGCCCCACGCUUCUCCUAUACAUAUCCUAUAUCUUGGCAAUUCGACAAAGACCAAAUCCUGCGGCAGCAUUUGGGCAUCCUGAACUUGUAUCUCCAAAGUAGUUAGCUUUGACAGCCCCUUCAAUUCAGCAAGACUGGCGUUACUUCCUCCUUCAACCUUAUCCCACUGCGGAAAGCUGUCACCCAUAUAUAGUUCUUCCAAUCGAGAAAAUUUUGAUAUGACAUUUGGUGCUAUCACUACAAGGCUGCUACAAUUGCUCAAAUCUAGCAAUUGUAACUGCGCCAAUUGACCAAUUUCAAGUGGCAACUGCUUAAUGUCGGAAUAUCGAAAGCUAAGAAUCUCUAAUUUCUUUAGCUGUCCAAUUGCCGCUACAUCUUCUAGUUGGCACCAGUCUAAACACAAUGUUUGAAGGUUAAUGAGGUGACCAAGUGAUGAAGAUAAUGAAGAGAAAUGAAUUCCGCUAAGACUUAAAACUUUGAGAUCUUCCGUCCCUUCAAAAAAGAGGUGUGAAAUUUCCAAAUAGCUAUCACCAUUUGCAAGCAACAGUAAUAACUUGAGUUGGGGACAUUCCAACCUUUCGGGAAGCUCUUGAAUAUCUCCAUAAGGUAUAGAAAUAGCAAUUGCACCUUUCUGUAUGAUCUUUUCUAUCUCUUCCUUCAAGUUGGUAACAUUUGGGAUACUAAACAUGAGCUUCUCUGAGGCAAUUGAUACGGCAACAACAUGAAUGACGUCAUGCAUUUUAACUUCAUCUUCAGCAUCGCCGUCCAACAAUAAGCAUGAAGCUUUGAGAUUGUCGAUCAAUGCGUCCACUCUAUUCCUUGCAUUUUCCAAUGUGCGAACAUUUUUAAACAAACCCUUACCAUAUCUCAACAAGGAAGCAACUUGUAUAGGAGUACCUUCACCAAAUAGAGUACAAAGAAGGAACAAAGAUUUUGCUUCAUCACUUUCCAAGAAGUUGUAACUCAAUUCUAUGGAAGAGCAGACAUUUGCAUCCAUUCCAUGAAUUUCUCUUGGAUUAGAAUUUCGCAGCUGAGUCAACGCAUCCUUCCAAACGGGAAGCUUCUUAUUUUUCAGAGCAUUUGCAACUGUACUCAGUGCAACAGGCAAUCCUCCACAUUUUCCAACAAUCUCAUCUGCUAAAGGUUGAAAAGCAGAUGCUUUUGCGGAAUUGCCCACGAUCUUUUCAAAAAAUUGCAAUGCUUCUUCCUUUGAUAAAACUUCAAUUAGGAAAAUCUUCUGAGAAUUCAUAUCAUUGGUCAAUAAAUGUUUACUUCUAGACGUCAAUAUUAUCGUGCGUCUCCUUAGAUCUUGCUUUCUAUCUUUCUCAUCAACAUCCCCAAAAGGAAUUCCAAUUUCUUCCAACCCAAGUUUUUUCCAAAUAUUAUCUAAUAUAAUGAGGACUCGCUUCUCUUUCGUCAAUCUUUGACAAAGUUGUUUUGCUCUGUGGGGUUUGCUAUCAUUCAAGUCAAAGUUCAAGUCUAAAUCGGAAGCGAGCUUGUCUUGAAUUUUCUGAACAUCUGGGUUCUCUGUUACCUCAGCCAUAACGACCUUAUCGAACACCUUAUCUUCCAUAACUUGCUUUGCAAUUUGCUUGACUAGCGUGGUUUUACCCACGCCGCCCAUACCGUGGACCCCAAUUAUGUUGAGCUUAUCAUUCCUCAAUGCCUCCACAACAUCUUGAAAUAAUUUCAUUCUUGAAUCAAAGGCCUCGAAAUCUUUCGCUUGCAUAUGUUCUGUACUCUCUGGAGCAGGACGGUGGGAAACACUAGAGAAGUUGCCUUUUCCCACGAGACUAGCGGCAGCUUCUGCGGCCUUUGCUGCUUGUUUACUAAGUUUAUAACGAGAAAUCAAGUUGGGGCAAAAUCCUUUGAAGCAGGACUUCUUAGCUCUAUCUUCAUCAUCAAUGAUGGAUUUUGCAACCCCUUCACUGAUGAAUUCAUCAACGUUAUUAAGCCAGUCUGCAACAUCCUUGUAAAUCUCAUCUCUUUGUUGAGUAGCCUCACGAACGGGUAUUCCCACCCUUUCUCUUUUAUAUUCUAGCUCCUUCACUUGAACUUUUAGCUCAGCUAUGUAGCUCUGGUACUUGAACACAUAAGAGAUCUGCCGCAUAAUCGGUUCGAACAAUGCCUUUGCACCUUCUGUUACAAUGCCGGAAAAAGUAGUGGAAACCAGGUCUGCAGCCAUUGCCUAGCCUGUUGCUUUCAUACAUACAUACAUACAUAUAUAUAUAUAUAUAUUAGCUGUUGGAAAAAUUAGAUUCAAAUAAAUUAAAAUGAACUAGGGGAAAGACGGAGAAAGAAAUGACAACCAACAACUUUUUAAAAAAAGGUUUCAAGGGCCUGAAUGGAAAACCAACAAUUUAAAAAAAAAAUUGUAAGAUGGAUGCAGAUUAACCAUUGCUAAUAUUACAUAAGAACACAGAAGUUAACAAUGAACAGUACGUAGAAAAUUAAAUGACAAGAUUAAAACAAACAAGGGCUAUUUUUUCUUGGACAAUUGUACCUAUUUAAUUAUUAAAGAGUUAAUGACCUUCACUGCUGGCCUUGAAUAUAUAAGAACGACCAGAAGAUGAAUAUUAACUGCAGACGAAUGUAAGUAAAGAGUUCAUGAGAGUGAGUAAUACAAAUGAAUUGUAAAAGAACAAGACUUAAGUGUGACCCCAUCUUUUGUUUUAUUAUAUAAAUAGAACACAUGAUCAUUUUUAACAAAGUGAUCAAUAACUCUAUGCGUUAUUUAAUUGAUAUUGUAACCAAUUUUAAGGGAAUUUAAUAAUAAUCAUUCAAUGCAUAAAUUUAAAAUUAGAUUUUUUUAAUUCUUUAUUUAAAUAUAAAUCUUAAUGGAAAAUUAUAAAAAUUUAGAGAUAAAAUUUUUCAAUCACCAAGGAAAAAAAAUGGGAAUGAAAACAGAGGAAUCUUGUUUUACCUUUUUUUUUUUUUCCUUAACUCUUGUUCCUAUACAAAUAAUCUUGUUUUGAUGAUAGUGCUCGUGACUAUGGGAAAAUUUCUAAUGGAAACAACUCAAUUUCGGAAGAUAAGCUUAAUUCUGCAAGUGAUGAAUUUGUUCAAUUGACUCUGUACUUGAACUCGUUGGAUUGGUUGAUUUACGAUUGACUGCAUUUCAAUUCUGCCUAAAAGAUCUUUUUAAUAGCUAUCAUGUACUCCUUAAAAGCAAUCAUUUUUAGAUUUGACUGAAUUUGAACUUGUUGGAUUGGCUGUUUUUAGAUUAUUGAUAUGAGAUACUACAAUGUAAACAUUUUCAUGUGGCUGAGCCCUAUUCUAAAAUCUGUAUGUUGCUUUAGAAAAAGGGCUUUUCCUACUGAUAUUUAAUCUUCAAGUAAACUUAGAUAUAAAGUAAAUCAAAUAAAAUGACAAACAAGCAAUAUAAUAAAAGACAACAAACUGGCAAUAUUGAUACAAAGGCAACAGAUAUUAAACUUUAGGACAUUUUUUUCCUAGCUUUCAUUUGUUGGAGGAUUAGAGAUUUUGGUAUUACCGGAAAGCUAAAAGGUUUCAAGGGUCUGAGUAGAAACCUAUAAUCUUUUUAAAAACUUUCUUUUUCUUUUUUCUUUUUUCUUUUUUUGGGGGGGGGGGGGGGGGGGGGGGGGGAAGAAUGCAAGUUAACCAAACGAAAUAAUAAGAGCACAGGCUUUAACAAUGAACAAUAACUUAAAACUCAUGCAAAGUAAAUUCAAUAUUAAAACAAACCAGAGAAAUUUUUUUUCUUGGAAAAUAGAUGGAAAUUAUGAAAGAACAGAUGUCAAGAUCAAAGAUCUACUAUACACAAACACACACAUUAGAGGAUUUGGAAAAUGUGCACCUCUUUAAUUAUCUGGGAUUAGAGAGUUGGUGAGAUUCUCCAUUUGGCCUUGAAUAUUUAAGAACAACCUCAAAGAGCAAAAAGAUCACCGGUAACUGCCGAGGAAUGUGUAAGAAAAGGGUUGAUGAGAAUAAUAACAUUGACUUGCAGAAGAAAAAGCAUUAAUCAAGCACCCCUUUUUUAUAUCAUGUAUUUGGUUAUUGUUGCCCUGUUUACGCACGUAUAGGAUAAUUAUAUGCAAUCUUUUUUUAAAAAUCCACAUGCACUUUAGGGCUUCUUUCAUAAAAGCAGAUACCGGAAACACACAAAAAUCAUUUGAGAGAGAAACCGAACAGCAAAUCAUCAAAGUAAGAUCAACAAUAUAUGAUUUGAUUAAUGCAUAUUCAAGAACAAAACAAAAAUAAAUAAAUNNNNNNNNNNNNNNNNNNNNNNNNNNNNNNNNNNNNNNNNNNNNNNNNNNNNNNNNNNNNNNNNNNNNNNNNNNNNNNNNNNNNNNNNNNNNNNNNNNNNNNNNNNNNNNNNNNNNNNNNNNNNNNNNNNNNNNNNNNNNNNNNNNNNNNNNNNNNNNNNNNNNNNNNNNNNNNNNNNNNNNNNNNNNNNNNNNNNNNNNNNNNNNNNNNNNNNNNNNNNNNNNNNNNNNNNNNNNNNNNNNNNNNNNNNNNNNNNNNNNNNNNNNNNNNNNNNNNNNNNNNNNNNNNNNNNNNNNNNNNNNNNNNNNNNNNNNNNNNNNNNNNNNNNNNNNNNNNNNNNNNNNNNNNNNNNNNNNNNNNNNNNNNNNNNNNNNNNNNNNNNNNNNNNNNNNNNNNNNNNNNNNNNNNNNNNNNNNNNNNNNNNNNNNNNNNNNNNNNNNNNNNNNNNNNNNNNNNNNNNNNNNNNNNCCCCAGGGGAAAAUCUGGAAUUCCUUUUUUUAAUUUUUUUUUUUUUAAAAAAACCCCACCGGAAAUUCUUAAAAUUUGGAAAAAAAAAUUUUGAGUCCCUUAUUCUGGGGGGGGGGGGGGGGGGGACGAAAACAGAGGAAACUUGUUUUACAUUUUUUUGAUCUUAACUCUUGUUCUUAUAUAAUAUUUUCCCUGGGAUUUCAGGCAAACCAAACAAAAAAAAAAAAAUUCAAUAAAGAGCAAGUUGCUCUAAUUGAUUUAUCUUGUUUUUCAGGCUAUUUUGUGACAUGAUGAUAUGUAAUGCUCUUGAAUGCUAGAAAAAUUCUAAUGCAAACAUUUUUGCAAAUGACGAAUGUAAAUAACUUUUUUUGAUUAAUUGAAUCUCUAAUACUCUUACCCUAUUCUAAAAUUUGUAGGUUGCUUCAGAAAAAAAGGGUAUUUCUCACUCAUCUUCAAUCCUCAAGCACAAUUAGAUUAAAAGCAAAUCUAAUAAAAUAACAAACAAAUUAACAAAAAAAAGAAAAAGAAAAAAAACAAUGUUGAUCUUGAGACAAUUGAUACUUAAACAGAGAAUUCUUUGUUCUUUUUUUACUCCCCCUGGCUCGAGGAUUAGAGUCUUUCUUUGCUAUUAACAGAGAGGUUUUAAGGGUCCGAAUAAAAACCCGCGCUUUUUUUAAAAACUUCUUUUUUUUUUUUUAUUGGGGAAGAUAGAUUCAAAUUAACCAAAGCUAGUAAUAAGAACACAGGCCUUACAAAUGAACAAUAACUUACAACUCAAGCAACAUAAAUAAUAAGAUUAAGACAAACAUGAGAUUUUUUUCUUCGAAAGUAGAUGGAAAUCAAGUAAGAACAGCUAUUAAAAGAAAUUACUAGAGAAUUUAGAACAUGUGUACCUCUUUAAUUAUUUGGGAUCAGAGAGUUGAUGAGCUCUCUAUUCGCCUUGAAUAUUAAGAACUGGUAUUAAAAGAAAUUAUGAAGAACAAUUUUAGUGAGCGAUAGAUCACUGUUAACUUCAGAGGAAUUUGUGAGUAAAAAGCUGAAAAGAGCCGUAAUAAUGAAUUACAAAAGAAGAAGACUUAAUCAAGCACCCCUUUUAUACCCGAUUUUUAAGAUUUAGUCUUGAAGUUCACAAUCAAGAACAAAGACGAAGCUUUAAUAAAGCAUGCAGUGAGAUACAAGAAAUGGAUCGGGCAAAAUACCUUACGAAGCGUUUCAUAUUUUCUAAUGAAAUAAUUAAGUUGAAGUUUUCGACGAAUAAAUACUUGUUGUGCUUGAAUAAUUUUGGCAUAUACGUUACUUGUAUCCUGCGAAAUUGAAAAGCACAUUGGUUUAUUAGAGCUUAUUAGGAGGGAAAAGCUUUGUAAGAUACCUGAUAAAAGAUAAAGUAAAAGCUUGAAUGAAGAAUGACAUUUUAGAAAGAAACUAAAGUGCAAUCAUCAAAGUGGGAUCAAUAGUGACUUGAUAUUUCAAUUGUUCUGUCCACAAAUGAUGCUUCGUUAUUACUAAUUCCAGAUGGACAUUAUUAGAAAAUGAUCUUAUGUUUAACAGAAAAAUAAAAACUCGUCAUCAUACAAAACAGCGUGAAGAAAUCUUCAAUUUGAUUAUUAUAAAAUAAUAAGUUUCAUUACUAGAUUAUGCGGACAUUAAUGUUAGAGAUUUGAUCAGAUUAUCAUAUAAUUUACUAAACGCUUUGAGAAGAACAAUAAUUAAUUUUUAAAAAAUUGAAAAAUAAAUUAAAUAAAGAGUACACGCAAAUAAUGUUACUUCCAAUCACCAAACUGAAAAACAGGGGAAUGAUAACAGACGAGUCCCUGAUUAUCCUCUCUCUCUCUCUCUCUUUUUCAAUCUCUCUCUUUGAUAUCCAUAUCUGAGCAUCAGAGCUUGACAUCUUUGAUAAAUAAAUAUGCUUACUGGUACUGUUUUUGCAUAUGUCUUUCACAAAAUCAUUGUAUACGCUUACAUAGAGAAGAAGAUUCAGAUAACUUUCAAAAUCUGAAUCCGCCUGAUGGACAGGCUUGACCACACAGCCCCGAGACAAGGAAGUCCAAGCAACUAAUCUAAACCGUUCUCCUUUAUUAGCUAGAUUUAGUAUUUGGGUUCUUUAUGUAAAACGACACUAUGAUCUUGAAAUUUUGAUUUAAUUAAUAAAUAGUUAAAUUCUUAAUGUUUCAGGAGUAGAUACAUAGACUCUCUUCUAAUUUUAGUCAUUACAAACAAUGCCAUUGUGCGGUUAUACUAUUGCUUCUUUUAUGAAACCAUUCUCACCAUCACAUAGAUCUUGGCAUAUAGAGUCUCAUAAUGUCAUCAAAUAAUUUUUUUUUUUUUUAAAAACAUAAAAUAUGAUACAUGUAUUCAUUUUUUUUCAAAUUAGGGUGUAUUAUUCUUAAAACUUAAGUGUUCUACUUAUAAAUAUCUUGAAGGUGUGAGUGUUUUCUUUUCGUAAACAAACCGUAAAAGAAAAAGAGGAACAAUAAUUUUUUACUUAUCCUUAGAGAUAAGAUUCAAUCGGGAUGUGAGUAAGUGUGUUUUUCUUUUUUUAUUAUGCUAAAUUAUCGAGUCACAAAGCAUAUUGAUUCAAAAGUAUAACUUUAUACUGAUGAUAGAUAAUUUCAAAACAAUGGAAUGAAAACAGAGGAGCUCCCCCCUCCCCCACCCCAAUCCCCGCCCCCCCCCCCCCCCCCCCCCAAAAAAAAGUUCUUCUUCUUUUAUAUAUUUUUCUUGGAAUUUUAGGUAAAAGAAAAAAAAAACUGAGAUUGAUUUCAAGGGAACAGGUGGAUAAUAACUAAAAUACUUAUUUUUAUAUAUUUGAUAUGUGCGCUCACUAUUAAUAGAACUUAUUAGAUACUACAACUUAAAUAACUUCCCAUGGUUGAUUGAGGGUAUGUUUGAGAUUUCCUUUACUUUCCAAGAAUUAAUUUCUACCUUGAUUCUGAACAAAAAAAUAAUUUUACAAAUAAUCUAUUAGGGUGUUUGGUAAAUGAUGAUUAUUUGACAAUCAAUUUUUAAACGGUUUACUAUACAAAUCUGGUAAAUGAAAAUUAAAAGUGUAAAAUGUUCAUGUACAAUGACAAAAAUGUACUUGUUUACUUGUUUGUAAUUUAUUUAGAAUAUUAUUAUUUAAAUCUUUUUUUAUUUACAAGAUUUUUUAAGAGCAUAUUCUAUUUUCUUUAUUACAUAUUUAAAUAAUUUUUUAUUAACUAUUUUAAUUUGCAAUAAAAUUAACUUCAAUAUCUUUUUAACUAAAAAAUUUGUUAUGUAGUUCGUGAUAUAACAAAUACUAACAUAUCAUUAGUUUGAUUAAUAAAUUAAGUGCAAAAAAGAAAAUGCAAAAAUUUAAUCUUUAUAUAAACUUUUAUGUACAUAAAAUCAUUGUAAUCAAACUAGUUCAUAGAAAUAUAAUAUUAUAUACAUGUGUGUAAAAAAAAAAAACAUAUGACCAUAAUAUUAUCCACUCAUUAAACUUGCUGCACUAUUAUUUCUCAAUCUCUCCAUCUCUCGACCUUCAAGAACAUUACUACCAUAAUCUUCUUCUUCUUGAAUCCAACCUCUAUUUCCUCAUCAUCAACAAUGCGACCAAUUUGCCUUGAUAGCCUUUCAACUAGAAUAGAGUUGGCAGUAGAUAUUUUAGUACUCUCAAACUAUGCCCAAACAGGGUCACCAGUGAUUGUUGUAUUAAAAGACAUUCUAUUUAAUUUUCCUCUGACUCUGGGUCGAUACCUUUUAUGCAAAAUCUAUUUACUUAAGGAAUUUUCUACACAUGUCGAUAUCAUAUUAAAGUGAAUUCAGAUCCUAUAUUAUUGACAUUAAAAUUUAGCCGAAUAGUAAAAAAUUUCCCUUUUUGUUUGUCACACAACCAUAUAGUCCCAUUUUUGGUUAUAAGCUCACAAUAUGUAAGGGAAAUGAAGAUCUAUUAAAACUUUCCCAUAAUAUUAAACAUUAAACAAUAUCAACAUUUUGUGCAUAUGGUGCCUCAUCAACAAUUUGAUGUUCAUUUUGUUGCUCGGAGGAAUAUGACUACCUAUUAAUUAAUUAGCAAGAAUUGCGUUGCGAGUCCAUGUUUUUGUCGUUUGGAUGGAGGAUGUGCCAUCUUUUUAUUGUAGAUGCUUUGUAAGGCUUUUGAUUUAAUGAUUUAAUGCAGUCAAUUAACAAAAGCUUACAUAUAUUAUUAUGUAGUUGCUGAGAUGUCUGUUCUUGAUAAAGUCGAUUUAUUUACACCCAAGCCAACGGAAUCAAAGCCUUUUCGUUAAUAAUAUACACGGUAAUUGUUUUUGUUAAAUUGAUUUCUGGCUAACAAGAUAUUUGAAAGCAUUUAGGUAGCGUUUACAUUUUGCGUUGGAGUGAGAAUCGUGAGAAAUGAGAAUCCUGGGAUUAGGAGUGUGGAGUGGGAGUCGAAGUAUGUUGUUUACUUACACUGAAAUGGAAGUAUGGAAUUGAAAUCAGAAUCCAAUUUAUUUGUUUACAUUGUCUUAGAUUGUGAGUAAUGAUUUUAAAUUACAGCUUUACUCUUAAAGAAUUAUAGUUAUUAAUUACAAAAUUAAUAAAAAUUAUAUUUUUAAAUUAAUAAUAAUUAUUAAUAUUCUUAACUAUGUAAAUCACAAUUAUUUUAUUAAUUUUAAUUUUAAUUAUAUAAAUAAAAAAUUAUUAAUAACAACAAUACAAAUGAAACAUUAUUAUUGAUAAUAUAGUACAAAAUUAAUUUUUUUAGAAUAAAAUAUUUAUUAUUAUUAAUUACUAAUAUUAAAUAAAUAUAAUAGUAUUAUUUUUAAAUAAGUAUAAUAAUAUUAUAUUUUCAAAUAAAAAUAGAAUAUAGUAAUAUUAUUAAUUCUUUAUGAAUAUAAUGAUAUUAUUUUUAAGUAAUUUUAACUUAGAAUCAAUGUAAAUUAUUAUUUUUAACCAAAAAAUUAAUAUUAUUUUAAAUAUGUUUAAUAUUAUUAUUUUUAAUAAAUUUAAUUUAUAAAAUAAUAAAAUAUUAUUAUUUAAAUAAAUAUGAUUUUACUUAUUUUAUUAAAUUUAAUAAAAUAAAUAUGUUUAAUAUUAUUAUUUUUAAUAAAUGUAAUUUAUAAAAUAAAAUAAUAAUAUAAGUUAAAUAAAUAUGAUAUUAUUUAUUUUAUUUUAUUAAAUAUAAGGGUGAAAAAGGAAGAGAGGCGAGUGAAUUUCCACUCCCACCUUCCUCCAUGGGAGUGGGAAUCUCACUCCCCCACUCCAAAAUUAGGUGGGAUCCACGGAGUGGAAUUCUCACUUCCCCUUUGAAAAUUGUAAGUAAACACUGGAGUAAGAGGAAUCCACACUCCUCACUCUCACUCCAAAAAGUAAACACUAUAUUAAAGAAGUCAUUGACUUAUAAGAAAGCCAUGAUUAAAUACACGGCGAAGCAUGUGAGCUCGUUUUUCAAUUUCUUUGAUCACUCAUAAGUAGGGGUGGGCAAAAUCGGAUUCGGAUUGGGUUCGGGUUGAUUUGAUCAAUUUCGGAUCAAUCGGGUUGGGGAAAAAAUCAUCCGAACUCAAUCCGAAUUAUUAACCCGAUCCAAUCCGAUCCGAAUAUAAUUCGGAUCGGAUUGGAUCGAAAAUUCGGAUUAAUUCGGAUUAGAUUCAGAUUUAAAAGCAUUCGGGUUAUAUAUCCAUUCUAUAUUUCUGGGUUAAUUUCAGAAGCAAUCAAGUAAAACAAUCAACCUUUUCUCAAGAUAUAGUUUUGUUUUAAGCUUUUUAAAUUAAAUUAUUUAAAACAAUAUAGUCAAUACCACCAAAAACUUGGUGACAGUGAAUGUGGAGGUGAAUUUAGUUGUAGCAGUUGUGGUAACCGGUGAAGCUAGUGGCAGCAAGCGGUAGCAGUCGAGGUGUAGUAGAUUCCAUCGGCACGUUGCGGUUGCAGCGAUGGCUUAGCUUUGAACGAUCGCGUCGGUGACUGAUGGCUGCUGGUUCACGCAGUUGCAUCUCCGAUUUGCUGGCUGCUGCUUCUUGCGGUUGCAUCUCCGAUCUGCUCGCCGCUGCUUCGCUGACAUCUCCGAUCUCCGAUGGUUUGGCUUCGCACGAUCACAUCGGUGAUUGCUGGCUGCUGGUUCGCGGCUUCGCGCGGCCGCAUCUCCGGUCUGCUGGUUGCUGCUUCUUGCGGUUGUAUCUCCAAUCUGUUGGCUGCUGCUUCGUUGUUUGGCAUCUCAACAUUUCCGAUCUCCGAGGCCAAACCUCUAUUUGUGUGUGACCGUGUGUGAUGUGAGUGUGUGUGUGUGCACUUACAGAUUAUUUUAAUUUAGAUCUAAGAUUUGCUUUUUGUGUGGUGUGAAUCCGAUUUUGUUGUGUUUGCCACUUUGUUAGUUUGUUACACAGUUUUUUUUUUAAGCCAACCCGAUCGGGUUUUCGGAUCGGAUCGGGUUUCAUCCGAUCCGAUCAUGAUCCGAUCGGGUUGGCAAAGUUACAUCCGAUUGGAUUUUGUUAACAAUCCGAUCCGAUCUGAACCCGAUAUUUUUUGGGUCAGAUCGGAUCGGAUCGGGUCGGAUAUUUUGCCCAACCCUACUCAUAAGCUUUUCUAUACCACUCACUAUAUCAUCCUUUUAAGUCAAUUUCGACUGAUCAUCAGAGAUCAUGCACCCCACCUUGAGAUGAUUGAUCACCAAUUUGGCAUUGUAACGUUGAUCACCUCUAAUUGCCCAUGCUAAAAUUGAGACCCCACAGCCAAUUGCUUCUACAGUUGAAUUUUAUCCACAGUGAGAUAAAAAUCCACCUAUUAAUUGAUAACUCGGCAUCAAUAAUUGUGGUGCCAUUCCAUCUAUUAUCAAACCCUUUUUACCGGCUUUACUAUCUAAACCACUAUGAAAAUAAGCUGGUUAAAUGACGUGGAGGAUCCAAUCUAUUUACAUCAGUUUGAAUUACCUAAAUAAUCGGUGGAUUUGAUGCUUCUAAAUCAUUGGCUAAUGUUGAAUAAUCAUUUAAGGUGGGACCCAUUUCGGUACCAAAUGACAUGUAUAACACUGAUCCACAUGAUUUCAAAUCUAACCAUUGAAUGAUCUCAUCUUUGGUCAUGUUAGAACUCCGCCGGUUGGUUCUCAUCUCACAAUCACGAAGCACUGAACCGGUCGAUUUGUAAAAUUGUUCAGGUAACAAUGGGCCCACUCCCCACACUAGCAUCAACACCAUCGAUCCCUCCACUUGCUUCAUCCAGUGUGGUUGAUCACUCGGUUCUGAUGGACCUAUUUUCUCUGAACCGGGUGCACCUCACAAAGGUUGUGGGCCACCAGGAAGGGACCCGUGAGGCCUGCGUUUAAGAUCUGAUUGGAAUAAAGCAACAUCCUUGGGUAACCCAAGAAGUAAAUGGGCCUCUCCCGGUUUGGCAUCCUGGAUGCGAGCCUGCCACAUGGCACACUCCACAGCUGCUGAGCAAGCAUCAGAAGUGAAGAACCCAACAAUGGGAACUUCAAAAUUCUUGAAAACAUCAGCCGUCCAGCCCAUCAUAACGCCGAUGACUACGCAAACAGGUCGGCUUUCGGGUUCCGGGUUGAAAGGAGGUUUCGAAGACCCUGAAGCAUUUGGUUGUGCAUGACAACAUGGAGGUAAGAAGGAGGCGAUGGUAGUAGUGGAGAUGAGGAGGGUAUUUCGGUAAUUUCACAUAGAGGGUAUUGGUGAAGAGAGGAAGGGGUGAUGCUGGUGGUGGAAACGUGAGAGGGAAUAAUGAGGGUAGAUUUGUAAUUACGAGAAGCAAUUUGCUUGCAUAAUUCAAUGCAUGGAAACAGAUGUCCCUGACCGAAGAACGGGACAAUCCAAAUCUCAGCCUCAGCAGCAUUCGCAACAGAGCUUGACAUCUUUUAUGAAUUAUUUGAGACUUAAUUGUUAUUGACUGCUUUUGCCAUCUUUCAUAAAACAUUCUUUGUUAUAUAUUCAAGUAAAUAAAUUUAUCGUUUAAAAUUAAUUUUUCAUGUGGUAAAAGCAAUACUAAAUAUGGGGUGGAGAGAAUAAUUUGUAGGGCAUACCCCCACCAUUUAUUUAAUUUCAUUAAAAAAGAAAGAAAAGAAAUAAAGGCUUGUUCAACAUUCAAUUAAAAUUAACAAUUCCAUGAUAAAAUUACUUGAGAAUAAAAAUUUUUAAAAAAAAAGUAACUCAAAAACGAGGAAUUUUUGAGUAACUGAAGAACCAUAGAUGUUUUUUGGUCAUGAGCAAUUUUUGAGUUGACACAGAACUUGUAUAAAAAAAAUAGUUUUGAAAACUUCUUUUCUUUUUUCGUAAAUAUAGAUAUAAAAUUUUAAAAUCACCAAACACAAAACCAGGAAAAUGGAAGGAGAGCCCCUGUUUCUCCUAUGUUGCAAGCACAAAUUCGGUUUCUAAAGUUGUACCUUCUAAAUGCACCAUUUGUAUUGCUUUGUCUCCACUUGAGCUAACGGAAUUUGAUGAAAACAAAAUAAUUGAACGAUAGGGAUAAAUAUCAAAGAAGGAGCUUACAUGCCCUAUAUAUUCUCUUUGGAUGAAUAACGAAGGUGAGCUUUCAAAGUACAGAGAUUUACAUGUUUUAAUUGUCAUUUACAUUGCUGCAUGCUAAUUGCUUGAUAAAAUACCGCAACAAAUACGCAUUCUCGAUUUCUUAUAAAUUUAUUUUCUUACUCUGAAAAAAAUUGAAUGUUUAGAGAAUUUUGAAGGUUUUGGUGUAUGCAUUAAUAUUUUGAUUCUAUUUAUGUUGUUUAACUAAUGAAGAUGAUACAUCUAGCCUCUUUUUGCCCCUUGUUGUUUUUAUUCUUGUGCUUUAUAUACGGUUCAAGUGUGAUACACUUUAGUUUUUCUCAAGUGUUUGUUAGUAUUUCCCGAAGCAAAAUUUGUCACAGACUUUUAGUUCAAAAGUUGAAAUCAUAACUAACAUACUUCGAUUUUUUAUUUUCCUUUUUUCUUCGGUAUCUUUCUAUAUGGCAUUGCUUGAGAAAUUGGUGUACUUAGAUCGUAAUAUUCUGUAGAAAUAAGCCAAUAUUUCAUUAUGUACAUUGUUUAAUAUGAUAAGUAUUGUAUGGAAGUUUUACAGAUAAGCUCCUUAUAUAUUAUGCAUUAUGUUUUUAUCAUAUUGUUGCUUGGAACUUUGAAGGAUUAGCCACAGGGCUUUAGUCCUACAUGGACAUUUUAUAUUUAACAGCUGGUUAGGCAUUUUAUUUGAUGUUAUUUGGACUUGUAGGUGUUAAAAGUUUUGUUCAGUAAUUUUAUAAUUCAGAUUCCCAUUGUGAAAAGAUAGCAAUUUUUAUUGUGGGUCAGAUUCUGUCAACUGAUAUUUAGCUAAAAUAUCUCACUAACCCCUAUUGGUUAGGUGUUUUUUUUAAUUCACAUACUUGAUUUUUAUUUUCUUUUUAUCUGUGGAAUCACAUGUAUCAUUCAUAAGAAACAAGCUAUUAUAUAAUCUAUUCUUUAGAUCCAUUUAUAUGUAGUGGGCACUCUGAUUUCUAUUAUUUGAAUUUUUUGCUACUGUUACUACUCUUUCGGCCCUUCAAAUAGGGGUUAACAGAAAGGGUGAGUAUAUUAAUACAAAUUCAAACUUUCUUUUUCUAAUUUUAUCCAAAAUAACCUACUAUAUUAUUUUAAUUUCCAACUUUUGUCAUAGUCUAAUGGGCAGUUGUCUUGUCAUUAUUUGGUUUUAGGUAAGAAGAGAGAAAGUUAGUGAGAGGAUGAAAAUUUUGCAAAAACUUGUUCAUAGCUAUGGUAAUUAAGUAAUUUGAGUUCUUUUUUUUUGUUAUUGUUUUUUAUUCACUUUUUCCUGUCUUAAAACAAAUAACGAGUUUUUGUGUUUUUAAUAUUUCUUAUAAACUUCAUGUUGUUUGGUAUAAAAUUAGGUAAUUGGAAAGGUCUCAUGUUGGAUGAAAUUAUCAAUUAUGUGCAGUCCCUACAAAAUCAAGUGGUCGUCAAUGUGUCAGCAUCACUUUCUUCUUCAGAUGUUACUUGUUUUUCACAUUUAUUUUUCUCUCAGUCCUUUUUAAAAGAACAUACACACACAUACUAUGUAGAGUGACCUUUUUUAAUGAGGAAUCUGUCAUUUUAAUAAAAUGAAGAAUAAACUAAAAGGUAGAAGUACACGAACUCUAAUGCAAUAUACCUUUUCUGUUCUUUUACCUUUACUAUAAGAUAGGGAAUGAUAUAAAACUGUUCGAUAAUAGUAAGUGAAAUAAUUAAAAGGCUACUGUUCUAGCUCAUUUAAUAUAUCAAACUUUUCUAGCUCAUUUAAUAUAUCAAACUGCUCGAUAAUUGAAUUGGCCUAGUUAAACAUAAUUUUCAGAUAAUCUUUUUAAUGGUUUAUUUAUUAAUAUUUUGUUUCUUUCCAGUAUGAACACUUUGUUUUGACACGUGGUUAACAACCUUCAACGAACUCGGAACAACCUUCAUCACAUGCUUUCUCACGUGGUUACUUAAACUGAUAUGUUAAACGUGCUCCAUCCACGCCGUUUCCACUAAAUCAUUUUCUGUUAAGAAUCAGCUGAGCAGCGCGUGAGCUAAUGAAGUUUUUCGUAUUGAACUCAACUCUGCUAUUUUCCCAAAGCUGGAAAGCAGAAACAUCAUCCCUUUGGUUUUAUUUCACCUCAACCUUUUUCUGAUCCCAUUUUCAUUGUAAUUUCUCAUUUACUUUGAGUGAAAGUCAUUGUUGCUUUCGAACGAGGUUUUGCAACUAAAAAGGAAAAUGGGGCGGCUACAAUACAUGCGUGCAUCUGAUACAUGCACAAAAACUGACCAUUGGAUUAAAUGGAGUGAUCUAAUGGCUGAGAUUUGUUUCAUUAUUAAGCAAUAAAAAAAUUUGAAACAACCAGAAACCUGUAAAACCGGUCAUUUGGUUUAAGGUAAAAAUAUAUAAAUGAAAAAAAAAAAAAAAAACCCACCACUCCCUCGCCUCACCUCUCUUCUUUUGGGUUUAGUAUUGCUGCUUUUAACAUAAUUGACCUAUGGCCCAAAUCAUUUCUAUAGGGCGAAGCAUAUGAAUGAUACAUAUUAUCUUUUUUUGGCCUUAUGUCUUGUUAUUUGCAGUGUGAUUUGGUCUAGCUUAAGAGCUUAAGCUUGCAGGUUGGAUUUGUCUGACAGGGAACAAUUUAAUUUGUUCAUCGUGAUGUUUAUAUCCAUUUUGUACUACUAUCAAUUUCAAUCAUGCCUAAUUUUUAUAUGUAUUUCUCGUGGACUCUCAGGUUCAGUGCACAAGAGGAUGAAGACGAUGGACACCCAAAUUUGAUGUGGAGAACAACUAUUGCAAAUGGUCCUUGAUUUACUUCUCCAAUUGACUUGAAUUGGUUUGACGCAAUUUAUACUGUAUUUUUGUCAUCUUUGUAUGACUUGCACGUCGUCCUGAUUUGGUACAUGACUGGACACAGGAAUUGGACUCAUAUUUUUCAAACCAGAAUGCCAACAAUCAAGCAUUUUCUUUUGAAAGCACUGGCGUCUUCUUCAAUGCCAAAAAGGUUAGAGAUUUUCUGUAUCCUGUUUUGUAUUUGAUCAGUUUAGCAUGUGGGUGGCAAUCAAGAAAAGUUAUUAUAACAUUUUUGUGUUCCCGAAAAACUGCUGAUGAUGUGUGACUUCUUUUUAUUUGUAUUCUUUCUUUUUCUUUUCUCCCCAACAGUAUUAUGCAUUUCGAAGAGCUUCUUGAAGUUGAUUACCAUGUAUGCCACUUUCUUUACUCUAUGCUCAGGAUGUGAUUUUGCCAAGCAUUAAAAUGGUUUAGGUCAGAACCAUCAUCUAAAGUUUACUUAAAGUUGACGGAUUAAUUCCUUUUAAUAAUGGUCUAGUUAAUUUUACUAUACUCAUAAAACUAUUCUUAUUCUGAUAAUGCCACAAAUGUUAUGAUGUUUUCUUCAGCUAAUGAUCUUCUAUCAGGACUAGUUAGAAAUCAAAUGCUUAAAACACCGAUUGAAUGAAUAAUGCAGAAGUUUAAACAGUAUCUAAUUGAAAAUUGCAUGAAACAUGAAACAUCAAUUCAAGUCCUUCCUUAAACAAAGAAUGCAUCAAACAAAUCCAAAGUGUCUUGCAUGUCUAUAGCAUGACAAAAAAGUUGUAAAUGCGUUUAGAACCAAAUUAUUCAAGUACAGGAGAACGAGCAAGUUGAAUCAUGUACACGAGAUUGGCCUGGUUCGAGAUAGCUUCUUCACUGUACCUGAAGGGUUGGCUCAAUCUUUUCUUUAGAAUUCUGCACAUUUUGUAAUUACUCGUGUAAGCAAGCAUACAUUACAACUCUUGUACACAAACAAUAUUGUAUAAACUAAUGCGACAUAAUAUGAUUGGUUAAACAAAAACAUUACAUAGCCCUCAUAAUUUAUUUAUUUAUUUAUUAUUAUAUAUUUUCAGUCAACCAAUCAUAUUAUAUUACAUUAGUUUCUAUAAAAUAAUUUUCUAAAUAGCACCAAAACUUAAUUGAUACUCACCAUUUCAUUGAACAAUUUUUUUAUGGUGUCAUUGAGGUUGCCUUCCCAACAUCCUUCAUCAUCAUCAUCUUCUUCAUCAUCAUCUUUUUCUUCUUCGGUGACGUUCACUUUGUUUAGCAUUGGUGUGUCUAAGACUCCUUGAGAGAAGAUCAUCAUUUUUGGACACUCUCUCACAACUACUUGUUUCAAGGACGGGAAUUCAAGAGCGUAAUUACCUAAACAAAAGCUUGUUAGGCUUGGCAAACAAUCAAGUCCCAAGUACUUUAAUUCCUUGAAAACAAUGCAAUCUUUCGCUUCUUCUGCAACCGGCGACUGUAUGAUUUCUUCCAUCAUUUUGCAAUCAACUAUCUUCAUUCUUCCGAGAUUCACUAGAUUUUUAGAUGCUGAGAGCGUCAACACAUUUAUCAACCCGUGACACUUCGAUACUUGUAGUCCCCACAGAUUUUCCAAAUGCCACGAAGGUGGUACUAAUUUUUGCAACUUACUACAUUCCGAUAUUUCUAGCCUUUUCAAGUUUGCAAACGCUUUGUUGGAUUCGUCAUUUUCCUUCCAGAGAUGCUGCACUUUGUGUAAUCUAGAUAGCUUUAACUCCUUCAAUUGAGGGAAUGUAAGCUGAAAAUCAACAAAAUUAAGUUGUAAAUGAAAGUAUGUAUCCAAUCUCUGCAGUCUUCCCCUGCAUAUUUUAUGGACAAGAUUAAUCACGGCAUUUUAUAUUUUAUUUCCAAAUUAGUAUGCUUUGCAGUAGGAUCCCAAAUAUAAGUAUCAAAUCGAUUACCCUUUGAAACACAUAAAUGAAAUCUGAUACUAAAUCCAAUAUGAAUUAGCUAGGAAAACAGAGAUGCGACAAGCAUAAUUGAUAUAGUUCAUCACCUCAUGUUACCAGUCAUCGAAAUAAUUUAAGACAUUUUUUUAAUUCAUACUAUAAAGUUAGUUCAUAACUGUAGUUGUAUUGUUAAUUCAUAUAUGAAUCAAGAUGACAUGCAAAAAGAUGAGUCAUAAAAUUUGAUUUGAUUCUAAUGAAAUUACAUCUGUGCGAACAAAAGUGAAGGGGAAAAUAAUAAUAAUAAUAAUAAUAAUAAUAAUAAUCACCUUUUCAUCGAAGAGGGGUUGUACUUGAUGAGCCAGCAAAAAGUUCUCUUCUGAUGUUAAUUUUUGAGGUUCCUUGUUAUUUGUUGUCACAUGCACUACAGAGUUGGAUAUGAAUGUUUCCAUAUCAGGGCAAUUCUCAAUAGUUAGAUUCUCCAACUCAGACAGUUCAAUUAUAUUCCCAGUGAAGUUGCAGAAUCUUUUGAGUUUUGGAAGAUCAAUGAGCCUUAGUCUGUUAAGCCUAGGAAACCGGGGGCCUAUAUGUUCUUCCUUAGCAUUUAGCUCUUCUAAAUGAAGCACCUCUUCUAUUAAAUCACAAUUCCUCACUUCCAGGCAUCUCAAAUUGUUCAAGCAACGUAGCAGAUUGGUAGGAAUAGCACUCGACAUAUUCGUGCAGUCAUCCACAGCCAGUUGUCGUAAAUUGUUGAAGAAGCUGACAGGCACUGCUUGGCCGUGCCAUAUUUCUCUCAAGCGUGGAAAAUGUGAGAGUUGCAAAUGCUCUAUGUCACGGAAUCCAAUCUGCAUAAACCAAAACAAUUGCACUGGAUAUAUAUAAAUUUCUUUUUUUGAAAGGCAUUAGAUAUAUAUAUACAUUAAACUUACAUGUUUUGUGCUUUAACUUCUAAAAAUAUAUUUACAACGCAGGUGUAUAUGUUUAAAUGUGGUAUAGUGGAAUUAAGCUUAUUGCCAUUACUUCGUAAUGGUGUUCGUAACACCAUUACUUCGUAAAGUGAAUCGAUUAACACAUACCAUUACUUCGUAACACUUUUGUAUAGUGGAAUUAAGCUUAUUGCCUUCCCAAUGGUGUUCACCCUCUUCCCUUUCAGUCACUUGCACUACGUAUAGCUUUGGUGUGGAUGAGAUUCCCCGAGAAAAAGUCUUCAUGUUCGGACAAUGUGUCAUAGAAACUUGUUCCAAUGAUGGGAAUUCAAGAGUGUAAUUCUCCAAACAAAAGCUGGUAAGCCUUGGUAAAUCAUCAAGUUCCAAAAGUUUUAAUUCGUUGAAAGCAAUACGAUUCUCCUUCGCUUCUUCUCCAACAUGUCCUAUGAUUUCUUCUAUUUUUGCACAGUCUGAUACAUCAAGAUUCACUAGACUAUUGGGAAUUCCAACCUGAAAAUAAAGAGUAGCAUUCAACUAGAUUCAAAGUAUGUCAAAAUCAUACAAUUGUUUUAUGAAAAAUAACAAACCAUGAAUGUCUACUAGAUAUUUUUUGUUAAAGAAAAAAAAGAAAAAAUAAAAAUAAAUAAAUAGAAGUCCAGAAAAACAAAGAUAAUGAAAAUGCAUUUACACUAUUUAGUAUUAGGAACGGAGAAAGAAUUUCAGGUAAUUUUUAAAUAUUCUAAAUUCAUUUUUCAUCUCGAUGCUAGUUUUUUAAAAUUUUUAAUUUUCAAACAUGCCUAUUUUUAAAAUAACUAAACUAAAACGCUGUAUUUCCCUUUUUUUUUUUUUCCCGAUAUUCAUGCUUUUAAAAAUGGAAAACAUUUCUGGAAAACACUUCCCAACGCCAUCAACAUGGGACUGUUAUAGAGUGAAUAUUUGAGGAAUUUUUUAAUCAACGGUCGAUUCAAAAUGACCAUCAUGAAUUUGUGCUUAAUCAAUGGCGUAAUCAAUUCAUAACUAAACUAGAGAUAUUAACUACAUUUGAACACUUUUCUUUAUUUUUUUUUAAAUCGAAAUUUGAAGACCCAAGGAAAAGAGAAAUAUAUAUGAAUUUGUGAGCUUAAAAGCUGAGUAACUAAGUAUCUUUUAAUUUCUAAAAAUCUUAUUUAUUAGGAUUUAAGGAAAAAAACAAUUAAAUUGAAUUAUAUUAUGCUGUUAAAUCGUGUUUAAAACAAUUAUAUCGUUGACUUUAAUGCGGGUGAACCUAUAAAUUAGAUUGACAAUGCAGAGUUCAGAAUGGUGAUUUGAAGUACACUACUUUUUUGCCCUCCUGAUGUUUGAAGUAAAAUACUUGCAAUAAAUAAUUUGUGAAUGAAAAUUAUUUGUAAACACAAAAAUGAUUAAAAUAAUUGUUGAAUGUUACUUGAAAUAAAAAUUCAAAAUGAAUAUAGCAAUCUUACCAAUGGAGGAAAAAUAUUCAGUAGAUUAUUACACCCAGAUAUCUUCAAUUUUUUCAAUUUGCUAAAAGACUUCGAAGCAAGCUGGUGGUGCCAUAUUUUUCUCAACUUAUCCGCCUCACUAAUAUGUAAUACCUCCAGACUUGGGAGUCGUACCUGAAGUUAAAAAUUCAAUGCAAUUAGAGAUGUAUAUUAAUUAAAUUUGAAGACUCAACGAAAAGAGAAUUUAAAAAUUCAAUGAAAAAAAACCUUUUCAUCAAAGAGGGAUUGAGGUUGCAUUUCAGUGUGAAUGACGUCUUCUGGUGAGGCAAAGCUACUUAGUUUUGGAAGCCAAUGGAGCGACAGGUAGUGUAGUUUGGGAAAAACCUUAAAUUCAUCUCUUCCUCCUAACGUCGUGGUGUUGACUACCCCUUCAAUUGACCGGCAAUUACGAAUCUCAAGAUGUUGGAGUUGCCCAAGACUAUUAACCAUAGAAUAUGAAAACAAAUACUUCAGACGAUGACAACUCCACACGGUCACUUUUGUUAAAUUUUGACAACAAUAUAUUCCCUGAAAUUGAUCGGACCAUAAUUUUUUUAUAUUUGUUAAACUGACAAGUUCCAGUUCCUCCAAGCGUGGAAAAGUAACCUGCAAAGAAAAACCAUACAUUUUUGUUCCUUCAACUACAACUUCUAAUAUAAUAUUCUUUCGAUGAUUGAAGAUCAAUCGUGAUAAUAUAUUAAUUAAUUAAUUAUUAAACAGAAAAUUAUUACCUGGUGAACAGGAUCAUCCUCUGCAUUGAUUUCUAUGAAUCCCUGAGUUGUUGUUGGUUUCUCCAUGUCGGGCCCUAUAAAUGAACCAAAACAAUAUAUAAUAAACAUCCGUUGUUUUUUUCCCCAAAAAAAGAAAAAGAAAAAAAGAAAGAGUCAAUGUCAAUAAUCCUACCAAUAAUUAAUUUCAACACUUACCAAUAAUCAUUUUCAAAUCAUCGCAGUCUUCCACUUUUACUUUUUGAAGCCGCAAUAGGUUUUUGGCCAUAGAGAAUGAGAAGAGAUACUUCAAUUUUCGACAGGAAUCUACGUUUAUAAUCCUUAAGUUGCUGAAGGAUUGAUCUUCUCUGAGUUGGCUGUAGCAUAUCGUCUCCAAAUUAGUUAAAAACAUAAGAGACAAUGCCUCCAGCAAGGGAAAGACUUCGCAACGAACCCUAACUGAACCGACAAUAUGUAAAAUCUCAGAACAGUCUGUUACGAGAAGACGCUUCAAUCGUGGAAAACCUUCCCCAUCGUCUAAUUCAUGAACAACACUUUGAACACCCUCCAAUGUUUCUAGCCAGAGAUCUUCAGUUCUCUGCAGCAACAUUUUUGUCCCAUCAUUCUCCUGAAGAAUGCUAACUUUUUUUAUCCCCUUGAGCAUCAUCAAUCUUGAUGCUUCAGAUUUGACGAGCAAUGGGUCAAACUCAUCUUCGGGCCCAUCUCCUAUACGUAUCUUAUAUCUUUGCAAUUCCACAGAGACAAAAUCCGGCGGCAGAAUUUCGGCAUCCGGAACUUCUAUCUCCAAAGUAGUUAGCUCUGUCAACCUCUCCAAUUCGACAAGACUGGCAUUACUUCCUCCUUCAACCUUCUCCCACCCUGAAAAACCGUUACCCAUAUACAAUUCUUCUAAUUGAGAAAAAUUUUUGGAUAUGACAUUUCGGUGCUAUUCACCUUCAAGCCCACCAAACAAUUGCUCUCAAAUCUAGGAAAUUGGUAACCGCGGCCAAUNNNNNNNNNNNNNNNNNNNNNNNNNNNNNNNNNNNNNNNNNNNNNNNNNNNNNNNNNNNNNNNNNNNNNNNNNNNNNNNNNNNNNNNNNNNNNNNNNNNNGCGAGGCUGAGAAUCUCUAUUUCUUUAGUGUCCCAAUUGCGCUAUAUCUGCUAGUCGCACCAGUCUAAACACAAUGUUUGAAGGUUAAUGAGGCGACCAAGUGAUGAAGGUAAUGAAGAAGAGCCAAUUCCAGGAAACUGUAAAACUUUGAGUCCUUCCAUCCCUUCAAAAAAGUGGUCUGAAACUUGCAUAGGGCCAUUACCCUCCGUAUACAACAAAAAUAACUGGAGAUUGGGACAUUGCAACCUUUCAGGGAGCUCUUGAAUAUCUCUAUGAGGUAAUGAAAUAGCAAUUGGAUCUUUCUGUAUUGUCUCUUCCAUCUUUUUCUCCAAGUCAGCAACAUUUGGAACAUUAAACAUGCGCUCCUCUCUGGCAAUUGAUACGGCAACAACAUGAAUGACGUCAUGCAUUUUAACUUCAUCUUCAGCAUCACCGUCCAACAAUAAGCAUGAAGAUUUGAGGUUGUCGAUCAACCGAUGCACUCUACUCCUUGCUUCUUCCAAUGUGUAAACAUUUUCAAACAAACCCCAACCCACACCACAUCUCAAUAAGUCAGAAACUUGUAUGACAUUACCUUCACUGUAUAGACUACAAAGACGGAACAGAGAUUUUGCCUCCUCACUUUCCAAGAAGUCAUAACUCAAUUUUAUGGAGGUGUACACAUUUGCUUGCAUGCCAUGAAUUUCUCUAGCAUCCGAUCUUCUUAGCUGAUUCAAUGCAUCUUUCCAAAAGUAACUAUCCUUAGUUUUCAGAGCAUUUGCAACUGUACUCAGUGCAACAGGCAAACCUCCGCAUCUUUCAACGAUCUCAUUUGCUAUACUUUGAAAAGCGGAUAUUUUAGUUGAAUCACCCACUAUCUUUUCAAAUAACUGCAAUGCUUCUUUUGGUGGCAAAGCAUCGAUCGGGAAAUUUUUCUGAGAAUUCAUAUCAAUGCGCAAUAAAUCUCGACUUCUAGACGUCAAUAUUAUUGUGCAUCGUCUCUGAUCAUCCUUUGUAUCUUUCUCAUCAACAUCCCCACAAGGAAUUCCAACUUUUUCGAACUCGAGUUUUUUCCAAAUAUUAUCCAAUAUAACGAGGACCUGCUUCUCGUUCUUCAAUCUUUCACGUAAUCGAUCUGCUCUUUCGAAUUUAUUCUCAUCCGAGCCAAAUUUCAUGCCUAAGUCAAAAGCAAGUUUCUUUUGAAUUUCCUGAUGAUCUGGGGUCUGUGUUACCUCAGCCAUAACGACCUUGUCGAACACCUUAUCUUCCAUAACUUGCCUUGCAACUUGCUUGACUAGCGUGGUUUUACCCACGCCGCCCAUCCCGUAGACCCCAAUUAUCUUGAGCUUAUCAUCCUUCAACGCCUCCACAACAUCUUCAAAUACUUUCAUUCUUGAAUCAAAGGCCUCGAAAUCUUUCACUUGCAUAUGUUCUGCCCGCUUUGGAGCAGGACGGUAGGAAACAUUAGAGAAGUUACAUUUUCCCAUGAGACUAGCAGCAGCUUCUGCGGCCUUUGCUGCUUGUCUACUGAGCUUGUAACGAGAAAUCAAGUUUGGGCACAAUCCUUUGAAACAGAACUUCUUAGCUCUAUCUUCAUCAUCAGUGAUGGAUUUCGCAGCUCCCUGACUGAAUUCCUUGACGCUAUUAAGCCAGUCUGCAACAUCCUUAUAAAUCUCAUCUCCUUGUUGAGUAGCCUGAUGAACGGGUAUUUCCACCCUUUCUCUUUUAUAUCCCAACUGUUUCACUUGAUCUUUUAGGCCAUCUAUGUAGCUCUGGUACUUGAACACAUAAGAGAUCUGCCGUAUAAUCGGUUUGAACAGUGACUUUGCAUCUUCUGAUACGAUGCUGGAAAAAGCAGCCAGACCCACUUCUGCAACCAUUGCCUGUUGCUUAACAAUAUAUGUAUAUAUAUGAAUAAAAUGAAUAAAAAUGUCAAAGAAAGGAAUACAAAUAAAUUAAAAUGAACUAGAGGGAAAGACAGAGAAAGAAAAGACCGCAAACAACAUCGCGAUAUUGAUUUUGAACCAACUGAUACAUAAGUAGAGAAUUUCUUUUUCUAUCUUAAGGAUCAGAGGUUUUGCUAUUAACAGAAAGGUAUCCUUUAAGGAAAGUUGAUGGAAAUUAAGAAAGAAUGGCUAUCAAGAUCAAGUAUUCUGCUACUAAAAAUAAAUGAUAUGACUUAAGAAAAGUAAAUGAUAUGAUUAAGAAAAACCAGAGAAUUUUUUCCUAGGAAAGUUGAUGGAAAUUAAGAAAGAACCGCUAUGAAGAUCAAGUAUCAGAGAUUCUGCUACUAAAAGAAUAUUACAGGUUUUAGAACAAGUGCACCUCUUUACCUGUCUGGGAUCAGAGUCGAUGAGCUGCUGUAUUCACCUUGAAUAUAGAAGAAAUAUUACAGGUUUUGACUAAAGAGGAAUGUGAGGAACGAGUUGAUGAGAGUAAUAACAAUGAAUUUCCAAAAGAAGACGACUUGAGCAUUAAGCAUGCACCCCCUUUAUCAAUCAAAUAUUGGUACGUAUGUACGUAGGGACCAUUAUGCGUAUAUGAAGUCCAUUAGUUGCAAUCAGAAACCCUGGCCCAAUUUAAUUGACACUCGAUUUUUGAUAAGAAGAAGGCAAGGAUAAGGACAAAGUCAAUCAAUCACCAACAGUAAUUACUUCAAUCUUUGUCAAUCUACUUAAAUUGUCGAUCAACAUGAAAAUUGUUUAAAUUGAUAUUUGUAAAUCAAUCAAUUUUCUAGUUACUAUGAUUAUAACGUUUCACCUUUCAUAUUGGAUUUUAUCUUUUCGAAAGUUUUCAAAUAUGAGUGUCAAUAAUUAUUGAGACUCCAAGCCGUGCUCUCAAGAUCGUGCUGACAAAUCACUAUUGACUUUGUUUAUGCAAAAUUCAAAGAAAAAAAGUUAUGGUUUUGUAUUGCCAGCCCUGCUACUUUUUGUUUUUUUCAUUUGUAUUAUUUACGAAUUAUUUUUUAACAGAAACAUGAGAACUCAUCAUCGUAUAAAAUUGCAUGAAAAAAUCUUCAAAUUUAUAAAAGUAAAUUUCAUUGACAGAUUGUGGAUAUGUUAGAAAGAAUAAGGAUAAGAAUGAGUUAAGAAAUAAUAUAUAUAUAUAUAUAUAUAUAUAUAGAUAGAUAGAUAGAGAGAGAGAGAGAGAGAGAGAGAGAGAGAGUGAAAGUAAACAAUGUUUUGGUACAUUUGGUAUUGUUUUCAAAAUAUUUUGAAAAGAAAAAUUUUCAAUUAUCCAUCUAAGAAUUAUCUUAUUAUCCAAAAAGUUAUAAAAAUUUAAAAAUAUUUAAUUUUAUACCCAUUAUUACAAUGUGUAUCAACUGUUUACUAAAAAAAUAAAGUUACUCCUAAAACAUAAUCACCACUACAAUUUUGUGUUCGGUUCUAUUUUGUCACUUUGAACGAAUAACUUUAUAUUUUUAACAGAUGUUUCAUACAAAUUGCAUACAUUGGAUGUAAAAUUAAAUAAAUUUAAAUUUUUAUAAUAAUUUUAAUAAUUGAAUAAACUUUGAGUAAAUGACUGAUAAUUUCUCUUUUAUAAGCUACAAGAAGUUAAAAAGAAAAAAGAAAAAAUAGGAUGAUAAUUUCUCUUUUAUAUGCCUCAGAUGAUUUAUUGUUUCGGGUCUAAGAUUUUAAUUAUUCAACUUAAAAGAUUAAUAUAUUAUAAAUUAAUUAAUUAAAUAAUCAUUAAGCAACUAAAUUGGGUCCCCUGGAUGUCAAUUCCUUUAAUAUUGACGCAACUAUUUUUUUCUGGCAAAUAAUUAUUAAUGCACUGACGGAACUUUUGCAUAUCUACACAGCGAUUUUAAAUAUUACUGGUAACUGCUGAGAAAUGUGCGAGAAAGAAGUUGAUGAGAGUAAUAACAGCGACUUGCAAAAGGAAAAGACAGAAUCAUUCACCCCUUUUUGUAUCACCUAUUUGGUUACUGUUUCCCUGUUGACGCAUGUAUAAAUUUGACUGGUUUUUCUGCACUUUUUUGGCUGUUGCUUAACAAUGUGUGUGUGUAUUUGCUGUUGAAAAAAUUGGAUUCAAAUAAAUUAACUGAAAGAUUAGAGUUUUGACUAUUAACUGAAAGGUUUCAAGGGUAUGAAUGAAAAGCAACAUUCUUUUUUAGAAACUAUUUUAGAGGAGAGAUGCAAAUUAACAAAUGCUAAUAACAAGAACACAGAAGUUAACAAUGAACAGUAACUUAAAUCAAGAAAAUUAAAUGACAAAAUUAAGACAAACAAGAGAUAUUUUUUUCUUGGACAUUAAGAAAUAACUGCGGUCAAGAUCAAGGAGAUUAUGCUAUUAAUAGAAAUUAUCAAAGGAUUUAGAACAAGUUCACCUCUUUAAUUAUCCGGGAUCAGAUAGUUGAUGAGCUUCUCUAUUUAGCCUUGAAUAUUUAAGAAUAAUUUUAAAGAGCAAAAAGAUCACUGGUAACUGCUGAAAAAUAAGUGAGAAAAGAGUUGAUGAGAAUAAUAACAAUGAAUUGAAUAAAAAAAGGACUUAAUCAUGCACCCCCUUUGCAUAUCAUGUAUUUGGUUACUGUUGCCUUGUUGACGCAUGUAUAGAAUAAUUACAUGUAUUAUUAUAAUUUUGGAUUCGAUAUCCUUGUAUUAGUGUCUAAGAUUUUCAUGAAGAAUUAAACUUGGAAUGACCAAAAGAGGAAGCUGCAGUGUAUUGUUGGACCCAAUUAAGUUGAAGAAAGCACUAGUUCACAACCUUACGUUUGGAUAUAUUCUAAAGAAAUAAUUAAACAGCAAAUCAUCACAUGCACUUUAAUGAUUUGAUCUAUUGUUUUCAAAAGAAAUUGCAAUUAACAGUUUUUGUCAAAAGUUCGCACAGCGUGAAACUAGUGUUAGUAUAAUUUAAAAAAUUAAUUUCAGUAUUAUUUUUUAAAAUGUUAAUUAUUAGAUUUAUUUUAAUAAUAUAUUUAUAUUUAUUAUAAAAAAUUUAGUUAAAUAUUUGUGUUAAAUAGAAUUUAUAAUUAAUUUAAUAUAUCUUAGGUAUUAAUAAUAUUAUAAUUAUUCUAUAUGCUAUUGAAAAUAAUUUAAAUUUUUAGACAUUUAUUUUAUAUUAAGUUUCUAUUUAUUACAAAAUUUAGUUUAAUAUAGUAUAAGCUUGUAAAGUAUUAAAAUAUUUUUUUCAUUUUUUUUAAAAUAUUAAAAUUAUUUUAAAAUAUAUAUAUUAACAUUGAAGCUAAUUUUUUGAGUUAAUAGAGCUAGUAGGUGUUAUAGUAAAAAAGAGUAUCUUAGUAUCUCUUAUUGAAAAUAUAUAGAUCUAUAUAAUCAUUUUUUCAAAUAUUGAGAUGUAGAAAAAUAAAUUAAAAAAUUUUAAAUUUUAAUAUGGCCAUCGUAGGGUUAGAAUCCCCGCUCCAACCCGAUUUGGAGAUUUAUGUUUUUAAAAAAAAAAAGAACAAAGAAAAAAUACACACCCGACCAAAUCAAGCACCUCAUCAAAUCAAAAAUAAAAAAGGAAAGAAAUUAAUGGCUUGCAUGCAAUUUUGGAUCUGAAAUUAAAAUUACAUAAAAAUUAAGGCUUACGUACCUUAAUAUUUACAGCUUGUUUGAUGGCCCCAACAAGUUUAAGCAGCAUCAAAAUGUUGUGGCUCCUUAAAUGACAACAUCGACUUGUUUGACAGCUCCAACAAGGCUACGAUGAUCAGAAGAUGAGCCCUCAAUCAACAAGGCUAAGAUUGGCUUCUCUAUCCUCUGCCGACAUGUCCUCUUCUCCCAACAACCAGCGCCUUGCUCUUUGUCAUUUUUCCUCUUGUUAGUUUUCUUCUACAUAUAAUUAUUACACUGGGAAGUAUACACACACUUCUUUUCUUUUUAUAGUACCUUACUAUUAUAUCUUUACAAAACAAUAUCACCCUAAGACAUAUAUGUAUGAAAUAAAUAUAUAAGGAACGGACGAAAUAAAAUUAGAUCUAACACUAGUUUCAUGUGGUGUGUGAACUUUUGACAAUCCUCUCAUACCCCAACAAAAACUUUGUCAUAUUACAAAAGUUAUCACGACCAUAGACUUUUCAAUUGCAUAUUGGAAUUGCAAUGUCAUUUUAUUAUAGUAAUGUCAUUUCCAUUAUUCAUAGUGGCAGACAAUGGACAUCACGGGACACGGCUAGAAGUUAUCACGACCAUAGACUUUUCUAAUUUAUGAAAUAAAUGAAAUUAGAUCUAAUUCUAGUUUCAAGUGGUGUGAACUUUUGACAAUCCUCCCAUAUCCUAACAAAAGCUUUGUCAUAUUGCGAAAAUACCUUUUCAAUGUUUCAAUUGCAAUGUCAUUGCCAUUAUUCAUAGUGGCAGACAAUGGACAUCACGGGACAUGGCUAGAAGUCUAUGUUACGGCUUCUGUAAGUAACAGCAGCCAAUGGGGAACUUCCAUGGGGGCUAUAGGAGAGAGAAAGAGGUCCCAAUACAAGUGUUAGAGUACAAUUUAUACACUAGUUUUGCAUUGUUUACUUCCCUUAAUAUCGAUGUUUUGCAUUUAAUAAUAAUGAUUUACUUGUGUUUUACUUUUGUAAGUGCAAUUCUAUUGAUUUGUGAUAGAAUUGAGGUAUAAGAUGAUGUUUAAAGAUGAUUGUUCUCUUGGAGAAAUUUAGAGCGUCAGAAGAACUUUAUAGAUAAGGCGUGGGCGCGUGCUGUCAACUGCGGACCUGCAGUUUUUAGUUUAAUGUGUUUUGUAUUUUUGGCUAUUUUUGUAAUUACGAAUUUAAUAUUUCAAAUAUUAUUAUUUUAUUUUAAAUAGAACUUUAAAAGAGAAGAGAGAGAGAGUAUUUAAGGGAGGAAUCUAUUGUGAAAAAGGGGGGAUUUUAAUUGGAGAAAAAGAAAGAAACCCUAGAUCUAAUUUUUCUCUUCUCUCUAUGAAAAACUAAACUUAUUUUUUCUAGUUGAAGGUUAAUGAAUUUUUGAUUCAUCACUACUGUGAGAUCUUUCUUAUGCUUUAAUUGUUUUAUUACUUUUUGGGUAUUUGUUUAUUCUCUGAAUUAGUUUCAUGAUUAUGUUUGUUAAUUAGGUAAUUGGCCACUAUUUAAUUAUCAACUUAAUCUAUUGUCAAUUAAAGAAUUCAUCGUAUGACGAGUUUAAUGUUUGUGACAAAUAACAUAGCAGUGAGUUGUGUUAUGGGAAUAAACAAUCUAAUUUAAAUGAAUCAUCAUAUGUGUUGAUUAGGAUUUGGGUCGCUCUGGUUUUUCAGGCUGUCAAUUGAUUAAAUCCUAUGAUCGUAUCUAGGGUUGUCUAUUAAUUAGGGAAAUAUCCAAUGGUCGUACCUUGGUUAUCGACUAGUUAAGGAGAGAUUGGCUAUUAGAGGGUCUCAAUAGCUAUAACCAGUUUAUUCAUAAGUAAUAAUAAUCUAUUUUUGAAUCAAUGAUCAGUAGUCGAAUCAAACUGAGUUAAUUCCUUCAACCAAAGCUUUCUCCAAUUUGAAUUACAACUUUAAUUUGCAUUUUUGUUAUUUUAAUUUGAUUUUUUAUUAUUGUCAACAAUUCUCCCAUUUUACGUUUUACGUUUCAAAAGAAUUUAAAUAAUUACCGAUCUCUGUGGACACAACCCUGCUCAAUCACUAUACACAAUUUAUUUAGAGUAGGAAUUUAUUUUUAUUGGCUUCAACAACCAUCAACAAGGUGAUGGAAAUGGGAAAGUUCGAAGCUGUUACUUUCAGCUUCUGCACCGUAGCCAUGUCCCACGGGACAAGGCUAGAAGUUAUCAUGACCAUAGACUUUUCUAAUUUAUUUUUUCCUUUCAAAAAGGGACAAGGAUAAGUUUGGGAGAAUGAUUAUAUUUUUAAUAAAAGAAUUCUUUUUUAUUAUAAUACUUUUUGUCUUUAUUAAUUUAAAAAUAUUAACUCUUAUAUUUUAAUAAAUAUAAAUAUAAUAUUAUAAUAACAUAUAACAAUAUAUACAAAUAUUUAAAAAAAUUUAAGAUUUUAUUAAAAUAAAUUUUAUAAUAAAUAAAAAUACAUUAUUAAUAUAAUUUUAAUAAUUUGCAUUUUAAAAAGUAAUACUGAUAUUAUUUUUUAAAUAUUAAUUUUUUAAAUUAUAUUACUCUACCAAAAAAAAUUAAACUAUUAAAUUAUAUUGAUAUUUAUUACAAAAUUUGCAAUUAAUUCUUAUUAUAUUUUUAAUUGGAAUUUGUUCCUGUGAUAUAACAACAAUUGCUACAGUUUUUUCCCUAAAUAAAGAUGGAGUUAUAAAUUAUUUGUGUAAGUGUCAUGAAAGUAAUAGUUGAAUAACAAUAAUGGGGCUUUAGGCAAUUUUUUUUAUGAGGUCUUCUUGCAAUUUCAACACUUAAACAGACUUGUCCUUGAUCCCAAUUUAUUUACCCCAUUUGGGCCCACGAUGAGAUAAAUAUAUUCCUGUGAGAUGAAAAACAUCAGGAGAAGAAAAUGUUUUAUUAUAAUAAAAAAACAAGUGGUCCAUAAGUCUAUUUAUUACUUUUUUUAUUCAAUACAAAUGGCCAACUUAAAAAAUGAUAAAAAUCACAUAACGCACAAGCAAAAAUUUAGAUUUACAUUUUUUAGUUCUCUCCGUGUCUCUCUUUCUCUUUUUUAAAAAAAAUAAAUAAAUGUCAGUGUAAAAUUAGAAAAAUUUUAGAUAUAAACUUUGGCGAUGACCAAACAAAAAUUGCAAGGGAAAGAAAAUAGAGGACCCUUGAUAUCAUUAAAAUACUGAUCAUAGACACUACAAUAUAAAUAACUUGUUGUGAUCCACUCAACUUGUAACACUUUAAUCCAUAUUCUAAAAUUUGUAUGUUUGUUAGGAAUUUUAUUAUUGACAUUACUGUACCAAUAAAAUUCUAAUUUAUUCAUAUGGAAAGAAAACAUCAAGAAAGGACCUCUGAUUUUUAUUAUAACAGAAAAAAGUGGUCCAUAAGUCUAUUUAUUAUUUUAUUUAUUCAAUACAAAUUGCCAACUUAAAAAAUGGUAAAAAUCACAAAAUGCACAAGUAAAAUUUUAGAAUUACAUUUUUUUUAAUUCUCUUUGAGUCUCUCUCUCUCUCUCUUUAAAAAAUAAACCUCACUGUAAAAUUAGAAAAAAUUUAGACAUAAAAUUUGACAAUCACCAAACAGAAAAUGUAGGGAAAUGAAAAUGGAGGAGCCCUAUUAUCAUUAGAAUAUUGAUCAUAGAUACUAUAAUGUAAAUGAUUUGUUGUGGUUCAUUCAACCUGUCACACUCUAAGCCAUUUUCUAAAAUUUGUAAGGUUUAUAGGAUUUUUAUUAUUGGCAUCAUUGUAUCAAUAAUAUUAUAAAUUAUAUAUUCUAUUGUAAUGAAAAUUUGUGUAAUCUUAGGUAUUUAUUGUAUUAAAUUGUGUGGAUUAAUUAAGAAUAUUUUUGGAGACAAAAGAGGUGUGUGUACGUAGGAUUAAUAAUAAAAAAUUUCUAAAUAAAGGUGAUUGCUUCAUUGACAAGUACAUAUUUAUAUUCUCUAUUAGUAUUUGGGUUGUAAACUUUGUUUAUAAAGUGAAUAUAUUGUGGUAAGCGAUGUGGGCAAUAUCGGAUGCAAAAUAUUGAGAGAUCAUUAACGCAUAUAUUUAUUGCAUAUAGAGGAAAGAGUGUAGAUCCGGCCGUAACAAUUAUGAAGCUUUCCCCAAGUAUUCUCACGCUUCCUUAACUGUUCCAAAGUAUUUUUCAUAGUGUGCAGAUUUACUUUAUGGUGUCUUAAUUCGUCUAAAAUGAUUACUUUAGUUCUUUUGGGAUGAAAGGUCAUUUAUUGUGUUAGGAUUAAACAAUAGAAAAAAUAAGUAAUGGUAACGAAAGACUAAUUUGUGAUAUUGAAGCAUACAUGCUUAACUCAAUCCAAAACUUAGUAAGUUAGCUCAAGAGUUAAGAGUUGUCCAAAUCUUAUAUGCUGAACCCAAGUUCAAUACUCAAUUGAUGCAGGAUGUUAUUCCUAACACCGCCCGUCAUGCGUAGGAUUGGCAAAAAAACUCGAGUCAAUCCCGCCUAGACCUGCAAGCUUUAUUUAUGGCCAGCAUGAUGAAGUUACAGAUAUUAACCUAAAAAUUUGAAACUUACUAUGAAUGGCCUUGGUUAAAGACUUUUGUAACUUUAAUUUAUAACAAAUAUGUAUACACACACACACAUGUUUAGAUUGCAUUUGGGUGACUUUUUUUAUCAAUGCAAACAAUAUCAAAUUUAUCGGAUUAAUUUGAAUCUGAUCUAUAUCCGAUUUUGCCCGCCAUAAGCCCAAGUGACUCUCUUUUACUAAUUAAUAAGGGAAUUUUUUGACCUCAUGUCCUUGCUGUGGCAUUAGACUGUUGGUCAUUUUGAUUGUUUCCUACCUUCCAUUUACGCCAGCUGUAACAUUGUAUUAUUCACCAUUUUAGCCAUUUAAAUGAAAUUUUAUUUUUGUCAAAAAUAAAAUGACACCCUUAAAAUAAAAAAAAAUAGUUAUGUAGACCUCAAAUUUUUAAUAAAGAAUGUCAAUACCUCUUUUAACUACAAGAUUCGUAGUAGAUGAUAAAAAGAAAAUUAACUUCAAAUUUUUUCAUUAAAUGUAAAUCUGAUUGAAGUAGUUUAAAUUUUUCUAGUAGACUAAUAUAUAUAACUUAAAUAAUUAAUUUCAUUAUUAAUUGUUAAAAUGUUAACCAAUAUAUUUUUAAUUUAUUAUAAAAAUUUUAAAUAAAUCCUUGGAUUAAAUAGAUUUUACAAUUAAUGUAAUACUUCUGAUUUAUUAAUAAUAUUAAAAUUAUUUUAUAUGAUAUUCAAAAUAAUUUAAACUUAUAUAUAUAUUAAUAUUAUGUCUAUUUAUUAUAAUAUGGUUUAAUAUUAUACGGGAUUGUAAAAUAUUAAAAUAUUUUUCAAUAUCCAAUUAUUUUAAUAUGUAUAUAUCAUUACAUUUAUUUUAGUAUCAUAUUUAUAUUUAUUAUAAAAUAUAAAAUUAAUAAAAUUAAAGAGUAUUGCAGUAAAGUAAAAAAGAAAAGUCUUAUUAUCUCUUAUUCACGAUAUGAGAUUCUACAAAAUUAUUUCCCGAAACGGGUGUCCUUUUCUCAUUUUCAAAAGAAAAAAUAAAGUAAGAAUAAGUCCAUGGGUUUCAAAAACUUCUAGUCUUAUCCCGGGACUACAUUGUCUGCCACUAUAACUAAUGGAAAUGACAAUACAAUUGACAUUGCCUUUCGCAACAUGACAAAUUUUUGGUGGGAUAUGGAAGAAUUGUCAAAAGUUCACGCCAUGUGAGAGUUUUUGGUGGGAUGUGGGAGGAUUGUCAAAAGAUCACACCACAUGAUAUAACCACAAUUGCUAUGGUUUUUAUUUUUUAAAUAAUGAUGGGAGUUAUAAAUUAUUUAUAUAAAUUUGCGUAGAAACUAAUGUAACAUAAAAGAAGUAGCUGAAUAACAAUAUUUGGUGCUUUAGGUAAUUUUUAUAUGAGCCUUUCUUUUAUUUAGCGGCUCUAGUGCUUAAACAAACUUGUUCUCGAUCUUAUAACAGAAAAGGCAUCCCAUUUAAGCCUAUGAUGACAUAAUUAAACAUAUUCUUUUGUGACGAAAACAUCAAGAGAAGACAUCUCAUGUUUUAUUAUAACAGAAAAGAAGUGGUCCAAACGUCUAUUCGUUAUUUUAUUUAUUCAAUAUAAAUGGCCAACUUUAAAAAAAUGAUCAAAAUCACACAACACUCAAGUAAAAAUUUAGAAUUACAUUUUUUAAUACUCUCUAAGUCUCUCUCUCCUGCCCCCCCCCCCCCCACCCCGUCCCCUUUUUUGAAAAAAUAAACCUUAGUGUAAAAUUAGAAGAAUUUUAGAUAUAAAAUUAGAAGAAUUUUAGAUAUAAAAUUUGGCAAUCGCUAAACAGAAAAGCAGCGGAUUGAAAAUAAAAAAACUCUAUUACCAUUGGAAUAUUGAUUAUAGACAAUAUAAUAACUUGUUGUGGUUCAUUGUAGCACUCUGAGCCAUAUUCUAAAAUUUAUAGGUUUGUUAAGGCAUUUAUUAUUGACAUUAUUGUGUCAAUACUAUUAUAAUGAUAAUUUGUCUAGUCUUAGGUACUUAUUAUAUUAAAUUAUGUAAAUUAAUUGAGGAUACUUUUAGAGACAAAAGAAACACGUGUAUGUAGGAUUAAUAAUCGAAGAAUUGUAAAUGAAGGUGAUUGCUUCAUUGAGAGGCAUAUUAAAUAAUUAUGGAGAGUUGCACUAUUUCGGAAGCACAUAAUUAUACUUCCCUAUCAGGAUUUGGGGUAAACGAAGUGCUUUAUCUAUUGCAGUAAGCAAUGUGGACAAUAUCAGAGGCGAAAUAUUAAAAGAUCAUAACGCAUAUAUUGGAGCCAUUUAUCUUCCGCAACUGUUCUGAACUAUUCUUCAUUGUGGGCAGAUUUACUUAAAUACCUGCACAAUGAUUCAAUACUUCAAAGGUCAAGGAAAUGUCAAAAUAUGAAAUGAAAAUACUUAAAUACCCUUCUACCUAACAAAACUCGCAGAGAAUCUAUAAAAUUAAAAAAAAAAUAUUCAUCCAUGAAAAGCUUCGUAACAGAAAAACCGUCUUUCAAAAAAUAAAAACAGAAAAACUGACUCAUUUAUCUGCAAAUGAACCAAUCGGGACUCAUUUAAAAAAGAAUACAAAGCAAAAGUAAAUGACACAAAUUGCAUAGAUAUCUAGGAGCCGCAUCAAAAGACAAAGGUGUUAAUUUGUCCAAGAAUAAAUUCUCCUAGGUCAAAAGCAAUUAACGAUGAAAACUUUCUUCAUUAAGGUUCUGGCCUACGUAAAAAAACAGAAAAAAACCACCCCAAGGUCAAAGCACAACGAUAAAUUUAGAAAUGAAGUUUUUAAUUUUUUUUUAAUAAAUCAACGUGUAUCAAAAAUAGAUAAUAAUUUUGGAUAACUUUUUUUGAUAAAUAUAGACAUAAAAUUUUAAAAUCACCAAACAGAAAAACAGGAGAAUUAAAACAAAGUCCCUGUUUAUCCUCUAUUUUGCUUGUUAUUAAAAAGGGAAAUGAAAAGAUUGCAAGCGGAAAUUUUGUUUCUGCGUUGUCUCUUCUCAAUGCUGCAUGCAUUCAAAUUAAACCUUACAUAUGCUAGCAAACUAGCUACGCUGCAUGUAAGUUCUCGAUAAGUCCAAAUAAUAGAAUAAUUGUAAAAUGUUCAAAUUCAGUAAUUAAUUUUAUUUAUUUAUUUAUUCAAAAAUUAUUAUUAUUAUUAAUUAUUGUCAAUAAUAUAUUAAUAUACUAAUUAAUUGUAAAAAAAUUUAUCAUUCAUAACAAUAAUAAUGAUGAUGAUGACGAUAAUAAUAAAAAUUCAAAAUAUAUUAAUUAAUUAUAAUAAUAUAUUAAUUAUUUAAUAAUAAUAUAUUUAAAAUAUAUAUAAAUUGAUUAGAAUAGUUAUAUUAAUAAAUUAUAAACAUAUAUUAAUUAAUCAUAAUAAUUUUUUAAUUGAGGACAAAAUAGAUAUUUUAUAGUUUGUGAGAGGGGGCAAAAUGAUCAAUCUUGGGAAUGGGGGAUUGAUUCCCACCACCUUCCUUAGGAAUCAAUCUUCCAUUCCUCACUCCUAAUUUGGGUGGUCCCCAUAGUUCUGAUUCGGAUCCCAGCCUCCAUUUUAUGAAGUAAACAUCAUUAAUGAUUUCGAUUUCGGAUUUCGAUUCUCCAGUCCAAGAAGUAAAGGCACCAUUAUUGUUAAUUGGUUCAAACACACAAAGAGAAUGUACCAUGUAGCUAGGCGUCAAGGUUGUGUGGCACAAGUAACCUUUUUCUUUUCUUUUUAUUUUUCUUGUUUUCCUUAACGGAUCAGAAGAAAUCGGUGCCUUUGAGAUACUACAAUGUAAAUAAGUAUUUGUGGUUCAUUGAAUCUGUAACACUCGGUACCCUAAGGUUGCUUUUGAAAAAGGGCUUUUCUCACUGAUCACCAAUAUCCAAGUAAGUUUGUUUCAUUUCAGAAGGUGCAAAGUUUCAAACUUUUUGUAUUGGGAUGUAACAAACUUUGGCCUUAUAUGCUUGCUGUGACGUUAGACUGUUCAUUUUGAUUGUUUCCUACCUUCCACUUGCGCCACUGUAGCACUGUAUUAUUCAUCAUUUUAGUUGUUUAAAUGAAAUUUUAUUUUUGUCAAAAAUAAAAUGACACCAUUAAAAUUUAGAAAAAUAAUCAUGUAGAUCCCAAAUUUUUAAUAAAGAAUACCAAUAUUCCCCUUGACUACAAUACCCUUAGCAGGUGGUAAUCAAACAAAUUGACUUAAAAUUUUUUACGAAAUGUAAAUAUGAUUUAAAUAAUUUAAAUUUUCCAGAAGACUAAUAUAUAUAAUUUAAAUAAUUAAUUUCAAUAUUAAUUUUUAAAAUGUAAAUUAAUUUAUUUGUACUUAUAAAAUAUUUGUAAUUAUUUUAAAAUUUUAACUAAAUCCUUAGGUUAAAUAGAUUUUACAAUUAAUAUAAUAUUUCUCAGGUAUUAAUAAUAUUAAAACUAUUUUAUAUGACAUUGAAAAUAACCUAAAUUUUUUAUAUAUUUAUUUGAAUAUUAUGUCUCUAUUUAUUAUAAUUUGGUUUAAUAGAAUACGAGAUUGUAAAAUAUUAAUAUUUUAGAUAUUGAAAUUAUUUUAAUAUCUAUAUAUUAUUAUAUUUAUUUUAAUAUCCUAUUUAUAUUUAUCAUAAAUUAUUAGAGUUAAUUUUUUUAGUUAAUAAAUUUAAAAAUAUUAUAAUUUAAAAAAAGUCUUAUUGGCCGUUAUUCACGAUAUAAGGUUCUAAUAAAUUAUUUCUCUAGACAGGUGCCAUUUUCUUAUUUUCAAAAGGAAAAACAAGUUCAGGGCCUCGGGGGUUUCAAAAAAUUCUGGUCCUAUCUAUCACUAUGACUAAUGGGAAACGGCAUUGCAAUUGACAUUGCUUUUCGCAAUAUGACAUAUUAUGGAGGGAUAUGGGAGAAUUGUCAAACAUUCACACCACGCGAGAGCUUUAGGUGGGAUAGGGGAGGAUUGUCAAGAGUUCACACCACAAGAAACUAAUGAUAGGUCUAAUUUCGUUGUCAGUUCUUUAUUUAUUUAUUUUUUUUAUUUCAUACAUUAUUGUUCUUGUAAAGGUAUAAAAGUAAAGUAAAAUACUAGGGGUGCUGUUAAGUUACAACUGAUGUAACUUGUAAUUUUUUCAAAAAUAAUGUAAAAAAUUUAAUAGGUGGUGGGACUCACAUAUUUUUUAAGAGACUUAAGUUAUAGUAGUUGUAACUUAACAAAAUCUAAAUAUUAUACAAUAAUGCAUAUUAAUAAUGCAUAUAAUUUGGGUUUGAUUUUUAAAAGAUUAUUUGAGUACCACCUAUCCUUAUGAUAUUAAUGUGAUUAUAUCUUAAUAUUAAAUAAUCAAAAUUUGUUUAAUUAUUAUUUGUAUUUCAUACAUUACAUAUUAGAUUUGUUUGAAUUUUAAGUUGUUGCUAAUAAAUAUUUAUGUUGUCAAAGUCAAAUUCAAUAGCUACAAAAGCAGAGAUAAUGGUAUUGUAUAUAGUUUUUAAGAAUGCAAGGAUAAGCUGGAUAAUUGACAUAAAUUCUAAUGAUUAAAAGAGCAACUAUCCCUUAAAUUAUAAUGUUAAUUUCUUUAAUUAGAUUUUUUUUUUCAUGUGAUAUAACCACAAUUGCUACAAUUUUUUUUUAUAAUAAUAAUGGGAGUUAUAAAUUAUUUAUAUAAAAUUUGGGUUGAAACUAAUGUACCAUAAAAGUGGUUGCUGAAUAACAAUAUUUGAAACUUUAGGUAAUUUUCAUGAGUCCUUUUUAUAUUCAGCAACCUGAAUUGGGGAAAAUCCGACUUGAAUUGGCGGUUGAUUUUGGUGAUGUGGCUUUUGGUUUAUGGCGGCUUUACUGUGGCGGAAGACUGGAUUUACGGUUGCCGACUGCUAGGGAUUAUGGUGGUGGUGUAAAUUGACGGAAAAAGAAGGUGUUUUGGUGGCGGCGCGUGUAGGAAGCACUCGUGGGUUGUCGUUUCGUGUGGUGACAGAGGGCGGCGAUCAAGGGCCGAAGUCGGUCAGUUUUUGGUCAACGAAGGCCGGCGAGUUUGUUGGUGGAGGUGGCUGGUGGAGAAAGUGGCUGAAUGGUGGUGGGUUGCUUGGUGGAGCCGCAGGUUUGGGUUGGUGAUUUGCGGCUGUUCAAGCGGCGGUUGAGGCAGCGAUGACUGAGGCUUGGUCGACGGUGGCUAGUGAGGUUUGUGGUGGUGUUGGCUGGCUGAUUGGCGGUGGUGGGCGGCGGUGGGGGUUGGUCUGACGGGUAGGGUUUUCAAAUUUGUAAUUUUUUUUUUUGAUGGAUUUGGUUUGGAUGGGUAUGGUGUAUCUAGGAAAGAUGUGUGAUUCGCACAGAAUUGCUUUGAUACCAAUUGAUGGAGCGAGCGUAGCGGAAGUGGAAUUGAUAAGGUAAGAAAUACUAAAUAUCAUUCUAGUACUGGAUCAAGCCAACACAAUUAACUUACGCUUUAAUCAAAGCGUGAUUAGAUAUUGUUUUAAUCUAAAUGAUUCAAUGAGAUUUUUAAUAACGCGUAAUACGAGAUUAGAUGACACUCUAAUUUAAAUAACUCUAUAAGAGAGAUUUUGAUAAAUAAUACUAGAGGAAAUUAUAAAAAAAAGAGUUUUAUUUAAUAAUUGAAUUUGAAGUCCUGAAAACAAUGACAAGACAUCUUUAUUUUUUUUAUUACAGACAUCUUUAUUUAUAAUAAAAGAAAUCCACUUUCCUAAGUUAACCUAAAAAGAAAAUUUAAAUUAUAAUUAUAAUGGAAAUAAAAGAUUAAGAUACAUACCAUAAUUGACUCAAACAAAAAUAGAAAACCAUAAAAUAAUAAAUAUUUUAGAAUUAUAAAUUAUCUAAAAUAACGUUAAUUAACUUCCUAAAUCACGUCUUUGGUGUAAACCAUUUUGCAUCCAACCUUGCUUUAAAGGUUUGAACCAACGUUACGAACAACAAUGUAUCAAAUUCCAAUCUAACUUAAGAUCCUGAUACAUCUACCGAUGUCCUUGUUUGAUUAGACAAUAAUGAGUCUAUCUCAUCACUUGUUACCUCUUUUUUGAAGCUGCAUCUGUUGAAGUGAUAGCCUCGCUUAGAGUUUAAAGAUCUUCUUCCAUGUUAAAUAAAGUGGGCAUUUGAUUAAAAAACUUUAUCUCUAUCUCCUUCUAUCAAAUAACGAAAACUAUCCAAAGGAAAAAAAAAAAAUUAGAAAAGUCCAUGGGUUGCAAUAAUUUAUGGUCUGUCCUCGGACCCCAUUAUCUGCCAAUAUCAAUGAUGAAAAUGAAAAUAAAUGGCAUCUUCCCAAAAUGGCGAAAGAUUUUUAGGAGAUAUGGGGAAUUGUCAAAAGUUCCCACAACGCGAAAUAAGUGUUACAUCCAAUUUUAUUUCAUCAUAUAAUGAUAAUAUCAAGUAAUGACAGCCAUCUAAAAGUAUAAUGGGUCUUCCAAAAUUUUGAAAAUGUCGUCAACAUUUAAUCUUCAAUGCUAAAGAAGAUGAAAUGCCCAAAAAUGACAUGCAGGACCCACUCACAGACUAAACGGCCCUGACCACAUGCAACAAACUUUGACUUUAUGUCCCUGCUGAGGCGUUAGACUGUUGGUCAUUUUGAUUGCUUUUUACAUUCCAUUUACGCCAUUGUAGCAUUGUACUAUUUACCAUUUUAGCUGUUUAAAUGAAUUUUUUUUUCCAAAAAUAAAAUGACACCCUUAAAAUUUUAGAAAAUAAUCAUGUAGACCCCAAAAUUUUAAUAAAGAACACCAAUACCCUUUUUGACUAUAGUACUCUUAUGGUAGCCACAAAAAAAAAAUGACUUCAAAAUUUUUUACUAAAUGUAUAUAUGAUUUAAAUAGUUUAAAUUUUCUAGUAGACUAGUAUGUAUAAUUUAAAUAAUUAAUUUUUAAAAUGUAAUUUAAUAUAUUUAUUUUAAUAAUAUAUUUAUUAUAAAAAUUUUAAACAAAUCCUUGGGUUAAAUGGAUUUUAUAAUUAAUAUAAUAUUUCUCAUGUUUUAAUAAUAUUAAAAUUAUUUUAUAUGAUAUUGAAAAUAAUUAAAAAUUUUAUAUAUUUAUUUGAAUAUUAUGUCUCUAUUUAUUAUAAUUUGGUUUAAUAGAAUACGAGAUUGUAAAAUAUUAAAAUAUUUUUAGGUAUUGAAAUUAUUUUAAUAUGUACAUAUUAUUAUAUUUAUUUUAAUAUCCUACUUAUAUUUAUUAUAAAAUAUUAAAAUUAAUUUUUUUAGUUAAUAAAUUUAAAAAAUAUUAUAAUUAAAAAAAAGAGUCUUAUUGUCUGUUAUUCACGAUAUAAGGUUCUACAAAAUUAUUUUCAAAAGGAAAAAUAAGUCUAGGGGUUUCAAUAAAUUCUAGUCCUAUUUGCCACUAUGACUAAUGAAAACGACAUUGCAAUUGACAUUACUUUUCGCAAUAUGACAAAUUUUUGGAGGGAUAUGGGAGAAUCGUCAAAUGUUCACACUACGCGGGAGUUUUGGAUGGGAUUGGGGAGGAUUGUCAAGAGUUCACACCACAAGAAACCAAUGAUAGCCAUAAUUUUGCUAUCAGAUCUUUGUUUAUUUAUUUUAUUUAUUUCAUACAUUGUUGUCUUGUUGGCAUUGUUUUGCAAAGAUAUAAAAGUAAAAUAAACUAUUAGGGUGCUGCUAAGUUAAGCUGUUGUAACUUACAAUCCCUUAAAAAAUAAUGUAAAAAAUUUAACACGUGGUGGGAUCGACAUAUGUUUGAAGAGGCUUUAAGUUACAGUAGUUGUGACAUAGCAAAAUCCAAUUAUUAGACAAUAACGCACAUUAACAAUGCAUAUAAUUUGGGUUUGAUUUUUUGAAAAAUUAUUUGAGUAUUAACUAUCCUUAAGAUAUUAAUGUGAAUAUAAUUUAAUAUUAAAUAAUCAAAAUCUGUAUAAUUAUAAUAUAUAGUUCAUACAUUGCAUGUUUAAUCAAAAUCUGAUUGCUUUUUACCUUCCAUUUACGCCCACUGUAGCAUUGUACUAUUCACCAUUUUAGCUGUUUAAAUGAAAUUUUUUUUUUUUCAAAAAUAAAAUGACACCCUUAAAAUUUUAGAAAAUAGUCAUGUAGACCCCAAAAUUUUAAUAAAGAACACCAAUACCCUUUUUGACUAUAGUACUCUUAUGGUAUUCACAAAAAAAAAAAAUGACUUCAAAAUUUUUUACUAAAUGUAAAUAUGAUUUAAAUAGUUUAAAUUUUCUAGUAGACUAGUAUGUAUAAUUUAAAUACUUAAUUUUUAAAAUGUAAUUUAAUAUAUUUAUUUUAAUAAUAUAUUUAUUAUAAAAAUUUUAAACAAAUCCUUGGGUUAAAUAGUUUUUAUAAUUAAUAUAAUAUUUCUCAUGUUUUAAUAAUAUUAAAGUUAUUUUAUAUGAUAUUGAAAAUAAUUUAAAAUUUUAUAUAUUUAUUUUAAUAUUAUGUCUCUAUUUAUUAUAAUUUGGUUUAAUAGAAUACGAGAUUGUAAACUAUUAAAUAUUUUUUGGUAUUGAAAUUAUUUUAAUAUGUAUAUAUUAUUAUAUUUAUUUUAAUAUCCUACUUAUAUUUAUUAUAAAAUAUUAAAAUUAAUUUUUUUAGUUAAUAAUUUUAAAAAAAUAUUAUAGUUAAAAAAAAGAGUCUCAUUGUCCGUUAUUCACGAUAUGAGAUUCUACAAAAUUAUUUUCAAAAGGAAAAAUAAGUCCAAGGGUUUCAACAAAUUCUAGUCCUAUCUGCCACUAUGACUAAUGGAGACGAUAUUGAAUUGACAUUGUUUUUCGCAAUAUGACAAAUUUUUGGAGGGAUAUGGGAGAAUCGUCAAGCGUUCACACCAUGCGAGAGCUUUAGGUGGGAUAUGGGAGAAUUGUCAAGAGUUCACACCAAGAGAAAUUAAUGAUAGGCCUAAUUUCGUUGUCAGUUCUUUAUUUAUUUAUUUUAUUUAUUUCAUACAUUAUUGUCUUGUUGGUAUUGUUUUGUAAAGAUAUAAAAGUACAAGUAAAAUAUUAGGGGAAGUAAAGUAAAAUAUUGGAGGUGCUGCUAAUUUACAGCUGCUGUAACUUACAGUUCCUUCAAAAAUAAUGUAAAAAAUUUAACACGUGGUGGGACCCACAUUAUGUUUGAAGAGGCCGUACAUUAUAGCAGUUGUAAAUUAGUAAAAUCCAAAUAUUAGACAAUAAUACACAUUAACAAUGCAUAUAAUUUGGGUUUGAUUUUUUAAAAAAUUAUGUGAGUAUUACCUAUCCUUAAGAUAUUAAUGAGAAUAUAUUUUAAUAAUAAAUAAUCAAAAUCUGUUUAAUCAUAAUAUGUAAUUGAUACAUUGCAUGUUAGAUUUGUUUGGAUUUUAAGUUGUUGCUAAUAAAUAUUUAUGUUGUGAAAGUCGAAUUCAAUAGCUACAAAAGCAGAGAUAACGGUAUUUUAUGUAGUUUUUAAGAAUACAAGGAUAAGACCAUAACGCAUGAGAUAAUGGUAUUUUAUAUAUAUUAAAAGACCAUAACACAUGUAUUUGAGCCAUUGAUAUUGAAGACACAUAUAGAGGAAAGAGUGCAGAUCCGGCCCUCAGUAUUGUGAAGCUUUCCUCAAGUAUUCUCAUGCACACAGACCUUAUCUGGUCAAGUUUUCUGAUUCAAUAUAAUCAAUUUCCGCGCAGUACUGACGACAGCUUCUCUGUAAAGCUCUUCAACCACAAGCAUUUCUACAAGGCAAAAGACUAGGACGUGUCAGAAUGAAUAUCAAUAAGGGAAUGUCUUAUGAAUUUAGUUUAUAUCCUAAUAUAAGACAAUCAGUAAAUAUUGGACUCAUUAGUUGCCCUUGCCUCAGACGUUUGGAUGCUAAGGGGAAAAAGGAAGUUUGAAUUAGUCAAUCUCAUUUCUAAUGGCAUUCACAGAGAACUUAUAAAACAAAAAAAUUAUAAAAAAAAAUUCAUCCAUAAAAAGCUUAGUAACGGAAAAACCGACUCUUUUAUCUGCCACUGACGAAAAAAAAACUGAAGUAUCAAAUAGAUAAAGAUUUUAAUUUUUUUCUUGGAAAAACUAAUAAUAAAUUAACAAUUGGAUAAUACUAUUAAUUAGAGAUCUUUAAUAUUAAGGUUAUCAAAGAUAGAAUGUGUAUAAAAAUUCUUAAUUAUAAGAUAAUUACUAACUAAAAAGAGGCCUAAAAAAGAAGAUUUGCUAUUAUAAGUAAUACCAAAAAUAAAAAAGGGAGACUUCCUAAUUGUUUAAUUGUUAAAAAAGAGGAUUUGCUAUUAUAGGCCUAAUUUGCCUAUAAGUAAUACCAAAAAUAAAACCGUUCCUGGAUGUAAAAAAUAAAAAUUAUUGUUAAAUUCCUGACUAAUAAGGUCAUUGAAAGUAUUCAAAGGACCUGAACUUAUAGGAAAGCCAGCCAUGAUGAACUAUACCACGUUGCAAGUGAGCUCGUAUCUUCAUCCCUUGAUCUGCCAUCGGCAUUUCUGUUCCACUCACUAUACCAUCCUUUUCAAUCGAUUUUUAUUGAUCAUAAGAGGCCAUGUGGCCCACCUUAUUUUUAUUUUGGAUCCAUAACCCAAAGCUGGCCCAAGUUCUGAUUCCAGAAUCAUUUGUCUACAAAGUGACCUCAUUCCGGCAAUUGGUUUAUGCUAAUAGCACGUGCAAUUUUCAUUUUCUUCUUUUUAUUAAUUAAUUUCAUCAUUAUUAUUUGCUUAUUAUUUUAAAUUAAUUAAUUAAAUUGUAUUAUUGAAAUUAGUCUUUCUUUUUUCUUUUCUCUUUCAAUGCACAAAGCCAAACAACCAUUCUUGCUUCAAAUACCGAAGAGCUCCUGACUACGGCUGUCAAUGCUUCUAUAUUUACGUGCUGUGCUGCAUCACUCUUAGCGAAAGCUUGAAUGAAUGAUUAAAGACAAAAGCUUAUAUAAAAGCAGAUGCCGGAGGCACUCAAAAAGCAUUUGAGAGAGAAGCUACACAGCAAAUCAUCAAACGUACUUCAAUGACUUUGAUUUUGAUUCUUUUUUUUUUCAAAAGAAGUAGAAAAGUCCAUGGAUCACGAUAACUGCUUGUCCUAUGCCGUGACCUCAUUGUCCGCUGCUAGUGUCAAAUAGAUUAAUCUUUCUAGUAGAUUAAUAUAAUUUAUAAUUUUAAUUUCAGUAUUAAUUUUUAAAAUGUUAGUUGUUAUAUUUAUUUUAAUAAUAUAUCUAUUUUUAGUAUAAAACUUUAAAUAUAUAUUUAGAUUAAAUAGAUUUAUAAUUAAUAUAAUAUAUCUCAUGUAUUAAUGAUAUUUAAAUUAUUUUAAAUAAUAUUAAGCCUAACUUAAAAUUUUAUAUAUUUAUUUUAAUAUUAUGUUUCUAUUUAUUAUAAAAUUUAGUUUAAUAUAAUAUAAGAUUGUAAAGUAUUCAAAUAUUUUUUAAAUAUUGAAAUUAUUAUAAAAUGUAUAUAUUGUUACAUUUUUAAUAUUGAAGUCAAUCUUUUUUAAGUUAAUAGAGUGAAAAGAUAUUAUAAUAAAAGGCUACGUAAUCUUUCACUUGCACAUAUUCUGUACUCUCUGGAGCAGGACGGUAGGAAAUAUGAUUACAAAUGUUAAAUUCGCCUUUCUUCACAAGUUUAUCAGCUUCGUUUGCGGCCUCUGCUGCUUGUUUACCAAGCUUGUAACAAGAAAUCAAAUUUGGGCACAACCUUUUGAAGCAGAACAUCUUAGCUCUAUCUUUAUCAUCAAUGAUUGAUUUUGCAACCCCUUCACUGAAUUCAGCAACUCUAUUUAGCCAGUCUCUGACACCCUUAUAAAUCUCAUCUCCUUGUAGAGUAGCCUCUCUAACCAGCAUUUGCACCCUUUCUCUUAUAUAUUCCAGCUCCUUCACUCAAUCUUUUAGCCCAUCUAUGUAGCUCUGGUACUCGGAACACAUAAGAUAUGUGCCACAUAAUCGGUUUGAAUAAUGCUUUUGAACCUUGUGAUACAAUGCUAGAAAAAGUAGGGAGACACCCUUCUGCAGCCAUUGCCUGUUGCUUAACAAUCUAUAUAAAUAAAUACAAGUGUCAAAGAAAGGAAUACAGAUAAAUUAAAAUGAACUAGUGGGAAAGACAGAGAAUGAAAAGACUGCAAACAAUAUUGCGAUAUUGAUCUUGAACUAACUAAUAAUUAAAUAGAGAAUUUCUUUUUCUUUCUUGAGGAUCAGAGAUUUUGCUAUUAACAAAAAGGUACUUCGAGGGUCUGAAUAAAAAACCAACCAUAAAUUAUCAAAAGCUAGUAAAAACACAGACGUAAAUAAUGAACAAUUACUUAAGCAAAACAGACCAUGAUACAAAGCAAAUCUAAUAAAAUGACAAAAAAAGAAAGAAAGAAAGAAAGAAAGAAAAUACAACAAAUAAUAUUGAAGUGUUGAUUAUGAGCCAACUGAUAUUUAAACAGAUUUUUUUAAAAUUUUUAGUCUUUUGCUAAAGGAUUAGAGUUUUUGUUAUUAAUAGAAAGGUUUUAAAGACCUGACAUUACUAGAAAAAUACUAAAUAAUGACAGAAAUUUUAUAACAUAUAUCGUUAUGUCACGAAUGUGUCAUGAAAAUAUGAUAGAUUCGUGAUAUAUAUUCAUGUCCAGAGUAUAUGACAUAUUCAUGACUUAUAACUUAACCAUCGUAAAUAAAUGAUACAUAUAAGUCAUGCUUAAGUUUUGUGAACUUAUAAGAUUGUAAAACAAUGCCGUUUAAAUUAACGACACCGUUUUGUAUAACUUAAAACCCAUUAACACUCGCAGCCAAAUUUUGGCUAAGCGUUGAAUUAAUCCCUCUCUCCACUGUAGAGAUGGCAGAAAAGCCCGCUCAGACCGGAUCCGGACUGGACCCGGUGCAUACGGUCCGGGUAAAACCCGGAUCGGAUGCAUGGAAAAAGCGGAUCCGGGCACGGGUCCGGUCACAGCACCAAGAAUCUGGAACCCGGACCCGUGCCCACUUUUUUAUUAAGUAAAAAAAAAAUAUAUAUAUAUAUAUAUAUAUAGUAGUUUUCCAAUCAGGGAUUAGUUAAAAGACAAAAUAAACACAUACUCCAAUGCAUUGUAUUUUAUCAUGUAGUGUAGUAAAAUUUAAAUUUUUUUGUCUUUUAGCUAAUCCAACUACUAUAUAUAUAUAUAUAACAACAAAAAUGCAUUUUGCUUUACCCAAUUUCCCCCAAACCCAACCGGCCAACCCUAAAUCGCAACAAGUCUCAGAAUCGCCACCUCCCUCCGUUUCUCCACCAACAACCACCACCCAUCUUCACCGAUGCAGUGUUGACGGCGCGGCCUCUUCCCCACUUACAGAAAAAUGCGCAUGCUUUUACCGAGAAAAGAAAGCUUUUAUUUUUUGUAUGACAUCUGGUCCUCCCAUCAAGCUUACCUGAGGCAGCGAGGCUGAAAGUCUCUGUUAUCAACCAUCAGGACACCAGAAAGAGUAAUUGCUCACAUCGUAAGCGCCAUGAACUAAUUUUUCCGAAAAGGAGGAAAUGAAGGUCACAAUGGAGCUCAUUUCCCGCGAUUCGAGAGCCCUACAGAGAGGUAGGACCCCUAACUCACUCCGUUUUAGUCACCUUUCAAUGGCUCCCUUAAUUUCCUAAAUCAAUAAGUGUUCUAAAAGGGCUUGAAAAAUCAAAAUGAUGCCCAACAUUAGUGCCAGGAUUAAGGAACUUUUCACUGCAAAGAAGUGAAUAGCUACGUGGAUGAAGUUAUGGGCCAUGCAGAAAUUCACACUUCACUCUCUCUUGAUUUGUACUCAAAAGUCGCCACCAACCUUCAAUUAUAUGGACUCAUGGAUUCAAUAUUUAGGCUUACAAUUGGACCUUCACAAAGCAAUUGGAGCACUCCAAGCUGCAAAAAAUGUCUCUUCUCUGUGACAUCUGCAGGUGGGCUAGAAGAAGGUUAUGCAUAGAUGGUCUAUGUGCGUGUGCUUACUAAAUGCAUACAAAAUGUAUAAGAACUGAGAUUCCUAUGUUUUUUCCUUUUUAAUUUUAAUAAUUAUGUUAGAUGUUUGCUUGGUAGUUAAGAUGUUUUGGUUUUGGACUGUUACGCUUUGUUAGAACUUAAAAGUAAACAAUUGUUUAGGCUGUAUUUUUUUUUACAGUGUUUUCACCUUUGAAAAUCCGGGUAGAGAAAACCCGGAAAAACCCGUGCCCGGAUAGUGCCGGGCAUGUACCCGGCCUGUAUAAAAAAAAUUCCGGACACGGUGCGGGUUCGGGUAGUUACGUGUGACAUCCGGGUCGGUCCCGGGCAGCCUCAAACCCAGACCCGACCCGGACUUUUGCCAUCUCUACUCCACUGGCCACUGCAACCUAAAAUAGUUUUUCACUUUAAUAACCCAAAAGCUUUCCUCUGUUUCAACUAAGCGAAAAUUUACAUAUUAAAGCCUGGCUCAAAUUCCUUUUUUCAAUCGAAAUUAAACGUAGCCACAAAACCCUAAUUCACCACACCAAUUUAUCUCUGCCCGGUAUUCAUUUAAACCCUACCUCGCGGUUCAAUGUCAUUCAAUACGAUUGCAGAUGCUGUUUCAACUUGUCAUUUAGUUAGCGCCAUCCAGUUCUCUAUGGUAAGCCUUAACCCUAACAACUAAUCGACUGCGGUAGCACGUUGCUUGUUAGGAGUGGGGAUACAUUAUUUGAAUAUAUGAAUUGGGUGAUGUUAGUGAUUCAUUCCCCUAUUUGUCGUGAAUUGAGAUUUGUGCAUAAUGCUAGUAAGAUUGCUAAAAAUUUCAUAUUUUGUAUUGUUCCAGUUGAAUUUCUUGCUUGUGGAAGAUAAAACAAAAGUUCAAUUUCAUGUUGAUUUAAUUCUUCUUUUCCUUCUUUUUAUUUUUCUUCUUUAUAGUCACGCUCUGGCUUUGGUGCUAUGCUUAGUGCAGUUUAUGGUUUCAAGAUUAAGUCAUGUUUAUUUGAUGGCAUCGAUUCCAUCGUUGAGGAUUGGAUUGUUGAUCAAAUGCACAUAGUAAGCUCUUCUUAUUUUAUCUCAAUUUUAAUUUUCUUUUAUUAUCUGCCUCUACCUGAAAAUGGACGUGUUUUACUAGUAAGCAUAGACCUUGUUUAUUUAAUUGAUAUUUUAAUUUUAUGUAUAAGAAUGGAGGUUUAUUUUGGAAAAAAAAAGAAAUAAAAAAAAUACUCUGUUGAAGCUAAUUAGUACUGAAUUUUUUUUGGUGGUGCGACCAGAGGUGGAAACAGGGUAUGAAAAUGUGUUACUGGUGAGGCUGCUGCUUAAGAUGAGAAUGCAUUCUUUUCAAAAAUCCUUGGAAGGUGUGAUCUAAUUAUAUUUGAUGGAAUAUUAAAUGGCUAAAAAUCUGUCAUACGUUCAAACUUUGUUUGUGUUUAGAAGAAUGGUGUUGACUGUAUAUUCGUUUGGAAGAAUGGUGUUGAUUGUAUAUUCAUUUGCUUAGCCUUUUGACAGAUGGAUUUGGAACUGACGAUAAAUGUGAUUCAAUUUACAAGGUUUUCGAGGGGCUCACAGUGGAAGGGAUAUUGAAGAACUGGUCGAAGUUAAAGCCUAUGAUUGUGAAAGAUUGGAGUGAGAAUAUAGAUGCUCAUUUAAAUCUUUUUGGCAAGGUCAGAGAUGAAUGGAUAGAUAAGGAUUUAUUUGACAACUUGGACUGGUGCUAAUAGGUAUUUUAAGCAAGCUUUUUGAGAUAACACUGAGCAAGUUAUACUACUAUUUUGCACAUGAUGAUCAAAACUCUCGAAAAGUAAAUAAAAUAAAGUAUUAACUUUUACUUUCAUCUUUUGCAUAGCAAUCAAUGUGGUGCUUGUUCUGUGACAACUUUGAUAAUCUACUUAAUUACUGGUUAGCAUUUGGACCAAAAAAGUUCUUAUGAUUUACAUGUUUUGUAGAAAUGCAUGAACCUUAAAUGUGCUGAUCAGGGAGUUUAAUUAUUGCACCUUGAAAUUCAUUUACUGUUAACUAAUUGGCUUUCCUUUGCAUAAAGCCGCUUAUAAGGCUUGAGUGGACGUCUUUAUGGGCAUAUUUUUUGUAUUUCUCGAUGCAUGCCUUUAUCAUUUAAUGUGGUGCUCGUAUUUCUUUAUGCAUGCCUUUAUCAUUUAAUGGCCAGCUCCCUUUCCUCUUUUGUAAUUUGAAUAGUAGUAUGGGCCUCCAUUUUACAAAUCUUUAACAUUUUUUGCUGUAAAUUAAUUUUUCUUUCAAAUAUUUUGGAGGUCAUUGGAAUUCCUGUAGGUCUAUUUACCAGAUUUUAGUAUGUUUAAGGUUAUAAUUUUGCUUAGACUUUAAUUUUUCUGAAAGAUUGUAGUAUUGAUCCUUAAAGUAAGAUCAUGCUACUUCAAAUUAUUUUGAAGUGUUGCUAGUUAUAGCCUUACAUAUCAAAUUCCAGUUGUCUGGAAAUUUAUUGAUAGCUGUUACAGCAGCAUAUUUUAUGACUCUACUUCUUAGUUAUGUAAGUUCAUUAUGUUUAGGUCAGAGGCAGUCAGCUGUGGGGAAUCGAUUUAUACACAGAUGACUUUGAUCUUGUUGCUGGUAUGUGGUUCUAUGAAUAAUUGUUCACAAUAAUUGUGUUUGCCUCACUGUUUUUGUUUUAUGAGAUCUAUAAUUGAUCUUGGGAUAUUACUUUUUAGUUCUCAUGCAGGCAAGUUACUACCUUCCCACUGCAUCUCCUCCUUUAUCUGCUACUCAAGAGUUGCGUGCCAUAAUCUGGUAUUACCUCUGCAAGAUUGUGAAUGAAUAUGAUGCCUCUAAAUUUAUUUUAUACAUAAUGCUAAUGCUGAAUAAUAUAUUGUAGCUCCUGUCAUAUUCUACUUUGACUUUUUAUAUUCCGUUUCAAAUAAAAAUCUUAUUCAACUUUAGUUGUUCAUGAGCAAAUGUCACAUGUAUAAGCCCAAAUGAUGUUUAAAGGUAGCGCCGCUACCUUCAGUUUGAGCUUACAAUGGGUGAAAAAGAAAUUGAAACUGAUAUUUUGCGGUUUUUCUUAUUUUUCAAAGUAUUUUAGAUCAUGACUUUUGUUUGGACUUGAUGGUUAUAGAUUGUGUCUAGAUUUGUUAAGUCGUUUCCAACACCUCGUGCCAAAUCAAAGCACAAUCUUUCUGAUUCAGAUGUUUUGUUAAUUGUGCUUCAUUUUUUCGUUAAAGGUUGGAUGGUUGAAUGGAUUGAUGGAGUUGGAGUUCAACCAAUAAUUCUAAUUUUUUGGACUUAAAAUGCCUUUUUCUUCUGUAUAAAAGCUUUAGUAAGUGCUAUUGAGUUGACAGAAGUUGAAUACUUACAGGUUGUUUCACACUUUUUAAUAGUUUUACAUAUAUGAAUUUCUGUUUUUUGAAUUGCAGAAAGGAGGUGGAACUAUUGAUUUGGAGCCUUAUCUUACUCACUCAUCAACAACGGAGCCUACCCUCGCUCCUAUGGCAGUGGAACGGACAAUGACUACUAGGGCUGCAACAUCAGUUGGUUCGGGUCUGUUUUGAUAGCGAAUUUUGAUAUGUCAAUAUAAUGUGUAAUUGUUUUGGGUUGAGCUGGUAAUUAUGCUGGAUUAGAUUGGUUUGGUUUUGGUGCUUCGCUGAUGGAACACUGGUUUUUUAGAAAAUUUGAAUGUAAUAUGAGACUACAUUUAGUUUAAUUGAACACUGCAUCUAGUCUAAUUACUAGAAGUGUGGCAUUUGGUUUGGUUUAUCCGAUAUUCUCCAGAAUUUCACUUGCAUCUGGUUUUGUUGCAUAUGUUUGCUUGCAUUUGAUGGCAGUAGCAGACUGUUUGGUUUUGUGGCAUUUGAUGGCAGUUUGGUCUGUUCUUGGUGCUGAUUUACGAUUGUUCCUGAUGUGUUGAUGUUAAUUGCAGGUGCUUGAAUCAGCUAGGGUUGCUGGUUUUUUCAGAUGGUUGACUCAGGCGUUGUUACUGGUUGAUUCAGGUGGCUGGCUCAAGUUGUUCAUUUAAUGUUAGGAAGCAAAUUAAGAAUUAAUGAAGUAUUCAUUUAACUAUAAUUAUUGUAGUUAUUUUAUUUCAUAACUGAAUUAUAAUCUAUGAUACUUGUGAACAAAUUAGAGAAUUUUUAUAUAUAAAUUAUAUAUAUGUGUGUGUAUGUACAUUUUGCUUUUUAUAUAAUAAUUUAAAGAAUAUAUUUCAAUUCCCACAAAAAAAUGGCCCCAAUUUCAAUAAUUCCUGCCAAAUAAUUAAUUUUUUUUAAUUUACCGCCAAAAUAUAUCUUAAAGAAAUGUUAGUUAUUCUUGCUAGAUUUAACAAAAAUAAUUUAUAGGAUUAACAUUUAAUUAAAAUAAUUAAAUAAUUUUACUAUUUCAAUUAAAUGUCAUGUUUAUAUCACAGACAAUAGUCAUGAAUGGGAAGUAUUAGUUACAUAUUUUUCCUUGUAGUUAUUUUAUUUCAUAACUGAAUUAUAAUCUAUGAUACUUGUGAACAAAUUAGAGAAUUUUUAUAUAUAAAUUAUAUAUAUGUGUGUGUAUGUACAUUUUGCUUUUUAUAUAAUAAUUUAAAGAAUAUAUUUCAAUUCCCACAAAAAAAUGGCCCCAAUUUCAAUAAUUCCCGCCAAAUAAUUAAUUUUUUUUAAUUUACCACCAAAAUAUAUCUUAAAGAAAUGUUAGUUAUUCUUGCUAGAUUUAACAAAAAUAAUUUAUAGGAUUAACAUUUAAUUAAAAUAAUUAAAUAAUUUUUCUAUUUCAAUUAAAUGUCAUGUUUAUAUGACAGACAAUAGUCAUGAAUGGGAAGUAUUAGUUCCAUAUUUUUCCUUGGGAUUUCAGGCAAAUGAAAAAAAGAUUGAGAAUGAUUUCAAGAGGACAGGUGGAUGAUAAGUAUUCAUUUUUGUAUAUUUGGCUAAUGUCCUCAUUAGUGGAUUUUUAUGGUAUUGAUUUUUUUUUUUUUGGUUUAUAAUUUUCAAUUAGUUGUUACCCUAGAGGAAGAGCAGGCUGAUCAAAUUGAUUUGUCUUAUUUUUCCGGCAAUCUGCGACACGAUGACUGUGAUAAUGCUCGUGACUGCUGGAAACUUUCUGGUGGAAAUAACUUUAGAGUUCGUAGCAAGCAUUUUUGUUAUGACAAAACAAAGGUUCCCCCAUAUUUUGGUUGUUUGUUAUGGUAUUUAUAUAUCCUGCAUAUGCUAGGUCGACAGGUUAUGAUGUAGUUUGGUUGGCUCUUGUGCUUUGUGCAAUUUGUAACUGCAGAUACCUGCGGGAAAACAUUUAAUGGAUCUUGUUGCUGUUGAUUGGUUCAAAGACACAAAGAGAAUGGACCAUGUAGCUCGGCGUCAAGGCUGUACUGCACAAGUAACUGAAGAAAAAUGUGAAUUGGUUCCUCUUUUUCUUACUUUCCAGAACAGUAUGUACAGGGAAUAUAUACAGCAAAAUAGGAGAGAAAAUAGGAGACUACAUCUAUCCUUUCCUAAAUAAUAGGAAACAAAAUCUGGAAAGAAUCCUAAUGAAUCUUCCCAUUAUAAUUUAACUUAUUCCUAAAAUAGCCUAGAUUACAAAUAAAUCAUAACUUUGAAUCUUUAUUUUCAACACUCCCCCUCAAGCUAGUGUGUGUAUAUCAUACAAACCCAGCUUGUUACUUAAGUCUUCAAAGUUAGGUCUUGGCAGUGCUUUAGUAAGGAUGUCUGCAAUUUGUUGUCUAGUUGGAAUGUACUUUAGUUCCACACUUCCACUAGUGACCUUCUUUGAGAUGAAGUGCCUAUCAAUCUCGACAUGUUUGGUUCGAUCAUGAUGCACUGGAUUUUUUGCGAUGCUGAUUGCUGCUUGAUUGUCACACCUCAUUAGAAUGGAUGAAGGGUUGCACACACCGAGUUCUUUGAGUACACGCUUUAUCCAAAUUCCUUCACAGAUUCCAUUUGCCAAAGCUCUGAACUCUGCUUCUGCACUACUCCUAGCUACAACUGAUUGUUUCUUACUCCUCCAGGUUACUAGAUUUCCCCAGACAUAGGAACAGUAAGCAGAUGUUGAUAUUCUAUUUGUGAUGUCUCCAGCCCAGUCUGCAUCAGAGUAGAUCUCAAUAUUCCUAUAUUCUGAUUUCUUGAAAAACAAUCCUUUUCCAGGUGUCAUCUUUAGAUACUUCAAAAUUCUAAAGACUGCAUCCAUGUGUUCCUCUGUAGGAUUGUGCAUGAAUUGGCUCACAGCACUAACAACAAAGCCUAUGUCCGGACGGGUAUGUGAGAGAUAAAUUAAACGACCAACCAGUCUUUGAUAUCUCUCUCUAUUGACUGGAACACUAUUCUCAACUGAGCCUAGUUUCUUGUAGGGAUCCAUAGGAGUAUCUACUGGUUUGCACCCAAUCAUACCAGUCUCCUUUAGUAAGUCCAGGGUGUAUUUCCUUUGGGAGACAACAAUUCCCUUCCUAGAUCUUGCCACCUCCAUCCCAAGAAAAUAUUUCAGAUUCCCUAGAUCUUUAACUUCGAAUUCCUGAGCUAGCUGUUUCUUCAACUUCUGCAGUUCUUCCUCAUCAUUUCCUGAGAGAAUGAUGUCAUCAACAUAUACGAUUAGGAGAGAGAUCUUCUUUGCUUGUGAUGUUCGGAGGAAUAGAGUGUGAUCUGCCUGACACUGAGUGUAACCAAGUCUCACAACUGCCUUCGCAAAUCUAUCAAACCAUGCUCGAGGGGAUUGUUUAAGCCCAUACAAAGAUUUCUUGAGCUUGCACACUUUAUUUCUAGUAAGAUUCAGAUCAAGACCCUGGGGAACUUCCAUAAACACUUCUUCUUCAAGAUCGCCAUUGAGAAAUGCAUUUUUUAUAUCUAGUUGGUAUAAGUACCAAUCUAGAUUUACUGCUAAGGAGAGCAAGAUUCUAAUGGUGUUGAGCUUCGCAACCGGAGCAAAGGUUUCAAGAUAAUCAAUCCCAUAUGACUGUGUGAACCCUUUAGCUACAAGACGAGCUUUGAGCCUCUCAACACUUCCAUCUGCCUUGUAUUUAACAGUAAAAAUCCACUUACAUCCAACUGGUCGUUUCCCUGCAGGAAGAUUUGUUAUAACCCAUGUAUCAUUUUUCUCAAGAGCAUUUAUUUCUUCAUGAACAGCUCUCUUCCACUCAGGAUGACCGAGAGCCUCUUGUAUAUUGUUGGGAACAUGUAGAUUAUCUAAAGAAGAAACAAAGGCUCGGUAUGAUGGGGACAAACCAUCAUAUGAGACAUAUUUGGCAAUUGGAUGAGUGGUGCAACUUCGAACCCCCUUUCUUUCUGCAAUUGAUUUAUUAGAAUCAUCCACACUUGGAACCAUGAACUCAACCGAGGCAAGACUAUCCAUACCUGUGUUGUCUUCAUAAGAGCUUGGAUUUGGUUCAGUUUCUUGGACAUGUGGCUGAGUUCUGUGCUCUAUCUGCUCUCCAGUUCUUCUCCUCCUAUAAACAUUAAGAUUAUCAACAGCAAGCUGUGGAAGAGGUGAGAUUAGAGGUUGUAGUUGAUGAGCUGAUGGAUGACGGGGUGACUCGGCUGGUUGUGGUUGGGAGGACUCAGAUGACUCAAAAGGUUGUGAAGAUGUUGGGAGGAUUGCUGAUUGUGGCUGUUGGAUAGAUUGAUCAUGUGUGGUGGUUGAGUUAUGAGGGUUUUCAUGAGGGGUUUCCAGCCAAGAUUGCCAAGAAGAUUCCCAAGGCUGAUGUUCGCUCAUACUCUCUCCCUGAACAACAGUUUUGGAAUAGAAAGGCAGGUUUUCAACAAAUGUUACAUCUCUGGAAAUGUAUAUUUUUCUGGUAUGAGGAGAAUAGCAUUUGUAUCCUUUUUUAUGUGGAGAAUAGCCUAAAAAUAUACACUUGAGAGAUCGGGGAUCAAGUUUAGUCCUGUGUUGAGAGUGAACAUGGACAUAUGCUGUGCAACCGAAUAUUUUUUGUGGUAAAUCUGCUGAAACAAUCCUAGUGUGUGGAAAGAAAUUGAGAAGAACUUUUCUUGGGCAAUGAAACCCCAAGACUCUAGAAGGCAUUCGGUUGAUUAAGUAGGCUGUAGUGAGAACAGCUUCACCCCAGAAAAAAUUAGGAACAUGAGAUGAGAACAAAAGACAGCGAGCCACUUCAAGAAGGUGUCUGUUUUUGCGUUCAGCGACCCCAUUUUGUUGUGGGGUGUCAACACAAGAACUGAUGUGAAGAAUGCCUUGAUGGAGAAGAUAUGAGCUGAGGGAGUCUUUGAAAUAUUCCUUGGCAUUGUCGGUUUUAAGGACUUGGAUUUUGGUAUUGAAUUGGGUUUGAAUCAUGGCGUUAAAGUUUUGGAAGAUUUGACUAACUUCGGAUUUGUUUUUCAUGAGAAACACCCAAGUGAGACGAGUAUGAUCAUCCACAAAUGACAAAAACCAGCGAGCCCCAGAAACAUUUUUAAUUCUUGAGGGACCCCACACAUCAUUGUGAAUUAAAGCAAAUGGACGAGAAGGCUUAUACUUAACGCUUGAAUAAACAUUUCGAGUAUGUUUUGCAAAUUGACAAAUUUCACAAUGAAAUGAUAAAGGGUUUUUAUUGAUGAAUAGAUUGGGAAAAAUUUUUGCGAGAUACAUGAAACUAGGAUGACCUAAUCGAUAGUGUAACAGAACAAUUUCACUAUCGUUAUUGACAUUUGGACUAACAAUAGAAUGAGGAUAACUAGUUGACAGACUAUUGGACUUGGCACAGUUUGCUCUCGAAUCUUGUAUGAAGGAGGAUUGAUCGCUUUUGAGUAGAUAGAGUCCAGAACAUAGCUCAGCACUGCCAAUCGUCUUCGCGAAUCCAAGUCCUGAAAAACACACAUAUUUGGAUAGAAUUUAGUUACACAAUUCUGAUCACGAGUGAAUUUACUGAUUGAAAGUAAAUUGCAAGCCAAAUUAGGCACAUAAAGUACAGAAUUAAGGUGUAACUCCUUAGUGAGUCUGAUGGAACCUGUCCCUGCUAUAUUGUGUGAGAGCCAUCUGCGAUCCGGACUGAAGUGCUGUUGAUGCUAGCUUUAUAAUCCUGCAACAUUGAGGCAUCUCCAGUCAUGUGAUCAGAAGCACCAGUGUCAAUUAUCCAGGGUUUGCUUGCUCCAUUAGUGGCUGCAAAUGCUGAAUGAGUCUCUUUCUAAGCCACUAGACUUGUCCCUGCAUUGGAGUUCAAAGUGGCUUGAUCGAAAAGCUUUUGAAGAAUCUCCAUUUGCUCCUUGCUGAAUGGAUUUGGCUCGGGUAGGGCCUGAUUGUCCGUGGUGGAUGCUGCAUGAGCACGAGAUUCACGGUCACCUUUGGAACGAGGUUUCCAAUCAGCAGGUUUGCCAUAAAUUUUCCAGCAACUCUCCUUAUAGUGGCCUGCCUUACGACAGUGAUCGCACCAUGGUCUUUCUUUCUUUGUACGAUUUUCACUAACCCCUACAGAGUUGGAUGCACGGGCAACAAGUGCAGAGGCGCCCAGUGUUGGUUCUGAUGACCCCAUCAUCACCUUUUUCCUACUUUCUUCAUGCCUAACUUCAGAAAAGGCUUCACGAGGGCGCGGUAGAGGCUUUGUCCCGAGUACACGGCUCCUAACCUGAUCAAGAUCUUUAUUGAGUCCGAGGAGAAAUUUAAACGUUCUCUUCUGUUCCACAAUCUUCUUGUACAAGGUUGUAUCGUCGGUGCACUUCCAAGGGUAUGUUUCAAAUAGAUCAAGGUGUUGCCAAUGCCUAGUCAGAGUAUUAAAGUAUUGAGUGACAGAUUGUUCUCCUUGGCGGAAGUCAUGGAGGAUGGUUUCAAUCUGGAAUAACUCUGAUGUGUUCUCAGAGCUAGAAUAGGUUUCCUUUGCAGCAUCCCAUAUGUCAUUUGCAGUCCCAAACAGAAGAAAAUUCUCACCAAUAUCAUUGUUCAUGGAAUUGAUAAGCCAUGACAUGAUCAUGUUGUUCUCUGACUNNNNNNNNNNNNNNNNNNNNNNNNNNNNNNNNNNNNNNNNNNNNNNNNNNNNNNNNNNNNNNNNNNNNNNNNNNNNNNNNNNNNNNNNNNNNNNNNNNNNNNNNNNNNNNNNNNNNNNNNNNNNNNNNNNNNNNNNNNNNNNNNNNNNNNNNNNNNNNNNNNNNNNNNNNNNNNNNNNNNNNNNNNNNNNNNNNNNNNNNNNCACGUAACAGAGGUUGAUGAGGAAGCCAUCCCGUAUUUUGCCACAGAGAAUACAACUGAUGGGAGAGGAAGGAAGGUAGAUUGUUCAAUUUAUGAGAGAAGAAGGAAAUGGCGGCUGAUAGGAGAACUAGGGUUUAGAGCCAGGCUCUGAUACCAUGAAGAAAAAUGUGAAUUGGUUCCUCUUUUUCUUACUUUCCAGAACAGUAUGUACAGGGAAUAUAUACAGCAAAAUAGGAGAGAAAAUAGGAGACUACAUCUAUCCUUUCCUAAAUAAUAGGAAACAAAAUCUGGAAAGAAUCCUAAUGAAUCUUCCUAUUAUAAUUUAACUUAUUCCGAAAAUAGCCUAGAUUACAAAUAAAUCAUAACUUUGAAUCUUUAUUUUCAACAGUAACUAUUCUUUUCUUUUUAUUUUUCCUUUUCUGAAAGAAACUUAGUUUUGUAUUGUUUGGCAAGCUAGAAAAUGAAAGAAAAUAAAAGAAAGCGCUGUAAAGAAGUUUGUAGAACCUUUAUUACUCUAGCAUUACAACUGAAUGAAUACAGACUGAUAUUUCUAUUAAGCUACAAUUUUCUCAACACACACACAAGUUUGUUACAUCACAUAACCAUUUGCUGCAUAACUAAUUUGACACAUCAGCUCAACCAGCUAACUAACUUUGCCAGGUCAAGCCUAGUGAGUUGAUCUGCUAAAGUCAGCUACACAGCAACAUCAUGCUCUGCUCCAACUUCAUUCAAUUCACUAACAUCCCCCCUCAAGCUGAAAUGUUUAGGAUGAACAUUCAGCUUGCUUCUUAAGUAACUAAACUGUUUGAGAGUAAGCCUUAGUCAACACAUCUGCUGUUUGAUCUUGACUGGGCACAAAACAUACUUCAAUCUCUUUUGCAGUAACUUUAUCUCGAAUAAAAUGUAUAUCCAAUUCGACAUGCUUAGUUUUAGCAUGAUAGACUGGAUUGUAAGCUAAAGCAAUUGCUUCUUGAUUAUCACACCACAUCAUAGGAGUAGAGCUCAAUUUGAUGUUAAGUUCACCAAGUAAAGAUUGUAUCCAGGGAACCUCUGAAGCAGCAUGAGCAAGAGAUCUAUACUCAGCCUCUGUGCUGGACCUGGAAACAACAACUUGUUUCUUUGAUGACCAUGAGACUAGAUUAGGGCCUAGGUAAACAGCAAAGCCAGCCACUGACUUCUUAUCAUCACGAUCACAAGCCCAAUCAGAAUUUGAAAAACAAUGUAGUUGCAAAGUUCCUUUGUUAUUAAAUUGCAGCCCAAGAUGUAUAGUGCCUUUUAAGUACCUCAAUAACCUUUUGCAUGUUUCCCAAUGUUGUGUUCUAGGACUUGAAAUGAAUUGACUUAGGUUGUUUACAGAGAGAGCAAUGUCAGGUCUGGUAAGAGUAACAUAUUGAAGAGCUCCUAUAACACUCCUAUAUUGAGAAACAUUAUCAAUUAGCUCUCCUGAUUCUUUUGUGAGAUAAUAACCAGUAGACAUUGGAGUAGGCACAGGACUGCAAUCUGUCAUGCCAUGUUUAUCCAGAAUGUCAGUAAUAUACUUUGCUUGUGUCAAGGAAACCCCUUGUGAAGACUUGCUGACUUCAAUCCCCAGAAAAUAGCUAAGUUCCCCCAUGUCUUUUAAAGCAAAGGCUUGAUUCAUAAUCUUAAUAACUUGCUGAAUUAGUGUUGGACUGGAACUAGUGAUGAUAAUAUCAUCAACAUAGACCGAAACAAGAGUUAGAUGACCACUGUUCCAGGCAUGAAACAGAGAGUUAUCAGACCUUGAAUGCUAGAAAUGCCGUUUAGAGAUCAUUGCAUCCUUGAAUCUAUCAAACCAGGCUCUAGGUGCCUGUUUUAAGCCAUACAAAGCUUUAUUCAGCUUGCAGAUAUGAUUAGGUUUAGUUGAGUCAACAAAACCUUCAGGUUGAGCCAUGUACACCUCUUCAAUUAAAAUGCCAUUUAGAAAGGCAUUAUUAACAUCUACUUGCCUAAUCACCCAUUGAUUCAAUACUGCUAAGCUAAGAAUAACUCUAACAGUUGAAGCUUUAACUACUGGACUAAAAGUUUCUGUAUGGUCAAUCCCAUGUGUCUGAUGAAACCCCUUUGCAACAAGCCUGACUUUAUAUCUUGAAACUGAACCAUCUGAGUUAUACUUUAUUCGAAACACCCAUUUGCUGCCAACUAUCUUCACUGGAGUAGCAUGUAAAACUAAAUCCCAGGUGUGAUUAGUUUUAAGUGCUAGAUACUUUUCUUGCAUAGCCUUAUACCACAUAGGAUCAGAAAGUGCUUGGGAAACAGAAGUUGGUUCUGAUUUCUGGGCUAAUAAAGCUGACAAAUAAAUUUUUGGCUUGAAAAUACCUGCUUUUGACCUGGUUAUCAUUGGAUGACCAGUUGAUGCAGGUUGUGGCAAUGUAUGUGGAGGUGAAUUAUGUGGUAGUGAAGAAGAAGAAGCUGAGUUGGAAUUAUCAGAAAAAUAAAGUGGAGUAGAAUUUGGUGAGGGAGUAGGAGCAUCUGAAUGAUGAACAUUUUGAUGGUGUUCUGAUGAUGCUGCUAAAGGUGCUUGUAACUGAGUAAUAGAAGGAACAGAGGAAUUGAAAGAAGACUUAUAAUUUUUUGUUGACUAACAACUUGAAGAGAGUGAAGAAAAAUCUGCUCCAGACUCAUAAGGAAAAGAAUUUUCAUCAAAGGUGACAUGAUUUGAAAUGUAAACCCUCUUAGAAGAGUGAAGACACUGAUAUCCCUUGUGUUGUGAAUUGUAGCCAAUGAAUAUACAUCUGGCAGUUCUGAAAUCAAACUUAUGUCUAUUGUAUGGUCUGAGUGUUGGAUAACAAGCACAACCGAAGGUUUUAAGUGUUGAAUAAUCUGGUUGAUGAUGAAAUAACUUUUGGAAAGGAGAAAUGUUGUUUAGAAUUGGAGUUGGAAGUCUGUUUAUCAAAUAGACAGCUGUGUGGAAUGCAUUCCACCAAAAUUUGAGUGGUAAAUGUGCUUGAGCUAAUAAGGUCAGACCUACAUCAACUAUGUGUCUAUGUUUCCUCUCAAUUCUUCCAUUUUGAUGAUGAAUAUGUGGGCAAGGGUGUCUAAAAUGGAUACCAGAAGCAGUGAGUAAUGAGGAAAAUGUUCUGAACUCUUCUCCCCAAUCAGUUUGGACAGUUUUGAUUUGAAGUUGAAGAUGCUUUUCAAUAAAAAUUUUGAAAUUGGUAAACACUUCAAGAGCAUCAGAUUUGGCUGACAAUGGAAAUAUCCAGGUAAAUCUACUAUAAUCAUCUAAGAUUGAUAAGUAGUAAUUAUAUCCUUGGGUAGAACAGACAUGAGAAGGACCCUGAUGGCUGUCGAAGCCAACAAAAAUAAAUUCCUACUCUAAAUAAAUUGUGUAUAGUGAUUGAGCAGGGUCGUGUCCACAGAGAUCGAUAAUUAUUUAAAUCCUUUUGAAACGUAAAACGUAAAAUGGGGGAAUUGUUGACAAUAAUAAAAAUCAAAUUAAAAAUAACAAGAAUGCAAAUUAAAGUUGUAAUUUAAAUUGGAGAAAGCUCUGGUUGAAGGAAUUAACUCAGCUUGAUUCGACUACUGAUCAUUGAUUCAAAUAUAGAUUAUUAUUACUCAUGAAUAGACCGGUUAUAGCUACUGAGACCCUCUAAUAGCCAAUCUCUCCUUAACUAGUCGAUAACCAAGGUACGACCGUUGGUUAUUUCCCUAAUCAAUAGACAACCCUAGAUACGAUCAUAGAAUUUAAUCAAUUGACAGCCUGAAAAACCAGAGAGACCCAAAUCCUAAUCAACACAUAUGAUGAUUCAUUUAAAUUAGAUUGUUUAUUCUCACAACACAACUCUCUGCUAUGUUAUUAGUCACAAGCAUUAAAUUCUUCAUACGAUGAAUCCUUUAAUUGACAAUAGAUUAAGUUGAUAAUUAAAUAGUGGCCAAUUACCUAAUUAACAAACAUAAUCAUGAAAAUAAUUCAGAGAAUAAACAAAUACCCAAAAAGUAAUAAAACAAUUAAAGCACAAGAAAGAUCUCACAGUAGUGAUGAAUCAAAGCUUCAUUAACCUUCAACCAGAAAAAUGGGUUUAGUUUCUCAUAGAGAGAAGAGAAAAAUUAGAUCUAGGGUUUCUUUUUCUCCAAUCCAAAAUUCCCCCCUUUCACAAUAGAUUCCUCCCUUAAAUACUCUCUCUCUCUUCUCCUCUAGAAUUCUAUUUAAAAUAAAAUACUAAUAUCUGAAAUAUUAAAUUCGUAAUUACAAAAAUAACCAAAAAUACAAAACACGUUAAACUAAAAACUGCAGGUCCGCAGUUGACAGCACGCGCCCACGCCUUAUCAAUAAAGUUCUUCUGCCGCUCAUAAUUUCUCCAAGAGAACAAUCAUCCUUAAAAAUCAUCUUGUAGCUCAAUUUUAUCACCAAUCAAUAGAAUUGCACCUACAAAAGUAAAACACAAGUAAAUCAUUAUUAUUAAGUGCAAAACAUCGAUAUUAAGGGAAGUAAACAAUGCAAAACUAGUGCAUAAAUUGCACUCUAACAAAUUCCCCCACACCAAGAUGAUGCUUGUCCUCAAGCAUAUAACUCAAGAUUAAUCCCAAAUCUCCACUCAAUUCUCAUCUCAACUCAUCCAAAAAUAGAAAUUAAGUCGAUCAACAUUCGAGAGACAAGGAUUUUAAAGCAUAGAAUCUCAUAAGAUAGAAUAAGAACAUUCAACCACCAAGAAGAUCCAUUCAAAAUUCAAGUGCAACAAGAUGUAAUAGCCCUCUCAAUAACUUCACUCCAUGCACUCAAAGUGUUUAGGGUGUCAUUUAUCCACUCAAAUCAAAUCAAAGAAUGCUAUUACCAUAAGCUUGCUCAUAUAUCACAUCUCAAUCCACAAAACAUGAAUAAAAUGCAAAAAUCUAAGGGUCUUAAAAGGAUUGUAAUGGGGUUAAAUGGGUUAAAUGAAAAAGAAAGGUUUACGAAAGAAAAAGAGAUCAAAAUGAGAAGAAUGAACUCAUUGAAUGAACUUAUGAUAUCAAAAUGCUUAUUUCUACUCAAGUCACCAAGAAUGUAAACAUUUUUUUUUUCGAUUUUUCUUUUUCUUUUUUUUUCUUUUUCCUUUUCUUUUUCUUUUUUUUUUUCAUUUUUUCAUUUUUUUUUGUUUUUUGUUUUUUGUUUUUUUCGAAUCAAACAAAAGAAACGAACCUUGCACAAUUUAAUUCAAGCAUAAUGCUUGUUGAUCUAAUUGAGAAACUUCAAUACAAGGUAGAAAAAGCAACAAAAUAUAUCCACACAAUGAGUCCAAAAAUCUCCUUAAAUUGAGGCUCAAAAAGAAGAAAAAUGGUUAAGUAGACGGAGAGAAUUAGAUGGGUAAUGGUUAAGGCUCAAACAAAGGUAGCAAAUAAAGGUCUUCGGGUAGAGAAAAAGGAAAAUGCGAGAAUAGAAAAAUGGUAAAUGGUUUGCCCUUAUCAUUUUAAUGCCUAAAAUCCCGUAAUGUGGCUUCAAUAUGCAUAACAAAGCAAAUUCUAGAAUAAACAAACUAGGAUUGAUAUUCACAUAACAAAAAUAAUUAGAGCAAAGUGGUUGCUCAUAGGCUCAAAUCCUCACAAAGUUGGUAAAUUUGCCAUCAAAUCAUGUACACUCUUCAAAUGAAUCAACCAUCAAUAGUGGUGUAGAAUGAGAAGAAGGUAUGAGUGAUAUAUAAAAGAAAAGGUAAAAAUUAUAAGAAGUGAGAAAGAUGUAUGUAGUAAUAUGAAAAGUGAAAGAUAAAAUGUGAGUGAUGAAAGAGUAUGGUAAAAUAAAAAUAGAUAUGAAUAGUUUGAGAUAGAUGGGAAAAAAGUAGUGAGAAAGAAAAGAAAAGAAAAUUAAUAAUAUAUGAAGCAUACUAACUCCAAAAUCAUUUAAGGAUGAGUAGAGUGAAAAUAGAUGAGUAGAGUGAAAAUAAUAAUUCCAGACAUCAAUAAUGCAAAAAUCCCUCCCCCACACCAAGAACUUACAUUGUCCCCAAUGUAAGAUAAUCAAAGCUCACAUAAAAAUUAAAGCGUAAGGAUAAAAGAUUAAGGGCAAAAAAAAAAACUUCCCUGAAUUGUGAGCUUUGAUCCACAUAACGUCUAUGGGCUUGGCGGAAAUGGUGGGGUAAAUCCCACACUCUCGAAGUAUGCGGCCAAAUUCUGCUCCAUCUUGUUCAGCUUGUGCUCCAUUUUCUCUAACUGAAUACUCAAAGGUGGUGCGGAUGUAGAAGGAAUAGUUGGCGGGGCAGCAGUGUCGUCGUCAAACUCGUCAUCAGAGGUAGCACCACUCCUAGCAUAAAGCUUCUUCGGAAGUUGAGUGGGUCCUGGUUCAGUAAACUGAAAUCUCCCCUCCUUGAAUUCAACCACACCUGUUCUUUCAAACACAGACAUAUCCAAAAAUUCCUUUUUGCAAGCAGGAUGCAAAUCAUUAUUGUCGGGAUCAAGAACACAUAGGUUUAUAGCUAACAGAGUAAUGUAUGGACCAAGAAAUAAAGUCCUAUACCGUUUAAGCACAUUUUGAAAUUGAUCCGCUAACCAAAAACCUAAAUUAGGCCUCACAUCAUUUAACAUGCACCAGAUAAAAUAAAAUUCAGUUUUAGAGAAAAUUCCCGAGUGAUCUUUCUUGCCUAAAAAAUUAUAUGCUAAGAAUCGAUGCACACAUUUCAAAACAGGAUCACGUAAGAAAGAACUCUUUGAUUUACUCGGGUCAUAGGCAUUGUGAUCAACAGAUAAAUUACGCCAAAGACCAUAAGGCUCAAAAUUUUCGCUAAAGUCACAAGUUGUUCCUAAAUAUGCAUCACUAGAAGAAUAAUCAUCAUCAAUGAAUCCUAAAGCUAGGUUAAAAUCCGUGAUAGAGUGUGAAAAAUUUCGUCUCAUUAACCUAAACUUAAUGACAUUCGGGGUAUGCAAAGUAAAAUCAUUCGGCAUAGUAAAUUGAAAAGUAGCAUAAAACUCCCUAAUCAACUCAACAUAACCCAAACAAUCAACAUCAACAAAUUUACGCAACCCAAUCUUAUCUAUCAAAGAAUCAAAAUUAUCCUUAACAUUCAAUUUUUCAAGAGUCGGGUAAUGAAUAUACUUAGCUGGAAGUAUUUUGCAAGUGGAAAUAUCUUUGUACCUCUCUUUCUCUUGUUGAGUCGCGAACGCGAGGCACCCUCCGAGAUUGGAUUCCGCAAGUGGCAAAACACUCAUGCCUUUUCCAUGCUUCGAUCUUUGUCUCACGGCUUUGCGUGAAUCUGAAAUUGUGUUCCAUGGAACCGUAGUGGGAGCGGCAAUCUUAGAUUUCUUUACGACGGGUUUCUUUUUCGAUGACUUGGAAGUAGAUGCUUUCCUCUUCGGCAUUGUUACAAUAAUUGCACUCACGGAUUUCGAUUUACCCGGCUGGAAUACAUGACGUAGGCUGGUUGCGUUGCGUUGCUGCUCGACUGGAGCUUGCUGUGCGGGUUGGAGCUGGUUGCGCACUGCUGGGCUGCGAGACACGGGAUGCUGGUGCUGCGCUCGCGGGGGCUUGCGUUGCGAGCUGGUGAUUCGCGUUGCUGGUUCGUGCUGCGUUGCGGGGCUGCUGGUGGGACUGAUGUUGCGCGUUGCGGCUGGGGCUGGAUCUACGCACUGCUGUGUGAUUCGCGAGAGCCGGUUCGUCUGCGUUGCUGUGCUGCACUGAGGUUGAUUCGCGUUGCUGCUGGUUGCGGUGCGCGAUGCUGCGCCCGGCGGCUGGGGCUGGUGGGGCUUGCUGCUGGAAAACGAUAAUCAACAGUAAUUUUUUUGAAUUAGGGAUUUGUGAACAGUGAUUUUCGAAUUUUUUUUUUUUUUUUUUUUAGUGAUGAAUCACUUUGAGACACUAAAAAUUUCAGAAGUACUUUUUUAAUAAGCACGUGGGCACGCCUUAUCAAAAAUUUUCUUCUGGCCAAAAUAAGCAAACACAUUAUUUUAAAAAAAAAUCUGAAUCAAAAUUAAAAGAAGAUAUAACAAAAACCAAAAUAAAUAAAUCAUUUGGGUUGCCUCCCAAAAAGCGCCUUUGUUUUAUGUCUUUGGCUAGACACGUUUAUGCAUCAAUCUCCAUAAUUGGGACUCUCGAGAGCCACAUCCUCCACAAUAUUCACCGAAAAACCUUCAUAAAAAGGUUUUAAGCGAUGACCAUUAACCUUAAAAACUUUGUCAGAGGUCGGACUCCGAAUCUCAACUGCACCAUGAGGAAAAACAUUAGUAACAAUAAAAGGUCCAACCCAGCAAGAACGUAAUUUACCCGGAAAAAGUUUAAGCUUAGAAUGAAAAAGAAGAACUUUUUGACCAACAGAGAACUCCUUUCUCAAAAUCAUUCUAUCAUGAAAUGUCUUCGUCUUUUCCUUGUAAAAAAUUUCCUGCGCUAUAGGGUUAAUAACAUCCACAGAAAAUACCGAAUGUUCCUCACUAGGAUAUUUCAUGGUAUCAUUCAUAUUGAAUCCUAUAACCUCUCCAUCAAACUCCAUAGUGAGAGUCCCUUUAUGUACAUCCAUUUUAGUCAUAGCAGUCUUAAGAAAAGGUCUUCCUAGCAAAAUUGGGACAGAAUUAGAGGAGUUAUCAUCUUCCAUAUCAAGUACAUAAAAAUCAGCAGGAAAAACCAACUCAUUAACUUGUACUAAGACAUCUUCUAAUACCCCAUCAGGAUAUGCAUUAGACCUAUCAGCUAGUUGAAUUAUCACGCCAGUUUCUUUUAAUGGACCAACAUUCAAAGAUGAAUAAAUGGAACGAGGCAUGACAUUAAUAGAAGCUCCUAGAUCUAACAUAGCCUUUUCAACUCUAACACUACCAAUUUUACAAGGGAUAGUAAACAUACCUGGAUCCUUGCACUUAGGAGGUAGUUUCUUUUGGAAAAUUGCUGAAACAUUCUCCCCCAUGUGAACUUUUUCAUCUCCUCUUAAUUUUCUUUUGGAGGUGCACAGUUCCUUAAGGACUUUAGCAUAUCGAGGUAUUUGUUUUAUAGCAUCUAAUAAAGGAAUAUUUACCUCAACCUUGCGAAAUGUCUCAAGGAUGUCUUUCUCUUGUUCUUCCUUCUUGGAUUUUGCAAACCGGCUUGGAAAAGGAGGAGGUAUCACAAUAGGUAGGGGUUUCGCUCCGGUGGGUUGUGCAUCUUGAGAUUGAGGCAUCAAUUCAUUCUUCUCAAGCUCAUCUUCUACAUGCUCUGUCACUUUCUUACUAGGCUCUUGCAACUCCUUCCCACUUCUAAGGAUGAUAGCACUAACGUUUUGCUUUGGAUUCACCUCAGAUUAUGAAGGCAAUCUUCCUAAUACUCGAGACUCCAGAUGGCUUACUGUAGUCGCCAAUUGACUCAUUUGGUUCUCCAAGUUCUGAAUGCUUGCUGUAGUUGCCUGCUGAAAUUGUUGAGUGUUAGUCGCAAGUGAUUUAACAAUUUCUUCAAGAGAUAUACCUGACUUGGAGUUUGACUGUGGAGGUGCUGGUUGUCUUGGUGGAUACUGUUGUGGGAAUCCUGACGGUUUAACUCCAUAGCUGAAGUUGGGAUGAUCCUUCCAUCCCAGAUUGUAUGUUUGUGCAUAAGGAUCAUACCUCCUCUGAGGCAUGCCUGGAAAUCCUCCAACUGCAUUGGCUUGUUCAACGAGUUCUUCUUGGAGUGUAGGACACAUAUAAGUUGAAUGACCCAUAUUGUAACAAAUGCCACAAGUCUUCACCUGUUGCACAUUACCUACAACAAACUUUUCCACAAGAGAAGUAAGUUUAUCUAAACGUUGUUCAACAAAAGAAAUAUUUACCUCAUUCACCUUCCUUGAAGUGGGAUCUUGCCUGCUACUAAAUUGUUGUGCAUUGGCAGCCAUAUUUGAGAUCAACUCCCUUGCUUGAGUAGGGGUUUUGUUCACCAACACACCUCCACUAGCAGCAUCUAUCAUACUUCUAUCCAUUAAUGAUAGUCCUUCGUAAAAAUAUUAAAUAAGAAGUUGAUCAGAAAUCUGAUGCUAAGGACAGCUGGCACACAAUUGUUUGAAUCGCUCCCAAUACUCAUACAAAGUCUCCCCAGGAAGUUGUCUGAUCCCACAAAUAUCUUUUCUGAUGUUGGCAGCUCUUGAAGUAGGAAAGUACUUCUCAAGGAACUGCUUUUUCAAACCAUUCCACGUUGUAAUUGAUCCAGGAGGCAAGUAGUACAACCAAUCUUUAGCUAGCCCAUCUACAGAGAAUGGAAAAGCACGCAACUUAAUCUGCUCUUCAGUCACGCCUUGUGGCCUCAUACUUGAGCACACAACAUGAAACUCCUUGAGAUGUUUAUGAGGAUCUUCACCUGCAAAACCAUGAAACUUGGGUAAUAAAUGAAUAAGCCCAGACUUUAAUUCAAAAUUUACCUCCAAGUCUACAUAUUGAAUGCAGAGUGGUUGUUGAUUCAAGUCUGGUUCAGCUAACUCUCUAAGAGUUCUUUCUACAGGUGCAGGUCUAUCCAUCACUUGUUCUUCUGAAUCGCUAGAUGAUUCAACUAAAUCAGGCACUGUAUCUGUUUCAGAAAGCAAAGGCGACGAGGAUCGUUGCUUAGCUCGCUUUGUCUGCUGUCUCAGUUGGCGAGCUGUCUUCUCAAUUUUAGGAUCAAACGAAAGUGUACCUGUACGAGAAGAACGAACCAUACACCAAGUAAAACGUAAAAAAGAUUAAAUAAAUGACACCAAUCCCCGGCAAUGGCGCCAAAAUUUGAUGGGUGUCGAAGCCAACAAAAAUAAAUUCCUACUCUAAAUAAAUUGUGUAUAGUGAUUGAGCAGGGUCGUGUCCACAGAGAUCAGUAAUUAUUUAAAUCCUUUUGAAACGUAAAACGUAAAAUGGGGGAAUAGUUGACAAUAAUAAAAAUCAAAUUAAAAAUAACAAGAAUGCAAAUUAAAGUUGUAAUUUAAAUUGGAGAAAGCUCUGGUUGAAGGAAUUAACUCAGCUUGAUUCGACUACUGAUCAUUGAUUCAAAUAUAGAUUAUUAUUACUCAUGAAUAGACCGGUUAUAGCUACUGAGACCCUCUAAUAGCCAAUCUCUCCUUAACUAGUCGAUAACCAAGGUACGACCGUUAGUUAUUUCCCUAAUCAAUAGACAACCCUAGAUACGAUCAUAGAAUUUAAUCAAUUGACAGCCUGAAAAACCAGAGAGACCCAAAUCCUAAUCAACACAUAUGAUGAUUCAUUUAAAUUAGAUUGUUUAUUCUCACAACACAACUCUCUGCUAUGUUAUUAGUCACAAGCAUUAAAUUCUUCAUACGAUGAAUCCUUUAAUUGACAAUAGAUUAAGUUGAUAAUUAAAUAGUGGCCAAUUACCUAAUUAACAAACAUAAUCAUGAAAAUAAUUCAGAGAAUAAACAAAUACCCAAAAAGUAAUAAAACAAUUAAAGCACAAGAAAGAUCUCACAGUAGUGAUGAAUCAAAGCUUCAUUAACCUUCAACCAGAAAAAUGGGUUUAGUUCCUAAUAGAGAGAAGAGAAAAAUUAGAUCUAGGGUUUCUUUUUCUCCAAUCCAAAAUUCCCCCCUUUCACAAUAGAUUCCUCCCUUAAAUACUCUCUCUCUUCUCCUCUAGAAUUCUAUUUAAAAUAAAAUACUAAUAUCUGAAAUAUUAAAUUCGUAAUUACAAAAAUAACCAAAAAUACAAAACACGUUAAACUAAAAACUGCAGGUCCGCAGUUGACAGCACACACCCACGCCUUAUCAAUAAAGUUCUUCUGCCACUCAUAAUUUCUCCAAGAGAACAAUCAUCCUUAAAAAUCAUCUUGUAGCUCAAUUUUAUCACCAAUCAAUAGAAUUGCACUUACAAAAGUAAAUCAUUAUUAUUAAGUGCAAAACAUCGAUAUUAAGGGAAGUAAACAAUGCAAAACUAGUGCAUAAAUUGCACUCUAACAGACCCCAAAGAUCUGCAUAUAUCACUUGUAAGGGUGCUGAAGUUUUUGUUUCAACUGAAUCAAAAUGCAGCAUAUGAUUUUUCCCAUAUUGACAUGCUGAACAAAAUUUCAAGCUUUCAAUUUUAUUAUAAGCAGUAGAGUUGUUACAAGUUUUGAGUAUAGUUUUGAGAGUAUAAGAUGCUGGGUGUCCUAAUCUUCUAUGAAGAAGAUUUACAUCAAUAGAACUCUUUGUAACAACUGACAGACAUGGCUUUUUAUUCAAUUCAUAAGAACUAACAGCAGUGAGCUGAUCAGAAUUGAAAACAGGAGAACAAGCAAAGAGAGUGAAUUUUAUUUUGACCAACUGAAUUGAGAAAGACUGAAUGAGCAGCAACAUGUGAAGAGACUCUAUACAAGUCACCUUUAGCAACACCUUCAAGUAAAAUUUUCCUUGUGUUCCUAGCCUUUAUAAAAAACAAAUCACCAAGAAAUUCCAACAGUAACUGGAUUGUCAGCCAAUAAUUUUGAAAUGCUAAGCAAAUUCUUAGUAAUAAAAGGGACAUGAAGAACAUGGUUUUUAAAGGUUUAGAAGUUGAAGUAUUUAGCACAACUGAUCCUACAUGUGUAAUAGCUAAUGCAUUUCCAUCUCCAACAAACAAUUUUUCAGUACUAGUAUAAAUUUGUGAAUCCAGAAGUUUACCUAGAUCAUUUGUAAUGUGAUUUGUUGCUCCACUAUCAAUAUACCAUGAAGGAUCUUCAAUGUGUUCUGGUGGAAGUGAAGAAGGCAUAGCUGAGGAAGAUGAAGCACUUGACUGUCCAGGAUUAUUAUUUCCUUGACCAGAAACAAAAGUAGAUGGUCUAGGGGUGAAUGAGUAAUAAGCAGAAGGAUUACUAUCUGGAUACACCAUAUUUCCUUGAUAGCCAAAACCAGCAUUUAAACCAAAACCUCCAAAACCUCUGCCACCAUUACCAUUAAAAGCUCUUCCUCUACCAUAUUGCCCUUGAUUAAAACCUCUGCCACCAUUCAUAUUACCUCUGCCAUAGUUUCUCUGUGGAACAAAAGAUGAAUUGUACCUAUUUUUGCAUCUAUUGGCUGCAUGACCAGGUAUGAAGCAGAUUUGACAAACAGUUUCAGAGGAAUUACCACCAUUAUUAAACUGACCAUAUCCAUAUCCAUUAAAACCUCCAUACCUAGAAUUAUUUCCAUAAUUUUUUUGAAAAUUGCCAUUAUUCUUUCCAGCAUAUGAGUUCUUCUGAGCAAUAUUUGCUGUCAUAUUGUGCAUCACAUCACCAGCAAUUUUUCCUUUCUUUUGUUCAACUCUAUUUUCAUGAUUCAAUAGCAAAGGAUAUAGUUCAUCUAAUGUUAUCUUCUCACCUCGAGCUAAAACACCUGUGACUAAAGAUUCAUAAUCUGAUGAAUCAAGACCAGUUAAUACAUGAAUCACAAGAUCACUUAACUCAACAGGUUUUCCAGCUAGAGCUAAAGUAUCAGCUAUACGUUUUACUUUUGCAAAGUAAUCAGACAUAUGCAUUGCACCUUUCUUAAUAGUUUGAAUCUGCAUUCUAAGUGUUUGAAUUCUAGCUUGUGAUUAAGAAAUAAACAUACUAGUAAGAGUCUUCCAAAGCUGUUUUGAAGUUGUGGAGUCAAUCACAGUAGCAAGUAGAUUUUGCUGUAUCGACGACAUCAUCUAACUCAACAGAAGUUGAUCAGUCUUCAUCCAAGCUAUGAACUCUGGAUUAAUAGAUUUGGAUUCAGAUUCAGUAAAAAUUUCAGCUCCAUUGUUGUUUCCAAAAGAAAGAAACUACUCAGGACAUUCUUGAUCACCAUUGAUAAACCCUUCCAGACCGUUUCCUUUGAUCGAUGCUAAAAUUUGUGCCCGCCAUAAAAUGAAGUUGUUUUGGUCUAGCUUUGCAGGCGUAACAAAACUAAAAGAGUUGUUAUUUUGAACUGUAUUCGCCAUUUAUGGCUCUAAUACCAUGAAAGAAACUUAGUUUUGCAUUGUUUGGCAAGCUAGAAAAUGAAGAAAAUAAAAGAAAGCUCUGUAAAGAAGUUUGUAGAACCUUUAUUACUUUAGCAUUACAACUGAAUGAAUACAGACUGAUAUUUAUAUUAAGCUACAAUUUGCUCAACACACACACGAGUUUGUUACAUCACAUAACCAUUUGCUGCAUAACUAAUUUGACACAUCAGCUCAACCAGCUAAUUAACUUUGCCAGGUCAGCUUAGUGAGUUGAUCUGCUAAAUUCAGCUACACAGCAACAUCAUGCUCUGCUCUAGCUUCAUUCAAUUCACUAGCAUUUUCCCUUGAUACAUUAGGAGAAAAGACUGCCUGUGAGAUACAACAAUGUAAAUAACUUCUCAUGGUUCAUUGAAUCUAUAACGCACUGAGCCCUAUUCUAAAAUAUGUAGGUUGCUUCUGAAAAAGGGCUUUUCUCACUGAUCUUUAAUCUUCAAGAAAGUUUGUUUCAUUUCAGAAGGUAUAAGUUUCAAACUUAUUGUAUUGGGAGGUUGUAUAGUUGUAACCUAAGCAUCUGCAGGUUCCUGGUUCAACACAUUAUAGUAUGGUAUUUUAUUUUGUCACAAGGCAAUUGGUUACGGGAUCACUUUUGCAACGGUUUGUUGAUGGCGAUGAUGAAUUUCGCAAUAGUAGGUUGAAACUUAUUCCAUCUGUUCCUAAGGUAUCCAUCUUGGCCUUCAUGUAGUAGGACUAUAUUAACGUAUACUUACCCUUUACUGCAUGGUACACUUCAAUUUGUACAAAGAAGGCAUGCAUUUAGGUGUGAAUGUAUUGAUGGGUUGUACCUUCAAACUUUAUCUCCUUUUUACCCUCUUGAAUUUGUUUUGCACUUGUUCUUGAUUUUCAGCACUGAAUCAUGCAGGGGUCAUGGAUAGUGCGCCAGAGUGUUGGAAGCACCCCUUGUUUAUUGGGGAAGGCAGUUGAUUGUAACUAUAUUCGCGGUCCCAAGUACUUAGAAGUAAAUGCUCUUGGAAUUUCUAUAGUACAUGAGAUGUUCCCCUUUCAAAUAGCGUCCAAUACCUUUAACAUGGUUUAACAUUGUUCAUCUUUCUGUAGAUUGAUGUUGACAUCGAUUCUUCUACUGUUGCUAAUGGAGUUUUGGGCCUUGUAAUUGGUGUAAUUACGACAUUGGUGGUUGAGAUGGCUUUCCUUGUACAGGUAUGUAUGAUUGUUUUUUUCCCCCACUGCUAAAUGGACACAAGGGAAAAGACAUGAUUUUGAGAUAUUGCACUGCAACUUGCAUUUUUGCAUACUUGAAUGUUCUCAGAAUGAUAUAAUGCUUCUGUGUGUGUCUUCUUUAUCUUGCUCUUCUGUAUGCAGGCAAAUACUACAGAUGAAUUACCGGAGCGGCUGAUUGGUGCUGUACGUGUUUCUCAUAGAGAACUCAAGUCUGCUGUUGUCCCAAAGCUGGAACCAGAGAUAUCAUGACUCUGGUUUCAUUUCAGCUCAACUGUGUUUUUUUUUUAAUUAAAAAAAUCAUUUGUUUUAGGUAUACAUACAUGUAUUUUGAUUCUAUUUUCAUUGUAAUUUCUCAUUUACUUUGAAUGAAAGUCAUUGGUGUUUUCGAAUGGGAAUUUUGCAUUAAAAAAUGAAGAAUAAUGAAUAGGAAAUUUCCUGAUUCUUUAGUUACUAUUUUUGGUAUGAGUGUAAUUAGUAGUAAAGUAGGUUUCUACUCGCAAACAAGUGAACUACUCGAUUCCCGAGUGGUAUCAACCAGUUUCCAACUUUUUAAUAUACACUAAUUGUUAUUGUUUAAUAGCUACUACUAUUAAAACUCAACAGCUAGCAAAAAUACUUAAAAAAAAUGAUUUUUCUUAUGAUGCUGUGAAAAAAAUUACGGGUGUACUUCUUUCCAUGAGAUCUAUAACAUGGUCUCGACUUCACGAAAUUCUUUUAAUUUAAAGCGUGCUGGUGUGAGGUCAGUUUAACUGAUUAAUUCUUUUUAACAGUGGUCGAGAUAAUUUUACUAUACUAAAAAAUAUUCUUAUUCUGAUAAUGCCACAAAUGUUAUGCUGUUUUCUUCAGAUAAUGAUCUUCCAUUAGGAGAGGUUAGAAAUCAAAUGCUUAAAAGACCAAUUGAACGAAUAAUACAGAAAUUUAGGCAGAAUCUAAUAGAAUAUUGCAUGAAACAUGAAACAUCAAUUCAAGUCCUUUCUUAAACGGAGAAUGCAUCAAACAAAAUCCAAAGUGUCUUGCAAGUCUGUAGCGUGAGCAAAAAAUUGUAAAUAUGUAGAACCAAAUUAUUCAAGUACAGAAGAACGAGCAAGCUAAAUCAUGUAUAAGAGAUUGGCCUGGUUCGGGAUAGCUUCUUCACUGUAUCUGAAGGGUUGGCUCAAUCUCUUCUUUAGAAUUCUGCAGAUUUUGUAAUUACUCGUGUAAGCAAGUAUACAUUGCCACCAUAAGAAUAAUGAAGCUAGAGUAAUGAUAUGACCACCACCUCUUGUGCACAAACAAUAUUGUAUAAACUAAUGCGACAUAAUAUGAUUGGUUAAACAAAAACAUUACAUGGCCCUCAUAAUUUAUUUAUUUAUUUAUUAUUAUUAUUAUAUAUUUUCAGUCAACCAAUCAUAUUAUAUCACAUUAGUUUCUAUAAAAUAAUUUGCUAAAUAGCACCAAAACUUAAUUGAUACUCACCAUUUCAUUGAACAAUUUUUUUAUGGUGUCAUUGAGGUUGCCUUCCCAACAUCGUUCAUCAUCAUCUUUUUCUUCUUUGGUGACGUUCACUUUGUUUAGCAUUGGUGUGUCUAAGAGUCCUUGAGAGAAGAUCUUCAUUUUUGGACACUGUCUCACAACUACUUGUUUCAAGGACGGGAAUUCAAGAGCGUAAUUACCUAAACAAAAGCUUGUUAGGCUUGGCAAACAAUCAAGUCUCAAGUACUCCAAUUCCUUGAAAACAUUGCAAUCUUUCGCUUCUUCUCCAACCUGCAAUUGUAUGAUUUGUUCUAUCAUUUUGCAAUCAACUAUCAUCAUUCUUUUGAGAUUCACUAGAUUUUUAGAUGCUGAGAGCGUCAACACAUUUAUCAAUCCGUGACACUUCGAUACUGCCAAAGCCUCAAGAUUUUCCAAAUGCCACGAAGGUGGUACUAAUUUUUGCAACUUACUACAUUCCGAUAUUUUUAGACUUUUCAAGUUUGCAAACACUUUGUUGGAUUCGGCAUUUUCCUUCCAGAGAUGGUGCACUUUGUGUAAUCCAGACAGCUCUAACCAUCUCAAUCGAGGGAAUGAAACCUGAAAAUCAACAAAAUUAAGUUGUAAAUGAAAAUAUGUAUCCAAUCUCUGCAGUCUUCCCCUGCAUAUUUUAUGGACAAGAUUAAUCACGACAUUUUAUAUUUUUUUUCCAAAUUAGAAUGCUUUGCAGUAGGAUCCCAAAUAUAAGUAUCAAAUCGAUUACCCUUUGAAACACAUAAAUGAAAUCUGAUACUAAAUCCAAUAUGAAUUAGCUAGGAAAACAGAGAUGUUACACACAUAAUUAAUAGAGUUCAUCACCUCGUGUUACCAGGCAUCCAAUUAAUUUAAGACAUUUUAAUAAUUCAUAUUAUAAAGUUAGUUGAUAGCGGAGGUUAUAUUGUUAAAUCAUAUAUAAAUUAAGACGACGUGCAAAAAGAGGAGUCAUUAAAUUCGAUUUGAUUCUAACGAAAUUACAUCUAUGCGAAUGAAAGUGAAGGGAAAUAAUAAUAAUAAUAAUAAUAAUCACCUUUUCAUCGAAGAGAGGUUGUACUUGAUGAGCCAGCAAGAAGUUCUCUUCUGAUGUUAAUUUUUGAGGUUCCUUAUUAUCCGCUGUCAUGUGCAGUACAGAGUUGGAUAUGAAUGUUUCUAUAUCUCGGCAAUUCUCAAUAGUUAGAUUUCUCAACAUAGGCAUUUCAAUUAUAUUCCCAGUGAAGUUGCAGAAUCUUUUGAGUUUUGGAAGAUCAGUGAGCCUCAGCCUGUAAAGCUUAGGAAACAGGGGGCUUAUAUGUUCUUUGUCAGCAUUUAGCUCCUCCAAAUGAAGCACCUCUUCUAUUGAAUCACAAUUCCUCUCUUCCAGCCAUACCAAAUUGUUCAAGCACCGUAGCAGAUUGGCAGGAAUAGCACUCGACAUAUUCGUGCAGUCAUCCACAGCCAGUUGUCGUAAAUUGUUGAAGAAGCUGACAGGCAGUGCUUGGCCAUGCCAUAUUUCUUUCAAACGUGGAAAAUGUGAGAGUUGCAAAUCCCAUAUGUCACGGAAUCCAAUCUGCACAAACAAAAACAAUUGCACUGGAUAUAUAUAAAUUUUUUUUUUGAAUCAACUUACAUGUUUUGUGUUUUAACUUCUAAAACUAUAUAUACAAGGCAGGUGUAUAUGUUCAAAUGUCCAAGUGCAAGGGAGAUGCAUAAGUAAUUUCGACGAAUCGAUUUAACACAUACCAUUUCUUCGUAACACUUUUGUAUAGUGGAAUUAAGGUUGCCUUCCCAAUGGCGCAAUUCACCCUCUCCCUGUUAAGAAUAGAAUUAGUUAGUUAAUGAGUAUGCUGACAUGGCAGCUGAGUCAGCUAAAGGUUGUUAUAGAGGUUGUUAGUAGUAAACUGUGCGUGUGUGCAAUGUGUGUAGAAUCUUCUAUGCACAUAUAAAAAGGCUUGUAAUUUCCAGAUUCAUUAGAUCAAUAAUAACAGAAUUCUCAGCUUACAGAAGUUUUCUUUCUUCCUAUUUUCUUAGUAACCAAACAACAUCACAGUUUCAUAUAAAACUUAAUACUUCCUUUUUACUCACAUGCACUUCGUGCAGCUUUGGUGUGGAUACGAUUCCCUGAGAAAAAGUCUUCAUGUUCGGGUAACAUGUCAUAGAAACUCGUUCCAAUGAUGGGAAUUCAAGAGUGUAAUCCUCCAAACAAAAGCUGGUAAGCCUUGGUAAAUGAUUUCAGGUAAUUUUUAAAUAUUCUAAAUUCAUUUAGAAUAUUUAAAUGAAUUUAGAAUAUUCACUAUUUAGUAUUAGGAAUGGAGAAAGAAUUUCAGGUAAUUUUUAAAUAUUCUAAAUUCAUUUUUCAUCUUGAUUCUAGUUUUUUAAAAAAAUUUAAUUUUCAAACAUGCGUAUUUUUAAAAUAACUAAACUAAAACGCUGUAUUUCCCUUUUUUUCCCGAUAUUCAUGCUUUUAAAAAUGGAAAACAUUUCUGGAAAACACUUCCCAACGCCAUCAACAUGGGACUGUUAUAGAUGAAUUAAGGAAAAGAGAAAUAUAUAGAUGAAUUUGUGAACCUAUAAGAUGAGUGACUAUCCUUUAAUUUUUGAAAAUUGUACUUAUUAAGAUAUGAGCAGAAACAAUUAAAUUGAAUUAUAUUAUGCUGUUGAAUCGUGAUUAAAAAAAUUAUAUUGUUGAUUCUAAUGCUGGCGAACCUAAAAACUGGACUUAAAAUGUAGAUUUGAGAGUGGUGGUUCGAAGUACAAUACUUGAAAUAAAUAAUCAGUGGCUGAAUAUCAUUUGUAAACAAAAAAUGGUUAAAAUAUUGUUGGAUGUAAUUUGAAAAAAAAAAAAAGAUUCGAAAUGAAUACAGCAACCUUACCAAUGGAGGAAAAAUAUUCUUUAGGUUAUCACACUCAAAUAUCUCUAAAUUCUUCAAUUUGCUGAAAGACUCCGAAGCAAGUUGGUGGUGCCAUAUUAUUCUCAAAUUAUUCAUCCAGCUAAUAUGUAAUACCUCCAACCUAGGAAGUCGUACCUGGCAGUUAAAGAUUAAAUAACUAAUUAAUCAAUUAAUUGCAUAAUCAAUUGAUAACUAAAUUAGAGGCAGAUAUUAACUAAACUUGAAGACUCAAAGAAAAGACAAAUUAAAUAUUGUGACUAAAAUUAAUUUUUUUUAUUAAAAAAAAAACCUUUUCGUCAAAGAGAGGAGGAGGUUGCAUUUCAGAAUGAUUGGUGUCUUCUGGUGAGCUCGUAGAGAUGAAUCUUAACAUAUUCCAGCAACUCUGAAUCUCGAGGUUUAGCAAAGAAGGGAAUUCAACAACUAAAUCUGAAUUAAUAUGUCCCGUAUUGGCAAAGCUUGUUAGUUUAUAAAGCCAAUAGAGCUCCAGGGAGUGUAGUUUAGGAAAAACCUUUAAUUCAAUCAACUUUCCUUCUUCUCUUUCUGACCACCCCGUGGUGUCGACUACCCCUUCCAUUGACUCACAAGAUCUUAUCUCAAGAUGCUGGAGUUGCAAAAGACUAUUAACCAUAGAAUAGGAAAACAGAUACUUCAUACGAUGACAACUGCUCACGUACAGCUUUGUUAAAUUUCGACAACAGUACAUUCCUUGAUUAUGAUCGGCCCAUAAUUUUUUCAUGUUUCUUAAUGACCUGAGAUCCAAUUCCUCUAAGCUCGGAAGAAUAACCUGCAAAGAAUACCCGUACAUUUUUGUUCCUUCAAGUACAACCGUCUAGUAUAAUAUUCUUUUGAUGAUCGAAGAUUAAUCGUGAUAAUAAAUUAAUCAAUUAAUUAUUGAACAGAAAAUUAUCACCUUUGGAGCAGGAUCAUCAUCAGCAGUGAUUUCGUUGAAUCCCAAAGAAGUUGUUGGUUUCUCCCUGUCGGGUCCUAUAAACAAACAAAAACAAUAUACAUAAUUAAUCUUUGUUUUUUUUUUCAAAAUAAUUGAGGCGAAGUCAAUUAUCCCACCGGUACUUAAUUUCAACACUUACCAACAAUCAUUUCCUGAUCAUCGCAAAAAGCCACUUCUACCUUUUGAAGCCGCAGUAGGUUUUUGGCUAUGGAGAAUGAGAAAAGAUGCUUCAAUUUGUGACAGAAUUUUACUUCUAUAAUCCUUAAGUUGCUGAAAGAUUGAUCUUCUGUGAGUUGGCUGUCACAUAUUGUCUCCAAAUUGAUCAAACGACGAAGAGACAAUGACUCCAGCAAGGGGAAGACUUUGCGACGAACCCGUCCAACUGAACAGACAAUAUGCAAAAUCUCAGAACAACUUUCUGCAGAAAGAUGCUUCAAUCGUGGAUAACCUUCCCCAUCAUCUAAUUCAUGAACAACAUUCUGAACACCCUUCAGUUCUUCUAGAUAGAGAUAUUCAGUUCUCGUCAACAACAGUUUCAUCCUGUAAUUCUGCAAAAGAACGCCAAACUUUUCCAGCCCCUGGAGCUUCAUCAAUCUUGAUAAUCCAGAUUUAACGGACCAGCUGCUCCACCACUUAUUUCCUAUACAUAUCCUAUAGCUUUGUAAUUCCACAGAGACGAAAUCCUGCGGUAAAAUUUCGGCAUCCCGAACAUGUAUCUCCAAAGUAGUUAGCUUUGACAGCCCAUUCAAUUCAGCAAGACUGGCGUUACUUCCUCCUUCAACCUUCUCCCACUGUGAAAAGCUGUUACCAAUAUAUAGUUCUUCUAAUCGAGAUAAUUUUGAUAUGACAUUUGGAGCUAUCACCACAAGACUGCUACAAUUUCUCAAAUCUAGCAACUGUAAUCUCGUCAAUUGUCCAAUUACAACUGGCAACUCCUUAACAUCAGAAUCUCGGAAGCUGAGAAUCUCUAAUUUCCUUAGCUGUCCAAUUAUAGUUAUUUCGUUCAGUCGGCAACCGUCUAAACACAAUGUUCGAAGGUUAAUGAGGCGACCAAGUGAUGAAGGUAAUGAAGAGAAAAAUAUGCCAGUAAAAUCUAAAACUUUGAGUUCUUCUGUCCCUUCAAAAAAGAGGUCUGAAAUUUGCAAAGAGCUAUCACGCUUUGAAAACAACAAAAGUAACUCGAGACGGGGACAUCCCAACCUUUCGGGAAGCUCUUGAAUAUCUCUAUAAGGUAAAGAAAUAGCAAUUGGACCUUCCCGUAUUGUCUCUUCCAUCUUUUUCUCCACGUAGGCAACAUUUGGAAUAUUAAACAUGAGCUCCUUUUCUGCAAUUGAUACAGCAACAGCAUGAAUGAUGUCAUGCAUUUUAACUUCAUCUUCAGCAUCACCGUCCAACAAUAAGCAUGAAGAUUUGAGUUUGUCGAUCAAUGCAUCCACUCUAUUCCUUGCAUUUUCCAAUGUGCGAACAUAUUUAAACAAACCCAAACCCAUACCCAUACCAUAUCUCAACAAGGAAGCAACUUGUAUAGGAGUACCUUCACCAAAUAGAGAACAAAGAAGGAACAAAGAUUUUGCUUCAUCACUUUCCAAGAAGUCGUAACUCAAUUUUAUGGAAGAAUACACAUCUGCAUCCAUACCAUGAAUUUCUCUUAGAUUGGAACUUCUUAGCUGAUUCAACGCAUCCUUCCAAAUGGCAAGACUCUUAUUUUUCAGAGCACUUGCAACUGUUCUCAGUGCAACAGGCAAUCGUCCGCAUUUUCCAACAAUCUCAUCCGCUAAAGGUUGAAAAGCAGAUGCUUUUGCGGAAUUGCCCACGAUCUUUUCAAAAAAUUGCAAUGCUUCUUCCUUUGAUAAAACUUCAAUUGGGAAAAUCUUCUGAGAAUUCAUAUCAUUGAUCAAUAAAUCUUGACUUCUAGACGUCAAUAUUAUCGUGCGUCUCCUUAGAUCUUGCUUUCUAUCUUUCUCAUCAACAUCCCCAGAAGGAAUUCCAAUUUCUUCCAACCUAAGUUUUUUCCAAAUAUUAUCUAAUAUAAUGAGGACUCGCUUCUCUUUCGUCAAUCUUUGACAAAGUUGUUUUGCUCUGUGGGGUUUGCUAUCAUUCAAGUCAAAGUUCAUGUCUAAAUCGGAAGCGAGCUUGUCUUGAAUUUUCUGAACAUCUGGGUUCUCUGUUACCUCAGCCAUAACGACCUUAUCGAACAACUUAUCUUCCAUAACUUGCUUUGCAAUUUGCUUGACUAGCGUGGUUUUACCCACGCCGCCCAUACCGUGGACCCCAAUUAUGUUGAGCUUAUCAUCCCUCAAUGCCUCCACAACAUCUUGAAAUAAUUUCAUUCUUGAAUCAAAGGCCUCGAAAUCUUUCGCUUGCAUAUGUUCUGUACUCUCUGGAGCAGGACGGUGGGAAACACUAGAGAAGUUGCCUUUUCUCACGAGACUAGCGGCAGCUUCUGCGGCCUUUACUGCUUGUUUACUAAGUUUAUAACGAGAAAUCAAGUUGGGGCACAAUCCUUUGAAGCAGGACUUCUUAGCUCUAUCUUCAUCAUCAAUGAUGGAUUUUGCAACCCCUUCACUGAUGCAUUCAUCAACGCCAUUAAGCCAGUCUGCAACAUCCUUGUAAAUCUCAUCUCUUUGUUGAGUAGCCUGACGAACGGGUAUUCCCACCCUUUCUCUUUUAUAUUCCAGCUGCUUCACUUGAUCUUUUAGCUCAGCUAUGUAGCUCUGGUACUUGAACACAUAAGAUAUCUGCCGCAUAAUCCGUUCGAGCAAUGCCUUUGCACCUUCUGAUACAAUGCUUGAAAAAGCUUCGAGACCCACUUCUGAAGCCAUUGCCUAGCCUGUUGCAUAUAUAUAUACAUUAGCCGAUGGAAAAAUUGGAUUCAAAUAAAUUAAAGUGAUCCAGAGGGAAGGACAAAGAAAGAAAUGACAACGAAUGACUUUUUAAACAAAGGUUUCAAGAGCCUGAAUCGAAAACCAACAAUUUGAAAAAAAAAAAAAGAAUUGGAAGAUGGAUGCAAAUUAACCAUUGCUAAUACUACAUAAGAACACAUAAGUUAACAAUGAACAGUUACUUAAGAAAAUUAAAUGACAAGAUUAAAACAAACAAGCGCUAUUUUUUCUUGGACAAAUGUACCUGUUUAAUUAUUAAAGACUUAAUGAGCUUCACUAUUGGCCUUGAGUAUAUAAGAAUGAGCAAGAGAUCAAUGUCAACUGCAGAGGAAUGUCAGUAAAGGUUUCAUGAGAGUGAGUAAUACAAAUGAAUUGUAAAAGAACAAGACUUAAGCGUGCACCCCCUGUUUUGUUUUAUUCGUUAUGAAAAUGAUAUUGUACCCAAUUUUAAGAGAGCAUAAUAAUAACCAUUUAAUGCAUAAAUUUAGAAUUAGCUUUUUUUUUUGUAAUUCUUUAUUUAAAUAUACACGUCAAUGGAAAAUUUUGAAAAUUUGGAUACAAAAUUUUAAAUCACCAGAAAAAAAAAAGCACGGGAACGGAAAUAGAGGAAUCUUGUUUUACCUUUUUUUUUCCCCCCUUUAACUCUCGUUCUUAUAUAAAUAAUCUUGUUUUGAUGAUUGUGACUCGUGACUGCGGGAAAAAUUCUAAUGGAAACAACUCAAUUUCGGAAGAUAAGCUUAAUUCUGCAAGUGAUGAAUUUGUUCAAUAGACUCUGUACCUGAACUCGUUGGAUUGGUUGAUUGAUGAUUGACUAAAUUUGAAUUAAGUUUAAUAGCUUAGCUAUCAUGUACUCCUUAAAAGCAAACGUAAAUCUUUUUUAGAUUUGACUGAAUUUGGGAACCUGUUGGAUUGAUUGUUUUUAGAUCAUUAAUAUCAGAUACUACAAACGUAAAUAUUUUCUUGUGGUUGAGUCCUAUUCAAAUCACACAAAAUUGCACGACCAAAUAUUAAGAGAACGUAAUAAUAAUCACUCAGUGCGUAAGGGUAAAUUUAGAAUUACGUAUUCUUUUUUAUUUAAUAAAAUCCCAGCGAGAAAAUCAUAAAAUUUAGAUAUAAAAUUUUCAAUCACCAAACAAAAAACAGGGGGAAUGAAAACACAGGAAACUUGUUUUACCUUUUUUUCAUCUAACUCUUGUUCUUAUAUAAUAUUUUCCCUAGUGUUUCAGGCAAGCAAAAAAAAAAAAAAAAUCAAUAAAGAGCAAGUUGCUCAAAUUGAUUUAUCUUGUUUUUCAGGCAAUCUUGUGAUAUGAUGAUAAUGCUUAUGAAUGCUAGAAAAACUUCUAAUGCAAACAACUCUAUUUGGGAUGAUAAGCUUAAUUUUACAAGUGAUAAAUAUAAAUAACUUUUUGUGGUUAAUUCAAUUUGUAAUUACCCUUAGCCCUAUUCUAAAAUUUGUUGGCUGCUUCAGAAAAAAAAAAAAAAAAAUUUCACUCAUCUUUAAUCUUCAAGUAAAAAACAAAUCUAAUAAAAUGACAAACAAACAAACAAAUAAAAGACAGCAAACAAACAACAUUUAGCCAACUGAUAUUUAAACAGGGAUUAGAGUUUUUGUUAUUAACUGAAAGGUUUCAAGGGUCUGAAUAAAAUCCCAGACUUUUUUUUAAAACUUUUUUUUUAAUUAACCAAAGCCAUAUAAUAAGAUCACAGACUUUAACAAUGAACAAUAAUUUGAAACUCAAGCAAAACCAAUCACAAGAUUAAAACAAACCAGAGAAUUUUUUUCUUGGAAAGUAGAUGAAAAGCAAGUAAGAACUGCUAUUAAAGGAUAUUAUUAAAGGAUUUAGAACAUGUAUACCUCUUUAUUUAUAUGGGAUCAGAGAGUCGAUGACCUUCUCUAUUCGCUUCGGAUAUUUAGUAAGAACUGCUAUCAAAAGAAUGAAUUGAUGAGUAAUAACAAUGAAUUGCAAAAGAGGAAGACUUAAUCACGUACCCCUAUUGUACCCGAUUUUUAAGAUUUAAUUUUGAAGUCCAGAAUCAAGACAAAAGACGAAGCCUUAACAAAUAUGCAGUGAGAAUAGUUAAGUUGAAGAAAGCACUAGUUUAUGGCUCUGUGUUUCAUAUGCCGUAUUGAAAUAAUUAAGUUGAAGUUUUCAACGAAUAAAUACCUGGUGUGCUGGAAUAAUUUUAGAAGAAUAUUGGCUUAUAGAGAUUAGAGCAUAUUAGGAGGGAUCAGAUUUGUAAGAUGCCUGAUAAAAGAUAAAGCGAAUGUUAUUAUGGACAUACCAAUUUCCGACUUUUCGGAGUGCAUCCGUCUAUCCAUGACUUGAAAAGAGACCCAAUGUGUGGACAGACUUGAUUACAUNNNNNNNNNNNNNNNNNNNNNNNNNNNNNNNNNNNNNNNNNNNNNNNNNNNNNNNNNNNNNNNNNNNNNNNNNNNNNNNNNNNNNNNNNNNNNNNNNNNNNNNNNNNNNNNNNNNNNNNNNNNNNNNNNNNNNNNNNNNNNNNNNNNNNNNNNNNNNNNNNNNNNNNNNNNNNNNNNNNNNNNNNNNNNNNNNNNNNNNNNNNNNNNNNNNNNNNNNNNNNNNNNNNNNNNNNNNNNNNNNNNNNNNNNNNNNNNNNNNNNNNNNNNNNNNNNNNNNNNNNNNNNNNNNNNNNNNNNNNNNNNNNNNNNNNNNNNNNNNNNNNNNNNNNNNNNNNNNNNNNNNNNNNNNNNNNNNNNNNNNNNNNNNNNNNNNNNNNNNNNNNNNNNNNNNNNNNNNNNNNNNNNNNNNNNNNNNNNNNNNNNNNNNNNNNNNNNNNNNNNNNNNNNNNNNAUUUAAUAAUUAUAGAAGAAUAUUGGCUUAUAGAGCAUUUUAGUAGGGAUAAGAUUUGUGGACAGAAUAAAUGAAAUAAUAAAAAGCAUAACUGAUCAAGUCAUUAUUGAUCUUACUUUGAUUAUUACAUUGCACAUUAGUUUCUUUCUAAAAAUGCCAUUCUUCAUUCAAGCUUUCGCUUUAUCUUUUAUCAGGCAUCCUACAAAUCUUAUCCCUACUAAUAUGCCCUAUAAGCCAAUAUUCUUCUAAAGUUAUUAAAUGCCAUUCUUCAUUCAAGCUUUCAUGGACAUUAUCUACAAACUGAAUCUUCAAUGUAAUAAAAUAAUGAUCAGCCUCACAGGAUACAUAAAAAGCUCAUUUAUCACAAUCAUUUCCUAGUGCAUCAUAAACUUAGAUUAUUUAAUUUUACUAUUAGGAAACCUACUUAUAAAAGGCGCACACUACAAAUUCUAAAUUAAAUUUCUAACUAAGAAUAAAAGGUAAACCCUAGCAAUUUUCCACCAGGUGCCGUGUAGCCUGCAUCAUAAAUUUUGAUUUAAAUCUUUGUAAUCACCGAACAGAAAAACCGGGGAAUGAAAACAGAGGAGCCCUAUUUUUCCAUUUUUUUAACCCUUAACUCUUGUUCUUCUAAUUAUAUUUUUGCUUGGAAUUUCAGGCAAACGAAAAAAAAUAGUGACAACUAUUUAGAGAGAACAGGUGGAUGAUAGCAAAAAUAUUUUUAAUUAAUAUGCAUGAUUAACUCUUGUUCUUCUAAUGUAGUGGCUUGAUUAAUUAAUAUUUUUAAUCAAGCCAUUACAUUAUUGGUAGUCUCUGUGGGCUCAUUUCGUCUCCAGACCUGAUAUUGUAUAUCUCUUUUUGAAUAUGUUUAAUUAAUAUGCAUGCUGCUGAAUAAAGACGAUGAUUUCCAAAUUUUUGUUGCUUUUUUUUUUUCUUUUUGCUGCUUUGGUACAUGAAGAAUGUGGAAAUAGAAAUAGCUUUCGAAGUUUAAUGGCUUGCUUCAUUAGUAAAGAAAGACUAGGAUAUCCGUCCUUUUUGUUACUGAAUUAUUGAUCAAUUGACGGUUGAAGUUAGUUAUAUUAAUUUGUUGUACAAGAAUUGAAGCUUAUAUCUUUACCGUUUCGUGAAAGUGUCAAAUAUGUUCUUUCCUUGCAAUUGUUCAAAAUAUGUUACACUUUUGAAGUCACUAUUACAUAAAGGGUGUUGUAAAAUAGGGAAAGGCGGGUUUAUGAUUAGAUUUUAAUAUGUUUAAUUCAAGGAUUAACCGAAGCUAUUAACCAACGGCUACUAACCGAAAACCGAAUUUAACAAUAAACACUAACUCAGAAUUCAAGAAAAUUAAAUGACAAGAUUAAGACAAAUGAGAGAUAUUUUUCUUGGACAUUAAGAAAGAACUACUAUCAAGAUCAAGGAUUAGAGAUUAUAUAUGCUAUUAUUAAUAGAAAUUAUUAAAGGAUUUAGAACAAGUUCACCUCGUUGAUUAUCUGGGAUGAUGAGUUUCUAUAUUCACCUUGAAUAUAUAAUAACAAUUUUAGUGAGCAAAAGAUCACUGGUAACUGCAGAGGAAUGUGUGAGUUUAAGAGCUUAUUAGAGUAAGCAAUACAAAUGAAUUUUCAAAUUAUGUACUUGGUCAUUGUUGUCCUACUGACGCACGUUUUUUUUCAUGAAUAAUUGCCAGAUCAGAAAAGAAUAAGUUCGGUGGAUUGAAAGAUUGCUGAAGCAAGUAAAACAAUCUUCAUAUCGAACAUGAUUCCAAUUAAAUUAAUCUUUUUAUAAGAUGACUAAUAAAAGACAAAAGUAGAAGCUUUGAUGAAUGAACGAUGACCAAAACUUUUGUAAAAGCGGAUGCCGAUAAAAUAAACAAAAGGCACUUUAAAAAGAAACUAAAGUGCGAUCAUCAAAGUAAGAUCAAUAAUGACUCGAUUUAUUUCACCUAUUCUGUCCACAAAUGAUGCUUCGCUAUUACAAGGUCCGAAUGGACAUUAUUUACAAAUUGUUCUUAUGUUUCACAGAAAAAUGAAAAACCGUUCAUCAUCAUAUAAUUAUGAAAUAAAUAAAUUUUAUUAAUGGAUUAUGGGGAUAUGUUAAUGUUAGGGAUAUGUUCAAAUCAUCAUAUAAGUUACUAAACGCUUCAACAAGAACAAGAAUUAAUGAGUUAAAAGUAAAAAAAAAAAAUUUUAAAAAAAGUUAAAUAAAUAAAACUUAGAAGUAAAGAAUGUUAUUUGCAAUCACCAAAAUGAAAACAGUGGAACCCUGUUUUUCCUCUCAUUUCUCUUUCUCUCUUUUUCAUUUGUUGGGAAGUGUCGCCUAAAACACUUCCUCUGCUAGGUGGAAUUAUUGGCUUGAAGAGAUGAGUUCUUGUCACAAGCACAAAUUUUAUCUGUACAUUAUUUCAUUUUAAAUGAUGAGUUCUUGUCACAUGAUCAUUACUUUUUUUGUUUUGAUUUGGUUAGUUCAUGAUAACAAACAAAUUAUUUUGCAUCACAUUAUGGUAAAAAGUUGCCCUCUUUGUUACUUCCACAGCUAUAUAGUUUAAUAUUUUGUAAUAAGAUCACAAAGUGCAUGGGAACCACUGUUCGAGUACUUCAGCCUAAUAUGAAGAUCUAUUGAAAAUUUUCCUGAUGUCAUGAUAUUAAACAAAAAAAGGUACCUCUUUUACUAAUUAAUAAGAGAAGUUUUGACCGAUUUCAUGUGACUCUCUUUUACUAAUUAAUAAGAGAAUUUUUGGCCUUAUAUCCUUGCUGUGGCGUUAGACUGUUGGUCAUUUUGAUUGUUUCCUACUUUCCGUUUACGCCAGCUGUAACAUUGUAUUAUCACCAUUUUAGCCAUUUAAAUGAAAUUUAUUUUUGUCAAAAAUAAAAUGACACCCUUAAAAUUAAAAAAAAAAUAGUUAUGUAGACCUCAAAUUUUUAAUAAAGAAUGCCAAUACCCCUUUUAACUACAAGAUUCUUAGUAGAUGAUAACUAAAAAAAUUAACUUCAAAAAUUUUCACUAAAUAUAAAUCUAAUUGAAAUAGUUUAAAUUUUCUAGUAGACUAAUAUAUAUAACUUAAAUAAUUAAUUUCAUUAUUAAUUUUUAAAAUGUUAAAUAAUAUAUUUUAAUUUAUUAUAAAAAAUUUAAAUAAAUUCUUGGAUUAGAUAGAUUUUACAAUUAAUGUAAUACUGCUGAUUUAUUAAUAAUAUUAAAAUUAUUUUAUAUGAUAUUCAAAAUAAUUUAAACUUUUAUAUAUUUAUUUUAAUAUUAUGUCUAUUUAUUAUAAAUUUAUAAUUUGGUUUAAUAUAAUACGGGAUUGUAAAAUAUUAAAAUAUUUUUCAAUAUCAAAUUAUUUUAAUAUGUAUAUAUCAUUACAUUUAUUUUAAUAUUGCAUUUAUAUUUAUUAAAGAGUAUUGCAGUAAAGUAAAAAAAAAAAAAGUCUUAUUAUCCCUUAUUCACGAUAUGAGGUUCUACAGAAUUAUUUCCCCAAACGGGUGUCCUUUUCUCAUUUUCAAAAGAAAAAAUAAAGUAAGAAUAAGACCAUGGAUUUCAAAAAACUUAUAGUCCUAUCCCGGGACCAAACGUCUAUUCAUUAUUUUAUUUAUUCAAUAUAAAUGGCCAACUUAAAAAAAUGAUAAAAAUCACACAAAGCUCAAGUGAAAAUUUAGAAUUACAUUUUUUAAUACUCUCGGAGUCUUCUCUCCUGCCCCCUUUUUUUCUUAAAAAAAAAAACCUUAGUGUAAAAUUAGAAGAAUUUUAGAUAUAAAAUUUGACAAUCGCUAAACAGAAAAGCAGCGGAUUAAAAAUAGAGGAGCUCUGUUAUCAUUGCAAUAUUGAUUAUAGAUAAUAUAAUAACUUGUUGUGGUUCAUUGUAGCACUCUGAGCCAUACUUUAAAAUUUACUGGUUUGUUAAUGCUUUUAUUAUUGACAUUAUUGUGUCAAUAUUAUUAUAAUUUAUUCAUUUUAUUGUAAUGAUAAUUUGUCUAGUCUUAGGUACUUAUUAUAUUAAAUUAUGUAAAUUAAUUGAGAAUACUUUUACAGACAAAAGAAACACGUGUAUGUAGGAUUAAUAAGCGAAGAGUUGUAAAUGAAGCUGAUUGCUUCAUUGAGAUGCAUAUUAAAUAAUUAUGGAGAGUUGCUCUAUUUCAGAAGCAUAUAUUUAUACUUCCCUAUCAGGAUUUGGGGUAAGCGAAGUGCUUUAUGUAUUGCAGUAAGCAAAUGUGGGCAACAUCAGAGCCGAAAUAUUAAAAGAUCAUAACGCAUAUAAACGAUUAGUAUAUUCAAGGCACAUAUAGCGGAAAGAGUGCAGAUCUGGCCGUAACUAUUAUGAGGAUUUCCUCAAGUAAAUAUUAAAAGAACAACUAUUCUGAACUAUAUAUUCUUCAUUGUGGGCAGAUUUACUUAAAUACCAACACAAUGAUUCAAUACUUCAAAAGUCAAGGAAAUGUCAAAAUAUGAAAUGAAAAUACUUAAAUACCCUUCUCCCUAACAAAACUUAGUACUUCUAACUGCCAUCGCAGAGAAUAUAUAAAAUUUAAAAAAAAAAUCAUCCAUGAAAAGUUUCGUAACAGAAAAACCGUCUUUCAAAAAAUAAAAAAUAAAAAAUAAAAACAGAAAAAUUGACUCAUUUAUCUGCCAAUGAACCAGUCGGGACUCAUUUAAAAAAGAUUACAAAGCAAAAGUAAAUGACACAAAUUGCAUAGAUAUCUAAGAGCCGCAUCAAAGGACAAAGGUGUUAAUUUGUCCAAGUAAUAAAUUCUCCUAGGUCAAAAGCAAUUAACGAUGAAAACUUUCUUCAUUAAGGUUCUGGCCUACGUAAAAAAACAGAAAAAACCACCCCAAGGUCAAAGCACAACGAUAAGUUUAGAAUUGCAGUUUUUAAUUUUUCUUUUUAAUAAAUCAACGUGUAUUAAAAAUAGAUAAAAAUUUUGAAUAAUGUUUUUUUGAUAAAUAUAGACAUAAAAUUUAAAAAUCACCAAACAGAAAAACAGGGCAAUUAAAAGAGAGCCCUUGUUUCUCCUCUGUUUUGUUUGUUAUUAAACGGGGAAAUGAAAAGAUCGCAAGCAUAAAUUUUGUUUCUGCGUUGUCUCUUCUCAAUGUUGCAUGCAUUCAAAUUAAACCUUAUAUAUGAUAGCAAACUAGCUACUCUGCAUGUACGAUAAGUCUAAAUAAUAGAAUAAUUGUAAAAUGUUCAAAUUCAGUAAUUAAUUAUACAUAUUUAUUUAUUCAAAAAUUAUUAUUAUUAUUAAUUAUUGUCAAUAAUAUAUUAAUAUACUAAUUAAUUAUAAAAAUUUUUAUCAUUCAUAACAAUAACAAUGAUGAUGAUGAUGAUAAUAAUAAAAAUUCAAAAUAUAUUAAUUAAUUAUAAUAAUAUAUUAAUUAUUUAAUACUAAUAAUAAUAAAAAUGUAAAAUGUAUAAAUUGAUUAGAAUAGUUAUAUUAAUAAAUUAUAAACAUAUAUUAAUUAAUCAUAAUAAUUUUUUAAUUGAGGACAAAAUAGACAUUUUAUAGUUUGUGAGAGGGGGCAAAAUGGUCAAUUUUGGGAAUGGGAGAUUGAUUCCCACCACCUUCCUUGGGAAUCAAUUUUCCAUUCCUCAUUCCUAAAUUUGGGUGGCCCCAUAAUUCUGAUUUGGAUCCCUGCCUCCAUCAUUAAUGAUUUCGAUUUCGGAUUCCGAUUCCCCAAUCCAAGAAGUAAAGGCACCAUUAUUGUUAAUUGGUUCAAACACACAAAGAGAAUGUACCGUGUAGCUAGGCGUCAAGGUUGUGUUGCACAAGUAACCUUUUUCUUUUCUUUUUAUUUUUCUUGUUUUCCUUAACGGAUCAGAAGAAAUUGGUGCCUUUGAGAUACCACAAUGUAAAUAAUUAUUUGUGGUUCAUUGAAUCUGUAACACUCGGUACCCUAGGGUUGCUUUGGAAAAAGGGCUUUUCUCACCGAUCGCCAAUAUCCAAGUAAGUUUGUUUCAUUUCAGAAGGUGCAAAGUUUCAAACUUGUUGUAUUGGGAUGUAACAAACUUUGGCCUUAUAUGCCUGCUGUGACGUGAGACUGUUCAUUUUGAUUGUUUCCUACCUUCCACUUACGCACUGUAGCACUGUAUUAUUCACCAUUUUAGCUGUUUAAAUGAAAUUUUAUUUUUGUCAAAAAUAAAAUGACACCAUUAAAAUUUAGAAAAAUAAUCAUGUAGAUCCCAAAUUUUUAAUAAAGAAUACCAAUAUUCCCCUUGACUACAAUACCCUUAGUAGGUGGUAAUAAAAAAAAAUUGGCUUAAAAUUUUUACGAAAUGUAAAUAUGAUUUAAAUAAUUUAAAUUUUCCAGUAGACUACUAUAUAUAAUUUAAAUAAUUAAUUUAAAUAUUAAUUUUUAAAAUGUAAAUUAAUUUAUUUGUAUUUAUAAAAUAUUUGUAAUUAUUUUAAAAUUUAACUAAAUCCUUAGGUUAAAUAGAUUUUACAAUUAAUAUAAUAUUUCUCAUGUAUUAAUAAUAUUAAAAUUAUUUUAUAUGAUAUUGAAAAUAACCUAAAUUUUUAUAUAUUUAUUUGAAUAUUAUGCUCUAUUUAUUAUAAUUUGGUUUAAUAGAAUACGAGAUUGUAAAAAAUUAAAAUUUUUAGAUAUUGAAAUUAUUUUAAUAUGUAUAUAUUAUUAUAUUUAUUUUAAUAUCCUAUUUAUAUUUAUCAUAAAUUAUUAGAGUUAAUUUUUUUAGUUAAUAAAUUUAAAAAAUAUUAUAAUUUAAAAAAAAGUCUUGUUGUCCGUUAUUCACGAUAUGAGGUUCUACAAAAUUAUUUCUCCAAACGGGUGUCCUUUUCUUUUUUUCAAAAGGAAAAACAAGUUCAGGGCCUCAGGGGUUUCAAAAAAUUCUGGUCCUAUAUACCACUAUGACUAAUGGGAAACGACAUUGCAAUUGACAUUGCUUUCCACAAUAUGAUAGAUUAUUGGAGGGAUAUGAGAGAAUUGUCAAACGUUCACACACGCGAGAGCUUUAGGUGGGAUAGGGGAGGAUUGUCAAGAGUUCACACCACGAUAAACUAAUGAUAGGCCUAAUUUUGUUGUCAGUUCUUUAUUUAUUUAUUUUAUGUAUAUCAUACAUUAUUGUAUUUUGUCAAGGUAUAAUAGUACAAGUAAAAUACUAGGGGUGCUGUUAAGUUACAACUUAUGUAACUUGCAAUUUUUUCAAAAAUUAUGUAAAAAAUUUAAUAGGUGGUGGAACCCACAUAUUUUUUAAGAGACUUAAGUUACAGCAGUUGUAACUUAACAAAAUCUAAAUAUUAGACAAUAAUGCAUAUAAUUUGGGUUUGAUUUUUAAAAGAUUAUUUGAGUACCACCUAUCCUUAUGAUAUUAAUGUGAUUAUAUCUUAAUAUUAAAUAAUCAAAAUUUGUUUAAUUAUUAUUUGUAUUUCAUACAUUACAUAUUAGAUUUGUUUGAAUUUUAAGUUGUUGCUAAUAAAUAUUUAUGUUGUCAAAGUCAAAGUCAAUAGCUACAAAAGUAGAGAUAAUGGUAUUGUAUAUAGUUUUUAAGAAUGCAAGGAUAAGCUGGAUAAUUGACAUAAAUUCUAAUGAUUAAAAGAGCAACUAUCCCUUAAGUUAUAAUGUCAAUUUCUUUAAUUAGAAUUUUUUUUUCAUGUGAUAUAACCUUAAUUGCUACAAUUUUUUUUAUAAUAAUAAUGGGAGUUAUAAAUUAUUUAUAUAAAAUUUGGGUUGAAACUAAUGUAACCUAAAAGUGGUUGCUGAAUAACAAUAUUUGAAACUUUAGGUAAUUUUCAUGAGUCCUUUUUAUAUUCAACAACUUGAAUUGGGGGAAAUCCGACUUGAAUUGGCGGUUGAUUUUGGUGAUGUGGCUUUCGGUUUACGCCGGCUUUACAGUGGCGGAAGACUGGAUUUACGGUUGCCGACUGCUAGGGAUUAUGGUGGUAGUGUAAAUUGACGGAAAAAGAAGGUGUUUUGGUGGCGGCGCGUCUAGGAAGCACUCGUGGGUUGUUGUUUCGUGUGGUGACAGCGGGCGGCGAUCAAGGGCUGAAGUUGGUCGGUUUUUGGUCAGCAGAGGCCGGCGAGUUUGUUGGUGGAGGUGGCUGGUGGAGAAAGUGGCUGAAUGGUGGUGGGUUGCUUGGUGGAGCCGCGGGUUUGGGUUGGUGAUUUGCGGCUGUUCAAGCGGUGGUUGAGGCAGCGAUGACUAAGGCUUGGUCGACGGUGGCUAGGGAGGUUUGUGGUGGUGUUGGCUGGCUGAUCGGCGGUGGUGGACGGCGGUGGAGGUUGAUGUGACAGGUAGGGUUUUCAAAUUUGUAAAUUUUUUUUUUGAUGGAUUUGGUUUGGAUAGGUAUGGUGUAUCUAGGAAAGAUGUGCGAUUCGCACAUAAUCAUUUUGAUACCAAUUGAUGGAGCGAGGCGUAGCGGAAGCAGAAUUGAUAGGGUAAGAAACAUUAGAUAUCGUUCUAGUACUAGACCAAGCCAACACGAUUAGUUUACGCUCUAAUUGAAGCGUGAUUAGAUAUCGUUAUAAUCCAAAUGACUCAGUGAGAUUUUUAAUAACGCGUAAUACGAGAUUAGAUGACACUCUAAUCCAAAUGACUCUACAAAAGAGAUUUUGAUAACUAAUCCUAGAGGAAAUUAUAAAAGAGGGGGUUUAUUUAAUAAUUGAACUUGAAGUUAUGAAAAUAAUGACAAGACAUCUUUAUUUUUUUUAUUACAGGCAUCUUUAUUUAUAAUAGAAGAAACCCGCUUUCCUAAGUUAACCUAAAAAGAAAAUUUAAAUCAUAAUUAUAAUGGAAAUAAAAGAUUAAGAUACAUACCAUAAUUAACUCAAACUAAAAUAGAAAAUCAUAAAAUAAUAAAUAUUCUAGAAUUAUAAAUUAUCUAAAAUAACGUUAAUUAACUUCCUAAAUCACUUCUUUGGUGUAAACCAUUUUGCAUCCAUCCUCGCUUUAAAGGUUUGAACCAACGUUACCAACAAUAAUGUAUCAAAGUCCAAUCUAACUUAAGAUCUUGAUACAUCUACCGAUGUCCUUGUUUGAUUAGACAAUAAUGAGUCUAUCUCAUCACUUGUUACCUCUUUCUUGAAGGCUGCAUCUGUUGAAGUGAUAGUCUCGCUUAGAGUUUAAAGAUCUUCUUCCAUGUUAAAUAAAAUGGGCAUUUGAUUAAAAAACUUUAUCUCUAUCUCCUUCUAUCAAAUAACGACAACUAUCCGAAGGAAAAAAAAAAUAGAAAAGUCCAUGGGUCACAAUAAUUUAUGGUCUGUCCCCGGACCCCAUUAUCUGCCACUAUCAAUGAUGAAAAUGAAAAUAAAUGGCAUCUUCCCAAAAUGGCGAAAGAUUUUUGGGGGAUAUGGGGGAAUUGUCAAAAGUUCACACAACGCGAAACAAGUGUUACAUCCAAUUUUAUUUCGUCAUAUAAUGAUAAUAUCAAAUAAUGACAACCAUCCAAAAGUAUGAUGGGUCUUCCAAAAUUUUGAAAAUGUCGUCAACAUUUAAUCUUCAAUGCUAAAGAAGAUGAAAUGACCAAAAAUGACACGCAUGACUCACUCACAGACUAAAUGGCUCUGACCACAUGUAACAAACUUUGAUCUUAUGUCCUUACUGAGGCGUUAGACUGUUGGUCAUUUUGAUUGCUUUUUACCUUCCAUUUAUGCCAUUGUAGCAUUAUACUAUUCACCAUUUUAGCUGUUUAAAUGAAAUUGUUAUUUUUUUUCCAAAAAUAAAAUGGCACCCUUAAAAUUUUAGAAAAUAGCCAUGUAGACCCCAAAAUUUUAAUAAAGAACACUAAUAUCCUUUUUUACUAUAGUACUCUUAGUAGAUGGUAACAAAAAAAAAAAUGACUGUAAAAGUUUUUACUAAAUGUAAAUAUGAUUUAAAUAUUUUAAUUUUUCUAGUAGACUAGUAUGUAUAAUUUAAAUAAUUAAUUUUUAAAAUGUAAUUUAAUAUAUUUAUUUUAAUAAUAUAUUUAUUAUAAAAAUUUUAAACAAAUCCUUGGGUUAAAUAGAUUUUAUAAUUAAUAUAAUAUUUCUCAUGUUUUAAUAAUAUUAAAAUUAUUUGAUAUGAUAUUGAAAAUAAUUAAAACUUUUAUAUAUUUAUUUGAAUAUUAUGUCUCUAUUUAUUAUAAUUUGGUUUAAUAGAAUCAAAUGAAAGUGUACAUGUACAAGAAGAAAGAACCAUACACCAAGUAAAACGUAAAAAGGAUUAAAUAAAUGACACCAAUCCCCGGCAACGGCGCCAAAAUUUGAUGGUUGUCGAAGCCAACAAAAAUAAAUUCCUACUCUAAAUAAAUUGUGUAUAGUGAUUGAGCAGGGUCGUGUCCACAGAGAUCGGUAAUUAUUUAAAUCCUUUUAAAACGUAAAACAUAAAAUGGGGGUUUUGUUGACAAUAAUAAAAAUCAAAUUAAAAUAACAAGAAUGCAAAUUAAAGUUGUAAUUCAAAUUAGAGAAAGCUCUGGUUGAAGGAAUUAACUCAGCUUGAUUCGACUACUGAUCAUUGAUUCAAAUAUAGAUUAUUAUUACUUAUUAAUAGACCGGUUAUAGCUAUUGAGACCCUCUAAUAGCCAAUUUGUCCUUAACUAGUCGAUAACCAAGGUACGACCGUCAGAUAUUUCCCUAAUCAACAGACAACCCUAGAUACGAUCAUAGGAUUUAAUCAAUUGACAGCCUGAAAAACCAGAGAGACCCAAAUCCUAAUCAACACAUAUGAUGAUUCAUUUAAAUUAGAUUGUUUAUUCUCAUAACACAACUCACUGCUAUGUUAUUUGUCACAAACAUUAAAAUCUUCAUACGAUGAAUCCUUUAAUUGACAAUAGAUUAAGUUGAUAAUUAAAUAGUGGCCAAUUACCUAAUUAACAAACAUAAUCAUGAAACUAAUUCAGAGAAUAAACAAAUACCCAAAAAGUAAUAAAACAAUUAAAGCAUAAGAAAGAUCUCACAGUAGUGAUGAAUCAAAGCUUCAUUAACCUUCAACCAGAAAAAUAAGUUUAGUUCUUCAUAGAGAGAAGAGAAAAAUUAGAUCUAGGGUUUUUUUCUUUUUCUCUCAUCCCCCUUUUUCACUAUAGAUUCCUCCCUUAAAUACUCUCUCUCUCUUCUCUUUUAGAGUUCUAAUUAAAAUAAAAUACUAAUAUCUGAAAUAUUAAAUUCGUAAUUACAAAAAUAACCAAAAAUACAAAACAUGUUAAACUAAAAACUACAGGUCCGCAGUUGACAGCACGCGCCCACGCCUUAUCAAGAAAGUUCUUCUGACUCUCUAAAUUUCUCCAAGAGAACAAUCAUCUUUAAACAUCAUCUUAUAACUCAAUUUUAUCACAAAUCAAUAGAAUUGCACCUACAAAAGUACAACACAAGUAAAUCAUUAUUAUUAAGUGCAAAACAUCGAUAUUAAGGGAAGUAGACAAUGCAAAACUAGUGCAUAAAUUGCACUCUAACAAGUUCACACCACGAGAAAUUAAUGAUAGGCCUAAUUUCGUUGUCAGUUCUUUAUUUGUUUAUUUUAUUGAUUUCAUACAUUAUUGUCUUGUUGGUACUAUUUUGUAAAGAUAUAAAAGUACAAGUAAAAUAUUAGGGGAAGUAAAAUAAAAUAUUGGAGGUGCUGCUAAGUUACAGCUGCUGUAACUUACAGUUCCUUCAAAAAUAAUGUAAAAAAUUUAACAUGUGGUGGGACCCACAUUAUGUUUGAAGAGGCCGUAAGUUAUAGCAGUUGUAAAUUAGUAAAAUCCAAAUAUUAGAUAACAAUACACAUUAACAAUGCAUAUAAUUUGGGUUUGAUUUUUAAAAAAAUUAUGUGAGUAUUACCUAUCCUUAAGAUAUUAAUGAGAAUAUAUUUUAAUAUUAAAUAAUCAAAAUCUGUUUAAUCAUAAUAUGUAAUUCAUACAUUGCAUGUUAGAUUUGUUUGGAUUUUAAGUUGUUGCUAAUAAAUAUUUAUGUUGUGAAAGUCGAAUUCAAUAGCUACAAAAGCAGAGAUAAUGGUAUUUUAUGUAGUUUUUAAGAAUACAAGGAUAAGACCAUAACGCAUGAGAUAAUGGUAUUUUAUAUUAAAAGACCAUAACACAUGUAUUUGAGCCAUUUAUAUUGAGGACACAUAUAGAGCGAAGAGUGCAGAUCCGGCCGUAACUAUUGUGAAGCUUUCCUCAAGUAUUCUCAUGCACGCAGACCUUAGCUGGUCAAGUUUUCUGAUUCAAUAUAAUCAAUUUCCGCGCAGUACUAACGACAGCUUCUUUGUAAAGCUCUUCAACCACAAGCAUUUCUACAAGGCAAAAGACUAGGACGUGUCAGAAUGAAUAUCAAUAAGGGAAUGUCUUAUGAAUUUAGUUUAUAUCCUAAUAUAAGACAAUCAAUAAAUAUUAGAUGCAAUCUAAGGGAAUGUCUUAUGAAUCCUGAUUGAUGGCCUCUCACAGUCAGUUAUAUGACAAAGUAGCCACCACAACAAACUUGAACUUGGCUGGAGGUCUCAUUAGCAGUAUACCUCAGAAAUUAAGACAAAGACUUUAAAAUGCAAACUUAUGGAGCAAUUUAAGCACUGAAACUAAUAACAGUACUGUAUUAGCAAUUGACCUCUGCUUUUUUCUUGGACAAAGGUUCUCAUCACAAGGGACUCAUUAGUUGCCCUUGCCUCAAACGUUUGGAUGCUAAGGGGAAAAAGGAAGUUUGAAUUAGUCAAUCUCAUUUCUAAUGGCAUUCACAGAGAACCUAUAAAACAAAAAAAUUAUAAAAAAAAAAAUCAUCCAUAAUUCGCCAAACCGAAAAGAAAAACAGGGGAAUGAAAAGAGAGCCCACGGGAAUGAAGAGAUCAGCUCUUGUCGCGAAAAUGCAGUCGACUGUAACUAUAUCCGGGUCCCUAGUACUUAGAAGUAAAUGCUCUUGGAAUUUCUAUUAUAGAUUGAUGUUUCCCGUUCAAAUAGCUCUUCCGAUACCAUUAACAUGUUCAUCUCUCUAUAGAUUGAUGUUGACAUAGAUGUUAUUCUACUUUUGCUAGUGGAGUUUUCCUUGUACAGGUAUGUAUGAUUGUUUUUUUUGCACUUCUAAAUGGACACUGUUGAAAAGCUUAAAAUUGAACUGAUAAUUUUGUUUGGAAGCUCAGAAAAUUCAUGAGAAAGUGAAAUAGAAUAUUCUGGAUUUCUUUUCUUUCCAUAAUAUACAAAUGACAAACGUAGCAGUAUUUAUACUCGUUGCUUACAUCAUAAAAACAGAAUUAAAACAAGGUACACAACUAUAACAGAAUCAAAAGCGUGCUUAACUAAUUGGCAGAGCUGGCAUAUACUUCUUUAACUAACAAUGCUGCUGACUGGACUUUAGCUCACACAUGCUUAUCGUGCAGCUACUCUUAGUUCACACGUGCUCAGUCUGCUGUUGGCCCAAAGUUGGAACCAGAGAUAUCAUGACUCUGGUUUCAUUUCACCUCAACUGUGUUUUUUUUUUUAAAUUAAAAAAAUCAUUUGUUUUAGGUAUACAUACAUGUAUUUUGAUUCUAUUUUCAUUGUAAUUUCUCAUUUACUUUGAAUGAAAGUCAUUGGUGUUUUCGAAUGGGAAUUUUGCAUUAAAAAAUGAAGAAUAGUGAUUUUUGGAGUGUAAUUAGUAGUAAAGUUGGUUUUUACUCGCAAACAAGUGAACUGCUCGAUUCCCGAGUGGUAUCAACCAGUUUCCAACUUUUUAAUAUACACUAAUUGUUAUUGUUUAAUAGCUACUACUAUUAAAACUCGACAUCUAACAAAAAUACUUAAAAAAAAUGAUUUUUCUUAUGAUGCUGUAAAAAAAAAUUACGGGUUUACUUCUUUCCAUGAGAUCUAUAACAUGGUCUUGACUUCACGAAAUUCUUUUAAUUUAAAGCUUGCUGGUGUGAGAAGGUCAGUUUGACUGAUUAAUUCUUUUUAACAGUGGUCGAGAUAAUUUUACUAUCUAAUCGAAUGUUAUGCUGUUUUCUUUUUCUAAUCUGGUGUGAGAUAAUUAAUUCUUUUUCACAAAUGCUAUGCUGUUUUCUUAGGCUAAGGAUCUUCUAUCAGGAGAGGUUAGAAAUUCAAUGCUUAAAAGAGAAUAAUACAGAAAUUUAGGCAGAAUCUAAUCGAAUAUUGCAUGAAACAUGAAAAAUCAAUUCAAGUCCUUUCUUUAAACGGAGAAUGCAUCAAACAAAAUCCAAAGUGUCUUGCACGUCUGUAGCAUGAGCAAAAAAUUGUAAAUAUGUAGAACCAAAUUAUUCAAGUACAGAAGAACGAGCAAGCUAAAUCAUGUAUAAGAGAUUGGCCUGGUUCGGGAUAGCUUCUUCACUGUACCUGAAGGAUUGGCUCAAUCUCUUCUUUAGAAUUCUGCAGAUUUUGUAAUUACUCGUGUAAGCAAGCAUACAUUGCCACCAUAAGAAUAAUAAAGCUAGAGUAAUGAUAUGACCACCACCUCUUGUGCACAAACAAUAUUGUAUAAACUAAUGCGACAUAAUAUGAUUGGUUAAACAAAAACAUUACAUGGCCCUCAUAAUUUAUUUAUUUAUUUAUUUAUUUAUUAUUAUAUUUUUUCAGUAAACCAAUCAUAUUAUAUCACAUUAGUUUCUAUAAAAUAAUUUGCUAAAUAGCACCAAAACUUAAUUGAUACUCACCAUUUCAUUGAACAAUUUUUUUAUGGUGUCAUUGAGAUUGCCUUCCCAACAUCCUUCAUCAUCAUCAUCUUCAUCAUCAUCAUCAUCUUCUUCAUCAUCAUCUUCUUCAUCAUCAUCUUUUUCUUCUUCUGUGACGUUCACUUUGUUUAGCAUUGGUGUGUCUAAGACUCCUUGAGAGAAGAUCUUCAUUUUUGGACACUGUCUCACAACUACUGGUUUCAAGGACGGGAAUUCAAGAGCGUAAUUACCCGAACAAAAGCUUGUUAGGCUUGGCAAACAAUCAAGUCCCAAGUACUCCAAUUCCUCGAAGACAACGCAACCUUUCGCUUCUUCUCCAACCUGCAAUUGUAUGAUUUGUUCUAUCAUUUUGCAAUCAGCUAUCUUCAUUCUUUGAAGAGUCACUAGACUUUCAGAUGUUGAGAGCGUCAAUAAAUUUAUCAACCCAUGACACUUCGAUACUUCCAGAGUCGCAAGAUUUUCCAAAUGCCACGAAGCUGGUACUAAUUUCUGCAACUUACUACAUUCAAAUAUUUCUGGACUUUUCAAGUUUGCAAACACUUUGUUGGAUUUGGCAUUUUCCUUCCAGAGAUGCUGCACUUUGUGUAAUCCAGAUAGCUUUAACUUCAUCAAUUGAGGGAAUGCAACCUGAAAAUCAACAAAAUUAAGUUGUAAAUGAAAAUAUGUAUCCAAUCUCUGCAGUCUUCCCCUGCAUAUUUUAUGAACAAGAUUAAUCACGACAUUUUAUAUUUUAUUUCCAAAUUAGUAUGCUUUGCAGUAGGAUCCCAAAUAUAAGUAUCAAAUCGAUUACCCUUUGAAACACAUAAAUGAAAUCUGAUGCUAAAUCCAAUAUGAAUUAGCUAGGAAAACAGAGAUGUAACACGCAUAAUCGAUAUAGUUCAUCGCCUUAUGUCACCAGGCAUCUAAUUAAUUUAAGACAUUUUUAUAAUUCAUACUAUAAAGUUAGUUAAUAACAGAGGUUAUAUUGUUAAAUCAGAUAUAAAUUAAGACGACCUGCAAAAAGAUGAGUCAUUAAGUUUGAUUUGAUUCUAAUGAAAUUACAUCUGUGCGAACGAAAGUGAAGGCAAUAAUAAUAAUAAUAAUAAUAAUCACCUUUUCAUCGAAGAGGGGUUGUACUUGAUGAGCCAGCAAGAAGUUCUCUUCUGAUGUUAAUUUUUGAGGUUUCUUGUUAUCUGUUGUCACGUGCACUAAAGAGUUGGAUAUGAAUGUUUCCAUAUCAGGGCAAUUCUCAAUAGUUAGAUUCUCCAACUCAAGCAUUUCAAUUAUAUUCCCAGUGAAGUUGCAGAAUCUUUUGAGUUUUGGAAGGUCAAUGAGCCUUAGCUCGAAAAGCUUAGGAAACAGGGGACCUAUAUGUUCUUUGUCAGCAUUUAGCACUUCCAAAUGAAGCACCUCUUCCAGUGAAUCACAAUUCCUCACUUCCAACCAUUCCAAAUUGUUCAAGCACCGUAGCAGAUUGGCAGGAAUAGCACUCGACAUAUUCGUGCAGUCAUCCACCACCAGGUGUCUUAAAUUGUUGAAGAAGCUGACAGGCAGUGCUUGGCCAUGCGAUAUUUCUUUCAAACGUGGAAAAUGUGAGAAUUGCAAAAACUCCAUGUCACGAAAUCCAAUCUGCUCAAACCAAAACAAUUGCACUGGAUAUAUACAAUUUUUUUUUUGAAAGGCAUUAGAUAUAUAUAUAUACAUUAAACUUACAUGUUUUGUGUUUUAACUUCUAAAAAUAUAUUUAAAUGUGCAAGUGCAGGGGAGAUGCAUGAACAAUUUGGAUGAAUCGAUUAACACAUACCAUUUCUUCGUAACACUUUUGUAUAGUGGAAUUAAGCUUAUUGCCUUCCCAAUGGUGCAGUUCACCCCCUUCCUUUUCAGUCACUUGCACUUUGCAUGGCUUUGGAAUGGAUAAGAUUCCCUGAGAAAAAGUCUUCAUGUUUGGACAACGUAUCAUAGAAACUCGUUCCAAUGAUGGGAAUUCAAGAGUGUAAUUCUCCAAACAAAAGCUGGUAAGCCUUCGUAAAUCAUCAAGUAUCAAAACUUUUAAUUCGCUGAAAGCAAUACGAUUCUCCUUCGCUUCUUCUCCAACAUGUCCUACGAUUUCUUCUAAUUCUUUGCAAUCCGAUACUUUAAGAUUCACCAGACUACUAGGAAUUCCAACCUGAAAAUAAGCAAAAGUGUGCGCAUGUGUGGUGUAUUAAAAAAGUAUGUUAAUCAUACAAUUAUGCAUUUUAUAAACAUAACAAACCAUGAAAUGUCUACUAGAUAAUUUUUUGUUAAACAAAAACGGAACAAGAUAAAUAAAUAAAUAAAAUCCAGAUAAACAAAGAUAAUAAAAAUACAUUUACACUAUUUAGUAUUAGAAACGUAGAAAUAAUUUAAGGCAAUUUCUAAAUAUUUUAGACUUAUUUUGCAUCUUGAUAUCAGUUUUUAAGCAUAAAUUUGCAAAUUUCAACUAUUCCUUCUUUUUUUUUUAAAAAAAAAGGGACCAUUUUCCUUGGUCCCUUUUUUUUAUGUAUAUUUAAAAAUGGAAAAAAAAAUUUGGAAAAGACUUCCCAAUACUGUCAACGAGGGACUGCUGUAAAGUGGAUCUUUAUUAAGUACUUCCAGACUAGAGGAAAUUUCUUUACAAUCAAGGGUCAGUUGUAAAUAAUCAUGAAUUUGUGGUUAAUUAAUGGCAUAAUCAAUUCGUAACUAAACUAGAGAUAUUAAUUAAAUUUGAAGACUUUUAUUUUCUUUUUUUCUUUUUCCAAUCGAAAUGUGAAGAAUUAAGGAAAAGAGAAAUAUAUAGAUGAAUUCGUGAACCUAUAAGAUGAGUGACGAUCCUUUAAUUUUUGAAAAUCGUACUUAUUAAGAUAUGAGCAAAAACUAUUUAAUUGAAUUAUAUUAUGCUGUUGAAUCGUGUUUAAAAAAUUUAUAUUGUUGAUUCUAAUGCUGACGAACCUAAGAUACUUGAAAUAAAUAAUCAGUUUGCUGGCUGAAUAUCAUUUGUAAACAAAAAAUGGUUAAAAUAUUGUUGGAUGUAAUUUGAAAAAAAAAAGAUUCGAAAUGAAUACAGCAACCUUACCAAUGGAGGAAAAAUAUUCAUUAGGUUAUCACACCCAAUUAUCUCCAAAUUCUUCAAUUUGCUGAAAGACUCCGAAGCAAGCUGGUGGUGCCAUAUUUUUCUCAAAUUAUCCAUCAACCUAAUACGUAAUACCUCCAACCUAGUAAGUCGUACCUGGCAGUUAAAGAUUAAAUAACUAAUUAAUCAAUUAAUGGCAUAAUCAAUUGAUAACUAAAUUAGAGGCGGAUAUUAACUAAAUUUGAAGACUCAAGGAAAAGACAAAUUAAAUAUUGUGACUAAAAUUAAAUUUUUUUAUUAAAAAAAAAACCUUUUUGUCAAAGAGAGGAGGAGGUUGCAUUUCAGAAUGAAUGGUGUCUUCUGGUGAGCUCGUAGAGAUGAAUCUCGACAUACUGUUGCACCAACUAAUCUCGAGGUUUAGCAAAGAAGGGAAUUCAACAACUAAAUCUGAAUGAAUAUGUCCCGUAUUGGCAAAGCUUGUUAGUUCUGGAAGAAAAUGGAGCUUGAGGGAGUGUAGUUUAGGAAAAACCUUUAAUUCAAUCAACUUUCCUUCUUCUCUUUCUGACCACCCCGUGGUGUCGACCACCCCUUCCAUUGACUCACAAGACCGUAUUUCAAGAUGUUGGAGUUGCAAAAGACUAUUAACCAUAGAAUACGAAAACAGAUACUUCAUACGAUGACAACUGCUCACGUACAGCUUUGUUAAAUUUUGACAACAGUACAUUCCUUGAUUAUGAUCGGCCCAUAAUUUUUUCAUGUUUCUUAAGUCCCUGAGAUUCAAUUCCUCUAACCUCGGAAGAAUAACCUGCAAAGAAAACCCGUACAUUUUUGUUCCUUCAAGUACAACCGUCUAGUAUAAUAUUCUUUUGAUGAUCGAAGAUUAAUCGUGAUAAUAAAUUAAUCAAUUAAUUAUUGAACAGAAAAUUAUCACCUUUGGAGCAGUAUCAUCAUCAGCAAUGAUUUCGUUGAAUCCCAAAGAAGUUGUUGGUUUCUCCCUGUCGGGUCCUAUAAACAAACAAAAACAAUAUAUACAUAAUUAAUCUUUGUUGUUUUUUUUUUUCCAAAAUAAUUGAGGAGAAGUCCAUAAUCCCACCAAUACUUAACUUCAACACUCACCAAAAAUCAUUUCCAGAUCACCGCAAAGAGCCACUUCUACCUUUUGAAGCCGCAGUAGGUUUUUGGCCAUGGAGAAUGAGAAAAGAUGCUUCAAUUUGUGACAGGCUUCUACUUCUAUAAUCCUUAAGUUGCUGAAAGAUUGAUCUUCUGUGAGUUGGCUGUCACAUAUUGUCUCCAAAUUGUUCAAAUAGCUAAGAGACAAUGACUCCAGCAAGGGAAAGACUGUACAAUGAACCCGUCCAACUGAACCGACAAUAUGCAAAAUCUCAGAACAACUUUCUACCCAAAGAUGCUUCAAUCGUGGAAAACCUUCCCCAUCAUCUAAUUCAUGAACAACAUUCUGAACACCCUUCAGUUCGUUUAGAUGGAUCUCUUCAGCUUCCUUCAGCAACAUUUUCGUCCCAUAAUUCUCCAAAAGAGUGCUAACAUUUUCUAGCCCAUCGAGCUCCACCAUUCUUGAUGUUUUAGAAUUAACGCCUCACAUGCGCCACGCUUCUCCUAUACAUAUCUUAUAUCUUUGCAAUUCCACAGAGACCAAAUCCUGCGGUAGAAUUUCGGCAUCCCGAACGUGUAUCUCCAAGGUAGUUAGCUUUGACAACCCCUUCAAUUCAGCAAGACUGGCGUUACUUCCUCCUUCAACCUUAUCCCACUGCGAAAAGCUGUCACCCAUAUAUAGUUCUUCCAAUCGUGAAAAUUUUGAUAUGACAUUUGGUGCUAUCACUACAAGGCUCCUACAAUUGCUCAAAUCUAGCAAUUGUAACCGCGUCAAUUGACCGAUUUCAAGUGGUAACUGCUUAAUGUCGGAAUAUCGAAAGCUAAGAAUCUCUAAUUUCUUUAGCUGUCCAAUUGCCGCUACAUCUUCUUGUUGGCACCAGUCUAAACACAAUGUUUGAAGGUUAAUGAGGCGACCUAGUGACGAAAGUAAUGAAGAGAAAUGAAUUCCAGUAAAAUCUAAAACUUUGAGUUCUUCUGUCCCUUCAAAAAAGAGGUCUGAAACUUGCAUAGGGCCAUUACCCUCCGUAUACAACAAAAAUAACUGGAGAUUGGGACAUCCCAACCUUUCGGGAAGCUCUUGAAUAUCUCUAUAAGGUAAAGAAAUAGCAAUUGGACCUUUCUGUAUUGUCUCUUCCAUCUUUUUCUCCACGUCAGCAACAUUUGGAAUAUUAAACAUGCGCUUCUCUGCUGCAAUUGAUACAGCAACAACAUGAAUGACGUCAUGCAUUUUAACUUCAUCUUUGGCAUCACCGUCCAACAAUAAGCAUGAAGAUUUGAGAUUGUCGAUCAACCGAUGCACUCUACUCCUUGCUUCUUCCAAUGUGUAAACAUUUUCAAACAAACCCCAACCCACACCAUGUCUCAAUAAGUCAGAAACGGGUAUGACAUUACCUUCACUGUAUAGACCACAAAGACGGAACAGAGAUUUUGCCUCCUCACUUUCCAAGAAUUCAUAACUCAAUUUUAUGGAGGUGUACACAUUUGCUUGCAUGCCAUGAAUUUCUCUUGCAUCCGAUCUUCUUAGCUGAUUCAAUGCAUCUUGCCAAAAGUAACGCUCCUUAGUUUUCAGAGCAUUUGCAACUGUACUCAGUGCAACAGGCAAACCUCC